UUGCGGAACUCAAUCUGUUGGAAUUUAAGUAAAGAUAUCCCAAAGAAGUAAUAUUACCCAAACAAGAGGGUAUGGGUCCAUGCAGCUUAUUCAACCCUAAAUACAUCUUGUAUAGUCUCUCCAAACCACAGAGGCUUUCGGAGAUAGGCCCUCCUAAUUUAUUAGAGGAAAGAAAUAGACCUUGGAGAUUUCUCAUUCCUCCUAUUGAUGCUCGAAUCAAUCCACUUAAUUUAUUAUAGCCAAGUUGUAAAAGCAAUAGGUUGGUUAAGUUACCUAUUUCCAUAGGAAUAAUGCCUUGAAGCUCACAAUUAUGGGCAUAAAAGUAUUGAAAGGAUUUUGAAAGGUUCCCGAUAUAAGUAGGAAGAACGCCACUCAAUGGAUUUCCUGAAACCGCUAUUUUUCUCAAAUGCCUGCAAUUCGAUAAAGAAGAAAGAAAGCUCCACUCAUGAUCAGUAGCAGAUCCUGUGAUGAAAUUAUUGUUUACGAUUCGGAACCGUUCAAGGUGUCUUAAGUUGCCAAGUGUUUUAGGGAUUGGACCAGAGAAUAAGUUAUGUGACAACUCUAGUUUCUUAAGCAUGGAAGCAUUGGAGAUAGAGUUGGGAAUGUUUCCGCUAAGUUUAUUUCCCCACAAAAAAAGAAACUCAAGCUUUGGAGCAUUGGUGAUGGGUGGUAAAUUACCUGUAAAAUAGAAUCUUUUAGUAUACAAAUUCACAAAAUAUAUAAUACAUUAAAGUAAAAACUGUAAAACUUUAAAUCAAUUAAGAAUAAAAUUUUGGCAUGGAAAAAUGUGAUGAAAUCAAUUAGAAAGUUGAGACAUAAUAAGAAGUUUUGAGUAGUAAUUAGUCCUUGUGAUUUGUAUAGACAAAACAUAUAAUACACUAAUAAUUUUUUAAAAUAUUGUAAAACUUGAAAUAAAAUAAAAAUAAAAGUUUGGCAUGAGAACGUGGCAUCUAAUCAAUCUUAAAAAUGAGACUGAUACUGAAUAAUAAUUAGUUAUGAUUUGGGAAACAAAAAUGUUAAAGUCAUUGUUUUUAAUGUAAACUGGUAUGAUUUUGACCUAUUAGGUUAAUUAUUUAUUUUUAUUAAAUUAUAGUGUAAAAUUUAAAGAUUAUUAUUUGCUCAAAAUUUUUGUGUUUUUCGUAUAUUUGAAAUUUAAUCUUUAUAUUUUUUAUUUUCUGUGAUUUAGUCUCUCUACUUUUUGAAUUAAAAAUUUUAGGUUCAUUUAUUAACACUGUUAAAAAAGUUUUUCUGUUAGUAUGGCAUUUUGAAAAAUAAAAUAAACUUGAUAUCUAUGUUUUUAAUUAUUCCAAAUAUUGUUUCACUAUUUCAAGAUAAAUUAUUUGUGUUUAGACCAAUAUCUUAAGAACUAUUGUUGCAUGUUUAAUUAUUCUAAAGAAUUGUUGAUUGAGUCUUAGCUGAAGUGCACUAUUCUCCUAUUUAUGAAUUGGGGAGUUGGUAAAGUAUUAAAUUUUGAUAUAUUUUAAAAUAUUAAAAAUUUAUUAAAAUAUUUUUUAUAAAAAUUGAUUAUACCACAAUAUACAAUUUUAAUAUCAAAUUUUUAUUUUUUUUUAAAAUAUUAGCGAAUAUAUACUUUAUUUCAAGUUACACAAUUUUUACUAGUUUUUAAAUUUUUUUAAAAAUUUUUAUCGUCUUUUAUAAUUUCUAAUAAUUUUUUAUAAUUUUUUACAAUAUUUACAAUUUCUAACAAUUUUUAAUAAUUUUAUUAUUUAUUACAAAUUUAAAAAUUAACAAAUUUUUAUUUUUUAAAACAAUUAUAUAUUUAUAAUGUAGUUGUUUUUUUUAUAAUUUUAUUUGAAAUUUUAAAGAUUUUUUUUGGUUUUUUUUAGAUGAUGAUGCCAUCAUGAUGUCAUCAUAUGUCACAUGGCAAUUUAUAAUUAGUUGAAUAUCUCAAUCUAUUUUAUUAACGUCCAAUAGACUAAAACAAGAACACCUGAUAAUGUUAGAGACUACACUAGGAAUGUUUGAUAAUAUUAGGUACUAAAGUGGGCAAAAAAAAUUAAGGACUAUAUUAAAAAUAUAUCUAUAAUAUAUAUAAAUGCAUGGAUUUUGAGAAACUUUUGAAAUGAUAAUUAUAUAGUCUUUGUUUUUUUUUUCUAUAUUAUUGAAUUUUUUAUUUUAAAUAUUUUUUUAUUACUUUUAAGAUUUAUCAUAUGCAUGGAUAAGAAUUUUGGUUUUACUAAAAUAUUUGGUUAAAUAAAUUCACUUCAUAAGAAAAUUUAGGAUCCUUAUAAAUAACAAUUUUGAUUCUAUUAAAAAUAUUAUUUUAAAAAAUAUAUAAUAAAAAUUUAAAAUUUAUAUUGAAUUACUUUAUACUUAAAUUAUUAUUAGAAACUUUAUCAUACACAUACAUAUAUGAGAAGCACGUAUUUAGAACAUAAAUUUGUGUUUUAAAAUAACUUAUGAUAAAUAAUGAAAUGUAUAAUUUGAAACUAUUUAAUAAUAACACAUGGCAUAUCUACCAUAUUAAAAUAAAAAUAGAUUAAAUUGUAGGUAAAACAUAAUUUAAACAUAUGAAUACAUCAAAUUAAGAAUACUAAAUGAAUACAGUUAUUUAUGAUGAUGUUGUUGCCAAUUCUUAACUUGGUGUCGAGUUAAUUUGUGACAUCAUAAAUUUAAGUGGUAAAUUUAAGGUUUUAUGUAUUGAUGUGGAUUCAAAUAUCACCAUAAUUUUUUUUAAAAAUAAAAAACUAAAGUACCCUCAAACAAUAUAACUUAUAUUAAAUAUGAAAGGGUAUUUUUAUAAUUUCUUUAACCGAGUUGAUGCCCGGUUGACUCAUGACACCAACUCAAUCAAAAGCUUCAAUAAUAAUAUAGAUAUUCACGUUAAAAAAACCAAAAAAAGUACUUUAGUUCCAAAUAAUUAUAUAAUAAGUAAAUUUAUAAUUGAUGAAUAAAUUUAUAAAUAAUAUAUUUAUAUGAUCUAAUAUAUUAUAUAUAUUAAUUAUAUAUCAUCUACAAACUUUGAAGAUCAAUUUAUUAAGUAUCAAGAAAAGAAAAAAUGAAAUUGAAUUAACACUAAAUCGAUUUUUAGAUUUUGUCCAGAUGAUUUAAUGAUGAUAAAAAAAUUAUUAGCACUAUUUUUGAAUUAACAAAAAAUUAGUGAUAUAUUUUAAUUAUAUUUAUUAUUUAUUAGUUUUAAUAAUGUUUUUUUAAUUAUAUGAAGUAAAAUUAUAUCGUAUACUAAAUAUGGUACAUAUACUUUAAUUAUAACUUGAAAAAUUAUUAUAUAAAUUAAUAUAUUUUAAUUAUAUUCAACCAUUUGAAUAACAAAAUUAAAAAAAAACUAAUUAGAAUUAUUUACUUUUUAAAGUUUAAUGGAAAUUAAAAAAUUAAAAAUAAAUCAAUUCAUAUAAAUCUUAUUGUUUAUUAUCAGAUUAAUAUGAUAAAAGUAUAUGACAUAAAUAGAAGAAACAAAUUCAACACAAUGUUUUUGGAGUUUGGAAAAAAUUAAAGUGAAAAACAUACCUUCUAAUUUGUUGUUAAAUAGCUCUAUACCUUCGAGCGUAGUUGAAUUAAAAAUACUUGAUGGAAUCUGGCCUGCACACAUAGUCGAAAAUUGAAGUGAAAAAUAUACCUUCUAAACUGUUCAACUAAAAAUACUUUAAGCAUCUUUUUUUCCAUCAAAUUAGUUAUCUAUUACAAAUCAAACUCUUUUAUGAAAUGUUGAAGAUGGAAGAUGGAACCUGACCAGAUAAUUGAUUGAAUCCCAAGUUCAAGAUCUCUAGAUUAGACAUGUUAACAAGUGUUUCAGGGAUUGUGCCUGUAAAGUUAUUAUUCUUCAUUUCCAGCCUUCGAACUCUUUGUAAGUUCCCAAGCCAUGAUGGAAUUUCCCCAUUCAGACGGUUGUAGCUUAAUUGAAGGAUCCUCAAACGAUGCAAGUGGCCCAAUUCUUUAGGGAGAUGGCCAUAGAAAUGGUUGCUACUCAAGUCUAGAGAGAGUAGAAAUGAAAGAUUUCCAAGGUGUGGAGGGAUAGUACCCCUAAGAUUCAUGCUUGUAAGAUUCAAAGCUAUAACUCUUUUAUGGAGGAUGCCACAAGAAACACCAAUCCAAUUGCAAACAGAGGUUGAGGCCGUCCAAUUGUUUGCCAUGACAUUUUGAGGACCGGCAAUGCGAUCCUUGAACUCGAGAAGUGCAAAUUGAUCAGAGUUGAGAUUCCUGACUGUUAUAGCCAAGCAAAGUACGGAACAUGGUAUGAAUAAAGCUAAAAGAAGAUGAAAGCAAGUGUUGUAGUCCAUGAUUGCAAGACGGAAUAAGGCAAGAAAAUAAAAAAAAAAGUAGGAAAAGGGAAGUUGAGUUGAUAAAAUAGUUUGGAUGAUGAAGAAAAGCCCAGAGAGCAUGCUUUAAUAUGUUUCAACCCUCGCACACUUGAUAAACUUGAUAAAUUUAAGACUACUCUAAAAAUUAAAAAGGAAAACAAAGUUUUGAUGAAAUUUCAAAAUAAAUGUCAAGUAUUCUUCUUUUAGAAAUACGUAUAAAGAAGUGAAUUUUCAAAAUUUCUCCUAAAUUUUCUUCACAUUACUCCACAUAAUCCAUUAAAAAAAACUUAAAAAAUAUAUUUUAUUAAUUACUAUAUAUUCUUUUAUUUUCAGAAUAAUAAAUUGUUUAAAAUAUGCUACUAGUCCCUGUAAUUUAAAAGUUAAAAAAAAUCCAAUCCUCCUAUUUUUUUAAUUUAAAAAUUCUAGUCCAAUCAUUUUUAAUUCCAUUAAAAAAUUUCAACUUAAUAGAUUUUUUAUUAUCAAUCAUAUGCAACAUUAUAUGAAGGCAGUCUACUCAGUAUAUAUCCAAGUUUACAUAUUUUAAUAGAAAAUACUUACAAUCCUAAUGAUAGGACUAAGUUUUUUAAACUAGAAAAGUACAAAAACUUAAAUUUUAACUUUUUUAAGUACAAGGAUUAAAUUUUAAAUGUUGUCAAAGUACAAGCACUAACAAAAUAUUGUGAUCUAAUAAAUGUAAAAAGCAUUUUAAACAAAAGAUGGUUGAAAUAAUCUAUUUGUCCUUAUACUUUGAUAAAAUUUGAGAUACCAUAAAAUUUGUAUCUUUUUUCGAAUUAUUUAAUGCCAUUUCAACAUUUUCAUUAAAAAAAAAACAUAUCAUUUUGAAUUUGAUCUUUUUCAAGAUGAAAAUAUUGAAAUGAUGUUAAAUUAUCGGAAAGAGAUACAAGUUUCAUGGUAUCUCUCUAAGAAAGCUGAUGUAAGAUAUUAAUGACAUCAUUUGAACAAAGUUUUAGGUCAAAUUAUUCAUCUAGUCCUUGUAAUUAUUCUUUAAGGUGAAUUUCAUUAUUAUUCUUUUAUUUUCUUUGGCUUAAAUAAACAUUUACCCCUAAUUUUAUCACAUUCUCCUUAAUUGGUAUUUAUAGUUUAGAAAAUUUUACAAAUAUAUUAUUUUUUAAGAAAUUAUAAGAAGAUUACAAAAAUUCCAAAAUAAUAUAAAAAAGCUAAGAAAAACCUAGAAAUUCAAAAAACAAAAAAAUAAUGUUUUUACAAAUUGGGGUAUGCAAUCAAUUUUAAGAUGGUUUUUGGAGUUCAUCUCACUUUAGCAUUGACUUACUUUUCUACAGUUAGUCUUCUCCAACAAGUUAAAUAUUUCAAUUUUAACAACAUUGACAGGUCUUAGGGGUAGGGUCGAGCAAAACUCAAUAGAAAUAGAUGAUAUAGGUUGAGUUGGCUCGGCCAAGUCGAGUCGACUUGUUCAAAUUUGUUAAAUUAGUAAAUUUUGGGGUGCAGUUAGAAUUUUUUUGUUUUGAGAUGCUAAGAUUAAAAAAAUUUGAGUUUUGAAAACUUUGACUCCUUUUUGCUUUGAGAGUUGAUUUGAAGAGAAAAGAGCUUGAAGGUGCUUUUGUAGAAAUAGGACAAAUUUUAAAAUAAGGAGUAAAUUGGAAAAAAAAAUUUGGGUUGGGCUAAUUUGAAAAUUUGACACUUUUGUGGGAUAAAAAUAGAAAAAUAUUUUGGUUGAAUACACAUAAGGAGUUACGAACUUGAGACUUAUAGGUAGGCUAAGGCCUUACCACUUAACCAACAAGCUCAUUAUUAUUAUCUUUUAACACAAAUAAAUUUUAAGGCAUACUAAGGGCUUGUUUAGCAUUGCAGUGAAGAAGCAUUUUGGCUUAAAAAACACUUUUGAGAGAAAAGUGGUUCUAAGCUAGUAACUUUUGGCUAAGAUUUUGGCUUUUCAAAAGCAAUUUUGGCCAAAUGGAGAAGUUAAAAUUAUUAGCUUUUCUUACCCAAAAGCAGUUUUGAGUGCUUAAUUACUAAUUCAUCCCCCCAAAAACACAAUUUAAAAUAAAAUAAUACAAAUAUGUUAAUAUUUAAUUACAAAUAUUUAAUGGGUAUAUUUAAAUAUUUAAAAUAUAAUUUAUAUAUUCUAAUUAAAUUUUAUAAAUAAUUAAUAUUUGUUGCUUAAAAAUAUUUAAAAUUUAUAUUUUAUAUAUUAAAAUAUUAACAACAAAUUAUAAUAAAUUAUUUUUUAUAUUCUUACUAAAAUAUCAUAAUAUAAAUUAAUUUUAAUAUUAUUUAAAUACAUAUUUGUUACUUUAUAAUAUCAUGUCUAAGAUUGACGUUUUAUUUCUCAAAAGCACUUUUUGAAAUUAAUACUAAACACUUAAAUUUUAAACUAAACUUCUCAAAGAUACUUUUCUACAACACUUUUAAAAGCACUUUCCAAAAUCAAUGCUCAACUACCUCAAACUCUCUUACCUUAUACUUUAAAAGAGAAAAAAAAAAGAUUUUAAAUUUUAUCCCUAUUUCUUUUAACCCAAUUUUUAGGAUGUCAAACAUUUAUAAAUAAAAUAAGUAAAAGGAAAAAAAAGCAUAUACUUUAUUUUUAUCGCAGGUAAAAGUUUUAAUGGAGAGGAUCAUGUAAAAUUAUGAUCUGAAUAAUUUUAAACAUUUCAUCAUUGCAAAAAUGAAAUAAUAGAAAAGAAUGACUAUUCGAAUUUGCAUUUGUGUUCUUUCUUUCAAUAUUUGCUUUCAAAACUGUGGGAAAAUUUUAAAUUUGAUGAAAUUUUAAAAUUGCAGUUCAGUAAAAUAUAAAUUUUAUGAAUUUGGAGUAGCCAUUUUAUUUAUAAUUUUCUGUGUUUUCUUCUUUGCUGACUUUUUUAAUGUCAUUUUCUAUCAUGAAAGAAACUUAAAGAUUCACUAUGUAUUUCUCAACCACUAUGAAAUUACUUGACUACGGGGGUAGAAUUUUCUCACCAAUUUUCUAACAUUAGAUUUUUUGAAUGAGACAAAUAUUCAAUUUUAACACAUUUCCCAUAAUUAGUCACCCCUAUUUGUGAGUGAUUUGGGGAUAAAAGCUUAAACAUUUAUGGAUCACAUUGCAUUUAAGACGGGUGUUUGGAGUUAUAUGAAAUUUUAACAUAGACUGGCUUUUCUAUAAAGAGUACUCCUUGCUUUACUAUUGUCAUGAUACGAGGAGAUACUGAAAAUUAUUGUACUAUGAAAUUUUAAUUCACUCGAAAAAUAAGUGUUUUAUUUCAAGGGAUUAAUAUUAGCUUUCUCUUUUUUAAAUUUUGAAUUUUUUUUGACAACUGCGUAAUUAAGAAUAUAUCAAUUUUAGGUGUUAUAGGGGUGUUUUAACCUUCCCUAUGUGUAAUCGACUACUGAAACUUUUUUAUUCUUUAGAAUUCAACACAUACCUCAAAAUUUUCUUUUUAAAAGAUUUUUAAAAUCUCUUUAUAAAAGAUUAUCACACUUAACAAAGAUGAUCAGUGACUACUUUUCUUUAAUAAAAUAUUAUGUUUUUGCAGAGACCAAAAUUUUCAUAUUUUUCAAGAAUUCCUCAAUCUAAUUUUCUUUUUGAAUUUUUAUUUUCAAGAGGAAAAUGAUCCCUACAAUUAAUAUUUAUUUUCCUUAUUUUUAAUUUCUUUUUAAGGGAGAUGAAUAGUGGAAUGAUAAUUUUUAGUUAUGGUAAAGUAAAUUUAAUUAUCCACAACCUUCAACUAUUAAUUUUUUCGAUUUAAUUACACAAUUUUUUGAAAUUAACACUCUUUUAUUAGUUGUCGCUAGGUGAUGGACGAAAAGUUGAUUUGGACUUUUUGUUGACCUAAUAACAAAUUUAGAUAUUCAAAGUUUACUUAUUCUAUCAAUUUAAUGCUAAAUUUAAAAAAUUCAACAAAUCCUAUCAAAAAACAAUUGGACCUUGAGUACACAGGCUGUGAGAUUUUCACAUGGCUGUGUCUACACUGCACUCUAUUUUAUCAAAUUCGGACAAAGAGUUACACAGGCUGUUCACACGGGCAUGUGCCUCCUUCACAUGGGGCGUGUAGACCUCCACACAACUUAGGAACUUCCACAUGGCUGGGGCACACGGUCAUGUGGCCUUGUUUUGUAGAUUUUUGUUCUGUGUUAGAUUUUGACUCGUUUUGUGCCUGUGUGUAUUCUGACCUCAGUUAAGACUUAGUAAGAAUGUUUAGGACUCUGAUUAGUUCGAAUUUGUGCAUUUGUUUGUAACUAAUGUGUUAAUUUAUUAGUUUGAUUAAAUGUUAUGUGAUGUUAUUAGUAAAUAGUUACAAACCUAAUUGAUUCUAAAUCUGAUUGAUUGAACUUGUGUGUUUCGUUUUCUGUAUGGAUGUUUGUAUGUUGUGUGCAUUUUGCAAUAGCAUAAAAAUUUUACUAUUGAUUGACUGAAUAUGAACUUCUAUAUCUGUGACACUAUUAGUGUUUGAUGUGCAUUCAUACAUAUGCAUAAAAUUAGGGUUUUGGUUAUGAAGAGAAGGGAGCCUGUUUCGGUAGUUCAACUGUAAUAUUUCUGAACAGCAGUUUACCGCAUGAUUCUAUAUAUAUGUCAGCUUAGCUGCAUAUUAUGAUUUCGAGUGGCUUAUUUUCCUUAUUGUAGUGUGUAGGGUGGAUGAACCUUUUAUAGUUCUUGUAAUAGGCCCAAUUUGUAUGGGCCCAAAAAAAUAAGUUACAAACCCAAAAUAAACAUUACAAGCCCAAAAAUUAAAAAAAAAACUAACGGCCCAAGUGGCCCAAAACCUAACCCUCUUUAGUCGCCACUUCUCUCACGCGAGCCAACCUCCUCACGCGUGCCACCACGUCAGCACCUCCGUACCCUCCACGCUCUCUCUCUCUGCCACCAUAGCAUGCGUCCUUGCCCGGUACUUGCAGACCAAGCAAAAGAGAGCACAACAGUAAAGAGAAAAACAUUGUAUUUUUCGGCUAUAAAAGCCAUGAACAAAUCAAUGUAAAUUUUUUACGACAAAAAUAAAUACAAAAAAGGCAAUUGGAAACAAAAAAAAGGUGGUUCUUUUUUUGUUUUUAUUUCUUUUCUACUUAUAUUUCUACUAGUUUUUAAGAAAAAUAAAAAAGAAUGGAGUCGAAUCUUACCCUUUUCUCGCAUGUGCGCCGUCGUGGGGGGUCGAGGUUCGUCUUUUCCAAUGAAAAAUGACAUUUUUUGAGUUGAGGAAGUCGAAAAGUCAAAAAAUGGCCUUUUUUCGAUUUUUUGGCCACCGUGGAUGGCGGCGCCGUCACCGACGACCGACGGCCGCCACGACGGUCCGUCGGUUGGAGCCAUGGCCGGAGAGGGGAGUUGGGAGAAAGGGGGAGAGUGAUUUGAGUGUUUUUUUUUCAGAGAAUGGGGAGAAAUGAAAAAUUAAAAAAAAAGGUUUUUAUAGAGGAUUGAAAUGGCAUCGUUUUGGGCCUUAACCCCAGUGGCCAAAACGACGUCGUUUCACCCCUUUAAUCUGCGCGUGGACCCGACCCGCAAGAGGAUCCGUGUGUUUUUGUGGAAGGGUCUAUUUGCGUGUUAGACCCUUCCACAUUUUUCAAUUGUCUUAAUCCAGUCCUUUUUUAUUUUCUAAUUUGUACUUCAAAUUUUAUUUUAUUUUUGAUUUGGUCCUAGCAAAACGGCGCGUUUCAGAGGGCGGGGAUAUUUCCCCAAUUGGUCCCUCUUAGUUAUUCGCGCCUUUCAAAUGGGUCCUCUACCUUAUUUUCAUUCUCGAUUUUUACCCAGUUUUCUGAUUAAACUUCAAUUUAGUCCUUCUGCAUCUAUUUUAUUAUAAUUUUAGCCCCUCUUAUAUUCAUAAACUUAUUUUAUUAGGAUUUGGACUCUUAAUUUUAUUUCAAUGUCAAUUUAAUCCCCUUUUAUCUCAGUCUAGGUUUUAUUUUCUUUUUUUUUGUUGUGCUUUAUUUAUUUUAUUUAUUUGCUUACCAUUUCUUUUUUUAUUUUGAUUUUCGUAUUUAAUGAUGCUUUUACUUUAUUUAUUUUAUUCUUGACUUUCAUUGUUAUUGUUGUUGUUGUUGUUGUUAUUUUUAUGGUUUUUUAUUAUUUCAUUUAUUUACAUAUUUUAUUCCAAAUUGUUGCUUUAAAUUUUGUUUACAUUUUAAUUCGGUUCUUUACUUUCAAUAUUUUUUUAUAAACUAUUUUCCCUUACAUUAUUUAUGUAUUUAUUUUAUUUGUUUUUUUUAAAGUUGGUAUUGUCCUUUUAUGUGCAUACUUUGACAUUAUUACCAUUGUUAUUAUUUAUUUUAUUUAUCUUUUGAUUAUUCAUAUUAAUGUUAAAGUAGUGUAUAUUAUAUGAUUCUCGUAAAUUGUCUUUAUUAUAUUCAUUAUUGUUAUUUAUUAAUGCAACAUUUCAUUCAUGUAUUAUUUUAAAUAUUACACAUUUUUACCCAAAUUUGUAAAAAAAUAUAAAAAUUAGAAAAUAAGCAAUAUUUCGUAUUUUGGAAUUUGAAAAGUCGUUCCCUAACUUACGGGGUUUCAAUUUUUUUGAUAAAUCCAAAUAUACGAGCUAUUUUUCAAAAACACAUUUUUAAAAUUAUCUCGAGAAUUAAAAAGAUCGUUUUUCAACUUUUGGAAUAUGAUUUCUUUUCUAAAACUGAGAUAAUAAAAAUUUUCUAAAAAUAAAUAAAAUUUUUGGUGUUUAUUCUCGUUUUGAGAUUUAAGGUUAUGUCCUAACUCACAGGGUAUAAUUCUUUUUCUCGGUUGACAUAAAAUAUGCCCUUUUUAAAAUUCUUUUAGGUAAUUUUAAUAAAAGGAUCGUAUUUUAAGUCUCUUCAAAAUUUUCAACUUUCGACAUUAAGACAUUAAUUAAUCAAUUAGGUAUCAAUUUUGGGCGUGACGAGGGUGCUAAUCCUUCAUCGCACGUAACCGACUCCCGAUCCAUUUUUCUCGAAUUUCGUAGAUCAAAAUCAUUGUUUUAGUAAAAUCGAAACGUUUUGUUAAAAAGAUUGAAUUGCAAGGUGAUCCGAUCACACCAAAAAAAAAUAUCGGUGGCAACUACAGUUUUUUUCGUUUUUAUUUUUAUAAUAAAAGUCGACCCCUUUUUUAUUAAAAAAUGGCUUCGAUAGUUCUAUGUGGUGUGAGGGUAGACGGGCCUUCUAUAGCCCUAAUGUGGUGUGCAGGGUGGUCGAAGUGGUGUUCAAAUGGUUGGGUGGGUUUUUAACUUAUUGCAUACGGUUUGCAUUAGGCAUAUGUGUCUGAUUAUGAUUCUUUUUAAAAUUAUUUGCAAAUGUUUGUACUAAUUUGAUUAUUACAUGUGUUAGAGACAUUGCUUAUGCAGUUUGAUACUAUAUAUUGACUUAUUGAUGUAAGAUUUUCGUAAGUGACCAUCAUAUAGUGCUUGUCUGAAAUAUUUAUGGAGUUAUCCCCUCUUUUACCGACUGUUGUGUUUUGGACUCACACUGAGCUCGCGUAGCUUACCACCUUAGUUUUCUCCCUUUUAGAUACUCUCGUGUUCUGUAGCUAGACUCGACAUAUUAGAAGGCUCAGACGGAAGAGGUGAGAUUUGAUUUAAUAAAGUGUUUCAAUUCAAUUUUAGUUUUUCUAACUUCUUGGGACUAUAAGUGUUAAUAGGGACUGUAGUAUAAGUUUUACUUCUGGAUUUUCGUAAAUUUUUAUUUUGGGACUGAACUUUUGAAAUUGUGGAAUUAUACUUUCUAUUGUUUUUAACGUAAUUUAAAAUCUUUGUUUGAAUCCUGAAUGGUUAAACGACUUAGUUUGAUUUUAGCAAAAAUGAGUUAUAAAUGAGAUGUUAACAAUUCAUUUUGUAAAAUUAUUUUUAGAUCACUUCGGUGUUCAAAGUAACCUCUGAGAUUCGAUCCAUACUUCUAGGCCGAGUUUUGGGGUGUUACAUUAGUUUUCAAGAGGAGAUUGGUGAUCUACUUGAAGAUAGAUUGAUUUUGAAAACUUUGACUCCUUUUUGCUUUGAGAGUUGAUUUGAAGAGAAAAGAGCUUGAAGGUGCUUUUGUAGAAUCAGGACAAAUUUUAAAAUAAGGAGUAAAUUGGAAAAAAAGGGUUUUGGGUUGGGCUAAUUUUAAAAUUUGACACUUUCGUGGGAUAAAAAUAGAAAAAUAUUUUGGUUGAAUACACACAAGGAGUUACGAACUUGAGACCUAUCGAUAGACUAAGGCCUUAGUACUGAACCAACAAGCUCAUUCUUAUUAUCAUUUAACACAAAUAAAUUUUAAGGCAUACUAAGGGCUUGUUUAGCAUUGCUGUGAAGAAGCACUUUUGGCCUAAAAAACACUUUUGAGAGAAAAGUUGUUCUAAGCUAGUAACCUUUGGCUAAGAUUUUGGCUUUUCAAAAGCACUUUUCGCCUAAUGGAGAAGCUAAAAUUUUUAGCUUUUCUUACCCAAAAGCACUUUUGAGUGCUUAAUUACUAAUACAUCCCUCCAAGAACACAUUUUAAAAUAAAAUAAUACAAAUAUUUUAAUAUUUAAUUACAAAUAUUUAAUGGUUAUAUUUAAAUAUUUAAAAUAUAAUUUAUAUAUUCUAAUUAAAUUUUAUAAAUUAUUAAUAUUUGUUGCUUAAAAAUAUUUAAAAUUUAUAUUUUAUAUAUUAAAAUAUUAACAACAAAUUAUAAUAAAUUAUUUUUAUAUUCUUACUAAAAUAUCAUAAUAUUAAUUAAUUUUAAUAUUAUUUAAAUGCAUAUUUGUUACUUUAUAAUAUCAUGUCUAAAAUUGACGUUUUAUUUCUUAAAAGCACUUUUUGACAUUAAUACUAAACACUUAAAUCUUAAACUAAACUUCUCAAAGAUACUUUUCUACAACACUUUUUAAAAACACUUUCCAAAAUCAAUGCUCAACUAUCUCAAACUCUCUUACCUUAUACUUUAAAAGAGAAAAAAAAGAUUUUAAAUUUUAUCCCUAUUUCUUUUAAUCCAAUUUUUAUCCCAGGUAAAAGUUUUUAUGGAGAGGAUCAUGUAAAAUUAUGAUUUGAAUAAUUUUAAACAUUUCAUCAUUGCAAAAAUGAAAUAAUAGAAAAGAAUGACUAUUCGAAUUUGCAUUUGUGUUCUUUCUUUCAAUAUUUGCUUUCAAAACUGUGGGAAAAUAUUAAAUUUGAUGAAAUUUUAAAAUUGCACUUCAGUAAAAUAUAAAUUUUAUGAAUUUGGACUAGCCAUUUUAUUUAUAAUUUUCUGUGUUUUUCUUCUUUGCUGACUUUUUUAAUGUCAUUUUCUAUCAUGAAAGAAAGUUAAAGAUUCACUAUUUAUUUCUCAACCACUAUGAAAUUACUUGACUAUGGGGGUAGAAUUUUCUCACCAAUUUUCUAACAUGAGAUUUUUUGAAUGAGACAAAUAUUCAAUUUUAACACAAACAUAUCUUUAGUUAUUGAGUCACCCCUAUUUGUGAGUGAUUUGGGGAUAAAAGCUUAAACAUUUCUGGAUCACAUUGCAUUUAAGAUGGGUGUUAGGAGUCAUAUGAUAUUUUUUCAUAGACCGACAUUUCUAUAAAGAAUCCUUGCUUUACUUUGGGUAGAUUCUUCCAAUUAGCGUGGUCGUUGGUAUUACUCUCCAACAAUUAUUGUACUGUCAUCCUUAUUCCUACUCCUCCUAGCAGAGAAGUUUCAUAAGUGUUUUAUUUCAAGGGAGUCAGCACUUAGCAACCCCUUGGGGGAUUCAGCACUUAGCAACCCCUUUUAUAUUCAAUGUACUCCGGCUUAUUCCGAGUGUUCAACCGGAAAUCUUGUUUGCAAUAUUUUACCAUUUUUUCCAACUUAACCACAUUUUUAGGAUCUAUGGCAAGUAUUUAUUCUACGUUCAAUUAAAUCUCCUCAUAUAAUGAAUAAUAUCAAAAUAAUGCAUUAAUUCACAUGUUUACUUACCUUGGUGCAAAAUAUUGUAAUUUUGCAAUUUACUCCACAAUUUUCUCUUUUCCCCGAUUGAGGUUGUCUCCUCGUCUUUCUUGAUCUAUAAUAGCAAUUUUAGCUUAUUUAAUAUUCACAUUUAUUAAAACAAUCCUCGACUCACAUUUAUUAAACUUGCUAUUUAAUAUUCACAUUUAUUAAAACAAUCCUCGACUCAACUUUUUACAAAAUUAUGAUUUUGCCCCCAAACUUUUGCAUAUUUACACUUUUGUCCCCAAGCUCGAAAAUUAAAUUCCACUCCUUAUUCUUAUGUUUUACAACAUGCUGAAUACUUUUCCCUUCUAUGGCAACAUCAAAUUCUCACUCUAACAUACACUCAUGAACAUUAAAUAUUUUUACCGAUUAUGUCAAUUUACCCGUUUCUACUUAAAAUUGCUUAGUAAAAGUUGUUUAACAUAAUUCUAGCUCCAUAUUCUACCAUAAAACAGUAAAAUAAACACAUUUCACCUAUGACUAUUUUUCCAAAUAUGAACCCUAGGUUAAAUUAUGUGUUUUGUUCUUCCAAAUGUGUUUUGUUACGAAAUUGAAAACCAAAAUUUAUGUAAAUUUGUCAUGAUUCCUCAAUAGAAAAAUCUGUAAAUUAUCAAAACGUAAAUGUGAACAUAUUAAUUAUUAACUUAAAAAAAACCUAGUCUUGUACAAUCAAAAUUCAAAAAUCAUUUGCCUUGUAAAACUUGUAAUUUUCAUUAAAAUUUUUGCAGCGAAAACUUUUUAUUUAGCCUAUUGAGCAUAUUUUUAAAUUUACGUUUUUAACUUUCGUAAAAUCCCAAUUUGUAUUUUUGUGGUGGAAAAUUUUAUAAUUUUGAAAACCUAGCCUUGAUUGUUGGUUAACACAAAUCAUGCAGAAAAAAAAAACCUUUAACUAAGCCAAAGAAAUCCAAAGCCAAAUUAAAUCGGAGAAAUUCAACCAAAAGCCAAAAGUCCAGUAAAUCAAUUUAUUAACCAGAGCAAACAUUUAAUGAAAGAAUCAAUCCGAGACCCCGCAAAUUCUAACUUUCCGAUUACCUGAAACAUCAUAAAUAAAAUAAAGGGGAGAGCUAUAAAGCUCAGUGCAUAACUAAAACAGAAGCUGAGAUCACAUACAAUACAAUAUACAAAUCAUAAAAUCAUAGAAAAUUUCAUAACAAACAGUCAAACAGAAUUGAGUAUACAUGAUUAUGCCAAUGCGGUAUUUUUCAGAAAAUCUUAAUGCAAAUUUUUCAGAAAACGUCCUACCCAAAUCCUCUACACACUUGAAUAGAGUUCUCCAGAACUUAUCCAUAAAAAAAACACACCAAUUAAGUCAUCCCAGGUUGCCCAAAAACGAUGACUCACCACCAUGGGAUGCCCGACAACGAUGGCUUAUCAAUAUGUAAUUAAACUGUUAGAUCAGAUAUUUGUGGUCAAGCCAUUGAAUUGCAUCUCAGCUACUUAAACAAAAAUAUGUAGUGAAGCCACUAUAUUGUAUCCAAGUUGCCAAAUAAAAAUAUGUGGAUAAACCACCAGAUAGUGCAGACCAUUAAACUACCAAAACUUCCUCCCUGCCAUAUUAUCCCAACCCCAUGCAAUGUGACAUGACAUGCAUUUACAUAAUCAAAACGACAAGCAUGUAAGACAUGUAGUCGUACCAUAACACAAUUUAGCAAGCAUGGCAUUCCACUCUUUUACAGAACAGAUGUAUCAGAAAUUCAACAUAAGCAAGUUGGUAUGCUAUAAAGUCACAUGCAUGAUCACAUAGCAGAAUCAGAAACAUAAAAAUAACGUAACCAAACCUCAUAUACACAAAUACAAACAUAACAAUACAAAUCAUGCUACCAGAUUCAUUAGAAAACAGUUCAUGCACACUAAUUUCACAUACCUUAUUCAUAUCACCUACAAUAUCAAAUUAUCAGAUAUUACAUUUUCAAAGUCAAUUUUACACAGUACGAACCCUACAAAGUGGCUAAACAUGAUUCACGAAUCAAAAGGGGCCUAAACGAAAAUUUUUAAAAGAUGGGCCAAUAUGGCCCAAUUAGCCUAGGCCGUAUGGCGUCGACAGUCCAAUUUUUGACUUUCAGCUGUUCAUUAUUUUUUGACUUUUUUGAUAUACACCUUACUAUUUUCCGAAGCAAAAUCAUGGCAAGAAUUCCAAAACUUAAAAUCCAUAUUCAACCCACUCAAAUUAGUAAUGAAACCCAAAACUAAAUCAUUAAACAACCAAAACUGCUACCAAUAAACCUUAUCAAACCAGGAAUCAACCUUUUGGCAUCUGACUACUAACCCAAAAUAGUAGCAGUAGUACUAAAAAUCUCUCAAUUCAUCGGAAGACUAUUUGUUACAGAAACGUCACCUAAACCAAAGAUUUCAGAGUAAUCAAAAUCGCGUCACACAAAGAAGGAAACAAAUUAACCCUAAAAUCGUGAAACUCAACAAAAUACGAAUCUUUUCACAUAUUCCUUACCACCAACCGUCAAGAUUGGUCAAAAACCACUAAUGACACCGACCAUCGCAAGGUUAAAUUGAAACCAAAAGGCAACUAAAGAUGGAACAAAGGUUGUUAUAAAAAAAAUUAACAAAGACUUAUUGCAGCAAAAAUGGCAAAAAAUCAAGAAUAGGGAGAUUGGAAAAAAAUAAUGAAACGGCAAAGAGAAGGAGUGGGAAAGUGACGGCAGUUUGUGGAGAGAUUUUGGGUAAAUAAAAAGUAACUCACCACUCAACCCAUUAAAUCUGAUUACCCUCUAGACAGAUUCCCUUAGAGUUUAAAUUCAACCCAAAUACCGCUACAUGGGCGGCAUAGUGUAAGGAAAUAAAAAUAUUUCUACUUUGCACACACGCGGUCUUGAACACGAAGCCUUAGGGUAAUUUGAAGCCUUACCACUAAAUUAGUAGGCUCAUCCUUGAAAUUAAUUGAACGAAAAUAUUAUUUAUGUCAGAUGAUCAGGGAUAGAGGUUAAGACCAAAGAUGACAAAAAUUCAAAGGAAAGAUUUAAACCUAGAACCUCACACACACAAGCAUAACACCUAUCCACUGAACCAUAUUUACUCCACUGACAUAAUUUUCACAAUAUUAACUAAAAAUUCAGAAUAUGGUCACUCUUGGUUUCACUUACCUAAUUUCUUCUAACCUGAUUUUUGUGAUGUGACAACUCUCCCAUCCUUAAAAGAAUUUCAUCCUCGAAAUUCCUAUUAUGACACCAUACACUUAACUACAAAAUCUAAAAUUCCCUAGUCCAAACCAACCACCAGGCUAUCAUUGUACAACUCUAAUCUCCAUUCAAGUCUGAUCCAGACAAUAUUUCAGAGGAAUUUCCUAUUCACUACCUCGAAUUACCUCAAUAAGCUUUCCACAGAAACAUCACUAAUGAUCCUUUACCCCAGACUCUAAAAAAAUCACUUACCACAAAAUACAGGUACAAACAAUUCUUAUCAAUGCAUAGUACAUUUGGAACAUAUCAUAAAAGUACCUGUAUCAUUGUCAAAUGCAUCACGGCUCGCUUGAUACCUAGUUGCAUAUCCCCAUCUCAAAUUUUGUUUUUAUGUCGAAGCUUGUACCCGUAAAAUAGUGUCAUGAGCAAUCCCAAACUCGAUGCUCAACUGACCUACAUCUAAAACACGCUCUCAUUUUCCUCCAACAAUCGUCCGAAUGGUGCCUAUCACAGUAAGUAUAAAUCAGAAGCUCAACCGCAUUCACAAUUGCCUCACCCCGCUGAAGCCUGUCUAUUUUAGCCCGUUUCCUUGGUCAUGGAUUCAAGUCAAUAGAACCAUCACUCAUCUUAUUUUGCACUUUAUUCAUUACUUAUUCUCUCCCUUGGAGCAAUUACUCUCUACCGCUAACUUGACUUGAUACGCUUGAGGUCACUCAAUCACAGACUCUUGUCUCAUACAUCCAAAUUGGGUUCCAUCGAUCCUUUGCAAAUCUCUAAACACCUCUUGGAACACUGAAACGUCCCCUACUUCUAAACUGCCCUCAGAUUUGGGCGUCAUAGCAAACUUAUUUAUUUUCAAAUUGGGCUUACUGCCCCGAGAAGAGAACUCAACUCGAGUCACCCAGCUACGUCCACCACGCCCUCGCACAUCAUGACCUCGAGUACUCAUUAUACUAAUCUACAGUUUGCGAAAUUUUAUGAAUUAGCUUAGGUUUAUUAAAAAUUAUAAGUCUAGAGUUUUAUCAAAGUUUCUUACAUAAUUACCAUAGUCUUUAGCUAGAGUAGAGUAAUCCUAGCACUUAAGUUUUGUUAGUUUGUCUAGUAUAGCUAAAGUAAAGAUACUUACAGGAUCGACGAUGUAGUUUUGGAUUCUUUUUGAUAGAAUCAAAUAUAAAAAUAAUCAAAAUCUAAAUACCCAUUUUAGAAACCCAAAGUAUAAUAAUUAAUCAAAAAUUCAAUUUAUUUAAAGCAUAUUUAAUGGAGAUUUUCAAACCCAGAAAUCAUAGCCUGAGUUUUGUUACCUUGCUCUGAUACCACUAAAUGUAACACCCAAAACUUGGCUUAGACAUUAUGGCCAAAUCUGGAAGGUUACAUUAGUACGAAAAAAAUGAUUUUUCCAAAGUGUGGUUUGUUACGAAAUUGAAAACCAAAGUUUAUGUAAGUUUGUCAUGAUUCCCCGAUAGGAAAAUUUGUAAAUUAUCAAAACGUAAAUGUGAACAUAUUAAUUAUUAACUUAAAAAAAACCUAGCCUUAUACAAUCAAAAUGCUAAAAUCAUUUGCUUUAUAAAACUUGUAAUUUUGACUAAAAUUUUUGCAACGAAAAUUCCAAACUAAUAUUCGUAAAUUGUAAUUUUGUCAAGUAAAAACGUUUUAUUUAGCCGAUUAGGCAUAUUUUAAAUUUACGUUAUUAAAUUUUGUAAAAUCUCAAUUCGUAUUUUUGUGGCAAAAAAAUCUUGGCUCGUAUAAUUUUGAAAACCCAACAUUGAUUGUUCAGUAACACAAAACAUACAGAACAAAAGACUUUAACUAAGCCAAAGAAACCCAAAGAAAAAUUAAAUUUGAGAAAUUAAACCAAAAUCCAAAAGUCCAAUAAAUCCAUUUAUUAACCAGAGUAAACCAUUUAAUUAGAGAAUCAAUUCGAGCUUCCACACACUGCCCGAUUCUAAGUUAUCGAUUAUUUGAAACAUCAAAAAUAAAACAAAUGGGUGAGCUAUAAAGCUUGGUGCAUAACUAAAACUCAAGCCGAGAUCACACACAAUACAAUAUACAAAUCAUAAAAUCAUAGGAAAUUUCAUAACAAUCAGUCAAACAAAAUUGAGCAUACAUGAUUAUGCCAAUGCGGUAGUUUUCAGAAAAUCAUAAUGCAAAUUUUUUCAGAAAACAUCCUACCCAACACCACCACACACCCAAAUAUAGUUUCCCAAAACUCGUCCAUCUAAAAACACACCAAUUAAGUCAUCUCAGGUCGCCCGAAAGCGAUAACCUACAACCUCGAGUUAGUCGGCAAUGAUGACUUAUCAAUUUGCAGUUAAACUACUAGAUCAGAUAUUUGUGGUCAAGCGAUUGUACUGCAACUCAGCUGCCAGAUUAAAUGUUCCUAGUGUAGUCCCUAACAUUAUCAGGUGUUCUCGGCUCAGUCCUUUGGACAUUAAAAAAAAUAGAUUUGGAUAUGCAAUUAAUCAUAAAUUGCCAGGUGGUAUAUGUUAAAGUUACGAUAACAUCAUCAUCAAGAAAAAAACCAAAAAAAUCUUUAAAAAAUUUCAUAAAAUUCAAAUAAACUUAUAUAAAAUUAACUACAUUAUAAAUAUAUAAUUGUUAAAAAAUAAAAAUUCUUAAUUAUUUUAAAAUUUGUAAAAAAUAAUAAAAUUAUUAGAAAUUGUUAAAUAUUGUAGAAACAUUAUAAAAAUUAUUAGAAUCAUAAAAGACGGUAAAAAAUAAAAAGUUAAAAUACUAGUAAAAAUUGUCUAACUUGAAAUAAAGUAUACAUUUGGUAAUCAAAUUUAAAAUAUUGAAAAUUUAAUAUUAAAGUUGUAUAAUUUUUAUAAAAAAUAUUUUAAAAUAUUUUAAUAAAAAUUGAAUAAAUUUUAUAUCUAUUUUUUAAUAUUUUAAAAUACAUCAAUUUUCAGUACUUUACCAACGUUACUGGCAACAAGUUUUUUCGACUUGACUCCCUAUUUAUUGUCUUAAGUAGCUUCCUGCAUCCACCAUUUUGCACAUGGUUUUUCUAUUUUAUACCAAAGCUCUUUAGAAUAGUUAAACAUUCGACAAUAGUUCUUAAGAUAUUAGUUUAGAGACAAAUAAUUAUCUUGAGAUAGUAAAAAAAAAAGAAAUAAUUAAAUAUAUUAUUUACUUGAAAUAAUAUUAUUUUUCAUUAUUUAAAUUAUUUGAGAAAAAAACUUAUUCAAGUUUAUCACGUAAAAAGAUCUACCAAUUAUAAAUUUUGAUUAGUUGAACCAUAAGACAAUUGUUAUAGGUAGUAUCAUUCCAAGAGACAAUUAUCACAUGUUCAAACUCUAGUUAAUGUGAUUUAUAAAAUUUUAAAAAUAUUAAAAUAUCUAAUAUAUUUUUGAAAUUUAUGUAAAUUUUUAUAUUUUACACAGUUUUUUUUUCUAUUUUUAAAUAAUUUUGAUAAUUUUUCUUUUAUAAUUUUUGUCAUUUUUGAAGAUUCUUUAAGGGUUUUUGUUGAUGAUUUCAUUAUGAUAUCAUCAUACGACAUGUGGUAGUAUAUGAUUUGUUGAAUAUUCCAAAGAAUUUUUUAUUGACCAAUGAACUAAACUAAAAAUUUUUAAUAACAUUAGGGACUGAAGUGGAUAAAAAUAUUUUAAAAACUAAAGUUAAAAAAGUGAUAUACUUGCAUUAACAUUUUCUAAAAGAUGGAAGUGUUUUUCUGUUUUAAGGGAAUAGAAUUUUUUUGAGUGAAUAUAGUUUUGUGAGGGAGUAGUGAUAUUAUUAUUAGAGACAAGGCAUUUGAUUUUUAUAUAACUUUUUAAUUAAGUCAAUAUCACUCAUCGAGUAAAACCCAACAUAUUAAGCACAUUAUUAUACUAAUUUAGAUUAAUAGGAAUCAUCAAAUUUACAAUUAAGGAUUAUAAAUUUAUUUAAUUCCAAUCUUCUACCUUUUCUAAAUUAUAAGAAUGGUUUUGCCUUAUAUUUUCUUCAAAUUGAGAUUUAAUUUAUAAUUUUAAUUUUGAUAUAAUUUAGUUUAUCAAUUUUUAUAAUGCAAUUAAUUAGUUAAUACUUUAUUUUAAUCAAAAUAAUUAUAUUAAUUUUAAAGAAUUAUUAUCACCGUUAAAAUUCUUUACUAACAAUGAUUUAAAAUUAAGUUCUAUUGCUUUUGUUUUAGAUUACACAUAAAUGUUUACAAUAUGAAAUUCUUUAUAAUUUUCAAUACAUAUUACUUAAAUAAAUAGAAAAUAGAGUUUUAAUAAUGCACAACCAAAUAAAUUUUAGGGUAAACGACCAAAAUAGUCACUUUUGUUUGCCUUAGGUUACAUUUUAGUCACUUAUGUUUGAAAUGUUACGUUUUAGUCACUUACGUUAUCGUGUUGUAACAUUUUAGUCACUGAGUCAUUAAUUGUCGACAAUGGUGUAAUGGUAAGUUGAUGUGGCACGUUAAAUCAUCAUUUCAAACGAAAUUUUUAGGUUAAAUUCUACAAUUGGUCCCUAUAUUUUUCAUUUUCAACAAUUUAAAAAAUUUCUUUUAUGUUCUUCUAACUUUUUUUUUUCCAUUCUCUUAUGCUUCUCCCUCUAUUUUCCUCCCUUCUUCAUUUCUUUUAACAUAGUUUUUCUAUGAUUUCCAUUUGUAACUAGUCCACAAGCUCGCCUCACUCGAAAAAAUUAAAUUGUUCAAAAAAUAAAACAUAGAAUAACUACGUUGAAAGAAAUGGAGAAGGGAGGAAAACAAAGGGAGAAACAUAAGAGAAUGGAAAAGAAAGAAAGUUAAAAAAACAUAAAAGAAAAAAUUAAAUUGCUCCAAACGAAAAAAUAUGGGGACCGAUUGUAUAAAUUAACCUAGAAUUUUUGUUUGAAAUGAUGAUUUAACGUGCCACAUCAGUUUACUGUUACACCGUUAAUAGAAACUAACGGCUCAGUGACUAAAAUGUUACAACGUGAUAACAUAAGUGACUAAAACGUAACAUUUCAAACAUAAGUGACUAAAAUGUAACCUGUGCCAAACAAAAGUGACUAUUUUGGUAGUUUACCCUAAAUUUUAUUGAUGUUCUAUUAUUUUGAUUUCUUAGACUUGUAUAUAGGGAAAAUAAAGGACUAUUGCCAUUUAAUUGCUUUAAAACAAUUUUAAUGAGCUCUAGUCAUGCAAGAUUACCAUUAAAUAGAAUACUCAUAUAGAAGGAUUUACUAUUUUUGUUUCUCAAAUCACAACUAAUAAUUGUUCAUAAUUUCUUAUUUAGUGUCAUUUUUAAGAUUUAUUAGAUGACAAUUUUUCAUGCCAAAGUUUUAUUUUUAUUUCAUUUAAAGUUUUACAAUAUUUAAAAAAUUAUAUAUUUUGUAAAUUUGACAUUUAAUCAAUUUUAGAUCUAAAAAGUAAUAAUGAUUUCAACCCAAGGCCUGAGCUAGGAAUAGUUUUAGUUUGGAGUACUAUAUAUAUAUAUAUAUACUAAAAGAUGCAAUUUUUAUAAAUAACUUACAAAUCUAUCAUUAAAUCAAAUACUGGUAUGAAAUGGUUUAAUUAUUUGAUCACAUUUUUCCAUGACAAAAUUUUAUUUUUAUAUGAUUUAAAAUUUUACAAUUUUUAUAUUGUGAAUUUGGUGUACUAAAAGAUGUAAUUUUACAGGUAAUUUUAAUACCCAUCACCAGUGCUGCAAAGCUUGAGAUUCUUUUAUUGUGGGGAAAUAAACUUAGUGGAAACAUUCCCAACUCUAUCUCCAAUGCUUCCAUGCUUAAGAAACUAGACUUGGCAGAUAACUUAUUCUCUGGCCCAAUCCCUAAAACUUUUGACAACUUAAGACACGUUGAAUGGUUCCAAAUUUCAAACAAUAAUUUGAUCAAAAGACCUGCUACUGAUCAUGAGUGGACCUUUCUUUCUUCUUUGGCAAAUUGCAAGCAUUUGAGAAUAAUAGAUGUUUCAAGAAAUCCAUUGAGUGACGUUCUUCCAACUUAUAUUGGGAACCUUUCAAAAUCCCUUCAAUACUUUUAUGCAUCUAAUUGUGAGAUUACAGACAAUAUUCCUAUGUAAAUAGGUAGCUUAAGCAACCUAUUACUUUUACAACUUGGCUAUAAUAAAUUAAGCUUUAUUCCAACACCGAUAGGAGGACUGCAAAAUUUGCAAGGUUUACAACUUUCCUCUAAUAAAUUAGAGGGGCCUAUAUCAGAAAGCCUUUGUGGUUUGGAGAGAUUAUACUACUUGUAUUUAAGGCUGAUUAGGUUGCAUGGAUCCAUACCCUCUUGUUUGGGUAAUAUUUCUUCUUUGAGAUAUCUUUACUUAGAUUCCAACACAUUGAGUUCUACAAUACCCUCAACUUUGUGGAAUCUUAAAGAUAUCUUAGAAAUAGAUUUAUCAUCAAACCAUCUUUACAAUUCACAUGCUAUAUUGAUGUUGGAGAUUUGAGGAGUCUACUAAAACUAAAUUUAUCAAGGAAUCUUCUCAUGGGCAAUAUCUUCUCCACAUUUAGGGGUCUUCAAAUUUUGAUUUCAUUAGAUUUAUUAAAUAAUAUACAACAUGGCCAUAUCCCUGGAUCAUUAGGUGGUUUGAUUAGUUUGGAAUUCUUGAAUUUAUGAAAUAACAAUCUCUCUCGAGCCAUUCCCAAAUCUUUGGAAAAGCUUUUAGAUCCAAAGUAUUUUAUUGCGUCUUUCAAUAGACUUGAAGGGGAAAUUCCCGCCAAAGGAUGUUUUUCAAACUUCUCUAGCACAUCAUUCAUGAAGAAUUUUGCACUUUGUGGUCCACCUAGAUUGCUAGUCCCACCUUGCAAAAACAAUAUCCAAGAAAACUCCCAAAUGAAUAUAUUGCAUGCUUUAAGGUAUGGUUUACCAACAGUUGGUAUUGUUGUAGUACUAAUAGUCUUAACUAUUGUAAUCACUGAAUUUUGUCCGGCUCGAUUUGGUUUUUUUUAAAAUUUUUUUUUAAAUACAAAAAAUAAAAAAUUGUAUUUUGACCCCUAAACUUUUUUUAAAAUUACAUUUUACCCCUAAACUUUCUCAAAAUUACAUUUUGACCUCUAAACUUUCUCAAAAUUAUGUUUCGACCCUAAUACUUUUCCUGCAUUUGCAGUUUAGUCCUUCUGGCAGCAACUUGCACACCUACCCCCGUGAUUUCCGGCCACUGGCCUAGGGCAUGGCCUCCCUCUCCCCUAGCCACCUAAUCCCUGCAAAAAGGAAGAAAAAACAGCUAUAAAAUGGGUUAAAAAACCCCAAAAAUCGGACCCCCCACGAAAAAAUAAAAAAAAAACUUGCAAAAAAGAGAAAAAGAAGAGGAAAAAGGAGAGAAAGAGAGGAGAAAGGAGAAGAAGAGGCCGGCCAUCGGCGAACCACUGGCAGCAGCACGAGCAGCGACGUCGACGGCGGCGAAGGAGACCGAACGGAGAAGAAGAAGGAGAAAAGAGAAGAAAAAGAGAAAGAAGAAAGGAAAAAGAAGAAGGAAGAAAAAGAAAAAAAGAAAAAAUAUUUUUUUUAACAGUCGGGUCAAACCGACCCGACCCAACUCUGACCCGAACACCGCGACCCGACCCGGCACCUGCAUACCCAGGCCAAGCCCAGCAGCCUAAAGAAAAAACAAAAAAAGAGGCAAAAGCAAAAAAAGAAAGAAAGAAAAGGAAACAGGCCAAAAACAGCCCAAGCGCAGGCCCAAACCAACGCCAGGCCCAACAGCAGGCCUAGCAGGCCAACCAACCCAACGCUAGGCCCAACAGCAGGCCUAGCAGGCCAGCCAGCCCAACGCCAGCAGCAGGCCCAAUAGCACAGGCCCAAAAGGCAGCAGGCCAAAAAAAAAGAAGAGAAAGAGAAAAAAAAAGAAAAAAGAAAAAAAGAGAAAUAAAAGAAAAAAAGAAAAAAAAAAGAAGAAAAAAGGGGUUUCAAUUUGAACAACCCGUUCGGCGAAGCUCGUGUUUUAGAUUUUUCGGUAAUUUUAUUUAUUUCUCUUUUAAUUUAAUGCUCGUAUUUUUAUGUUAUUUCAUUUUAAUAUUAUUAGCAUUUUAUGCAUUUUUUAUAUUUUUAUAUUUUUGUAUUUAUAUUUUCAAUUUAAUUCAAUUUUAAUUUUAUUUUAUUUUAAAUAAUUUUAAUAAAUAAGGCAACGGAUCGAUUUAUCAUAAAAUUGUUGAUUUCAUCGCUAUGUUGGGUGAAUAUCACCGGUUUGUGUUAAACUCGAUACGCUCUUUUAAAAAUAAAAAAUAUUCAAAAAAAUUGUAUUUUCAAAAAAAAAUCCUCGGGUUUCGAAAUUUGCGUGUCUUCAAAAUAAUUUCUCGUGUUUUCAAAAAUAAGGUAACGAAUCUAUUUGACACUAAUUCGUUGAUUUCAUUGCUAUGUUGAGUGAAUAUCACUGACUAGUGUUAAAUAUGAUACGUGCUUAAUAAAAAAAUCAGAAAAUUUUUCGUGUUUUCAAAAAUUUCCGUGUUUCAAAAAUUUUCAUGUUUUCAAAAAUUCUCGUGUUUUCAAAAAAAUUCCAAUUUUCAAAAUUUUUCGUGUUUUCUAAAAACUUCUGUGUUUCAAAAAUUUUCGUAUUUUAAAAAUUUUUGUGUUUCUAAAAUUUUCGUAUUUCAAAAAUUUUCUUGUUUUCAAAUUUUUCGUAUUUCAAAUAUCCUCGUGUUUUCAAAAAAUUUCGGUGUUUUGAAAAUUUUCUUGUUUUUCAAAAAAAUCUCGUGUUUCAUAAAUUUUUGUUUUUUUUUAAAUUGUGUUUCCAAAAUUCUCGUGUCUAAAAAAAAUUCUCGUGUUUUAAUCGGAUCAGGAUUAAAUAUUAAAUUGAACUCGUAUUUUUGAAAGUGAAGACAACUCGCAUUUAACGAGAUACCAAUUUCGGGCGUCGCGAGGGUGCUAAUACCUUCCUCGCGCGUAACCGACUCCCGAACUCUAAUUUUCUCUGGAUUUUCACGUAGACCAAAAAUUACCUCUUUUUUAGAAAAAUUUAAAAAAUAAAUUUUCCUUCUAAAAAGAGAAUUUAUUAGGUGUCCAAUCACACCUAGGAAAAAAAAGAUCGGUGGCGACUCCUUUUUCAAAUAAAAUCGAAACACCGUUUUCAAAUUUUCAACAAUCAUUUCGAUUAGCGCCCGUGCACGAAAUUUUUAGGUCGCUACAACUAUUAUGUAUAGAAGAUGCCAAAGUAGGAGUACAACUCUACCAAUUCAGGAUGAUUUGUUUUCUUUGAAAACGCUGAGUGGAAUUUCACAUGCUGAACUUUCACAAGCAACUAAUGGAUUUGAGGAAAACAAUAUGCUUGGUUCAAGGAGUUUUGGAUAUGUAUAUAAAGAAAGGCUUUCAGAUGGAAUGGAAGUUGCAAUAAAAGUUUUCAAUUUGCAAACAGAAGAAGCAUUUGGGAGCUUUGACAUUGAAUGUGAUGCUAUGCGAAAUAUAGAUCAUCAUAAUAUUGUGAAGGUCACUACUUACUGCUCAAGUGUUGACUUCAAAGCCUUGGUGCUUGAUACAUGUCUAAUGGAACUACAGAGAAAUGGUUAUAUUAUUAAAACUAUUUCCUUGAUAUCAUACAAAGGGUUGACAUAAUGAUAGAUGUUGCAUCAGCUAUAGAACAUCUCCACAACGGGCAUCCAACACCUAUAAUUCAUUGUGACUUAAAACCAAGCAAUAUUUUACUAGAUGAAGACAUAGUUGCACAUGUGGGAGAUUUUGGCGUUGCCAAAUUGUUGGGAGAAUGUGAUGUAAUGAAGCAGACCAUGACUCUUGCAACAAUCGGGUAUAUGGCACCAGGUGAAUUUUUUAUUUUUGUAUUAUUAUUUGUCUAAUAUGCAUUUUAUAUUUUGUUUCAUCUGUAUGUGGAUAUAUAUUUGAAUAAUCAUUUUAGAAAUAAUUAAAGAUUAAUGAUGCUCUAAUUUUACUUGAAAUGCAAAAUUUGGAUCAACGGGAAUUGUUUCUAUAAAAUGUGACAUCUAUAGUUAUGAGAUUGUCCUUAUACAAACUUUCACAAAGAAAAAGUCAACUGAUAAUUUUUUUGCUGAAUAAGUGACUAUAAAGCAUUGGAUGGGAAGUUCAUUGCCAAAGGAGCAUGAAAAUCCCCAAAACCUAAAUUCUUUCCUUCUAGCAAUGAAGAGAUGGUGAGGGGAAGGGGAAAAAAUCACGUUAAAUGAAAAGAAAAAGAAAAAGAACAAAAUUAAAUUUGACGUGAAAAUUAUUUUAAUACUUUUAAUUUGAGUUGGAAAGGUUGAUGAUGUAGCAUAAAAUAAUUGGAUAGGACCAUAUUUGAGGUAGUGGGUGUAACACCCCUUACCUGAGACCGUCGCCGGAAUCGAGUACGAGAUGUUAUCCAAUUUAACUUACCAAUUUGGAGCAUAAAAAUUUGCUUUGUAAAUUACUUUCACAAUUUACAGCAAAGCUGUCCACCUGCGCGACUGUCACUAAUUUAAUUAUAACUCGAGUUACGAAACUCGAAAUUUAAAUCCGUAAAUUUUCCAUGAAACUAGACUCAUAUUUCUACGUACCAUAAAAUUUUUAGAAUUUUUGACUUAUCCAAUUAGUACAGUUUAUUCAUUAAAGUAUCCCCUGUUUCACAACUUGACAGAUCUGACCUCUUGGCACUAAAAAUCAAUUAUCUCACUGUACAAAAUUCAUAUAAGGUUAUCAUUUAUUUCUCUUGAAAAUAGACUCACUAAGGAAUCUAGAAAUAUAAAUUAUGACCCAUAAUUCUUUCUGUACAAUUUAUAAUGAUUUUCUAAAGUCAGAACAGGGGACUUUAAAAACCAUUCUGACCCUGUCUCACUAAAAUUCAAAUAUCUCAAAAUAUACAAUUCCUUUGCCUACACCGUUUCUUUCAUAUAAAAAUAGACUUGAUAAGCUUUAAUUCCAUCUAUAAUUCACUCUCUAAUUCCAUUUAUACUAUUUAUGGUGAUUUUUCACAUUCACGUCACUGCUGCUGUCAAAAAAACUGCUUCUUUAUAUUAGUUCCAUUUACACAUACAUACCACCAAAACAUAAUCUCUACUAACCACUUCAAUAGCUAAUCUUAGCCAUAUCAUAUGAACAUACUCAAAAUGAUUAAGACUCUAUACAUGCCAUAGUUUAAACAUUUUGGAAAGCACACAAUACCGAGAUGAUUAUGAUAGUGUGAUACGAGCUCCGACGAUCCCCAAUUCGAUCAAGUUCAAAUCACUAUAAAACAAAGGAAAUAAGAAAAUGUGUAAGCUACAAUUAGCUUAGUAAGUUACAUGUAAAUAAUAGAUACUCAUUUAAUAAUUAACACUUUUAACUUAUAACUAAUCAAAACAUUUCUUGGCAAUUUCAAUCACUUACACAUGCACAAUCUUACCAUUUCACUUACAUAUACAUUUUCACACUUAACCUUUACCACUUUUGAUCAUUAUUUCAAUUGUACCUGCAUACACACUUCAUUUCAUAUUCACUUUAACACAUUAUUAAUCCCGUUGAACACUUGGAAUAUACACGGAUACAUAGAGAUUUAGCACAUAAGUGCCACACUGAUAUGUAGCCGAAGCUACCACUGAUAUGUAACCGAAGUUACCACUGAAUGUAGCCGAAGCUACCACUGGGAUGUAACCGAAGCUACCACUGAUCAAUAACACUGGAAAUGUCCACGGGCCUGCUCACACAAGCUGUCAGGUGUCUGCAACACAUGCUAGAUCACCCAGCACCCGGGACUCACUGUAACACUGUAACACUGGUCUCUAGUGACAUGUCACUUGUAUCCAUUUCUAUUCCUAAGUUCAACUGGGAAUUUACACUUAACACUUUAUUUUCAACACUUUAUCACUUGAAUAAUUCAUGAAUAUUUUUCCUUCCACAUUCAAUAUUGAUUCACAUAUCAAUAAAAUUCACAAUUUAUAAAAAUGUAUUACUAUUAUUUACACAUAACUUACCUCGGAUGCAAAACGACUAUUUCUGUAAUUUAGUCGAUAACUUUCUCUUUUCCCCGAUCACUUGCACUAUUUCUUCUUUCUUGAUCUAUAUUAACACAAUUUAAUACAUUUUAUCAACAUUUCAUUCAAAUACAAUUCAUACACAACAUUUUGGCAAAUUUACAUUUUUCCCCAAAACUUUUCAAAAAUUUCACUUUUGUCCCUAAGCUCGUAAAAAUAAAAUUCACUAAAUUCUUAAAUUUCAAACUUCACUAAAUCAUAUUUCAUGCUCAUAACAGCCCUCAAUUUCACAAAAUCACAACUUUAUGCACACUUUACCAUCUUUCACAAUUUAGCCCUUUUUCAACAUUUUCAUUGAAAUUCAUCUAGUAAAACUUGAAAUUAACACUUCAAACAUUCAUUAUCUAACAUCACUAAUCACUUUACAAUUAUAUCAUGAAUGGGUCAAUUUUUAAACUUUAAUUUCACUUAAAUUAAAUGGUAGAAACAUGAAAUUCAAGCAUCAAUAAGCAUAAAAAUACGAAAAUAAUUAAAAACGGGGCAAGAAAUCACUUACAAUUGAGCUUAGAAAAAUCAAAACCCUUAGCUAUGGUAACAUGAAACUUUCGGCAGCAAGCUUCUGAUUUUUGAAGAAGAUGACACUUAUUUUCUCUUAUUUUGUCUUUUUGGACAAAAAUGCCCUUGACCCAUUACUUAGAUAUUUUUCUAGAAUUACCCUUUUGUGUCCAUAUCACUAAUUUAUGGUCUAAUUGCCACAUAAACACUUCCAAUUUCAUGCAAUAAUUCAAUUAAGUCAUUUAAUCACUAAUUAGACACACUUUGCAAUUUUCUCGAUUUAGUCCUAAAAAUUCAAUUAGGCACUAAAUCAUUAAAAUUUCCUAUCCAUAUUUUCACACAAUAUUUCAAUCAAUCAAUAACUAAUAAAAAUUUAUAAAAUUAAAAUAUUUCACUUCGGAUUUGUGGUUACGAAACCACUAUUCCAAUUAGGCCCUAUUUCGGGCUAUCACAGUGGGAAAGGUCCAUGAAAUAAUUUUUCUAUGUUAUCAAAUAGAUGAAUGAUGGUUAUUGGGAUCAAACUAAUGAUUUUGAGGAUGUUAAUGGUUAAUUUGGUGGAGAGGGUGGAAAAGAAACAAAUAAUUCAUUAUAUGUCAUAUAAUUAUGCAAUUCAAGUUGUAAUACCCAAAUUUUACCCGGCCUACAAAAACAGUCCAAAUUACAAUGGGCUUAUGUGGCCCAAAACCUGAAAUGAACAGAGGCCCAAAACAAUGGCCCAAAACAAUGUCAGAAACUCCUAGGGUUUCUAAGGAAACUUUCCCGCCGCAGCCACCAAGCACCACGAGCCGAAAUCUUCACCUGCGCAGAAACAACGGAAAUGGCAAGAAAAUCAAAGAUUGCGAAUCAAAUAUGAGCAAGAUUUGAUUCUUUAUAUUAUUAUUUUCAUUAUGGCUAUAAAAUAGCCAUUGAUAUGCUGUAAAAAAGGAGGGGAAGACCAAAAGAAAUACAAAGACCAAUAGGAAAUUUUCUUUUUUUUGAAAUACAAAGGUUUUCUUUUCUGUUUUACCUCAUUGUCGAUUAUUGUUCUUUUAUUUUUUCAUUUAUACAUAUACAUAUUUGAUUUUUUAUAGUUUCUCUAUUUUUUUUAUUUAUUUUUGCUUAAAAUAUAAAGAAAAGAGGAGGGAUUUUACCUUUUUUUCGUCGAAGUUGUCGAACGGUGGCCAUCUCCGUCGCGAUCGGAGUGUUGGCACAGGCGAACAGCGGCGCAAAAGGGGUUAAGAAAAAACCCUAGCAGAGCAUUUGUGUUUUUUUUGUUUUUUUUUAUGUGGGUUAUUGAUUUUUAUUUUUUUAAAGAAUUUUCGUUUAAAUAACAUUAGCAAAACGACGCCGUUUUAGGGGAGCAGGAUCCGCGCGUUGACCCGACCUGCAGGCAGGGUGCACGUUCUGGCCUUGAAUGGGGUAUUUGUGCAUUUAGUCCCUCCUCUUUGCGACGCACUUCAAUAAAACCCAUUUUUCUUUUUCUUUUUUUAAAUUUAGCGGCAUAUUUCAUUUUUGUUUCAAUCGAGUCCGUCACUGCGCAGCGUUUUGGAAGUCGGAAUUAAUUUCCCUUUUGGUCCUCUAUUGUUGCUUGCGCAUUCAAGUUGGUCCCUUCUUUAUAUUUAUUGCUAAUUUGCCCCAUUUUUUCGCUUUUAGUUCAGUUUAGUCCAUUUUUUUAGCUAUUUCAUUAUUUAGUUAUUUUUUUAUUUAUUAUUAUUAUUAUUAUUAUUAUUAUUAUUAUUUCUAAAUUUAUACACGCAUUUUUUUAUGGUAUAUAUAUAUAUGCAUUUUUUUUGUAUAAUAUAUAUUUUUUAACUUUUAUAAAUACAUGCAUAUACUUCAUACAUAUUUGUUUAUUAUUAUUUUGAUUUCAAAACUUUUAUAUACUUUAAAUUUUAUAUACAUACAUAUACAUUUUAUAACACAUAUACAUUUUCCACGUUUUAUAAUUUAAAAUACACAUACAUUUUCUAUAAUAUAUUUAUGUAUACGUUUUUAUUCUUUAUAUUUUUUUUGGUUUAUUUCCUUCGUCUAUUCAUUGAUUUAGGUUUUCAUUUACAUUUUAAAAGAAUGUCCUUUUUUUAUAUUGCUUAUUCAUUUUAUAUUUUUGCAUUGUCAUUGUUUAUUUUUUUAUUUUAUAUUAAUUUCGUUUAUUUACUAUUUAUAUUAUUUCUAUACAAUUGUCGUAUUUAUUAUUGCAACAUUUAUACAUACAUUCCAUAUAACAUUACAUCAUCUUUUACUCGAAUUUAAAAAUAGAAAAUUUUCAAAAUAGAGAUAAUACUCGUAUUUAGGAUUUUCAAGAAAAUUGAGCCCUAACGUAUUGGGUUCCGAUUUUCUUCGUUAAAUCUAACAAUCGAGAAUUGCUCUUUGAUAAAAAAUAAAAUAAAAACUUGUCAUCGGGAAUUCAAUAUGUUGUGUCCUAACAUAUUGGAUGUGAUGCGUUGAUUUCUCGAGAUAAAGAUUUUCUAAACAAUAAAAGAAAUAUUCAAUGUUUGGGAUUUUAAGAAAUUGUGCCUUAACGUAUUGGGCUGUGAUUUCUUCAUAAAUUUUAAACAAUUAAAUAUUUUCUUAAAUUUUAUUACACGAGUUUUUUGGACCAGCUCAUCUUAAAAAGAAUAAAAUAUUGUGCCCUAACGCAUUGGGUGUGAUAUUUUCUUUUUUCAAAAUGAGAAAGUCUUAACAAAAAAUUUAAUUUAACUAAGGAUCGUAUUUAUUAACUCUCGACAUUAAGACACUGAUUAAUCAACUCGGUACCAAUUUUUGGGUGUUACGAGGGUGCUAAUCCUUCCUUGCACGUAAUUUACUCCUAAACCCGUUUUUUAAAACUCGUAGGCCAAAGUCGUUUUUUGGUGAUCCAAUCACACCUUAAUAAAAGAUUGGUGACGACUCCAAUUUUCAUCGACAACUAAUUUUUGUUUUUUUUCAAAAUAAAAAUGGUUUCGACAGCUUGGCGACUCCGCUGGGGACACAUACGAGAGUCGAGCCACAAAGUUGAUUAAUUUCUGUCUUAUUGGCGAGAAAAUAAAUUUUUUUAAAAAAAUCAUGAAAUCAUUGUGCAUUCAUUCAUUUUCUUGCUUAAUUGAUCUUUGCAUUAUACAUUACAUGAGUUGAAUGAUUUUACCCUUCUAAGUGGGAGUGAGAAACUAUUCCUUCGUGAGGUUUUCACCUCCGUAUAGGAUAGUGGAUCGCUUUCGGGAUACAUCUGUACCUAUGCCUUCUUGAGAUUUUCAUCUUCGUAUAGUCAUAGGGAAAAUGUAUUCCCCUGAACCGAACUUGAUCUAUAUGAGCCUAUAAUGGGUGAAGAUUGAGGAAUCUGCUGGUUUGGGUACCUUUGCCCUAGAAGUCAAACCACAUAUAGUGAACCUUAGGAACUUGCCCUAGGUAGGGAUAUGCCAAACCCCUAGUGGUCACCCGAAUAGGUUUUCUAUUUAUUCUUGCUUUAGCUUUGUACCAACCUGUUUUCUUUUUGGUUGUGAUUGCAUUGCAUUUUCAUCAUAAAAAAAGAGAGAGGUGUUGAUUCACAUUCAGUUGCUAAAUAGAUAGCUUGUCAUAAGAAAAUGAGUUUCUUGAUAAAAUGGAUGAUAAUAUGGUUGUCCGAAUAUGGUCCAAGAAAUGUGAUAAGAGAAGGAUGAUAGUUUAAUGGAGGACUACACGACUAUGGCUCCAUUGCCCAAGGAUUCAAGAUAACAAAGAUUAUUCGAGAGCCGCUAAACUUUCUUAAAGAGAAACCAACAAGCAUCACAAGGAUGAGUGAGCAACAAAUUGCGGCCUGGAUCAAGCAAAAAGGAGAUAGAAGAGACUUCCUUUUUGAAAAGUUCGUGAGAUUUAUCUUAACGCUUGAAUGAAGAAGAGGAUCGAAUGUCUUCGCCUAUGAGGGCAAGGCUGUAUAAAUAUUCAUUUUAUGUAAAGAGAUUUGUUUUCUAGUAAAGUUCUCUAAAUGGAAUUGAAUCAGAAUCAACGUCCCUUUAUGCAUUCAUUUCCUGCAUUCGCAUUACAUGAUAUCAUAGCAUUAAAAUCCACUAAAAGAUUCUAAUUAAUAUAAAUCAUUCCUCAGUUAAUCUGGAAACCAACCAACCCAUCACACACCACUACGGUACUCGAUCAAAAACUAAAGACAUGGACCAAAGGAUGGAAAGGUUAGAACAGUUCCAAAAAGAAAUGCAGUAUCAACUUCAAUAACAAAUGAAUGAACAACUUGAGAAAAUUCAGCAAAAAAUGAUGGACAAAAUGAUGGAAUCUCAAGAGAGUAUGAUGGCUCAAUUAACUCAGUUGUUGACCAGAGGAACUAAUAAAGGAAAAGGCUCUGUGCUCAAUAUGGAAGAAGGAGACAGUGAGGGACUUCUUUAUCCUCCAGGCUUGACCCCUCAGCAUGGGCAGACCCAAGUAGAGGUAUAUCCGCACAAAUCCUCUAUCACCAUCAAGCCUCAGCAGUUUCAGGCCGGUGCUGUAACACCAAUGAAUUUUCCAGCUAGAUCAGGCCCUAACCCCAGAGACGACCUUGUUAAUCCUGAUAUCCCUGACUUCGAUGAAACAGCUGAAAAAGAGAAAAUGAAUGGUGAAUUGCCAAAACAGCUCGAAGAAAAGUAUAAAUGGCUGGAGGAAAAACUUAGAGUGAUGGAAAGUACUAAGAGCUACCAUGGAAUUGACACUAAAGAAUUGAGCUUGGUUCCGGAUUUAGUACUCCCUUAUAAAUUCAAAAUUCCUGAGUUUGAGAAGUACAAUGGAACUAAUAGCCCCGAAGCUCAUAUUACCAUGUUUUGUAGGCGGAUGACUGGGUAUGUUAAUAAUGACCAACUGCAUAUACAUUGUUUCCAGGAUAGCCUUGCAGGGGCAGCAUCCAAGUGGUACAACCAACUGAGCCGUACCAAGAUUAAUUUAUGGAGAGAUUUAGCAUAGGCAUUCAUAAAGCAGUACAAUCAUGUAACUGACAUGGUACCUGAUAGAAUCACUCUACAGAACAUGAAAAAGAAGCCUGGUGAAAGUUUUAGGCAGUACACACAGAGGUGGAGGAGGUCGCAGUCCAAGUUCAGCCACCGCUUCUGGAAAAGGAAAUGACAAUGCUAUUCAUAAAUACAUUGAAAGCUCCGUUCAUCACACAUAUGUUAGGGAGUGCUACAAAAAGCUUUUAUGGCAUAAUCAUGAAUGGUGAAAUGAUUGAAAGCGCCAUAAGGAGCAGAAAAAUUGAUGCUGGAGGGAAUAACAGAAGGCAAGCCUCAAAAGAAAAAGAAAAUGAGGUGAACAGCGUGAAUACGUACAGAAAAUCGAUUGCUAAUCAGUAGGGUUCAUCAAGACAAGAAUCAUGUGUGAAGCAAGGUACUGAAAAACUCUAGUUCACUCCAAUUCCAAUGUCGUACAAGGAGCUGUAUCAAAGCUUAUUCGAUGCGCAUAUUGUUUCUCCUUUACAUGUGAAGCCUCCACAGCCUCCGUAUCCCAAAUGGUACGACGCAAGUGCACAAUGCGAUUAUCAUGUGGGAAUUACGGGACACUUAAUAGAGAGUUGCAUUACCUUCAAAAAGCUAGUUGAAAAAUUCAUCAACAUGGGUAUCGUCAAGUUGAAUGGCUCAUUUAAUGCAGAAAAUUUACUACCCAAUCAUGAUUGACAAUGGGGUGAAUGCAAUAUAUGAAGAGAUGUUAGGAAGUGUUCACAUCAAUGACAUAUAGGAAUACACAAAUGAAAGGGGGACCUUGUUAGAUAUCCGCCCUUAUAAAUCUGGGAGUGUUUAAAAUAAUUGGAUUGCGGAAGAAAUAUCUAUAGUCUUUAGAGCGUAUUUAGAGUAAUGUUCAGAACAUUCUUGUUGUUUUUAGCCUAAAAAUGAUAGGAAUUCCUUUGUGAAAUAGACUCAUGUCUGAUGAUCAUUAUUAUAAUAAAAUACAUCUUUGUAUUUAUUUUUGAGCCAACAUUCUUUCAUUCUUUGCGAGUAAUUAUUUUGUCAUUCUUUUGGAUUUUCUUCCACAUCAUUCUUUCAUUCAUAAUUAUAUUAAAAAAAUAAUUAUUCGUAAAUUCACACAUUCUUUUGCGCUUACUAUGGGACCCCAAAUAUCAAUGACAUGAGUGACGCUGUACUGACUCAAAAUCUCCUUCUGAGCGAGACAUGUGUUUAAAGGGAUCUCAUGACUUUGAAGAUGACAUAGAUCGUAGCCUAUUUCUGGACCUAUUAAGGAUGGUAGAACAAGUCGAGAAACGAAUCUUACCCUACAAAGAAUCAUUGGGAUAUAUGACUUCUCCUUAUGUGGGGCAUGAAGGUCAUUUGGUCGAUCUCGCCAAAAGAGUCUGACGGUCAUUGAUUCAUCUUUGUGAUCGUCAAUUACUUUACUAAAUGAGGGGAAGCUGCUUUAUAUGUCAAUGUCACAAAGUUGACAGUUAGCAAAUUCUUGAAGAAUCAUAUGGAACGUCAAAAGGAUCAUAUCUGACAAUGUACUAAAUUUGAGCAACAGCACAAUAUCAAAAGUUUGCAGUCUAUUCACGAUUAAUGCCAUAUCACCAAAAAAGAUGGCGCAAAAAAAAGAGAGAAAAGAAGAAAGAAAAUGGAGAGGCCAAAGUGAAAACCCGCAAAGGGCACCUUGAGACCAAAGGGGAUUUGAGUUGAAAACCCGAAACAGGCGGCUCAAAUAUUGAUCAGAAUAGGGCAUGAGGUGAUUAGAGCAACUCGAAUUUUAACCAGAUUGGGGCAUGUGGUGAUCUUGUUAUACCUGAAUUAUCAGGAAAGGGUAGGCAACAUCUUGGGGCAUUGGCAGAGUACUGUGGAUCUCCUAAACACAUGUCAAACUCAGAAGGAUCUUCAAAAAGUUUGUACGGAGAAAUUCAAGCUGCGAUAUCUGGGGCACCCAAUUUUCAUACUAUUGAAUUUGUUAUUCUUAGAAUACUUCAUUCUUUUCAAAGAUACACAUUCCCAAUCAAUUUCUUUGUUAUCCUUUUUACUAUUUUUGAUAAUUUAUUCCUUUCGAGCUAUGCUCAGAACUAAUUUUAUUCUUAUCCAUUGUUAUGACCUUUUUGCAUGCAUAUUGCAUUGGAAUAAUGAUCAAUGGACUAAUAAAACUUUCACAAGGGAAGUUUUGCAUAUUACUCUAGAAGUUUCUAAAUAAUAUAGGAGCCUGAAACAGGACUAUUAUUUAGAACGCACUAGGUUUAAAGGUUGGAAAUCUAAAAAGGAAGAGUCUAAACUAGGACUUUCUCUUUGGAUUUUGUUGUCAAAAAUCAUUAGUUGAACAAAAUAAUAAGAUGUCGUGUUGAUGACAAAGCUUAAAUCAACAAGCAAGUAAUGAUCACCAGGCAAUAGAAAGAGGUUACCUCGGGGAAGAGAGCCCUCAUUUGCUCAUGAGCCUUUGGUACGACACCCUAGGAAUGGUGUAAGAGACAAGAAAGAUUUAGAUCCUGUAUCCUUGAAUUGUGAUAGGAGAGGAUUGAAGAAAAGCCAUAUACCCUUGGGUUACAGUGGGAGAACGAUGGUAUGAAUUUUUGCGCCCCAAUGGAUUAAACUUUGAGGUUUACAGUGGGGGCAACCUGACUAAAUGUUUCUUCAGAAAAGCCAGCCAAGCAAGAAGGCAUUGUAGCACGUUAGUGUUAAAGCCUUAAUAAUCUUCGAACAAUGACAACCUAGGUGGGAUCAUUCUCGAAAAAAAAACUAUGCAUUCAUGCAAACACCAUUCACAGAUGUCUAGUUAGGAGCAUUUGAUUCAUUUUAUGCCAUCCUAAUCAUUAGGCAUAAAUAGGUUCAUUAUACAGGUCAUGUUCCCCAGAGAGCAGAUCAGUAAAAAUAGCAGAUCUUGCCUUCCUACACCGACAGUGAAACAGAUCAAAGACACCAGCCAUGCCUCCCUGGGUUGCAGUGGAGUAGGUUAAAAAUAGCAGAUCUUGCCUUCAUGCACCGACAGCGAAGCAGAUCGAAGAGACCAGCCUUGCCUCCCUGGGUUGCAGCGGAGCAGGUUAAAAUAGCAGAUCUUCCCUUCCUGCACUGACAGCGAAGUAGAUUGAAAACACCAGCCUUGCCUCCUUGGGUUGCAGUGGAGCAGGUUAAAAAUAGUAGAUCUUGCCUUCCUGCACCGACAGCGAAGCAGAUCGAAGACACCAACCUUGCCCCCUAGGUUGCAGUGGAGCAGGUUAAAAAUAGCAGAUCUUGCCUUCCUGCACCGACAGCGAAAUCGAAGACACCAGCCUUGCCUCCCUGGGUUGCAGCGUAGCAGGUUAAAAAUAGCAUAUCUUACCUUCUUGCACCGACAGCGAAGCAGAUCGAUGACCCCAGCCCUAUUUCCCUGGUCAGCAGGGGAAUAAGUUGAAGAUUGAGAAUCUUAUCUCCCUGAAGUUGCAGUGGAGUAGAUUAAAGCCAAUAAUCCUAUCUCCUUAAAUUUGUAGUGGAGCGGAUUAAAACCACAGAUCUUAUCUCUCUAAAGUUGCAGAGAGCAGAUCGCAUCUGGUCUUAUCUCCCAAAAGUUGCAGUAGAGCAGACUGAGUAAGAAAGUCUUAUCCCCCUGAAAUUGCAGUGGGGCAGACUAAAUGAACAAAUCUUAUCUCCCUAAAGUUGUAGUGGAGUGGAUUAGAAUGAUGGGUCUUAUCUCUCUGAAGUUGCAACAGAGCAGAUCACAUCAAAUUCAUCUUUAAGUGACAGCAGAUCAAGUUGAAGCUAUAAGUCUUAUCUCCCUGAAGUUGCAGUGGAGUAGAUUGAAGCACUAGUUCCUAUACCUUUGAAGAUGCAGUAUGAAGGAAUGAGGCUACUUGAAGAAGAAGACUACCUAGGUCCAGCACGAUCGGGUAAAAUUGGGCAUUUUUAAAGUCUUUACUCCAUUCCUGUUACACGAUAACGAGUAAAGAGGGGCAGCUGUAAUACCCAAAUUUUACCGAGCCUACAAAAACAGUCCAAAUUACAAUGGGCUUAUGUGGCCCAAAACCCGAAUGAACAGAGGCCCAAAACAAUGGCCCAAAAUAAUGUCAGAAACUCCUAGGGUUUCUGAGGAAACUUUUGCGCCCAGCCACCAAGCACCACGAGCUGAAAUCUUCACCUGCACAAAAACAACAGAAAUGGCAAGAAAAUCAAAGAUUGCGAAUCAAAUAUGAGCAAGAUUUGAUUCUUUUUAUUAUUAUUUUCAUUAUGGCUAUAAAAUAGCCAUUGAUAUGCUGUAAAAAAGAGGGGGAAGACCGAAAGAAAUACAAAGACCAAUAGGAAAUUUUCUUUUUUUGAAAUACAAAGGUUUUCUUUUCUGUUUUACCUCAUUGUCGAUUAUUGUUCUUUUAUUUUUUCAUUUAUACAUAUACAUAUUUGAUUUUUUUAUAGUUUCUUUAUUUUUUAUUUAUUUUUGCUUAAAAUAUAAAGAAAAGAGGAGAGAUUUUACCUUUUUUUCGUCGAAGUCGUCGAAUGGUGGCCAUCUCCGUCGCGAUCGGAGUGUUGGCACAGGCGAACGAUGGCGCAAAAGGGGUUAAGAAAAAACCCUAGCAGAGCAUUUGUGUUUUUUUGUUUUUUUUAAUCUGGCUUAUUGAUUUUUAUUUUUUAAAAAAAGAAUUUUCGUUUAAAUAACAUUAACAAAACGGCGCCGUUUUAGGGGAGCAGGAUCUGCGCGUUGACCCAACCCGCAGGCAGGGUCCACACGUUCUGGCCUUGAAUUGGGUAUUUGUGCAUUUAGUCCCUCCUCUUUGCGACGUGCUUCAAUCAAACCCAUUUUUCUUUUUUUUUUUUAAAUUUAGCCGCAUAUUUCAUUUUUGUUUCAAUCUGGUCCGUCACUGCGCAGCGUUUUAGAAGGCGGGAUUAAUUUCCCUUUUGGUCCUCUAUUGUUGCUUGCGCAUUCAAGUUGGUCCCUUCUUUAUAUUUAUUGCUAAUCUGCCCCAUUUUUUCGCUUUUAGUUCAGUUUAGUCCAUUUUUUUAGCUAUUUCAUUAUUUAGUUAUUUUUUUAUUUUUUUGUUAUUGUUAUUAUUAUUAUUUCUAUACUUAUUAUUUCUAUAUUUAUACACGCAUUUUUUUAUAGUAUAUAUAUAUAUAUGCAUUUUUUAUAUAUAAUAUAUAUUUUUUAACUUUUAUAAAUACAUGCAUAUACUUCAUACAUAUUUGUUUAUUAUUAUUUUGAUUUCAAAACUUUUAUAUACUUUAUAUUUUAUAUAUAUACAUAUACAUUUUAUAACACAUAUACAUUUUCCACGUUUUAUAAUUUAAAAUACACAUACAUUUUCUAUAAUAUAUUUAUGUAUACGUUUUUAUUCUUUAUAUUUUUUUUUUGGUUUAUUUCCUUCGUCUAUUCAUUGAUUUAGGUUUUCAUUUACAUUUUAAAAGAAUGUCCUUUUUUUUAUUUUGCUUAUUCAUUUUAUAUUUUUGCAUUGUCAUUGUUUAUUUUUUUACUUUAUAUUAAUUUCGUUUAUUUACUAUUAUAUUAUUUCUAUACAAUUGUCGUAUUUAUUAUUGCGACAUUUAUACAUACAUUCCAUAUAACAUUACAUCAUCUUUUACUCGAAUUUAAAAAUAGAAAAUUUUCAAAAUAGAGAUAAUACUCGUAUUUAGGAUUUUUAAGAAAAUUGAGCCCUAACGUAUUGGGUUCCGAUUUUCUUCGUUAAAUCUAACAAUCGAGAAUUGCUCUUUGAUCAAAAAUAAAAUAAAAACUUGUCAUCGGGAAUUCAAUAUGUUGUGUCCUAACGUAUUGGAUAUGACGCGUUGAUUUCUCGAGAUAAAGAUUUUCUAAAAAAUAAAGGAAAUAUUCAAUGUUUGGGAUUUUAAGAAAUCGUGCCCUAACGUAUUGGGCUGCGAUUUCUUCAUAAAUUUUAAACAAUUAAAUAUUUUCUUAAAUUUUAUUACACGAGUUUUUUGGACCAACUCAUCUUAAAAAGAACAAAAUAUUGUGCCCUAACUCAUUGGGUGUGAUAUUUUCUUUUUUCAAAAUGAGAAAGUCUUAAUAAAUAAUUUAAUUUAACUAAGGAUCGUAUUUAUUAACUCUCGACAUUAAGACACUGAUUAAUCAACUCAGUACCAAUUUUUGGGUGUUACGAGGGUGCUAAUCCUUCCUCGCACGUAACUGACUCCCGAACCUGUUUUUUAAAACUCGUAGGCCAAAGUCAUUUUUAGGUGAUCCAAUCACACCUUAAUAAAAGAUUGGUGGCGACUCCAAUUUUCAUCGACAACUAAUUUUUGUUUUUUUCAAAAUAAAAAUGGUUUCGACACAAGUAAUAGUAAGUUUCAUACAAGGUUCAAAGGCAAUUAAAUGACUUGUAAGUUUGUUGAACUUCUUUGAAAGGCCCAAAGGCAAUUGAACAUUUACAAAAUAGUCUCUAUAUACUGUAGAGACAAAUCAAAUCCAUGGGAGCAUUACAGUUAGUUAAAUUGAGCAUUGGCAGAAAUUCCAUCAUAGGAAAUAUUGGCAAAAUCGUCUAUUUAAUUAGAAAAACAACAUAAUUCAUGAAACAUAGAUAGCCCAAUAUAAAUGUCAUCGAGAAAAAAAGUCUGUUUGUUUUAUAGCACAUGAUAGUAAAGCAUGCGAAGUUUCAUUCUUCUUAUUGGCCUCCUUUAGUUUUCCUUGAUCAUCAACCACUAGCCAAAAACACAAUUAGAUUAGAUUAUAAAUGAAACAUUCAAUUAUGAUAAAAUUAAAUAGAAAACACCCUAAAUAACUCUAGAUAAAUGAAUAGUAGCAAAUUACCUGGUGAGGCAAGCUAGCUCAAUUAAGAUCAUUGUGUUAGACUUGUGUAUGCAUUAAACAAUCUAAAAGAAAAUGAAGGAAAAGACUUAGAAAACACUUGAAAAUUGACAAAAUUUAUAUGCCAUUGACUGGUUAAACUAUGAUCACCCAUAACAGACCUUGUAUUGGAGUUUUUGUUGAGGGAGAUCAAGUCCUUCAAGAAAAGUCUUUUAAGUGUUGUUUGUUACGUAAUCGCUGCUACCCUCAACAAAAGGUAUUGUCCUCAUGUCAAGAUUUUAUCCUCAGCCUUUAUGGAAUAAUCAUGGAGAUUACAUGUGCAAGGAUUCAAACCACCAACCAAUGCAUAUGUAGUAUUUACUUUGGAACCAUCUCCGUGAACCCACGAGGUUCUUUGCAGAAUCAAGAGACAAAACCCCAACACAAGAAUAAUACCAUCUAUUGAGGGUCCUUUAACACAACAAAUGAAAUUCAUACAUUUAUUUAAUAAAAGUAAAUAUCAUAUUUAAUUGGGGAAAAGCAACAAAAAAUCCAACAAUAAAAUCCUUAGCAAAAGAUUAAAACACAGUUAUAUCGUAAAUGACAUAAGAAACUAAGAAAAUCCAAUCUGACAAAGAAAAUAACUUGAUGCUCCAAAGCUACCAUAUACCGUAAUUCAUGGGAAGGUCUGAUGCUCAUUUUAUUGGUUUCCAUCUUGAUUUUGCAAAAGAAGUUUGAAUUUUGAAGAGAGCAAAAGAUUGAGCGAAAGAAAAAAAAUUAGUUUAUUAAUUUUCACAAUUUAUAAGACAAACCUUAUGGAGACAAAUAAUGACAUAUUAGAUAUUUGUGAUUAAAAUUCUAGAAUAGAUUUAAAAUGUUGAAUUAAUGAUGAAAUUAAUAGUGAAUUAAUAACAACAAGCGUACUGAUUACUUAGCUUCUUUGUUAAACAUGUUCGAUGUUGUUUAACAGCCUUUGUUUGAUUUUCUUUAGCUCAACCACAACAUCUUUCAUAUCUUUUCUUUCUUCUGGUAACUCAGCUGAACAAUUCAAAGCCAACUCCAUGAUGGAUGAAAUACAAUUUGCUUUAACAACAAAGUACUCAUCCUUUCUUCUUAGUAAAUCAACAUCUGCAAUUUCUAUCGCUCCUUUAGGCAACGAACUUUCCAUCCAAUGCGUUAUAGUCAUUUCUUCAGCAAAAAAUUUAUCAGUUGGCUUUUUCUUUGUAAAAGUUUCUAUAAGGAUGAUCCCAUAACUAUAGACGUCACAUUUUAUACAAACAAUUCCUGUUGAUCCAAAUUCUGCAUUUCAAGUAUAAUUAGAACAUCAUCAAUCCUUAAUUAGUUCUAAAAUGCUUAUUCAAAUAUAUAUCCAUAUAUGCAUGAAACAAAAGUAUAAAAUGCAAAUUAGGAAAAUAAUGAUACAAAAAAAAAAUUCACCUGGUGCCAUAUACCCGAUAGAUGCAAGAGUCAUGGUUUGCUUUAUUACAUCACCUUCUCCCAACAAUUUGGCACAACAAAAUCUCCCACAUGUGCAACCAUGUCUUUAUCUAGUUGUAAUAGCCCAUUUUGCCCGGGGCCCAAUAAAACCCAAAACAAACCAAAAUAAUAAAACAUUCACAGUCCAUUUACAAUAAAUAAACACACUACCCAUAUCAAGCCCAAUUAAACCCAAAUCUCAAAGCCCAAAACAAAACAACACAACCCGAGCCCAUAAACUAAAAAUUUUCAGCACAAAAAACCCUAGCCCUAAGCCUCCAGUGCCGCAUGUGCUCCACCGCCGCCGCUCGCCUAUCACCGGCCAUCCACGCGUCUGGCACCACCUGCAAGAGCAAACAACACGCAAAAGAAGAGGCCAACCAGUAACAGACAAGAACAAAGAAAUGAAACAAAUUUUGUAAUUUUGGCUAUAAAAGCCCGAAUAUAUCUUUGUAAUUUCUUCUUCCGUUUUACGAACAUCUAGUAAAAAAAAGAAGAAAAGCAGAGAACAGAUUUUCGAGAGGUGAAACCUUUUUUUCGGUUCUUUUUUUUCAUUAUAUUUUAUUUUUUUAUUUUCAUUUUUUAUAUCAAACAAUGAAAUAAAAAAAAGGAGAAAGAAAUGUAGCAGAAUCGACCCUUAGCCCCGCCGUCGGUGGUCUUUUCCCCGGCAUCGAAAUUGGCGAGAAAUGAGGCAAAGGUCGAAUCUUUUUCAUUUUUCUUUACUUUUCAGUCAUUUUCCUUGUAGAUCUAAAAUCUACGCUUAAAACGGGCUAAAAAUAAAAAGUUUUGGGUUCUCCGGUCACCGUGGGCUGCGACACCGUCGCCGACGAUCGGCGGCCGCCACGGGGGUCAACGGCCGGCCCUUUGCCCGGAAUCGAAGAGAAAUUUUAAGAGAAAAGGGAGCUUUGGAAAUUUUUUAAAGCAAAUGGCUGAAAUGGGGUUUCAAAAAAAUGUUGGCUUUUAUAAUACUAUUAAACGGCGUUGUUUUGCAACUGAAGGUCAGGUGCCAAAACGACGUCGUUUUGGCCCUUACCCGCUCGCGCUCCCGACCCGCUCCUGGGGGAUCCGCGUGUUUUUGGCGUUUGGGCUAUUUGCACUGCGGAUCCUUCUGCAUUUCGCCCAGUUUAUGAUUUAGUCCCUUUCGUUAGAUUUCUUUUAUUUUUAAUUUCGCCUUGAAAUUUUGUUCUGAUUUUAUCGGAGUCCCGCAAAGUGCUGCGUUUUGGAGGGCAGGGAUAUUUUCCCCUUUGGUCCCUCCUUGUUAUUCACGCACUCGAUUUGGUCCCUUUCUUUUAUUCAUUUGCGAAUUUGCCCCCAUAUUUCUGUGUUAAGUUCAAAUUAGUCUCUUUUUUAUUUAUUUUUGCUAUUAAAUUAAUUAAUUUUGAUAAUAUUAUCAUUAUUAUUAUUAUUAUUAUUAUUAUUAUUAUUGCUAUUAUUAUCUUCGUAUUAUUAUUAUUGUUUGCUUUAUUAUUAGUAUUAUUAUUAUUUUCAUUAUUACUAAUAUUAUUAUUUUUAUUUUACUACUCUUAUUAUUAUAUAUUGUUAUUAUUUUUAAAUUGUUUUACCUAAUAUUCCCUCGUUUAUUAUUUAUAUUCACUCGUUCAAAUUUUCAAUCAUUUUCAAUUAGUUACUUCUUUUUUUAAAUCAGUUUGUUUUAUUUUUUAUUUUCAUUUUAUUAUUUCAUUAUUUUAUUGUUUUUAUUAUUUAUAUUAUUUUUGUUUUUACUCUUAUUAUUCCUUUUUAUUUUGGUUUAUUUCAUUUCAACUUUUGCGCUCAAAUUUUUUUUGUUAUUUCGUCAUCUAUUUAUUUUCGUAUUUAUAUUUUGUUAUACAUACAUUCAAAUCUCAACUAUUCAUUAUCAUUAUUAAUUUUAUUAUUAUUGUUAUUUAUAUUUAUUAUUGACAUCCUCAUCAUGUUGUUGCACACAUUAGCAUUGUAAUCCAUUUUACAUUUUACUAUAAAAUCGCGUUAUGUUAACCUUCAUCCAAUACAUUUUAUAUUAAGCAAUUUUGUAACUCAAAAUUCCAGAAAUCGUACCCUAACUUACUGGGUUUCGAUUUUCCUCGACGAGUCUAAAGAACCAAUCCUUUUUUUAAAAAAUCAAAGCAUAAGUUAAAUAAAAACUUAUCCUCAGGAGUUCAAAAUGUUGUGUCCUAACUCACUGGAUGUGACAUUUUGUUAUCUCAAGGUAAAGAUUUCUAGAAACACAAAGGCAAUAUUUUGAAUUUGGAAAUUCGAGAAAGUGUGCCCUAACGUGCUGGGUUUCAAUUUCUCGUUUGACCAAAUAGCCAAAUAUCCUCUUAAAACUUCAAAGUAUGGGUUUUUCAAACCAUAAGGUGAUCUUUGUUUCGAUGGUUUAAAGUAUCGUGUCCUAACGUGCUGGAUGUGAUAUUCCUUCGGAAUAAGAGAAUCUUAAAUUUCAAUCCAUGUUAUUCAAAUUUUUUUUAAGGAUUGUAUAUUUUUUUAAACUCUUCAAAGUUUUCAAUCUUCGACAUUAAGACACUAAUUAAUCAACUAGGUACCAAUUUUUGGGCAUUACGAGGGUGCUAAUCCUUUCUCGUACGUAACCGACUCCCGAACCUGUUUCUUUGAAUUUCGCAGACCAAAAGAAUUGUUUUAAUAAAUCUAAAUUGUUUAUUAAAAACAAUCGUUUUACGAGGUGACCCGAUCACACCUCAUCAAAAAAGAUUGGUGGCGACUCCCGUGUUUAUUAUCAUUUUCAAAACCCAAGUCGACCCCGUUUUCACAAAAAAAAUGGUGCCAACACUAGUAAAAUAUUGCUUGGUUUUAAGUCACAAUGAAUUACAGAUGUUGGAUGUCCAUUGUGGAGAUGUUCUAUAGCUACCGCAACAUCUAUCAUUAUGUCGACCCUUUGUAUGAUAUCAAGGAAGCAAAUUUCGGAAUGUAACCAUUUCUCAAGGUUUCCAUUAGACAUGUUAUCAAGCACCAAGGCUUUAAAGUCAACACUUGAGCAGCAAGUAAUGACCUUCACAAUAUUACGAUGAACUAUAUUACGCAUAGCAUCACAUUCAAUGUCAACACUCCUAAAUGCUCCCUCUGUUUGCAAAUUAAAAACUUUUAUUGCAACUUCCAUUCCAUCUGAAAGCCUCUCUUUAUAUACAUAUCCAAAACUCCUUGAACCAAGCAUAUUGUUUUCCUCAAAUCCAUUAGUUACUUGUGAAAGUUCAGCAUGUGAAAUUCUUCUCAGCGUUUUCAAAGACAACAAAUCAUCCUUACUUGGUAGAGUUGUACUCCUACUUUGGCAUCUUCUAUACAUAAUAGUUAAGACUAUUAGUAAUACGACAAUACCAAUUGUUGGUAAACCAUACCUUAAAACAUGCAAUAUAUUCAUUUGGGAGUUUUCUUGGAUGUCGUUUUUGCAAGGGGGGACUAGCAAUCUAGGUGGACCACAAAGUGCAAAAUUCUUCAUGAAUGAUCUACUAGAAAAGUUUGGAAAACAUCCUUCGGUGGGAAUUUCCCCUUCAAGUCUAUUGAAAGACACAAUAAAAUACUUUAGAUCUAAAAGAUUUUUCGAAGAUUUGGGAAUGGCUCCAGAGAGAUUGUUAUUGCAUAAAUUCAAGAAUUCCAAACUAAUCAAACCAUCUAAUGAUCCAGGGAUAUGACCAUGUAGUAUAUUAUUUAAUAAAUCUAAUGAAAUCAAAGUUUGAAGACCCCCAAAUGUGAAUAAGAUAUCGCCUGUGAGAAUAUUCCUUGAUAUAUUUAGUUUCAAUAAACUCCUCAAAUUUCCAACAUCAAUAGCAUGUGAAUUGUGAAGAUGGUUUGAUGAUAAAUCUCUUUCUAAGAUAUCUUUAAGAUUCCACAAAGUUGAGGGUAUUGCAGAACUCAAUUUGUUGGAAUUUAAGUAAAGAUAUCUUAAAGAAGUACUAUAACCCAAACAAGAGGGUAUGGAUCCAUGCAAGUUAUUCAACCCUAAAUACAUCUCGUAUAGUCUCUCCAAACCACAAAGGCUUUUUGAGAUUGGUCCUAAUUUAUUCGAGUGAAAAGUUAGACUUUGGAGAUUUCUCAUUCCUCCUAUUGAUGCUGGAAUAGAUCCACUUAAUUUAUUAUACCCAAGUUGUAAAAGCAAUAGGUUGUUUAAGUUACCUAUUUCCAUAGGACUAUUGCCUUUAAGCUCACAAUUAUUGGCAAAAAAGUAUUGAAGGGAUUUUGAAAGGUUCCCGAUAUAAGUAGGAAGAACAUCACUCAAUGGAUUUCCUGAAACAACUAUUCUUCUCAAAUGCCUGCAAUUUGCCAAAGAAGAAAGAAAGGUCCACUCAUGAUCAAUAGCAGAUCCUGUGAUCAAAUUAUUAUUUAUGAUUCGGAGCACUUCAAGGUGUCUUAAGUUGCCAAGCGUUUUAGGAAUUGGGCCAGAGAAUAAGUUAUCUUCCAAGGCUAGAUUCUUAAGCAUGGAAGCAUUGGAGAUAGAGCCGGUAAUGUUUCCGCUAAAUUUAUUUCCCCACAAUACAAGAUUCUCAAGUUUUGGAGCAUUGGUAAGGGUGGUAGAGUACCUGUAAGAUAGCAUCUUUUAAUAUACAUAGCCAUUGGAUACCAAAUUCACAAAACAUAUAAUACAUUAAAAUACAUUUUUAAAAUAAAAAUUGUAAACCUUUAAAUCAAAUAAAAAUAUAAUUUUGGCCUGGAAAAAUGUGAUCAAAUCAAUUAGUCCCUUGUGAUUUGUAUAAACAAAAAAAUAAAAUAAAACCAUUCCAUACCAGUAUUGUAUUUGAUUUAAUGAUAGAGUUGUAAGUUACUUGUAAAAGUUACAUGCUCUAGCAUAUAAAUUUUGUCCAAGCCUUGGGUUGAAAUCAUCGUUACUUUUUUAGAUCUAAAAUUGAUUGAAUAUCAAAUUUGUAAAAUACUGUAAAAUUUUGAAUCAAAUAAAAACAAAACUUUGACAUGAAAAUGUGGCAUCUAAUCAAUUUUAAAAAUGACAUUGACACUGAAUACGAAAUUAUGAAUAAAAAUUAGUUAUGGUUUGGGAAACAAAAAUAUUAAAUUAUUCUGUAUGAUUUGGUAUUAGUUAUUAUUUUGAAUAAUAUUGUUAAUUUUUAAUUACAUAAAACUAUUGUAUGUUAAAUAUGGUUUUAAUUAUGCCUUGAAAUUUUAUUAUUAUAUUUCAACUACCAUAUAAUAUUUUAAUUAUGUUUAGCCAUUUGAAUAACAAACCAAAAAACUAAUUAAAAACUAAUUACUUCUUUAAGUAUAAUGGAAAUUAAAAGUUUUCAAUUCAUAUAAAUUUUAUUGUUUAUUAUCAAAUUAAUACAUUUUAAUAGAUGAUAAAAUAUAUGAGCAAAAAAGAAGAAACAAUUAAAGAGAAUGUUUUUGGAGUUUGGAAAAAAUUAAAGUGAAAAACAUACCUUCUAAUUUGUUGUCACAUAGAUCUAUUUCUUCGAGCGUAGUUGAAUAAAAAACACUUUCCGGAAUCAGCUCACUGAAUUGAUUUGCUGCUACGAAUUCUAAAGCUUGUAACAUUCACUUAUACUAGAUGGAAUGUUACAGAUAAUUCAUUUGUAUCCAAGUAAAGCCCCUCAAACUUGGGAAGAUGUUGACACAUAUCAUUAAGUAAACUACCUGAUAGGCUAUUGCAGGAGAGAUUAAUAGUCUUCAGAGAAGAAAUAUUGAAGAUAGAAGACGGAAUCUGACCUGUAAGGUAUUUAAUUACUGUAAUACUAAGCAUUUUCAAACAUUACUAAUAUAAAUAGUUCAUGGAAGUAAGAAAGUGUGCAUAAUAAAACCAAAUUGUAUAAAAAAUUUAAAAAAUUUUGAUUAAUCAAUAAAUUUAAGAUUUUAUAUAUUGAAGUGGGUUCAAAUCUCACUAUUAUUUUUUGUUUUGUUUUUUUUUUAAAAACCAAAGUACCUCAAAUAAUGUAACUAAUUUUAAAUACGAAAAGUUAUUUUUGAAAUUUCUCUAAUCGAGUUGGUGCUCAUUGACUCGUAACACAAUCCUAAUCAGAUACUUAAAUAACAAUAUAGAUAUUCACAUUCACCAAAAAAGUUCAAAAAAAUUGUUACUUUAGUUUCAAAUAACAAAUUUUAAUUAUUUAUAUAACAAGUAACUUUAUAAUUCAUGUAUAAAUUUGACUAUUAAGAAAAGAAAAAAUGAAAUUAAAUAAUGAAUAAUUUAAUUGAAAAUAUAUCAAUUUUUAUAUUUUCUACAUAUGCUUUAAUGAUGAUGGAUUUUUUUUAUUAUCACUAUUUUUGAAUUAAAAGAAUUUAUUAAUAUAAUUUAAUUAUAUUUUGAAUAAUGUUACUCUUUUUUAAUGACAUGAAGUAAAAUCAUAUUAUAUAUUAAAGAGGGUACAUAUGCUUUAAUUAUAGCUUGAAAUUUUAUUAUUACAUUUGAGUUAUUAAAUAAAUUAAUAUAUUUUAAUUAUAUUCAGCCAUUUGAAUAACUAAUUAGAAUAAUUUUAAAAAACAUUAUUUAAAAGCUAUGUAUAUAAAUGUAUAUGUAUAUAUAUGGUUGUUUCAUAUUUUUAAAAUAAAUAUAUUUUCAAUGUUGGUUUCUUUUCUUCCACACACAAAGUAUUUCUAAUGUUUUUUUUUUAUAACUUUUACUUAUAUAAAAUAGAUUAGUUAAUGCAAUAACAAAUUAAUUACUUUUUUUAAACUUAAUGGAAAUUAAAAUAAAUAAAUUCAUAUAAAUCUUAUUGUUUAUUAUCAAAUUAAUAGAUGAUAAAGUAUAUGACAAAAAGAAAAGGACAAAUUAAAUUCAAUAGAAUGUUUUUGGACUUGUGGAAAAUUUUAAAGUGAAAAACAUACCUUCUAAUUUGUUGUCAAAUAGAUAUAUUUCUUCGAGAAUAGUUGAAUUAAAAAUACUUUUUGGAAUCAGCCCACUGAAUUGAGUUGUUGCUAAAUUCAAAACCUGAAGCUUGUUACAUUCACCUAUACUUGAUGGAAUCUGACCUGCACACAUACUUGACAUAAGUCAAAGAGGUUUUCUUUUCUAUAAUUUGGAGAUGUUAUAUUUUAAUAUAUUUAAUCAUAUUUUUUCUUCAAAUUAACUAUUUUGAUUUUAAUGAAAUAAAAAGCUCUUACUUUUUCUUUUAUAAAAAAAAAAUACUUUAAACUAAAGAAACCAAAGAAAUUUAGUACCUUCUAGAUUAUUAAACACCAAAUAUAAAUGUCUAAGUCGUGUCAAGUUUCCAAUACUUCUUGGAAUGAUACCUGUGAAUUGAUUAAUGGACAGUGACAAAAUUUGAAGGUUGCAUUUGUCUAUACUUAAUGGAAUGUUACCAGAUAAUUCAUUCAAACUCAAGUGAAGCCCUUCAAGCUUAGGAAGAUGUUGACACAUAUUAUCAGGUAAUCUACCUGAUAGGAUCAAUAGCCUUCAGAGAAGAAAUGUUGAAGAUAGAAGAUGGAACCUAGACAGAUAAUUGAUUGAAUUCCAAGUUCAAGAUCUCUAGAUUGGACAUGUUAACAAGUGUUUGAUGGAUUGUGCCUGUAAAGUUAUUAUUUUUCAUUUCCAGCCUUUGGACUCUGUGUAAGUUCCCAAGCCAUGAUGGAAUUUCCCCAUUAAGACCAUUGUAGCUUAAUUGGAUGAUCCUCAAACGGUGCAACUGGCCCAAUUCUUUAGGCAGAUGGCCAUAGAAAUUGUUGCUACUCAAGUCGAGAGAGAGUAGGAAUGAAAGUUUUCCAAGUUGUGAAGGGAUAGUACCUCGAAGAUUCAUGUUUGUAAGAUUCAAAGCUACAACUCUUUCAUGGAUGAUGCCACAAGAAACACCAAUCCACCUGCAAACAGAGCUAGAGGCUAUCCAAUUGUUUUCCAAGACAUUGUGAGGAUCGACUCGAUCCUUAUACUCGAGGAGUGCAAACUAAUCGGUGGUGAGAUUCCUGGCUGUCAUAGCCAAACAAAGUACGGAACAUGGUACGAAUAGAGCUAAAAGAAGAUGAAAGCAAGUGGUGUAGUUUAUGAUUGCAAGACGGAAUAAGGCAAGAAAAUAAAAGAGUAGGAAAAGGGAAAUUGAAAUGAUAAAAUAGUUGGAUGAUGAAGAAAAGCCCAGAGAGCCUGCUUUAAUAUGUUUCAACCCUCCCACACUUCUCCUAAUUAAAUUCACUCGGCUGGGGUUACAACAUUAAUUUUCAAAAUAAAUGUCAAGUCUUCUUUUAAAACACAUCCAAAGAAGCGAAUUUUCUCCAAAAUUUCUUCACAUUACUCCACAUAAUCCAUAACAAAAUUAAUAAAAUAUAAUUUUUUAAUUACUAUAUAUUCUUUUAUUUUCUUCACAAUAAUAAGUUGGUUAAAUAUGCUAUUAAUCCCUGUACUUUUUAGAAUUUGAGAUUUAGUCCUUAUACUUUAAAAGUUAAAAAUUAAUUCAAAGAUAUUCUUUUUUCUAAACUGAGUGAAUUCACAAGCUUUGUUUUCCUUUAACAAAUAUUUUUGGUAUUUUCGUGGAUAUGAGGAGAUACUGAAAAUUAUUUUACUAUGAACUUUUAAUUCACUCAAAAAAAUAAGUGUUUUAUUUCAAGGGAACACAAUUAAACAUUAGAUUUCCCAUUUUUAUGUUUUGAAUAUUUUUGACAACUGCAUAAUCAACAAAGUAUCAAUUUUGGGCGUUGUGAGAGUUUUAUAACCUUCCAUAUGUGUAAUCGAUUUUUGAACCCACUUUUUAUUUUAGAAUUCAGGACAUACCUUAAAUUUUUCUUUUUAUAAGUUAUUUAAAAUCUAUUUGUAAAAAGCGAAUUUUUAAGUGACCGAUCACGCUUAACAAAAAUGAUUGGUGGCGACAAGUCCUUUUUGAUAAAAUCUUGUUCUUGGAAAGACCAAAGUUUUCAUUUUUUUAAGAAGUUUUCAAUUUAAUUUUCUUUUUGAAUUUUUAUUUUUAACCAGAAAAUGGUCCUUACAGUUAUUAUUUAUUUCCCAAUUUUUAAUGGUUUUUUUCAAGGAGAUGAAUAGUGGGAUGAAAAUUUUUGGUUAAGGUAAACUCAUUAUGUAUAGUUGAUUCUUUUUUGAUCCUUCAAUUAUUAAUUUUUUUGAUUUAAUUACAUAUUUUUUUAAAAAAAAAUUAACACUCUCUUAGUUGCCUCUUAAUUGAGGGACAAAAAACUUAGACAUUUUUUAAUCACAAUUAAUUUAAUUGCGUUUAGGAUCACAUAAUUUUCUUUUAUUCUUUUUAAAUUAUAAACUGUUUCAAAAAUUCCGUCAAUAGCUUAAGUGAAAUUAUCCUUUUUUGAAAUAUCAAUUUCACUUAAGCUAUUGACUUAAUUUUCAGCUAUUAGUCUUUUUUCCAAUCAAAUUGACUCUUAGCAGAAAUGCAAACUGCGCAAAAGAGUGUAAACAAAGAAGUUGAAUUUAAUUAUUUUCUGAGUCUAGUUUCAAAAGACAUAAUUAAUAAUAAACUUAUAACUAGCCUUAUUUAUUUAACAUGUUAAGAAACCUUUGCUUCAUUUUCUUGAACUCAACCACAACAUUCUUCCUAGCUUUUCUUUUUUGACGUAAUUCAGUUCAACAUUUCAAAAGAAAUUCCAUAAUCGAUGAAAUACAAUUUGCUUUAACAAUAAAUCUGCAUCCUCAAAGUCUAGUAGUCCUUCCAACAAUGAGCUUUGUAGGGCCCAACUUCUGCCCCGGGCCCAAAUAAUAAAAACCAAAAAUAAUCCAAAGUUAAACAGUCCAGUUACAUUAAACCCAAAUACAAGCCCAACUACCCAAACCCUAAGCCCAAACCUAAUAGCCCACAACAAACUUUCAAUAGCAGCAAAACGUGCAACACGCAACAAAAAGAAGCAACCAAAUCGCAAAACAACAAAAAACAGGCAUCAAAGAGUUGUUUAGAUCGGCUAUAAAGCCAAAAAUCAGAGACUUGUAGUUUUUCGGCUUCCUUUUUUAACACACAUCAGAAAUAAAAGAUCAUAUAAACUUCUAAAAGGUUGCUGUUCUUUCUUUGUUUUUCUUUUUAUUUCACUUAUUUUAUUUAUUUUUUUUACUGAUCCUUUUUUACAAAUAAAAAACGAUUAAUAAAAGAAAAACAAGAAAGGAAGAGAAGGGGAAUAGCUAGAAUCACCCGCAAGUCCCAUUGCCGGAGCCCUUUUGCGGCCACCGGAGUCGUGCUGGGAGGGUGCGGGGUCUCCUUUUCCUCUGGUCUUUGGGCCAAGAAAGGCACCGUCACCAAAAGGCCUUUUAAAUCGGUUUAAAAUAGACCUUCGGGUCGCAGGCCACCGCCCGCGGCGGAUCUAUGGCGGCGCGAGUGACGGCCAUGUUGGCCGAAUUUGGGGGGACCGAGAGAGAAACCUUACUCUCUCUGUUUUUUCUAGAAAAUUGAAGGAAAUGAUUUCUUUUUUAUUUUUUUUGUAUUUAUAUAUGCUAUAAUACGGCGUCGUUUUGGCCUUAGCAUCAGUGGCCAAAAACGGCGCCAUUUUGAUGUUUGACCCGCGACCCGACCCAGUAACGCUAAAGAUCCGCGCGUUUUCGUUUAAGGGUCUAUUUGUGCAAUAGGUCCCUCCACCUUUGUUGCGUGUUUCAAUGUGCUUUUUUUAUUUUUUUGAUUUUGGCCACCAGAUUUUUAUUCUGUUUUAAUUUGGUUCUGGGAUGCGCAGGCCCCAGUAUUGCGAACGGCCCCGUUCAGGUGGCAUGGGAUUAUUUCCCUUUCGACCCUACGUCUAUGUGCGCAUUUCGCUCAGGUCCUGAAUGUUCUUUUGUUUUUCAAAUUUUACCCUUUAAUUUUAUUUUAACUUCAAUUCGGUCCUUUAUCCUAUAUUUUAUUAUUUUGAAUGCUUACCUUGAAAUAUCAUUUAGUUUCCAAUUUAAUACAUAUAUCCCACAUGUUUUAUGAUCCAUAUAUAUUCAUACGUCUUUUAUAUUUUAUAAUUUUAAAAUUUGUACAUGCAUACGUAUAUUUUAUAAUUUCUAUAUGCGUAUAUAUAUAUCUACAUAUGUAUUUUUUAAAUUUUUUUUUACAAAUAUACACAUACUUAUACAUACUCUUUAUAUUUUAAAAUCUAUAUUUUUCUUAUGUAUUUUCCAUAGUUUAUAAUUCAUGUAUACAUAUUUUUAGAAAUUUUACAAUGCAUACAUGCACAUAAUAUAUAUAUAUGCGUUUUAUUUUUAUAAAUACAUAUACAUUACCUACCUUUAUAUUUUAUAUCUUCCAUGACUUUAUAUAUAUAUAUACAUGAAUGUACACAUACAUACUUACAUAUUUUUUACGUACAUAGAUUUUUCAUAUUUUCAUAAUUUUAUGCACACACAUAUAUAUCUUUUUACUUUUUCAUAAUUUUAUUUAUUAUUUAUUUAUUUCAUUUUUAUUAUUGAUUUGAGGAAAUGUUUUAAUUUUAUUUGCUUGUAUACAUUGUUAUUUCGGACGUUAUUGAUUUGUACUUUUUAUUUAUCUUAUAUUCGUUGCUAUUACUCGUAUUAUUUUUACAUCAUCGUAUUCAAUAUUGUUUUGUUACGAACAUUAACAUCGUGUUUUAUUUUUACUAUUUGGUGUUAGAUUAUUUUUAUUCAACACAUAAAUUAUGAUUUUUUGAAUAAGCAAAAUCUCGUGUUUAGAUUGGAGAAGGUUGUACCCUAACUUACUGGGUUUCGAUUUUCGCAAUGACUUUAAAUACGUGAAUCUUUUCAAACUCAAGUUUUAAAUGAUCUUGGGAUUUAAAAAAGAUCGUGUCCUAACUUACUGGGCAUGAAUCCUUUUUAAAAAAAAAUCUGAGAUAGCUAAAUAUCUUUUAAACAAGCAAAUUUUUAGCAUCCAUUCGCGUAUCGGGAAUUCGAGAUAUUGUGUCCUAACUUACUGGAUAUGAUUCUCUUUCUCGAUUAACGUGAAAUAUGCCCAUUUUCCCAAAAAUUUUCAACAUUUUAAUACAAGGAUCGUAUUUUUUAAAAUUCUUUAAAGUUUUCAAAUUUCGACCUCAAGACAUUAGCUAAUCAACUAGGUACCAAUUUUUGGGCGUUACGAGGGUGCUAAUCCUUCCUCGUACGUAACCGACUCCCGAACCCGUUUUUUGAAUUUUGUGGACCAAAAUUAUUGUUUUAAUAAAAUCUAAAUCGUUUAUUAAAAACAAUCAUUUUAUGAGGUGACCCGAUCACACCUCAUCAAAAAAAGGAUUGGUGGCGACUCCCAUUUUUGUUUUAUUUUUGAAAUUUAAGUCGACCCCGUUUUACCAAAAAAUGGUGUCAACAGCUUGGCGACUCCGCUGGGGAAGAGAUAUGUGAGUCAAGCCACGUGUUGAUUACUUUUUGUCUUUUUGUCGAAAAUCGAGAAUUUAAUUUAAAUUUACGAUCCGUUCAUUGCAUUUCAUUCGUCUUUAUUACGAUCUUCAUCAUUGUGGUUUUAUAGUUGUGUUGGUUUAAGUCUUGAUAUAUUUUUGCACAUUGCAUUGCAUGACCGUUGGUCACACCUUUUAAGUGGGAGUGAGAAGCUAUUUCCUUCGUGAGGUAUUCACCUCCGUGCAGGAUAGCUGAUCACUUUCGGGAUACAUCCGUACCUAUGUCUUUGUAAGAUUUUCAUCUCCGUGCAGCCAUAGGGAAAUGUAUUCCCCUGAACCGAACUCGGUCCGUAUGAGCCUAUAAUGGGUGAGGAUCGAGGAACCUACUGGUUUGGGUACCUUCGCUUUAGAGCCGAACCACAUGUAGUGAACCUAAGAGCCUACCUUAGGAAGAACCACUUCAAACCCCUAGUGGUCACCCGAGUAGGUGUUCUAUUUAUUCUUGCUUGCUUUUGCUUUGUACUAACCUGUUUUCUUUUGUUUUGAUUAUGAUUGCAUUGCAUUAUCAUCAUUAAAAAGAGGUGUUGAUUCACGUUCAGUUGCUAAAUAGAGAGCUUGUGAUAAAGUGGAUGACGAUACGAUUGUCCGAAUAUGGUCCAAGAAAACGUGAUAAGAAAAGGAUGAUAGUUUAAUGGAGGACUACAAGACUAUUGCUCCGUUGCCCAAGGAUUCAAGAUGACAAAGAUUAUUCGAGAGUCGCUGAACCUUCUUAAAAAGAAGCCAAUGAGCAUUACGAGGAUGAGUGAGCAACGAGUCGCGGCCUAGAUCAAGCAAAAAGGAGAUAGAAGAGACAUCUUUUUGAAGAGUUCGUGAAAUUUAUCUUAACGCUCAAAUGAAGAAAAGGAUCAAUUGUCUCCGCAUAUGAGGGCAAAGCCGUAUAUAUCCGUUACAGAGAUUUAUUUUCUAGUAAAGCUGUUCUAAUAGAGUUGAAUCAGAAUCAACAUCUCUUUUUGCAUUCAUUCCAUGCAUCUGUUUUACAUUUCAUUGCAUCAUUUGCAUUAAAUUUCACAAAAGAGCCCUACUUAAACGAGAUUAUUUCAGUUAAUCUGGAAACCAACAAGAAUCUACCAACCAAAUAUCACUAUGGUACCCGUCGCAAAACAAAAGUAAUGGAUUAGAGGUUAGAAAGAUUGGAACAAUUGCAAAAAAAGAUGCAAGAUCAGAUGCAGGAACGACUAGAUAAAAUCCAGCAAGACAUGCAAGAAUCCUAGAACACUAUGAUGAACAAAUUGGAGCAGUUAUUGGCUGGAAGGAAUGAUAAAGGAAAAAGCCCUUUAGUUGAUUCUGGAGUUGAUCAUGAGGACCCUAUUUAUCCUCCAGGUUUUACCCCAAUAGGCAUCCAGGCACAACCGGAUAUAUGCCCGCAAAGAGUACCUGUCAUUAUCAGACCUCAAUAUACGGUUGGUGCCUCAGUGCCAAUGCAUUUUCAAACGGGCUUGGGUUCUAAUCCCGGAGACAACCCUACCAAUCCUGUGGUCCCUAAUCUCGAUGACGUGGAAGAAAUAGAAAAAGCAAGAAUGGACCUGCCAAAACAACUUGACGACCGAUGUAGAUGGCUAGAGGAAAAAUUUAGAGCCAUGGAAAACACCGACUACCAUUGUGGAGUUGACGCCAAGGAUCUGAGUUUGGUCCCUGAUUUAGUGCUCCCGCCUAAGUUUAAGAUGCUGGAGUUCAAAAAAUACAACGGGACUAGUUGUCCUGAAGCUCAUAUCACUAUGUUCUGUUGAAGGAUAAUAGGAUACGUCAAUAAUGAUCAACUAUUAAUCCACUGUUUCCAGGAUAGUUUGAUCGUGUCUGCAGCCAAGUGGUACAACCAAUUGAGUCGUGCUAAAGUUAGUUCAUGAAGAGACUUGGCACAAGCUUUUAUGAAGCAAUACAGUCAUGUAACAGAUAUGACACCUGAUAGAAUUACGUUACAGAAUGUGGAAAAGAAGCAAAAUGAGAGCUUUAGGCAAUAUGCCCAAAGAUGGAGAGAGGUAGCGACACAAGUCCAGCCACCUCUUCUGGAGAAAGAAACCACAGUGCUUUUCAUUAACACUCUGAAAGCCCCAUUCAUUAACCACAUGUUGGGAAGCACUACUAUGAGCUUCUCAGAUAUGGUAAUGUCUGGCGAGAUGAUUGAAAACGCCAUAAGAAGUGGGAAGAUAGAUGCAAGGGAAGGUGCCAAAAGAUCAACCCCAAAGCACAAAGAAAAUGAAGUGAGCAACCUGAGCUUGUAUAAUAAAGGGUAUUCAAAAUUAGUCACUGUAGGCCAGCCAAGGACGGUAGCAGCUAGCUAUCAAGGCCCCUCAAAGUAAGAAUCCAACUCGAGGCCAAACACAGAAAGACUCGAGUUCACACCUAUCCCGGUGAUGUAUAAGGAGUUAUAUCAAAAUCUGUUUGAUGCGCAUGUAGUAGCUCCGUUCUACUCAAAACCCAUGCAACCUCCAUACCCCAAAUGGUACGACGUAAAUGCUCAAUACGAGUAUCACGUAUGAACUACGGGGCACUCGAUUAAAAACUACACUACAUUUAAAAAGUUAGUCGAAUGGUUCAUUAAUAUGGGCAUCGUGAAGUUUGACGAUCCAUCUGGACCUAAUGUGGCAGGAAGUCCGUUACCCAGUCAUCCAGACCCAGGAGUAAAUGCGAUAGCUGAGAAUGGAGGAAAAAAAACCAAAACAAAUGUUGCAGAAGUAAAACCCCCACUAAAAUGGGUUUUGAAACAAAUGAUGGACAUGGGAUUAAUCAUUCAGAAUUUGGAGAAGAGACCAAAAUGGAUGAGGAGCUACUGUGAGUUUCACGCUAAAGAAGGCCAUGAAAUCCAGGAGUGCACUGAAUUCAAAGCUUUGGUGCAAAGUAUAAUGGAUAAUAAAGAGUUGGAAUUCUUUGAAAAAGUCAAAGGCCUAGAAGAAAUGUUGGGAAAUUUAAAUGUUAACGAUGUAUCCGAAGAGGGAACUGAGGAAGAUAAUUUAUGAGGCAUCGGCCCUUAACGCAUUUGGGAGUGUUUUGAACAAUGAGAUUGUGGAAGAGAUCCCUAUAUUUUUUUAGAUCUAUUUCAAAGUAAUGUCCAAAACACGCUUAUUGCUCUAAGCCUAGGAGCAAUAAGAAUCCUUUUGUGAGAUAGACUUAUGUUCAAUAUCUUUAUUUUAAUAAAAUGCAUCUUUGUUUCUCACUUCGAGCAAAUAUUCCUUUAUUAUUUCCAUUUCAUUCAUAAUCAUACUGUACAGAUAAAUAUUCUUAGAUUCUUUUUAUUCUUUGGAUUUGCUUUCGUCCCUACAAUAGGUCUCCAGAUAUCAAAGAUAUGAGUGACACUACUACUGACUCAGAAUCUCCUUUGAGCAAGAUAUGUGUCCAGAUGAGCCUCAGGACUUUGAAGAUAACUGAGACUGUAACUUAUCCCCUGAUUUGUUAAUGAUGGUAGAACAAGAUCCUACCUUACAAAUAAUCAAUGGAAGUCUUGACCUUUCUCUAUGUGGGGUACGGAUGUCAUUGAACCAAUCUCGUCUAAGGUUUUGGCGAUCAUCAAUUCAUCUUUAUGGUCGUUAAUUACCUCACUAAGUGGGUAGAAGCUGCUUCAUAUGCCAAUGUCACAAAAAUGACGGUCAGUAAAUUCGUAAAAAAAGAAAUCAUAUGUUGGUAUGGGAUGCCGAAAAGGAUCAUAUCUGAUGAUGCACCAAAUUUGAAUGAUAGCACGAUAUCAGAAGUUUGCAGUCUGUUCAAGAUUAACACCAUGUCGCCCAAAAUGAAUGAUUCAGUGGAGGAAAAAAAAAGGAAACCAAACAAAAAACAAAACAAAAAAAACAAAAAACAAAAAUAAAAAAACAAAAAAUAAAAAACCUCUACCGGGGUAACUUAUUUCUCAUUGGUAUAUAGAAUAGAGGCAAUUUUACCCAUCGAAGUUGAUAUUCCUUCCCUUCAAGUCUUGUUAGAGCUGAAGUUGGAUGAAGCAGAAUAGAUCUAGGCCUGAUAUCAUCAGUUAGAUUUGAUUGAUAAGAAAAGGUUAAAAGUUAUCUGUCAUGGUCAAUUGUACCAAAAGCGAAUGAUGCGAGUUCACUAAAAGGUUCGCCCAGAGAAUUCCAUGAGGAGGACUUGAUAUCGAAGAAGAUCCUUCUCAAACAAAAGGACUUAAGAAGAAAGUGAAUGCCAAAAUGGAAAGGACCUUAUGUGGAAGGCCUUAUUUGAAAAAGCGUUGAUAUUGACCAAGAUAGAUGGUAAGAACCUGCCCAAUCUUGAGAAUUCUGAUUCCAGCAAUAAAUACUUCACUUGAAAAAAGAAACGAAAAGAAAAAAGAAAAGAAGAAGAAUGAAAAAAGAAAAAGGAAAGGCCAAGGUGAAAACCCGCAAAGGGCGCCUUGAGACCAAAGAGGUUUUGAAUUGAAAACCCAGGAAUGGGCAGUUCAAAUUUUGAUCAAAGGUGGGGCAUGCAGUAGUCUUGUCGUCUCUGAAUUAAUAAGAAGGAGAGAUGCUACAUCUUGGGGGCAUCAAUGAAGUCUUCUAGGACUUCUAAACACAUAUCAAGUUCAAAAGGGUCCUCAAGAAGUUUGGGGCAGAGAAGCUCAUGCCACGAUAUCUGGGGCACCUCUUUUCAUUUAUUCUUUUUGUAUUUGUGACAAAAUACGCCAUCUUGAUUAAUUUAUUCUCAUUUUGUAUUCUAGCAAAAUUUGCUAUCUUGAUUAAUUUAUUCAUUCAGAGCUUUGCUCUCAAUAAUUUUUCAUCUUAUCCAUUGUGAUAAUCCUUUCAUCUUAUUCAUCUCAUAUCUUAGCAAAAUUUGCUAUCUUGAUUGAUUCAUUCAUUUCAAGCUUUGCUCUCGACAAAAUUUUAUCUGGUCCAUUUUGAUAAUCUUUUUCAAGCAUUUUUCUUUGAAAUAACGAUUAUUGGACUGAUAAUGUUCAAGCAAAAGAAGUUUUGCAUAUUACUCUGAAAGCUUCUAAAUAGUACGAGGACCUAAAGCAGGGCUAUUGUUUAGAACUAACCAACUUAAGGGUUAGAAGCAUUGGAGAAAGAAUAAUCUAAAUUGCGACUAUUUCUUUGGUUUUUCUAUCAAAGAUACCACUGAAUAAGAAAGCAUCGGUGAUAAAACCUUGAUGAACAAUAAAGAAUGACAAUCUAAGCAUUAAAAAUGGAUCAUUCUCAUGACAUUCUACAAAUAUCAUACAUACACAUCUAGUUAGGAGCAUUUUAUUCAUUCUAAUCAUGACAUCCUAAAUGCUAGGCAUAAAUAGGUAUAUAAAAUGGAUUUUACAGGUCAUGUUCCCCAAGGAACAGAUCAAUGAAGUUACCCAUACCCCUGAAGUUGCAGUGGGAUGGAUUGAAGUCAUCAUAUCCAACAUUAUCUCCCUGAGCAACAGUGGAGAAGGUUGAAGAAAGCAAGUCUUGUCUUCCUGUAUUGGCAGCGAAGUAGACUGAAGAUAGCAGAUCUUGUCUUAUUGUAUUGGCAGCGAAGUAGACUGAAGAUAGCAGAUCUUAUCUUCCUGUAUUAGCAGCAAAAUGGAUCAAAGAUAGCAGAUCUUGUCUUUCUGUAUUGGCAGUAAAGUGGAUCAAAGAUAGUAGAUCUUGUCUUCCUGUAUUGGCAGCGAAGUAGAUCGAAGAUAGCAGAUAUUAUCUCCUUGAGCAGCAGUGGAGUAGAUCGAAGAUAGCAAGUCUUGUCUUCCUAUAUUGGCAGCGAAGUAGACUGAAGAUAGCAGAUCUUGUCUUCCUGUAUUGGCAGCGAAGUAGACUGAAGAUAGUAGAUCUUGUCUUCCUGUAUUGGUAGCGAAGUAGAUCGAAAAAAGUAGAUCUUGUCUCCCUGAGUAGCAGUGGAGUAGAUCGAGGAUAGCAAGUCUUGUCUUCCUGUAUUGGCAGCAAAGUAGAUUGAGGAUAGCAGAUCUUGUCUUCCUGUAUUGGCAGCAAAGUAGACUGAAGAUAGUAGAUCUUGUCUUCCUGUAUUGGCAGCGAAGUAGAUCAAAGAUAGCAGAUCUUGUCUCCCUAAGCAGCAGUGAAGUAGAUCGAAGAUAGCAAGUCUUGUCUUCCUAUAUUGACAACGAAGUAGACUGAAGAUAGCAAGUCUUGUCUUCCUGUAGUGGCAGUAAAGUAGACUGAAGAUAGGAAGUCUUGUCUUCCUGUAUUGGCAGCGAAGUAGACUAAGGAUAGCAGAUCUUAUCUUCCUGUAUUUGGCAGCAAAGUAGAUCGAAGAUAGCAAGUCUUAUCUUCCUGUAUUGACAGUGAAAUAGACUGAGGAUAGUAGAUCUUAUCUUCCUGUAUUGGCAGCGAAGUAGAUCGGAGAUAGCAAGUCUUAUCUCCCUAAGCAGUAGCAGAGCAGACAGAUGAAACCAAUCCUAUCUCUCUGAAGUUGCAGUGGAGCAGAUUAAAAUGAUGAAUCAUAUGCCUCUGAAAUUACAGUAGGUCGAAUUAGAUCAUAUCACAUCAAACCUUAUCUCCCUGAAGUUACAGUGGAGCAGACUAAAACCACGAAUCUCAUCCCCACGGAUUUACAACAGAGUAGAUUGAAGUCAUAUCUCUCUGAGGAUGCCGUGAAGAGGAUCAAAGUCAUAAGGCGCAGUGGGCUAGAAAGAGACUACUUGAAGAAGAGGAGUAUCAAGAGAUCAAGAUUCGUGCGACCAUUGAACGUAAAAUCAAAAUGCUUAAAGUGUAUGGAGAUUCCGCGUUGGUGAUAUACCAACUCAAAGGAGAGUGGGAAACCAAAGACCCUAAAUUGAUCAAUUAUAAAGAACUGGUUCUUGAAUUGAUUUACGAGUUUGAUGACAUCACCUUCAGUUAUCUCCCAUGAAAGGAAAACCAAAUGACUGAUGCAUUGGCUACUCUAGCUUCGAUGAUUCAGGUGAACAGGCUUGAAGUAAUGAAGCCUAUUCAGAUGAGUAUCUACAAAACCCCAGCUCAUUGCUACAAUAUUAAGGGGAAGGGAAAAGACAAUCACCCUUGGUAUCGGAGUAUCCUACAGUAUGUGAAGAAUCGGGAGUACCCUAGCCAGGCAACAGAGAACGACAAGAGAACUCUGAAAAGAAUAGCCAUCGAAUAUAUCUUAGAUGGGGAAGUGUUAUACAAAAGAAGGAAAGAUCAGGUAUUGUUAAGAUGUGUAGAUGCCGUAGAAGCUAAGAAAAUUUUGGAGGAAGUCCAUGAGGGUAUCUGUGAGACGCACGUCAAUGGCUUCACCAUGGCCAGAUAGAUCAUGAGAUUUGGGUACUAUUGGUCCACUAUGGAAGGGGAUUGCAUUAAUUACGCCAAGAAAUGCCAUAAAUGUCAAAUUUAUGGAGACAAGAUGCAUCCCCCCUUCGCUACUUCAUGUUAUGACCUCUCCAUGGCCAUUUUCCAUAUGGGGUAUGGAUGUCAUUGGGCCGAUAUCGCCAAAGGCUUCUAACGGGCAUCGUUUCAUCUUCAUAGUCAUUGAUUACUUCACUAAGUGGGUAGAAGUUGCUUCUUAUGCAAAUGUCACGAAGUCAGCAGUUAGUAAAUUCUUGAAAAAUGAGAUUAUUUGUCGAUAUGGAAUGCCUGAGAGAAUCAUAUCCAACAAUGCGCUGAAUUUGAACAAUAGCACAAUAGCAGAGGUUUGCAGCCAAUUUAAGAUCAAGCAUCAUAACUCAUCGCCGUAUCGUCCAAAAAUGAAUGGUGCAGUAGAGGCGACCAAUAAGAAUAUUAAAAGAAUUGUGGGGAAAAUGACUGAGACUUACAAAGAUUGGCAUGAGAAGUUAUCAUUUGCUCUCCUUGCCUAUCGAACAUCUGUUAGAACUUCUACUAGGGCAACACCUUUUUCUCUAGUUUACGGAAUGGAGGCAAUAUUACCCAUCGAAGUUGAAAUCCUCUCUCUACGGGUAUUAUCCGAACUCUAGUUGGACGAGGCUGAAUGGGUCCAAUCUCGUUAUGAUCAGUUGAACCUAAUAGAGGAGAAGAGAUUAAAAGCUAUUUAUCAUAGGCAAAUGUACCAGAAACGAAUGAUGUGAGCCUAUGAUAAAAAGGUUCACCCCAGAGAAUUUAGUGAAGGAGAUUUGGUGCUAAAAAAGAUUCUUCCUAUGCAAAAGGACUUUAGAGGAAAAUGGAUGCCAAAUUGGGAGGGUCUUUAUGUCGUAAAGAAGGCCUUUGAUGGUGGAGCUUUGAUUCUAAGUGAGAUAACUGGAAAAGACUUGCCCAAUCCCGUAAAUUCAGACUCAGUCAAGAAAUACUUCACUUGAAGAAAAGGGACCAAAGUGAAAACCCGCAAAGGGCGCUUUGAUCCCUAAAAAAAAAGAAAUGAUGAUGAUAAAAAUGGAGAGGCUAAGGGGAAAACCCGCAAAGGGCACCUUAGGCCAAAGGGGAUUUGAGUUGAAAACCCGAAAAGGGCGGCUCAAAUGUUUGAUCAGAAUGGGACAUGAAAUGCUUAGAGCAGCUGGUAUCUUGAUCAGAUCGGGAUGUGUGGCAAUCUUGCUAUGCCUGAAUUAACAAGAAGGGAUAGGCGAUAUCUUGGGGCAUUGACAAAGCAUUGAAGAUCUCCUAAACACAUGUCAAACUCAGGAUGGCCUUUAGAAAGUUUGUACAGAGAAAUUCAAGCUGCGAUAUCUGGGGGAUUUAAUUCCCCUAUUAUUUUGUAUAUAUUGAAUUUUGUUGAUUCUUGGAAUAUUUUCUUUCUCUUUUCCAAGAUAUAUAUUCCCAAUCAAUUUCUCUACUAUUUGUGAUGACUUAUUUAUUUUUAGCUAUGUUCAGAACCAAAUUUAUUCUUAUAUAUUGUUAUGACCUUUUCUGCAAACAUGUUACAUUAGAAUAAUGAUUAAUGGACUAAUAAAACUUUCACAAAAGAAGUUUUGCAUAUUACUCUGAAAAGUUCCUAAAUAAUACAGGAGCCUAAAACAAGACUAUUGUUUAGAACACACCCAAUUUUAAAGAUUGGAAAUUUGAGAAGGAGUUUAAAUUUGGACUUUCUCUUUGGAUUUUGUUGUCAAAUGCAUUGAUUGGCAAGAUGCCAUGUUGAUGACGAAGCUUAAGUAAACAAGCAAACAAUGAUCACCAGGCAAGAGGAAGAGGUUACUUUGAAAAAGCCUUCAUCUACACAUAAGUUUCUAGUAUGACACCUUCAAAAUUGUGUGAGAAACCAGAACGAUUCAGAUCCUAUAUCCUUGAAUUGUGGGGAUUGAGGAAAAGCCACAUAUUUCUACCCUUGGAUUACAAUGGGAAAGUGGUGGUACAAUUUUUUUGCGCCCCAAUGGUUUAAACUUUAAGGUUCACAGUGGGGGCAAUCUGACUAAGUGAUUCUUUGAAGAAGCCGGUCAAGCGAGGAGGCGUUACAGCACAUCAGUGUUAAAGCCUUAAUAAAUUUCGAGUAAUAAUAACCUAAGCGGGAUCAUUCUCAAAAAAUAAAAUUCUGCAUUCAUGCAAACACUAUCCACACAUGUCUAUUUAGGAGCAUUCGAUUCAUUUUGAUCAUGCCAUCCUAAUCAUUAGGCAUAAUUAGGUUCAUUAUACAGGUCAUGUUCCCCAGAGAAUAGAUCAAUAAAGAUCGAAAACAAAGCCUUGCCUCCAUCGGUUGCAGUGGAGCGGAUUAAAAUAAAGGAUCUUAUCUCUCUGAAGUUACAGUAGAGUAGAUCGCAUCAGAUUGAAGCCAAAAAUCUUAUCUCCCUAAGAUUACAGCGGAGCAGAUUGAAGCUAGAAAUUCUAUCUCCCUGAGAUUACAGUGGAGCGGAUUAAAAUAAAGGAUCUUAUCUCUCUGAAGUUAUAGUAGAGUAGAUCGCAUCAGAUUGAAGCCAGAAAUCUUAUCUCCCUGAGAUUACAGUGGAGCAGAUUGAAGCUAGAAAUCCUAUCUCCCUGAGAUUACAGUGGAGCAGAUUAAAAUAAAGGAUCUUAUCUCUCUGAAGUUAUAGUAGAGUAGAUCGCAUUAGAUUGAAGCCAGAAAUCUUAUCUCCCUGAGAUUACAGUGGAGCAGAUUGAAGCUAGUAAUCCUAUCUCCAUGAGAUUACAGUGGAGCGGAUUAAAACAAAGGAUCUUAUCUCUUUGAAGUUACAGCGGAGUAGAUCGCAUCAGAAUGAAGCUACAACAGCAAAUCUCACUACCCCGACCUCACAAUUAAGCAGAUUAAGGUUACGAGUUACAAAUCCUAUCUCCCUGAUGUUACAGUGGAGUGGAUCGAAGCACCAAUUCCUAUACCUCUGAAGAUGUAGUAGGUUGAAAUGAGUCAACUCGAAGAAGAAGAGCACCAAGGUCCAAACACGACUGGGCAAAAAGGGGCUUUAGUCUUUGCACCGUUCCCGUUACACGACAACAAGCAAAGAGGGGUAGCUGUAAUAGCCCAUUUUUGCCCGGGCCCGUAAUAAGUAAACCAAAAUUAAAAAUUAAAAAUUAAAGUCCAAAAAAUAAUAAUAGAGUCCAUUUUUUACAAUAGGCCUAAUAGCCCAAAUCCACUACCCAAACCUAAUUAGCCCAAAUCCACUACUUAAACCCAACUAGCCCAAAUGCCCAUGACCGAACACUAAAUCUGAUUAGCCCAAUUACAGUGGCCCGACACCUAACCCAAAACCCGAUUCAGCCCAAUUAGCCCAUUUUGAAAAAGCAUUCCAGAAAUCACUAGGGUUUCUAGAACCCUUCAGCCGCCAUUGCCACGCACGGGCUCCCCUUCGAGCCACUCCUCACGCGCGUGAUGCCUUCGUACGCCACGCAUGCCUCCGUACGGCCACCUCUGUACCUCUAGGCUGGCCGAGUACCUGCAAAUACAAGCGAACACACGGAAGCAGCAACAAAUAGAAAAACAACAGCAUUUUUAUUUUAUUUUUUUAUUUUCUGUAAAUGGGGCUAUAAAGAAGCCAUUCGAACACUGUAAACGAUUUACACGCAUUUUCAGAAUACAGAAAUCAAAAAAAGUUCCAAAAGGUGAUUUUCGGUUCUCUUUUCUUUUUCGCAGAUCGUUUUCCUUCUUUCCUUUUGUUUUUACAUACAUUAGUCAUCUGUUAAAGGAGAAAAGGGGAACCAAAAGGGAAGAGGGGCAUACCUGAGGGCCGGAUUUUUGCUCACUCCGCAGCCAUCGGAGUUGGGGCGAAUAUUGGGAGUCUUUGGAGGCAAUGAAUCCCCAGAGCGGCGACGAGCCUUUCUUUUUGUUUAGGUUUUGCUAAUGUAAACCCUAGGUUUUAGGAUUUAUUUAGUUUUUAAGUGCAUGAAUUAAAACGACGCCGUUCAGAGUCAAUGCAAUGGCACUGAAAUGACAUUGUUUUGGAGACUCAACCCAAACGAUGACCCGAUCCGGGAAGGAUCCGCACAAUAUGGGUCGAAUGGUUUAUUUGCUAAAUAGGUCCCUGUGUGUUUAUUGAGAUUACGUUUUGUUUUUUUAUUUAAUUGUAAUUUGUACGGCACAUUUAAUUUUGUUUCCAUUCAGAUCCGACUUGAUACGGUACCGUUCUGCGGUUGAUUGUUAUUGUUUAUAAUGCUUGCGUUUAAUUGUUGGUUUAGUCCUCCAAGGUUAAAAAGGAUUUCGAUUUGAUACAAAUUUAGAUUUUUUUACUCAAAAUGCCUUUAAUUAUAAUUAAUCCUACUUUUAUAAACGGAUUUCAUUAUUGUUUUAAUUUUAUCUAAGCUUCGAUUUUUAAAAGAAUUUGUUGAUUAUUAUUUUCAAUGUCAAAAAAUGCCUUUUAUGUUAAUUUUGAUUUAAAAAGUUUUUUUUAAAUAAAUCAAUUUUUAAUAUUACUUUAAUAGAUAUUUUUUUCAAAUUUAUUAUUAGCACAAAUUCUAUUUUUUAAAAAAAAUAUAAUAAUAAUAAUAUAUUUUUUAAUUGUUAUCAAUAUGUUUUAAAUGUAUCAAUAUUAUUUAAAAAUACAUAUAAUUUAAAUUAGACUAUUUUAGUAUAUAUGUACAUAGGGUAUAUCGUUAACUUCAAAUUAACCUUUUAUUCACAUAAUUUUUUAUACAUAAUUGUUUUAUUUCUUAAACCUUAUUUAUUUUAUUCGUUUUGGUGGGUUGUCAAAUUAUUAAUAUGGAUGUUUGUAUAAUAUGAUUAAGGUCAAUGUUAGUAUUUGCCUAUUAUUUGUUUAAUUGUUUCUAGUUUAAGUUUAAAUUGUUAUUUAUAUUUUGCAUUACAAGUUGUUAUUCAAUUAUGUUGGUUGUAAAAAUUUCAUUUCGUUAAAAUAUUAUAAUCGUUUCAUUUCAAAAGUUCAAAAAAGAGGCUUGGUGUUAAAUAAUUCUCGAGAGAAUUGUGCCCUAACUUACUGGGCCUCAAUUCUUCUCGAUGAAUUUAUAUCAUCAAGUAUCCCUUUCUUUAAGACAUUUAAAAAAAAAUUCUUUAGAUUUCAAAAUGUUGGAUCCUAACUUACUGGAUGUGACAUUUUGUUAUCUCGUUUUUAAAUAAAGGAAAUAUUUGGUGUUUAAGGAUUUUAAGAAAAUUGAACUCUAACUUACUGGGUUUUGAUUUUCUCGAUCGAUUUAAAUAACCAAAUAUCCUUCUCAAAAUGUAUGAAUUUGUUUUAAAUUUUAAAAAGGGACGAAUCUAACUUCGAAGAUUGAAUCGUUGCACUCUAACUUACUGAAUAUAACGAUUUAUUUCUUUAAAGUAGGUAAGUCUUAUUUCCCAAUCCGAUUACUCAAAUUUUCUUUUCAAAGGAUUGUAUUUUAAAAUCCUUUCAAAGUUUCGACAUUAAGACAUUAAAUAAUCGAUUCGGUACCAAUUUUGGGCAUUACGAGGGUGCUAACCCUUCCUCGUGCGUAACCGACUCUCGAACCUUAUUUUUUUCAAAAUUCGCAGACCUAAAAUUAUUUUCAAGGUGAUCUGAUUACACCACAAUAAAAUAUCAGUGGCGACUCCCAUUUCCGUUUUCAUUUUAAAAGUCGAUCCCCGUUUUUUUAAAUUUCAAAAAAAAUGGUUUCGACAAGAAACAAAUGAUUCAUUAUAUAUAUAAUAUAAUUAUGAAAUUCAAGCCAUAUAUUUUAUGUUUCAUACAUAAAAAUUUCAUGGGAGGCCCAAAGGUAAUUAAAUGACUUGUAGGCUUGCUGAAUUUCUUUGAAAGGCCCAAAGGCAAUUUAACAUUCACAAAAUAAUCUCUAAAUACUGUAAAGACAAAUCAAAUCCACAGUAGCAUAAGAGUUGAUUAAGCUAAGCAUUGGCAAAUAUUACUAUGAUUUUGCAUGCAAUAUUGGCAAAACCUCCUCUUACAUUAGAAAAACAACAUAAUCCAUGAAACAUUGAUAGCCCAAUACAAAUUUCAUCGACAUGAAAGUCUCUUUGUUUUGUAGAACAUGAUAGUAAAGAUGUGGAGUUUCAUUCUUCUUAUUGGCCUCCUUUAGUUUUCCUUGAUCAACAACCACUAGCCAAAAACACAAUUAGAUUACAUUAUCAAUGAUACUCUCAACUAUGACAAUAUUAAAUACAAAACACUCUAAAUAACUCUAAAUAAAUGGAAAGCAGCAAAAUUACCUGACGAGACAAGCUAGCUCAAUUAAGACCAUUGUGUUAUACUUGUCUCUGAAUUGAAAAUUUUAGAAGGAAAUAAAGAGAAAGACUUAGAAAAUACUUGAAAACAGGUAAAACUUAUAUGUCAUUUAAAAUAAAAAAUUUCUAUAUAAGCCAUUUAAAAUUUUUAAGAUUUUUAAAAUUUUAAAAUGAUAAAGGUAAAAUUGUACUUUGGCAUCCCAAAAAUGACAAAACUUUGAUUUAAUUCUUUAGAAAUUAUAAAAAUAUAGGCUAUUAAAAUGGUGAAAUUAUAUUUUUACUAUAGUAAAAAAUUACAAUUUAAUUUCACCCCUAAAAGGACUUUCUCACUUCGCCCCUAAUAAAAUCUUUUGCAAAAGAUUAAAAUAAAAUUAUACAUAAGAAAAUCCAAUCUAACAAAGAAAAUAACUUCUUGUCCAAAAGCUACCAUAAACCGUAAUUCAUGGGAAGGCUUGUUGCUUAUUUUAUUGGUUUCCAUUUCGAUUUUGCAAAAGAAGUUUGAAUUUUGAAGAGAGCCUACUACGUGAGAGCAAAAGAAAAAAAAAGUUUAUAUGAUUAAAUUCCAGAAUAGAUUAAAAAUGUUGAAUUAAAGAUAAAAUUAAGUGUGAAUUAAAAAAAUUUCUAUUUAGGCCCUUUAAAAUUUUAAAAUGAUAAAGAUAAAACUGUACUUUGGCACCCAAAAAAAAUAAAAUUUUAAUUUAAUCCUUUAAAAUUUAUAAAAAUAUAGGUUAUUAAGUGUGAAUUAAUAACCACAAGUGUAUUCAUUACUCACCAUCUCUGUUAAAAAUGUUGGAUGUUGUUUAGCAACCUUUGUUUGAUUUUCUUCAGCUCAACCACAACAUCUUUCAUAUCUUUUCUUUCUUCUGGUAACUCAGCUGAACAAUUCAAAGCCAACUCCAUGAUAGAUGAAAUACAAUUUGCUUUAACAACAAUGUACUCAUCCUCUCUUCUUAAUAAAUCAACAUCUGCAAUUUCUAUCGCUCCUUUAGGCAAUGAUCUUUCCAUCCAAUGCCUUAUACUCUCUUCUUCAACAAAAACAUUAUCAGUUGGCUUUUUCUUUGUGAAAGUUUCUAUAAGGACGAUCCCAUAACUAUAGAUGUCAGAUUUUAUAGAAACAAUUCCUACUGAUCCAAAUUCUGCAUUUCAAGUAUAAUUAGAACAUCAUCAAUCCUCAAUUAUUUCUAAAAUGCUUAUUCAAAUAUAUAUCCACAUCCACAUGAAACAAAAAUAUAAAAUGCAUAUUAGGAAAAUAAUCAUACAAAAAUAAAAAAGAAUUCACCUGGUGCUAUAUACCCGAUAGUUGCAAGAGUCAUGGUUUGCUUCAUUACUUCACCUUCCCCCAACAAUUUGGCAACGCCACAAUCUCCAACAUGUGCAACCAUGUCUUCAUCUAGUAAAAUAUUGCUUGGUUUUAUGUCACAGUGAAUUAUAGGUGUUGGAUGUCCAUUGUGGAGGUGUUCUAUGGCUACCGCAACAUCUAUCAUUAUGUCGACCCUUUGUAUGAUAUCAAGGAAACAAUUUUCAGAAUGUAACCAUUUCUCAAGGUUUCCAUUAGACAUGUAAGCAAGCACCAAGGCUUUGAAGUCAACACUUGAGCAGCAAGUAAUGACCUUCACAAUAUUACGAUGAACUAUAUUACGCAUAGCAUCACAUUCAAUGUCAAAACUGCUAAAUGCUCCCUCUGUUUGCAAAUUAAAAACUUUUAUUGCAACUUCCAUUCCAUCUGAAAGCCUCCCUUUAUAUACAUAUCCAAAACUCCCUGAACCAAGCAUAUUGCUUUCCUCAAAUCCAUUAGUUGCUCGUGAAAGCUCAGCAUGUGAAAUUCUUCUCGGUGUUAUCAAAGACAACAAAUCAUCUUUAAUUGGUAGACUUGUACUCCUUCUUCGGCAUCUUCUAUACAUAAUAGUUAAGACUAUUAGUACUACGACAAUACCAAUUGUUGGUAAACCAUACCUAAAAGCAUGCAAUAUAAUCAUUUGGGAGUUUUUGUGGAUGUCAUUUUUGCAAGGGGGGACUAGCAAUCUAGGUGGACCACAAAGUGCAUAAUUCUUCAUGAAUGAUGUGCUAGAAAAGUUUGAAAAACAUCCUUUGCUUGGAAUUUCCCCUUCAAGUCUAUUGAAAGACACAUUAAAAUACUUUAGAUAUAAAAGCUUUUCCAAAGAUUUGGGAAUGACUCCAGAGAGAUUGUUAUUGCAUAAAUCCAAGAAUUCCAAACUAAUCAACCCAUCAAAUGAUUUAGGGAUAUAACCAUGUAGUAUAUUAUUUGAUAAAUCUAAUGAAACCAAAGUUUGAAGACCCCCAAAUGAGGAUAGGAUAUCGCCCGAGAGAAGAUUCCUUGAUAAAUUUAGUUUCAGUAGACUCCUCAAAUUUCCAACAUCAAUAGCAUGUGAAUUCUGAAGAUGGUUUGAUGAUAAAUCUAUUUCUAAGAUAUCUUUAAGAUUCCACAAAGUUGAGGGUAUUGUAGAACUCAAUUUGUUGGAAUUUAAGUAAAGAUAUCCCAAAGAAGUAAUAUUACCCAAACAAGAGGGUAUGGAUCCAUGCAGCUUAUUCAACCCUAAAUACAUCUCGUAUAGUCUCUCCAAAUCACAAAGGCUUUCUAAGAUGUGCCCUCCUAAUUUAUUAGAGGAAAGAUCUAGAGCUUGGAGAUUUCGCAGUCCUCCUAUUGAUGCUGGAAUGAAUCCACUUAAUUUAUUAUGGCGAAGUUGUAAAAGCAAUAGGUUGGUUAUGUUACCUAUUUCCAUAGGAAUAAUGCCUUGAAGCUCACAAUUAGAGGCAUAAAAGUAUUGAAGGGAUUUUGAAAGGUUCCCGAUAUAAGUAGGAAGAACGCCACUCAAUGGAUUUCCUGAAACUCCUAUGGUUUUCAAAUUCUUACAAUUCGUCAAAGAAGAAAGAAAGCUCCACUCAUGAUCAGUAGCAGACCCUGUGAUCAAAUUAUUGUUCAUGAUUUGGAACCAUUCAAGGUGUCUUAAGUUGCCAAGCGUUUUAGGGAUUGGGCCAGAGAAUAAGUUAUCUUCCAAGUCUAGUAUCUUAAGCAUGGAAGCAUUGGAGAUAGAGUUGGGAAUGUUUCCUCUAAGUUUAUUUCCCCACAAUGCAAGAAUCUCAAGCUUUGGAGCAUUGGUGAUGGGUGGUAAAUUACCUGUAAAAUAGCAUCUUUUAGUAUACAUAUUCAUUGAAUACCAAAUUCACAAAAUAUAUAAUACAUUAAUAAUAUGAAGUUUCGAGUACUAAUUAGUCCUUGUGAUUUGUAUAGAAAAACAUAUAAUACGCUAAUAAAUUUUUAAAAUAUUGUAAAACUUGAAAUAAAAUAAAAAUAAAAUGUUGGUAUGAGAAUGUGGCAUCUAAUCAAUUUUAAAAAUGAGACUGACACUGAAUAAUAAAUAGUUAUGAUUUGGGAAACAAAAAUAUUAAAGCCAUUGUUUAUCUUUAUUAAAUUAUAGUGUAAAAUUUAAAGAUUACUAUUUGCUCAAAAUUUUUGUAUUUUUCGUAUAUUUGAAAUUUAAUCUUUAUAUUUUUAUUUUCUGUGAUUUAGUCUCUCUACUUUUUGAAUUGAAAAUUUUAAGUUUAUUUAUUAAAACUGUUAAGAAGUUUUUGGGUUAGUAUGGCAUUUUGAAAAAUAAAAUAAACUUGAUAUCUAUGUUUUUAAUUAUUUCAAAUAAUGUUUUACUAUUCCAAGAUAAAUUAUUUGUGUCUAGACCAAUAUCUUAAGAACUAUUGUUGCAUGUUUAAUUAUUCAAAAGAAUUGUUGAUUGAGUCUUAGCUUGAUUGACAUGUGUAUUGUUACCAAUGUAAGAGAAUGUGGGUUCAAGUAUGCUAAAGUGCAUUAUCUUCUUAUUUAUAAAUUGGGGAGUUGGUAAGGUAUUAAAUUUUGAUAUAUUUUAAAAUAUUAAAAUUUUAUUAAAAUAUUUUUUAUAAAAAUUGAUUGCACCACAAUAUACAAUUUUAAUAUCAAAUUUUUAAUUUUUUUAAAAAAUAUUAGCGACUAUAUACUUUAUUUCAAGUUACACAAAUUUUACUAGUUUUUAACUUUUUUUUAAAUAUUUACCGUCUUUUAUAAUUUUUUACAAUAUUUAAAAAUUUCUGCCAAUUUUUAAUAAUUUUAUUAUUUAUUACAAAUUUAAAAAUUAACAAAUUUAAAAAUUAACAAAUUUUUAUUUUUUAAACAAUUAUAUAUUUAUAAUGUAGUUAUUUUUUAUAUAAUUUCACUUUAAAUUUUAAAGAUUUUUUGGGUUUUUUUUUAGAUGAUGAUGCCGUUAUGAUGUCAUCAUAUACCACAUGGCAAUUUAUGAUUAGUUGGAUAUCUCAAUCUAUUUUUUAAUUUCCAAUGGACUAAACCAAGAACACCUGAUAAUGUUAGAGACUACACUAGCAAUGUUUGAUAAUAUUAGGUACUAAAGUGGGCAAAAAAAUAUUAAGAACCAAAGUAAAAAAAAAAAAAAGAAGAAGAAGCAAUAUGCUGUAGAGAAUAAACUAUGCAUUAAGCCAUUAAAAAUAUAUCUAUAAUAUAUAUAAAUGCAUGGAUUUUGAGAAACUUUUGAAGUGAUAAUUAUAUAGUCUUUGUUGUUUACUAUAUUAUUGAAUUUGUUAUUUUAAAUAUUUUUUUAUUACUUUUAAGAUUUAUUGGAUAAGAAUUUUGGUUUUUACUAAAAUAUUUGGUUAAAUAAAUUAACUUCAUAAGAAAAUUUAGCAUCCUUAUAAAUAACAAUUUUGAUUCUAUUAAAAAAUUAUUUUAAAAAGCAUAUAAUAAAAAUUUAAAAUUUAUAUUGAAUUACUUUAUACUUAAAUUAUUAUUAGAAAUUUUAUACUUAAAUUUAUGAGAACCACAAAUUUAGAACUUAAAUUUGUGUUUUAAAAUAACUUAUGAUAAAUAAUGAAAUGUAUAAUUUGAAACUAUUUAAUAAUAACACAUGGCAUAUCUACCAUAUUGAAAUAAAAAUAGAUUAAAUUGUAAGUAAAACAUAAUUUAAGCAUAGGUAUACAUCAAAUUAAGAAUACUAAAUGAAUACAGUUAUUUAUGAUGAUGUUGUUGUCAAUUCCUAAGUUGGUGUCGAGUUAAUUUGUGACAUCAUAAAUUUAAGUGAUAAAUUUAAGGUUUUACGUAUUGAUGUGGAUUGAAAUAUCACCAUACUUUUUUUAAAAUAAAAAACUAAAAUACCCUCAAAUAAUAUAACUUAUAUUAAAUAUGAAAGGGUAAUUUUGUAAUUUCUCUGACUGAGUUGGUGCCAGGUUGACUCAUGACACCAACUAAAUCGAAAGCUUCAAUAAUAAUAUAGAUAUUCACAUUAAAAAAAAGUACUUUAGUUCCAAAUAAUUAUAUAACAAGUAAAUUUAUAAUUGACGAAUAAAUUUAUAGAUAAUAUAUUUAUAUGAUCUAAUAUAUUAUAUUUAUAUUAAUUAUAUAUCAUCUACAAACUUUGAAAAUCAAUUUAUUAAGUAUCAGGAAAAGAAAAAAAUGAAAUUGAAUUAACACUAAAUCAAUUUUUGAAUUAACAAAAAAUUAGUGAUAUAUUUUAAUUAUAUUUAUUAUUUAUUUUUUUAAUAAUAUUUUUUUAAUUAUAUGAAGUAAAAUUAUAUUGUAUGAAGUAAAAAAAAUAUAUUUUCCGCAUUGGUUUCUUUUAUUCUACAGACAAAGGAUUUCUAAUGAUUUUUUAAAAAAAAAUUACUUAUAUAGAAUAGAUUAGUUUAUGCAAUAAAAAAUAAUUUCUUUUUUUAAAGUUUAAUGGAAAUUAAAAAAUUAAAAAUAAAUCAAUUCAUAUAAAUCUUAUUGUUUAUUAUCAUAUUAAAAUGAUAAAAAGUAUAUGACCAAAAUAGAAGAAACAAAUUCAACACAAUGUUUUUGGAGUUUAUUAUCAUAUUUCUAAUUUGUUGUUAAAUAGAUCUAUUUCUUCCAGCGUAGUUGAAUUAAAAAUAUUUGAUGGAAUCUGACCUGCACACAUAGUCGAAAAUUGAAGUGAAAAUUAUAUCUUCUAAACUGUUCAACUAAAAAUACUUUAAGCAUAUUUUUUAAGGUUAUUGCAUUUACCCAUGCCAAAUGGAAUGCUACCAAAUAACUCAUUGCUAUGCAAGUAAAGCCCUUCAAGCUUGGGAAGAUGUUGACACAUAUCAUUAGGAAAUUACCUGAUAGGCUAUUUUUGGAGAGAUCAAUGGUCUUCAGAGAAGAAAUGUUGAAGAUCAAAGUUGGAAUCUGACCUGUAAGGCCUUUAAUUGCUUGAAUAUUAAGCAAUUCCAAACCAUGAAGAUUACCAAUUUCCUCAGGAAUUUGACCUGCACACAUAGUCGAAAAAUCAAGGUGUCAAACUACCUAUUUUGUUAGCAUAAGUCAAAGAGGUUUUCUUUUCUGUUCUAUGGUAAUUUGGAGAUGUUAGAUUUUCAUAUAUUUCAGCAUAUGUUUUUCAUCAAAUGAAAUAAAAACUUUUUCCUUUUGUUAUCUAUUACAAAUCAAACUCUUUUAUAAAAAAAAUACUUAAAAUUCAAGAAAUCAAGGAAAUUGAUUACCUUCUAGAUUAUUAAAUCCCAAAUAUAAUUCUCUGAGUUGUGUCAGAUUUCCAAUACUUCUUGGAAUGAUCCCCGUCAAUUGAUUCAAGGACAAGGACAAAUUAUUAAGGUUGCUGCACUUGCCCAUACUUGACGAAAUGUUACCAGAUAACUCAUUGCUCUGCAAGUAAAGCCCUUCAAGCUUGGGAAGAUGUUGACACAUAUCAUUAGGUAAACUACCUGGUAGGCUAUUGCUGGAGAGAUCAAUGGUCUUCGAAGAAGAAAUGUUGGAGACCGAAGUUGGAAUCUGACCUGUAACGCCUUUAAUUGCUUCAAUAUUAAGCAAUUCCAAACCAAGAAGAUUACCGAUUUCCUCAGGAAUUUGGCCUGCACACAUAGUCGAAAAAUCAAGGUGUCAAACUACCUAUUUUGUUAGCAUAAGUCAAAGAGGUUUUCUUUUCUGUUCUAUAGUAAGUUGGAGAUGUUAGAUUUUCAUAUAUUUCAGCAUAUGUUUUUCAUCAAAUGAAAUAAAAACUUUUUUCUUUUGUUAUCUAUUACAAAUCAAACUCUUUUAUAAAAAAAUACUUAAAAUUCAAGAAAUCAAGGAAAUUGAUUACCUUCUAGAUUAUUAAAUCCCAAAUAUAAUUCUCUGAGUUGUGUCAGAUUUCCAAUACUUCUUGGAAUGAUCCCCGUCAAUUGAUUCAAGGACAAGGACAAAUUUUUAAGGUUGCUGCACUUGCCCAUACUUGACGGAAUGUUACCAGAUAACUCAUUGCUAUGCAAGUAAAGCACUUCAAGCUUGGGAAGAUGUUGACACAUAUCAUUAGGCAAACUACCUAAUAGGCUAUUGUUGGAGAGAACAAUGGUCUUCAGAGAAGAAAUGUUGAAGAUCGAAUUUGGAAUCUGACCUGUAACGCCUUUAAUUGCUUGAAUAUUAAGCAAUUCCAAACCAUGAAGAUUACCGAUUUCCUCAGGAAUUUGACCUGCACACAUAGUCGAAAAAUCAAGGUGUCAAACUACCUAUUUUGUUAGCAGAAGUCAAAGAGGUUUUCUUUUCUGUUCUAUAGUAAUUUGGAGAUGUUAGAUUUUCAUAUAUUUCAGCAUAUGUUUUUCAUCAAAUGAAAUAAAAACUUUUUCCUUUUGUUAUCUAUUACAAAUCAAACUCUUUUAUAAAAAAAAUACUUAAAAUUCAAGAAAUCAAGGAAAUUGAUUACCUUCUAGAUUAUUAAAUCCCAAAUAUAAUUCUCUGAGUUGUGUCAGAUUUCCAAUACUUCUUGGAAUGAUCCCCGUCAAUUGAUUCAAGGACAAGGACAAAUUAUUAAGGUUGCUGCACUUGCCCAUACUUGACGGAAUGUUACCAGAUAACUCAUUGCUAUGCAAGUAAAGCACUUCAAGCUUGGGAAGAUGUUGACACAUAUCAUUAGGCAAACUACCUAAUAGGCUAUUGUUGGAGAGAACAAUGGUCUUCAGAGAAGAAAUGUUGAAGAUCGAAUUUGGAAUCUGACCUGUAACGCCUUUAAUUGCUUGAAUAUUAAGCAAUUCCAAACCAUGAAGAUUACCGAUUUCCUCAGGAAUUUGACCUGCACACAUAGUCGAAAAAUCAAGGUGUCAAACUACCUAUUUUGUUAGCAUAAGUCAAAGAGGUUUUCUUUUCUGUUCUAUAGUAAUUUGGAGAUGUUAGAUUUUCAUAUAUUUCAGCAUAUGUUUUUCAUCAAAUGAAAUAAAAACUUUUUCCUUUUGUUAUCUAUUACAAAUCAAACUCUUUUAUAAAAAAAUACAUAAAAUUCAAGAAAUCAAAGGAAAUUGAUUACCUUCUAGAUUAUUAAAUCCCAAAUAUAAUUCUCUGAGUUGUGUCAGAUUUCCAAUACUUCUUGGAAUGAUCCCCGUCAAUUGAUUCAAGGACAAGGACAAAUUUUUAAGGUUGCUGCAUUUGCCCAUACUUGACGGAAUGUUACCAGAUAACUCAUUGCUAUGCAAGUAAAGCACUUCAAGCUUGGGAAGAUGUUGACACAUAUCAUUAGGCAAACUACCUGAUAGGCUAUUGCUGGAGAGAAUAAUAAUCUUUAGAGAAGAUAUGUUGAAGAUGGAAGAUGGAACCUGACCAGAUAAUUGAUUGAGUCCCAAGUUCAAAAUCUCUAGAUUAGAUAUGCUAACAAGUGUUUCAGGGAUUGUGCCUGUAAAGUAAUUAUUUUUCAUUUGUAGCCUUCGAACUCUCUGUAAGUUCCCAAGCCAUGAUGGAAUUUCCCCAUUCAGACGGUUGUAGCUUAAUUGAAGGAUCCUCAAACGAUGCAAUUGGCCCAAUUCUUUAGGGAGAUGGCCAUAGAAAUGGUUGCUACUCAAGUCGAGAGAGAGUAGAAAUGAAAGAUUUCCAAGGUGUGGAGGGAUAGUACCCCUAAGAUUCAUGCUUGUAAGAUUCAAAGCUAUAACUCUUUUAUGGAGGAUGCCACAAGAGACACCAAUCCAAUUGCAAACAGAGGUUGAGGCCGUCCAAUUGUCUGCCAAGACAAUUUGAGGACCGCCAAUACGAUCCUUAAACUCAAGAAGUGCAAACUGAUCGGAGUUGAGAUUCCUGACUGUCAUAGCCAUGCAAAGUACGAAACAUGGUAUGAAUAAAGCUAAGAGAAGAUGAAAGCAAGUUUUGUAGUUCAUGAUUGCAAGACAGAAUAAGGCAAGAAAAUAAAAAAAGUAGGAAAAGGGCAGUUGAGUUGAUAAAAUAGUUUGGAUGAUGAAGAAAAGCCCAGAGAGCAUGCUUUAAUAUGUUUCAACCCUCGCACACUUGAUAAACUUGAUAAAAAUAUUUUGAUCUAAUAAAUGUAAAAAAAAAUUAAACAAAAUAAGGUUGAAAUAAUCUAUUUGUCCUUAUAUUUUGAUAAAGGUUGAGAUUAGUCCUUAUACUUAAAAGGUUAAAAAUAAAGUUUUCUUGUUUUUAUUUAAAAAUCUUAGUCCUAUCGUUAAUUUUUUUUGGGCAAAAUUUGUCAACUGGACAUAUUAAUUUGGUUUCCCUUAUAUGUCGUUGUAUAUGACUAACACAAAAUAAGCAAGUUGACAAAUUAUGACAAAAAAAUAUCAAAGAUGAUAAUAAUUUGAUUAAAAUUUUUAAAUUGAAUUAAUAACCUUUAACAUAUAAGGAAUGGAUAUCAAAUAUUUAUAGGAAUAAAGGGACAAACAACAUAUUUUAACCACAAAAUAAUAUGAGUGAUUAGAAUGAAUCUAAAAGAGACUAACAACAUAUUGAUAACUUUGAAAUCUCCUACGAUCAUCCUUUUUCUACGUAGAAAAAGAAAAUUAAUUAGCAUCUAAAGUGUCAAUUAAUGAAACCUUCAAAAGAAAAUGUGAAAGUGAUUUACCAAACAAUAAUAUUCUAACUUAUAAUAUAUUUAAUUACAUUUAGUACUUUAUCAAUCAAAACUUAAUUAACAUCCAUCAAUACUUCAUACAUAAGUAAAUUUACCAUUUAACUCAGAUUUAACUUUGCAAGUAAACUUGAAAUUUUAUUUAAUUUUGUCACUAAAUUUAAUUUGCUCAAUAUAGAUUUUGGUGACUUAAAACAAAAUUAAUAAAAAAUUAUUCUUUCAGACAUCUUUUUAAUGUUUAAUAAUAAGUUAAUUUAUAAAAUAUACUUUCAUUGGACACAAGCCUCCAAGGCAGUGAACCACUAAUCAAAUUAAUUUGGAGAUAUCUUUUUUUUCCAAAUAAAAUGGAUAUCAAGAGAUACCAAAAAUUAUUUCACUAAGAAAUUUUAAUUCACUCGAAAAGUUAGUGUUUUAUUUCAAGGGGUCAUAAUUAUAAAUUUUGAACUUUUUGACAAUUGCGUAAAUAAUAAAUACCAAUUUUGAGUGCUGUAGGGCUAGGACAAUCUCCCUUACACAUAACCGACUCUUGAACCUACUCUUUUCUCUAGAAUUCAACUCAGACCUCAAAUUUAUCUUUUGAAAAGAAUUUUAAAAUCUUUGUAUAAAAGGUGUAAAAAUAUAUAUUUUAUUAAUUACUAUAUAUUCUUUUAUUUUCAGAAUAAUAAAUUGUUUAAAAUAUGCUACUAGUCCCUAUAAUUUAAAAGUUAAAAGUAAUUGGGAUCUUGAGUGCAUCAAAUUCCUCCUUUUAUUAUUAAAUGUUUUAUUUUAGUUACUCUAAUUAAAUAUAUCCAAAUUGUAAUAAACAUUUAUUAUAUAAAAAAUAUUUUAAAUUUAUUUCAAUUGCAAUUUAAUUUUAGUAGAAAUAUUUCAUUUAUAAAAUCAUAAAAUUUUAAAAUAUUAACUUUAUUAAAUAAAAAAUAAUUUUUUUUAAACAGUAAAUGUUGACUUUAUUAACACAAAUGGGUCUUUAGGGUUAAACUUCAGUAACUGACGAGCUCUUCCACAAACUGUGGAUGAUUUGGGGAUAAGAACUUCAAUAAUUCUAGAGUUAAAGUGUAAAUUUACUACUAUAUUAUAAGUAAAUAUUGAAAUUUAUCACUAAAUUUUAAUUGAUACUUGUCAUUACACUUUGAAAAUAUAAGUAAAUUUACCAUUUAACUCAUAUGUGAUUGAGCUUUGCAAAUAAACUUAAAAUUUUAUUUAAUUUUGUCACUAAAUUUGAUUUAUUUAAUUAAAUUUACAACUCAAUAUAGAUUUUGGUGACUUGAAUUAAAGUUAAAAAAAAAACUAUUCUUUCAAAUAACUUUUAAUGUUUACUAAUAAGUAGAUUUAUAAAAUAUACUUUCAUUGGACACAAGCAUCCAAGGCUGUGAACAAACCACUGGUCAAAUUAAUUUGGAGAUAUCCUUUUUGCGUUUUUCUUUUUUUUUAAAUAUUUUUAAUAUUUUUGUGGGUAUCAACAGACACCAAAAAUUAUUUCACUAAGGAAUUAAUUUGUAUUUUAUUUUAAGGGUUCACAAUUGAACAUUAGAUUUUUUAUUUUUAAAUUUUGAAUUUUUUGACAGUUGCGUAAUUAACAAGUACUAAUUUAGGGUGUUGUAGGGUUAUUACAACCUUCCCUACACGUAACAGACUCUUGAACCUACUUUUUUUUCUCUAGAACUCAACACAAACCUUAAAUUUAUCUUUUUAAAACAAUUUUAAAAUAUCUUUAUAAAAGGUUAUUUUUUUACCCAUCACACUUAACAAAAUUUUAAAAAUUAUUAAUUUCUUUUUGAAAUUUAAAGUGAUCUAAAAAUAUAUUUUUAAGUGCUUUAGACCCUGCGGUGCUGAUUUCUUUAUUGUAUUAAAUGCUUGCAAUCACUCCUGAUAUCUUAUACUUGAGUUGUAACAAAACCAAUUAUCAUGUUCCAUAAUGUUCUAUUGAUGCUGAAACUGAAGUUUUUGUUAUAUUAAUAGAGCUUGUCCUUCAACACGUAUAACGGGUGUUUGUUAUUUUUUUCUUCAAAUUGUAUGAUCUCAUUCAUUAAAUGAAUUAAUGAAUUUCCCUUUAAAAAAUAUAAUUUUAAAAAUUAAAUACUUUAUAAGAUAUUUAAAACUAUUUAAAAAUUGUAAGCGUUAAAACAAUCAACAAGAUAUAUUUUUCUUUAAAAAAUCAAUAAAAAUAUGUUUAAAAUUUUAUAUGAAAUUUACAAUUUUUUAACAAUAAUAUAUUUUAAAAUUAUUUACACCUUUUUUAUAUAUUUUUCCUAACAUAUAUUUUCAACACUAUCGUAAUCCUGUUUUGAUAACUCCCUUUCCAUACAUCCUUUUUCUACAUAGAAUUUCGAAAGAAAAUGUGAAUUAAUGCAGACGUGAGAAGACUUAGAGGUAAGUCACCCAAUGAAAGUGACCUACUUAUGGAAAAAUCAAACAAUAAUUUUGUAUCUUAUAAUAUAUUAAAUUACAUUUAUGAGGUUAUCAAUCAAAACUUAAUUAAAAUCCAUCAAUAAAGUUGUUGAUUGUAUAGCUAAGGCAGAUGGAGGCAUAAUUGAGCAGUUAGUUAUCUUGGAAAAUCCUCCGCAUUAUGUGAGAUGUUGGCUUGAAGAAAAUAUUAGACAGUCGUUGGUCACUGAUGAUAAUUUUUAUUUGGAUUGAAGCUGGCUUAAUUUUCUAAGUUUAUGUUCAACUAGAAAAAAAAUGUCUAAAUUGUAAUUGAAUUAACAUUUAGUGUAUAAAAAAUAUCUUAAAUUUUUUUUUUCAAUUGCAAUUCAAUUCCACAAAUACCGACGAUGAACCCUAAAACGGACAUGAAAAUUACAAAAAGAAAAAAAGCACAUCUAUUAUCAAACCAGCAAUACAUGCCUAAACUAAUAGAGAUGAACCCUAUGAUAGAUUGUGACCCCCCAAAGUCGACCGGGAUAGACCAGCCUGAAUUCAAAGCAUUACAUUAGCCACCUAAAUGACUCUCCAGCUAACGACCACCCAAGGCACACCCCAACCUUAUAACACCUCAAUUUUAUCUAAUUAUUAGUUAUUUAUUAAUGCCAAAGUAAAUUAUGAGCCAAUUUUAAACUUUUCCUAAGUAAUUUAAUCUAUGGGCAUUUACGUUAUUUUACCACCUAUGGUAAAACUAACUUGAUUUUAGAUCUAAGUGUUUACUCACCUUCUUUUAGUCAAAUUAUGCAAGUCUAAAAUUUCCAGGUGAAUUUGAGUUUGUUUACUAUGUCUAAUUCAAGUUUUAUUAUUUAGGAUUAAAUUGUAACUUAAACAAAUUCGAAUACCAAUUUAAAGAGGCAAAAAUUCAAAACCCAAAACAGACACAAGCAUGUGCGUAAAUGACACGGGCGUGUGAAAACUGGAACUAUCACAUACGGACGUGUGGGAUUGAAAAAUAUAAAAUAAAUUAAUCCACUCAAUUUUCCAAUAGCCAUGCUAUACUACCAAACCAAAAAAUGCUUGAAGCUUUGAAUAGGGGUGAAUCUAAAAAAAAAAUUAGAAGAAUUAGAAUUAAAUUAUAAUCUAAAAAAAAUUAGAAGAAUUAGAAUUAAAUUAUAAAACUUUGAGAAGUUAAAAUAUAAUUUUAUCAUGUAUUAAUUUAUUAUUUUUAAAAUGGUCUUAAUUGAAUUUUUUUUUCCAUUUUUGUUGGGCCAAUACCCCUGCUUGCCUCUUUGAAUUUGCUCCAACCCUAAACCCAAUAAUCAAUUUGGAUUAACAACAAUAUAUAGGUUAGUAUUUGUGGGAGUUUGACAAUAAAAUUUUUUUUAAAAGGUUUAAAUUAUAAAUUUUUGAAAGAUUAAAAUAAAUUUGUAUUUUUUAUUAACAAAAUAUAAAAGAAAAAAACAUGUUUAGACAAGCCAAGAGACCUUUGGGAUCAUACGGGUGAUUUUGAUGAUGUUAAUAGUUAUUUUGGUGGAGAGGCUGAGAAAGAAACAAAUGAUUCAUUAUAUAUAAUAUAAUUAUGAAAUUCAAGCCAUAUAUUGUAUGUUUCAUACAUAAAAAAAAUUGGAGCAAUUUAAUCCCUAUCAAUUUUGAAAGUGAGCAACUAAGAACAAUGAAUUAUGGUGUUUCCUUCUUAAUUUCACAAUUGCGCAAAUUAGUCCCUCUCAAAAAAAAUUGGAGCAAUUUAAUCCCUAUCGAUUUUGAAAGUGAGCAACUAAGAACAAUUAAUUAUGGUGUUAAAUUCUUCCAUCAAUUGUACAUAAUUUUGAUUGGUAUAGUAAUAAAUUUAGCCUUCAAUGUUUAAAUAUUUUGUCAUUUUGGCCUUAAUUUUUUUUUAAAAAAAAUUCAAGCAUUUCAACCUCAACAUUUAGAUAUUUACACAAACGUUGCGGGAAAUUUUUGUUAAAUUUAGACCAAAUUGCAAGUAUAAAUUUUGAAGGCUAAAUUUAUUAUUAUACCAACCAAAAUCAUGUACAUUUUAUGGAAAAUUAACAUCCUGAUUAAUUAUUCUUAGUUACUCACUUUCAAAAUUAAUAGGGACUAAAUUGCUCUGAUUUUUUAAGGGUGACCAAUUUCCUCAAUUUGGAAAUUGAGAGAGACUAUUCAGAUAUUUUACAUAUUUUUUUAUAAAUAUAUUUUUUUAAUAUAAAAUAUAUUUGUUCACACAUAUUGUGAGUAUGAUAAAAUAUUUUUAUUAUUGAUUGAGUUGGUGUCAAAAAUUAACUCGACACCAACUCAAGAUUAAUAAUAACAAUAUGAUAAAUAAUUUAUUUAUUUAAUAUUCUUAAUUUAACAUAUUGAUGUAAAUUUUAAGACAUGCAUGUCUUGUAGAAUUGAGAUUAUACUAUUUGAGUAUUGAGUCAGUUUUCCACAAUGGUGGGUCUCGAGCAACAGCACAAUUUCAACAUUUCUUCAUCUCGCUUAAUCCAAAUGCAUUUAGGAUUUUUUUUUUAUAUCAUUGUUUCAAAAACGAUAAAAAAAAACGUGGACAUUGAAUUUUCUGUUUCACAUUCAAUUUUUGGAGAAGUAGAAUUUUCUAACUUAUUUUCCAUCAACUUCACUUCAAUUUUCAAUCACAAUCUAUUGUAUUCAAGAGUACCACAUCUUUUUGGAUGAAACAAACCUCUCAAUCUUAAGAUAAACGGAAUCUAUUGCAUUCAAGAGCACCACAUCUUUUUGGAUGAAACAAAGCACUCAAUAUUAAGAUAAACGGGUCUUUAGGGUUAUUAACUGAGGGCAUUUUCCACAAAUGGCAUCGUUAUUUGAAGGUGAUUCGGGGAUAAUAACAUCAACAUUUCUGUAUCACAUUUAAUUCAAUUCCACAUUUAACUUUUAAUUUUUGGAGAGAUGAUUGGGCUACAACAAUGGUUUGAAGUGAAGAUAUUUCAAAAGAAGGCAAAUAUAUCAAUUUUUUUAAGGGGUCUUUGGAGUUAUAUGUGACUUUAGCAUUAUUGACCGAUUUUUUUAUGGUUAAUCUUUUAUAAUAAGGUAAAUAUAUCAAUUUUAAUAACAUCGGCAUGUUUUUUAGUAGGGUCGAGCAAAACCCAAUUAAAACCUUUCAUCACUGCAAAAAUGAAAAUAAUAGAAAUGAAAGACUAGCCAUUGUAUGAGAUUUAUAAUUGUAACUGUCAACGAAAUUGGGAGAAAUUUUUAAAUUUUAUGAAAUUUUAAAAUUUAACUGUCAAUAAUAGAAAAUUGCCUGAGUAACUUGAGAUAAGAGGUUGAACAUUUCUGGAUCACAUUACAUUUAAGAUGGGUCUUUAAGGUUAUACUUUAGUUAUUGAGAACAUUUUCCACAAGUUACCGUCGUUAUUUGUGGGGUAAGUGGUUGAACACUUCUGGAACACAUUGCAUUUAGGACGGGUAUCAUUCAUAGACUGACUUUUCUAUAAUUAGUCCUUGCUUUACUUUAGGUGGAUUCUUCCAACUAGUCCAAGAAUUAUUGUACAGUUACAAUUAAUCUUUUUAAAUGAGACAAACAUUUCAAAUUUGUCGUUACUAUUUGUGAGUGAUUUGGGGGUAAGAAGUUUAACACUUCUGGAUGUCUUAUAGAAUUGUGAUUAUACUUUUUGAGUAUUGACUCAGUUUUCCACAAUUGUGGGUCUCUAUUUGAGCAAAACAAUUUCAACAUUUCUUCAUCUCGUUUAAUCCAAAUGCAUUUAUGCAUUUCUUAUAUCAUUGAAUUUGCUGUUUCCCAUUCAAAUUUUGGACAAGUAGAAUUUUCUAACCUAUUUUCCAUCAAGAAUUUUCUAACCUAUUUUCCAUCAACUUCACUUGAAUUUUCAAUCACAAUCAAUUGCAUUCAAGAGCACCACAUCUUUUUCGAUGAAACAAAACUUUCAAUUUUAAGAUAAACGGGUCUUUAGGGUUAUUAUUCAUUUAUUGAGGGCCUUUUCAACAAUUGCCAUCAUUAUUUGUUGGUGAUUUGGGGAUAAUAACUUGAACAUUUCUGGAUCACAUUGAAUUCAAUAUUCUUAUACAAUAGUAUUUUAUAUAUAUACGUACAUAAUUUAUAUUAAACUAUUUUUAUUUUAUAUAUUAUUGAUUUCGUAUUAUUAUAACUAUUGACCUUAUGUUUAUAUGUUUUUUUAAAACCUAUUUUUUACAUAUACAAUUUACUUCUUUUAAAAAAACCCUACUUCAUAUACUUGGUUUAUUUCAAAUUUCUACAUAUAUUAUUAUGCAUAUAUAUAUAUAUUAUCAUUUGUAUUGUUAUUAAGCUUUUCAUUUCAUAUAUAUUAAUUAUUUAGGUUAAUACAUACAUUAUUUUGUACAUUACCUAUUUUGAUUUUAUUCUUAUGCAAAAUUUACUUUAAAAUUUGUUUACAUAUUAUUGUUUCACAUAGUAUUUAUUUUUAACUCUAUUUUUGGUCUAUUUCGAAUUUUCAUGUACAUUAUUUAUUUUUAUACUUUUUGGAUUUACAAUUUCCUUUCUUUCAUGCCAUUUUUUAAUUAUUUCAAAACUUAUACAUUGGAUUUGCAUUUGUGUUAAUUUGUUUGCUUUUUAGGUUUUACUAGCUUUUAAAUAUGGAUGUUAGUAGUUGCAUAAUGUGUAAUAUAAGAUUGUUGCCCUUAUGUAUGUUGUAUUGUUUAUUUGUAUUUUAUUGAUCCUUUGUUGCUCAUUAGCUUACAUUUAGCUUACAAAUUGUAAGUGUAACUUUUGAGGGCUAAAUUUAUUAUUAUACCAACCAAAAUCAUGUACAUUUUAUGAAAAAUUAACAUCUUGAUUAAUUAUUCUUAGUUGCUCACUUUCAAAAUUUCUCUGAUUUUUUUUGGGUGACCAAUUUCCUGAAAUUGGAAAGUGAGAGAGACUAUUGAGAUCUUUUACGUAUAUUUUUUUAUAAAUAUAUUUUUUAAAUAUAAAACAUAUUUGUUCACACACAUCAUGAGUGUCGAAACCAUUUUUUUAAUAAAUGGGGGUCGACUUUUAUUUUGAAAAUGAAAAUAAACAAAUGGGACUCGCCACUGAUCUUUUGUUUAGUGUGAUCAGAUCACCUUGAAAGCGAUUUUGGUCUACGAAAUUUGAGAAAACAGGUUGGGGAGUCGAUUACGCACGAGGAAGGGUUAGCACCCUCGUAACACCCAAAAUUGGUACCUAAUUGAUUAAUUAAUGUCUUAAUGUCGAAAUUUUAAAAAAAAAAUUUAAAAUACAAUCCUUCUAUUCAAAUGAACACUUGUAUGAAUCAGAUUGCGUACUAAGACCCUCUUGUUUUGGAGAAAUAGAAUGCCACACACAGUGAGUUAGGAUAUGACAUUUUCACAUCUUCCAAAAAUGAGCUGGCCUUUUGAUUUUUUUUUUUAAAAAAAAAACUCUUGCAGUGAAGUUUAAAAAAAGGAUACUCUAUUGUUUUGGUUAGAUGAAAAUAAAUGAAUAAAUGAAUAGCAUACAAGAAAGGAAAUUUAAAAUUAUCAAUACAUAAACAAUAAAUUAUAUGCAUUAACUUUUAAAAUAAACAAUAUAUAUACGAGUUUGAAAUAGAUCAAAAAUGAAGAUAAAAAAUAGAUACUAUAUGAAAUGAUAAUAUCAAAAUGAAUUUUAAAGUAAAUAUUGAAUAAAAAAAAUCAAAAUAUGUAAUAUACAAAAUAAUAUAUAUUAAUCUAAAUAAAUAAUAAAUAUGGAAUGAAAAAUUCGAAAUAGAUAAUACUAUAUAUAUAUAUAUAUAAAUAUAUGUGAAAAGUCGAAAUAGGUAGAAUAUAAUAAAAUAGGUUUUUUAAAGAAAUAAAUUAUAUAUAUAUGGAAAUAGGUAACAAAGAUAUAUAUAACAGCAUGAAAUCAAUAAUAUAUUAUAUAUGCAUAUAUGUAUAAUAAAAAUAGUUUAAUAACACUUGUAUAUAUAUGUAUAAAAUAGUAAUAUGAAAGAGCAUUAUCGUAUAAAUCUUUAAAACAAAGAAGUAUAUAUAAGUGCAUUUUAAAAAUGUAUUUAAAAUAAAACCAUUAAAAACGUAUAAAUUAUAUUGAAAUUGCAUAAAAAGUAUAUAAAAUAAUAGAUGGAAAUUAAAAUAAUAAUAUAUGAUAAAUUUUAAAAAAAAAGUAAUUAUACAUGAAAAACUUAGAAUAAUAAUACAUAAAAAACUUAAAAUAAUAAUACAUGAUGAAUUUAAAUAACAAAUACAUGAUAAAUUUAAAUAAUGUUAAUGAUAAAUUUAAAAUAAUAAUAUAUUACAAAUUGAAAUAAUAUUGAUGAUAAAUUUAAAAAUAAUGUUAAGCUUAAACAUAAAAAUAAUAUUAGAUUUAAAAUUAAAUAUAUAUUUUUUUAAAAAUAACAGGAUAAUAAAUAUUUAAAAAAAUUGAACACGUUAAAUUAAACAAAUACGGGUUAAAUUGUAUUUAAUACAAAAUUAAAAGAAAAAAUGAAAAUAAAAUAAAAUAGAGGGCCAAAAUGCAGCACACGAAUAACAUGGGGGACUAAAUGGGGAAUAUUCCCUGCCCACCAAAACGCUGUGUUGCAAUAUGGAUCAAAAUGAACAGUAUUCAAAUUAAACGAGGUAAAUUUAAAAAUAAAAAAUGAAAUUAAAAUAGUGAAAGAAAAUAAAAGGGUCAAUGGUGCAAAUAUCCCCUUUUAGACCCAAAACACGUGGAUCUGACCUUGCUCGAGUCGGGUCAUUAGAUCUCUUAAACCUAAACCAUUGAAGCAAGGCCCAAACGGUACCAUUUCAUGGUCUUCUUAAAACAAAAACCUAAACCACUAUUUGGUUGUUCUUAAAUCAGAUUAGCCAAAACCCUAGCCGCUCGAAUGCUUUGCCGAUAUUCAACCUUACAGUCCUCGCUUGAGCUCCGAUUACGACAAAGUGAAUGGGGAUACAAUGGCGCUAUCUUAUAGGUAAAUCCCUCUCCUCUCAUUCAUUUCUCUUUCACAAACAAGUAUAACAAACAAAGAUUGAGGAAACAGAAAAGAAAAAAGAAAUCUAAAGAUAAAGAAAUGGGAUUUUUUUUCAUAACGGCUAAAUCAUUCAACUCAUAGUUUUUGUUAAAUGAAGAGGUCAAUUGAUUUUUUUGGAAUCAUUGAGUACUCAAUUGGUGCACUUUUUUCAUAAAGGCUAAAUUAAUUUUUUAAUUUGUUACUGUUGAGGGCUAUAGCAAUAAAAAAAAUUGAGGUAAAAUGGAAAAAAUGUUAGAGCUAAAUUUAUCACUAUGCCUAAAACCAAAAUUUUUUGAAAAUAAAAAAAAAUGGAAAAUCACAAAUUUUGUCACUUAUGUUAGCUUAAAAUUAUAGUUUUGGUCACCAAUCUUUUGAAGUAAAUAUCUGGUCAACAAUAUUAUCCAUUUGUUACUUUGUAAUAACUCACCUUAAAGUUAUAUCCCUGCGCAAGAAAGGAUUAAAUGACAAACUUGUAUCUUUUUUUAUUCAUCCAAUGUCAUUUCAACAUUUUCAUUUAAAAAAAUUGACAUAUCAUUUUGAAUUCCAUCUUUUUCAUGAUGAAACUAUUGAAAUGAUGUUAAAUUACUGGAAAGAGAUACAAGUUUAAUCUUAUCUAUCUAAGAAAGCUGAUGUAACACAUUAAUGACAUCAUUCCAAACAAAGUUUUAGGUCCAAUUGUUCAUCUAGCCCUUGUAAUUGUUUUUAGGUGAAUUUCAUUAUUAAUCUUUUAUUUUCUUUGGCUUAAAUACACAUUUACCCUUAAUUUUAUCACAUUCUCCUUCACUGGUAUUUAUGGUUUAGAAAAUUUUACAAAUAUAUUAUUUUUUAAGAAAUUAUAAGAAGAUUACAAAAAUUCCAAAAUAAUAUAAAAAAGCUAAGGAAAACCUAGAAAUUCAAAAAAAAAAUCAUGUUUUUACAAAUUGGGAAAUACCUAAAUUUGUUUUCAUCAAUUAAGAAAUUAAAAAAAUUGUUGAGAAAUAUCUUUUUAGAAAUAUCAUAAUUGCAUUUAAGACCUCAUGAUUAUCUUUUAUAAUUUCAAGGUUAUCAACUAUUUUGAAAACAAAGACAAAAACAAAAACAAAAACGUCGACAUAUCACUUUAGCAUUGACUUACUUUUCUACAGUUAGUCUUCUCCAACAAGAUAAAUAUUUCAAUUUUAACAACAUUGACAGGUCUUUGGGGUAGGGUCGAGCAAAAGUCAAUAGAAACAGAUGAUAUAAGUUUAAAUCGGCCCGGUCAAGCCGAUGUCCUGGUAAAAUCAAUUUUAAAAUUAAUUAUAAUAGUUUAAGCGAAUUGAUUAUUAAGUAAUGAAAUACUUAAUUCAAACAAUUGAUGUAAUCAAAUUAUAAUAAAUAUAUAUUUACUUUUAUGGGAUCCUUCAUCUCCUUUUUAGAGUUUGUGGCAAUAUUUAUUUUAAGCUUCAAAUUUAUAUUUUUUAUUUAUGAGUACAAUGUGUUUUACAAUUACAUCUACAGUGUAUAUUUUUUAUUUUAAAACAUAUAUUAUAAUAUAUGAAAAACAUAUAUGUCGAAACCAUUUUUAAUAAUUUUGAAAAACGGGGAUCGACUUCGAAAAUAAAAUGGGAGUCACCAUCGAUCUUUUAUUGAGAUAUGAUCGGUUCACCAUUAGACGUAAUUUUGGUCUGCAAAUUUUGAGAAAACAAGUUCAGGAAUCUGUUAAGCACGAGGAAGGGUUAGCACCCUCGUAACGCCCAAAAUUGGUACCAAAUUGAUUGUUUAAUGUCUUAAGGUCGAAAUUUUGAAAAGAUUUUAAAAUACGAUCCUUUGAAGUUUAAAUUUGAAUAAACCAAAUUGAAUAAUAAGACACACUCAUUUCGAAUAAAUAAAUUGUCACACUCAGUGAGUUAGGAUGCAACAAUUCAAUCAUCAAAAUUAAGUAUGUCUUUUUUAAUUUUAAAAUUUUAAAAUUCAUGCAUUUUGAGAAUGUUGUUCGGUUAUUUAAGUCAAACGAGAAAUCAGAAUUCAGUAAGUUAGGUUUCGAUUUCUUGAAGUUCUUAAACAUCAAAUAUUGUCUUUAUUUUAAAAUCAGGAUAUCAGAAUGUCACAUCCGGUAAGUUAGGAUCCGACAUUUUGAAAUCCUAAAUGCUUAGUUUUAAAAUGGUAUGGUUUUAAUAAAAUAAGCAUAUAGCUAUUUAAAUUCAUCGAGAAAAAUUGGAACCCAAUAAGUUAGGGCACAAUUCUCUCGAAAAUUAUAAAUGCUAGACCUUUUUUAAUAUGAAAUAGAAUAAAAAAUUUAAAAGAAGUAUGAAAUGUAAAAGAUGAUUGAUAAUUCAAACUUAAACUAAGAAGUAGCAAAUAAGUGAUAAAUAAAUACAAAUAAGGAAUAGCAAUAAUAGUUUUAAUAAUAUUAUAUUAACGCUAACAUUGACAAUCAAACAUCAAAUUCUAAAGUAUAUCCAAGAUGAUAAAAGGGGAAUUUCACCUCACGAAACUUAUGCACACAAGUUCUAAAAGAUUUAUUCACAAAAUCAAAAUAGAUUCGAAAUAAAAUAAUAAUAACAUUGUAUAAUAGCAUUUCGAAAUGAGCUUGAAACAAAUAAAAUAUAUUUAUUAAUCCACCUUAAAUAAUACACAUAAAAUAACUAUGAAAGGGUCUCAAUGCAUGUAUGAUUUAAAAGAAAUAAGUAAUUACCCAAAUAGGUUUUCAAAGAAAUAAAUUAUAUAAAUGAAAUCGACUUAAAAUUCAUAUAUGCAUAUAAAAAUACUUUGAAAAUUUAUAAUCAUGAUGAUAUUAAACAUCAAAACAAUAAUAUAUAUAUUUUUUGAAAUAAUUUAAUAUCACAUAUAGUAGCAUUUAAAAACAUUAUAUUAAAAGAAAAUUAAGUUAUAACACAAAAUGAAUUACUAAAAUAUGUUCAAAGUAUGUCAAAUUGCUAUAAAACAUUUUUACAUAUAUAGAUGAUGAAACAUAUAAUGAUAUAGAGUUUUAAAAUAAAAAGGAUAAAUUUUAAAAAAAUGUUAAUAAACUCAAAACAUGUUAAUAAUAAUUUUAAAUAACAAUAUGUUGUACCUUAAAAUUAUAAUAAAAAUGUUUGAAAACAGUGUUAAUCCUAAUAUUUAAAACUUAUUAAAAAUAAACAUAUUAAAAAUACUAAGCUAACUUUACAUUAUGUUAUAUAUAUAAAAAAAAACUAAAUUUGAAUGAAAUUUGUAGAAGCCCAAAUUUGCCGGGCCCAUACCAACAAAAUAACCCAAACAAUAAACCCGAAGCCCAACUACCCCAGCCCAUUAACCUAAGCUCAGCAUUCAGAAACCCUAAUCCCACUAACCCUAGCCACCUACCCCCACUUGCCCACUUGCCCACUUGCGCCGAACACCACCAUGCCACUAUCGGCCAUGGCCACCUGCAAGAAGCCAAGUAGAAAUAAACAAAUAGAAAAUAAACAUUUGUAAUUGGUUAUAAAAACCGAAAAUCUCACCAUUGAUAAAGGGGAUUUUUUAUUUUUUGCUAUGAAAACAAAAGAUUUUCUUUCAAUAUUAACAGAUUCAAUACAAGAACCAUUCGAAAAUAUAUAUACUAUCAGGGGCUCUAACACCAAAUCGGAGAAUCAAAUCUAAAACCUAAGGUGAACCUAAGGUGACUCUUUCUUUUUUUUUUCUUUACUGUUUUGAGUUUAUUUUCUACAUAAAAAUACUAAAAAAUAUUAAAACAUAAAAAUAUAUGCAUUAUUAAGCAAAAAAAAAAAGAAAAAAAGAAAAAAAAUAUUUUUUUUACCUUUUCCGGCCACCGCCGGCGAGCCUCCGGUGGCCGUCCGGUGACCGGCCCCCUGGCCGGAUUCCCCUUUCCCCCUCCCUUCUCUCUCCCUUCUCUCUUCCCUCUCUCUCUUCUUUUUUUUCUUUCCCUCUCCCCAAAGGAUUUUUUUGGCUAUUUUAGGCCUUUAUAUAGCCCUCCAAAACGAUGUCGUUUUGGGGGCUACACUUAAGCCUCAAAACGACGUCGUUUUGACCAUUGCCCGACCCAUCCGACCCGACCCGCUAGAGGAUCCGCGUGUUUUCGUUUGAAUGGGAUAUUUAUGCGCGCAGUCCUUCCGCUUUUUCAAGGUUUUGCAGUUAAGUCAUUUUUCUUGUUUCCAAUUUGGCCCCAUAAUUUCUCGCGCUUUUCGAUUUAGUCCCCGCUAAUGUGCUGUGUUUUAAUGGAAUGGAAUAAUUGUUGUUUCGGUCCUCCUAUGUUUUGUGCGCGCUCAAAUAAGCCCAUUUCUCUUUAUUUCCUUUCACAUUUGCCCCACAACUUUGUUUUUAAUUCAAUUUUAGUCCUUUUUCGUUUAUUUUUAUAUCUUUAUUAAAUAUCAUUGUUAUUUUAUAUUAUUAGUAUUAUUAGUAUUACUAUUAUUAUUAUUAUGUAUUAGUAUAUAUUUUUAUUAUGUACGCGUAUACAUGUAUAUAUAUUUUCAUAUUUAAUAUUUUUAUUUCAUUUUUUUCUAAUAUUUUAUUAUAAUUUAUAUAUAUAUACAUAUACAUAUUCUUUAUUUAUUUUAAGUAUAUAUUUUUUAUAUUUCAUAUUUUCUACAGGCAUAUAUAUACUUAUAUAUUUACAUAUUUUAAUUCAUAUACUUAUAAAUGUAUGUACAUACUUACGUUAUUUUAUUUUUAUAAUAUACAUAUUUAUAUUUUUUUGUCUUUAUGUAAUAUAUAUACAUACAUGCGCAUGUUAUUUAUAUAUAUGUAAUUAUGUUUUCAUAUUUUAUAAUUCUUGUACAUACAUAUAUAUAUAUAUAUGUAUAGACAUACAUAUUUUCAUUAUAUAUAUAUACCUACAUAGUUUUUUUUUUGUAUUUUAAAUCUUUUAAAAUUCAUACAUGCAUUUUUAAAACUUUUAUAAUUUUAUUCAUUUCUUUAUUAUUAUUAUUGUUUUACUUUAUGUUUAUCUAUUUAUUUAUGUGUCCAUUAUUAUUUUUUUUAAAAAAUGUUUUAGUUUUUUUUAUUUUGUUUAUUUACUUGUUAUUGUAUAUAAUUGAUUUUUUAUAUAUUUAUUUUUGUUAUCUUCGCUCGUAUUAUUUUUACUCGCAUUAUCGUAAUUGUUAUUCCGUCACAUCAAUUUUUACCCAAAUUCGUAAAAAAGGGAAAAUUUUGGAAAUAAAGGCAAUACUCGAUACUUGGGAUCUUCGAGAGAAUUGGGCCCUAACGUGCUGGGUUCUAAUUUUCUGUUGAAUCUAAAUGCUCGAGAAUGCUCUUUAAUAUAAAACAUAAAUAAAAACUCAUUAUCGGGAUUUCAAUAUGUUGUGUCCUAACGCAUUGGAUAUGACACGUGGUUUUCUCGAUAUGAGGAUUUUUUUUUUCGAAAGUAAAGACAAUAUUCCGUAUUUAGAAAAUUCGAGAAAAUCAUGCCCUAACUUACUGAGCUUCGAUUUUUCUCGUUGAUUCUAAGUAAUCGGAUAUCCUUUUAAAAUUAAAAUAAAUGAGGUUUAAAUAAAAAAAUGAAAGGCAAGUUUACUCUCGAAAAUACGAGGUGUCGUGUCCUAACUUACUGGAUGUAACAUCUUGUUACUUCGAGAUAAAGAGGCAUUUUCCAUUUUGAUUUAUUCGAGUAUUUUUAAAAUAACACGAUAUAAGGAGGGAUCAUAUUUUUAAGAUUCUUUUCGAGUUUUUAAUUUUCGACACUAAGACACUAAUUAAUCAACUAGGUACCAAUUUUGGGUGUAUCGAGGGUGCUAAUCCUUCCUCGUGCAUAACCGACUCCCGAACUCAUUUUUCUGAAUUUCGUAGACCAAAAUCGUUGUUUUAAUAAAAUUAAAUCAUUUAUUAAAAACAACCACUUUUUGAGGUGACCCGAUCACACCUCAUCAAAAAAGGAUUGGUGGCGACUCCCAAUUUCGUUUCAUUUUCAAAAUCCAAGUCGACCCCGUUUUCAUCCAAAAAAUGGUGUCAACAGCUUGGCGACUCCACUGGGGACAAUAAGAGAGUCAAGCCACGUGUUGAUUAUUUCUUGUCUUUCUGUUGAAAGUGGAAAAUUCGAUUUAAAUUUACGAUCCUCUCAUUACAUCUCUUUUGUUUUGAGUUAUAUUUUUAUUGUGUUCUGUAUUUUAUUUUAUACCUCUGCACAUUGCAUUGCAUGACCGCUGGUCAUACCCUUUUUAAGUGGGAGUGAGAAGCUACGCCUUCGUGAGGUUUUCACCUCCGCAUGGGAUAGUGAAUCGCUUUCGGGAUAUAUCCGUACCUAUGUCUUCGUGAGAUUUUCAUCUCCGCAUGGCCAUAGGGAAAUGUAUCCCCCUGAAUCGAACUCGGUCCAUAUGAGCCUAUAAUGGGUGAGGAUCGAGGAAUCUGCUGGUUCAGGUACCCUUACUUUAGAACCAAACCUCAUGUAGUGAACCUUAGGAGCCCACCCUAGGUAGAACCACCUCCAAACCCCUAGUGGUCACCCGAAUUGCUUUAUUUGUUAUUUAUUCUGCACUAACGUGUUUUGUUUUUUUUUUGUUUAUAAUUGCAUUGUAUUACAUCAUCCUAGGAAGGAGGUGUUGAUUUAUAUUUGAUUGCUAAAUAGAACAGUUUGUCAUAAGAAAACAAAUUUUUUGAUAAAGUGGAUUAUAACACGGUUGUCUAAAUAUGGUCCAAGUGAAUACAUGAAAGAAGGCUGAUAGUCCGUGAAGAAAUACAAGACUUUGCUUCAUUGCCUGAAGACAGAAACUAACAAAGAUUAUUCGAGAGCUGUCAUGUCUUGACUUUCUUAAAGGAGCUGAAAAGUAUCAUAGAAAUAAGUGAGCAACGAGUCGCUGCCUGGAUCCAGCAAAAAAGCAGUUAAUAUAGACAUCUCUUGGAGAAUUCGUCAGACUCGACCAUAAGAUCCAGAUAUGAAGAGGAAGAAAGGUGUCUUCACUUGGAAUAUGAGAGAAAGACCGUGUAUGUAGUCCGUUUUAUGUAAAGGAAUUUGUUUUCUAGAAAAGUUGUUCCAAUGAAAUUAAAUUUAGAAUCAAUGUCUUCCUUUCUUUUUGCAUUCAUGCAUUUGCAUUACAUUACAUCAAAGAAAAGAAUGUGUUGAUUCGAAAUUCGAUUCCUAAAUAGAAUAGUUUGUCAUAAGGAAACGAAUUUCUUGAUAAAGUGGAUUAUAGUGCGGUCACCUGAAUAUAGUCUGAGUAAACACGAUGAGAGAAAGCUGGUAGUUCACGGAGGAAUACAUGAUGUAAUUUCUAGAGAUUCAAGCCAACGAAGGCAUGACGAGAGAAAGCCGGAAGUCCACGAAGGAAUACAUGACUUGAUUUAAUUGCCAACGAAGAUUAUCCAAGAGCCGGCACUUUUUGAUGAAUAUCAUGGAGAUAAGCGAGCAAGAGAUCGAGGCUCAGGUUAAGCAGUAAGGAGCUAGCAAAGGCAUCUUUUGGAGAAUUUACAGGGUUUAACCAUGAAGAAAAUAUCAGCGUUUACUUGGACUAUGAAGGGCAAUACCACAUAUGUAAACUAUUUUCAUGUAAAAAAAUUUGUCUUCUAGAAAAAUUAUUCUAAUAGAAUUAAAUUUAGAAUCAACGCAUUCUUUUUCUUUGCAUUCUUUUCAUGCAUUGCAUCACAUCAUAUGCAUUAAUGACCAUUUAAAAAGAACUUAAUCGAAUAAAAUCAUUUCAGUUAACCUGGAAAACCAACAAAGUUACGGCACCCGAGCUAAGGCAAAAGUUAUGGACCAAAGGUUGGAGAAGCUAGAGCGACUUCAAAAAGAAAUGCAAGACCAGUUGCAGGCGCAAAUGAAAGAGCAAAUGGAAAAGAUUCAGCGUGACAUGGUGCAAAAGAUGGAGGAGUCCCAAAAUGAUCUGGUGGCUAAGAUGACGCAAUUAUUGAAGGGAGUAGAUAAGGGUAAAGGUCCUGUGAUUGUUAGUGAAGAAGAAAACAAUGGUGAACCACUUUAUCCUCCAGGUUUCACGCCUCCGCAUGAGCAAGUACAGACUGAGCUGCAUCUGCGGAGACCCUCUGUGUCGGUUAGGCCCCAGCAGUUCCAAGGCGAUGCUUCAAUCCCAAUGAAUUUUCAACCCGGAGCGGGCUUUAAUCCCAGUGAUAGCCCGAAUAAUAUUGUUGUCCCAGAUCUUGAUGAGAUGGUUGAAAAGGACAAGGCGAAGGAGGAAUUUCCAAAACAAUUUGAGGAGAAAUGGAAAUGGAUAGAAGAAAAGUUUAGGGCAAUAGAAAGCAUCGAAAGCUACGGAAUAGAUGCAAAGGAUCUGAGCUUGGUUCCGGACUUGGUGCUCCCUUACAAAUUUAAGAUGCCGAAAUUCGAGAAAUACAACGGGACUAGUUGCCCAGGAUCCCAUAUUACUAUGUUUUGUAGAAGAAUGACGGGGCAUAUUAAUAAUGAUCAAUUAUUAAUACAUUGCUUUCAGGAAAGUCUUACGGGAGCGGCGUCAAAGUGGUACAAUCAGCUGAGCCGAGCUAAAAUUGCUACUUGGAGGGAUUUAGCACAGGCUUUCCUGAGACAAUACAAUCAUGUCUCAGAAAUAAUGCCUGACAGGAUAACUCUGCAAAAUUUAGAGAAGAAAUCAAACGAAAGCUUCAGACAAUAUGCGCAGAGGUGGCGAGAGGUGGCAGUUCAGGUGCAACCACCGCUUUUGGAAAAAGAGAUGACAACGCUUUUUAUUAAUACUUUGAAAGCCCCGUUCAUCACUCACAUGUUGGGAAGCGCUUCAAAAAAUUUCUCGGAUAUAAUCAUGAAUGGUGAAAUGAUUGAGCAUGCCAUUAAAAGUGGAAAAAUAGAUGGAGGAGAAAAUAAUAGGAGGGCACCCCUGAAGAAAAGAGAAAAUGAAGUGAAUAAUGUGAAUGCUUAUGGUAGGUCAAUUACCGUGAAUCAACCAAAGAAAGUGGUUGCUAAUCAACAGGGAUCAUCAAGACAAGAGUCGGGAGCUAGGCAAACUACUGAAAAGCCCUAAUUCACGCCAAUCCCGAUGUCAUACAAGGAGUUGUAUCAGACUUUAUUCGAUGCACAUGUUGUUGCUCCUCGUUACUUGAGUCCUCUACAACCCCCGUAUCCAAAAUGGUAUGAUAUGAACGCGCAAUGUGAUUAUCAUGCGGGAAUUUCUGGGCACUCGAUAGAAAAUUGUACUGCCUUCAAGAAGGUAGUAGAAGGACUUAUCAAUUUAGGUGUCGUCAAACUUGACGACUCACCUAACGCAAAGAAUCCGUUACCUAAUCACGCAGAUAAAGGGGUGAAUAUGGUUAGCGAAGAUACGGGAGAAGAAGCCAAGACUGACAUUGCUGAAGUAAAAACUCCAUUGAAACGGGUCUGGAAAGAAAUGGCGAAAAGAGGUUUGGUUAUUUCAGAUUCUGAGGAAGGGCAUGAGAUGGGAAAUUAUUGUGAAUUUCACCAUAAAACAGGGCACGAAAUCCAAGAAUGUGAAGGAUUUAAGGCUUUGGUUCAAAGCAUGAUGGAUAACAAGGAGAUGAGGUUUUACGAAGAUGCGAAAGAAAUGAGGAGCAUAUGCGCGACAGAGUUGGGAACAAAGGCUCCAAAUCAUCCUGUGGUCAUUAUCUCACGCCCUAAGGGUAAGGAGGUUAGGGCUCAGGUAACACCGAAAAUUGUAAUCCAGAAACCAUCAAAUUUCUCUUAUAGGGAUAACAAAAUGGUACCGUGGAAUUACGGGUGUAAUGUGACCAUUUUGGGAAAAGAAGCAGAAAGAAAUCAGGAAAUAGGUUCUUACACGCGCAAUAGAAAAAGAUAUGACGCUCAAGCAGAGUCGUCCAGGGAAGAGAAUUGGAAGAAAGAACAGAGGAAAGGGAAAGCAGUAGAAGUUGAGCCAUUGGUAAAUGAACCAAAAAAAGAAGAGGAGGCAAAGGAGUUUUUGAAGUUUUUGAAACACAGUGAAUACAGUGUUGUGGAGCAACUACACAAACAGCCAGCCCGCAUUUCUGUAUUAGCUUUACUCUUAAACUCGGAAGUACAUCGGAAUGCACUAUUAAAGGUGCUAAACGAAACAUAUGUGGCUGACGAUAUUUCGGUAAACAAGCUGGAUCGGCUGAUCAACAAUAUUGGUGCUGACAAUUUUAUCUUCUUCAGUGAUGAUGAAAUACCAUCCGGAGGAAGAGGUUCUACUAAAGCCCUGCAUGUUACUGUCCGAUGCAAAGGGUACACACUCCCGGGGGCCUUGGUUGAUAAUGGAUCUGCACUAAAUGUAUUGCCUUUGUCCACUCUUAGUCGAUUACCAAUAGACAGUUCGCACAUGAAAGCAUGCCAGAACAUAGUAAGGGCAUUUGAUGGAACAAAAAAGGAGGUUAUGGGGAGAAUUGAGGUACCAUUAAGGAUUGGCCCAGUCACUUAUGAGGUGGAUUUCUUGGUAAUGGAUAUUAAACCCUCCUACAACUGUCUAUUGGGGAGACCGUGGAUACACUCAGCAGGGGCAGUACCUUCAUCAUUACAUCAGAAGGUGAAGUUGGUAUCGGAGGAUCGGUUGGUAACAAUAGAUGCAGAGGAGGAUAUUAUCGCAAUGAUGACUAGCGAUGCACCUUAUGUGGACAUCAACGAUGAGGCACUAGAAUGUUCUUUUCGGUCGUUAGAAUUUGUGAACGCGAUGUUUAUUGCGGAGGGAAAUAGAAUUCCAGUACCAAAAAUAUCCAGGACCACUGAGAUGGGAUUGCGAUUGAUGGUAGGAAGAGGAGCCUUACCCGGGAAAGGAUUGGGAAAAUAUCUUCAGGGAAGGAUUGAGGCACCAAUGCCGAAGGAAAAGUUUGAUAGAUUUGGUUUAGGGUACAAGCCAGACAUGAAGCAGAAGAAGAAAGAAGUAGAGAAGAGACAAGAGAGAAGAAGGGCGCGUUUGAAUGGACAUGAAGCUAAGUGUGAGCCUUUAACCUUUCCCCACAUAUCUACAUCUUUUGUGUCGGGAGGAUUUAUUCAUUCUGAAUGUGGAGUGUCCGGUAGCGGCAUGGGAGGAAUGUUGGAAAACGUUUAUACCAACGCCAUAGAAGCAACGGAAAGGAGGGCCUUGUUGGAGAUCUGCCCUUAUGAGCCUGGAAGCGAGCUAAACAAUUGGACUGCUGAAGAAAUCCCUGUAGUCUUUAGGGCUUAUUCAGAGUAAUGCUCAAAACAUUCCUGUUGUUUGUUGGCCUAGAAACGAUAUGAAAUCUUUUGUGAAAUAGGCAUUGGGCCUAAAUAUCAUUAUUUUAAUGAAAUACGUGUCUACGUUCAUCUCGAUCAGUCACUUUUUUUUCCUUUCAUAUUUUUCAUUUGGUUGAUUGUCUUACAAAUAAUUCUUUCAUUUGUAAUUCUUUUGCACAAACAUAUUCAUAAAUUUAUAUUCUUGGUAUAUUCUUUGAUGCGCCCUCAUAGGUCUUCAGAUAUCAAUGACAUGAGUGACGCUGCCUCAAACACGGAGCCUAUUUUUGAGCAAAAAGUGUGUUCAGAGGGAUCCCACGACUUUGACGAAGAUUAUGAUGCAUCUCCGGACUUGUUAAGAAUGAUGGAACAAGAGGAUAAGCAUAUCCUACCUCAUAGGGAAUCGUUAGAAAUAGUGAGCCUAGAGGAUGGAAAGGAGGUGAAAAUUGGAUCUGAAAUCACCGCAAAGACAAGGCAAGACCUCAUUAAUUUGCUCCGAGAGUUCAAGGAUGUUUUCGCGUGGUCGUACCAAGAUAUGCCUGGGCUAAGUACUAACAUUGUGGUGUAUCGUCUGCCCAUAAAGGAGGAUUGUAAACCCGUUCAACAGAAGCUUAGGAGAAUGAGACCUGACAUUGUGUUGAAAAUAAGAGAAGAAGUCAAAAGACAAUUCGACGCUGGAUUCUUACAAGAAGUCAAGUAUUCGGAUUGGGUAGCCAACAUCGUCCCAGUUCCCAAAAAAGAUGGAAAGGUACGAAUGUGUGUGGAUUAUAGGGAUUUAAACAAGGCUAGUCCAAAGGACAACUUUCCACUGCCUCAUAUUGAUACUUUGGUAGAUAACACGGCGGGCUAUUCAUUGUUUUCUUUCAUGGACGGUUUUUCUGGAUACAAUCAAAUAAAGAUGCAUCCUGGAGACAUGAGGAAAACCACAUUCAUUACCUUAUGGGGAACAUUCUGUUACAAGGUAAUGCCCUUCGGAUUGAAGAAUGCGGGAGCAACAUAUCAAAGAGCUAUGGUGACUUUGUUUCACGACAUGAUGCACAAAGAGAUCGAAGUCUAUGUUGACGAUAUGAUCGCGAAGUCUAGAACGGAAGAAGAGCAUGUUCAGGUCUUGAAAAAGUUAUUUUUGAGAUUAAAGAAAUUUCAGCUCAAGCUUAACCCGGCCAAAUGCACGUUUGGAGCCAGAUCAGGGAAGUUAUUAGGCUUCAUAGUUAGCAAAAAGGGGAUCGAGGUUGACCCAGACAAAGUAAAGGCAAUACGAGAUUUACCUCCCCCGCGCACUCAGAAGGAGGUUCGAGGUUUCCUAGGGAGGCUGAAUUACCUUGCUCGGUUCAUCUCAUAACUGACAGAGAAAUGUGAUCCAGUAUUCCGGCUCUUAAAGAAACAUAAUCCGGGUGAAUGGGAUGAAGAGUGUCAGAGGGCUUUCGAUAAGAUAAAGCAGUACUUGGCUAAUACCCCAGUCUUAUCACCUCCAAGUCCAGAUAGGCCAUUGAUAUUGUAUCUAACAGUGUUGGAGAAUUCCAUGGGAUGCGUAUUGGGCCAACAUGAUGAGAUAGGAAAGAAAGAAAGGGCAAUAUACUACCUCAGUAAGAAAUUUACCGAUUGCGAAAUGAGGUACUCAUCAAUUGAGAAGUUGUGUUGCGCUCUAAUCUGUGCAACCCGAAGACUGAGGCAGUAUAUGUUGUAUCACACGACUUGGCUGAUUUCAAAGUUAGAUCCUUUAAAGUAUAUGAUGGAAUCGACUGCUUUGAACGGGAGAAUGGCUAGAUGGCAGAUCUUGCUCUCAGAAUUUGAUAUAGUAUAUGUCAGUCAGAAGGCCAUAAAGGGAAGUGCAAUAGCCGAUUUCCUAGCUAGUAGAGCCUUGGAGGACUAUGAAUCUUUGAAUUUCGAUUUUCCAAACGAGGACUUGAUGUAUGUGGCGAAUACUGAAGAAAAUCCUUAAAUGGAUCGCGUAUGGAAGUUAAAUUUUGAUGGAGCUUCAAAUGCUACGGGUAAUGGAGUUGGGGCAGUUUUGGUAUCCCCAAGUGGAGAUCAUUAUCCUGUUGCUAGCAAGUUGGACUUCGAUUGUACAAAUAACAUGGCAGAAUAUGAAGCAUGUAUUAUGGGCAUUCGUGCAGCCAUUGAACGGAACAUCAAAGUACUGAGAGUAUACGGGGAUUCAGCGUUGGUGAUAUACCAACUCAAAGGGGAGUGGGAGACUAGGGAUCCUAAGCUAAUCGGUUAUAGAAAACUAGUUCUUGAAUUGGCUGAGGAGUUUGACGAUAUCACCUUCUAUUACCUCCCACGGGAGGAAAACCAAAUGGCUGAUGCUUUAGCUACUCUAGCUUCGAUAAUUCAGGUGAAUAGACUUGAGGCAAUGAGGCCUGUUCAGAUGAGUAUCUCUGAGACCCCGGCUAAUUGCUGCAAUAUUGAGGAGGAGGGAAAAGAUGAUUGUCCUUGGUAUCAGAGUAUCCUACAAUAUGUGAAGAAUCGGGAAUACCCUGAUCAAGCGACAGAGAAUGACAAAAGAACUCUGAGAAAGAUAGCCAUUGAAUAUGUCUUAGAUGGAGAAGUGUUAUAUAAAAGAAGGAAGGAUCAAGUACUGUUAAGGUGUGUGGAUGCUGUGGAAGCCAAGAAAAUUUUGGAAGAAGUCCAUGAGGGUAUUUGUGGGACGCACGCCAGUGGUUUCACGAUGGCCAGACAGAUCAUGAGAUUUGGGUACUAUUGGCCCACCAUGGAAGGAGAUUGUAUUGAUUAUGCCAGGAAGUGCCACAAAUGCCAAAUUUACGGAGACAAAAUGCACGCGCCCCCUUCACCUCUUCACGUCAUGACCUCUCCUUGGCCGUUUUCCAUGUGGGGUAUGGAUGUUAUUGGGCCAAUAUCACCAAAGGCUUCUAAUGGGCAUCGCUUCAUCUUCGUAGUAAUUGAUUACUUUACUAAGUGGGUGGAGGCUGCUUCAUAUGCAAAUGUCACGAAAGCAGUAGUCAGCAAAUUCUUGAAGAAGGAGAUCAUUUGUCGAUAUGGAAUGCCUGAGAGGAUCAUAUCCGACAAUGCGAUGAACUUGAAUAAUAGCACAAUAGCUGAAGUUUGUAGCAAAUUUAAAAUUAAGCAUCAUAACUCAUCGCCGUAUCGUCCCAAAAUGAAUGGUGCAGUGGAGGCGGCCAAUAAGAACAUUAAAAGGAUUGUGGGGAAAAUGACUGAAACCUACAAGGAUUGGCAUGAGAAAUUAUCAUUUGCUCUCCUUGCCUAUCGAACAUCUGUUAGAACUUUUACUGGGGCAACGCCUUUUUCUCUGGUUUAUGGAAUGGAGGCAGUAUUACCUAUUGAAGUUGAAAUCCCUUCUCUACGGGUGUUAUCUGAGCUACAGUUGGAUGAAGCCGAUUGGAUCCAAUCUCGGUACGAUCAGUUGAACCUAAUAGAAGAAAAGAGGCUAAGAGCUAUUCACCAUGGGAAAAUGUACCAGAAACGAAUGAUGCGAGCCUAUAAUAAAAAGGUUCGCCCCCGAGAAUUUCGUGAAGGGGACUUGGUACUAAAAAAGAUUCUUUCUAUGCAAAAAGAUUUUAGAGGAAAAUGGAUGCCAAAUUGGGAAGGCCCUUAUGUUGUAAAGAAGGCCUUUUCUGGUGGAGCUUUGAUCCUAUGCGAGAUGGAUGGCAAAAGUUUACCAAAUCCUGUAAACGCAGACUCCGUCAAGAAAUACUUCACUUGAAAGAAAGGGGAACCAAAGUGAAAACCCGUGAAGGGCGCUUUGCUUCCUAAAAAAAAAAGAAAAAAAAAAACUUUGGGGAGGCUAAGGUGAAAACCCGUAAAAGGCACUUUGAGACCAAAGAGGGCUGGAGUCGAAAACCUGAAAAAGGUGACUCAAGUACUGGGCAGGAUUGGAACAUCAGGAUUUGAGCGGAUCAAAUUUUGAUCGGGGGCAUAUGAUUAUCUUGCUUUACUUGAACCAAUAAGAAAGGAUAUGCAACGUCUUGGAACAUGGACAGAGUAUUCCAGAUCUCCUGAACACAUGUCAAACUCAGAAGGGUCUUCGGAAAGUUUGUACAGAGAAACUCAAGCUGCGAUAACUGGGGCACCUAGUUCUUAUGUGUAUUCUUGAAAAUACAUUUUUUUAUUUUCUUUCUUUCUUCCUUUCUUUUGGUGAAAACGCACAUUCUCAAUCCAUUUCUUUGUUACCUUGCUUUCGCCAUCUUUGAUGUUUUAUUCGAGUUAUGAUCAGAACUAGCUUUAUUCUUAUCCAUUGUUAUGAUCUUUUUGCAAACAUGUUGCAUAGGAAUAAUGAUUAACGAACUAAUAAAACUUUCAGGAAAGAAGUUUUGCACAUUACUCUGGAAAAUUUCUAAAUAAUAUAGGGACCUGAAUCAUGACUAUUGUUUAGAAAAUACCAAGUUUAAAGGGUGAAAUAUCUAAGAAGGAAGAGUCUAAUUUAAAGACUAUCCUUUCAGAUUUUGUUGUCUAAACAUUGAUUGAACAAAAUGACAAGCUGUCGUGUUACAAAGCUUAAAUGAACAAGCAAGCAAUGAUCAUCAGGCAAUAGGAAGAGGUUACCUCGGAGAAGAGAGCCUUCACUUGCGCAUAAGACUUUGGUACGACACCUUGAGAAUGGUGUAGGAAACCAGAACGGUUCAGAUCCUAUAUCCCCGAAUUGUGAUAAAAGAGGACAGAGGAAAAGCCACAUAUUUCUACCCUUAGAUUACUGUGAGAGAAUGAUGGUACAAAUUUUGGCGUCCCAGUGGAUAUAACUUUGAGGUUUACAAUGGGGACAGUCUGGCUAAAUGUUUCUUCAGAAAAAAAAAUCAGUCAAGCGAGAAGGCGUUGCAGCACGUCAGUCACAAAGCCUUAGUAAACUUCGAGUAAUGACAACCUAAGCGAGAUCAUUCUCGGAAAAAUAAAAUUCUGCAUUCAUGCGAACACCAUUCACAUAUGUCUAGUUAGGAGCAUUUGUUUCAUUUUGAUCAUGUCAUCCUAAUCAUUAGGCAUAAUUAGGUUUAUUAUACAGGUCUUAUCUCCCUGAGAUUACAGUGGAACAGACCAAAGAAUUUCAGAUCCUAUCUCCCUGAGAUUACAGUGGAGCGGAUUAAAAUAAAGGAUCUUAUCUCUCUGAAGUUACAGCAGAGUAGAUCGCAUCAAGUCUUAUCACCCUGAGGUUACAGGGGAGUAGACCGAAGAAUUUCAGAUCUUAUCUCCCUGAGGUUACAGUGGAGCAGAUUGAAGCCAGAGAUCUUAUCUCUCUGAGAUUACAGCGGAGUAGAUUGAAGCUAGUAAUCCUAUCUCUCUGAAGUUACAGUGGAGCGGAUUAAAAUAAAGGAUCUUAUCUCUCUGAAGUUACAGUAGAGUAGAUCACAUCAGAUUGAAGCCAGAGAUCUUAUCUCCCUGAGAUUACAGUGGAACAGACCGAAAAAUUUCAGAUCUUAUCUCCCUGAGAUUACAGUGGAACAGACCGAAAAAUUUCAGAUCUUAUCUCCCUGAGAUUACAGCGGAGUAGAUUGAAGAUAGUAAUCCUAUCUGCCUGAGAUUACAGUGGAGUGGAUUAAAAUAAAGGAUCUUAUCUCUCUGAAGUUACAGUAGAGUAGAUCACAGCAGACAAAACCACAGAUCUUAUCUCCCUAAGCAGUUAGUGGAACAGAUCACAUCAAGUCUUAUCUCCCUAAGUAGUAGUGGAGCAGACUAAAAACACAAAUCUCAUCCCCAUGGAGUCGUAGCAAAGUAUAUUGAAGCUACAAGGCGUAUCUGAACUUGAAGUAGAGUGGAUCGAAGCAACAAGAUGUAGCAGGCUGGAAUAAGGCUACUUGAAGAAGAGAAGCACCCAAAGAAGUCAAGCCUCGGUGAGACCAGGCAAAUUUGGUCUUUUUUAGUCUUUGCUCUGUUCUUGUUACACAAAAACGAGCAAAGAGGGGCAGCUGUAGAAGCCCAAAUUUGCCGGGCCCAUACCAACAAAAUAACCCAAACAAUAAACCCGAAGCCCAACUACCCCAGCCCAUUAACCUAAGCUCAGCAUUCAGAAACCCUAAUCCCACUAACCCUAGCCACCUACCCCCCACUUGCCCACUUGCCCACUUGCGCCGAACACCACCAUGCCACUGUCGGCCAUGGCCACCUGCAAGAAGCCAAGUAGAAAUAAACAAAUAGAAAAUAAACAUUUGUAAUCGGUUAUAAAAACCGAAAAUCUCACCAUUGAUAAAGGGGAUUUUUUAUUUUUUGCUAUGAAAACAAAAGAUUUUCUUUCAAUAUUAACAGAUUCAAUACAAGAACCAUUCGAAAAUAUAUAUACUAUCAGGGGCUCUAACACCAAAUCGGAGAAUCAAAUCUAAAACCUAAGGUGACUCUUUCUUUUUUUUUUCUUUACUGUUUUGAGUUUAUUUUCUACAUAAAAAUACUAAAAAAUAUUAAAACAUAAAAAUAUAUGCAUUAUUAAGCAAAAAAAAAGAAAAAAAGAAAAAAAAUAUUUUUUUUACCUUUUCCGGCCACCGCGUGCGGUGGCCGGCGCCGGCGCCGGCGAGCCUCCGGUGGCCGUCCGGUGACCGGCCCCCUGGCCGGAUUCCCCUUUCCCCCUCCCUUCUCUCUCCCUUCUCUCUUCCCUCUCUCUCUUCUUUUUUUUUCUUUCCCUCUCCCCAAAUGAUUUUUUUUGGCUAUUUUAGGCCUUUAUAUAGCCCUCCAAAACGACGUCGUUUUGGGGGCUACACUUAAGCCUCAAAACGACGUCGUUUUGACCAUUGCCCGACCCAUCCGACCCGACCCGCUAGAGGAUCCGCGUGUUUUCGUUUGAAUGGGAUAUUUAUGCGCCCAGUCCUUCCGCUUUUUCAAGGUUUUGCAGUUAAGUCAUUUUUCUUGUUUCCAAUUUGGCCCCAUAAUUUCUCAUGCUUUUCGAUUUAGUCCCCGCUAAUGUGCUGUGUUUUAAUGGAAUGGAAUAAUUGUUGUUUCGGUCCCCCUAUGUUUUGUGCGCGCUCAAAUAAGCCCAUUUCUCUUUAUUUCCUUUCACAUUUGCCCCACAACUUUGUUUUUAAUUCAAUUUUAGUCCUUUUUCGUUUAUUUUUAUAUCUUUAUUAAAUAUCAUUGUUAUUUUAUAUUAUUAGUAUUAUUAGUAUUACUAUUAUUAUUAUUAUGUAUUAGUAUAUAUUUUUAUUAUGUACGCGUAUACAUGUAUAUAUAUUUUCAUAUUUAAUAUUUUUAUUUCAUUUUUUUCUAAUAUUUUAUUAUAAUUUAUAUAUAUAUACAUAUACAUAUUCUUUAUUAUUUAAGUAUAUAUUUUUUAUAUUUCAUAUUUUCUACAGGCAUAUAUAUACUUAUAUAUUUACAUAUUUUAAUUCAUAUACUUAUAAAUGUAUGUACAUACUUACGUUAUUUUAUUUUUAUAAUAUACAUAUUUAUAUUUUUUUGUCUUUAUGUAAUAUAUAUACAUACAUGCGCAUGUUAUUUUUAUAUAUGUAAUUAUGUUUUCAUAUUUUAUACUUCUUGUACAUACACAUAUAUAUAUGUAUAGACAUACAUAUUUUCAUUAUAUAUAUAUACCUACAUAGUUUUUUUUUUGUAUUUUAAAUCUUUUAAAAUUCAUACAUGCAUUUUUAAAACUUUUAUAAUUUUAUUCAUUUCUUUAUUAUUAUUAUUGUUUUACUUUAUGUUUAUCUAUUUAUUUAUGUGUCCAUUAUUAUUUUUUUUAAAAAAUGUUUUAGUUUUUUUUAUUUUGUUUAUUUACUUGUUAUUGUAUAUAAUUGAUUUUUUAUAUAUUUAUUUUUGUUAUCUUCGCUCGUAUUAUUUUUACUCGCAUUAUCGUAAUUGUUAUUCCGUCACAUCAAUUUUUACCCAAAUUCGUAAAAAAGGGAAAAUUUUGGAAAUAAAGGCAAUACUCGAUACUUGGGAUCUUCGAGAGAAUUGGGCCCUAACGUGCUGGGUUCUAAUUUUCUGUUGAAUCUAAAUGCUCGAGAAUGCUCUUUAAUAUAAAACAUAAAUAAAAACUCAUUAUCGGGAUUUCAAUAUGUUGUGUCCUAACGCAUUGGAUAUGACAUGUGGUUUUCUCGAUAUGAGGAUUUUUUUUUUUCGAAAGUAAAGACAAUAUUCCGUAUUUAGAAAAUUCGAGAAAAUCAUGCCCUAACUUACUGAGCUUCGAUUUUUCUCGUUGAUUCUAAGUAAUCGAAUAUCCUUUUAAAAUUAAAAUAAAUGAGGUUUAAAUAAAAAAAUGAAAGGCAAGUUUACUCUCGAAAAUACGAGGUGUCGUGUCCUAACUUACUGGAUGUAACAUCUUGUUACUUCGAGAUAAAGAGGCAUUUUCCAUUUUGAUUUAUUCGAGUAUUUUUAAAAUAACACGAUAUAAGGAGGGAUCAUAUUUUUAAGAUUCUUUUCGAGUUUUUAAUUUUCGACACUAAGACACUAAUUAAUCAACUAGGUACCAAUUUUGGGCGUAUCGAGGGUGCUAAUCCUUCCUCGUGCGUAACCGACUCCCGAACUCAUUUUUCUGAAUUUCGUAGACCAAAAUCGUUGUUUUAAUAAAAUUAAAUCAUUUAUUAAAAACAACCACUUUUUGAGGUGACCCGAUCACACCUCAUCAAAAAAGGAUUGGUGGCGACUCCCAAUUUCGUUUCAUUUUCAAAAUCCAAGUUGACCCCGUUUUCAUCCAAAAAAUGGUGUCAACAAAAUUUUCUUUAAUAUAUUCACUAUAAGAGCCAAUAAUAUUUAUGAAACUUAACAAAACAUUAUGACUAAUGAGAAAUAAAGAUAAAAUUAAAAAAAGAAGAAGCAAUAAUUGAAUCGAAAUUACAGCACUUGGAAGACUAAAUUUGCAAUCAAUCGAAAACAUGAGGACUAAAACCAUAAUUAAACACAAUGGUUCAAACAUUCAAAUUCAGAUAAUGGAAACGUCGCCGUUUAACUAUGAACCAAAUUGAAACCAGAUUAAAUCAUACGGUAUAAAUCGAAAAAUUGCAGAAAAUCGAAUUAGAACAAUACAAGAUAAAAGAGGACUGAUUGCGGAAAUAGUCCAAUGAACCAGAAUGCGCGGAUCCUGCCCCGGGUCGGGUCACCGCGUGGGUCCAAGGACGCUAAACGGCGUCGUUUCUUUCACACUAUAUAAGCUAAAAUAAACCUAAAACCUAAAGCUCUCAGUCAUUUUUUAAGAAAAAAAACCUAAAAGAAAACUAAACUCCUGGCGCCGCUUCAGCGUCGAAAACCCCCCUCGCCUAUUCAAUCUUGGCCUGAACGGGGGAGGGAUUCGGCGACUCACCGAUCCAGGUAAGGUUUCUGAACUGUCCUCCCUUUUUAUUUUAUAUAUAUGCUUAUAUAUGUGAUUACUAGCAAACAGAAAAAAAGAAAAAGCAAUCGGAAAAGGAACAGAACCGAAAAGAGGAAAAAAGAAAACCUUUUUUGUAUUGAUUUCGUUUUUUUUUUAUACAGUCUCCCCUUCCGGAGUACAUGAGAAAAUAAGGCUCUCAUAGCCCGAAAAAUAAAAAAUAAACCCUCUUUUCUCCUUUUUUCUUUUGUUGUUAUCGUUUUUUGCUUUUUUUCUUCUUCUUUUGCUGUUGUCUUGUUAUUUGCUGCAGGUACGGGUACGCGUGACGUGGCUCAACGCGUAUGGAGGCAGAGGCUGGCGUGGAGCGGCUCGGAGGCGUGGCUGCAGCGCUGGAGGCUGAAUGUUGCUAGGGUUUGCUGCUGUGCAUUCUGGUGUUGGGCCAUUUGGGCUGAGUUGGUUUGCUGGGCUUAGAAUCAGGUUUAGGUUUGGGCUAGGGUCUAGGCAAAUUGGGUUUGGUGAAUUUUUUUGUAAUUUGGACUGUUAUUUUAUUUGUUUUUUUAUUAUUUAUUUUAAUAGCGGGCUGGGCAAAUUGGGCCUAUUACAAUAUAUAUAACCAAAUUUUGUAACACCCAUUUUAUGUUAAAAAUAUUUUCUUUAAAAUUAAGUAUAGGUUGGGUGGUAAAGUACUUAUAUUUUAAUACUAGUAAAUACAUGUUCAAUCUUUAGAUUUAUAAUUUAUAAUUCUUUUAAUUAAAGAUGAUAUACAAGUAUGAAAAGACAAAAGUGACAUAGUAAUAAUAUUAAUUAUAAAUUUUAUAAUUUCAUAAUUGAGUUGAUGACGUGGUUGAAGGUGGCACUAACUCUAAAACACUUAAAUAUAAUAAUAGCUUAAAAAUAAGGGGCUUUUGGAAAAUACAUUUCUGAGUUGGUGACCUGAGGGUCACACCAACUCAAUAAAACUCUUAAAUAUUGAUUACAAAUCCUAUCACACACUUAUGUGUAUCAAUAUCACAAAUUUAGAAUAUAAAGAUGUGUUUAAAAUUAACAUACAAUAAAGAAUGAAAUUUAUGGUUUGAAACUAAUUAGUAAUAACACAUGAAAUAUGUAUGAUAUUAAAAUGAAAAAAGAGAGAUUAAAUUGUGCAUAAAACAAAAUUUUAUCCUAUUACAUCAAUAAAGUUAUAUUUAUUACCCUCGCCAAUUAUUUGUCAUUAAGAACAUUAAAGUAUCCUUGAAUGAUAUAACUUAUUCUAAAUAGAGUUGAUGUAUGGUUGGCUUGGGAUACCAACUCAGUCAGGAGCUUAAGAUUAUUAAAAUAUUCUUAUUUUAAAGAGAAAUUAAUAUUAUUAUAAGAGCACGUUUGGUUCGUUGUAUUGGAUUAGAGGCGUAAUGGAAUAGAGGUGUAAUGGAUUAGAGGUGUAAUGGAAUAGAGGUGUAAUAGCAAAUCAACUGUUUGGUUAAAUGUAAUGGAAUAGAGGCGUAAUAGUAAUCUUGUAUUUGGUUGAAUGAAAUAGAGGUGUAAUAGCAUAAUGGGAAAAACUAAAAUGACUAGAAUACCCUUAGCAUAAAUUUGUUAAUGAUUAUUGUUAUUGUUAUUUAAAUUUUAAUAAGAUUAUUAUUAUCAAUAAUAAAUAAUUUAAUCAUAUUUAAACAUAAUUAUUAUUAAAUAUAUUAUAAUUAAAAUAUAUAAUUUAAUAAAAUUCUUAAUAAUCAAUAUUCUUAUAUGAAUUUACUCAAAUCAUAAUAUAUGAUACUAUAAAAUUUAAAUUAACAUAAUUAUUAUUAAAUAUAUUAUAAUUAAAAUAUAUAAUUUAAUAAAAUUCUUAAUAAUCAAUAUUCUUAUAUGAAUUUACUCAAAUAAUAAUAUAUGCUACUAUAAAAUUUAAAUUAACAUAAUUAUUAUUAAAUAUAUUAUAAUUAAAAUAUAUAAUUUAAUAAAAUUCUUAAUAAUUAAUAUUCUUAUAUGAAUUUACUCAAAUCAUAAUAUAUGAUACUGUAAAAUAUAAAUUAAAAUAAUAAUUAUUACAUAUAAUUUAAUAAUAAUAUAUAAUUUAAUAAAAUUCUUAAUAAUUAAUAUUCUUAUAUGAAUUUACUCAAAUCAUAAUAUAUGAUACUAUAAAAGAUAAUUUGAAAUAAUUAUAACUAAUAAAUUAUAUUUUAUGAAUUUGUAUAAUUUAAAAUAAUAAUUAUUACAUAUAAUUUAAUAAUAAUAUAUAAUUUCAUAAAAUUCUUGAUAAUAAAUUUUCUUAUAUGAAUUUAUACAAUUUAAAAUAAUUAAUAUUAAAUAUAAUUUAAUAGUGAUAUAUAAUUUCAUAAAAUUCUUAAUAAUAAAAUGUUCUUAUAUGAAUUUACUAAAAUCAAUAUAUAACUUGAGAAUUAUAUUCUGCAUAAACAUAAUUAACUUAUAUUAAGAAAAGGUUAGAUGAAAAUGAAAUUCUACAUCAUAAUCCAUAUGUUAUAUAGUUUUACAACAUCAAAAAGUUUGAACAUUGAUAUUUAAUGGUGAGAAAGAAAUCUUCUGACCCAUUCCAAUCGGGCAACAGAAGGUAAACUAAAGAAAACGAUCAUUUGAGUUGGAUGAUCUGGAAUUUUACUCAAAGCAUCAUACCGCUGAUCGUCAGUUAAACCUUCAAUUGACCAUAGGGCUGAAUAUAAAUUUGAAGCUUUCUCUUCCAUCUUUUGAUAUUCUUCUGACUUCUGCUGAACUACCACCUCGAAGGCAAUACUCCUACUGAUUUGAUCGCCAACGGCCUGGAUUUUUUCCCCCAACAAAGUGGCAGCCUCAUCAAAUGAAGAAUACACAUUAUCACGAGCAUCAGAUUUCUUCUUUCUCUUGUUUGAAGAUGAGGAACCCCCUUGGUCUCUAUCUCCUCACGGAUCUGUACCAGAAACAUCCAUGUCGUCUAAAGAGACGUCAGCUUCGCAGUCAUAGAAUGUGUUUCUCUCUUCAUUCAUAUCUGUAGUACGUACAUCCUCAGCAUGUAUUUCUUCAAGAACAUCAGCAGCUGUUUGAGCGUCUUUCCCAGUUGCUCGAUCUCUUGCUUAUAUGGUAGUAAGCUGGUCAUAGUAAGAGAAAGUACGAUAUUUGAAUUGAGUGGCUUCUCUGUGACUCUAAAAAAAAUGAGGAAAUCAUAUUAGUCAUAAGUUUGGUAUAAAUAAGAUAAUAAAGACUUGAAAUAAUCUUACCUUUAAAUAGGACUCCCAAACCGUAUCUUCAGCAACAACGAGCUGCCUAUGCUCGUCCCAACCAAAACCGCUAUUGUUUUGGCCAUUAAGCAUGUCAUAAACGAUUGACCACUCCCUUUUUAGUAACCUAACCCUUGAUUCAAUAUUAGGUUUCGCCUUCAACAUUGCAUUUAGUAAAACCGUUUGUAGCAUUCUUUCCAACUCGUUCAAAUAACCGGCUUUGAACCCGGUAUCAGCAUUAAAUGUUCCAACAUUGUGCAGGUCCACCAUGCAGGAAACUAAUGCUGCAUCUUCUUCUGGAACCCAUUUUCUUUUGCUUCCUCGAGAAGCUUGAGAAGAAGCAUUUGAUUCUGGAACACCUGACAUAAUGAUCUUAAGAACAAAAAAAAAACAAAUUAUAUUAAUUACUAUUUUAAUAUCAUGAUUCAAAAGGUCAACACUAUAUAAAAUCUAAGGAAUUAAGUUGAAUAUCAUGAAUCAAAAGCUCCAUACCACAAAAAAUUUAAAAUUAUAACACAUGCUGAAUUAGAAGAAAUUAUAUUAUAAUUCAACAAGUUUAGUACAAUACAAAAAUCAAUACAAAAGUUUCACAAACUAAUUUCUAGAUGCUUGCCAUUCAUCGAACAUUUGGUUGGCUAGUUCCAUCCUCCAAGUAGCCCAAGCAUCUGAUGGAUGAAUAUUUGUGAUAUUCGGUUCAUCGUCAUCCACCACAUUAAUUGUAGGUAAUCCUUCUCCCACCUCCGCUUCAAUGGGAUCAAUACUCAUAUGGGUUCGAAUAAAAUUAUGGAGCAAACAACAUGCAAUAAUAAUUCUAUUGUGCACCCUUACAGGAUAGAACGAUGGACUCCUAAGUAUUCCCCAUCUAAGUUUUAAUAAGCCAAAGCAUCUUUCAAUAACAUUACGUGCUGAGGCAUGUUUCAUAUUAAAAAACUCUUGCGGAGAACUUGGCUGAUAACCCUGACGCCACUCGUUCAAAUGAUAUCGCUGUUCUCUAAAUGGUGCAAGAAAUCCCUCACAAUUUGUGUAUCCAGCAUCAACUAGAUAAUAACAACCUAUAAAAUAAAUUUUUUUUUAAAAUGAUUAAUUCAGCACACAAAGUUUACUAAAAAAAUAAUUCAAAGUCCUCUAACUAUACACUUUACCAUGAGGAACUUUUAAUCCAUGUCUUCUACUAAUGGCAUCUCGAAGAACCCGUCCAUCAGCAACUAAACCUUCCCAACCAGGAAGAACAUAAACAAAUUGCAUCUCAGGUGUACAAACACCUAGCAUAUUUGUUGCUAUGUCACCUUUUCACGUUCGAUAUCUAGGUUUAUCAACUGUUGGAACCCUAAUCUUGAUGUGGGUUCCAUCAAGAGCACCUAAGCAAUUCUAUAUCACAUGAUAUAAAACCUUGAGUUAGAAUACUAAUUUAAAUCUAAAUCAAGUAAAUGUUGUUGAAGAUAUAUAUAAAACUUAGUCCAAUACCUUAAACCAUUUCCACCUUGUGUCAGAAGAAUCAGCUGUAAUUAGCUCUGGCUUUUUAAAUAACACAUCUUGUAAGCGUAUGACAGCAUUUAAAACACUAUGAAAUGCUCUGCUAACAGUUUCCCCGGACCUUCUAAAGUGAUGCUUGAUAACUCGAUUUUUCAGGUGAUGGGAGAUGAUAAGUAAAAACAUUGCUACUUGCUCGUCAACAAGCAUGAACCUUGUCGACUUCAAUCCCCUAUCGAUUCUAACAUCUCACAUUGUUUAAAAAAGGCAGCUCUAUUCAUCCUAACUUGUUCAAUACAGGUCUCGUCACUAGCAUAUACAAGCCUCUUCACAUAAUCCCGUUUUGCAUAAAAAUCUACGGUAUAGGACCUAAUCCUUGGUCUAUGUAGCCUAAGGCUGGCACCCAUUCUAAAUAAGAACCAAAUCGCGAUUCUACAGAUUUCCAACCAUAUUGUCACAGCAAUACCAAUUCUUUUACGCCUCACACUUUGUGCAAUUAAAGGCAGACGAGCCAUUACUGCAACAUUUAGAACACACAUAGUUUAAACUCACGAAUUUAGAACACACGAUAGUUUGAACAUUAAUUAGUUUGAACAUUUCAUUUCGUAUAAAUAUAUUGAUUAGUUAAUUAAAGCAUGUUCAAUGUUUGAACAUUGAUAGUUUGGACAUUUAAAUUUAAAUUUAAAUAUAAUUUCGUAUAAUGAAAUUUAAGAUUUAAUAAAGGUGAGUAUCAAAGUUUGAUCAUUGAAUAAUCUUUUUUAUUGAUGAUUAGUUUAAUUAAGGUUUUCUAAUUUCAAAAUAAAUAAAAUGAAGAAUGAAGAUUUGGUUUAAUAAUGAAGAUUUGGUUUAAUAAAUAAAAUGAAGAAUGAAGAUUUGGUUUUCUAAUUUCAAAAUAAAUAAAAUGAAGAAUGAAGAUUUGGUUUAAUAAUGAAAAUGAAGUUUUAAAAUUUUUAUAACAUUUUAAAUGGUAAUUUUAUUUUGUAAAAAUAUAUAUAACUUUUAUCUCAUUUACAUGUACAAAUUAAUAUUAACAGUAUUGUAUUUGCAAUUAUGAUUGGAAAGAUUGAAAUCUAGUAUUGUAUUUACAUGUACAAAUUAAUAUUAUUUAAGCCCAUUAUUUGUAGGCAUAAUGCUCUUUAAGAUUGAACAUAAUUAAAGGUUGAACAUAAUUAUUAUUAUUUGAAUAAUAUCAAUUAAAGGUUGAACAUAAUUAUAUAUUAGUAUCAAAUUUGUAUGUACUCUUUAUAUGUACUCUUUCACUAAUAAAUUAUAUAUCAAAUUUGUAUCACAUUGAUUUUAUGUACGCUUUCAGUAAUAAGUUAUAUAUUAGUAAAAAGUUGGUGCAUUGGUACACCAAAUAAUUUGAAUACAUACUACUUUCUUUAAAAAAAAUGUUACCUAUUAGUAAAAACAUAUAACCUAUUUGGGAAACAACAAAAGCUGUAAUGACCAUAAUUAUGCAAAUUGGUGAUAAAAAAGAACAAUAAUUAUGCAGCAAUAACCAUAACCAUACAAACAAAAGCUGUAAUGAGCAAUACAAACAUACAAACAAAACCAUAUUCAUUUGGGAAACAACAGAAGCAGCUACAGCAAUACAAACAUAACCAUACAAGGAAAACAUACUAAUAAACCAUGAAUACCAAUGGAAAACUAACCUGUAAUGAGCAAAUCGGGGACGACUGCGAUGUAGAAGUGUUGGAACAAAGAACCUGUAACCAGUAAAGGGAAAUCAAUGUUACAAAAAUAAUCAGUUUAUAAAAUUGAUCAUACACUUUACCAAAGCAGCCUCUCAUUUAGUAACCAGUCCUUUAGAUUAUUAAAUAUACCAACUUGGCAGCUUUGAAUAUAUAUGCAAAGCCAUUUUACUUUAAAAUACAUCCCUCCAUUUAUCCUCUUUAAUGUGGUUCACUAGCACCAAGGAAGGCUUAGCAAUGAGGACUUUACAUUCCCUUUCGAAUUUUAAAAUCCCAGGGUUUACCAUCACAAGAAGAUACAUCCUUAUUCAAUCACACUCACCAACUAUUAUGUAAUUACUAAAAAAUGCAACCAAAAUGGGGUUGGCCUAACAUAAAUCAUACACCACACCAUCAAUUGAAGGUUAAUUCAUGGUAACAUUAGUAUUGAAAGGUUGCGUUGUGGGCAGCCUAAGAGGACUCGCAACACUAGGCUUAAUUGCUGUAACAUAUCACAUUCGGAGGCUGGUUCGGACAGCAUCAAUAAUACAAUAUUUAGACAUCAUUAACAACGCAAUAUUCGAACAACAUCAAUACCACAAUCGGACAGCAUAAACAGGGCAGCAAUUAACAAUACCAACAAGGUAAAAUUCGGACGGCAAUUUAACAGUUUCAACAAUUAUCAAACACAAGAAAAUAGAAGUUCAAGGAAAACUCGCCAAGGUUCCCAACACCAAUUUUACCUAUUUAAUUUACUUCUUCCCUUUUCCGCUACAGCCUUCUCCCACCUUGUUAGCUAAAUACAAUGAACCCAAAAGUUACAAAAAUGGUGUAUAACAACUCAAGCAUUCACUAAAUUCUUUUAACACAAGUGAGAAACUCCUCAUCUUCUAGACAUGCAACGUUUACAACUAGAAAAGAAACUCUUCUCUUCUCCCACACAUUCGGUCAAGCUCAAUUCAACAAUGCAACCAGAAUUUGUCAACGAAAAGCUAUGGGCAAGGGAGAGCUUAGAAGAGUUACAGUUCUACUUGAAAAUUUUAACUUCUAAGCAAGCAAAUUUCAUGGUUUUCCAGUACAUGUAGCCGGCCUCUCCUCUCUAGCUUCAUUUGAAAGAGACAAGGAAGCAAGAUAGAAAAAUAAAAAGUCGAAGUCUUUCUUUCUUACUUACCGUCCAUUUCUCCACCCUUUACCCAUCAUAAAAUGAAAUUUAGCCAAUCAACAAAUCUUAGCCGGCCACCAACCAAAAACCAAAAACCAAAAACCAUAAAAUGAAAAGAAUCAUGUAAAAGUUUAUUCAUACCUCAAAAACCAAACGCCGAGACCGAGAGAAGAAACGAUGAGGACUGAAUCAUCAACGAAAGCAGUGGGAAAUGGGAGGAGAAAUUAUGAGGACAGAAGAUGAGAGGGUCGGGUAGGGAGGGAGGGUAAAACAGAGAGUUGGGGAGGGAAGCCGGACGUAAUACCUAUUACUCGAUUUGGGAAGGGAUUAGAAAAGCAGGGAAUUUGGGGAUUAGGUCGGGAUUGUAUUACGCGCGUAAUACCUAUUACAGCGAACCAAACGCCAGAUUAGGGGCGUAAUGUAAUAGCCGCAUAAUCAGUCAGUAAUGGAUUACCUAAUACACUGAACCAAACAUAGUGUAAGUGUAUUUUCACCUUUUCAUACUUUGAUAUAAUCUUCAAGUAAAACGAUUGAAAAAUAUUAUUUGACGACACAAGACUAAAAAAAUUCAUAUAGAAAAUGCUUACCACUCCACUAGUAAUCAUUUGUCAAUGUAUUUUUGGUAAAAAGACCUCUCCAAUCCCUCUUAAUUUCACAAUUGCGCAAAUUAGUCCCUCUCAAAAAAUUAAAGCAAUUUAAUCCUUAUCAAUUUUGAAAGUGAGUAACUAAGGAUAAUUAAUUAUGGUGUUAAAUUCUUCCAUCAAUUGUACAUAAUUUUGAUUGGUAUAGUAAUAAAUUUAGCCUUCAAUGUUUAUAUAUUUUGUCAUUUUGGCCUUAAUUUUUAAAAAAAUUUUAAGAAAUUCAACCUCAACAUUUACAAUUUACACAAACGUUGCGGGAAAAUUUUGUUAAAGUAAGACCAGCUAAAUUUAUUAUUAUACCAACCAAAAUCAUGUACAUUUUAUGAAAAAUUAACAUCCUGAUUAAUUAUUCUUAAUUGCUCACUUUCAAAAUUAAUAGGGACUAAAUUGCUCUGAUUGUUUUAGGGUGACCAAUUUCCUCAAUUUGGAAAUUGAGAGAGACUAUUGAGAUCUUUUACAUUUUUUUUUAUAAAUAUAUUUUUUAAUAUAAAAUAUAUUUGUUCACACACAUCGUGUGUAUGAUAAAAUAUUUUUAUUGUUGAUUGAGUUGGUGUCAAAAAUUAACUUGACACCAACUCAAGAUUAAUGAUAACAAUAUGAUAAAUAAUUUAUUUAUUUAAUAUUUUUAAUUUAAGAUAUUGAUGUAAAUUUUAAGACAUGUAUGUCUUGUAGAAUUGUAAUUAUACUUUUUCAGUAUUGACUCAGUUUUCCACAAUUGUGGGUCUCUAUUUGAGCAAAACAAUUUCAACAUUUCUUCAUCUCGCUUAAUCCAAAUGCAUUUAGGAUUUUCUUAUAUCAUUGCUUCAAAAAGGGUAAAAAAAAACGUCGACAUUGAAUUUUCUGUUUCACAUUCAAUUUUUGGAUACGUAGAAUUUUCUAAUUUAUUUUCCAUCAACUUCACUUCAAUUUUCAGUCACAAUCAAUUGCAAUCAAGAGCACCACAUCUUUUUGGAUGAAACGAAGCUCUCAAUUUUAAGAUAAACGGGUCUUUAGGGUUAUUAAUUGAGGGCCUUUUCCACAAUUGCCAUCGUUAUUUGCGGGUGAUUGGGUUACGACAAUGGUUUGAAGUGAAGCUGUUUCAAAUGAAUAUGAAUACUCUACCAGUAAGUCAUAAUUUAAAAUUCAGGUUAUGUUUCAUUUCAACUAAGUUAAAUGUUAAGAUUGAAGUUAAACCUUUUAGAGGUUGCUCACAAAAGGAUCAAACCUUUAUAAAAGUGCUUAAAUGAAUGCCAAAUUUUUUAAAAUAGACAAAUAAGGCCCUAACCUUUUAAAAGGUGUUCAAAUAAGGGCUUCUCAAAUGUUGUAUAUCAGGUUAUGUGUUUUACUCUAAACAUAUCAGUAUUUACUAUUUUUUCUACAAAUUGGGUUGAAGUGCAUGAAAAAUUUUAUUUUAGCACUUUUGUAAAGGUUAAACUCUUAUUUGACAAUUUUGAAAGGUUUGAUCCUUAUGUGAGCAACCUUUAAAAGAUUGAGCACUAAUUUAACAAGUUGAGAAAUACCUAAAUUUGUUUUCAUGAACCAAGAAAUUAAAAAAAAAAAAAAAACAUGUUGAGAAAUAUUUUAGAGAUUCUUAGCCUUGACAAGUUCCCUCCACCAUCUCCCUGCCUCCAGUCCCACCUCUUCUCUUAUGCUCCUUCCAGGUUCUUGUUUUUUGUGUAUUGAAAAUUCGACGGAACAAAAUAUCAACCUACAUCAUAAGGCACGAAGGCCAGAACUUUACUUUCUAGCCCGUCCGAUCCAAUGAAAGAAGAACAAAGAGUAUUGAGAUCUGACAACUUUAUUUCAUUUUCAUUUUCUUUGUUAUUUUCUAUGUUUCAUGUCAAAUACAAUGGAAGAAGAACAUAGAAAAAUGUUGCCUAUUUAUUUCCCAAUCAUCAUGAAAUUACUUGCCAUAGUCUUAGAAUUUUCUCACCAAUUUUCAAGCAAUCUCACAUGAUUUCUCAAUCACAAUUAAUUGAAUUCAAGAUCUUUUUGGAUGACACAAACAUUUCAAUUUUAACACAAACCAAUAUUUAGGUUAUACUUCAGUGCUUGACAAGCACUUUCACAUUUGUGGGAUAAUAACUCUAGCAUUUUAGGAUCACAUUUAAUUCAAUUGCAUUUAAGACCUCAUGAUUUUAUUCUAUAAUUUGAGUCUUAUCAACCUUUUGGGAAAUAAUAAAACAUCGACAUUAAACUUGUUGUUGAUGCAUUCAAUUUGAUUUUUUGAGGGGUCGUUGGAGUUAUAUAUGACUUUAGCAUUGAUUGAUUUUUUUAGAAUUAAUCUUUUAUACCAAUUUAAUAACAUCGACAUGUUUUUGGGUAGGGUAGAACAAAACCCAAUUUAAACCGAUUAUAGUGGUUUAGUUGACUCGGUCAAGUCCAUUAGAUGGAUAAAAUCAAUUUUAAAAUCAGUUAUAAUGGAUUAAGGUAAUUAAUUAUCUAGUAAUGAAAUACAUAAUCAAAUCAGUUACGGAAUCCGCCAUGUUAGAUAAUAUGAACAUCCCAUAUAUAAUAAGAAAAAAUUACGUACGAUUAUUUAUUAUCAUAAAUGGUUAGCUUAAAUUUAAAGUAAUCUAAUAUUUUUAUUGAUCUUCAACUAUUAACUAAAGUAUAAGCUAAAUAUGUGUAAAUAUUCUAGAAAUCAUUUCUAAUUGAUGAUAGGCUAAUUCGGAAUUAAGAUUAAUAUAUAAAAACUAGAUAGUAGGGUUAUAGUCCUCAAACUACACCUAAUUUAGUUUUUCCGACAUAUUUUUGAAAAAAUAUCACCUUCUUUAAAAAAAAUUGGUACAAAUUUCAAAAAUUAAAACUAUCAAUAAAUUCAGAUAUAUUAAUAAGUACCAACUAAACAAUACUUAAAUAUAGAUGUGUUUUAUAAAAAAAAAUUAUCAGCUUAAAGAAGUUGCAACAAAAAUUUAAAAUUCAUUUAUCAAAUGAAUAUUUAAAACUUAUAAUCUAAACUCUGACAUAAUAAAAUACAUAAGCAUAACUUGGAUUUACCAAAAAUCUAUGAACUUUUCUAAAACUUAAAUUUUAGUCCCUAUACUUUAAUUUAGAGACAUUGAGUCACUAUACUUUUUUAUUUAAAAAUCUUGGUCCCUUCAUCAAUUUUAUCAUUAUAAUUGUUGAUUUACUUGUUAUAAAAAAGGUAGAAUAACUUUUUUAGCCUUAAACAUUUAUAGUUUUUAUUAAUUUGGUCCUUACUCUUUAAAAUUACAUAAAAAUUCAAAAAUAUUUUAAAAAUUAAAUUUUUUCGUAUUUUUAAAAACAUUUAUAGUUUUUUUUUGUGGUUUGGUAACUUAUCAACUCGACUCUUAAUUGUGACAAACUUUUUUGACCUUUUUCGUACCCUUAACCUAAGUCCCGCUACAACUUUCUAAAGACCUCUUGAUUGGUGUAUCAUCUCGAUUUGUUUUUAUAGUGGUGGAGAUUUGGUUUUGAAGCAAGCCUAUGAUAAUCACAUUUUUCAUUCAACUGUUGAGCACACAAUACUUGAACCUUAAACACUUAGAGUGCUUUGAGUGAAUCUUAGAUAGGGUAUUGAUUAUGGUUGAGUUUGAAUUUCAGGUAAUUAUUGAGAUAGAGGAGACGCCUAUGUUUUUUGUGCUUUACAAAUUUUUGCUUAGAUUGCUUUUAUUCUUUAGUGUUAUGCUAGUUUCAAUUUCUAGUGCGUGAUUAUCUGUAGAUUAUUCCUAAGGAAUUGUCGGUGAAAACAAUAAAUUGAGGGAGAUUAACUUGAAUAAGGGUUGAGAAUUUUGCUUAAGGACAAACAAAUGCUUAAGUGUGGGGAUAUUUGAUAAGUGCUAAAAUUAAUAUGUUUUAACAUCAUUCUUAAUGUGUUUUUGGUUGAUUAUUUGAUGUUAAUUAUGAAUUUUAUGCUCCUAAUUCGUGUUUUUAUGCUUAAUAGAACAUUUGGGAGGAAAAUGAGCUAAAAUGGGGGCAACUAUAGGACCCACACAGGCUGACCUAUUCCAUAUGACCAUGUGGGUCAUGUGGCAGGCCAUUCGAUUUCGUAAAUUUUCACUCUGAACUGCGAAAAAAAAACGAAUUUUAGGUUUUUCAAGCAUUUUAAGGCGUAUAUAUGAAAAACAUAAGAAUAUAGGAGAGAACCUACCUAGAAUAUUUAAGAAAACAACUCCAAAAACACCAUUGAAGUCGGCUCUGAAGUAGAUUUUCAUCAAGAUUGAAGAUUCCCAGUUGAUUUCUUAGGAGAUUAUCAUGAGUUUCUUUAUUUCUUUCGGUUAUACUGCCCUUUGGAUGUUUUUAUUUUUAAGCAUGAACUAAUUUUCUAAAUACCUAAGAGAGAUGAACCCUAUGAUAGAUUGUGGCACCCCAAACCCGAUCGGGAUAGACCGGCCCGAAUUCGAAACAUUACAUUAGCCACCUAAGUGACUCUCCAGCUAACGACCACCCAAGACACAACCCAACCUUAUAACACCUCAAUCUUGUUUAAUUAUUAGUUAUUUAUUAAUGUAGAAGUAAAUUAUGAACCAAUUUUAAACUUUUCCUAGGUAAUUUAACCUAAGGGCAAUUUCAUCAUUUUACCACCUAUUGUAAAACUAACCCGAUUUUAGAUCUAAUUGCUUAUCAACCUUUUAAUCAAAUUAUGGAAGCCUAAAAUUUUUAGAUUCAUUUGAGUUUGUUUACUAUGUCUAAUUCAAAUUUUAUUACUAGGGACUAAAUUGUAACUUAAACAAAUUAGAAUAUCAAUUUAAAGAGACAAAAAUUCAAAACCCCAAAACCUACACGGGCAUGUGGAGACUGGAGCUAUCACAUACGGGCAAGUGAGAUUGAAAAAUAUGAAAUAAAUUAAUCGACUUAUUUUUCCAACAACCAUGCUAUGCUACCAAACCAAAUAAUGCUUGAAGCUUUGAAUAGGGGCGAAUCUAAAAAAAAAAAAAAUAGAAGAAUUAUAAUUAAAGUAUACAAUUUUGAGAAGUUAUCAUGUAUUAAUUUAUUAUUUUUUAAAGGGUCUUAAUAGAAAUUUUUUCCCAUUUUGGUUGGGCCAAUACCCUUGUCUGCCUCUUUAAAUUUGCUUCAACCCUAAACCCAAUAUUCGAUUUGGAUUAACAAAAAUAUAUAGGUUAGUAUUUGUGGGAGUUUGACGAAUAAAAAUUUCUUUUCUAGAGGUUUAAAUUAUAAAUUUUUGAAAGAUUAAAAUAAAUUUGUAUUUUUUUAUUAACAAAAUAUAAAAGAAAAAAAACAUGUUUAGACAAGCCAAGAGACCUUUGGGAUCAUACGGGUGAUUUUGAGAUGUUAAUGGUUAUUUUGGUGGAGAGGGUGAAAAAGAAACAAAUGAUUCAUUAUAUAUAAUAUAAUUAUCAAAAUUCAAGCCAUAUAUUGUAUGUUUCAUCCAUAAAAAUUUGAUGGGAGGUCCAAAGGUAAUUAAAUGACUUGUGGGCUUGCUGAAUUUCUUUGAAAGGCCCAAAGGCAAUUUAACAUUCACAAAAUAAUCUCUAAACACUGUAAAGACAAAUCAAAUCCACAGUAGCAUAAGAGUUGAUUAAGCUAAGCAUUGGUAAAUAUUACUUUGAUUUUGCAUGCAAUAUUGACAAAACCCCCUCCUACAUUAGAAAAACAACAUAAUCCAUGGAACAUUGAUAGCCCAAUACAAAUUUAUUCGAGAAAAAAGUCUCUUUGUUUUGUAGAACAUGAUAGUAAAGAUGUGGAGUUUCGUUCUUCUUAUUGGCCUCCUUUAGUUUUCCUUGAUCAACAACCACUAGCCAAAAACACAAUUAGAUUAGAUUAUGAAUGAUACUUUCAACUAUGACAAUAUUAAAUACAAACCCACUCUAAAUAACUUUAAAUAAAUGGAAAGCAGCAAAUUACCUGACCAGGCAAGCUAGUUUAAUUAAGACCAUUGUGUUAUACUUGUCUCUGAAUUGAAAAAUUUAGAAGGAAAUAAAGAGAAAGACUUAGAAAAUACUUGAAAACAGAUAAAACUUAUAUGUCAUUUAAAAUAAAAUAAAAAAUUCUAUUUAAGCCAUUUAAAAGUUUUAAGAUUUUUAAAAUUUUAAAAUGAUAAAAGUAAAAUAAUACUUUGGCACCCAAAAAUGAUAAAACUUUGAUUUAAUUCUUUAGUAAUUAUAAAAAUAUAGGAUAUUAAAAUGGUGAAAUUACAUUUUUACUAUAGUAAAAAUUACAAUUUAAUUUCACCCCCUAAAAGGAUUUUUUGGCUUCGCCACUAAUAAAAUCUUUGGCAAAAGAUUAAAAUAAAAUUAUACCGUAAAUGGAAAAAGAAACUAAGAAAAUCCAAUCUAACAAAGAAAAUAACUUGUUGUAACCAAAAGCUACCAUAAACCGUAAUUCAUGGGAAGGCUUGUUGCUUAUUUUAUUGGUUUCCAUUUUGAUUUUGCAAAAGAAGUCAGAAUUUUGAAGAGAGCAAAAGAAAAAAAAGUUUAUAUGAUUAAAAUUCUAGAAUAGAUUAAAAAUGUUGAAUUAAAGAUAAAAUUAAGUGUACUCAUUACUCACCAUCUCUGUUAAAAAUGUUGGAUGUUGUUUAGCAACCUUUGUUUGAUUUUCUUCAGCUCAACCACAACAUCUUUCAUAUCUUUUCUUUCUUCUGGUAACUCAGCUGAACAAUUCAAAGCCAACUCCAUGAUAGAUGAAAUACAAUUUGCUUUAACAACCAUGUACUCAUCCUCUCUUCUUAAUAAAUCAACAUCUGCAAUUUCUAUCGCUCCUUUAGGCAAUGAUCUUUCCAUCCAAUGCCUUAUACUCUCUUCUUCAACAAAAACAUUAUCAGUUGGCUUUUACUUUGUGAAAGUUUCUAUAAGGACGAUCCCAUAACUAUAGACGUCAGAUUUUAUAGAAACAAUUCCUGCUGAUCCAAAUUCUGCAUUUCAAGUAUAAUUAGAACAUCAUUCACCCUCAGUUAUUUCUAAAAUGCUUAUUCAAAUAUAUAUCCACAUCCACAUGAAACAAAAAUAUAAAAUGAAAAUUAGGAAAAUAAUCAUACAAAAAUAAAAAAGAAUUCACCUUGUGCCAUAUACCCGAUAGUUGCAAGAGUCAUGGUUUGCUUCAUUACUUCACCUUCUCCCAACAAUUUGGCAACGCCAAAAUCUCCAACAUGUGCAACCAUGUCUUCAUCUAGUAAAAUAUUUCUUGGUUUUAUGUCACAAUGAAUUAUAGGUGUUGGAUGUCCAUUGUGGAGGUGUUCUAUAGCUCCCGCAACAUCUAUCAUUAUGUCGACCCUUUGUAUGAUAUCAAGGAAACAAAUUUCAGAGUGUAACCAUUUCUCAAGGUUUCCAUUAGACAUGUAAUCAAGCACCAAGGCUUUGAAGUCAACACUUGAGCAGCAAGUAAUGACCUUCACAAUAUUACGAUGAACUAUAUUACGCAUAGCAUCACAUUCAAUGUCAAAACUCCUAAAUGCUCCCUCUGUUUGCAAAUUGAAAACUUUUAUUGCAACUUCCAUUCCAUCUGAAAGCCUCCCUUUAUAUACAUAUCCAAAACUCCCUGAACCAAGCAUAUUGCUUUCCUCAAAUCCAUUAGUUGCUCGUGAAAGUUCAGCAUGUGAAAUUCUUCUCGGUGUCUUCAAAGACAACAAAUCAUCUUUAAUUGGUAGAGUUGUACUUCUCCUUUGGCAACUUCUAUACAUAAUAGUUAAGACUGUUAGUACUACGACAAUACCAAUUGUUGUAAACCAUACCUAAAAGCAUGCAAUAUAAUCAUUUGGGAGUUUUUGUGGAUGUCGUUUUUGCAAGGUGGGACUAGCAAUCUAGGUGGGCCACAAAGUGCAUAAUUCUUCAUGAAUGAUGUGCUAGAAAAGUUUGAAAAACAUCCUUUGCUGGGAAUUUCCCCUUCAAGUCUAUUGAAAGACACAUUAAAAUACUUUAGAUAUAAAAGCUUUUCCAAAGAUUUGGGAAUGACUCCAGAGAGAUUGUUAUUGCAUAAAUCCAAGAAUUCCAAACUAAUCAAUCCAUCAAAUGAUUCAGGGAUAUGACCAUGUAGUAUAUUAUUUGAUAAAUCUAAUGAAACCAAAGUUUGAAGACCCCCAAAUGUGGAUAAGAUAUCGCCCGUGAGAAGAUUCCUUGAUAAAUUUAGUUUCAGUAGACUCCUAAGAUUUCCAACAUCAAUAGCAUGUGAAUUGUGAAGAUGGUUUGAUGAUAAAUCUAUUUUUAAGAUAUCUUUAAGAUUCCACAAAGUUGAGGGUAUUGCAGAACUCAAUUUGUUGGAAUGUAACCAAAGAUAUCCCAAAGAAGUAAUAUUACCCAAACAAGAGGGUAUAGAUCCAUGCAGCUUAUUCAACCCUAAAAACAAGUUGUAUAAUCUCUCCAAAUCACAAAGGCUUUCUGAGAUGGGCCCUCCUAAUUUAUUAGAGGAAAGACCUAGACUUUGGAGAUUCCGCAGUCCUCCUAUUGAUGUUGGAAUGAAUCCACUUAAUUUAUUAUAGCCAAGUUCUAAAAGCAACAUGUUGCUUAAGUUACCUAUUUCCAUAGGAAUAGUGCCUUGAAGCUCACAAUCUUCGGCAUAAAAGUAUUGAAGGGAUUUUGAAAGGUUCCCAAUAUAAGUAGGAAGAACGCCACUCAAUGGAUUUUCUGAAACUCCUAUGGUUUUCAAAUUCUUACAAUUCGUCAAAGAAGAAAGAAAGCUCCACUCAUGAUCAGUAGCAGAUCCUGUGAUCAAAUUAUUGUUUACGAUUCGGAACCAUUCAAGCUGUCUUAAGUUGCCAAGCGUUUUAGGGAUUGGGCCAGAGAAUAAGUUAUCUCCCAAGUCUAGUUUCGUAAGCAUGGAAGCAUUGGAGAUAGAGUAGGGAAUGUUUCCGCUAAGUUUAUUUCCCCCCAAAAAAAGAAACUCAAGCUUUGGAGCAUUGGUAAUGGGUGGUAAAUUACCUGUAAAAUAGCAUCUUUUAGUAUACAUAUUAAUUGAAUACCAAAUUCAUAAAAUAUAUAAUACAUUAAAAUAAAAACUGUAAAACUUCAAAUCAAUUAAGAAUAAAAUUUUGGCAUGGAAAAAUGUGAUGAAAUCAAUUAGAAAGUUGAGACAUAAUAAGAAGUUUUGAGUAGUAAUUACUCAUGAUUUCUAUAGACAAAACAUAUAAUACACUGAUAAUUUUUUAUAAUUUUUACAAUAUUUACAAUUUCUAACAAUUUUUAAUAAUUUUAUUAUUUAAUACAAAUUUAAAAUUUAACAAUUUUUUAUUUUUUUAAAACAAUUAUAUAUUUAUAAUGUAGUUAUUUUUUUUAUAAUUUUUUUUGAAAUUUUAAAGAUUUUUUUGGUUUUUUUUCUAGAUGAUGAUGCCAUCAUGAUGACAUCAUAUGCCACAUGGCAAUUUAUAAUUAGUUAAAUAUCUCAAUCCAUUUUUCUAACGUCAAAUGGACUAAAACAAGAACACCUGAUAAUGUUAGAGACUACACUUGGAAUGUUUGAUAAUAUCAGGUACUAAAGUGGGCAAAAAAAUUAAGGACUAUAUUAAAAAUAUAUCUAUAAUAUAUAUAAAUGCAUGGAUUUUGAGAAACUUUUGAAAUGAUAAUUAUAUAGUCUUUGUUUUUUUUACUAUAUUAUUGAAUUUUUUAUUUUAAAUAUUUUUUAUUACUUUUAAGAUUUAUCAUAUGUAUGUAUAAGAAUUUUGGUUUUACUAAAAUAUUUGGUCAAAUAAAUUCACUUUAUCAAAAAAUCUAGCAUCCUUAUAAAUAAAAAUUUUGAUUCUAUUAAAAAAAUUAUUUUAAAAAAUAUAUAAUAAAAAUUUAAAAUUUAUAUUGAAUUACUUUAUACUUAAAUUAUUAUUAGAAACUUUAUCAUACACAUACGUGCAUUAGAACCAUGUAUUUAGAACUUAAAUUUGUGUUUUAAAAUAACUUAUGAUAAAUAAUGAAAUGUAUAAUUUGAAACUAUUUAAUAAUAACACAUGACAUAUCUACCAUAUUAAAAUAAAAAUAGAUUAAAUUGUAAGUAAAACAUAAUUUAAACAUAUGAAUACAUCAAAUUACGAAUACUAAAUGAAUACAGUUAUUUAUGAUGAUGUUGUUGUCAAUUCCUAAGUUGGUGUCGAGUUAAUUUGUGACAUCAUAAAUUUAAGUGAUAAAUUUAAGGUUUUAUGUAUUGAUGCGGAUUCAAAUAUCACCAUAAUUUUUUUUAAAUAAAAAACUAAAGUACCCUCAAAUAAUAUAACUUAUAUUAAAUAUGAAAGGGUAGUUUUGUAAUUUCUCUAACGAGUUGGUGCCCGGUUGACUCAUGACACCAACUCAAUCAAAAGCUUCAAUAAUAAUAUAGAUAUUCACGUUAAAAAAAAAGUACUUUAGUUCCAAAUAAUUAUAUAACAAGUAAAUUUAUAAUUGAUGAAUAAAUUUAUAAAAAUAUAUUUAUAUGAUCUAAUAUAUUAUAUUUAUAUUAAUUAUAUAUCAUCUACAAACUUUGAAGAUCAAUUCAUUAAGUAUCAAGAAAGGAAAAAAAUGAAAUUGAAUUAACACUAAAUCAAUUUUUAGAUUUUGUACAGAUGAUUUAAUGAUGAUAAAAAAAUUAUUAGCACUAUUUUUGAAUUAACAAAAAAUUAGUGAUAUAUUUUAAUUAUAUUUAUUAUUUAUUAUUUUUAAUAAUGUUUUUUUAAUUAUAUGAAGUAAAAUUACAGUGUAUACUAAAUAUGGUACAUAUACUUUAAUUAUAACUAGAAAAUUUAUUAUAUAAAUUAAUAUAUUUUAAUUAUAUUCAACCAUUUGAACAACAAAAUAAAAAAAAUAAUUAGAAUAAUUUAUUUUUUAAAGUUUAAUGGAAAUUAAAAAAUUAAAAAUAAAUCAAUUCAUAUAAAUUUUGUUGUUUAUUUCAGAUGAAAAUGAUAAAAGUAUAUGACAUAAAUAGAAGAAACAAAUUCAACACCAUGUUUUUGGAGUUUGGAAAAAAUUAAAGUGAAAAACAUACCUUCUAAUUUGUUGUCAUGGAGACCUAUUUUUUCGAGCAUAGUUGAAUUAAAAAUACUUGAUGGAAUCUGACCUGCACACAUAGUCGAAAAUUGAAGUGAAAAACAUACCUUCUAAAUUGUUCAACUAAAAAUACUUUAAGCAUAUUUUUUAGUAAAGCCCUUCAAGCUUGGGAAGAUGUUGACACGUUGACACAUAUCAUUAGGCAAAGACUAAUAGCUUUCAAAGAAGAAAUCUUGAAGAUGGAAGAUGGAACCUGACCAGAUAAUUGAUUGAGUCCCAAGUUCAAGAUCUCUAGAUUAGACAUGUUAGCAAGUGUUUCAGGGAUUGUGCCUAUAAAGUUAUUAUUUUUCAUUUCCAGCCUUCGAACUCUGUGUAUGUUCCAAAGCCAUGAUGGAAUUUCCCCAUUAAGACGGUUGUAGCUUAAUCGAAGGAUCCGCAAACGAUGCAAUUGGCCCAAUUCUUUAGGGAGAUGGCCAUAGAAAUGGUUGCUACUCAAGUCGAGAGAGAGUAGAAAUGAAAGAUUUCCAAGGUGUGGAGGGAUAGUACCCCUAAGAUUCAUGCUUGUAAGAUUCAAAGCUGUAACUCUUUUAUGGAGGAUGCCACAAGAAACACCAAUCCAAUUGCAAACAGAGGUUGAGACAGUCCAAUUGUUUGGCAAGACAUUUUGAGGACCGGCGAUGCGAUCCUUAAACUCGAGAAGUGCAAACUGAUCGGAGUUGAGAUUUCUGACUGUCAUAGCCAAGCAAAGUACGGAACAUGGUAUGAAUAAAGCUAAAAGAAGAUGAAAGCAAGUGUUGUAGUUCAUGAUUGCAAGACAGAAUAAGAAAAGAAAAUAAAAUAAAAAAAAGUAGGAAAAGGGAAGUUGAGUUGAUAAAAUAGUUUGGAUGAUGAAGAAAAGCCCAGACAGCAUGCUUUAAUAUGUUUGGAUGAUAAAUUUAAACUUGAUAAAUUUAAGACUACCCUAAAAAUACGUACAAAGAAAUUUCAAAAUUUCAAAAUAAAUACGUACAAAGAAGCGAAUUUUCAAAAUUUCUCCUAAAUUUUCUUCACAUUACUCUACAUAAUCCAUUAAAAAAAACUUAAAAAAUAUAUUUUAUUAAUUACUAUAUAUUCUUUUAUUUUCAGAAUCAUAAAUUGUUUAAAAUAUGCUAUUAGUCCCUGUAAUUUAAAAGUUAAAAAAAUUCAAUCCUCCUAUUUUUCUAAUUUAAAAAUUCUAGUCCAAUCAAUUUUAAUUCCAUUAAAAAAUUUCAACUUAAUAGAUUUUUUAUUAUCAAUCAUAUGCAACAUUAUAUGAAGACAGUCUACUCAGCAUAUAUCCAAGUUUACAGAUUUUAAUAGAAAAUACUUACAAUCCUAAUGGUAGGACUAAGUUUUUUAAACUAGAAAAGUAAGAAGACUUAAUUUUUAACUUUUUAAGUACAAGGAUUAAAUUUUAAAUGUUGUCAAAGUACAAGCACUAACAAAAUAUUUUGAUCUAAUAAAUGUAAAAAACUUUUUAAACAAAAUAAGGUUUGAAAUAAUCUAUUUGUCCUUGUAAUUUUAUAAAUUUGAGAUUUAAUCUUUAUACUUAAAAGGUUAAAAAUUAAGUCUUCUUGUUUUUAUUUAAAAAUCUUAGUCCUAUUGUUAAUAUUAUUUUUUUUUUGCCAAAAUUUGUCAACUUUACAUAUUAAUUAGGUUUCCCUUAUAUGUCGUGGUAUAUGACUAACACAAAAUAAGCAAGUUGACAAAUUCUGACAAAAAAUAUCAAAGAUGAUAAUAAUUGGAUUAAAAUUUUUAAAUUGAAUUAAUAACCUUUAAUGUAUAAGGAAUGGAUAUCAAAUAUUUAUAGGAAUAAAGGGACUAACAACAUAUUUUAACCAGAAAAUAAUAUGAGUGAUUAGAAUGAAUCUAAAAUUUUAUAGAAAUAAAAGAGACUAACAACAUAUUGAUAACUUUCAAAUCUCCUUCGAUCAUCCUUUUUCUACGUAGAAAAAGAAAAUUAAUUAGCAUCUAAAGUGUCAAUUAAUGAAACCUUCAAAAGAAAAUGUGAAAGUGAUUUAUCAAACAAUAAUAUUCUAACUUAUAAUAUAUUUAAUUACAUUUAGUAAUUUAUCAAUCAAAACUUAUUUAACAUCCAUCAAUACUUCAUACAUAAAAAACGCAAGCAUAAAUUACCAUUUAACUCAGAUUUAACUUUGCAAGUAAACUUAAAAUUUUAUUUAAUUUUGUUACUAAAUUUGAUUUGUUCACUAUAGAGUUUGGUGACUUAAAAUAAAAGUAAUAAAAAGUUAUUCUUUCAGAUAUCUUUUUAAUGUUUAAUAAUAAAUUAAUUUAUAAAAUAUACUUUCAUUGGACACAGGCCUCCAAAGCGGUGAACCACUAAUCAAAUUAAUUUGGGGAUACCUAAAUUUGUUUUCAUCAAUUAAGAAAUUUAAAAAAUUGUUGAGACCUCAUGAUUAUCUUUUAUAAUUUCAGUCUUAUCACCAAAAACUAAAAAAUAAAAACGUCGACAUUAAAUUUGUUGGUAUGCAAUCAAUUUUAAGAUGGUUUUUGGGGUUAUAUAUCACUUUAGCAUUGACUUACUUUUCUACUCUUAGUCUUCUCCAACAAGUUAAAUAUUUGAAUUUUAACAACAUUGGCAGGUCUUUGGGGUAGGGUCGACCAAAACUUAAUAGAAACAGAUGAUAUAGGUUGAGUUGGCUCGGCCAAGUCGAGUCGACUUGUUCAAAUUAUUUAAAUUAGUAAAUUUUAGGGUGCAGUUAGAAUUUUUUGUUUUGAGAUGCUAAGAUUAAAAAAUUUCAGUUGCUAAAACAAAAAAUUUGUAUUUAAAAAGGCAUAAAUUAAAUAAUUAAGUUUUUCAAGUUUCCAUUUAAUCAAAGGUUAAAAGGACUAAAUUGAAGCUUUUUAUUUUUAAGAAAGGCUGAAUGCCAAAUUGCCCAAAGCCCAUGCCCCUAGCUAUACAACUAACUUUUCUAUGAUUAGUCCUUGGUUUGCUUUGGGUGGAAUCUUCCAACUAGCCUCAUCCUUCGUUUUACUUUCCAACAAUUAGUUUAUCAUGAGUUUUGUUUUCUUUAAAAAAAUAUUUUUGUGGAUAUUAGGAGAUAAUGAAAAUUAAUUUAGUAUGAAAUUUUAAUAAAACUGGAAAAUAAGUAAUUUAUUUAAGAGAUCACAAUUAAACGUUAGAUUUCCAAUUUUUAAAUUUUAAAUUAUUUUGACAAUUGCAUAAUAUUUUGAGCAUUGUAGGAAUGCCAUAAUCUUCCCUACGCAUAAUCGACUCUUGAGCAUGAUGGAUCCUAGGCCUUCUCCUCUAUUCUCGUACCACAAACUGCUUCGAGUGUGGAUUCGAACAAUCACAAAUUAAACACAAAACCAGAAAUGAUUUAUUACUUUCAAUAGCAAAGUAAUUCUCUCUCAAUAGAAACCAAUAGAAUUGUAAUUCCUAAAAAAUAAAAUUUAUUUUUGGAAAAUAUAUUCCCACUACUUUCUAGCAGAAUAAUAAUAUGUGAAACUUAUGUCUUGUGUUAAUAGCUCUACCAGCACUAUCUAUUUAUAGGGAGAGACGAGAAUCCUGGUUGACUUAGUAAAACACGAAUAAUAUUUAUUUCAUUGAAAACAAUAUUCCACCCUAAGUAGAUCAAGUUUGUAUGACGCAUGGAUCGAAGCUCAAUCUAGGAGAAAAAAAAAAGGAAUUUUCUUUGUAAAGAAAAUCUGAGAUUGUACUAUUUUCAAAGUUAUAAAUAAAAUUAUAAGCUAAAUUUUCAAGUCAAUUUUCAACUCCAAUUUUGUAUGCACAAAUUUCUAAUACACUUGGUGGGACAUUCUUUGACUUUUAUCUAUUCUCUCAAAAAGUUAAAGUUCAAAGUUGCAUUAAACUCAAAGAAGAUAAUCAUUAGUAAACCAGCUCACAAGCCUGCUCAAGCUAAUCCUACAACUUGUUCCACUUCAUCAUCAAACACCAAUGUUCUUGCUUAUCCUUAUGGAAUUAAACAGUCUCAUUUUCUGCAUUUUGGAUACACACCUAGUUUUGUUUGAUGCUAAAACAGUCCCUGAGCACUCCAAAGCCUAUAAUUGAACAAAUAACACUAAUUUAAUCUUACAUAACGUGAUCCCAAAUUGAACUUGUAUCGAGGUUUUAACCCAUAAGUGACUAAACUUUACCUUCAACCGAUGAACAGUAAUUCCCACAUAAACUAAGACUCCGAUUGGCGAUUACGAGCCCUUGAAUCCUCCCCUAAUUGGCAUAAACAAAACACUUCAGAAGAAAGUUAACAAACAGAGACAAAUCACUUAUCUAAAACUUACUGAAUGAUCACAGACAAACGUGGAGCGACACAAGGCAGAGUGGGAAAAGAAAAAUCAAGAGGAUGAAGGGUGAAAGAGAGCAGAAAUUCGGUAGCAAUAAAGAGAAAACGGUAAGAGGGUGGAGGGAUUUUGGGGAAAGUAAAAAAAAAAGAUGAACAGAAUAUUUGAUAACUACCCCAAUCCCUUAUUUCUCUCCAUCAAACUCUCCACUAAAUCCACUACUCGAAUUUUUAGUCCAUCUCAAACUCUCCUGGACGCAUGAGCAAAAAAUAAUGCCCAUGCCAAAAUUUGAACACAUGACCUCCUUCACACCAACACUCCACUUAUCCACUAGACCAACAGGCUCAUUCUUUUAAUUAUUUGUCAACUUUUACUUAAAAGCCUACUGACCAAAAAAUACCAAAAUUUGCCCAAGUCCUAGAUUGAACUUGGGACCUCCCAAACACACCCAGAACACAUAGCCAAUUUUCAAGCAAUCUGACAUGAAUUCUCAAUCACAAUUAAUUGAAUUCAAGAUAUAUUUGGAUGAGAAGACAAAUAUUUCAAUUUUAACACAAACCAAUGCUUGGGAUGAUUUGGGAUAAGAACUCCAACAUUUUAAGAUCACAUUUUCUUUUAUAAUUUCAGGCUUAUCAACUAUUUUGAAAACAACAAAACGUCUUACACCAAAAACUAAAAAAUAAAAACUUCGACAUUAAAUUUGUUGGUAUGCAAUCAAUUUUAAGAUGGUUUUUGGAGUUAUAUCUCACUUUAGCAUUGACUUACUUUUCUACUCUUAGUCUUCUCCAACAAGUUAAAUAUUUCAAUUUUAACAACAUUGACAGGUCUUUGGCCGAAUAAUUUUAAACGUCUCAUCAUUGCAAAAAUGAAAUAAUAGAAAAGAAAGAGUAGCCAUUUUAUGAAAUCUAUAAUUCCAACUGUGAAUAAAAUAUAAAUUUUAUGAAUGUGGACAAGCCAUUUUAUUUAUAAUUUUCUGUGUUUUUCUGACUUUUUUUAAGUCAUUUUCUUUGUUUCCUAACCAAAAAAUUUGCCCAUCACUUUAAAUAUAAAUUUAAAUAUAAAUUUUCUUUUUAAAAUAUAAAUUACUUGUCACAAUUCAUAUUUCUAAGUCAAUUUGCCAUCACUUUAACAUACACUAACUGUUCUAUGAUUAGUCCUUGGUUUGCUUUGGGUGCAAUCUUCCAACUAGCCUCAUCCUUGGUUUUACUUUCCAACAAUUAGUGUAUUACGGGUUUUGUUUUCCUUAAUAAAUAUUUUUGUGGAUAUUAGGAGAUACUGAAAAUUAUUUCACUAUGAAAUUUUAAUAAAACUGGAAAAUAAGUAAUUUCUUUUAAGAGAUCACAAUUAAACAUUAGAUUUCCAAUUUUUAAUUUUAAAGUUUUUUGACAAUUGCAUAAUUAAUAAGGUACCAAUUUUGAGAGUUGUAGGAAUGCUAUAAUCUUCCCUACGCAUAAUUGACUCUUGAGCAUGAUGGAUCCUAGACCUUAUCCUCUAUUCUCGUACCAGAAAUUGUUUCGAGUGUGGUUCGAACAAUCACAAAUUAAACACAAAACCAGAAAUGAUUUAUUACUUUCAAUAGCAAAGUAAUUCUCUCUCAAUAGAAACCAAUAGAAUUGUAAUUCCAAGAAAAUAAAAUUUAUUUUUUGAAAAUAUAUUCUCACUACUUCCUAACAGAAUAACAAUAUGUAAUACUUAUGUCUUGUGUUAAUAGCUCUACCAGUACUAUCUAUUUAUAGGGAGACACACGAGAAUCCUGGUUGAAUUAGUAAAACACGAGUAAUAUUUAUUUCAUAGAAAACAAUAUUCUACCUUAAGUAGAUCAAGUUUGGAUGACGCAUGGAUCGAAGCUCAAUCUAGGAGAAAAAAAUAAAGUAAUUUUCUUUGUAAAGAAAACCUGAGAUUGUACUAUUUUCGAAGUUAUAAAUAAAAUUAUACGCCAAAUUUACAAGUCAAUUUUCAACUCGAAUUUUUUAUGUACAAAUUUCUAAUAGACUUGGUGGCACAUUUUUUGAAUUUUAUCUAUUCUCUCGAAAAGCUAAAGUUCAAAGCUGCAUUAAACUCAAAGAAGAUAAUCAUUAGUAAACCAGCUCACAAGCCUGCUCAAGCUAAUCCUACAACUCGUUCCACUUCAUCAUCAAGCACCAAUGUUCCUGCUUAUCCUUAUGGAAUUAAACAAAAGACAAAAGCUCUCUAAGAGUUAUUUGAACAGACAAAAUAUUCAGAUGUGUUGAGAUGGAAAGUGACAACGCAAAGUUGAUUGAAACUAUUUGUAACGGGUUGGCUACAAUAAGUAGUGUUGUGAAGUAAGAUAGAUUCACGAUUGGUGUUCCAAAAUUGAGUAGCUAGUUAUCUUGGAAGAUCCUCCACAUUAUGUGAGAUGCUGGCUUGAAGAAGAUAUUAGACAAUUGCUAGUGACUGAUGAUAAUUUUCAUUUGGACUGAUGCUUGCUUAAUUUUCUAAGCUUAUGUUCAACCAAAAAAAAAAAAAUUAAAUAUGUCUAAAUGAUCAUAGAGUUAACAUUUAGUGUAUAAAAAAUUAAUAUAUAAUUUGUUUUCAAUUGUAGUUUAGUUCUAGAAAUACCAACGAUGAACCUUAAAACGGAAAUGAAAAUUACAAAAAAAAAAACAAACCACAUCUAUUAUCAAACCAACAAUCCAUGUCUAAACUUAAAUUAACAAAAUUCGUUACGCAACUCGGUACACUAUUUUAUAUAAUCAAUAUAUUAGAUUUAUUCUUGAUGCACAUGUUUUAUUAUAGUUAAAAAUUAAAAUAUAUGAUUUACUAAGUUUUAAUUGAAUUAGUAUUGGUAUUAUAUCAGUGUAGGAAAAUGUGAGUUUAAUCGUACUUAAAUAUGUAUCCUCCAACUCAACAGUUGGGAAAAGGUUAUUGAUAAUUAAAUUAUACCAAUUUUUACAAUAUCUAAAAAGCAUUCAUAAACAUAUUCAUAUUGAUGGGCUCUUUCAUUAUUAAACUUUUUUUCUCUCACAAGUAAAAGUACUUGUGGUGAGGAUCAUGUAAAAUAAUAAACUGAAUAAUUUUAAACGUCUCAUCAUUGCGAAAAUGAAAUAAUAGAAAAGAAGCCAUUUUAUGAAAUUUACAAUUCCAACUGUGAAUAAAAUAUAAAUUUUAUGAAUGUGGACAAGCAAUUUUAUUUAACUUUUUUUAAAGUAAUUUUCUUUGUUUCCUAACCAACAUGAAAUUACUUGUCACAAUUCAUCUUUUUAAAUGAGAAACAUUUUCAACAAUUUGCCAUCACAUCAACAUACACUAACUUUUCUAUGAUUAGUCCUUGGUUUGCUUUGGGUGCAAUCUUCCAACUAGCCUUAUCCUUGGUUUUACUUUCCAACAAUUAUUGUAUCCUCCUCAUUACUUUUACUUACCGACGGAUGAAAAAUUCACUGAUCAAAUUAAUUCAAAGAUUUUUUUUUUCUAAAUCAAGUGAAUUCACGAGUUUUAUUUUCUUUAAAAAAUAUUUUUGUGGAUAUUAGGAGAUACUGAAAAUUAUUUUACUAUGAAAUUUUAAUAAAAUUGGAAAAUAAGUGAUUUAUUUAAAGGGAUCACAAUUAAACAUUAGAUUUUUAAUUUUUUAAUUUUAAAUUUUUUUGACAAUUGCGUAAUUAAUAAGGUACUAAUUUUGAGCAUUGUUGGAGUGCUAUAACCUUCCCUAUGCAUAAUCGACUCUUAAAUUCACUUUUUUCUCUAGAAUUUUAACAAACUUACAAAAUGAUUUAAUGAUAUUUAAUUAUUGAUGGGUAAAAAAAUUAUAUCAUAUAAAUUCCGAAUAAUUAAUUAUAUAUCUACAUAUUAUAACCAAUUCAUCUUUCAAAAUUAUUUCCUUAUAAUUAAAGCAAAAAUUAUAUUUAUAAAAUUCUAAAUAUAUUAUAAUUCUUGUAAAUAUAUAUAUUUACAUAUAUAAGUCCAAAUUGUAAUAGAGUUAACAUUUAUUGUAUAAAAAAUGUCUUGAAAUUUUUUUUUUCAAUUUCAAAAGAACUAUUCCAUUUAUAAAACCAUAAAACUUUAAAAAUAUAAACUCUAUUAAAUAAAAAUAAUAAUAUUUUUAAACAAUAAAUAUUGACUUUAUUUUAAAUUGACAUUAUCUAAUUCUUUUUAAUAUGUAUCGCUAAGCUUUACAUUAAUAUACAUGAUUUAUUUGUUCGUUAUUAUUAUUAUUAUUAUUAUUAUUAUUAUUAUUAUUAUUAUUUCUAUGAUUAUUAUAUUAUACUUAUCGGACUACAAUCAUAACCAUGUCUAUUAUCAUUCGAUAAAAAAAAAUUAAGUGUUGAGUAUAAUGACAAGGCACAUUACACUCUGAAGGGGAGAUUAAGGUUUGGACAAAGGAAGAAUAUGAUUCAAAUUUUGGAGACAACAUUCUUGAAAUGAGCAACCAUAAACCCCGAUUAUGAACCAUAAAACGAUCAUGAAAAGUACCCAAAAAAACACAUUUAUUACCAAAUAGUAAUCCAUCUAAGGAUUAAAUUAACAAAAUUCACCAUCCAACCGUGUAGACUAUUAUAAAUAUAUAUACUAUAUUUAUUCUUCAUGCAAAUGUUUAUUAUAUUUAAAAAUUAAAAUAUAUGGUUGAUUGAGUUUUAGUUGUGUUAAUAUUGAAAUUAUUGUCAGUGCAAAAGAACAUGAGUUCAAUCAUGUUUAAAUACGUUUUAUACUCCAAUUUAGGAGUUGGAGAGGAUUCUCAAUAGUUAAAUUAUAUUAGUUUUUGUCUAUUUAAAAAUGAUUUAUAAAUAAUAUAAGUAGAAAAUUUUAAAAAAAAUACAUAUUCAUAUUGAUCGGCUUUUUCAUUAUUAGACUUUUUUCCCCACAGUUAAAAGUAUUUAUCGAAUUCAAAUUUUGGGUUUUAAAUAAGGGUUUCGGAUUUUUUUUAAACAUUUGUGUGAGUUUUUGCCAAAUUUUAUAUUUUCGGAACGAAUAACUAAGUUGAUUUUUAAUUACUUUUUCAAACAAGUCGAUGUAAUUCCUCAAAAAUCUAGUCAAAGCGUCUAGGCUGGGUUUGGAGGUGUUACACUAACGUUACUAAAGUUAAUCUUAAUCUAUUUAGUCUAGAUCUAAACAUCAAUAUUCUCUUCCAAGAAAAAUCAAGAUUAUCAAAUUAUUACAACUGUGUAGCCAGACAAUCAUAUUAAAUAUGCAUAAAACAUAAUAAAUAAUUAGCGAAGAUUGAAACAAUCAAAGAAAAAAAUAAAUAAAUAAACUAAGAAAUAAGGAUCCAUUAUUGUUUCAAGAAAACAGAGUUUAGUUCAUAUUGAGUUGAGAAAACCAGAAAGGAGAUUCAAAACAAACUUGUGAUAAGGGGAACAAUGUCAAUAGAUCAUAUUCAAGUUGUUCGACUUCAGAUUUGACCUGAAAAGAAGAAACCAAACAUAUUUAGGAAAACAAGAAAAAACAAAGAAAAAAAACUAAAAUGAGAAAUUUAAGAAUAAAUAAUAAAUAUUAAAAAUAAAUAAAGAAAUUAUAGAAUAAAAAGUGGCAGAUGGAAUGAAGAAAUGAUGGAUAUAAAUAAAAGAUGGAUAUGACAUAUAGAUGAAUAAGUGUCUGAUAACUCUUGAAAAAAAGUUAUAUUUCAUGCCUUUAGACCUAGCUAAUUGCUUGUACUUAAGUAUAUUUUGUUGCUUUUUAAGACAUUUUAGUGAGCAUUUUUAAUAUUGUAUUAGGACUUAGACUGAGUUGGAAUUAGGUGCUUUUAAUCGCUUGUGGUGGAGUUUUUUGUGUGUUGGUAUGGCAGGAACAGGUUUUAGAUCGAGGAAAUAAAUGAGUGAAGUUUUGUUUGGGCAAAAGUGCAUAUAGUUUUCCAACAAGGAUGCCGUGGCAAUGCCGAGAAGACCAAGUUCAUAUUUUUUGUGCAACAGUCCUAGUUCAAAUUCAAACUUGUAUGAGAUAAAUCCCCCUAAAAGAGGAGAAGAUAAUUACAUUGAUGUUAGUUGACCCUAGCCUAAUCUAUCUAUUAAAUCCAAUGAAAGGGAUCUCACAAAUGGUAGAAAAAAGUGAGAGAGAUCUUUAGGGGUGAAUAAGGGUUUGGCUGUGCAAAGGAAAAGAAGUCAAGGGCAAUCAUUCUUAGCCUUCACAGGACGUUUUGUUGCCAAAGUGUGGACUGGGCAAGUGAAAGCUGUUUCCCAAAGUUCUUCUGUUAUUUCCAUCAGUGUUCCUUCGAAAGAUUGAAUUGAAGUAGUUGAACACAAUGUCAGAUAAUAUUUUGGUUUGAAAUUCUAUUUCCCAGUUUAUGAGCUAAAUCUCAUAAGGUUGGGAUUACUUUCGAUGAAACCUUUAAUUUUUUUUAUGGAUGCAAUAUAUAUCUAAUUUACAUUACAGUUUCAUUUGAUUGUUCUUAUUUCUUAAUUAAAAUGCAAAUGAUCUCUAGACAUAGAAGACUAUUCACAUACUUAUAAACUGAUUAUAAUUCUAAAAGGGUUGGAUUAAAAUUAAAUGAAAUGAGCAAGUAUUUGAUAGACACUUGUAGCCGACUCCAGACAUAGAGUCACGAUCAUACAGAAGGAACCCAUGCAAGAUAUCUGAAAAGCCUUUAGACACAGGCAAGGCAACUUGAGGUUAUUCUCUCACACGAGGCAGACCAUUUUAGAACUCUUCUGUGUUGUAAAGUAGAUACGAUUUUGCCAAGGCAUUAUUGACAAUAAGGGUUGAUUCUGGGUAAUCCCGACCUUCCAAAUCCACAUCGUAUAUCCUUCAUUAUUUUCCAUAGUAUCUUUUCCACAUCAUUAUUAAUUAUUUAUUUGUUCAUUUACAUAAUAUUCCCAUAGUAAUUCUCAUAAUUGCCAUUACAUUUCUACUCUCGAUUUGCCAUAGCAUUACCAAAUAUUCAUUAAUUCCACAUAUUGAUUACAUCAUUACUCUACUCAUUGCCAUUGCAUAUUUAUCAUUGACUUUGUCACAACAUUAAUUGUAUUUUAUGAUAAUAACUUGAUCGAUUUUGUGCCUCAAUCUGAUCAUCGUGGGAAUGAUACUCACUCAUCAUUUAUUACUUGAUUCAACGUGUAUACUUGCACAAAUCGCAUAUCAUUUCACAUGCGACAAUGUCCAAUUGAACCCUUUAAGAUAUAAACUCAAACAAACUCAAUUAAUGGCUUUAAUCAACCCACCAAGAAAUAAUCCUUGGCAAAUUGAAGGAUGAAUAAUGAAUUCCCAUGACUCCUUAAAGAAAAUUGAGAAGAAAACUGCUUCUAAAAAUUACAAGAAACAAUCUUGCACAAAGAAACUAACCUUGAGAGUUGGAAAUUUUAGUAACGAACAAAGACAAUUGUGUCUCUAAUGACCAUGAAAGAGCUUUACAUAGGCUAGAUAAGUACAUCCAAAUAAAAUUUCGAAGUAUCUUAAAACUUUAAUUAAUGUAAGCAAAAAGUAAUUUUCAACUAAAAUAGUCAUAAUUUCCGUAAUAAUCCCGUCUAGAAAUUCUACUCACAUAGUCAUCACUAAAAUAGUCAUCAUUUGAGCUCUUGAACUAGAAAUUGAGUGAAUAAAAGUGUGUUUGAUAGACCUUAGAACUCCAUCAAGACAUAUCAAUCGAAAAAUAUUUGGAUCCCAUCCAAAAAGUCAUUGCAAGUUAACUGAUUUUCCAAACUUGAAAAUUGGCAGCUUCAGUGAAUGAAAUUUAAUAAAGUUCACCCCAUCUGCUCAUGUAUAAACUUGCAGUGGUAAAAAGUAAAAAGAAAUAAUCUAUAGAGAAAAUAGUUGAAGAAUUUAUGACAAUUUAUUCAGACCUUUUUUUCUUCUAGCCUUUGCAAGCUUGAAGUUUCCGUUGGUGUGUGAGAGUUGUUCCUUACCCUUUAAGUUAUUUCUUUUCUUUUCCUUCUUUUUCUUUCUCUUCGAUCUCAUCACCUAAGGGUGCUCAAACAACUGAUUCAGUUAAUACCCGAACAAAGCUAUCAUUAAAUGAAAUUUUGAAACCCUUAAUCAUUAAUGAAACCAAUUUUUUGUUGAAACCUAUUAACCGGCCGGAUUGAUUUCGGUUAAUUUGUGCAGUUAACCAGAAUUUAUACAUUGUUUGUUUUUUAUCAAACAAUUUUAAAACAAAGAACAAUCCAUGACAACUUUUUCCUUGUUUUUUAUUCAAAAAUUAUUAAAAGAACUAAAAAAAAUAACAUAAUAACAACACUAAAUUAAAAACAUAAUAGCAUUCAUUACAGUACAAAUCUUUUUUCUUUUUUUUCUUUUUGUUGACUUUUUAGUUUAAUUUUAGUUUUUUUUCAAAUAUUUUAGUUUUCAUAUUCUUGUUAAGCUUAUUAUAAGAAAACUUAUAAAUCCAUUAGUUUUUAUAUAUUAGGUUUGUAUAAUGUAUUGGAGCUAUCUCUAUAAUAUAUUUUUAUUGAUUUCGGUUAAUCAAUUAAUUCGGUUAAUUAGUCGAUUUCAAACGAAACUAAUUGAUAAACAAAAUCUUCAAAAACAUUUAACCAACUCCCAACCAAAUUAGAUUCGUUGAUCGCCUGCUUAAUCAAGUUAAUCAUAUGGUAAAAUGGCAUAGUUUUGGAAUGGUUUUUUGGAAUUAUUGGUAUAGGUUUAAGUUAUGAUCUUGAGAUGUUGAGUUGAAUUAAGUUUGAUAUGUAUAUUGUGAUGCCUUCAUUGGCAUAUUGGUUAGAUAUUAAAGGAUGGUUGAUUUGGUAUGUUUUUAAAAUGGUUGUUGGUAUGUGUGAUCUAAAUUGAUUAAAUGAACUUGUAAUGUUGAAUGGUAUAAUAUUUGUUGGUACAUUAGUUAGUCUUAUAGGUUGAUGGAAUUGGUAUGUUUUAAAUGUGUUUAAAAUGUGUUUUGAUUGUUUAAAUGUUUGUGGAAAUGGUGUGUCUUGGUGUACAAGAUUUGAAAUUGAAAUGGCUUGAUUUAGAAGCAACUUAUGUUGUACACCACCUGGGACACUGGUUGUCACAUGGUUGUGUGUCAUUAUUGUUUUAGGUACAGGUUUCACACAAUCUGAGACUCGGCUCACGACAUAGCUGUGUAUCACAAGUCAGUAUGUAACACGGUUUGGUACAUGGCCUGCGACAUGACCGUGUGUCCAAACUUCGAAUGUCCACACGGUCUGGGCUAUGUCACACGGGUUGGCCACAUGGCCGUGUGACCCUUGUUUUCAAGUUUUCUAAAAUUUUCUAUUUUAUUUCAAAUUGAUCCUAGAAUAUUCUCAAACUGUUUUUAGGGCCCGUAGGUUCGAAUUAAGGCCCAUAAGUGUAUGUUUGCUAUAAUUAAGUUGUGUUAAUUAAUGUUAUUAAUUAAAUGGCAUGAAUAUUUUAUUGUAAGUUAAAUGUUUUAAUUUGAACUAUAAUGCUCCGUAACUCUAAUCUGGCGACGGAGACAGGUUUGGGGUGUUACAAUUUUGGACUUGAAAUUUGUUUUGGGGCUUUGUUCGAUGUUUGUUGGAUUUUAGUGUUUUAACAUUAAACUACAAAAUUGUAUGAUUUAACAAACUAAAAAUUAGGUUUUCAAAAUUAAAACUCUGGAAGUUUCUGUUUCAAAGAUUAAGUAAUCACUUAAGUGUUUUCCCAUAAAUAAUUAAAUGGUUUUUAACAAAUGUUUUCCUUAGUUUUGGAAAUGAUAUGCCAACAUUAGUACUUUUAAAACACAUGAUUUCAAAUUCAAAUUCUUGGUUUUAAGUAAGGGUUUUCAAACUUUGAUUUUUUUUAACAUUUGUGAGAGGUUUUUGCCAAAUUUUAUGUUUUCAGAACGUGUAACUAAGUUGAUUUUUAAUUAGUUUUUCAAACAAGUCAAUGUAAUUCCUCAAAAAUCCAAUCAUAGCGUCUAGGUCGGGUUUGGGUUGUUACACUGACGUUACUAAAGUUAAUCUUAAUCUAUUUAGUCUAGAUCUAAACAUUAAUAUUCUCUUCCAAGAAAAAUCAAGAUUAUCAAAUUAUUACAACUUGGUAGGCAGACAAUCAUAUUAAAUAUGCAUAAAAGUUAAUAAAUAAUUAGCGAAGAUUGAAACAAUCAAAUAAAAAAUAAAUUAAUUAACUAAGAAAUAAGUUCCAUUAUUGUUUCAUGAAAAUAGAGUUUAGUUCAUAUUGAGUUGAGAAAACCAAAAGCGAGAUUCAAAACAAACCUGUGAUAAGGGGAACAAUGUCAAUAGAUUAUAUUCAUGUUGUUUGACUCAAGAAAGAAAUAUUCGAAUCUAACUUGAAAAGAAGAAACCAAAUAGAUUUAGAAAAAUAAGAAAAAAAAACAAAGAAAAUAACUAAAAUGAGAAAUUUAAGAAUAAAUAAUAAAUAUUAAAAAUAAUAAAGAAAUAAAGAAAUUAUAGAAUAAAUAAUGGAAGAUGGAAAUGAAACGACGGAUAUGACAUAUAGAUGGAUAAGUGUCUGAUAAUUCUUGAAAAGAGUUAUAUUUCAUACCUUUAGACCUCACUAAUUGCUUGUACUUAAGUACAUUUUGUUGCAUAUUGAGACAUUUUUGUUCGUAUUUGUAAUAUUGCAUUAGGACUUAGAUUGUGUUAGAAUUAGGUGUUUUUGAUCACUUGUGGUGGAGUUUUUAGUGUGUUGGUAUGGUAGGAACAAUAUUUAGAACGAGGAAAUAAAUGAGUGAAGUUUAGUCAGCGCAAAAGUGCAGAUAGUUUGCCAACACGUAUGCCGUGGCAAUGUCGGGAAGACCAAGUCAACAAAUUUUUGCGCAACAGUCCUAGUUCAAAUUCAAACUUGUACUAGAUAAAUCUCCUUAAAAGAGGAAAAGAUAAUCACAAGUUGUUAACCGACCCUAGCCUAAUCUAUCUAUAAAAGCCAAUGAAGGGGAUCUCACAAAUGGCAGAAAAAAGUGGAAGAGAUCCUUAGGUGCGAAUAAUGGUUCAGCUGCGCAAAGGAAAGGAAGUUGAAGGCAAUCUUUUUUAGCCAUCACAAGACGUUGUGCUGUCGAAGUGUGGACUAGACAAGUGAAAGUUGUUUCCCAAAGUUCUUUCGUUAUUUCCGUCAGUGUUCCUUCAAAAUAUUAAAGUAGUUGAACAUAAUGUUGGAUAAUAUUUUGGUUUGGAAUUUUAAUUCCUAGCCCAUGAGCUAAAUCUCGUAGGGUUGGAAUUACUUUUGAUAAAACCUUAAACUAUUUUUAUGGAUGCAGUAUAUAUGUAAUUUACUUUACUGUUUCAUUUUAUUAUUCUUAUUUCUUAAUUAAAAUGCAAAUGAUCUCUAGACAUUGAAGCCUUUCACAUACUUAUAAACUGAUUUUAAUUCUGAAAGGGUUGGAUUGGUUGGAUUAAAAUUAAAUGAAAUGAGCAAGCAUUCGGUGGACACCUGUAGUAGACUUUAGACAUAGAGUCACGCUCAUACAGAAGGAACCCAUGCAAGAUAUCUAAAAAGCCUUUAGACAUAGGCAAGGUAACUUAAGGUUUUGCUCUCACGAGAGGCAGGCCAUUUUAGUACUCUUUUGUGCUUUAAAGUAGAUACGAUUUUGCCAAGGCAUUAUUGACAGUAAAGGUCGAUUAUGGGUAGUCCCAACCCUCCAAAUCCACAUCGUAUAUCCUUUACUCUUUGCCAUAGUAUAUUUGCCACAUCAUUAUAAGUUAUUUAUUUGUUCAUUUACAUAAUAUUUCCGUUGUAAUUCUCAUAAUUAUCAUUACUUUCUACUCUCGAUUUGCCACAACAUUACUAGUUAUUUAUUAAUUCCACGUAUGGCUUACAUCAUUGCUCUACUAAUUGCCACUGUAUAUUUACCAUUGACUUCGCCAUAGCAUUAAUCAUAUUUUAUUAUAAUAACUUGACCAAUUUUGUGCCUCAAUUCGAUCCUCAUGGAAAUGAUACUCACUCAUCACUUUAUUUGUAACACCCCAAACUCGGCCUAGACGUUAUGGCCGAAUCUGGUGAUGUCACAUGGAGAGGGAUUUGAAGACAAGAUUGUUGAGUUUAAAAACCGUUACAGUAAGUUAGCUUUUAUUUAGGGAAAAUCGUGUUUUGUAGAGUUGUAGUUUUUAGGAAAAAAAUCGUGUUUUGUAGAGUUGUAGUUUUUUUAAAAAACCCAAUAAAAAAUAGUAUAAAGUCCCAAAUUUAAAACCAAUCAGUCCAUAGUCCAGAAGAUACAUCAAAAACUCAAAAUAAGUAAUAAAUUCUAGGCAUUAACGGAAAACAAUCUAAAAUUUACGUGUGGCCACCAUUGAGUCCUCUGCUGCACCGAUUCGUCAAGUCUGAGGAUUACCUAUACAAAUUAAAUAGAGAAAGGGUGAGUUGUCGCAAACUUAGUGUGUAAUCCCCACAGAAAACAUGCAUAGAGAUAAUUAACAAAAUUUAGUUAGAUACAGUCUAGGGCCUGUGCCCAUCAUAGAAUCAGUUUGGGCCUUAGCCCAUUCAGAUAUAGUCUUAGAAAUACAUUAGGGCAUUGACCAGCCUCUACAAACCACCUCCAUCCAACCAUACACACCAUGUGGGGAUUAAAUCAACCAACCCAUCCCUACACACCAUGCUGUACCGAAAUGCGGCACAUAAUUAGAAGGUUGCAGCUGGGCUGCCAGAUAACAUAAGUCAUGCUCGGUAUAGAAAUCAGACAGACAGAUCACACAUAUAGGUGUCUAAGUAAAGCUUACUGACCCUACAGUAGGUCCACAGUUAACUUGGGCGACCCGUGCAAAAUUACAGAACUUUUUAGAAAAAUGGGCUUACACGCCUAUGUGGCCCACUCGGCCCAAAUUGGCCUUGACCACGUGAUCCAUUUUUAAUGUAACCAGUGCUAGUUAAUUAUUCAUAUAUGUUUUCACUAUUUACUUAUAUGUUAAUUUAAAGCUGUCUACUUGAGUCACUGUUACUAAAUUAUUUAUAUCUUGAGCUACAGAAUUUCAAAUUAAGAUCCGCUUAAUGUCUUUGAAACUAGACUCAAAUAUCUUUCUACUAUAAAAUUUUUAUAAUUUUUGGUUGAGCCAACAAGUACAGUAAAAUCUUCAAACCUUCCCCUAUUCUGCUGUCUGACAACUUCAACCCUUCUUUGCUAAGAAUUAAUUAUCUCUUAGUACAAGAUUUGGAUGAUGUUUACAUUUGUUUCUAUUGAAAAUAAACUCAUUAAUAAUUUAAAAAUGUAAAUUUUAAACCCCUAAUUAUUUUUCUCCAAUUUUUGAUGAUUUUCCAAAUUUAGAACAGGGGAACCUUAAUUCUUUCUGACCUUGUCUCACGAAGUUUAUUAUACCUCACAAUUUACAAUUCCAUUACUUACAUCGUUUAAGAUUUAAUUCCAUAUUUUUUUCAUCCUCUAAUUCAAUUUCCACAAUUUAUGGCAAUUUUUCAAAGUUAACCUACUGUUGUUGUCCAAACAGCAAGCAAUUUUGGCUUUUCGCCGAAUCCUUUUUUUUGCAUUUCGGGUACACACCUGGUUUUGUUUGAUGCUAAAACAAUCCCCGAACACUCUAAAGUCACCAAUGAUAACCAUCCAUUUAAAUAUUGUUAACACGAGAACACUGAAUUCACUAGUCCGAGUCUCCCCCUACGCCCAAAUCGCAGAGAAAAUACGUUACCACUUUAGUCGCUAAAAGAUUCAUGAUAGAAAAGAAGAGAAACACUUACCGAACUAAGCGAGCACUAACCGUGUGUGAAAAUGAAGGAAAAUAAAUGGAUUAGGGAAAAAUCAAGAACAAGAAAAAGAAGAAAAAGAAAAACUCAGAGAAUUUCAACAAGAGGAGAGGGAGAAGAAUAGACGGCGAAUAAAAUUCUGAUAACCCCCAAAAUCCCUUAAUCUUCUCCCCUAAUUCCCACUACACAUCCACUAUUCAUAACCCCCUAUUACAUAACUCUAUCCGAAAUCUGAUAAAAAAAAACAUAAUACCCUUGCCUGCAUAGGGGUUCAAACACAAAACCUCUACUAUAAUAACACAUCAUUUAACCACCAGACCAGCAGGCCCAUUCUGAUGUAAUUUACCCAAAAAUCAAAUAAAAGCCUACUCAACAAGAGUAAAGCCUAAUUCAUUCAAAAUACCAAAAUUUGCCCAAGCAAAAGCUUGAACUUGGGACCUCCCAAACACUCCCAGAACACAUAACUACUAAAGCUGACAAAUAUUUGUGUCAUAUUUUCACAAUAAUGAAAUUAGAAAUUUUGGGACAUUACAUUAUUACUUGAUUCAACUCUUGCACAAAUCGCAUAUCAUUUCACACACAACAGUGCUCAAUUGAACCCUUUAAGAUAUGAAAUCUAACAAACUCAAUUAAUGGCUUUAAUCAAUCCACCAAGAAAUAAUCAUUGGCAAAUUGAAGGAUGAAGAAUGAAUUCCCAUGACUCCUUAAAAAAAUUGAUAAGAAAACUACUUUUAAAAAUCACAAGAAACAAAUCUUGCAUAAAGAAACUAACUCUCAGAGUUGGUAAUUUUAGUAAUAAACAAAAACAAUUGCGUCUCUAAUGAACAUGAAGGGGCCUUUACAUAGGCUAGAUAAGUACAUCCAAAUAAAAUUGUCAAAUAUCUUGAAACUUUAAUUAAUGUAAGCAAGAAGUAAUUUUAAACUAAAAUAGUCAUAAUUUUCGUAAUAAUCCCGUCUAAAAAUUCUGCUCACAUAGUCAUCAUUAAAACAAUCAUAAUUUGAGCUCUUGAACUCAAAAUUGAGUGAAUAAAAGUGCGUUUCGAAGUUAAGUGAUAGAUCCUAGAACUCUAUGAAGACAUAUCAAUCAAAAAAAUAUCUGGAUCCCAUCCAAAAAGUCACCGCAAGUUAACUAAUUUUUCAAACUUAAAAUUUGGCAGCUUCGGUGAAUGGAAUUUAAUAAAGUUCACUCCAUCCAUUCAUGUAUCAACUUGCAUUGGUAACAAGUAAAAGAAAAAAAUCUAUAGAGAAAAUAGUUGAAGAAUUUAUGACAAUUUAUUCAAAUCUCUUUUUCUUCUAGUCUUUGCAAGCUUGAAGUUUCCCUUGGUGUGAGAGAGUUGUUCCUUACCCUCUAAGUGAUUUUUUUCUUUUUCUUUCUCUUCGAUCUCGUCACCUAUUGGUGUUCAAACAAUUGAUUCAGUUAAUACCCGAACAAAACUAUCAUUAACUGAAAUUUUGAAACCCUUAAUCGUUAAUCAAACCAAUUUUUUUAAAAAAAACCUAUUAACUAGCUGGAUUGAUUUCGAUUAAUUUUAGCGGUUAACCAGAAUUUAUACAUGGUUUUUUUUUGUUCAAAAAAUUUUAAAACAAAGAACAAUCCAUGACAAUUUUUUCCUUGUUUUUUAUUGAAAAAAUUAAAAGAACUAAAAAAAUAACAUAAUAACAACAAUAAAUUAAAAACAUAAUAGCAUUCAUUACAUUACAAGGCAUAUAUAUAUAUUUUUACUUUUUCUUCACUUUUUAGUUUAAUUUUAUAUUUUUUAAAAUAUUUUUAGUUUUCAUAUUUUUGUUAAGCUUAUUAUAAGAAAACUUAUAAAUCCAUUAAUUUUUCUAUAUUGGUUUUGUAUAAUGUAUUGGACUUAUCUCUAAUAUAUUUGGCCUAUAAUAUAUUUUUAUUGAUUUCGGUUAAUCAAUUAAUUCGGUUAAUUAGUCGAUUUCAAACUAAACUAAUUGGUAAACAAAAUCUUCAAAAACCUUUAACCAACUCCCAACCAAAUUAGAUUUGAUUGCUUAAUCAAAUUAAUUAGGUUUGAUAAAUUAAUUCGUUAAAACCAAAAAAUCCACACCCCUAUCAUCACCUUUAUUUUUAGGGAUUUUAAUCAUGUUGCUGCACCUGAUGCAGAAGUUGAGGUGGAACGAACUGCUUGCUACCACAAUUUAUGAAUUAUAGAGCAUGCUCCACCGUAGUGAAUCAAAUUCGGUGGAGUAGAAGACUUUUCUUCACUACUUUAUGCUCUAUGCUCCAAGUCUUCUAUUCUUCUUCUGAGACCUACAAUGGGAAAAUAAAAACUAAGAAACAAGUCUAAACUAACUUUGAAAAUUAGAAAUUUUCAACAAAAUUGAAAUAAAAUAUAAUUAAUCCAUAAAAAACUAUAAAAUGCAAUAAAAACAAACCUAAAUACUAAAAUUACCUCCUAAAAUGCUGUGGAAACUAUACUAAAAUAACUCUAAAUAUGAUAGUUAUCAGAAGCGACUUGAAUAAGCCAAUCGAGUAGAUGAUUUCAACUAUUGCAAAUAGCAUCAGUCGAUUAACCAUCCUCUUGAGAAGAUCAUAGAGUUGAAAGAAAAAAUCAUACAACUCCAUGAAGAAGAAAAAAUCAUGUUUGAAAAAGAAGUGGCAUUAUCAAACUUGACAUCAAUGCUUUGGUUUCUCAAUACAAUAUUAAGGAGAAAUUCAUCAAAUUUGGCUCUUUCACUCCUAUUACACUAGCUCUAAGUAGAAGUAAGAUGGUGAAUUUCGAAGGGAUUGGGGACAAUCAUCUAUUUUUGGAAUAUCAGAAUGGUCAUGAUUGGACUCAAAGAAGCCAAUGAAAUGCAUCUCUCCUAGGUAUAAGCUUAUAUUGUCACAUUGCUCCUAAGCACGAGCAUAAAUUGUUCAUCCAAAAUGAUGAUGCUCCUAAGCAUGAGCUUAAACUGUUCAUCUAAUGCUCCUAAGAAGGAGCCUAAACUAUUCAUAAAAAAUAAAUGAUGAUCCAGUGAAGCACGAGAUUAAACUAUUCAUACGAAAUAAAUGAUUACCUCCUAAGCAUGAAUUUAAAUUGUUCAUACAUAAUAAAUGAUGAUACUCCUAAGCAUGAGCUUAAAUAGCAGUCCAAAAAAAAUUGAACAACAUUAUAACUUUAUCUUUUAAAAAUGAAGGUACGUAGAUAGCCUGGUUUCAUUGCCAAGUUCAGUCAGUGAAACAAAUUCUUGAAAGUAGGAAGCAAAUAAAAUUUCAAGACUUGUACCCUUUCUACGCCCAACAAAAUUCAGAAUUCAGCAUUUGUUAUUACUGUUUAUCUCUAACUAAAUUAAUGAAAAGAUAAAUCAAGAAAUUAAAUCCUUUUAGAACUGUCUUAUAAAGAAACCAUAUUCUUUAAGGAUUACUUUAUCUAUAAUUAAUUAAAUUAAUAAGAUAUGAAUAAUAAUAAUAGAGUUUAAAUUCUUAUAGAACACUCAAAUGAAAAAGCUAAAUUCUACAACAACUCUCUUAUAUCAAAGUGAUUGGGCACUAUAAAAAUGGGUCACCUCCAAGUCAUUCUACACAUUCACAAGUUCAAGAAGUUCAAAAAUUCUUUACGAAAAUAUGAAGAAACUAAAGAAGUAGAAGAAAUUCUGAUGAACAUCAUAUCAGUUCUAAAGAAAAACUGCCUCCUAUCCAAUUCAAUUGAGAGGAGGAUGUCAACAGAAGAGAAGAAUCGAAGAAGUUUUGUUUGUAAAUAAAUUCAAAACUAUACACUCUUCGAAAUAAUAAAUAAAAUUUGACGCAAAAUUUUCAAGUCAAUUCUCAACUUAAAAUUUGCGUGUACAAUAUAUAUAGGAAAGAAUCCAUUUACAUUAUAUAAAACUAGUGUAUGUAUAAUACAGAAAUAUUUAGUACAUUAUCAAUAAAGUUUUUAAACUAUGCACUGUGAUUAAAACCAAAAUAAUAAUAAUAAUAACAACCAAUCACUUUAUUUGACUAACUUUUCCCUACAAGUCUUUAGUAUGGAGACAAAUCAGUUUAAUCAGCCUUUGGAGCUAUUAACUGACAUUUCCACCAUUGAUUUGAAAAUCCUAACCCAUCAAUUCACUUUAAAUGAAACGAGAUCCACUAGUGUUUGGUGUUAUAUUUUUAAAAUGUAUUUAGAUUAUUGUUUAUUAAUUUUAUUUGUUUAUAUUUAAAUCAAAUGUAAUAAAUUGUUGAAUUUAUAUACUUCAUAUUAUAACAAUAUAUUUUAACUUGCUACUUCUCUUUUUAAUUUAAUUUUUUGUAACUCUUCACAAUUUAUUUUGAAAAAAAUUGAAAAAACUAAAUGAUUAAAUUAAGGCUCAACUUUUCACUAACCUUAGUUUAUUUAGUCUAACUUUUCACAAAUUAAUAUACUCAUUUCAUGUUUCAUACCAACAACUUUUCUUUUUGGUAAAAAGAAAAAACAACUAUACGUUUUUUUUAAUCCCAAAAUUAAGGCUUUAUGAAUGAAAAUAAUAUUAUAUUAACUAUGAUAAUUAAGUCUUUAUUUUUAAUAUGAUUAAUAUUAUAUAUAAUAACUUUAAAUAUGCUUCCACUAAUCAGAUAUACUAAAGGAAAGAGUAACUUUCUUUUUAUGGUAACUAAUUUUCAAUUAUGUAUUUUAAUCUAUCACUAAAUAAUUAAUUAUAAUCAAGAUGUUAAUUUUCCAUAAAAUGUACAUAAUUUUGGUUGGUAUAUUAAUAAAUUUAGCCCUAAAAAUUUACACAUGCAAUUUGGUCUUAAUUUAACAAAAUUUUCCCGCAACAUUUGUGUAAAUAUGUAAAUGUUGAGGUUAAAUUUCUUGAAUUUUUUUUAAAAAAUUAAGGUCAAAAUGACAAAAAUAUAAAUAUUGAAAACUAAAUUUAUUACUGUACCAAUCAAAAUGACAAAAUAUAGCUAGGGACAUGGGCUUGACCGAGCCAACUCAACCUAUUUCAUCUGUUUCUAUUGACUUUUGCUCGACCCUACCCCAAAGACCUGUCAAUUUUGUUAAAAUUGAAAUAUUUAACUUGUUGGAGAAGACUAACUGUAGAAAAGUAAGUCAAUGCUAAAGUGAUAUGUCGACGUUUUGUUGUUUUCAAAAUAGUUGAUAAGCCUGAAAUUAUAAAAGAUAAUCAUGAGGUCUUAAAUGCAAUUAUGAUAUUUCUAAAAAGAUAUUUCUCAACAAUUUUUUUAAUUUCUUGAUUGAUGAAAACAAAUUUAGGUAUUUCCCAAUUUGUAAAAACAUGAUUUUUCUUUGAAUUUCUAGGUUUUUCUUAGCUUUUUUUUAUAUUAUUUUGGAAUUUUUGUAAUCUUCUUAUAAUUUCUUAAAAAAUAAUAUAUUUGUAAAAAUUUUUAAACCAUAAAUACCAAUUAAGAAGAAUGUGAUAAAAUUAGGGGUAAAUGUGUAUUUAAGCCAAAGAAAAUAAAAGAAUAAUAAUGAAAUUCACCUAAAAACAAUUACAAGGACUAGAUGAACAAUUUGACCUAAAACUUUGUUUGAAAUGAUGUCAUUAAUGUGUUACAUCAGCUUUCUUAGAGAGAUAAAAAUUAAAUGAAUAUGAGAUACAUGAAACUUGUAUCUCUUUCCAAUAAUUUAACAUUAUUUCAAUAUUUUCAUCUUGAAUUCACGAGUGAAGCGUACAUCAUAUACCAACUCAAUUGGAAAAAAGUCUUUAAAUUAUUUUUAAAUUGUAACAAAUAUUAUUAUUAAGAUGUUUUUCUUUUUAUAUUUUUUAUAAAAUAUAUUAAAAAACAAUUAAAAUAAUUUUAAGAGAAAAAAACUCAUACAAGGUAGAAUUUAAUCUAAAGAUGUCAAAGUUUUAAAGCCUCAACUUUAACAUUUCAACCGAAAUUCCAUUAGUAUAUAAAUAUUUAUAAAUAUAGAUUUUAUAUAAAAAAUUUUAUGUAAACUUUUUUUUAACCCGCAUCACAAGUACACCAUAUUUAGAGAUAUUCAUAGUUAGGCAGUCCACUUUGAGUCAAGCUUGAGCUUAGGUUUUCAAUCUCAAGUUGGCCCAAUUCAACUUAUUUUACUACUUAAAAAUAUAAAUAUAUGUUAUAUUGAUAUUUAUAUAUGUCUAUAGUUAAAAAAUUAUUAAAAAUAAAUUCAACUUAUUUAUUAAUUAAAAAUAUAAAUAUAUGUCUAUAAUUAAAUUUUAAAGAAAUUUAUUGUUAUUUUCUAAACAUAAAACAAAGAAAACUUUCACCCAAAUUAUAAGUUUGUGGUCAGGCAGCCCACUUUGGGACUGGAAUCAGCUUACUUUUUUAAUCUUGGGCUUUAAAAAUAAUAAAAAUAUAAAAAUAAUGUUCUAUUAAUAUUUAUAAAUUUUAUAAAUUUAAAUUUAAUUAUAUUUUUUAAACAGUAAAAUCAACCAUUUAUAUGGGCUAAAUUGAGUUAAGUUCGGUUUGCAUCAAGCCUUAACUUUGACCAAAUCCAACUAAAAACACCUCUAACCAUAAUCUAGUAUUGUUUUUAUGAAUUCAAUUUUAACUUGUAAUUUUCAAUUCUAUUACAAAAUUUCUUUGCCUACGAUAAGAAAAUAACAUAUUUGUAACUAAGUAAUUAAUUAAGUUAAUGUCACGAGUGAAUCAUACAUUAUAUGCCAACUCAAUUGGAAAAAGUUUUUAAAUUAUUUUUAAAUUGUAACAAAUAUUAUUAUUAAGAUGUUUUUCUUUUUAUAUUUUUUAUAAAAUAUAUUAAAAAACAAUUAGAAUAAUUUUAAGAGAAAAAAACUCAUACACGGUAGAAUUUAAUCUAAAGAUAUCAAAGUUUUAAAGCCUCAACUUUAACAUUUCAACUAAAAUUCCAUUAGUACAUAAAUAUUUUAUAAAUAUAGAUUUUAUAUUAAAAAAAUUAUGUAAACUUACAUAUAUGGUUCGUCAUGCAAAUGUUUAUUAUAUUUAAAAAUUAACAUAUAUGGUUAUUGAAUUUUAAUACUGGCUUGAGGAGUCGACUCUAUUGUAGAUUCUAGAUUAAUCUAAUAUUUCACCCUCUUUUAAUUUUCUUUAUUGGAAGAGUCUUUAAGAGAUAAGUUAAGUAGUAUAGCAGUUUCAUCUAAAACAACAUCUCUGCUAAUCACAACUUUUCUAUUUUUAGGACACCAUAACUUAUACCCUUUUACAUCAGCUUUAUAACCAAUAAAAACACAUUUAAUGAAUCUCGGUUCCAAUUUUUCAUUAUCAACAUGAGCUUACGAAGGACACCCAAAGAAUUUAAUCUAAAGAUAUCAAAGUUUUAAAGCCUCAACUUUAACAUUUCAACCGAAAUUCCAUUAGUAUAUAAAUAUUUUAUAAAUAUAGAUUUUAUAUAAAAAAAUUUUAUGUAAACUUUUUUUUAACCCGCAUCUCAAGUGUACCAUAUUUAAAGAUAUUCAUAGUUAGACGUCCACUUUGGGUCAAGCUUGAGCUUAUGUUUCCAAUCUCAAGUUGGCCCAAUUCAACUUCUUUUACUUUUUAAAAAUAUAAAUAUAUGUCUAUAAUUAAAUUUUAAAGAAAUUUAUUGUUAUUUUCUAAACAUAAAACAAAGAAAACUUUCAUCCAAAUUAUAAGUUUGUGGUUAGGCAGCCCACUUUGGGACAGGAUUCAGCUUACGUUUUUAAUCUUGGGCUUUAAAAAUAAUGUUCUAUUAAUAUUUACAAAUUUUAUAAAUUUAAAUUUAAUUAUAUUUUUUAAACAGUAAAAUCAACCAUUUAUAUGGGCUAAAUUGAGUUAAGUUCGGUUUGCAUCAAGCCUUAACUUUGACCAAAUCCAACUAAAAACACCUCUAACCAUAAUCUAGUAUUGUUUUUAUGAAUUGAAUUUUAACAUGUAAUUUUCAAUUUUAUUACAAAAUUUCUUUACCUACAAUAAGAAAAUAACAUAUUUGUAACUUCUCCAAUUCGACGUAAAUGUUCAGUCUGAAUUCAGAAGAUUACAUCAGCCAUAAAGAUGGCCUAGCAAGGUUAUUAGAGUUUUCAAAAACAGGCAUCUUUAAAAUGCUUGUUUAAUUUAUACAAAAACUUAUUUAAUUUCCAAAUUAUUUAUUACUUGAAAUCUUAAUUAUACUUUGAAAGCAAGAAGUGGUAACUAUUUAUUUUUAAUAAAAAUCAGGGUUCAUGUAUAAUUGAUUAAUAACUGUUAGAAUUAAGCGACCCGAAUCUUUAUUUAAAUGAAAUACAGUGGUAAAAUAAAAUAAAAUUAAAAUCCCUAUAGAACUACACUUAUUUUAUUUUAUUUUAGAAUAAGGAUUUUUAAACCUUAUUAAACUCCAUCCAUUUGAUAUUGAUUAGAAUAAGGUGUUUCAAUCUUACUACACUCCUAUUAGAAUAUGGUUUUACAAGCCUAUAAAUAGACAUAGUCUACUCCUCUUGUAAUUAUUCGAAUUCGACAUAGGGAUUUAUCUUCUCCUCUACCAAUAGCUUUUUCCCUGAAAGGGUUUCCACGUAAAAUCUGUGUGUUUUUUUUAUUUUUCUCCCUUUUAUUCUUUGCAAUACAUUGUCAUUACCAACAUUCUAUUUUUAGCAAAUUGGUAUCCAAGCUUCCAAUUUGUUCAUCUCAAUCAUGGUAAUGGCGUCUUUGAAGUAUGAAAUUCUGCUAUUGGAUCGCAACACCAGAUCCGCAUUGUGGCAGAUAAAGAUGCAGGCAGUUCUUACACAGAUAGACUUAGAGGAAGCCUUGCUAGGGGUAGAUAAAAUGUAUUCAACAUUAACAGAGGAAGAGAAGAAGCACAAGGAUCGAUAGGCGUUAACACAAUUACAUCUUCAUUUGUCCAACGAAAUUUCACAGUAUGGAGAAGACCGUCGCUGGAUUAUGGAAGAGGUUGGAACAAAUAUGUACGUCGAAUACUCUAACUAGCAAGUUGCAUAUGAAGCAGCUUCUUUAUGCUCAUCGUUUGGAGGAAGGUGUCUCUAUGCACGAACACUUAAUAGUGUUUAAAGGAAUUCUCUCGAACUUAGAGGUCAUGAAGGUUCAGUAUGAUAAUGAAGAUCUACGAUUGAUUCUACUUUGUUCGUUGCCUCUAUCUUAUUCAACCAUUAGAGAUGGGAUUUUAUAUAGCCGCGAGUCUCUCACAGUUGAUGAGGUUUAUGAUUCUUUAACCUCGUAUGAUAAGAUGAAGCAUCUUUUUCGUAAAACUGACUCUUAGGGAAUGGGUCUCAUUGUUCAUAGUAGAUAAGAUCAGAAUGCUGAUGAUGAUCGUGAAAGGACACAGGAAUAGAAUUCUCGCGAUAAAUCUAAGGAUAGAUCAAAGAUUUCAAGCAGAGGUAAAACUUGUAACUUCUGCAAGAAGAAAGGGCACAUUAAAUCUGACUGUUAUAAGCUACAAAUCAAUAUCAAAAGGGAGGUUGUGAAACAAAAUGGAAAACAACUAGAAUAUGUUGGUAAAGCUGAUGUUGUAGAAGACUAUAGCGAUGGUGAACUUCUAGUCACUUCUAUCAACAAUUCUAAAAUAAGCGAGGAGUGGAUCCUUGAUUUGGGCUGCACCUUUCACAUGAGUCCCAAUGGAUAUUGGUUUAUAACUUACGAAAUAGUGUUUGAAGGUGUUGUUUUGAUGGGAAAUAAUGCUUUAUGUAGAAUUGCAGGUGUUGGGACAAUAAAAGUUAAGAUGUUUGAUGGAGUUCUCAGAACACUUAAUGACGUACGACAUGUUCUAGAAUUGAAGAGAAAUUUAAUUUCAUUGAGUACUCUUAUUCAAAAGGUUAAAAAUACAUAGCUAAAAGUGGGGUUUUUAAUAUUUCCAAAGGUUCUCUCGUUGUGAUGAAAGGGCAGAGAAAGACUGCCAAGUUAUAUGUUUUGUAGGGUUUAGGAGUUCUUUGGCAUAUACGCCUAGGGCAUAUAAGUGAGAAUGACAUGGCAGAAUUGAGCAAAAGAGGACUUCUUGAUGGGCAAGGAAUUUGCAAACUGAAGUUCUGUGAUCACUGUAUUUUUGAGAAGUAAAAGAGAGUUCGAUUCAUCAGAGGAAUCUAUAACACGAAGGGAACAUUGGAGUAUAUUCAUUCUGAUCUGUCGGGGACACCCAGAGUGCAUUCAAGAGGUGGAGCUAAUUAUAUGCUAACUUUUAUUGAUGAUUUUUCUAGAAAAGUUUGGGCGUUCUUCCUAAAGCAGAAAAUCGAUGUGUUUUUCGCAUAUAAGUCUUGGAAAACUAUGAUUGAAAAACAUAUGGAAAAACAAAUAAAAUAUCUCCACAUAGAUAAUGGCUCAAAGUUCUGUUCUAAUCACUUUAAUAAACUGUGCAAGUCAGAAGGGAUCGUGAGACACUUGACAGUUUGCCACACUCCACAACAAAACGGUGUUGCAGAACGAAUGAACAGAAUGAUCGUGGAGAAGGUUUAAUGUAUGUUUUCAAAUGCCAACUUAACAAAGUUGUUUUGGGCCGAAGUAGCCUCUACUAUAUAUUUUUUGAUCAACCGAUCUCUAUCUAUUGCCAUUGAGAAAAAGACUCCACAAGAGGUAUGGUCUGGUAAUCCUGCUAACUGUUCUGAUUUAAAGAUCUUUGGGUGUCCUGUGAAUGCUCAUGUUGAUAAUGGAAAAUUGGAACUGAGAUCCAUUAAGUGUGUUUUUCUUGGUUAUAAAGCUGGUGCAAAAGGGUAUAAGUUAUGGUGCCCUAAAAAUAGAAAAGUUGUGAUUAGCAGAGAUGUUGUUUUUGAUGAAACUGCUAUGCUACCUAACUCAUCUCUUAAAUACUAUUCCAAUAAAGAAAAUAAAAAGCAGGUGGAGUAUCAGAGUAAUCCAAAAUCUACAACAGAGUCGACUCCUCAAGCCAAUACAAAAAUUCAAAAUAGAGUUGCUUCUUUACCACAAUACUCUAUCGUAAAAAAUAAAACUAGAAGAGAUAUUAAACCCUCAAAGAAAUAUGCCGAGGCUGAUCUAGUUGCUUAUGCUUUAAAUAUUGCUAAAGAUAUAGAUGCAAACCAAGAGCCAUCUAAUUAUUUUGAUCCGGUUAGCUAUAAAGACUCAGAAAAAUGGAUGUUUGCUAUGUAAGAGAAGAUGGAAUCACUCUACAAAAACAAAACAUGGGAUCUUGUAAAACUUCCUAAAGGUAAAAAGGUUGUUCGUUGUAAAUGGGUGUUUAAAAAGAAAAAGGGGACUCUGGGAGUUGAAGAACCCAGAUUUAAAGCAAGGCUUGUUGUAAAGGGUUACAGUCAAAUUCCAAGAGUGGACUUCACAGAUGUGUUCUCCCCAGUUGUGAAGCAUAGUUCGAUUUGAGCUUUGCUUGGUAUUGUGGCCAUGCAUGAUUUGGAGCUAACUGUAAAAACUACAUUUUUGCAUGAAGAACUUGAGGAUGAUACUUACACGCAACAACCAUAGGGUUUUAUAGUCUCAGAAAAAGAGGACUAUGUUUGCCUGUUGAAAAAGUCCUUUUACGGUUUGAAACAGUCACUAAGAAAGUGGUACAAGAGGUUUGUUUCCUUUAUGACUUCUUAUGAUUUUAAAAAAAGUAGCUUUGACAGUUGUGUUUACUUUAAGAAAAAUAGUGAUGAUUCUUUUGUGUAUCUACUUCUUUAUGUUGAUGACAUGUUGAUAGCAACAAAAGAUAAAUGAGAGAUAAGAAAGGUUAAAGCCCGACUAAGUGAAGAUUUUGAGAUGAAAGAUUUGGGACCAGUAAAGAAGAUACUUGAUAUAGAGAUUCUCAGAGAUAGAAAAGUAAGUAAAUUGUACCUAAGUCAGAAGGGGUACAUUGAGAAAGUUCUUUGCAAAUUCAAUAUGCAGAAUGCUAAGCCUGUUAGUACUCCUUUAGCAGCCUAUUUCAGACUUUCAUUGGCUUUGUCUCUACAAUCAAAUGAUGAGAUUGAGUACAUGUCAUAUUUUUCAUACUCUAGUACAAUGGGAUCUCUCAUGUAUGCUAUAUUUUGUUCACGUCCAAAUUUAUUAUAUGCAGUCAAUACAGUUAGUAGAUAUGUGGCAAAUCCUGGUAAAGAACAUUGGAAAAUACUGUUUCCAAAAAUUUAUGGAUUUCUGGUGAGUGAACUUCUAGUGAAAUUAUUGUGCUAAGUCCAUUGGGGCAGUCUGUUUGAGUAAGUACACUUUAUAGGAAUGUACCUUUGGAAGUACAAGGGAUUGUGUUUUCGGCAGAUCUGGUGAGGUUACUUCUAGUGAAAUUAUUGUACUAAGUCUGUUGGGGUAGUCUAUUCGAGUAAGUAGACUUUAUAGGAAUGUACCUUUGGAAGUACAAGGGAUUGUGUUUUCGGCGUUUUAUUCACAUAAAAGCAGCAAAAUUUAGCGACAUUGUCUACAGCGGCAUUUUUUACGGCGCUUGUGAAAGCGCCGCUAUAGGCCUAAAAAACACCGCUAAAAGCCUAUUUUGCUGCAGUGAAUUAAUAUUAUUAUAAGUAUAUUUUCACCUUUUCAUUCUUUUAUAUAAUCUUCAAGUAAAAUGAUUGAAAAAUAUUAUUUGAGAAUCAAACACAAGACUAACAAUAUUCAUAUAGAAAACGCUUAUCACUCCACUAAUAAUCAUUUGUUGAUGUAUUUUUGGUAAAAAGAGCCCUCCAAUCCCUCUUAAUUUCACAACUUCUCAAAUUAGUCCCUCUCAAAAAAAUUGGAGCAAUUUAAUCCCUAUCAAUUUUGAAAGUGAGUAACUAAGGACAAUUAAUUAUGGUGUUAAAUUCUUCAAUCAAUUGUACAUAAUUUUGAUUGGUAUAAUAAUAAAUUUAGCCUUUAAUGUUUAUGUAUUUUGUCAUUUUGGCCUUAAUUUUUUUAAAAAAAAUUCAAGAAAUUGAACCUCAACGUUUACAUAUUUGCACAAAUGUUGCAGGAAAAUUUUGUUAAAUUAAGACCAAAAUGCAAGUGUAAAUUUUGUUAAAUUAAGACCAUAUUUUCCCCCUUUAUUUUUUCAGUGCCGACCGGAAAAAAAAAUUUCAGUCUCAUCUAAAUAAGACAUACUUCAGCAGACCAAUAGACUGCAGAUCAGACCCAAUUCAAGGGUAAUGCAGUCCAAAGUUCCUUGAACUCCCUCCUCCAAAGUGAAAAACAAAUCUAUAUAUUUCUGCAUGAUUCAAACAGAAAGGACUGUUGGACAUGUAACUCAGAAAGAAUGCAAAUACAUUGAAAGUACCAUAGACUUUAUAAAUUAGUUUCAUGUUGUUAAAUUUCAACACUAUAAACCUAAAAAUUCCCAGAACGAAAUGCGGGAAUCAUGCCUUAAACUCCAAUACUCAAAUAAGAGACAGAUAAAUUGCACAUUUUUUAAUAUAAUAUUUACAGACUAGAGAUAAAAAUAUAGAAAAAUAUAAACAUGGACAUCGACAAAAAGACUAAUUGACUGUGCAUGUGUGCUAGAGAGUGGCAAUUAAACAUUAUCCAAACACAAUCAUUUCUCAACAUUUGUAAAACAAAAAGAAGAUUAAGAUUAGCAGUAAACUAAAUAAAACCAAAGAAGUGAGAACCACAAGUAAAUGAGAAAGAAAACAAAAUAGAGAUCCUAGUAGCUUUCCCAUUGAACUUCGUAUAAGAGAAAUAACAACAUUUGAACUUUAAGCAAAUAAAAAUGUAAAAUAUUCAGAAUCAAAACAAUCUUUUAUCAAAAUUCAAGCCAAAAACAAUGAGCUUCACUCUAUACAAGAAGCAUGUUAAAGUCAUAGGCUUUCUCGUUUCUGGAAACCAAAUCCAGAAACGUCUCCCACCAAAAAUCAAGAAAAUAACUUCUGUUUUUGAAAAUCACAUUCAAAUCGUGAAAUAGGAGCAAGGUCCUUCAAAUUCAAGCAAAGUUGGUAGUAAAAGCUUAACUUUCAAAGGUCAAACAACACAGCAUUAAGUAUAAAACUAACCCAAUCUCCACCAAUUCAAAAACAAGAAACCAAACACGAACCCGAAGAUCCAAACACGAUUUCGAAAAAAAAAAAUAGAUAUUCCUGAAAAUCGGAUAAAAAACUAGCAUAUACUUAAUGAAAAGAGAAAUUGACGAAAAAUCACAAGAGAUCUGCAUGCAAAUAUAGGCACACUUUUGCUUGAUUAUUCGCUUAAAAAAGUAACAAUGGAAAACAAGAUGCAAGUGUCACGGGCCGCAGUUCAAAGCCCGUGACCAGCGCACCAAAUGCAUCCAAUAGAGAUCUAUUGCUCAGAUAGGGAUCAUUUGGCCCACAAGAACUGGCUCGAUUCAAGGAGCUAUUGGACAAGCCUGUCAGAUUGAAGCCUGGUUGGCCCGAAAACGAAGAGAUGGCAACUUAGGCUAAUAUGGUAACUAAUCUUAGAAGAUAGAGGGAAUCUUAUCUUGUAAAGAUUAGAUUAGAUUAGAUAAGGCUUAUCUUGUAAAUCCCUAAAAUUAAGGGAUAUGGGUUAAUCUCAUCCGUCGAUGUAAAUGUAUAUUGACCGUCGAUUUUGGGGGAGAUCAACUAUAAAUAGAGAGCCUCCCCCUCAUUUGUACUCACUCUUGUAAUUAUUUCAUUAUUCUUUGUGAAUAAGAGAAUUGAGAGCAUUUACUCAAACACUUUACGAGCGUCCUUUCUGUUGUUCUUUUGUUUAGCUUCUUUUGGCACAAUCGCUUCCGCUAUACAAAUUGGUGCCUUGGAGGAGUUCUAAAAGAAUCCUCACUUGAGUUAAGCCUGACUUGGGCGAGUUUGGAUGAACAAAUUGUCUAAGGCUGCACGAAUUACGAGACGAAAGGUCUAGCCCUGUGACAAGUGGUAUCAGAGCCAAGUUUUGAACCAAGUGACAUUCGAGUUGGUUUGAAGGCACCGUUGGGAUGUCAAGAGAAGAGUUCGAACAAAGGUGGGAGAAGAAGUAUUUGAGGGAGACAUUAUCGGUAGUAGAGAAACGUGUGGGUAAACUCGAGGGAUCCAUGGAGGAUGUAAAGGAGGCACUCGAUGGGGUCGAGGAUCACAUUGCAAACUGGAAGGAGCAGUCUAGAGACUAUGUAAAGAUGUCUCUUAGUUCCAUCAUGGAUAUGGUAAACGAGUUGUUUAAUUCACACAGGGAUAAGCUGUCGGAAAGGAAUGAUGCUCUCGAGGCCAAAAUGAUGGCUUUGAAAGAGGAAACAAUGGCCACGACGAGGGCUUUGAGCACAAGAAUAGAGGAGCUCGAGGGAGAGCUGGCCUUGUGUUGAGCAGCCGUGAGGAAAGGAGUGGCAAAUGUAGCACUCAGUAACGAGGAUGUCCCAAAGCUGAAAGAGUUUGUGGGGACAAGGUCUGCGUGCGAUGUGGAUAAUUUCUUAUGGAGGAUGGAAAACUACUUCCGUGCCAAAGGCGUCAUGGAUGAUACGGUUAAGGUAAACACUACUUCAAUGUUUCUUACUGCCAUUGCACUUUUAUGGUGGAGAGGUAGGACCACAAAUAAAAGGCAAGGUGAGAUUGGGACGUAGCAAGAGUUCCAAUGCGAAUUGAAGGGACAGUUUUACCCAGAGUUUACCGAGGAAGAAGCUCGGGCAAAGUUGCAAGGGAUAACGUAACAGGGCACAGUGGGGGAGUAUGUUCGAGAGUUCAAGGAACUCAUGCUCCAAGUUUUAAAGGUGACCGAAAGAGAGGCAUUGCUUGCUUUUCAAAAUGGAUUGAAGCCGUGGGUCAGACAGGAGGUGGAACAAAGAGGUGUCCAAAAGCUAUCGGAAGCCAUGACGGUAGUUGAGUCUGUGGUUAAGCUUAGUCUAGGGAAAGACAAGCUUGGAUCUUCCAAGUCCGAUGGAAGGGGUAUAUGUGAAAUGGAUCAAAAGGAAGAUAGUGUUGAUGGCAAUGGCAACGGCAACAAUGGUGGUAAUGGGAAACCAUGAGUUGGGAAGAAGAAACCCAAGAGGAAAAGGGACAAGCUAAAAUGCUUUCUCUGCGACGGUCCACACAUGCUGAAGAAAUGUCUGAAAAAUUUGAGCUCAAGGAGAAGCCGGUGGGUAAGGCCUUGGUACUUGGUUCGAGCGCAAGGGGUGUCGAAGCCAAGAAGGCCAAAAGUAAGAAGAAGCCAGUGGAGUGGUUCUUGUGUCAUGGUCCGCAUAGGUUACGAAAGUGUCCGAGGAAGUCUAUCAUCGAGGGGAAUGAUGGAGCAGACAAGGAGCCCAAGAAGCUUGGUUCGAGCAAGGGAAAAGCCGAAGCCAAAGGGGCAAAAGGGAGCAAAAAGAAGCGAGUAAAGUGCUUCUUGUGCCGUGGUCCGCAUGAGUUACGGAACUGUCCAAAGCAAGCCGGAGUCAUAAGAAAGGCAACGUCUGAGCUUGGUGAGUCAUCGGAGGGGCUUCCACCCAAGGAAGAGGUGAGUUUGUCAUCGAACUUAAAGGAAAUAGUUGCGAUGAAAACAGUGAAGCUGGGACCAAUGAGGCUCAAGUUGAGUGAAGCGUCGGAGUUGGCCGAGUCAUCGAUAAGGCUUCCACCUAUGGGAGAGGUGGGUGGUGCAUCAGACUUCAAGGGAAAAGAAGGGAUGCAUGUGGGACAGUUGACCAGAGUAAAUGCGACGAGUAGGACGGUUUGAGUUAAGAAGCGACGUAAGCCGAGGCAAAAAUCCCGAAGGAAGGGAAAGGCUAAGGCAUUGAGACAAGACCGAGGUGAAUCGAGUCAGUGCCAUUCAAAAGUCACAACGAGGACGGUGCAAGAAUGUGUGGGGGAGAAUGUCACGGGCCGCAGUUCAAAGCCCAUGACCAGCGCACCAAAUGCAUCCAAUGGAGGUUUGUUGCUCAGAUGUGGAUCAUUUGGCCCACAAGAACUGGCUCGAUUUAAGGAGCUAUUGGACAAGCCUGUCAGAUUGAAGCUUGGUUGGCCCGAUAACGGAGAGAUGGAAACUUAGGCUAAUAUGGUAACUAAUCUUAGAAGAUAGAGGGAAUCUUAUAUUGUAAAGAUUAGAUUAGAUUAGAUAAGGCUUAUCUUGUAAAUCCUAAAAUUAAAGGAUAUGGGUUAAUCUCAUCCGUCGAUGUAAAUGUAUCUUGACCGUCGGUUUUGGGGGAGCUCAACUAUAAAUAGAGAGCCUCCCCCUCAUUUGUACUCACUCCUGUAAUUGUUUCAUUAUUCUUUGUGAAUAAGAGAAUUGAGAUCAUUUACUCAAACACUUUGUGAGCGUCCUUUCUAAUGUUCUUUUGUUUAGCUUCUUUUGGCACAAUCGCUUCCGCUAUACAAAUUGGUACCUUGGAGGAGUUCUAAAAGAAUCCUCACUUGAGUUAAGGCUAACUUGGGUGAGUUUGAACGAACGGAUCGCCUAAGGCCUCACAGAUUGUGAGACGAAAGGUCUAGCCCCGUGACACAAGUGCUAGGUAAAACCAUCAUGUCUGCUUACUCACCACAAACAAAGGCCCUCUAGGACCUUCAUGAAUUUUUGUCUUAUAAGUGCUUCCAUUGUGAGCCUGAACAGCUUGAUAGCCCACAAGAUAAGGAUAUCGAUCUUUACCCUACAGAUUAACAAGGUUAAAUCCACUUAAAUGAAGCACCAUUAGUCUAUAACAAUUUACUUCAAUUUUCUGCUGUUAGUUCAAAUAUUUAUUUUUUUAAUUUGCCAAAACUUGCUAGGAUCGAAGAUUUGGAAUUCCUAAAUUUCAAUUACAAAUUUACACCGUACUUGCAGAAAAAUAUAUUACUAUUAGAGACACCAGCAAUCAACCAGAGUUCUUUAGUUUUCAAUCAAGUUAUUCGACAGGUAUCUAUAUUGAUUACACAAAAAAAAUCAUACACCGUGAGAAUGUCGAGUAAAUUACAAAUACAAAAGCAAACGAACCCUAAAGGAGCUCCAAUACUUCUUCUCCCAGGGGCCUUUGUAUAGAGAUCCAAUGGAAACGAUCUCUAGAUCCUCUAAUUUCGUUGUUUGUUCUCCUUUUUUUGUUUUCGCCAUUCAAAGAAAUGAGAAGAAAGCAAGAUUUCCAAACAACUAACAAUAAGAGAGUAGAGAGGAUUUUCAAGAUAGACGAAGACAUGGCAUUUUAAAAUAGGGGAACUAAAAUCUUAAAAUGCAUGAUUUCCCUUGAAAUUCUAAAUAAAAACUUUAUUUGAUUAGGAAAAAUGUGAAUUGAUUUUGGGAAAAAGAAGGGAAAAAAAAGAAAAGAUUUCAUUUGAAAUAUUGGGAUAAAAAAAUAUAAUUACAAAACGACGCCGUUUUGAAAAAAACAUAUUCGUGGCGUUUGGAAAAAAAAGUCACUAUUGCUCGACUUUUAGCGACAUUUGGACCAAAAACGCUACUAUUGUUCAACUUUUUUCUGCAUUUACAACAAAAAAGCCGCUAUUGCUUACCUUUUGCGGCGUUUUUUUUAUAAAUGCCGCUAACACUUGACUUUUUUACAAUUUUUAUAUUGAAUUAUUGUAUCUUUCAUAUAAAUUUUAAAUGAAUAAUUUUUAGUUUUUGUAUUUCAUUUUUAUUUUUGUAUUUCAUUUUUAUUUGUUAUAAUUUUGUCCUAUCCAAAAUAGAUAGUUACCUAUCCAUAUCAAUCUGUUACUUUUUUUUAUUUAUUUAUCAAUAUUUUUUUAAAUUUAAUAGUUAAAUAUAUUAAAUGGUUUAGAUUUAAUAUUUUUAAAUAUAAAAGCAUUAAUUGAUUGUAUAAAAUUUUAUCAUUUAACAAAUCUCAAGUAAACCUUAAAUCCUAAACCAUUUAAUAUAUAUAAAGUUUAUCUAUUAUCUCUUAAAUAAUUUAAACUAUAAUCAUAAUUUUAAUAUAUUAAAAUUAAAAUUAAAAUGAUCUCUUUUACAAUUAUAUAAGAAAUUAUUUAAUAUAUAAAUUAAAAAACACUAAUUAACCUAAACCCUAAACCCUAAACCCCUAUCCCCUAAACCUUGAAUUAUAAAACAUAAAACAUAAACCCUAAAUCCCUGAAUCCCUAACCCUUAACCCCUAACCCCUAACCCCUAAACCUUAAACCCCAACCCUUAAACCAUAAUCCCUAAACCCAUAAUCCAUAAUCCAUAAACCUUAAAAUAGUAACUCUUAAACCUUAAACCCUAAACCAUAAACCCUAAACUAUAAUGAUAAUUAAUUCAAUAUUUUAAAAUUAAUACUAUCUCUUUUACGAUUAUAUAAGAAAUUAUUUAAUAUAUAAAUUAAAAACAAUCAGUCAUGUACCCAAGAAACUUUAAAAUUAUUUUAAAUAAUAUAUUUUAAUUUUUUCAUUUUUAACAAAUAUUUUCUAUGUUUUUACUUUCAAAAUUUCUCUACGUGUCAUUAUUUUUUUCUGAAGAAUUUAAAUAUUCAAUUAAAAAUAAAUUUAUUUUAAUUAAUAUAAAUAAAGCGGUUAAAUAAUAAAUAGACAGAUAAAAUACUUUUUGCGGUGAUUUUCAUAAAGUGCCGCUAAAGCUCGAUCUACAGCGGCGUUUUACGAAAAAGAGUCUUACUGAAUUUUUUGGGGCAUUUUUCAAAAAGCGCCACUAAUUCUCGAUCUAUAGUGGCGUUUUUCAAGAAGCGCCGCUAAUGCCACUAAAGCUCAACAUAAAACACCAGCAUUGAGCUUAAUUUUUUUGCGGCGUUUUUCAAAAAGAGCCGCUAAUGGUAGACCUAUAGCGGCGUUUUUCAAAAAGCGCCACUAAAGCUCAACAUAAAACACCGGCGUUGUGCUUAAUUUUUUUACGGCAUUUUUCAAAAAGCGCCGCUAAUGGUCGACUUAUAGCAGUGGUUUUAAAAAAGACCCACUAAUGCUCGAUCUAUAGCGGCAUUUUUCAAAAAGCGCCGCUAAUGCUCGAUCUAUAGUAGCGUUUUUUAUCCAAACGCCGCUAAAAAUGCCACUAAAAACCUAUUUUGCUGUAGUGAUUUGUGGGGUAAGUGGUUGAACAUUUUAAUAUAGACUGACUUUUCUAUAAUUAGUCCUUGCUUUAAUUACUUUGGGUGGAUUCUUCCAACUAGUCCAAGCAUUAUUGUACAAUUACAAUUAAUCUUUUUAAAUGAGACAAACAUUUCAAAUUUGUCAUUACUAUUUGUGAGUGAUUUGGGGGUAAGAAGUUUAACUCUUCUGGAUGUCUUAUAGAAUUGUGAUUAUACUUUUUGAGUAUUGACUCAGUUUUCCACAAUUGUGGGUCUCUAUUUGAGCAAAACAAUUUCAACAUUUCUUCAUCUCGUUUAAUCCAAAUGCAUUUAUGCAUUUCUUAUAUCAUUGAAUUUGCUGCUUCAUAUUCAAUUUUUGGACAAGUAGAAUUUUCUAACCUAUUUUCCAUCAACUUCACUUGAAUUUUCAAUCACAAUCAAUUGCAUUCAAGAGCACCACAUCUUUUUGGAUGAAACAAAAAUUUCAAUUUUAAGAUAAACGGGUCUUUAGGGUUAUAAUUUCAAUUUUUAAAAGUUUAAAAUAAAUUUGUAUUUUUAUUAACAAAAUGUAUAUAAAAAAAAACUUGUUUAGACAAGCCAAGAGACCUUUGGGAUCAUACGGGUGAUUUUGAUGAUGUUAAUGGUUAUUUUGGUGGAGAGAGUGAAAAAGAAACAAAUGAUUCAUUAUAUAUAUUAUAAUUAUGAAAUUCAAGCCAUAUAUUGUAUGUUUCAUACAUAAAAAAAAUUGGAGCAAUUUAAUCCCUAUCAAUUUUGAAAGUGAGUAACUAAGGACAAUUAAUUAUGGUGUUAAAUUCUUCCAUCAAUUGUACAUAAUUUUGAUUGGUAUAGUAAUAAAUUUAGCCUUCAAUAUUUAUAUAUUUUUUCAUUUUGGCCUUAAUUUUUUUUAAAAAAUUCAAGAAAUUCAACCUCAACAUUUACAUAUUUACACAAACAUUGCGGGAAAAUUUUGUUAAAUUAAGACCAAAUUGCAAGUGUAAAUUUUGAGGGCUAAAUUUAUUAUUAUACCAACCAAAAUCAUGUACAUUUUAUGGAAAAUUAACAUCUUGAUUAAUUAUUCUUAGUUGUUCACUUUCAAAAUUAAUAGGGACUAAAUUACUUUGAUUUUUUUAGGGUGACCAAUUUCCUCAAAGUGGAAAUUGAGAGAGACUAUUGAGAUCUUUUGCAUAUUUCUUUUAUAAAUAUAUUUUUUAAAUAUAAAAUAUAUUUGUUCACACACAUCGUGAGUAUGAUCUCAAUAGUCCACAUAAUCCAUUAAAAAAACUUAAAAAAUAUAUUUUAUUUUUUAACACCUAAGUGAUUCUCCAGCUAACGACCACCCAAGACACACCCCGACUUUAUAACACCCCAAUCUUAUUUAAUUAUUAGUUAUUUAUUAAUGCAGAAGUAAAUUAUGAGCCAAUUUUAAUCUUUUCCUCGGUAAUUUAACCUAAGGCCAAUUUCAUCAUUUUACCACCUAUUGUAAAACUAACCCGAUUUUAGAUAUAACAACAUGUUUGGUUUGGUGUAAUAGAUUAGCCAUUACACCCCUAUUUCGUGGGCCCCACUAAUCCCCACUUAUUCUUGUGUUUGGUUUGAUGUAUUGCCUAUUACAGGCCUAUUACAACACGAAUGUAUUCCUCAUUUUCUCUGCUUCAACAAUGAUUAGCCAUUCCGUUCCAAAAGUAAGGAUUAGCUAAUCGUCUCUGUUUUACCCUCCUCAGCCAAAAUCUACUGCUCCACCCCACCCUCUCCCUCCCAACAUCAACAGCAGUUUUCUUCGAACCAAAUCUCCACCGUCUCAGAUCGCCUGUGAGUAAUCUCAACAGCAGUUGCCAGUGAAAAUUGCCCUUUCUUCAAAAACCCAGCCCUAAACCCUUCUUCUCUUUCAAUACUCCAUUCGAACAGGUUGCGGUGUCUCCCUCCUCUGAGGUAUGGCUCUGUUUCUUUAACUUUAGCAUUGAGCGACUCUUUUCAAUUCCAAAAUUAGUCUACUCUGCUAAGGGUUCUUGCUUUUCAAACCAUUUUUUCACCAUUUUUCUUGUAAUUCUUUUUCUUGUUAGAGUUCAGAUUUUAGAUUUUUUUUAAAAAAAAACGAUUAGAUUGUGAGGUUCAGUUAAUUAUUAGGGUUUUCUGUUUUGGGUUUCCCUGUUGCGUGGUAAUUUUGAAGUGCAUAUAAAAUGGAUGCUUUUGAGGAUCUUAAGCAAUUCGGCGAUACUGAUAAAGGUUGAUAUUCGAUUCAUUUUGCUUUAAUUUACUUGGUUUAUGCAUUUUGGGGAUAAAAUUAGCUUUGUUUUCUUCUCUUUUGGUUGGCUUUAAGCUGAGAGUAAAAUUUGAAACCUUUGUGGUGGAGGAGUUACCGUUCUUCUGAGAUCAAAUGUAUAACAGGUUAGAAGGAAAUGAAAUUAGAUCCUUAAAUAUUGUGUUUUCAAUGUUAAGGGCAGGCUUUUGUUGCUAAAACAAUUGUGGUAACACUGUUUGAUUCAGUUAGAAGUCAAAUGUCGUUUCCAUGUGUGAACAAUUUCUGGUUUUUAAGUAGCGACUUUGUUUCAUGUUGGCCUGGACAUUUUCCAAAUUAGUAAUUAUAAGUUUGAAUUUGGCUACUAAAUCACGCCAAUUAAUGAUUUCAGUGUGCUGGUGUUUCAGACUUUCAGUUGAAUUGACUUUGGUUUCGAAUAUUUUUAGUGAUGGAAAUAAGCACGAUUUAUUUAAAUUAUGAUUGAAUUGGAGAAACUGCUUUUUGUACAUUUUGAGAAAUAUCAGGCCCUUGGAUACACAAAGGGUGUUAACUUGCGCCUAUCUCAAUUACCCCAUUCCUGCCCAUUGAAUUGGAGAAAGUUCUUUUUUUUAAUGAUUCUGCGUUGCUACUGAUUUUUAGUGAAAUGGUAUUUUUCUUAUGAUGUGUUUUCUUCUUUAUGAAGAGCUCAUUUCAGUAAAGUUAACCUUUCUAUUAUGCAGAAGGUGCAGUAUUUGAUGCAUCACAAUAUGCAUUUUUUGGAAACAAUGUUCUCGAGGAAGUUGAAUUGGGGGGGCUAGAUGAUGAGGAUGAGGAUUUACCUGCAGCUGGACUUGAUGAAGAGGAGUUUUUGUUUGAUCAAGAGGAGGUUAAUAUUCUUGUUUCUUUCAGUUUUAUUUUUCCUGUUUCGAUUGUUCUUGCAAGUUUCUGCAGCAUAGCACAACCAGUGACUAUUCGAUCGAAAAAUAAAUGUAUCCCUUCCAGGCGUCAUGCUAAAAAAUAGCCUUUUGGAUUAGUGUUGGAUUUUUUCUCCAUGUUCUUUAACAGAUAGAUUCCACUGCAUUCAAUUAGUGGUUGGCAUGCGAGUUUUAUUUGUGGAAUAAAGCUCUGUGGGAGUUCAUAUUAUAUAUUGUUCUAUUUGUCUGUGCAAAACAUUGUGAACCUUGUUCUCUGUAUUUAUAAGUUGACAAUGUAGCCAUCUUGGUUGGCUGCUUUCCGAAGUCAAUUUAUUUGAUUCGUUCUCUUUGCUCUUCACAAUGAGAGGUAGCUCUUUUGUACUUUUUUAAUAAGAUCAUAUUAUACAUGCUCUUUUGCAGUGGUCUAGUGGUUUAGUAUCUUGUUAAUAAAACCAUAUUGUAUAUUUGAAUAGUUUGGAGAUUGUGUUAACUGUAUUUGGUGCAUCUUGAAGUAAUGUUUGUUGUAUCUUAUAUGCUUCCUGAAUCAAAUAUGGAGAGAAGGUAGUAUAUGGAGUUUAUAUUUUCAAGUAUUUUUCACACAAUUGAUUUAUCUGUUCCCUUCAUUGAGGGGAAAACAUGGAAUGAAUUGACUUACACCUCACUUCUUCCUCAAACAUCUUUUGUACCACUUAUUUUCAUAAAAUGAUAAGAAUCUUUUUAGAUUACAACUUCCAGAGGUCUAUGUCACCUUCUUGACAAUCAGGUUUUUAGGAAUAUUUUUACCCAUCAUGCAGAAGUUUUAGACAAAAUCUUGUUCGUGGUUGCUGCUAGAUGCAUGAUACUGCCUCAUUUCCUUUGUGGUGGUUCUUCGCUCUCCCCCUUCUUAGUAUUUUUGGUUGUUGAGUCUUGGAGGCAGUUGUAUUCAGUAAUGGCUGGCUUGCUUUGAUGCAUUGCUUCUGUAUAUCUUUGUAGAAAACGAAUCUGUAUCUAUUAUUAACACAAAUUUGAUUAGUUCAUGCCAAUGGAUUUGUAAAGUUAAAUUAGUUAUUGGCGUUAGAAAUUUACUCUUAUGCCUGGAAGGAGAUCUGGCUUACAGAUCAACUACUGGAGUUAAUUGUGGAAAUUUGUUUGAUUUGGUUUCUUAUAAAAUUGUUACCCUGUUCUAUUUAUGUUGGAGUAGCUGAAAUCUGAGGUUGCAUUUGUCAUUAACAAAUAGAAAUCCAAAAAGAGAGGAAAGUGAUAUCAUCCCCUCCACUUUUUCCUUGGAAUUGCGUACUUCAAACUUUUUUAAUUGUAUAAAUUCAUAUAAGAAAAUUUAUUAUGAUGUUGUAAAACUAUAAAACAUAUGGAUUAUGAUGUAGAAUUUCAUUUUCAUCUAACCUUUUCUUAAUAUAAGUUAAUUAUGUUUAUGCAGAAUAUAAUCUCAAGUUAUAAUUUGAUUUUAGUAAAUUCAUAUAAGAACAUUUUAUUAUUAAAUUAUAUUUAAUAUUAAUUAUUUUAAAUUGUAUAAAUUCAUAUAAGAAAAUUUAUUAUCAAGAAUUUUAUGAAAUUAUAUAUCAUUAUUAAAUUAUAUUUAAUAUUAAUUAUUUUAAAUUAUAUAAAUUCAUAUAAGAAAAUUUAUUAUCACGAAUUUUAUGAAAUUAUAUAUUAUUAUUAAUUAUAUUUAAUAAUAAUUAUUUUAAAUUAUACAAAUUCAUAUAAGAAAAUUUAUUAGUUAUAAUUAUUUUAAAUUUUAUUAAAUCAUAUAUUUUAAUUAAAAUAUUUUUAAUAUUAAUUACUUCAAAUUAUAUUUUAUAGUAUCAUAUAUUAUGAUUUUAGUAAAUUCAUAUAAGAAUUUUGAUUAUUAAGAAUUUUAUUAAAUUAUAUAUUUUAAUUAAAAUAUAUUUAAUAAUAAUAAUGUUAAAUUAUCUUUUAUCGUAUCAUAUAUUAUGAUUUGAGUAAAUUCAUAUAAGAAUAUUAAUUUUUAAGAAUUUUACUAAAUUAUAUAUUUUAAUUAUAAUAUAUUUAAUAAUAAUUAUGUUAAAUUAUAUUUUAUAGUAUCAUAUAUUAUGAUUUGAGUAAAUUCAUAUAAGAUAUUGAUUAUUAAGAAUUUUAUUAAAUUAUAUAUUUUAAUUUAAUAUAUUUAAUAAUUAUUAUGUUAAAUUAUCUUUUAUAGUAUCAUAUAUUAUGAUUUGAGCAAAUUCAUAUAAGAAUAUUAAUUAUUAAUAAUUUUAUUAAAUUAUAUAUUUUAAUUAUAAUAUAUUUAAUAAUAAUUAUGUUUAAAUAUGAUUAAAUUAUUUAUUAUUGAUAUUAUUAAUCUUAUUAAAAUUUAAAUAACAAUAACAAUAAUCAUUUACCCAAACAAAUUUAUGCUAAUGGUAUUCUAGUCAUUUUAGUUUUUUUCCAUUAUGCUAUUACACCUCUAUUCCAUUCAACCAAACACAAGAAUACUAUUACGCCUCUAUUCCAUUACGCCUCUAUUCCAUUCAACCAAACAAUUGAUUUGCUAUUACGCCUCUAUUCCAUUACACCUCUAUUCCAUUACGCCUCUAUUCCAAUACAGCGAACCAAACGUGCUGUAAGUGUUUACCAACCUUCUUUUAGUUAAAUUAUGCAAGCCUAAAAUUUUCAGCUUUAUUUGAGUACGUUUUCUAUGUCUAAUUCAAGUUUUAUUAUUAAGGACUAAAUUGUAACUUAAACAAAUUAGAAUACCAAUUUAAAGAGACAAAAUUCAAAACCCCAAAACCCACACGGGCAUGUGGGUAAGUGGCACGGGCCAGUGGAGACUGGAGCUAUCACAUAAGGCGAGUGAGAUUGAAACAUAUGAAAUAAAUUAAUCCACUUAAUUUUCCAACAACCAUGCUAUACUACCAAACCAAAUAACGAGUGAAGCUUUGAAUAGGGGCGAAUCUAAAAAAAAAAUUAGAAGAAUUAGAAUUAAAUUAUAAAAUUUUGAGAAGUUAUCAUGUAUUAAUUUAUUAUUUUUUUAAAGGGUCCUAAUAGAAUUUUUUUCCCAUUCUGGUUGGGCCAAUACCUUUGACUGCCUCUUUAAAUUUGCUUCAACCCUAAACCCAAUAUUCGAUUUGGAUUAACAACAAUAUAUAGGUUUGUAUUUGUGGGAGUUUGACGAAUAAAAAUUUCUAUUUAAAAGGUUUAAAUUAUAAAUUUUUGAAAGUUUAAAAUAAAUUUGUAUUUUUUAUUAACAAAAUAUAAAAGAAAAAAAACAUGUUUAGACAAGACAAGAAACCUUGGGAUCAUACGGGUGAUUUUGAUGAUGUUAAUGGUUAUUUUGGUGGAGAGGGUAAACACGAAACAAAUGAUUCAUUAUAUAUAAUAUAAUUAUGAAAUUCAAGCCAUAUAUUGUACUUUUGGUUUUUCUGCAAUAUGAUACAUGUAUUUGGUAAAAAGUUAUAUAUUUUGAUACUUAAAAGUAACAUUGUUAAUUUUUUUAGUGCUUAAUCUGAAUUUUAGAGUUUAUUUAAUGAACAUUAAUUGUUAAUAUUGUUAUGUUUAUUUUUUUAUGAUUUUGUUAAUAAAAUAAAUUUUAUGUUUAUCUUGUUAUCUUUUUUAUUUUAGAAUUGAUUACAUGAAAGUUAAUUGCUAAUAUUAUUAGUUAACUAUUAGUUUUCUUCAAAUCAAAUUAAAACCCGAAAGAUCCCACUUUUUUUUUAUAUUAGUUUUAGUUAUCCAUUAAAUUUGUUUCUUUGUAAUAAAAUUAAAUUAUAGAAAUAACAUUAAAAUUUUAAAUAAAAUUAAUUCACAAUAAUUAUACAGAAUUUAAUUUUCUUUCAAAUACUGCAGUUAAUAAGGAAAGUGAAUAUAGUAAAAAGAAAUAUUGUUUAAUUAGUUAAUUUAAAAAUCAAUAGCGUCUAAAAACUGUCAGAAUGGAAUAUUAGAUUUUAUAAGAUUUCAUUAUUCUAAAAAAUAAAAUAUGACAAUGCUUAAAAAUUUUAUCAAAAAAGUUUUAAAUUUUAUAUAAAAUUUUAAAAAAUAAAAAAACAGUAUUAAAAAUUUUUAUAAGCAAAUUAAAUAUUAAUUAGUAAAUUAUUUUUGUAAUAUUUAUAUGUAUUUUCAUUUUUAUAAAUACUAUUAAAACUUUUUUUAAAAAAAUUGAAUGCUAUGUAAAAACAUUAUUAAAAAUAAAAUAUUAUAUGAAAGUUAAAAUGAUGUAAAAACAUAUUUUCAGUGUUGGCGUUGCUCGUUCGUAAAUGGGUUAGUUUCCGUUUUGAUGUGUUUUUACGUGGAUAGUAAAAGAAAUGUGUUAAUUUUUGGAUUAUGGAGUUGAUCGUUUUUAAUCAAUUCUCCAGUAAGUUGACUCGUUUGUUGUUGUUAUGUGCUAGGAUAAGAGAUUAAUUCUGAUUUGGGCCUGUGUGGUUGUGUAGAUUUUCCAUGUGAAAUCGUUUGGUAUUUUUAGGAUAAAUCAUUCUUUAAAUCGUAUUGCUACCAUCGCGAAUGUGAUGUUUUAAUUUAUGCAUUUAGGAUCUGGUAGUCUUAUAGGUGUUUUCGCAUAAAAAAUUGAACCAUGUGUGUAACGAAAGCUAAAAAAUUGCACUGUUGACGCCACACGGCCAUGUGACAAGUCGUGUGCUGGAUCAUGUGUAACACACGAUUUGAGCUAGUUGAGCCAUGUGGAAAACAAAGGUGUGUGUGAAGGCGUGUGCCACACCAUGUGGGCCACACAGGCUGGCCAUUUAGGCCGUAUGGGACCAAAAUUCUAAUUUUUUUCCUAGGGUUAUACACAGUGUGUAUACUUGUCUUUGAAUUGAAAAAUUCUAAACAACUCUAAAUAAAUGGAAAGCAGCAAAUUACCUGACGAGGCAAGCUAGGUCAAUUACGACCAUUGUGUUAUUCUUGUCUCUGAAUUGAAAAUUUUAGAAGAAACUAAAGAGAAAGUGUUAGAAAAUAAUUGAAAACAGAUAAAACUUAUGUCUCAUUGAUUGGAUAAACUACGAUCACCCAUAAUAGACCUUGUACUUGACUUUUUGUUUAGGGAGAUUGACUCUUUUAGGAGAAGUCUUUUGAGUGUUGUUUGCUAGGCAAUCGGUGCUGCCCUCAACAACUAAUGGUAGUGUCCCCAUGUUGGGAUUUUAUCCCCAGCCUCUGCGGAAUAAUCAUUGAGGAUAUGUGCGUAGGGAUUCAAACUACCAAUCAAUGCAUGUGUAGCCUUUACCUUGCAACCAUCUCCAUGAACCCAUAGGGUUCUUAGCGGGAUCAAGAGACGAAACCCUAAUGUGGGAACAAUACCAUUUGUUGAAGGCUUUGUUAAUAGGGUCACACCUAGGGGAGUUGGCAGGGGUCCCAACCCCCCUUAAAAUGAAAAAUUUUCCAUUUAGGCCCUUUAAAAUUUUUAAAAUUUUAAAUUAAUAAAAGUAAAAUUGUACUUUGGCCCCCCAAAAAGUGAUAAAACUUCGAUUUAGUCCUCUAAAAAUUAUAAAAUAUAGGCUAUUAAAAUGGUGAAAUUGCAUUUUUACUAUCAUAAAAAUUAUAAUUUAAUUUCACCCCCUAAAAAGAUUUUCUGGCUUCGCCCCAAAUAAAAUCUUUGCCAAAAGAUUAAAAUAAAAUUAUACCGUAAAUGAAAAAAUAAACUAAGAAAAUCCAAUCUAACAAAGAAAAUAACUUGAUGUCCAAAAGCUACCAUGAACCGUAAUUCAUGGGAAGUCUUGUUGCUCAUUUUAUUGGUUUCCAUUUUGAUUUUGCAAAAUAAGUUUGAAUUUUGAAGAGAGCCUACUACGUGAGAGCAAAAGAAAAAAAUUCUAUAAAGAUUUUGAAUUUUGAAUUUUGAAUUUUGAAUUUUGAAUUUUGAAUUUUGAAGCAGAUUUUCAUUAAGAUUGAAGAUUCCUAAUUGAUUUCUUAGGAGAUUAUCAUGAGUUCCUUAUUUCUUUCAGUUAUAUUGCCCUUUGGAUUUUUUAUUUUUAAUCAUGAACUACUUUUCUAAAUACGUAAGAGAGAUGAACCCUAUGAUAGAUUGUGACACCCCAAAGCUGACCGGGAUAGACCGGCCUGAAUUCAAAGCAUUACAUUAGCCACCUAAGGACCACUCAAGACACACCCCGACCUUAUAACACCUCAAUCUUAUCUAAUUACUAGUUAUUUAUUAAUGCCGAAGUAAAUUAUGAGCCAAUUUUAAAGUUUUCCUAGGUAAUUUAACCUAAGGGCAUUUACAUCAUUUUAUGACCUAUGGUAAAACUAACCUAGAAAUACCGAAAACAUUCCAAAAUAAUAUAAAAAAAAAGCUAAGAAAAACCUAGAAAUACAAAAAAAAAUUCAUGUUUUUACAAAUUGGGAAAUACCUAAAUUUGUUUUUAUCAAUUAAGAAAUUAAAAAAAUUGUUGAGAAAUAUCUUUUUAGUGAUUGUUAGCUUUGACAAGUUCUCUCCACCACUUCUCUUACGCUCCUUCCAGGAUCUUGCUUUUUGUGUGUUGAAAACUCAAAUGAACAAAAUAAAGUGAAUUUACGAGUUUUGUUUUCUUUUAAAAAUAUUUUUAAUAUUUUUGUGGAUACCAAGAGAUACCAAAAAUUAUUUCACUAAGAAGUUUUAAUUCACUCGAAAAGUUAGUGUUUUAUUUCAAGGGGUCAUAAUUAAUCAUUAGAUUUCUCAAUUUUAAAUUUUGAAUUUUUGACAAUUGUGUAAUUAAUAAGUACCAAUUUUGAGUGGUGUAGGGCUAGUACAAUCUCCCUUACACAUAACCGACUCUUGAUCUAAUAAAUAUUUAUCCUUAUACUUUGAUCUAAAUAUUUUGAUGUAAUCAAUGUAAAAAACCUUUUAAACAAAAUAAGGUUGAAAUAAUCUAUUUGUCUUUAUACUUUGAUAAAAUUUGGGAUUUAGUCCUCAUACCUAAUGUUGACACCAUUUUUUUGUGAAAACGGGGUUGACUUGGAUUUUGUAAACGAAAACGAAAACGGGGGUCGCCACCAAUUCUUUUUGAUAAGGUGUGAUCGGGCCACCUUGAAAAGUGGUUGUUUUUAAUAAACAAUUUAAUUUUAUGAAAACAACGAUUUUGGUCCACGAAAUUCAGAAAAACAGGUUCGGGAGUCGGUUACGUACGAGGAAGGAUUAGCACCCUCAUAACGCCCAAAAUUGGUACCUAGUUGAUUAAUUAAUGUCUUAGUGUAGAAGAUUGAAAACUCUAAAGAGAUUUAAAACACGAUCCUUUACUGAAAUGAUAAAAAUUUUCGGCAAAAAGGGCAUAUUUCACAUUAAUCGAGAAAGAGAAUUAUAUCCAAUAAGUUAGAACACAAUGUCUUGAAUUCCGAUGCGCGAAUGAAUACCAAAAAUUUACUUAUUUAAAAGAUAUUUAACUAUCUCGGAUUUAAAAAAGGGAUCAUGCCCAGUAAGUUAGGACACGAUCUUUUCUUAAUUCCCGAGAUCGUUUAAAACUUGAGAAAAAAGGGAUCAUGCCCAGUAAGUUAGGACAUGAUCUCUUCUUAAUUCCCGAGAUCGUUUUAAACUUGAGUUUGAAAAGAUUCGUGUAUUUAAAUUUAUUGUGAAAAUUGAAACCCCGUAAGUUAGGGUACGACCUUCUCGAAUCUAAACAUGAGAUUUUGCUUAUUCAAAAAAUCAUAAUUUAUGCAUUGAAUAAAAUUAAUCUAACACGAAAUAGUAGAAAUGCAACACGGUGUCAAUAUGUGUAACAAGACAAAAAUGAAUAUGAUAAUGUAAGCAUAAAUAGUACGAACGACAUCGUAAAUGAGAUAAAUAAUAGGAGAGACAAAUCCAUCAUAUCACAACAAAUAAAUAAAUGCAAUAUUAAGACAUUCUUUUCAAAUGAUAAUGAACAUAUACGCAAAUAAACAAAUUAACAUCGAGUGAAACAAAAAUGCAAUAACGAAAUUAAUAAAACUAUAAAAAGUAUAAAAAUAUGUGUGUAUGUACGUGUAGGUAUGCAUUAUAAAAAUAUAUGUGCAUAUAUAUAUAUAUAUAUUUGAAAUUACAAAAUAUAAAAGAUAUAUAUAGGUAUGUAUAUGUAUGAGUUAUAAAAUAUAUGUAUGUAUAUGUGUACAUAACUAAAUUUGAAAUAAAUAGAUAUAGAUAAACAUAAUAAUAAUAUAGUAAGACAGAUAUAUUUAAUAUUUAAAUAAGUGAACAUAAUAAAUGGGAGUAUAAUAAAUAAUAAUAAUAAUGCAAAGCUAGUAAUAUGAUAUAAUGAUAUAAUAUUAAUGACUAAGUAAAUAUAAGAAGAAAAUAUUAAUAGAUAAUGUAACAACCCGGUUUUGACCCUAAUCGGAAUAGUGGUUUCGGGACCACAAAUCCGAACUAGAAAAAUAUUAUUAAUAUUAUUUAGUGUGUUUAUAUUGUGUGCAUUUGAAUGUGUGAAAUUUUCGUGUUUUAAUUUCAUCGUUUAAGUGUCCGAUUUAAUAAAAGGGUUUAAUCGCGUAAAAUGAAAAAUUAGGGGUUAAUUAUAAAAGCACCUAAUUGUUGUUGGCUUUAUAAUUUAGAGGUUUUACUAUGAAAUUAGUCCACUAUAUAAGUUAGUGGGUGGCAAAAGACUAAUGUAACCUUAUUAUAUAUGUUUUAUAUAUAUAUUAGUAAAGGUUAAAAUAGUAAAUUAAUUAUAAAGUUAAUAUAUGUUUAAUAUAACAAAUUAAAUGGCUAUGUUCUUCAUCUUUUGGCCGAAUGGGUGAGAAAAUAAAAGGGGUUUAAAGCUUUUUGUAUUUCGGCAGAUUCAAGCUUUGAUUUAGGUAUGUUUUUGCUUCGGUUUUUGAUGAUUUUUACGUUUUUGAGAUCGUUGCUUUGAAUACUUCAAAACCCAUGUCUUAAUUUUGUGAAUUGAUGAAUAUUUUGAAUUAUGUCAUUGAUGAAUAUUUGUGUUUUGGGAUGUUUGAUGAUGAAUAAUGGAAGAUAUGUCUUAGAUUAACAUGUUUUGUAUUGGUAUUUUUGAUGAAUUUGAGUAUUUAGGGCUAAAUUGUGAAAAUAAAUUUUUGAGGGAUUAAAAUGUGAAAUAAAUGCAAUGUGUGGACUUGUAUGAGAACCAUGAAUAUUCGGCCCUUGUGUGGUAUGGGCAAAUUUUGUGUAUUUUGUGUUUUGUGCAAAAAGGACUAAAUUGCAAAAAGUGCAAAAUGUUAGGGGCAAAAUGGUAAUUUUCACAUUUAUGUAUUGAUGGACUCAAAUGAAUGUUUUGAUGAAUAAGAAGGUUAAAUUUGACUAUGUUUAGAUCAAGGAACGAAGAAAACGAAUUUGGAUCGGGGGAAGUCGAAAGUAAUCGAAUAGUCGAUCGUGUUUGCUGAUAUCCGAGGUAAGUCUAUUAGCAACUAAAAGUUAUUAAGUUAAUAUUUAUACAUGCAUACUAAUUUUAUCUUAUGAUUGAGCUAUAAUUUAAAGUAUAAAAGUUGAAUAAACUUUGGACUAUAGAUAUUGUAUAUAACAUGUUCGAAUAUACAAGUAUGAUCUUGUAUAAAUUAUUGGAUUAAUCAAAGAUAUGUAUAAGAUAUAUGUAUAUACAUAUAAGGUUUGAAUGAUUAUAUGAGUAUGUAUAUAUAUGUAUAAACUCUUGGAUUUGAUUUGUGAUAUGUAAUUUAUAAUUGUAUAUAUAUAUAUAUAAAGUCGAAUAAGCAUGCAAUUAUACAUGUAUGUGUUGUGUAUUGAAUUUAGAUAUGUCAUUAUAUAAGUAUAUGAGGAUUGAUUGUGAAUUUAUAUAUGUAUAAGUUUUUGUUUUGAAAUUAAGUAUGAAAUUAUACAUUCAUAUGGUAGAUUCGAAUAUGUAUAAAUGCACAUGUAUAAUUUCUUGAAUUGAAAUUAGGUAUGGAAUUAUAUAUGUAUGUGAAAGUUUCGAUUUGUAUGUAUAUUCACGUAAAAUUUUUUGAAUGGAAGUGAAGAUAUGAAAUUAUUAGUUUGGAUCAUUAUAAAGUGAUUGAAUGUAAUACAGACGUUACGUCUAGCAGGCUUGAUGCCGGUGAAGUAAUUCAGACUUUAAGUCUAGCAGGCUUAAUGCCGGUGAUACAUUUCAGACUAUAUGUCCAGCAGGCUAAGUGCCGGUGUACUGAAUCAGGCUUUAAGCCUAGCAGGCAAAAUGCUAGUGAAUCUUUUUAAAUUAUGUGAGAAUAUGCAAUUGAUAUAUCUAUGAUUUUGAUUAUACGAAAUAGAUGAAUACAUGAACAUUCGGUUUUUUUUUAUAUGCCUGGUGAGCUUACACCUACAUUCGGGUUUUAUAUUGGUUAAACAUAAUUGUAUGGAUUCGGUAUAUACAAUUAAUAAAGGCAUAUGUACAUUAGGUAUAUGCGAUUGCUGAAAUUAUAAAUGCAUAUGGUGAUAUGUGAUUGUUAAAUAUACACGUUGAGCCUAUGUGUUCGAUAAUUAAUUAUGUAUGCAAUUGAGAUAUGUAUAUAUAUACAUGUACUCAUUUAUAGGUAUAUAUAUUCGAAUGUAUAUACUAGCUAUGUAUUCAGGUAUAAAUCCAUAAUGAGUAUAUAUAUAUACAAACGAAUAUAAAAUGUGAUUGAUACAUAUGUGUUAGAUUCGAAUUGAUUUAAAGUUUACCAUGAGUAUACAUACACAUUCGGUUAAGAUAUGUGUAUAAUAUAUAUAUAUGCUCGAUUGUAUACAUUGGGUUGUAAUGUUGUUUUGUAUAAUAUAUAUUCAAUUGAUUUCAUUCGACAGGUAUACAUAUCUGACUAUAAAUAAAAUGGUCUGAGUACAAUAAUGUAUGAAUGUUAGUUGGUCGUGUUAGUUGAAAUUUCAGUAAAAUAGAUUAAAAGGUUAUAUUAAUUAUGUGUUUAUAUAUACAUUUAGUUAUGCUGUAGACUUACUAAGCUAUAAAAGCUUACUUCAUUUGUUUUCGUUCAUUUGUUUUUAUAGAUUUUGGAGACGCGUUACGAGCUCGGGGAUCAUCAGCAUAGUCCAUCACACUAUCGACUUCUUUUGGUAUUUUGUUAAAUAUUUGAACUCGAUCUUAUGGCAUGUAUAGGCUUGAUAAUGUUUUGGUUAGUUUUGGAUCCUAAUAUGUAAAUAGUCAUGCGAAAAGGGUUUAAUUUCCAUGCUUGAAUUUGACUACAUAUGAUCAUGAUUUGGGCUUGCAUUUGAAUGAGAUAUUCAAGUUACAUGUAUGUUAUAAAUUUUGGAUUAUGUUAGGUAUUAAAGUCAUGUUUAUGUGUGCUUUGUUUCGUAAUGCCUCGUAACCCUAAUUCGGCGACGGAGACGGGUUAGGGGUGUUACAGAUAAUAGCUAGGUUAAUAAAAAAAACAAAAUGGACUAAUUCAUGAUAAAAAUUAAAUUUAAAGGUUCAAUCUAUAAUAAAAUAAAUAAAGUGGGUCCAAAAUGAAAAGGCACGAAAGGGCGGAGGGCCAAAUGAGCAAUAAACCCAAAUUCCAGGCCACGCCCAGGGGUCCAACGAAUUGAGGAACGAAUUGAAAACCGCAACAAACCUACGGUCCAAAUUACAAAACGAGGGAAAAAAGAAAAGGAACUAAAUCAAAACAAAUCGAUAAUGCGGAGGGGCCAAAGGAGCAAAUAACCCAACACUUAACAAUGCACGGAUCCUCUGGUCGGGUCGAGUCGACGAGUGGAUCUGGGGGGCAAAACGACGCCGUUUUGGUACCUGGGAGGCCUGCCCAAAACGACGUCGUUUUAGGGCCUAUAUAAGUAAAAAAACAUAAACAAAAAAAUCAUUUUAAAUCCAUUUCAGAAAAAAAAAACUUUCCCUUUUUUAUUUUCUCUCUAGCCCCACUCCCUUCGAUCCAGACUCCGACCGAUGGCCGUCGCACCGCCCACCGACCACCGGCGACGGUGCCGCCCACUGACCACCGAUGACGGCGCCGUCGUGCACAGUUGUCGGAAAGUUCAAAACCCCUUUUUCUCUUCUCUUUUCGAGUAAAGUACCUAUUUGGGUUUAAGACAUCCCAAAAGUCCUUCAAAAUAAAAAAAGAAAGAGAGAAAAAUCUAGAGACCUUUCGGUUUCUCAUCACCGCCGAUGGAGUUUUUGGCGAACCCGUUGGUUUGACCACCCCAAGACCGGAGGUACCUCCGUCCGCGGCAAUAAAGGUAAUAGAUUUCUCUUUUUAUUUACUAUUAUAUUUAUUUUCGAAAUAAAUAAAUAAAUAAAAAUAUAAAAGAGGCACCUUUGUUUUUUCCAAAUCUGUUUCAAACUUUUUUAUUUUCGAAAAAAUCCCAAAAAUCCCCAUGAUUACAUUGAAUUUGUGGCUUUUAUAGCCCAAUGCAUAUUUUCUUUUUUCUUUUUGUUUAUCACUGCUUCUCUGCUAUUUGUGCUGUUGUUGCGUGUUUUUUUCAUGUUUUGCAGGUCUUGACGGAGCAGGUGGGCAGGUGGCAGAGCAAGUGGCGGUGGGUGGUGUCAGAGGUGGCAGAGGCAGAAGGUGACGCCAGAAGAUAGGAACCCCUAGGUGUGGCGCACCUAGGGUUUGACAUUGUUGUUUUUUAUUUGAUUUUUUGGGCUAGGUUUAGACAGUUGGGCCUGUGCAUUUUGCUUCGGGUUUGGGUUUAAUCUCGUUGGGCCGGGUGUAAUUGUGUUAGUUAGGCCGGGGCAUAAAUUGGUUAUUACACCUAAAAGGUUAAAAAUUAAGUCUUCUUAUUUUUUUUUAAAUCUUAGUCCUACCGUUAAUUUUUUUUUGUCAAAAUUUGUUAACUUGACAUAUUAAUUAGGUUUUCCUUAUAUGUCGUGGUAUAUGACCAACACAAAAUUAAACAAGUUGACAAGUUCUGACAAAAAAUAUCAAAGAUGAUAAUAAUUUAAUUAAAAUUUUUAAAUUGAAAAAGUAAGGGAUUAAAUUUAUAACUUUUGAAGUGUAAAGAAUGAACUUAUUGAAAUACAAGAACUAACAACACAUUUUAAAAUAUUACUAGUAAAUUAUAUAUCUACAACGUAAGCUCUUAUAUUAUAUUCUUGUAUCUAUUUUGUAUCUUUCAUUAUAAUAUGAUUUAUUAAUUUUAAUAUUUUUAUAGAAUAAUAUGCUUUAAACUAUUUUUUGUAUAAUUUAUAAAAAUUAUAAUAAACUUGCAAAAUGAUUUAAUGAUAUUUAAUUAUUAAUGGAAAAAAAAAUGAUAACAUAUAUAUUCUGUAUAUAUUAAGAUUUUGAGUCAUUAAUUAUAUAUCUACACAUUAUAAUAAAUUCAUCUUUCAAAAUGUUCCUUAUAAUUAAAGCAUAAAUUAUAUUUAUAAUAUUAUAAAUAUAUUAUAUCAUAAAUAUUCUUUCAAAUAUUUUUUAAUGUUUAAUAAUAAGUUAAUUUAUAAAAUAUUCUUUCAAUAAAUUAACGUGAUGCGAUCGUUAGGUGCUUGGAUUUGGUGAUGGGGGAUGAAGAGAAAAGGGAUGGAAGUGAAGAAAAAUGUUGAGAAAUGGAAAGGGUUAGCAAGGGAAGCUGCCAUGAAAGUUGGUUCUAUGGAUAUGAACCUUCAAGCUUUUGUGGAUGAUGUUACUCAAGGUUGUUGGAAGUAAAUUUUAAAAAAAUUGAGGUAAAAUUAAAAAAAUGUUAGAGCUAAAUUUGUCAUUAUGACUAAAAUGUAAAACCAAAAUUUUUUGAAAAUAAAAAAAAAUGGAAAAUAACAAAUUCUGUCACUCAUGUUUGCUUAAAAUAUAGUUUUGGUCACCAAUCUUUUGAAGUAAAUAUAUGGUCACCAAUAUUAUCCAUUUGUUACUCUGCAAUAACUCACCUCUAUGAAAUUUGGCAGGCCGUGUCAAUUUUGUAGAUUUGCGCUCUGAACUGUGAAAAAAAUGCAAAUUUUAGGUUAUUCAAGCAUUUUAAUACGUAUAUAUGAAAAAAAGAAGAAGAUAGGAGAGAACCUUCCUAGAAUAUUUAAGAAAAUAGCUCCAAAGACACUAUUGAAGUCAACUUUGAAGCAAAUUUUCAUCAAGAUUGAAGAUUCCCAGUUGAUUUCUAAAGAGAUUAUCAUGAGUUUCUUUAUUUCUUUCGGUUAUACUGCCCUUUGGAUGUUUUUAUUUUUAAGCAUGAACUAAUUUUCUAAAUACCUAAGAGAGAUGAAUCCUAUGGUAGAUUGUGGCACCCCAAACCCAAUCGGGAUAGACCGGCCCGAAUUCGAAGCAUUACACUAGCCACCUAAGUGACUCUCCAGCUAACGACCACCCAAGACACACCCUGACCUUAUAACACCUCAAUCUUGUUUAAUUAUUAGUUAUUUAUUAUUGCAUAAAUAAAUUAUGAGCCAAUUUUAAACUUUUCCUAUGUAAUUUAACCUAAGGGCAAUUUUGUCAUUUUACCACCUAUUGUAAAACUAACUCGAUUUUAGAAGUUUUUACCAACCUUAUUUUAGUCAAAUUAUACAAGCCUAAAUUUUUUAGCUUAAUUUGAGUUUGUUUACUAUGUCUAAUUCAAGUUUUAUUAUUAAGGACUAAAUUGUAACUUAAACAAAUUAGAAUAUCAAUUUAAAGAGAAAAAAUUCAAAACCCAAAAACCCACACGGGCAUGUGGGUAAGUGACACGGGCGUGUGGAGACUGGAGCUAUCACACACGGGUGAGUGGGAUUGAAAAAUAUGAAAUAAAUUAAUCCACUUAAUUUUCCAACAACCAUGCUAUACUACCAAACCAAAUAACGCUUGAAGCUUUGAAUAGGGGUGAAUCUUAAAAAAAUUAAAAGAAUUAGAAUUAAAUUAUAAAAUUUGAGAAGUUAUCAUGUAUUAAUUUAUAAUUUUCUAAAGGGUCUUAAUAGAAUUUUUUUUUUCCCAUUUUGGUUGGGCCAAUACCCCUACCUCUUUAAAUUUGCUUCAAUCCUAAACCCAAUAUUCGAUUUGUUGUGGAAGUUUGAUGCAUAAAAUUUCUUUUUUUAGAGGUUUAAAUUAUAUAUUAUUGAAAGUUUAAAAUAAAUUUGUAUUUUUUAUUAACAAAAUAUAAAACAAAAAAACAUUUUUAGACAAACCAAGGAACCUUUGGGAUCAUACGGAUGAUUUGGUGAUGUUAAUGGUUAUUUUGGUGGAGACAAGCCAAGAAAAGAAACAAAUGAUUCAUUAUAUACAAUAUAAUUAUCAAAAUUCAAGCCAUAUAUUGUCUGUUUCAUCCAUAAAAAUUUCAUGGGAGGUCCAAAGGUAAUUAAAUGACUUGUAGGCUUGCUGAAUUUCUUUGAAAGGCCCAAAGGCAAUUUAACACUCACAAAAUAAUCUCUAAAUACUGUAAAGACAAAUCAAAUCCACAGCAGCAUUAGAGUUGAUUAAGCUAAGCAUUGGCAAAUAUUACUUUGAUUUUGCAUGCAAUAUCGGCAAAACCCCCCUCUUACAUUAGAAAAAACAACAUAAUCCAUGUAACAUUGAUAGCCCAAUACAAAUUUCAUCAAGAAAAAAGUCUCUUUGUUUUGUAGAACAUGAUAGUAAAGAUGUGGAGUUUCAUUCUUCUUAUUGGCCUCCUUUAGUUUUCCUUGAUCAACAACCACUAGCCAAAAACACAAUUAGAUUAGAUUAUGAAUGAUACUUUCAACUAUGACAAUAUUAAAUACAAAACACUCCAAAUAACUCUAAAUAAAUGGAAAGCAGCAAAUUACCUGACGAGGCAAGCUAGCUUAAUUAAGACCAUUGUAUUAUACUUGUCUCUGAAUUGAAAAAUUUAGAAGAAAAUAGAGAAAAAGACUUAGAAAAUACUUGAAAACAGAUAAAACUUAUAUGUCAUUUAAAAUAAAAAAAAAUUAUUUAAGCUGUUUAAAAUUUUUAAGAUUUUUAAAAUUUUAAAAUGAUAAAGGUAAAUUGUACUUUGGCACCCCUAGAAAUGAUAAAACUUUGAUUUAAUCCUUUAAAAAUUAUAAAAAUAUAGGCUAUUAAAAUGAUGAAAUUAUAUUUUUACUAUAGUAAAAAUUACAAUUUAAUUUCACCCCCUAAAAAGAUUUUCUGGCUUCGCCCCUAAUAAAAUAUUUGGCAAAAGAUUAAAAUAAAAUUAUACCGUAAUUGAAAAAAGAAACUAAAAAAAUCCAAUCUAACAAAGAAAAUAACUUGAUGUCCAAAAGCUACCAUAAAUCGUAAUUCAUGGGAAGGCUUGUUGCUCAUUUUAUUGGUUUCCAUUUUGAUUUUGCAAAAGAAGUUUGAAUUUUGACGAAUACCGACAUAUUAUAUAUAUGACUAAAAUUCCAGAAUAGGUUAAAAAUGUUGAAUUAAAGAUGAAAUUAAGUGUGAAUUAAUAACCACAAGUGUACUCAUUACUCACCAUCUCUGUUAAAAAUGUUGGAUGUUGUUUAGCAACCUUUGUUUGAUUUUCUUCAGCUCAACCACAACAUCUUUCAUAUCUUUUCUUUCUUCUGGUAACUCAGCUGAACAAUUCAAAGCCAACUCCAUGAUAGAUGAAAUACAAUUUGCUUUAACAACAAUGUACUCAUCCUCUCUUCUUAGUAAAUCAACAUCUGCAAUUUCUAUCGCUCCUUUAGGCAAUGAACUUUCCAUCCAAUGCCUUAUAGUCUCUUCUUCAACAAAAACAUUAUCAGAUGGCUUUUUCUUUGUGAAAGUUUCUAUAAGGACGAUCCCAUAACUAUAGACGUCAGAUUUUAUAGAAACAAUUCCUGCUGAUCCAAAUUCUGCAUUUCAAGUAUAAUUAGAACAUCAUUCAUCCUCAAUUAUUUCUAAAAUGCUUAUUCUAAUAUCUAUCCAUAUACACAUGAAACAAAAAUAUAAAAUUCAAAUUAGGAAAAUAAUCAUACAAAAAUAAAAAAGAAUUCACCUGGUGCCAUAUACCCGAUAGUUGCAAGAGUCAUGGUUUGCUUCAUUACUUCACCUUCUCCCAACAAUUUGGCAACGCCAAAAUCUCCAACAUGUGCAACCAUGUCUUCAUCUAGUAAAAUAUUGCUUGGCUUUAUGUCACAAUGAAUUAUAGGUGUUGGAUGUCCAUUGUGGAGGUGUUCUAUAGCUAACGCAACAUCUAUCAUUAUGUCGACCCUUUGUAUGAUAUCAAGGAAACAAUUUUCAGAAUGUAACCAUUUCUCAAGGUUUCCAUUAGACAUGUAAUCAAGCACCAAGGCUUUGAAGUCAACACUUGAGCAGCAAGUAAUGACCUUCACAAUAUUACGAUGAACUAUAUUAAGCAUAGCAUCACAUUCAAUGUCAAAACUCCUAAAUGCUCCCUCUGUUUGCAAAUUGAAAACUUUUAUUGCAACUUCCAUUCCAUCUGAAAGCCUCCCUUUAUAUACAUAUCCAAAACUCCCUGAACCAAGCAUAUUGCUUUCCUCAAAUCCAUUAGUUGCUCGUGAAAGUUCAGCAUGUGAAAUUCUUCUCGGUGUUUUCAAAGACAACAAAUCAUCUUUAAUUGAUAGAGUUGUACUCCUUCUUUGGCAUCUUCUAUACAUAAUAGUUAAGACUAUUAGUACUACGACAAUGCCAAUUGUUGGUAAACCAUACCUAAAAGCAUGCAAUAUAAUCAUUUGGGAGUUUUUGUGGAUGUCGUUUUUGCAAGGUGGGACUUGCAAUCUAGGUGGACCACAAAGUGCAUAAUUCUUCAUGAAUGAUGUGCUAGAAAAGUUUGAAAAACAUCCUUUGCUGGGAAUUUCCCCUUCAAGUCUAUUGAAAGACACAUUAAAAUACCUUAGAUAUAUAAGUUUUUCCAAAGAUUUGGGAAUGACUCCAGAGAGAUUGUUAUUGCAUAAAUCCAAGAAUUCCAAACUAAUCAAUCCAGCAAAUGAUUCAGGGAUAUGACCAUGUAGUAUAUUAUUUGAUAAAUCUAAUGAAACCAAAGUUAUAAGACCCCCAAAUGUGGAUAAGAUAUCGCCCGUGAGAAGAUUCUUUGAUAAAUUUAGUUUCAGUAGACUCCUCAAAUUUCCAACAUCAAUAGCAUGUGAACUGUGAAGAUGGUUUGAUGAUAAAUCUAUUUCUAAGAUAUCUUUAAGAUUCCACAAAGUUGAGGGUAUUGUAGAACUCAAUCUGUUGGAAGCAAAGUAAAGAUAUCCCAAAGAAGUAAUAUUACCCAAACAAGAGGGUAUGGAUCCAUGCAGCUUAUUCAACCCUAAAAAAAAGUUGUAUAAUCUCUCCAAAUCACAAAGGCUUUCUGAGAUGGGCCCUCCUAAUUUAUUAGAGGAAAGACCUAGACUUUGGAGAUUCCGCAGUCCUCCUAUUGAUGUUGGAAUGAAUCCACUUAAUUUAUUAAAGCCAAGUUCUAAAACCACCAUGUUGCUUAAGUUACCUAUUUCCAUAGGAAUAAUGCCUUGAAGCUCACAAUUAGAGGCAUAAAAGUAUUGAAGGGAUUUUGAAAGGUUCCCAAUAUAAGUAGGAAGAACGUCACUCAAUGGAUUUCCUGAAACAUCUAUUGCGGUCAAAUUCCUACAAUUCGUCAAAGAAGAAAGAAAGCUCCACUCAUGAUCAGUAGCAGAUCCUGUGAUCAAAUUAUUGUCAUUGAUUUUGAGCACUUCAAGGUGUUUUAAGUUGCCAAGCAUUUUAGGGAUUGGGCCAGAGAAUAAGUUAUGUGACAAUUCUAGUUGCUUAAGCAUGGAAGCAUUGGAGAUAGAGUUGGGAAUGUUUCCGCUAAGUUUAUUUCUCCACAAUAAAAGAAUCUCAAGCUUUGGAGCAUUGGUGAUGGGUGGUAAAUUACCUGUAAAAUUGCAUCUUUUAGUAUACAUAUUCAUUGAAUACCAAAUUCACAAAAUAUAUAAGACAUUAAAAUAAAAACUGUAAAACUUUAAAUCAAUUAAGAAUAAAAUUUUGGCAUGGAAAAAUGUGAUGAAAUCAAUUAGAAAGUUGAGACAUAAUAAGAAGUUUUGAGUAGUAAUUAGUAAAACAUAUAAUACAUUAAUAAUUUUUAAAAUAUUGUAAAACUUGAAAUAAAAUAAAAAUAAAAGUUUGGCAUGAGAAUGUGGCAUCUAAUCAAUCUUAAAAAUGAGACUCACAUUGAAUAAUAAUUAGUUAUGAUUUGGGAAACAAAAAUGUUAAAGCCAUUGUUUUUAAUGUAAGCUGGUAUGACUUUUAUCUAUUGGGUUAAUUAUUUAUUUUUAUUAAAUUAUAGUGUAAAAUUUAAAUAUUAUUAUUUGCUUAAAUUUUUUGUAUUUUUCGUAUAUUUAAAAUUUAAUCUUUAUAUUUUUAUUUUCUGUGAUUUAGUCCCUCUACUUUUUGAAUUGAAAAUUUUAGGUUUAUUUAUUAACACCGUUAAAAAGUUUUUGUGUUAGUAUGGCAUUUUGAAAACUAAAAUAAACUUGAUAUCUAUGUUUUUAAUUAUUCCAAAUAUUGUUUUACUAUUUCAAGAUAAAUUAUUUGUGUCUAGACCAAUAUCUUAAGAACUAUUGUUGCAUAUUUAAUUAUUCUAAAGAAUUGUCGAUUGAAUCUUAGCUUGAUUGGCAUGUGCAUUGUUGCCAAUGUAGGAGAAUGUGGGUUCAAGCAUGCAUGCUGAAAUGCAUUAUCCUCCUAUUUAUGAAUUGGUAAAGUACUAAAUUUUGAUAUAUUUUAAAAUAUUAAAAAUUUAUUAAAAUAUUUUUUUAUAAAAAUUGAUUGUACCACAAUAUACAAUUUUAAUAUCAAAUUUUUAAUUUUUUUAAAAAAUAUUAGCGAAUAUGUACUUUAUUUCAAGUUACACAAUUUUUACUAGUUUUUAAAUUUUUUUAAUUUUUAUCGUCUUUUAUAAUUUCUAAUAAUUUUUUAUAAUUUUUUACAAUAUUUAACAAUUUCUAAAAUUUUUUAAUAAUUUUAUUAUUUAUUACAAAUUUAAAAAUUAACAAAUUUUUAAUCUUUAAAACAAUUAUAUAUUUAUAAUGUAGUUAUUUUUUUUAUAAUUUUAUUUGAAAUUUUAAAGAUUUUUUUGGUUUGUUUUCUAGAUUAUGAUGCCAUCAUAAUGUCAUCAUAUGCCACAUGGCAAUUUAUGAUUAGUUGGAUAUCUCAAUCUAUUUUUUUAACGUCCAAUGGACUAAGCCAAGAACACCUGACAAUGUUAGAGACUACACUACGAAUGUUUGAUAAUAUUACGUAUUAAAGUGGACAAAAAAAAUUAAGGACCAAAGUUAUAAAAAAAAAAAAAAAACAGCAAUCGGCUGCAGGGAAUAAACUGUGCAUUAAGCCAUUAAAAAUAUAUCUAUAAUAUAUAUAAAUGCAUGGAUUUUGAGAAACAUUUGAACUGAUAAUUACAUAGUCUUUGAUGUUUACUAUAUUAUUGAAUUUGUUAUUUUAAAUAUUUUUUUAUUACUUUUAAGAUUUAUCAUAUGUAUGGAUAAGAAUUUUGGUUUUACUAAAAUAUUUGGUUAAAUAAAUUCAUUUAAUAAGAAAAUUUAGCAUCCUUAUAAAUAACAAUUUUGAUUCUAUUAAAAAUUAUUUUCAAAAAUAUAUAAUAAAAAUUUAAAAUUUAUAUUGAAUUACUUUAUACUUAAAUUAUUAUUAGAAACUUUAUCAUACACAUACGUGUAUGAGAACCAUGUAUUUAGAACAUAAAUUUGUUUUUUAAAGUAACUUAUGAUAAAUAAUGAAAUGUAUAAUUUGAAACUAUUUAAUAAUAACACAUGUCAUAUCUACCAUAUUAAAAUAAAAAUAGAUUAAAUUGUAAGUAAAACAUAAUUUAAACAUAUGAAUACAUCAAAUUAAGAAUACUAAAUGAAUACAGUUAUUUAUGAUGAUGUUGUUGCCAAUUCUUAAGUUGGUGCCGAGUUAAUUUGUGACAUCAUAAAUUUAGGUGAUAAAUUUAAGGUUUUAUGUAUUGAUGUGGAUUCAAAUAUCACCAUAAUUUUUUUAAAUAAAAAACUAAAAUACCCUCAAAUAAUAUAACUUAUAUUAAAUACGAAAGGGUAUUUUUGUAAUUUCUCUAACCGAGUUGGUGCCCGGUUGACUCAUGACACCAACUCAAUCAAAAGCUUCAAUAAUAAUAUAGAUAUUCACGGUAAAAAAAAUUACUUUAGUUCCAAAUAAUUAUAUAACAAGUAAAUUUAUAAUUGACGAAUAAAUUUAUAAAUAAUAUAUUUAUAUGAUCUAAUAUAUUAUAUUUAUAUUAAUUAUAUAUCAUCUACAAACUUUGAAGAUUAAUUUAUUAAGUAUCAAGAAAAGAAAAAAUGAAAUUUAAUUAACACUAAAUCAAUUUUUAGAUUUUGUACAGAUGAUUUAAUGAUGAUAAAAAAAAUAUUAGCACUAUUUUCGAAUUAACAAAAAAUUAGUGAUAUAUUUUAAUUAUAUUUAUUAUUUAUUUUUUAAUAAUUUUUUUAAUUAUAUGAAGUAAAAUUAUAUUGUAUACUAAAAAUGGUACAUAUACUUUAAUUAUACUUGAAAAUUUAUUAUAUAAAUUAAUAUAUUUUAAUUAUAUUUAACCAUUUGAAUAACAAAAUAAAAAAAAACUAAUUAGAAUAAUUUAUUUUUUAAAGUCUAAUGGAAAUUAAAAAAUUAAAAAUAAAGCAGUUCAUAUAAAACUUAUUGUUUAUUAUCAGAUUAAAAUGAUAAAAGUAUAUGACCAAAAUAAAAGAAACAAAUUCAACUCAAUGUUUUUGGAGUUUGGAAAAAAUUAAAGUUAAAAACAUACCUUCUAAUUUGUUGUUAAAUAGAUCUAUUUCUUCGAGCGUAGUCGAAUUAAAAAUACUUGAUGGAAUCUGACCUGCACACAUAGUCGAAAAUUGAAGUAAAAAACAUACCUUCUAAACUGUUCAACUAAAAAUACUUUAAGCAUAUUUUUUAGUAAACUGUGCAACAGGUGAUAUGAGAAUCUAUGUAUAUAAAUGUAUAUGUAUAUAUAUCGUUGUUUCAUUUUGUAAAAUAAAUAUAUUUUCCACAUUGGUUUCUUUUCUUCUACAGACAAAGGAUUUCUAAUGAUUCUUUUUUAUUUUUACUUAUAAAAUAGGUUAGUUUCUGCAAUAAUAAAAACAAUUUCUAAUGAUUAUUGUUGUUACCAGAUAACUAAUUUUCAUUCAAGUAAAGCCCUUCAAGCUUGGGAAAAUGUUGACACAUAUCAUUAGGCAAACUACCUGAUAGGCUAUUGUUGGAGAGAUCAAUGGUCUUCAGAGAAGAAAUGUUCGAGAUCGAAGUUGGAAUCUGACCUGUAAGGCCUUUAAUUUCUUUAAUAUUAAGCAUUUCCAAACUAAGAAGAUUACCAAUUUCCUUAGGAAUUUGACCUGCAGACAGUCAAAAAAUCAAUGUUUUUCAGCAUAUGUUUUUCAUCAAAUGAAAUAAAAAGUUCUUCCUUUUGUUAUCUAUUACAAAUCAAACUCUUUUAUAAAAAAAAAACUUUAAAUUCAAGAAAUCAAGGAAAUUGAUUACCUUCUAGAUUAUUAAACCCUAAAUAUAACUUCUGGAGUCGUGUUAGAUUUCCAAUACUUCUUGGAAUGAUACCCAUAAAUUGAUUAUAGGACAACGACAAAAUUUGAAGGUUGUUGCAUUUGCCCAUGCCAAAUGGAAUGUUACCAGAUAAUUCAUUCAAACUCAAGUAAAGCCCUUCAAGCUUGGGAAGAUGUUGACACAUAUCAUUAGGCAAACUACCUAAUAGGCUAUUGCUGGAGAGAUCAAUAAUCUUCAGAGAAGAAAUCUUGAAGAUGGAAGAUGGAACCUGACCAGAUAAUUGAUUGAAUCCCAAGUUCAAGAUCUCUAGAUUAGACAUGUUAACAAGUGUUUCAGGGAUUGUGCCUGUAAAGUUAUUGUUUUUCAUUUUCAGCCUUCGAACUCUUUGUAAGUUCCCAAGCCAUGAUGGAAUUUCCCCAUUCAGACGGCUGUAGCUUAAUUGAAGGAUCCUCAAACGAUGCAAUUGGCCCAAUUCUUUAGGGAGAUGGCCAUAGAAAUGGUUGCUACUCAAGUCGAGAGAGAGUAGAAAUGAAAGAUUUCCAAGGUGUGGAGGGAUAGUACCCCUAAGAUUCAUGCUUGUAAGAUUCAAAGCUAUAACUCUUUUAAGAAGGAUGCCACAAGAAACACCAAUCCAAUUGCAAACAGAGGUUGAGACUGUCCAAUUGUUUGGCAAGACAUUUUGAGGACCGACGAUGCGAUCCUUAAACUCGAGAAGUGCAAACUGAUCGGAGUUUAGAUUCCUGACUGUCAUAGCCAAGCAAAGUACGAAACAUGGUAUGAAUAAAGCUAAAAGAAGAUGAAAGCAAGUGUUGUAGUUCAUGAUUGCAAGACGGAAUAAGCCAAGAAAAUAAAAAAAAGUAGGAAAAGGGAAGUUGAGUUGAUAAAAUAGUUUGGAUGAUGAAGAAAAGCCCUGAGAGCAUGCUUUAAUAUGUUUCAAUCAUCGCACACUUGAUAAACUUGAUAAAUUUAAGACUACCCUAAAAAUUAAAAAGGAAAGCAAAGUUUUGAAGAAAUUUCAAAAUAAAUGUCAAGUCUUCUUCUUUUAAAAAUACGUACAAAGAAGCGAAUUUUCAAAAUUUCUACUAAAUUUUCUUCACAUUACUCCACAUAAUCCAUUAAAAAAACUUCAAAAAAAAAUAUUUUAUUAAUUACUAUAUAUUCUUUUAUUUUCAGAAUAAUAAUUGUUUAAAAUAUGCUAUUAGUCCCUGUAAUUUUAAAGUUAAAAAAAAUCCAAUCCUCCUAUUUUUCUAAUUUAAAAAUUCUAGUCCAAUCAUUUUUAAUUCCAUUAAAAAAUUUCACCUUAAUAGGUUUUUUGAUUAUCAAUCGUAUGCAACAUUAUAUGAAGGCAGUCUAAUCAGCAUAUAUCCAAGUUUAUAGAUUUUAAUAGAAAAUACUUACAAUCCUAAUGGUAGGACUAAGUUUUUUAAACUAGAAAAGUAAGAAGACUUAAUUUUUAACUUUUUAAGUACAAGGAUUAAAUUUUAAAUGUUGUCAAAGUACAAGGAUUAAAUUUUAAAUGUUGUCAAAGUACAAGCACUAACAAAAUAUUUUGAUCUAAUAAAUGUAAAUGAACUUUUUAAACAAAAUAAGGUUGAAAUAAUCUAUUUGUCGUUGUAUUUUGAUAAAAUUUGAGAUUUAGUCUUUAUACCUAAAAGGUUAAAAAUUAAGUCUUCUUGUUUUUAUUUAAAAAUCUUAGUCCUAUCGUUAAAUUUUUUUGUCAAAAUUUGUCAACUUUACAUAUUAAUUAGGUUUCCCUUGUAGGUCGUGGUAUAUGACUAACACAAAAUAAGCAAUUAAGUUGACAAAUUUUGACAAAAAAUAUCAAAGAUGAUAAUAAUUGGAUUAAAAUUUUUAAAUUGAAUUUAUAACCUUUAAUGUAUAAGGAAUGGAUAUCAAAUUUUUAUAGGAAUAAAGGGACUAACAACAUAUUUUAACCACAAAAUAAUAUGGGUGAUUAGAAUGAAUCUAAAAUUUUAUAGAAAUAAAAGAGACUAACAACAUAUUGAUAACUUUGAAAUCUCCUUCGAUAAUCCUUUUUCUACGUAGAAAAAGAAAAUUAAUUAGCAUCUAAAGUGUCAAUUAAUGAAACCUUCAAGAGAAAAUGUGAAAUUGAUUUACCAAACAAUAAUAUUCUAACUUAUAAUAUAUUUAAUUACAUUUAGUAAUUUGUCAAUCAAAACUUAAUUAACAUCCAUCAAUACUUUAUAUAUAAAAAACGCAAGCAUAAAUUACAGUUUAAAGUAAUUGGGAUCUCGAGUGCAACAAAUUCCUCCUUUUAUUAUUAAAUGUUUUAUUUUAGUUACUCUAAUCAAAACUUAAUUAACAUCCAUCAAUACUUCAUACAUAAAAAACGCAAGCAUAAAUGACCAUUUAACUCAUAUUUAACUUUGCAAGUAAACUUCACUAAUUAUAGAGUUAUAGUGUAAACUUUGAAAAUAUAAGUAAAUUUACCAUUUAACUCAGACUUAACUUUGCAAGUAAACUUAAAAUUUUAUUUAAUUUUGUCACUAAAUUUGAUUUGUUCAAUAUAGAUUUUGGUGACUUAAAACAAAAUUAAUAAAAAAUUAUUCUUUCGGAUAUCUUUUUAAUGUUUAAUAAUAAGUUAAUUUAUAAAAUAUACUUUCAUUGGGCACAGGCCUCCAAGCCGGUGAACCACUGAUCAAAUUAAUUUGGAGAUAUCUUUUUUCUGAAUAAAGUGAAUUUACCAGUUUUGUUUUCUUUUAAAAAUAUUUUUAAUAUUUUUGUGGAUAUCAAGAGAUACCAAAAAUUAUUUCUCUAAAAAAUUUUAUUUGACUCGAAAAGUUAGUGUUUUAUUUCAAGGGGUCAUAAUUAAUCAUUAGAUUUCUCAAUUUUAAAUUUUGAAUUUUUUCACAAUUGCGUAAUUAAUAAGUUCCAAUUUUGAGUGUUGUGGGGCUAGUAAAAUCUUCCUUACACAUAACCGACUCUUGAACCUACUCUUUUCUUUAGAAUUCAAUGCAGACCUCAAAUUUAUCUUUUGAAAAGAAUUUUAAAAUCUCUGUAUAAAAGGUGUUUCUUUUUGUUACCGAUCACAUUUAACAAAAAUUUAAAAAUUAUUAAAAAAUAAUUUCUUUUUGAAAUUUAAAAUGAUCUAAAAACAUAUUUUUAAUUGCUUUGGACCAUCUAUUGCUGAUUUCCUUAUUAUAUUAAGUGUUUGCAAUCACUCUUAAUAUAUUGUGCUUGAGUUGUGACAAAGCCGAUCGUCAACGUGCCAUAAUGAUCAAUUGACGCUGAAACUGAAGUUUUUGUUAUAUUGAUAGAGCUUGUCCUUCAACGCAUACAACGUGUUUGUUAUUUUUCUCCCUUCAAAUUGUAUGAUCUUAUUCAUUAAAUGAAUUAAUGAAUAUCCCUUUUAAAAAGAUAUAUUUUUAAAAAUUAAAUACUUCAUAAAAUAUUUAAAACCAUUUAAAAAUUUGUUAGCCUUAAAACAAUCAACAAAAUAUAUUUUUCUCUAAAAAAUCAAUAAAAAUAUGUUUGAAAUUUUAUAUGAAAUUUAAAAUUUUUUAACAAUAAUAUAUUUUAAAAUUAUAGUAACGCUACAAAAUAUAUAUAUUUACUAAUUAUAUACACCUUUUUUAUAUUUUUUCCUAACAUAUCAUUAUUUUCAACAUUAUCGUAAUCCUGUUUUUAUAAUUCCCUUGUCAUACAUCCUUUUUCUACUUAGAAUUUCAAAAGAAAAUGUGAAUUAAUGUAGACGUGAGAAGACUUCAAGGUAAGUCACCCAAUGAAAGUGACCUAAACCGACUUAUGGAAGAAUCAAACAAUAAUUUUGUGUCUUGUAAUAUAUUUCUUGUAAUAUAUUUAAUUACAUUUAUUAGUUUAUCAAUCAAAACUUAAUUAGAAUCCAUCAAUAUUUCACACAUCAAAAACCCAAACAUAAAAUUCACUUCUAAAUUAUUUGGGAUAUAUUUGUAUUAUAGGAAAUGGAUUAAAUUAGUCUUUUUAUUAUAAAAUGUAUUAUUUUAAUCUUUGUAUUAGGUAUGAAUGAUAUCUCCUAGAUUGAACCCAAAGCUAUUCUUGAAAGACUGAAAUUAGGAUUUAGAUGUGUUGAGAUGGAAAGUGACAACACAAUGUUGAUUGAAACUAUUUGUAAUGGGUUGGCUACAAUAAGUAGUGCUGUCGAAAUAAGACAGAUUCACGAUUAGUCUUCCAAAAAUUGGGAAGUCAAAUUUCGACAUAUUUAGCGGAAUGCCAAUAAAAUUGUUGAUUGCUUAGCUAAGGCAAAUGGAGGGGUAAUUGAGCAGCUGGUUAUCUUGGAAGAUCCUCCGCAUUAUGUGAGAUGCUAGCUUGAAGAAGAUAUUAACAGUCACUGGUCUGAUGAUAAUUUUCAUUUGGACUGAUGAGCGCUUAAUUUUCUAAGCUUAUGGUCAACAAAAAAAAAUUAAAUACGUCUAAAUUGUAAUAGAGUUAACAUUUAGUGUUUAAAAAAUAUCUUAAAAUUUAUUUUUUCCAAUUGCAGUUCAAUUCCACAAAUAUCGACGAUGAACCCGAACAUAAAAAUUACAAAAAAAAACACAUCUAUUAUCAAACCAACAAUCCAUGUCUAAACUUAAAUUAACAAAAUUCACCACGCAACCUGGUACACUAUUUUAUAUAUAUAUAUAUACUAGAUUUAUUCUAGAUGCACAUGUUUUAUUAUAUUUAAAAAUUAAAAUAUAUGGUUGACUAAGUUUUAGUUGAAUUAGUAUUUGUUAAAAAUAUAAUGUUGGUAAUGACAAUAUAUAGCAAAGAAAAUAGAAAUAGAAAAAUAAAGAACACACAUAUUUUACGUGGAAACCCUUUCGGGAAAAAACCACAGGCAAAAGAGAAGAAAAUUCACUAUGUCGAAUUCAAAUCAAUUACAAGAGGAGUAGACUAUGCCUAUUUAUAGGCUUGGAAACCUUAUUCUAAUAGGAGUGAAACUCUUUAUUCUAAUAAUAUCAAAUAGAUGGAGUUUAAUAAGGUUUAAAAAACCUUAUUCUAAAAUAAAAUAAAAGAAGUAUAAUUCUAUAGGGAUUUUACUUUUAUUUUAUUUUACCAUAGUAUUUAAUUUAAAUAAGGAUUUGGGUCACUUAAUUCUAACAAUCUCAACCUUGACACGAAUUCUUAAUGAACAAGUUCUUCAUCGCGAACUCUCAACGAACAAGUUUCUCCACCUCUUCCAUAAAACCCCUUAAGGGUUUAUUUUCAACAAUGAACACCAACCAAGUCUAAGCAGUGCUCAAACUUGGUUAUAGGAAGUGACUUAGUCAUCAUAUCUACAGGAUUUUCAUGAGUACUAAUUUUGCUCACAACAAUAUCACCACGAGCAAUAAUAUCACGAACAAAAUGAUACCGAACAUCAAUGUGUUUUGUUCUCUCAUGAAACAUUUGAUCUUUUGUAAGGAAGAUGGCACUUUGACUGUCACAAAAUACUGUAUUAAUUUGAAGGUCUUCAUUGAGUUCACUAAAGAGUCCGUUCAACCAAAUAGCUUCUUUGCAAGCCUCAGUAAUCGCCAUGUGCUCAGCUUCAGUGGUAGACAAAGCGACUGUAGUUUGCAAAGUGGCUUUCCAACUGAUUGCACAACCUCCGAUUGUAAAGACAGAACCUGUGAGAGAUCUUCUUCUAUCCAGGUCUCCAGCAAAAUCAGCAUCAACAUACCCAAUGACUCCAUCUCUAGUUCUUCCAAACUGUAAGCAAACAUCGGUAGUACCUCGUAAGUAUCUUAAAACCCACUGAACUACUUUCCAAUGUCUUUUAUCGAGAUUCGCCAUGUAUCUACUAACUGCACUAACUACAUAUGAUAAAUCUAGAUGUGAACAAACCAUGGCAUACAUGAGAGAUCCUCCUGCACUAGAGUAUGGAACAUGUGACAUGUACUCAAUCUCAUCAUUUGAUUGUGGAGACAAAGCUGAUGAUAGUCUGAAAUGGGCUACUAAAAGAGUACUAACAGGCUUAGCAUUCUGCAUAUUGAAUCUAGAAAGAACUUUCUCAAUGUACCCUUUCUGACUUAGGUACAAUUUACUUGCUUUUCUAUCCCUGAGAAUCUCCAUACCAAGUAUCUUCUUUGCUGGUCCCAAGUCUUUCAUCUCAAAUUCUUCACUUAGUUGGGCUUUGACCUUUCUUAUCUCUCAUUUAUCUUUCGCUGCUAUCAAUAUGUCAUCAACAUAAAUGAGUAGAUACACAAAAGAACCAUCAUUGUUUUUCUUAAAGUAAACACAACUGUCAAAGCUACUUCUUUUAAAAUCAUGAGAAGUCAUAAAGGAAUCAAACCUCUUAUACCACUGUCUUGGUGACUGUUUCAAACCGUAAAGAGACUUUUUUAGCAAGCAAACAUAGUCCUCUUUUUCUGAGACUGUAAAACCCUCUGGUUGUUGCAUGUAAAUAUCCUCCUCAAGUUCUCCAUGCAAAAAUGUAGUUUUUACAUCUAACUACUCAAGCUCCAAAUCAUGCAUGGCCACAAUACCAAGCAAAGCUCGAAUCGAACUAUGCUUCACAACUGGAGAGAACACAUCUGUGAAGUCCACUCCUGGAAUUUGACUGUAACUAUUUGCAACAAGCCUUGCUUUAUAUUUGGGUUCUUCAACUCUUGGAGUCCCCUCUUUCUUUUUAAACACCCAUUUACAACGAACAAUCUUUUUAACUUUGGGAAGUUUCACAAGAUCCCAUGUUUUGUUUUUGUGGAGUGAUUCUAUCUCCUCUUGCAUAGCAAACAUCCACUUUUCUGAAUCUUCACAACUAAUCGCCUUAGAAUAAUUAGAUGGCUCUUGGUUUGCAUCUAUAUCUUCAGCCACAUUUAAAGCAUAAGCAACUAGAUCAGCCUCAACAUACUUCUUUGGAGGUUUAAUUUCUCUUCUAGUUCUAUUUUUGGCGAUAGAGUAUUAUGGUGAAGAAGCAACUCUAUUUUGAAUUUUCGUACUGGCUUUAGUAGUCGACUCUGUUGUAGAUUCUAGAUCAAUCUGAUGCUCCACCUGCUUUAGAUUUUCUUUAUUGGAAGUCUUUAAGAGAUAACUUAGGUAGCAUAGCAGUUUCAUCUAAAACAUCUCUGCUAAUCACAACUUUUCUAUUUUCAGGACACCAUAACUUAUACCCUUUUACACCAGCUUUAUAACCAAGAAAAACACAUUUAGUAGAACUCGGUUCCAAUUUUCCAUUAUCAACAUGAGCAUACGCAGGACAACCAAAGAUUUUUAAAUUAGAAUAGUCAGCAAGAUUACCAGACCAUACUCUUGUGGAGUCUUUUUCUCAAUGGCAACGGAUGGAGAUCGGUUGAUCAAAAAACAUACAGUAGAGGCUGCUUCUGCCCCAAAAUGACUUUGAUAAGUUGGCAUUUGACAACAUAUAUCAAACCUUCUCCAUGAUCAUUUUGUUUAAUUUUUCUGCAAUGCCGUUUUUCUAUGGAGUAUGACGAACUGUCAAGUGUCUCACGAUCCCUUCUGACUUGCACAGUUUAUUAAAUUCAUCAGAACAGAACUCUAAGUCAUUGUCUGUGCAGAGGCAUUUUAGUUGCUUUCCUAUCUAUUUUUCAAUCAUGGUUUUUCAAGACUUAAAUGAGGAAAACACAUCACUUUUCCGCUUUAGGAAGAAUGCCUACACUUUUCUAGAAAAAUCAUCAAUUAAAGUUAGCAUAAGUAGCUCCACCUCUCGAAGGCACUCUGGAUGGCCCCCACAGAUCAGAAUGAAUAUACUCUAACGUUCCCUUCAUGUUAUGGAUUCCUCUGGUGAAUCAGACUCUCUUUUGCUUCCCAAAAAUGCAGUGCUUACAGAACUUCAGUUUGCAAAUUUCUUGCCCAUUAAGAAGUCCUCUUUUGCUCAAUUCUGCCAUGCCAUUCUCACUCAUAUGCCCUAGGCGCAUAUGCCAAAGUUUAGUAAUAUCAUCAUCUGACAAGGAAGAGGAUGAGACAGUUGCAUCACCAGUAACAGUAGAACCCUGCAAAACAUAUAACUUGGCAGUCUUUCUCUGCCCUUUCAUCACAAUGAGGGAACCUUUGGAAAUCUUCAAAACCCCACUUUCAACUGUGUAUUUGUACCCUUUUGAAUCAAGAGUACUCAACGAAAUUUAAUUUAUUUUUAAUUUUAGAACAUGUCGUACGUCAGUGAGUGUUCUGACAACUCCAUCAAACAUCUUAACUCUGAUUGUUCCAACACCUGCAAUUCUACAUGAAGCAUUAUUUCCCAUCAACACAAUACCUUCAGACACUAUUUCGUAAGUUGUAAACCAAUCCCGAUUGGGACUCAUGUGGAAGGUGCAACCCGAAUCAAGGAUCCACUCCUCGUCACUUUGGAAUUGUCGAUUGAAGUGACUAGAAGUUCACCAUCGCUGUAAUCUUCUACAACAUCAGCUUUACCAGAAUUUUCUAGUUGUUUUCCAUUUUGAUUCGCAGCCUCCCUUUUGAUCUUGUUCUGUAGCUUAUAGCACUCAGUUUUAAUGUGCCAUUUCUUCUUGCAAAAGUUACAAGUUUUACCUCUGUUUGAAGACUACUUUUAGAUUUACUGCGAGGAUUCCGUUCCUGUGUCCUUCCAUGAUCAUCAUCAGCAUUCCGAUCUUGUCUCCCAUGAACAAUAAGACCCUCUCCCCGAGAGUCGAUUUUAAGCACAAGAUGCUUCAUCUUAUCAUACGAGGUUAAAGAAUCAUAAACCUCAUCAACUGUGAGAGACUCGCGGUUAUAUAAAAUCGUAUCUCUAAAGGAUGAAUAAGAUGAGGGCAACGAACAAAGUAGAGUCAACCCUAGAUUUUCCUUAUCAUACUGAACCUCCAUGGCCUCCAAGUUUGAGAGAAUUUCUUUGAACACUAUUAAGUGUUCGUGCACAGAUGCACCUUCCUCCAAACGAUAAGCAUAAAGACGCUGCUUCAUAUGUAGCUUGAUAGUUAGAGUUUUCGACAUACAUAUCUAUUCCAACCUCUUCCAUAAUCCAGCAGCAGUCUUUUCCUUCAUCACAUCCUGCAAAAUUUUGUUAGACAAAUGCAGAUGUAACUGUGUUAAUGCCUUUCAAUCCUUGCACUUCUUCUUUUCUUUCGUCAAUGUUGAAGGCAUCUUAUCUACCCCUAGUAGGGCUUCCUCUAAGUCCAUCUGUGCAAGAACUGCUUGCAUCUUUAUCUGCCACAAUGCAAAUCUAGUAUUGCGAUCCAACAGCAGAAUUUUGUACUUCAAAGACGUUAUUACCGUGAUUGAGAUGAACAACCCAGAAGCUCUGAUACCAAUUUGUUAAAAAUAUAAUGUCGGUAAUGACAAUAUAUAGCAAAGAAAAUAGAAAUAGAAAAAUAAAGAACACACAGAUUUUACGUGGAAACCCUUUCGGGAAAAACCCACGGGCGGAGGAGAAGAAAAUUUACUAUGUCGAAUUCAAAUCAAUUACAAGAGGCGUAGACUAUGCCUAUUUAUAGGCUUGUAAACCUUAUUCUAAUAGGAGUGAAACUCCUUAUUCUAAUAAUAUCAAAUAGAUGAAGUUUAAUAAGGUUUAAAAAACCUUAUUCUAAAAUAAAAUAAAAGAAGUAUAAUUCUAUAGGGAUUUUACUUUUAUUUUAUUUUAUCACAGUAUUUAAUUUAAAUAAGGAUUUGGGUCACUUAAUUCUAAUAGUAUUGAUAUUAUUGUCAGUGUAGGAAAAUAUGAGUUUAAUCAUGCUCAAAUGUGUUUUAUCCUCCAAUUCAAGAGUUAGGAAAAGGUUAUUGAUAAUUAAAUUAUACCAACUUUUAUGAUAUUAAAAAAGGGUUUAUAAAUAAUAUAAGGAAAAGAAAAAAAAGCGAGAAACAUAUUCAUAUUGAUAUUAGACUUUUUUUUUUCUAUCACAAGUAAAAAUAUCAAAGGUGAUAAUAAUUAAAUUAAAAAAUUUAAAUUGAAAAAAUAGGGGAUUGAAUUUAUAACUAACAACAUAUUUUAACCACAUAAUAAAAGUAGUUAUGAAGAGGAUCAUGUAAAAUAAUGACCUGAAUAAUUUUAAACGUCUCAUUCUUGCAAAAAUGAAAUAAUAGAAAAGAAAUAAGUGUUGGGUGUAGUGACAAUGUACAUUAUACUUCUAAGGGGAGAUCAGGGUUUUAGGCAAGGGAAGAAUUUAAUUUAAACCUACUUUUUUUUCUCUAGAACUCAACCCAAACCUCAAAUUUAUCUUUUUAAAAGAAUUUUAAAAGAUCUAUAUAAAAGGUGAUUUUUUUUUAUCGAUUACACUUAACAAAAUUUUAAAAUUUCUUUUUUUGAAAUUUAAAGUGACCUAAAAACAUAUUUUUAAGUCCUUCAGACCAUCCUGUGCUGAUUUCUUUAUUAAUUUGAUUUGUUCAAUAUAGAUUUUGGUGACUUAAAACAAAAAUAAUAAAAAAUUAUUUUUUCAGAUAUGUUUUUAAUGUUUAAUAAUAAGUUAAUUUAUAAAAUAUACUUUCAUUGGAUACAGGCCUCCAAGGCGGUGAACCACUGAUCAAAUUAAUUUAGAGAUACCUAAAUUUGCUUUCAUCAAUUAAGAAAUUAAAAAAAAAUUGCUGAGACCUCAUGAUUAUCUUUUAUAAUUUCAGGCUUAUCACCAAAAACUAAAAAAUAAAAACGUCGACAUUAAAUUUGUUGGUAUGCAAUCAAUUUUAAGAUGGUUUUUGGAGUUAUAUAUCACUUUAGCAUGGACUUACUUUUCUACAGUUAGUCUUCUCCAACAAGUUAAAUAUUUAAAUUUUAACAACAUUGACAGGUCUUUGGGGUAGGGUCGAGCAAAACUCAAUAGAAACAGAUGAUAUAGAUUGAGUUGGCUCGGCCAAGUCGAGUCGACUUGUUCAAAUUAGUUAAAUUAGUAAAUUUUAGGGUGCAGUUAGUAUUUUUUGUUUUGAGAUGCUAAGAUUAAAAAAUUUCAGUUGUUAAAACAAAAAAAUUGUAUUAAAAAAAGGCAUAAAUUAAAUUAUUAAGUUUUUCAAGUUUCCAUUUAAUCAAAGGUUAAAAGGACUAAAUUGAAGCUUUUUAUUUUUAAGAAAGGCUGAAUGACAAAUUGCCCAAAGCCCAUGCCCCUAGCUAUACGCCCCUGGUAAAAUCAAUUUUAAAAUUAGUUAUAAUAGUUGAAGCGAAUUGAUUAUUGAGUAAUGAAAUACAUAGUUCAACAAAAAAAAUAAGUUGACAAAUUUUGACAAAAAAAUAUCAAAAAUGAAAUAAUAGAAAAGAAAGAGUAGGCAUUUUAUGAAAUUUAUAAUUCCAUGAAUAAAAUAUAAAUUUUAUGAAUGUGGACGAGCCAUUUUUUUAUAAUUUUCAGUGUUUUUCUUCUUUUUCUUACUUUUUUUAAAGUAUUUUUCUUUGUUUCCUAACCACCAUGAAAUUACUUGUCACAAUUCAUCUUUUCAAAUGAGAAACAUUUUCCACAAUUUGCCAUCACUUCAACAUACACUAACUUUUCUAUGAUUAGUCCUUGGUUUGCUUCGGGUGCAAUCUUCCAACUAGCCUUAUCCUUGGUUUUACUUUCCAACAUUUAGUGUAUCACGAGUUUUGUUUUCUUUAAAAAAAUAUUUUCGUGGAUAUUAGGAGAUAAUGAAAAUUAUUUUACUAUGAAAUUUUAAUAAAACUGGAAAAUAAGUAAUUUAUUUUAAGCGAUCACAAUUAAACAUUAGAUUCCAAUUUUUUAAUUUUUUUUUUACAAUUGCAUAAUAUUUUGAGCAUUGUAGGAAUGCCAUAACCUUCCCUACGCAUAAUAUACUCUUGAGCAUGAUGGAUCCUAGACCUUCUUUAUUCUCGUACCACAAAUUGCUUCAAGUGUGGGUUCGAACAAUCACAAAUUAAACACAAAACCAGAAAUGAUUUAUUACUUUCAAUAGCAAAGUAAUUCUCUUUCAAUAGAAACCAAUAAAAUUGUAAUUCCUAGAAAAUUAAAAUUUAUUUUUUCAAAAUAUCUUCUCUCUACUUUCUAGCAGAAUAACAAUAUGCGAAACUUAUGUCUUGUGUUAAUAGCCCUACCGGUACUAUCUAUUUAUAGGGAGAGACACGAGAAUCCUAGUUGAAUUAGUAAAACACAAAUAAUAUUUAUUUCAUAGAAACCAACAUUCUACCCUAAGUAGAUCAAGUUUGGAUGACGCAUGGAUCGAAGCUCAAUCUAGGGGAAAAAAAUAAAGGAAUUUUCUUUGUAAAGAAAAUCUGAGAUUAUACUAUUUUCGAAGUUAUAAAUAAAAUUAUACGCCAAAUUUUGAAGUCAAUUUUCAACUCAAAUGUUGUAUGUACAAAUUUCUAAUACACUUGGUGGGACAUUCUUUAACUUUUAUCUAUUCUCUCAAAACGUUAAAGUUCAAAGUUGCAUUAAACUCAAAAAAGAUAAUCAUUAGUAAACCAGCACACAAGCCUACUCAAGCUAAUCCUACAACUCGUUCCACUUCAUCAUCAAACACCAAUGUUCUUGCUUAUCCUUAUGGAAUUAAACAAAAGACAAAAGCUCUUUAAAGUUAUUUGAACAGACUUCUUUAAUGGUAAAUGAUAAUCCACUCUAUGAUGCUUCUUCGCCCAACUCAUGAUUUAAAAGAAGUUUCUACUCAUAGAUCAAGUGUAGCUCGCCAGUUAUCAUUAAGGAGAAAAAGGAGUCAAUCAAGUGAAAAUUAUAUUCCAACAUCUCCCCAGAACCAAAUUUCAUAGUGAUGAAUGUCAUGACAACUGACACUACAUUCUUAGAAGAAUAAGUAGAUUUCUAGCAAAAACGAUGGAGAGUUUUACUACAAGCAUAAAAGAAAUGGAUGAUCAAAUUGAACAUCUUAGUGGAAGUAACCAAACCUUUUCCAACGAAACUCAACAUCCUCUUCACAAAGUUGUUGGAAUCUUAAUUGUUGAAGGACUUUAAAGUGUUUCUUUAGAUCAACUCAAGGAGUUUAUUAAAAAAACCAUCAAAGAUCAAGUCAAAAGUGUUACUUUGCCUUCAUAUACAUACUCAAAGUCAUACAUCUGAAGGAUUUAUCAUUUGAAUAUGCCUGAGCAUUAUCCACCUUUAAAAUUGUAAUAGUUUGAUGGUAAAGGAAAUCCAUGUAAACAUGUCGUUCACUUCAUGGAAACUUGUGAUCGCGUCGAUGUAACACCCCACUCGUGACCCAAUCGCUGGAUUCAAGAAGAGAGAUACCAAAAUCAUGUUGGAAAAAAUCUUCGAUAAGUGUAGCAUGAGUGCUCACACUCUCCAAACACUCCAUACUAUCUUUGGUAUUGAAGUUAAGCUUGACACUCCCUUAUCUCUCUAAUGUUAUCUUCAGGCCAUAAUGCCCUAUCACAUAGUAAAAAAGGUGAGUACUCACAAUCCUAUGGCAUGCCAAUGAUAUCUAAUGGUUUCAAGUGUUCACAAUGCCAACAUAUGUUUUGUAUCACAUUCACUUUACACAAUUUAAAAGGGCUCACAAUACAGCAGAUCUCACGUAUAAUAGUUUUUAAUAACACAAUUCACAUUUCUGUAGGGCUCGUAUUAUAUAUAAGUUCGUAAUAACAUGGAUUCGCAUAACACUUAUGGCUCGCAUAUAUUUAGGGCUCAUAUGUAACAGUUGGGAUCCUAUAUAUUUAAACUCGCAUAAUACAGGGGCUCGCACGACAUAUUUUGGCUUGCAUGCAAUAUAGGGCUUGAUCACAUAUAUAGGUUCACAUGAUCUUAGGGCUCGCAUCACAUAUAUAAGCACGCAUGAUACAUGGGUUCACUCAACAUGUAUAUAUCAACUCGUGCAUCAAAGUAUAGGCUCGCAAGCAUUAAGGUGAUAGAGUUUGCAAACAAUUUAGAGCUCGCACACAUCAUAGGCUUGCAUACAUACAUGUUAGCAAGGUCUGCAGGUUACAAAUCGAGGCUCACAUAACUAUAGAGGCUUGCAUGGAAAUAUAAAAUUGUUCAGAUAUCAUUUUAAUCGGCUUCACACAUUAAAUCAAAUGGUUUGCAUGCAUUCCUUGGCUUUCAUUAGCAUGCGAACUCGUGUUUUUAACACAGUGUGCAAGGACACUCACUAGUUGUUUGUUGAUACUGUCGAACCUAUACCACCUUUUGCUUGACUUUUUCCUUGCUCAUGGAUGCACCUUCACAUUGAAAGGAUUUGCAUAAAACAAGAAAUAAUACAGAUUACUACUUUCACAGACAUAAUAACCUUCUUAACAAACAUAGUAGCGAAUCUUCCAAUCUUCCUUAAUAAUUCCUUAAAUGAAGCUAAACCAAAAUGCAUUAUAAAUUCAAUCAAUUUACCAUUAAACCAGCCCCCAAACACCCACUUAUAAGUUCAAACUGAUCAUUGAAAUUAUAAUUAUUUUAUGAAUCCAAACUAGUUAGAUUCCUUAAACUGUAUUGAUGCGAAUUGUAUGUACAAUCGUUCUUCACCUUUACGGAUGAUUUGGGGUGUUUGGGUCAACACCUAAUUCAAUAAUAUACUGGAAAACUAGUAGUUAACCAAUUCAUAACCUUUACCCAACAACUAUGUCGAAAUAACAAACUAGUUUAUAAUUAAUCGUACUUAUACCAAAUUGCGAGAUCUGAAUGGCUAAUUGAUCAAGAAUGUGUUUUGUAACAUCCCAAAAAUUAGGUUAGAAGAAAUGGGGCUUUGAAACCAAGAGUGGUCAUCCCCCGAUUAUGAGUUUAGAUCUUGGAAAAUUUGACAAGUAAACUGAUCUGGUUAAUGGUUAAGUGUCUUGGUUAUAUGUGUCAGGUUUUGGGUUCAAAUCUUGUUUUUGGAAAUUUUGUUACUUUGCUUAAACUCUUACCUUGAAUGUUUGGUUUAUAAGUUAAAUUUAGUCAAUUGAUGUCAAGAAUGAGUCUAUUGGUUCAAUGGUUAAGUUUUUGUAUAAUCAUUGGUCUUGUGUUCGAAUCUCAACAAAAGUAAUAGGGAAUGUUUUGUUUUUAAAUUUUUUUUAUAGGGUAGUUAGUUUCGAUUGGUUAUUUAAAGCCUUCCAGAAACCUCUAUUGCUUUUAUUUUUAUUUUGUUCUUUCUUUUUCUGCGACAUUUUCUAUCAUUUUGUUUCUGUUCUUUAGUUUCGUCAUAUUGGUUUUUUAUUUUCAAGCAACUUUUUUUUUGUUAUGUUACAUUACGCCGAUUGUGUACGGAGUCUAACUUCACCCUCUAGUUAAUUCGCUGGCCGGUAAGUUCGAUUUAAAGUUUUGGUGUUGAAAGUUUUUUAACGUAAAUUUAAUUUUGAAAUGUUAGUUUUUAGUGGUUUAGCUGCAAAUUAAUCGUUUGUUGGAAAAUUGCUUGUCGUUCAGGGACAUGAAUUUAUCCUUGUUACUCUUGCAUCAAGUUCGUAUCAAGUGGGUAUCAGAAAACCCUUCUUCUUUAAAUUUUAGUUGUCAAAUAAUGGCACUAUCGAUGCCACAUAGCUGUGUGGCAGGCCGUGUAACUUACUGUUCAAAAAAAUUAGAGGCAUACGAGCGUGGGCCCAAAUUGUGUGUGGUUAUGAAUUGUGUAGGGUUCACACAGGCCAGUGACACUAGCAUGUGUCAGGUCGUGUGGGACACACGGGCAAGUACACGAGCGUUUACCAGACUGUGUGGAGUCACAUGGGCCAGUUCUCUAGGCCGUGUAAAACCAUAUAGGUAUGUGAAGCAAUAUUUGGAAUUUUUCCCUUGGGUUACAAGAGUUGUUUGAAACAAACGCAUAAAUACUGUAGGGUCCGUACGAUUUGGAUUAGGCUAUAUAACUUGAUAUUUGAUGAUAUGAUGAUGAACAACUUGUGAUCUAUACGUAUAUUUGUUAUGUUUGAACCUAUGUGAGUAGGAUCUGUUAGAAUGUAACAUGUUAUUUUUUGUUGUGUGUGAACUAUCCAGGUACAAUUUGUAUUCUAUUAAGUUUUUUGGUACGCCUAUGUGUUACUCUAUUGAUGAAGAAUAUGUGACAUUUGAUUAUGUUAGAUUGAUUGUUACUGAUUAUAAUUUAUAACCCUCUACGUUACUUCAUUGAUGAGGAAUACACGUAUAUGAAAAUGUUAGAUUGAUUGUUACUGAUUCUAAUUUAUAGUCGUGUAUGUGACUUCAUGGCAAAUAUGAUAUGAUUUGUUGAGGUUUGAUAAGUCUAUUUUACAAAACAUGGACCCUCAUGUCUCCUGAUUCUGUUAUUGAAAGAUAUCAUGACUUACAUGCUCAUCACUCUAAUUCUUCAUAUGUAUGUCAUGACACGUUGCAUGGGAUUUGGGUUGAUGUGAAAGGAGGAAGUUUUUGGCAGUUAAUGAUCUGUAUUAUCUGGUGGUUUAUCCAUGAUUCUGUUCCGGCAACUUAGUUGUACUAUAGUGGCUUGACCAAAUGUAACCGAUCUGGCAGUCUUAACUGCAAAAUUUUGGUGGCACCAUUCACAAUUAUCUAUUGGUGUAAUUUGGCCGGAUGAGUUAUGGGGGAACUCUAUUUUGGUUAGUAGCAAAGUUUGGGUAUGAUGUUUUCUGAUAAUUUUGCAUUCUAAUCUAUUUGAAAAAUACAAUAUUUGCAUAACACAUUUUCUACUCUGCUCUAUUCUGUUCUACUCAGUUCUAUUCUGCUUGAUUUAUUAUGUUCUGCUUCAUUCUGUUGUGUUCGGUUCUGUUGGACUGUUGUUGUGAAAAUUUUCGUGAUACUCUAGAUCUAUUCCAUACUGGUUAUAAAUUUGUUAUUAAGUUCUUUGCGUUACUUUGAUUUAUAUAAUAAAAUCUGUUUAUUUGUAUCUAAGUUUCAUUAUACACGACGCUUGGUGUUUCACCCUUUGUCUUAUCUUAAUCUGUUCAAGUGCACAUCUUACUUACGACUAGAUGUACAGGAGCUCAGAUUGUUUUGCAUUGAUAUAACUAUGAUUUGAUCUUUUAGGUUGUAAUUUGUUUUUGGACUUGUCUUGCUUUUCUUUUGAUAAUCUCGUCAAUAUCUGUCAUUUUCUAACACAAAAAUAAAAAACCACCUAAGUCGACUAAAAUGAAUUUCUGGUUUUCAAAGUUGAAAUUUUGAAAAGAAACUAGUUUUCUGCACGUUGGCGUAACUCGUCCAAAUUUGGCUUAAAUUUGUAGGUCGAGUUUGGGGUGUUACAUCUUUCCCUAAUUAACAUGUGAUUAAAUAUUUAUUAGAAGGAUUCAAAAACUCAACUUAAUGCUGGAAAAAUAUGGGCAAGAACCAAGAAACAAAACAACCCCCUUUCUUACACAUAGCCGUACGAACCACCACCCAUGAUGGCCAAAAUUGGGGUUGAAUUUUAAAAUGGUUUGAGAUCUCAUUAAAAAUAUAGAAAAACACAUUUGUGUCGAAACCACUAUUUAUUUUUGAAAAAUGGGAAUCAACUUUAAAAAAUGAAAAUGGGAGUCACCACUGAUCUUUUAUUGAGGUGUGAUCAGAUCACCUUAAAAAUGAUUUUAGGUCUACGAAUUUUAAGAAAAUAGGUUUCGGAGUUGGUUACACACGAGGAAGGGUUAGCACCCUCAUAACGCCCAAAAUUGGUAUCGAAUAGACUGUUUAAUGUCUUAGUGUCGAAAAUUUGAAAACAUUUUAAAAUACGAUCCUUUUUUAAAGAAAAUUUGAAUAAGUUGACUUAGAAGAUAAGACCCUUUUAUUUCGAAGAAGUAAAAUAUCACAUCCAGUGAGUUAGGGUGCAACAUUUCUAAUCCUUAAAAUUAAGUUUGUCUUUUGAUUUUUAAAACUCAUGCAUUUAAAUUUGAAAAGGAUAUUCAGUUAUUUGGGUCAAAUGAAAAAUCAAAACCCAAUAAGUUAGGGUUCAACUUCCAAAAAUUGCUAAAUACCGAAUAUUGCCUUUAUUUUUUUUAGAAAUCCAUAACUCAAGAUAACCAAAUGACAUAUCCAGUAAGUUAGGAUCCAACAUUUUGAAAUCCCAAUAGAGAACUUUUUAUUUAGGAUUUGUAUGGUUUUAUUGCAAAAGAGAUACUUGGCUAUCUAAAUUCAUCGAAGAGAAUUGAAGCCCACUAAGUUAGGGCAAAAUCUUCUCGAAAAUCGUGAAUACCGAGUAUUUUGAAAAUUUACGAAAUAAGAUGAUUUUAAUGCUUUAAGGAAACAUAAUUUUUAAAACAAAUGUAGUGUGAUUGAACGACAAUGUACAAUGCAAAAGGAUAAUUAAAAAAAAACAUGUAUACAUUAGUGAAUAACUAUCAAUCAAUAAAUAUAAAUAAGUAAAAUGAUACAUACGAGAACAAUAAUCUUACAUUCCAGAUUAUGCAAAUACUAAAUUUUAAAACUAAUGAAUUAUAAAUUAAUUUUGAAAGAAAUGCCAAGCAAACUAACACAAAUAAAAUAUAACAAGUUUUAAAAAUAAAAAGAAAUAAAAAAAGUACACAGAAAGAAAUUUAAAAUCAUCAGUACAAACAAUAAGUUAUAUGAAUAAUAUUUCAAAAUAAACAAUAUAUAUAUGAAUUUGAAAUAGUUCAAAAAUAAAGGUAAAAAAAUACUAUGUGAAAAGAAAUAAUAUCUAAAUGAAUUUUAAACAAAUAUUGUAUACAAAGAAAAUCAAAAUAAGUAAUACACAAAAUAAUACACGUAUAUCAAUCUAAAUGAAUAAUACAUAUUAAAAAAUCUUUAAAUCAUAGAAAUAUAAAUAAGUGAAUUUUUUAAAAAAUUUAAUUAUACUGCAAAAUAAAACCAUUAAAGAAUGUGUACAAUUCUAUUGAAUUUAUAUAAAAUAAUAUAUGACAAAUUAUAAUAAUAAUACAUAAUAAAUCUGAAAUAACAAUAUACAAUAAACUUAGAUAAUAUUAAUGAUAAAUUUAAGAUAAUAAUAAGUUUUAACAUUCAAAUAAUAUUAGAUUUAAAAUUAAAAAUAAAAAAUAGCAUAAUAAAAAAUACUUAAAUAAGUAAAAAGCAAGCAAAUUAAAAUAAAGUAAUGAGGAUUAAAUUGAAUUUAAAACAAAAUUUAAAAUAAAAAAAUGAGAAUAAAACAAAACUGAGAGCCAAAAAAAGACGCGCGGAUAACAUGGGGACCAAAUGGGAAAUAUUCCCUUCCUUCAAAACGCAGCGUUUUGACACGGACCAAAUUGGAAUGAAACAUAGAAUGCGUGGCCAAAUCUAAAUAAAAUAAAAGGAUAAAUUUGAAAGAGUUAUAAAAAGAACGGGGACCAUUUGCGCAAAUUUCUCCUACGCUAUAAAACGCGCGGAUACUUCUCCGGGUAGGGUCACCGGGCGCGUAUAGGCCAAUAUAGUGUCGUUUUGAAGCCACUGAAGCAGGCUGAAAAUGACAUCAUCACAAAAUUAGUAUAAGAUUAAAAUUAAAGCAAACAUUAAGCCAUUUAACCACAGAAACCCUAGCCCCUUUCGCCGUUCUGAACUUUGCUAAUUCUUUUAGCCUUGAAACCCUUGCCAAACUCUGAUCACGGCGAAGCAAACAAGGAUUUCGCGGCGGUUUUAUUAAGGUAACUUAUUCUUUUGUUAAUCGCCUCUUUUUUAUAUCUAGUAAUAAACAAAAUAAGGAUUCAAGAGCAGAGAAGAGAACUAUCAAGAGAAAAAGAAAAAAAUGAAAACUCAAAUCACCUUUCGAGAUUUCGUAUUUUUUGCCUAUUAGAUUUCUUUUUCUGAAUCAGUAUAUGUAAUCCUUUUACAAAUGAAUCAAUCGGCUUUAUAUAGCCGAAUAAAACCAAAAAAUUACAAAAUUAUUAUUUUUGUUAUUUAUCACUGCUGCUAUUCUCGUUUUUUCUUUUAUGUUAUUGCCUUCCUUCGUUUGCUUGUUUGUUGCGUCUAUUGUAGGUACCAAACCAGCUGGAGCACACGCAUGGAGGCACAAUGGAUGGGGGGCACACGCGUGUGGGGUUGGAGCUGCUGCGGCGUUGGGGCAACAGGCUAGGGUUUUUGGAAACUGCUUAGGUUUAUCUAGGUUUGGGCUUGUUGGGCCAAAUGGGGUUAGUUUUGGGUACUUUAAGUUAAAAUGAUUUGGGCUAUGUAUUUGGGUAUGGGUUUUAGGCUAAUACUGGACUACUAUUAUUUUUAUUUUAUUUUGGUUUAUUAUUGAUUGGGCCUAGGUUUUAUUAGAUUUGUAAUUGUAUUUGGUUUUUUAGUAUUUGGUUUGGGCUAGGCAAAAUUUGGUAUUACAAUUUGAAUUCAUUUAAAAUCCCCCAAAUUCCAGAUCUAAAAUUUUUUCUUUUUAAUUGACAAGAUUAAUUAAGAAAUUGAAGAGAAAAGAGAUCUUACCCAAGCCAGUUGAGAGAAAUGACGAUGACACUUUCUUUGCAAUGCUCAAGAUCGAUCUUAGGGUUCAAGAUUUUAGAUUUGGGGAUGAUUUAAAUGAGGAUAAAUGAUAGCAAUAGAGUAAAGGAGAUGGUGCACAAUCUUGAUGCAAAAAGAAGAAGAAAGAGAUGGUAAAUGGGAGGUGUAAGCAAUGACAACAAUGGGAGAAAGAAAGAAAAUAAGAGAAAAGUGGGGAGGAAGAUGCUGAACAGAUAGGGUAGGGAAAAAUUGAAUUUUAGGCUAAAAAUAUACUUAGGGUUCAAGGUUAUGGACAGCACACACAUUUAAAAAACAAAGGAUUUUGCAAAAUUUACUAUUUUGCAAGGGAAAGGAUUCGAAAUUGGGACCUCAUUUAAUUUUCAUGUUUUCUCAUAUUUCUUUUAACCAUUAGGAUUUUUCCUCAUUCUUAAAAUCAUUUUGAAAUAUUUAUUUUAAAAAUAAGGCAUGUCACACUAGGGUUUAAGGCAAAAUUAGCAAAAUAAUAAAAAAAAUGAGAGAGAAGGGGGUUUCAAGGAACGCUUCACUAAAACUUAUCCAACAAACCAACACCUCAUUAUUUUCCUAAAUAUGCAUAGGUAAUCAUCAAAAUUAAGGCAUCACCACUCUUUCUCGAUUCACAAACCCGAUUCUACUAACCCUUGAUUUUUGGGAUGUUAUAAGGUGAGUUCGUAGUGUAACAAUAUAUAUGUGUGUGUUUUGGGGAUACGAUUGGCAUGCCAAUAGGGUUAGUUACACUUCAAUGCCUCUCUUUACAAUUUGGUGCCACUGUAUUUGCACUACAGUGCCUCUGUUAGUAUUUCGAUGUUUAGGGGAAACCCGAGUAUCCAAGUCAUUUUAAUAUAGUUCAAAAGGCCAUGAAAUUUUAUGUUUAAAUGUUAAAUUACUCUUGAGUUUGAUUUAUGUAUAAAAUGAUAUAUUUGUGUAUAUACGUAUAUAAGCAUGGAUUGCUUUGGUUUGAGCCAUUGUUUAUAUUGAAUCAUAUGAGACAAAUGUUUUGAUUAGUAUAGUUUGAGAAUAAAUAUUAAUGCUUUGGUGUAAUUAUAUGAUUCAUAUGUCUAUAAACAUGAAUCUAAUUAUGUUUAUGGUGUGUUUAGAGAAUUAAAUGGUUAUAUGAUUAUUUUCCAGGUAUUCGAGGUUGUUUAAUUUGGUUUAAUGGGUAAAUAAAGCUUUAAAGGGUAUGUGAUUACAUGAAAUGAACUAUCAUAUUUGAGUAAUGAUAUGGAUUAUGAUGAAAUGUUUAAUUGAAAAGAAAAUAUGGUUUAGUAUAUAUGUAUGAGUGGUGAAUUAUGAAAGUGAAAUGUAGAUAUGUUUUAUACCAUGUUUUGAUUUGAAUUAUAUAUGAUAUGUUACACCAACUAACCUUGUGAGGUGGUGUGUAUAGGAAAGGAAAGUUGGCUUAAAACAUAAUGAAAUUAUGCUUGGUUUUUUAACUUAAAAUAUUCAAUAAGUUAAGUUUCAUUUAUAUGAACUUACUAAACAUUAAUUGCUUACAUAGUUAUUUUUCUUUAUUUUGUAGUUCAUCAGAAGCUCGGCCGGUUGGAAUCAUGUCAGAGCACGAUCACACUAUCCAUUCAACAUUUUGAUAGUUUUUGGUUAUUUUGGUAAAUGGUUAUAAAUGACAUGAAAUAGGGUUUAAAGGUCAUUCCAGUGAUUUGACUUGUUUUGAGUUGUGUCAAGCUUAUUGUGAUUAAUGUUGUUAGUUGCUGGCAUGUAAAUAAUGGUGUAAAUAUGUGUGGUCGGACCCUUAUGCAUGCUUUAUUGAUUAAAGAUAUCAUAUGUUAAAAUGGCAUGUUUUUGGAAUGGUUAUUUGGCAUGAUUGGUAUAGGUUUAAGUUAUGAUCUUGAGAUGUUGAAUUGAAUUAAGUUUGAUAUGUAUAUUGUGAUGCCUUCAUUGACAUAUUGGUUAGAUAUUAAGGGAUGGUUGAUUUGGUAUGUUUUUGAAAUGGUUGUUGGUAUGUUUGAUCUAAGUUGAUUAAAUGAACUUGUAAUGUUGAAUGGUAUAAUAUUUGUUGGUACAUUCAUUAGUCUUAUAGGUUGAUGGAAUUGGUAUGUUUUAAAUGUGUUUUAAAUGUGUUUUGAUUAUUUGGAUGUUUGUGGAAAUGGUGUCUCUUGGUGUACAAGAUUUGAAAUUGAAACGGCUUGAUUUAGAAUCAACUUAUGCUGCACACUGCCUGGGACAUGGAUUGUCACAUGGCUGUGUCAUAAUUGUUUUAGGUACGGGUUUCACACAAUCUAAGACUCGGCUCACGACACAGUUGUGUAUCACAAGUCAGUAUGUAACACAGUUUUGCACAUGGCCUGCGACACGAUCUUGUGUCUAGACUUCGAAUGUCCACAUGGUCUGGGCUAUGUCACAUGGCUUGGCCACAUGGUCGUGUGACUUUUGUUUUCAAGUUUUCCAAAAUUUUCUAUUUUAUUUCAAAUUGAUCCUAGAAUAUUCUCAAACUAUUUUUAAGGCCCCGUAGGUUCGGAUUAAGGCCCCGUAAGUGUAUGUUUGCUAUAAUUAAGUUGUGCUACUGAAUGUUACUAAUUCAAUCACAUGAAUAUUUUGUUGUAAGUUAAAUGUUUUAAUUUUUACUAUAAUGCUCUGUAACCUUAAUCUUGCGAUGAAAACAGGUUUGGCGUGUUACAAUUUUGGAUUGUAAAUUUGUUUUGGGGCUUUGUUCUUUGGUUCUUGCGAUGUUGGUUAGAUUUUGGUGUUUUAACAUUAAACUGCAAAAUUGUAUAACUUAAUAAACUAAAAAUUAGGUUUUCAAAAUUAAAACUCUGGAAAUUUUUCUUGCAAAGUUUAAGUAAUCACUUAAGUGUUUUUCCAUAAAUAAUUAAAUGGUUUUUAACAAAUGUUUUCCUUAGUUUUGGAAAUGAUCUGCCAAUAUUAGUACUUUUAAAACACAUGAUUUCAAAUUCAAAUUCUCAGUUUUAAAUAAGGGUUUUCACACUUCAGUUUUUUUUAAACAUUUGUGAGAGGUUUUUGCCAAAUUUUAUGUUUUCAGAAUGUGUAACUAAGUUGAUUUUUAAUUAGUUUUUCAAACGAGUCGAGUAAUUCCUCAAAAAUCCAGUCAUAGCGUCUAGGCCGGGUUUGGGAUGUUAUACUGACGUUACUAAAGUUAAUCUUCAUCUAUUUAGUCUAGAUCUAAACAUUAAUAUUCUCUUCCAAGAAAAAUCAAGACUAUCAAUUUGUUAAAACUUGGUAGGCAGACAAUCAUAUUAAAUAUGCAUAAAACUCAAUAAGUAAUUUGCGAAGAUUGAAACAAUCAAAGAAAAAAUUAAUUAAUUAACUAAGAAAUAGGAUACAUUGCUGUUUCAAGGAAACAGGGUUUAGUUCACAUUGAGUUGAGAAAACCAAAAGGGAGAUUCAAAAUGAACUUGUGAUAAGGGGAAUAAUGUCAAUGGAUCAUAUUCAAGUUGUUCAGCUCGAGAAAGAAAGAUUCAGAUUUAACUUGAAAAGAGUAAACCAAAAAGAUUUAGAAAAACAAAGAAAAUAACUAAAAUGAUAAAUUUAAGAAUAAAUAAUCAAUAUUAAAAAUAAUAAAGAAAUUAUAGAAUAAAUAGUGGAAGAUGGAAUGAAUAAACGAUGGAUAUGACAUAUAGAUGGAUAAGUGUCUUAUAAUUCAUGAAAAGAGUUAUAUUUCAUGCCUUUAGACCUAACUAAUUGCUUGUACUUACGUACAUUUUGUUGCAUUUUAAGACAUAUUAGUUAGCAUUUCUAAUAUUGCAUUAGGACUUAGAUUGUGCUGGAAUUAGCUGUUUUUAAUCGCUCGUGGUGGAGUUUUUUUUGUGUUUUGGUAUAGAAGGAACAUGUUUUAGAUCGAGGAAAUAAAUGAGUGAAGUUUUGUCAAGGCAAAACUGCAGAUAGUUUGCCAGCACGGAUGCCGUGACAAUGCCGGGAAGACCAAGUCAACAUUUUUUUGUGCAAUAGUCUCAGUUGAAAUUAAAACUUGUACCAGAUAAAUCUCCCUAAAAGAGGAAAAGAUAAUCACAAGACCCUAGCCUAAUCUAUCUAUAAAAGCCAAUAAAGGGGAUUCUCACAAAUGGCAGAAAAAAGUGGGAAGGAUCCUUAGGUGUGAAUAAGGGUUUAGCUGCGCAAAGGAAAGGAAGUCGAAGGCAGUCCUUUUUAGCCAUCACAGGACAUUGUGUUGCCGAAGUGUGGACUAGGCAAGUGAAAGUUGUUUACCAAAGUUCUUUUGUUAUUUCCAUCAGCGUUCCUUCAAAAUAUUGAAGUAGUUGAACACAAUGUUGGAUAAUAUUUUGCUUUGGAAUUUUAUUUCUCAUCCCACGAGCUAAAUCUCGUAGGGUUGGGAUUACUUUUGAUGAAACCUUAAACUAUUUUUAUGAAUGCAGUAUAUAUCUAAUUUACUUUACUGUUUCAUUUGAUUGUUCUUAUUUCUUAAUUAAAAUGCAAAUGAUCUCUAAACAUAGAAGACUGUUCACAUACUUAUAAAUUGAUUCUAAUUCUGAAAGGGUUGGAUUGGUUGGAUUAAAAUUAAAUGAAAUGAGCAAGUAUUCGAUGGACACUUGUAGUAGACUCUAGACAUAGAGUGGCGAUCAUACAGAAGGAACCCAUGCAAGGUAUCUAAAAAGUCUUUAGACACAAGCAAGGUAACUUGAGGGUUUGCUCUCACGAGAGGCAAGCCAUUUUAGUACUCUUCUGUGCUUUAAAGUAGAUACGAUUUUGCCAAGGCAUUAUUGACAGUAAGAGUCGAUUUUGGGUAAUCAACCUUCCAAAUCCACAUCGUAUAUCCUUUAUUCCUUACCAUAAUAUAUUUGCCACAUCAUUAUUAGUUAUUUAUUUGUUCAUUUACAUAAUAUUCCCGUAGUAAUUCUCAUAAUUGUCAUUACAUUUCUACUCUCGGUUUGCCACAACAUUACCAGUUAUUUAUUAAUUCCACGUAUUGCUUACAUCAUUACUCUACUAAUUGUGACUAUAUAUUUAUCAUUGAGUCUGCCAUAGCAUUAAUCAUAUUUUAUUAUAAUAACUUGAUCAAUUUUGUGCCUCAAUUCGAUCCCCAUGGGAAUGAUUCUCACUCAUCAGUUUAUUACUUGAUUCAACUGUAUACAUGCACAAAUCACAUAUCAUUUCACACACGACAGUGUUCAAUUGAACCCUUUGAGUUAUAAACUCGAACAAACUCAAUUAAUGGAUUUAAUCAACCCACCAAGAAAGAAUCAUUGGAAAAUUGAAGGAUGGAGAAUGAAUUCCCAUGACUCCUUAAAAAAAUUGAGAAGAAAACUACUUCUAAAAAUCACAAGAAACAAAUCUUGCACAAAGAAACUAACUCUCAGAGUUGGAAAUUUUAGUAAUAAACAAAAACAAUUGCGUCUCUAAUGAACAUGAAAGGGCCUUUACAUAGGCUAGAUAAGUACAUCCAAAUAAAAUUGUCAAGUAUCUAGAAACUUUAAUUAAUGUAAGCAAGAAGUAAUUUUAAACUAAAAUAGUCAUAAUUUUCGUAAUAAUCUCGUCCAAAAAUUUUGCUCACAUAGUCAUCAUUAAAAUAGUCAUAAUUUGAUCUUCUAAACUCAAAAUCGAGUGAAUAAAAGUGCGUUUCGAAGUUAAGUGAUAGAUCUUAGAACUCUAUGAGGACAUAUCAAUUGAAAAAUGCCUGGAUUCCAUCCAAAAAUUCACCGCAAGUUAACUAAUUUUUCAAACUUGAAAAUUGGUAGCUUCGGUGAAUGGAAUUUAAUAAAGUUCACCCCAUCUAUUCAUGUAUCAACUUGCAUUGUAAAAAGUAAAAAGAAAUAAUCUAUAGAGAAAAUAGUUGAAGAAUUUAUGACAAUUUAUUCAGAUCUCGUUUUCUUCUAGUCUUUACAAGCUUGAAGUUUCCCUUGGUGUGAGAGAGUUGUUCCUUACCCUCUAAGUGAUUUUUUUUCUUUUUCUUUCUCUUCGAUCUCGUCACCUAAGGGUGUUCAAACGAUUGAUUCAGUUAAUACCCGAACAAAACUAUCAUUAACUAAAAUUUUGAAACCCUUAAUCAUUAAUCAAACCAAAAUUUAUUUGAAACCUAUUAACCAGCCAGAUUGAUUUCGAUUAAUUUGAGCGGUUAACCAGAAUUUAUACACUGUUUGAUUUUGUUCAAACAAUUUUAAAACAAAGAAUAAUCCACAACAAUUUUUUCCGUAUUUUUUAUUCAAAAAAAUUAAAAGAAUUAAAAAAAAUAACAUAAUAACAACACUAAAUUAAAAACGUAAUAGCAUUCAUUACAUUACAAAGCAUAUAUAUAUAUUUACUUUUUCUUGAAUUUUUAGUUUAAUUUUAGUUUUUAUUCAAAUAUUUUUAGUUUUCAUAAUUUUGUUAAGCUUAUUAUAAGAGAACUUAUAAAUCCAUUAGUUUUUAUAUAUUGGGUUUGUAUAAUGUAUUUGACCUGUCUCUAAUAUAUUGGGCCUAUAAUAUAUUUUUAUUGAUUUCGGUUAAUCAAUUAAUUCGGUUAAUUAGUCGAUUUCAAACUAAACUAAUUGGUAAACAAAAUCUUCAAAAACCUUUAACCAACUCCCAACCAAAUUAGAUUCGUUGAUCAACUGCUUAAUCAAAUUAAUUAGGUUUGAUAAAUUAAUUCGUUAAAACCGAAAAAUUGACAUCCCUAUCACCACCUUUGUUUUUAGGGAUUUUAAUCAUGUUACUCCACUUGAUGCAGAAGUUGAGGUGGAACGAAUUGCUUGCUACCAAAAUUUAUGAAUUAUAGACCAUGCUCCACCCGGUGAAUCAAAUUCAGUGGAGUGGAAGACUUUUUCUUCACUACUUUGUGCUCUAUGCUCCAAGUCUUCUAUUCUUCUUCCGAGACCAACAAUGGGAAAAUUAAAAAUAAGAAACAAGUCUGAACUAACUUUGACAAUUAGAAAUUUUCAACAAAAUUGAAAUAAAAUAUAAUUAAUUAAUAAAAACUAUAAAAUUCAACAAAAACGAACCUAAAUACUAAAUUUACCUCCUAAAAUGCUAUGGAAACUAUAUUAAAAUAACUCUAAAUAUGAUAGUUAUCAAAAGCGACCUGAAGAAGCCAAUAUUCGAGUAGAUGAUUUCAACUAUUGCAAAUACCAUCAGUCGAUUAGCCAUCCUCUUGAGAAGAUUAUAGAGUUGAACGAAAAAAAUCAUACAACUCCAUGAAGAAGAAAAAAUCAUGUUUGAAAAAGAAGUGGCAUAAUCAAACUUGACAUCAAUGCUUUGGUUUCUCAAUACAAUAUUAUGGACAGAUUCAUCAAAUUUGGCUCUUUCAAUCCUAUUACACUAGCUCUAAGUAGAAGUAAGAUGGUGAAUUUCGAAAGGAUUGGGGGCAAUCAUCUAUUCUUGGAAUACCAGAAUGGUCAUUAUUGGACUCUAGCCACAUGUCAAAGAAGCCAAUGAAAAGCAUCUCUCCUAGGUAUAAGCUUAUAUUGUCACAUUACUCCUAAGCACGAGCAUAAAUUAGUCAUCCAAAAUGAUGAUGCUUCUAAGCAUGAGCUUAAAUUGUUCAUCUAAUGCUCCUAAGAAGGAGCCUAAACUAUUCAACCCAAAUGGUCAUGCUUUAAGAAAAAUCUUAAACUAUUUUUAAGGCCUUAUAGUUCGGAUUAAGGCCCGUAAGUGUAUGUUUGUUAUAAUUAAGUUGUGUUAUUGAAUGUUAUUAAUUCAAUCACAUGAAUAUUUUGUUGUAAGUUAAAUGUUUUAAUUUGUACUAUAAUGCUCCAUAACCCUAAUCUGGCAAUGGAAACAGGUUUGGCGUGUUACAAUUUUGGGUUCUUGCGAUGUUGGUUGGAUUUUCGUGUUUUAACAUUAAACUGCAAAAUUGUAUGAUUUAACAAACUAAAAUUAGGUUUUCAAAGUUAAAACUCUGGAAAUUUUUGUUGCAAAGUAUAAGUAAUCACUUAAGUGUUUUUCCAUAUAUAAUUAAAUGGUUUUUAACAAAUGUUUUCCUUAGUUUUGGAAAUGAUCUGCCACCAUUAGUACUUUUAAAACACAUGAUUUCAAAUUCAAAUUCUUUGUUUUAAAUAAGGGUUUUCACACUUCGUUUUUUUUUAACAUUUGUGAGAGGUUUUCGCCAAAUUUUAUGUUUUCAGAACGUGUAACUAAGUUGAUUUUUAAUUCGUUUUUCAAAUGAGUCGAUGUAAUUCCUCAAAAAUCCAGUCAUAGCAUCUAGGCCGGGUUUGGAUGUUAUACUGAUAUUACUAAAGUUAAUCUUCAUCUAUUUAGUCUAGAUCUAAACAUUAAUAUUCUCUUCCAAGAAAAAUCAAGAUGAUCAAAUUGUUAAAACUUGGUAGGCAGACAAUCAUAUUAAAUAUGCAUAAAACUUAAUAAAUAAUUAGCGAAGAUUGAAACAAUCAAAGAAAAAAUAAAUUAAUUAACUAAGAAAUAGGAUCCAUUAUUGUUUCAAGAAAAUAGAGUUUAGUUCACAUUGAGUUGAGAAAACCAAAAGGGAGAUUCAAAAAAAACUUGUGAUAAGGGGAAUAAUGUCAAUAGAUCAUAUUCAAGUUGUUCGGCUCGAGAAAGAAAGAUUCAGAUCUAACUUGAAAAGAAGAAACUAAAAAUAUUUAGAAAAACAAGAAAAAACAAAGAAAAUAACUAAAAUGAUAAAUUUAAGAAUAAAUAAUCAAUAUUAAAAAUAAUAAAGAAAUAAAGAAAUUAUAGAAUAAAUAGUGGAAGAUGGAAUGAAUAAAUGAUGGAUAUGACAUAUAGAUGGAUAAGUGUCUUAUAAUUCAUGAAAAGAGUUAUAUUUCAUGCCUUUAGAUCUAACUAACUGCUUGUACUUAAGUACAUUUUGUUGCAUUUUAAGACAUUUUAGUUAGUGUUUCUAAUAUUGCAUUAGGACUUAGAUUGUGUUGGAAUUAGGUGUUUUUAAUCGCUCGUGGUGGAGUUUUUCUGUGUGUUGGCAUGGCAAGAACAUAUUUUAGAAUGAGGAAAUAAAUGAGUGAAGUUUUGUUAGGGAAAAAGUGCAGACAAUUUGCCAACACGGAUGCCGUGACAAUGCUGGGAAGACCAAGUAACAUUUUUUUGCGCAAUAGUCUCAGUUGAAAUUAAAACUUGUACCAGAUAAAUCUCCCUAAAAGAGGAGAAGAUAAUCACAAGAUGUCAGCUGACCCUAGCCUAAUCUAUCUAUAAAAGCCAAUAAAGGGGAUCUCACAAUUGGCAGAAAAAAGUGGGAGAGAUCCUUAGGUGUGAAUAAGGUUUUAGCUGCGCAAAGGAAAGGAAGUCAAAGGCAGUCCUUUUUAGCCAUCAUAGGACGUUGUGCUGCCGAAGUGUGGACUAGCCAAGUGAAAGUUGUUUCCGAAAGUUCUUUUUUUAUUUCCAUCAGCGUUCCUUCAAAAUAUUGAAGUAGUUGAACACAAUGUCGGAUAAUAUUUUUCUUUGGAAUUUUAUUUCUCAGCCCAUGAGCUAAAUCUCGUAGGGUUAAGGUUACUUUUGAUGAAACCUUAAAUAUUUUUAUGGAUGCAGCAUAUAUCCAAUUUACUAAACUGUAUCAUUUGAUUGUUCUUAUUUCUUAAGUAAAAUGCAAAUGAUCUCUAAACAUAGAAGACUGUUCGCAUACUUAUAAACUGAUUCUAAUUCUAAAACGGUUAGAUUGGUUGGAUUAAAAUUAAAUGAAAUGAGCAAGUAUUCGAUGGACACUUGUAGUAGACUCUAUACAUAGAGUGACGAUCAUACAGAAGGAACCCAUGCAAGGUAUCUAAAAAGUCUUUAGACACAGGCAAGGUAACUUGAGGUUUUGCUCUCACGAGAGGCAGGCCAUUUUAGUACUCUUCUGUGCUUUAAAGUAGAUAAGAUUUUGCCAAGGAAUUAUUGAGAGUAAGGGUCGAUUUUGGAUAAUCAACCUUCCAAAUCCACAUCGUAUAUCCUUUAUUCCUUACCAUAGAAUAUUUGCCACAUCAUUAUUAGUUAUUUAUUUGUUCAUUUACAUAAUAUUCCCGUAGUAAUUCUCAUAAUUGUCAUUACAUUUCUACUCUUGGUUUGCCACAACAUUACUAGUUAUUUAUUAAUUCCACGUAUUGCUUACAUCAUUACUCUACUAAUUGCGACUGUAUAUUUAUCAUUGAGUUUGCCAUAGCAUUAAUCGUAUUUUAUUAUAAUAUCUUAACUAAUUUUGUGCCUCAAUCUGAUCCCCAUGGGAACGAUACUCACUCAUCACUUUAUUACUAGAUUCAACUGUAUACUUGCACAAAUCGUAUAUCAUUUCACACACGACAAUGUUCAAUUGAACCUUUUGAGUUAUAAACUCGAACAAACUCAAUUAUUAGCUUUAAUCAACCCACCAAGAAAGAAUCAUUGGCAAAUUGAAGGAUGAAGAAUGAAUUCCCAUGAAUCCUUAAAGAAAUUGAGAAGAAAACUACUUCUAAAAAUCACAAGAAACAAAUCUUGCACAAAGAAACUAACUCUCAGAGUUGGAAAUUUUAGUAAUAAACAAAAACAAUUGCGUCUCUGAUGAACAUGAAAGGGCCUUUACAUAGGCUAGAUAAGUCCAUCCAAAUAAAAUUGUCAAGUAUCUAGAAACUUUAAUUAAUGUAAGCAAGAAGUAAUUUUAAACUAAAAUAGUCAAAAUUUUUGUAAUGAUCUCGUCCAAAAAUUCUGCUCACAUAGUCAUCAUGAAAAUAGUCAUAAUUUGAUCUCUUGAACUCAAAAUCGAGUGAAUAAAAGUGCGUUUCAAAGUUAAGUGAUAGAUCUUAGAACUCUAUGAGACAUAUCAAUUGAAAAAUGUCUGGAUUCCAUCCAAAAAUUCACUGGAAGUUAACUAAUUUUUCAAACUUGAAAAUUGGUAGCUUCAGUGAAUGGAAUUUAAUAAAGUUCACCCCAUCUAUUCAUGUAUCAACUUGCAUUGUAAAAAGUAAAAAGAAAUAAUCUAUAGAGAAAAUAGUUGAAGAAUUUAUGACAAUUUAUUCAGAUCUCUUUUUCUUCUAGUAAUAUAUUGGGCCUAUAAUAUAUUUUUAUUGAUUUCGGUUAAUAAAUUAAUUCGGUUAAUUAGUCGAUUUCAAACUAAACUAAUUGUUAAACAAAAUCUUCAAAAACCUUUAACAAACUCCCAACCAAAUUAGAUUCGUUGAUCGACUGCUUAAUCAAAUUAAUUAGGUUUGAUAACUUAAUUCGUUAAAACCGAAAAAUGCACAUCCCUAUCAUCACCUUUGUUUUUAGGGAUUUUAAUCAUGUUGCUCCACCUGAUGCAGAAGUUGAGGUGGAACGAACUACUUGCUACCAAAAUUUAUGAAUUAUAGAGCUUGCUCCACCGCAGUGAAUCAAAUUCGGUGGAGUGGGAGACUUUUCUUCACUACUUUAUGCUCUAUGCUCCAAGUCUUCUAUUCUUCUUCCGAGACCUACAAUGGAAAAAUAAAAAAAUAAGAAACAAGUCUGAACUUACUUUGAAAAUUAGAAAUUUUCUACAAAAUUGAAAUAAAAUAUAAUUAAUCAAUAAAAACUAUAAAAUGCAAUAAAAACGAACCUAAAUACUAAAAUUACCUCCUAAAAUGCUAUGGAAACUAUACUAAAAUAACUCUAAAUAUGAUAGUUAUCAGAAGCGACCUGAAGAAGCCAAUCGAGUAGAUGAUUUCAACUAUUGCAAUAAUAUUGGUCGAUUAGCCAUCCUCUUGAGAAGAUCAUAGAGUUGAAAGAAAAAAAUCAUACAACUCCAUGAAGAAGAAAAAAUCAUGUUUGAAAAAGAAGUGGCAUUAUCAAACUUGACAUCAAUGCUUUGGUUUCUCAAUACAAUAUUAUGGACAGAUUCAUCAAAUUUGGCUCUUUCAAUCCUAUUACACUAGCUCUAAGUAGAAGUAAGAUGGUGAAUUUCAAAAGGAUUGGGGGCAAUCAUCUAUUUUUGGAAUAUCAGAAUGGUCAUGAUUGGACUCUAGCCACAUGUCUUCGGAACAUCAGAAUGGUCAUGAUUGGACUCUAGCCACAUGUCAAAGAAGCCAAUGAGAAGCAUCUCUCCUAGGUAUAAGCUUAUAUUGCCACAUUACUCCUAAGCACAAGCAUAAAUUGUUCAUCCAAAAUGAUGAUGCUUCUAAGCAUGAGCUUAAACUGUUCAUCUAAUGCUCCUAAGAAGGAGCCUAAACUAUUCAACCCAAAUGGUCAUGCUUUAAGCAAAUAUUAAACUAUUCUUAAAAAAUAAAUGAUGAUCCAAUGAAGCACAAGCUUAAUCUAUUCAUACGAAACAAAUGAUGACCUCCUAAGCAUGAAUUUAAAUUGUUCACACAUAAUAAAUGAUGAUACUCCUAAGCGCGAGCUUAAAUUGCAGUCCAAAAAAUAUUGAACUACGUUAUAACUUGAUCUUUUAAAAUUGAAGGUAAGUAGAUAGCCUGGUUUCAUUGCCAAGUUCAGUCUAUAUGAUAAAAAAAAUUUGAAGGUGAUCUUUGAAACAAAUUCAUCAAAGUAGGAAGCAAAUAAAAUUUCAAGACUUGUCCCCUUUCUACGCCCAACAAAAUUCAGAAUCCAUCAUUUGUUAUUACUGUAAUAAUAUCUCUAACUAAAUUAAUGAAAAGAUAAAUCAAGAAAUUAAAUCCUUUUAGAACUCUCUUAUAAAGAAACCAUAUUAAGGAUUACUUUAGAUCUAAUUAAUUAAAUUAAUAAGAUAUGAAUAAUAAUAAUAGAGUUUAAAUUCUUAUAGAACACUCAAAUGAAAAUGUUAAAUUCUACAAGAACUCUUAUAUGAAAGUGAUUGACACUAAAAAAAUGGGUCACCUCCAAGUUAUUCUACACAUUCACAAGUUCAAGAAGUUGAAAAAUUAUUUACAAAAAUAUUUGAAGAAACUAAAGAAGUAGAAGAAAUUCUAAUGAACAUCAUAUCAAUUGAGAGGAGGAUGUGAACAGAAGAGAAGAUUGAAAAGAGUUUUGUUUGUAAAGAAAUUCAAAACUUGUUAUAAAAUUUGACGCAAAAUUUUCAAGUCAAUUUUCAACUUGAAAUUUGUGUGUACUAUAUAUAUGGGAAAGAAUCCAUUUACAUUAUAUAAAACUAUUGUAUGUAUAAUACAAAAAUAUUUAAUACAUUAUCAAUAAAGUUUUUAAACUAUGCACCUGUGAUUAAAACCAAAAUAAUAAUAUUAAUAACAACCAAUCACUUUAUUUGACUAACUUUUCCUCACAAGUCUUUGGUAUGGAGACAAAUCAGUUUAAUCAGUCUUUGGAGCUAUUAACUGACAUUUCCACCAUUGAUUUGAAAAUCAUAACCCAUCAAUUCACUUUAAAUGAAACGAGAUCCUCAAGUGUUUGGUGUUAUAUUCUUAAAAUGUAUUUAGAUGAUUGUUUAUUAAUUUUAUUUCUUUAUAUUUAAAUCAAAUGUAAUAAAUUGUUGAAUUUAUAUACUUCUUAUUAUAACAAUAUAUGGACUAUCUUCCUACUUCUUUUUUUAAUUUAAUUUUUUGUAACUCUUCACAAUUUAUUUUGAAAAACAUUGAAAAAAAACUAAAUGAUUAAAUUAAGGCUCAACUUUUCACUAAUCUUAGUUUAUUUAGUCUAACUUUUCACAAUUUCAUAUACUCAUUUCAUGUUUCAUACCAACAAUUUUUCUUUUUGGUAAAAAGAAAAAAACAACUAUACUUUCUUUAAUCCCAAAAUUAAGGCUUUAUGAAUGAAAAUAAUAUUAUAUUAACUAUGAUAAUUAAGUUUUUAUUUUAAAUAUGAUUAAUUUUAUAUAUAAUAACUUUAAAUAUAAAUAUAUAUAUAUCUAUAAUUAAAUUUUAAAGAAAUUUAUUGUUAUUUUCUAAACAUAAAACAAAGAAAACUUUUUACCCAAAUUAUAAGUUUGUGGUUAGGCAGCCCACUUUGGGACAGGAUUCAGCUUACGUUUUUAAUCUUGGGCUUUAAAAAUAAUAAAAAUAUAAAAAUAAUGUUCGAUUAAUAUUUAUAAAUUUUAUAAAUUUAAAUUUAAUUAUAUUUUUUAUACAGUAAAAUCAACCAUUUAUAUGGGCUAAAUUGAGUUAAGUUCGGUUUGCAUCAAGCCUUAACUUUGACCAAAUCCAACGAAAAACACCUCUAACCAUAAUCUAGUAUUGUUUUUAUGAAUUGAAUUUUAACUUGUAAUUUUCAAUUUUAUACAAACUUUCUUUGCCUACGAUAAGGAAAUAACAUAUUUGUAACUUCUCCAAUCUGGCGUAAACAUUCAGUCUGAAUUCGGAAGAUUACAUCGGCCAUAAAGAUGGCCUAGCAGGGUUAUCAGAGUUUUUGAAAAUAGACAUCUUUAAAACGUUUGUUUAAUUCAGUAAAAAACUAAUUUAAUUUCCAAAUUAUUUAUUACUUGAAAUCUUAAUUACACUUUAAAAGAAGGAAGUGGUAACUAUUUAUUUUUAAUAAAAAUUAGGGUUCAUGUAUAAUUGAUUAAUAACCAUAAUUCGAAAACAUUAAAACUUAAAUUAAAUGUCAUGCAAAAUAAAACAAGCUUAAACCUAAAUCUCAUGCCACAGUUCAAAAUAAUUUAUUGUAGUCUUCAAAAAUAAAAUAAAUCAUAUAAUCAACCAAAAAUAAGUUUUGUAAUUUAGCAAUGUAUCGAGACCUUCUAGAUGUCAUGCCCGCGUCCUAACUUGGUUAUUUGUAAGUGUAACGACCCGAAUAAUUUAUCUCUAUUUCUGUAAAUAUUUGACGCAAAUACUUGUUUGCUUCAGUGGUUAAAUGUUUUGGGUGUGUUUGAGAGGUCUUGGGUUCAAGUCUCAUUUUUGUAAAAUUUUGUUAUUUUUAUGAUUCAAGCCUUAGCCUUGUUGAGUGGGCUUUUAUGAAAUUGUUUGCUACUUCAUAUUAGAAUGAGCUUGCUAGUUCAAGUGGUAAGGAGUUGGUGUGAAGGAGGUUCUGUGUGUGAAUCCCUGCACGAGCGUGGGUAUUAUUUUUUUGCUCAGUUAUAUGGUAGAGUUUCGGUGCUUUUGGGAUUAUAGGGUAGUUGGAUGUGAAUUAGUGGGGAGUUAGGAUAUUAGUGGGUUUUUAAUUAGAUUUUAUUUAAUUUUUAUUCUUUUUGUUUUUCCCAAUUUUUCUCUUAGCUUUUGACGUUCUGUUUCCCUUUUCUCCUCUGCUGAAUUUUUGCCGCUCCCUCUCAUUUUUGAUUUUUCCAAUUCGUCUCCUUUUUGUGCAAUGUUUGAUUGCAUUCGUUCGGUAAGUCUUGUAUUGUUACGAUCUUAUUGUUUGGUGGUUAAUGUUUUAAUGGGGGUUUUGUGUUUACUCUCGAUUAAGGGAAGGGCAAGAAGAGUUGGUACUCCUGCAAGAUUUGAGCGUUAAGGGUGUCUGUUCGUUGGCGGUAAGUUUUCAAAUUCUUUGUUGGUUAUUGUAAGGCUCCGUUUGUGGAAUGGUUUCGGAUUGAGUUUCGUAAGUGUGUAUCGAAUUUGGGCUUCUGGAUACUGUUUCUUAGGUUCGGUGGUCUCAGGGGUGCUUGUGCAUCAAAAUGAUAUCAGGUGUGUACCCGAAACGUAGAAAAUCGAGUUUCGAUGAAAGGUAAAAAACCUUAUUUUCGAUGCCACACGGGCGUGUGCAUGGCCGUGUGGUUGGCCGUGUGCAGGACACAGUCAUGUGUUCGACGAGGGUAGGGCCGUGCGCAAGACACGGCUGUGUGACGAUGUGGGUGUGGCCGUGUGGGCCACAUAGGCUAGGCCAAGUUGGGCUUGUGGGUUUUGGGCCACACGUGCAUGUGCCUUUUAAACAAGUCCGUGUGGACCACACGGGUAGGGCUAAUAUGGGCGUGUUGGCCACAUGGGCAUGUGGGCCGAAAAUUCUAAAAUUUUCCUUAAGGUCGCACAGGUCGUUCUAGUCGACUGUGGGCCUACCGUAGGGUCGGUAAGGGCUAACCAAACCCUAAAACUAUGUGAUCUGUUAGUUUGAUAUUUUGUUCUGAAUAUGAUACUGCUAUGCAUGUUUGAUUAGUUUGGUGUAUGUAUAUAUAUAUAUAUCUGAUAUCUAUGUAUGAGCAUGUGAGCAUGGUAACUCUAAUUAUCUAUAUCUGAUUGGGGUGGGAUUUGUAUAUGUGGAGGAAGUGUUCUGUAUGGCGGUCAUCGCUUAUAUUCUGGCAGCUUGGCUGCACAUUAUCUGACAUGUGUCGUAAUGGCACGAUAUGGUGUGUAGGGAUGGGUGGGUGUUUUUAACCCCACAUGAUGUGAUGGGAUAGUUGGAGUUGGUGUGUAGAGGAUGGAGUUAGGAUUUUGUAUUUCUGAUCUGAUCUGCAUAUCUGUUAUGUUAUCUGAAUCUGUAAAGGACUUAGGUCUGAAUCCGAAUCUAAAAUUGUAUCUGACUAUGUAUGAGUUUACUGCAUGUAUUGCAUGCAUUUUUUUAUUGGCUUACACACUAAGUUUACAAAAACUCACAUUUGUUUGUCUGUUAUGUUCAGGUAAUCCACAGAUUUAGGCGGGUCGGUGUGACGGAGGCUCAGUGGUGACCACCUGAUUGAGAACUAUUUUACUUAGUAAAUUAUGUUUUAUUUAUAAUUUCUAUUUCAUUUGAGAGUUUUUAAUUUUUGAGACUCUCAGUACUGCUGGUUUUUAUUUUGGUUUUGGAUGCGAUUUUAGACUAUUUUGUUGCGAUGCAUGAUGGAAAACACGAUUUUAUGAAAAAAAGUUAUUCUGAAAAUACGAACUGGAUUUCUAAAAUAUAACGGUUCAAAAACUUUCACUAAAAAUCACGUUUUGGUAAAUAAAUGAAUUAAAUAAUACUUUCAAAAAUGGUUAUAAAUAAUUAUGAACUAUGAAUCUUUAAUGAUUUGAUGAAACGACCUUAUUUUCAAAACCAUACCUUGUGACCACUCCGGAUUCAGCCAUAACGUCUGGGCUGGUUUGGGGUGUUACAGUAAGGAUGAAAAUUUAAGGGAAUGAGCUAUGACGCUUACUAUGAGUUCAUUCACAAUAAAUUCAACGCAAACGGUUGGUAGGACACAUUAAAUAAUAUCGCAUAAAAUAAUCACAAUUAGAUAAUAGUUCAGAAUGUCGGUUUUACAAUUUAACCACCAAUAUAAUCACAGUAUUCACAGUUGUAAUUUUAGAAUAUCAAAUUUCCACAUCAUUCACAAUAUUCAGAUAUAUAUAAAUAUAUCAUAACAGAAUUCUGGAUUUGUAUGCACAUGAUUUAGAAGAUGCCAUACAAUUUCAGGUUUUAACAGAAUAAAUCCUACCCCACGUUACAUACCAUAAUGGGAGUUCCCCUAAACUCCCUUCUGCAACACACUGGGUUAUGGAUAAACCACUACCGGUUUACAGAUAAUAACUAUCAUUUGGUUGUGGACACACAGCAAGUCUCCACAAUUGGAUUCUAGAUUUGGUUGUGGGUUCACAGCAAAAAAAAUCUACAAAUGAAGCCUGCUUUUGCCUGUAGAUUAUACAACAUAUACCCAUAGUUGGAAUCUGCCUUCGGCUAUGGAUGCACUGUAACACCUCAAACCUGACCUGGACGUUAUGACCGAAUCCUGAGGAAUUACUUUAACUCACUAGAAAACCCAAGAGUUUACUAUGAAAUCAUGUGGUUAAACUAGUGUUCACUUUGAUAAAUCGUUUUCCAGUUUUAGGGAAAAUUAUUGUUAAAACUGUUACUUUAUUACAAUAAAACAUUAAAGUGAUUAUAUCAUUUUGUAACGGAAUCUACUGAGCUAUAAGGUUAUGAAAAUCGUGGUUUAAUUUGCAACAAAUCAUUUUGUAAAUAGAAAUUUAAUACUACUUAAUUUGGAAAAGCAUGCUAAAACGAAAGCAAAGUCCAAACUAAUUUAUGAUUUAAAAUUCUAAAAAGUCCAAAUUAAACAUAAAGUCAAUUUAAACCAGUUUAUCGAACGUGUAACACCCCAAACCUAGCCUGGAUGUUAUGGCUAAAUCUGGAUGUGUUACGAAAAAAAAGUUUAUAAAACGACUUCCUUAUUAUUGGCAAAUCAUCGCAACCAUUAUUACUUAGUAUGCUCGAUUUGUUUGGAAAACUUAUUGAUAUACUUAUUUGAUUUAAAAUCAUUGCUCGCUUAUGCCUUUCUAUUAAACUGAAUGUUUUGUAGUGGAGUUUCUUUAAAACACCAUAUUUUGGCAAAUCAAUUUGUUUCUUGAAAAUCGUUAUUUCAAAAAAAUUGUCAUUUUUAGAAAAAACUAUUUUAUCAGUUGUUACGCUUAGAAACCAAAAUAAAAUCCAAAACCAAAAAUAGUCCCAAAAAGUCCAGAGAGUCCCGAAAUUACAAAACUCUCAAAACCAGAAAAGUUUGAACUAAUUUAAAAAGAAUGAAAUUUUACGGAAAUAUGGUUAACACUGAGCUUCCAUCACACCGACCCACCUAAAUCUGAGGGUUACUUGAAUAGAACAAACAAAUAGAGAGAGUUUUGAAACUCAGUGUGUAACGCGAAUAUAAACAAAAAUUCAGAAUCAAUCUCAUGCAGAACAUAUACAAAUGUAAACCAUUUAUAGAAUAAGAAUUAUACAGAUACAAAUAUGCAACAUCCUACCCUCAUCCUAUACACACCAAUUCUGACCAUCCCAUCACACCACGUGGGGUAUAAAACACCCACCCAGCCCUACACACCGUAUAGUGUUUAUACAACACUUUUCAAAAUAAUCGCAGCAGAGUUGCCAGUAUAUAGGUGAGAUAUCGCUUCACACAGAACACUUCCUCCUCAUAAUACAAAUCCCGCUCCAUAGCCAGAUACAGAUAGAAUAUCAGGUAAAACAAAUUAAUAGAUACCAGAGUUAACAUAUCACGCGUGAGCGUAUAACAGAUAUUACACAUGCUUAUACAUAACAGAACAAAUCAUACAUACCGUAUUCCAUAAUACUCAUAUAAAUGUUAUUUUUUAAAUUGUAACAAAUAUUAUUAUUAAGAUGUUUUUCUUUUUAUAUUUUUUUAUAAAAUAUAUUAAAAAACAAUUAGAAUAAUUUUAAGAGAAAAAACACUCAUAAACAGUAGAAUUUAAUCUAAAAAUAUCAAAGUUUUAAAGCCUCAACUUUAACAUUUCAACCAAAAUUCCAUUAGUAUAUAAAUAUUUUAUAAAUAUAGAUUUUAUAUAAAAAAAUUUUAUGUAAACUUUUUUUUAACCCACAUCACAAGUAUACCAUAUUUAGAGAUAUUCAUAGCUAGGCAGCCCACUUUGGGUCAAACUUGAGCUUAGGUUUCAUCUCAAGUUGGCCCAAUUUAACCUAUUUUACUAUUUAAAAAUAUAAAUAUAUGUUAUAUUGAUAUUUAUAUAUUUCUAUAAUUAAAUUUUAAAUAAAUUUAUUGUUAACUUUUAAACACAAAACAAAGAAAACUUUCACCCAAAUUAUAAGUUUGUGGUUAGACAGCCCACUUUCGGGGCAGGAUUCAGCUUACGUUUUUAAUCUUGGGAUUUAAGAAUAAUAAAAAAUAUAAAAAUAAUAUUGUAUUAAUAUUUAUAUAUUUUAUAAAUUUAAAUUUAAUUAUAUUUUUUAAACAGUCAAAUGAACCAUUUAUAUGGGCUAAUUAGAGUUAAGUUUGGUUUGAAUCAAGCCUUAACUUUGACCAAAUCCAACUAAAAACACGUCUAACAAUUAUCUAGUAUUGUUUUUAUGAAUUGAAUUUUAACUUGUAAUUUUCAAUUUUAUUACAAAAUUUCUUUGCGGACGAUAAGAAAAUAACAUAUUUGUAACUUCUUCAACCCGGCGUAAAGGUUAAGUCUGAAUUUGGAUUACAUCAGCCAUAAAGAUGGCCUAGCAGGAUUAUCGGAGUUUUUAAAAACAAACAUCUUUAAAACGUUUGUUUAAUUUAUAGAAAAGCUUAUUUAAUUUCCAAAUUAUUUAUUACUUGAAAUCUUAAUUACACUUUAAAAGUAGGAAGUGGUAACAAUUUAUUUUUAAUAAAAUUCGGGGUUCAUGUAUAAUUGAUUAAUAACCGUAAUUCGAAAACAUUAAAACUUAAAUUAAAUGUCAUGCAAAACAAAACAAGCUUAAAUCUAAAUCUCAUGCCGCAGUUCAAAAUUAUUUAUUGUAGUCUUAGAAAAUAAAAACAAUCAUAUAAUGAACCUAAAUUUUUUAUUUUACUUUAAUAAUGUGUCAAGGUCUUACAGAUGUCACGCCUGCGUUCAAUCUUGGUGGGUUAUCUGUAAGGAUGAAAAUUUAAGGGGGAGUGAGCUAUGACGCUUAGUGUGAGUUCAUUCACAAUAAAUUCAAUGCAAACGGUUGGUAAGACACAUUAAAUAACAUUGCAUAAAGUAAUCACAGUCAGAUAACAGUUUAGAAUGGCGAUUUUACAAUUUAACUACCAAUAUUAUCACAAUAUUCACAGCUGUAAUUUCAGAAUAUCAAAUUUCCACAUCAUUCACAAUACUAACAUAUAUAUAAAUAUAUCAUAACAGAAUUCCAGAUUUGUAUGCACAUGAUUUAGAAGAUGCCAUACAAUUUUGGGUUUUAACAGAAUAAAUCCUACCCCACAUUACAUAUCAUAAUGGGAGUUCCCCUAAACUCCCUUCUCCAACACACUAGGUUGUGGAUAAACCACUACUCGUCCACAGAUAAUAACUAUUAUUUGGCUGUGGACACACAACAAAUCCCCACAGUUGGAUUCUAGCUUUGGCUGUGGGUUCACAGCCAAAAGUCCUGCAAAUGAAGCCUGUUUUUGCAUGUAGAUUAUACAACCUAUACCCGCAGUUGGAAUCUGUCUUUGGCUAUGGAUGCACUAUAACACCCCAAACCCGACCUGGACGUUAUGGCUCAAUCUUGACGUAAUGCCCCAAAAUUUCUAAUUUCGUUAUUGUGAAAAUAUGACACAAAAUAUUUGUCUGCUUUAGUGGUUAUGUGUUCUGGGAGUGUUUAGGAGGUCCCAAGUUCACGCCUUCACAUGGGAAAAUUUUGGUAUUUUGAAUGAAUUAGGUAUUACUCUUAUUCAGUAGGCUUUUAUUUGAUUGUUGGGUAAAUUAUAUUAGAAUGGGCUUGCUGGUCUAGUGGUUAAAUGGUUUAUUAUUAUGGUGGAGGUCUUGUGUUCAAGUCCCUAUGUAGGCAAGGGUAUUAUUAUUAUUAUUAUUUGCUCAAAUUUCUGGAUAGAGUUGUGUAAUAGGGGGAUUCUGAGUAGUAGAUGUGUAGUGGGAAUUAGGGGAGAAGAUUAAGGAGUUUCAGGGGUUAUCGAGAUUUUAUUUUAUUUUUUCCCAUAACCGAAUUUUGACUUUCUUUUUCCAAAAAAAAUCUGCCAUCUAUUCUUCUCCCUCUCCUCUUGUCGAAAUUCUCUUAGUUUUUUCACCUUUCUCUUCUUUUUCUUCUUCUUGAUUUUUCCCUAAUCCAUUUAUUUUUCUUCAUUUUCGCACGCGGUUAGUUUUCGCUUAGUUUCGAUAAGUGUUUCUCUUCGUUUCUAUCAUGAAUCUCCUAGCGACUAAAGUGGUAACUUUUUUUCUCUGUGAUUUGGGUGUAGGGGAAGGCUCGAACUGUUGAAUUCAGUAUUCUCGUCUUAACAAUAGUUAAAUGGAGGGUUAUCGUUGGUGGUAAGUUGGGUUUCUGUUCAUUCUUAGUUGUCAAUUUGCUUGUAAAUCUGUUAAAUUGAUGUUGAGUAUCUUGAUUAUAGGCUUUGGAGUGCUUGGGGACUGUUUUAGCAUCAAACAAAACCAGAUGUGUACCCGAAACGCAAAAAAAAAGGGAUUCGAUCGAAAGCCGAAAUUGUUUGCUGUUUGGACAGUAGCAGUAGGCUAACUUUGAAAAAUCGCCAUAAAUUGUGGAAAUCGAAUUAGAGGAUGAAAAAAAUAUGAAAUUAAAUCUUAUUGAGUCUAGUUUCUCAUAGAAGAACGGUGUAAGUAAUGGAAUUUUAAAUCGUGAGAUAAUAAACUAUGUGAGACAAGGUUAGAAUAAAUUCGGGUUCCCUUGUUCUGACUUUGGAAAAUCAUCAAAAAUUGGAUAAAAAUAAUUAGGAAUUAAAAUUUACAUGUUUAAAUUAUUAAUUAGUCUUUUUUCAAUAGAAACAAAUGGGAACUUCAUCCAAAAUUUUUACUAAGAGAUAAUUAAUUUUUAGCAAUGAAGGGUCGAAGCUGUCAAACAGCAGAACAAGGGUAAGUUUGAAGAUUUUACCAUACUUAUUGGCUGAGCCAAAAAUUUAAAAAUUUUAUGGUAGAAAGGUAUUUGAGUCUAUUUUCAAAUACAUCAAGUGAAUUUUAAUUAGGAAUUCUUUAGCUCAAGAUAUAAAUAAUUUAGUUACAGUGAGUCAAGUAGAAAGCUUUGAAGGAACACAUAAGUAAAUUGUGAUAAGAUAUAUGAAUAUUUAGCUAGCACAGGUUACAUUGAAAAUGGAUCACGCAGCCAAGGCCAAUUUGGGCUGAGUGGGCCACAUGGGCAUGUGAGCCCAUUUUUCUGAAAAAUUCUGUAAGGUUGCACGGGUCGCCCAAGUCGACUAUGGACCUACUGUAGGGUCGGUAAGCUUUACUUAGACGCCUAUAUGUGUGAUCUAUCUGGCUGAUUUCUAUACCGAGCAUGACUUAUGAUAUUUGAAUGUAUGUACUUUUAAUUACAUAAUGGCAUGACAAAUUUUGUAUGUUGCAUUGCAUCGGAGUGGGUUGAUGAUAUUUGGAGGAAGUGUCUAAAAGGCUAUUAAGCCUGUUAUCUGGCAGCUCAGCUGUAACCUUCUGAUUAUGUGCGCAUUUCAGUACAACAUGGUGUGUAAGGAUGGGUGGGUUGAUUUAACCCCCACAUGGUGUGUAAGGUUGGACAAAGAUGUGCGUAGAGGCUGGUGGGUAGGAUUCUGAUUUCUGUAUCUACAUUAUGUAUCUGAUAUGGGCCAAGGCUCUAAUGUAUUUCUGAGACUGUAUCUAAACGGGCUAAGGCCCAAACUGAUUGUGUGAUGGGCCUAGGACCCAGACUGUAUCUAACUAAAUUCUGUUGAUUAUUUGUAUGCAUGAUUUCUAUGGGGAUUACACACUGAGUUUGCGAAAACUCACCCUUUCUCUAUUUAAUCUGUACAGGUAAUCCCCAGACUUGAUGGGUCAGUGCAACAAAGGAUUCGACAGUGGCCACACGUAAAUUAUGGAUUGUUUUCCGUUAAUACCUAGAAUUUAUUAAUUAUUUGGGGUUUUUGAUGUAUCUUCUGGACUAUGGACUGGUUGGCUAACAUACCUUUUUGCAUUGCAUCAUGUGCACGACAUAUUUGAAUAUUAUUGGUUUAUGCUACGUAGUGUAUUUUGUUGUAUUGAAUGGUAUCAAAAUUAAUGAUUGUCACUCGAAUGAAUUAUGACCUAUGCUCAUACACUGUUUGACAUCAAUUUGAUAAUGGCUAUGUAACGAUAUGAAAUUCCUAUAAUGGUUCUAUUUUCUUCUGUUAAAGCUAAUUAGUUUUACUGUAUUUGAUAUUUAUGUUUGUUUCAAUAAUUGUUCGACUCACGCUGAGCUUUUCAUAAGCGCACCCCUAAUAUGUUAAACUUUUCAGGUAAACCUCGAAAUUAAGACCAGACUUGGCAUUCGAAGAAUCACCUUAGACCUUGAAUUAUUUUUCUAAUAAGUAUUAAUCAAUCUCUAAUGGUUUUCGUUUGUAAUUUUUAAUUAUAUCUAGUCUGUGGCUUGAUAACUUUUCUUCUGGGAUUUUUGCAUGCAUGGAUUACUCAAGCAUAGUAACCGGAUAAUGCAUGAUAUUAGGCUUAAGUAAAAUUUGAUAUUGUUCCCUAGAUUCCGCUGCAUUGCAAAGGAUUUGUUUUUGAAAAACAAAUUGAUAAGGUAACUAAGUUUUCAAAAUGACUUGAAAAAUGGUUUUUCCCCUGCAUUAGUUUAACAUCGAAUUUUUUUUAAAGGAGAGCAACAAGCAAAUGAUUUUUCUAAAACAACACUAUCAACAAUAAAAUGAAUUCUAAGUAUACACAACCUAAUGAAUGAAUGCUUUUAAGCUAACUUAAAGUACAACUAUGGUUUUCUCUAAAAUGAGUUUAUUUAAAGUUUUCAUAAGUAAUGUAAGUUAGCUUAGCCAUUUCGGUGGCUAAUGUAGCCUUCUCAUUCUAGCCAUAACGUCUAGGCCAGGUUUGGGAGGUUACAGUAUUGAUAGGAACUGUGGUAUAAAUUUUAUUUUGGACAUUCUUAAAUUGUUAUUUGGACUAAACUUUAGAAACUAUGGAUUUUAUACUGAGCCUAAAUUUACGAAGUUCAUGCGUGGUUUUUACGAAAAUGAAACUCAUAUGAAAUUUCAAAACCGUGAUGUUUUUUUUAACGCUCCAAUUUGAAAUUGUACAAGAAAUGUCAAUUUGAAUUAUUUUUGAAUGUUUUUUAUGCCAAUUAAAUAUUGUUUCAAAACAUAGCUAAGUAUUAUUUAAUUUCGUAAAGAUGAAGCAAACUCCGAACAAUCUAAAACUUCAAGGACUAGUUUGCAAUUUUUUUUUCCUCAAUUGUCUCCGGUUUGAUUCAAUUCUUGAUCUAUACAAUUAUUCCAUUCAAUUCAUCAAUAUUAAACAUUUAUACAUUAUGUCAUGUCAUGAAUGAACCUAGAUAAAUUCAUUUUUUGAUACCCUUAAAGUUUUACAUUUAUUUCAAUUUAGUCUCUAAAAUCGAAAUAGUCAUAACUUUAAAUUCUGAACUUCGGUUUGAAAAUCGACCUCAAUUUCAUUAUAGACUCUCUACUAUCCAUUAUUAUCAAAAUUUCACAUCAAUUUCACAAUUUAUUUACUUUAGUUAUUAUGUACAAAAUUAACAACCAAACAUCACAAUUUAGUCAUUUUUCAUAAUUUAAGCUUAAAAUCUAUCAAUUUAAUACCAAUUUCUUCAAGAAAUCAACCAUGAUAACUAUAAAAAAAAAUUAACAGUUUUGCAAAUUGAUACAUAGGUCAUUUAAAUCAAACUUUCAUGACCUCAGAAACACAAAAAAAAAUUAUACGAAAAUGAUUUAGAAAUGCAUACCAAUUGAGGACCGAAAGCUUGAAGCUCAAAAUGGCUUUUUCCCUUGAGGUUUUAUGUUGAUUAAAUGAUGAAGAAGAAGAAAUAAAGAUGACAACUUGCACUAAGUCACCUUUAUAUACUUAGAUUAAAUCUUAAUUAAUCAAAUUUAAUUAAUUAAAUCUUAAUUAAUUAACCUUAAUCACAAUUAAAAAAAAUUAGUGGAUGUUAACAUCAUCCUACACUAUUUCAUAUAACCAAAUGAUCUAUUUACCAUUUUGAACCUUUAGCUAAUUAGAAAUCUAUAGCGAUAAGACUUUUAAAAUUUAGUUUCUGUAUCUUAAUUAUGCAAUUAAUAGACAAAGUUGAAGGUUUAAAAUUUAAUGUUCUAUUAUACCAACUCUGUAAAUAUUCAUAUUUAAUAUUUACAGACCCGAAUUACGAAAAUGAGAUUUUGAAAUUGUAUUUUCCAAUACCACUGAAAAUCGAACAAUUAUGUAACCUAUUUGCACCAAAGGGCCAAACAUGGCAAAUACUUGACAUGUAUGUCUUAAUAUCCUCAUCUAUUCUCUUCAAUAUAAUAACAUCCAAUAAUUGUUUCAUCCACUGUAACUAUCACGAAGAUUAGAUUUACCAAUACAGCCUACAAUUUGCAGAAGCGCGACAUUUUCAUUCUAGAGAAAGGUAUAAUUGAAACAAAAUUGAAAUAAAGAUUUCAAUACAGAAUCAACAGACAUUCCAGCUAAUACUUAUCAAUUAUUUGCAGCUUCAUUGCUCCAACUAAGAUGGUUUUUAGUCGAAUAUGGUAAAUGAAAUCAAUGAACACCAGCUACUUGAUGAACGAGUGAAUCAAAGUCCUGAUAUGUGCCGGCUUAUUGGUGAAAAAAUACAUGGGUUAGUUUUGCAGCAAUUCAUGAUCUUACAUUUUAUAACCUUUGCUUACAAUUAUUCACUGACUAAUCAUUCAAUGAAUGUAGGCCUCAAAUUUAGCCACUAAACUUUGUUCUUUAUUUUUAGAUACAUAUUAUUUGAUCACUUCAUACAGCCUAUUACUCAUAAUAACUUCCAAUUUCCCUUCUUUAGGUUAGUUGCAAAUGUACAGCUUUUUCUAGAAGAAGAAAAUUGUCAAGAGCCACCUGUUCAAGAGAGGCGCAAACAGAAUGUAACAAUACCUGACCUACUUACGGUACAGCCAAGUAAUCAUGUGUUUCUAUGCUAGAACAUUAAAUCAAUGACUACAAAUUUCAUGUCAUGGUUGUGUAUCAUUUAUGCCACUGAUGCUGCUAUUUUCUAUUCUAAUGCAUAAUAGGGAUUUAGUGUUUUUACCGUUAAAAUUGUGUCCUUUAAUUUUGGCUUUUUUCAAUUGUUGAUCAUGUCCACCUAUGCUUUAUUUUACUACUAUUGCUUUCUUCAAUGAUAGAUGAUUGAAUCGGUAGAAUUUUAUUAAUCCUCUACAUGUUUUAGCUUGAUAUGUGGAUCCUAAGCAUUCCUUGGAUUGUGCCCUCUUUGUUCAUUUAUUUUUUUUCCUGGAACCUUAUUACAUGUUGUAACACUCCAGUUUUUUGGAGACAUUGAAGACGACUAACUGCUGAAUUCUUUCUUCUGCAGAGGAACCAAUGGCAAGAGACUCUAAAACUCCUACUCUUUUUUAUACCUUCCUCACCUCUUUGUGACAUUAUAGCUGAAAAAUGAUGUAUGCUAAUACAUGAAAUGUUUCCUCUUGCCUUUCUUUUUGUAGUACUAAAACUACAAAUAGUGUCUGUAAAUCUCUUUUCCCGUAAUCUUAUCUUUUCCUCAUUGUAAUAGUUGGAAAACAGCUUUGUUGAAGACAAUGUCAACUACUGGGAUAAGUUACAAACACUGUUAUUGUUUAUUUUGUAGUCUAAAUUAUGAUAAUUUCUGCACAAAAUUCACAUAAAUGGUUACCCUCCCGAAGCGGAGCGAGGGUGAUGCUUACUAGUUAUUAAGAAAACAGGACCUUGUAGGGCUUAACUGUUGAAUCGAGAAAGAAAUUUCUUUUAAUGCCUUCAAUUUUUUUUAAAGCUGAUUUUUUUUUACAAAUUAAAGUUUUGAUUGUAUGUUAAUUGCUUGAGGGAAGGUCGGAUACUUUAUUAUCCCUAUUUUUAUUUGUUAUAUAUUUUAACCAUAAUGAUUUUUUUGGCCCUACAAUUUUACCAAAAAAAUCAUAUUAGCUUUCAUUUAAUUUUCGUCUCUUUUAACCCUUUAACUUGUAUUUUUUUUGUCAAAUCACCCCAAAAUGGAUCGAAAACUUUAACAUUUGUGAACUUUGAUUAUGUGACAUACACAUGAAUUGUCACAUGGAUGACAAGUCAACAUUUCUUUUAAAAAAAAACUUAAAAAAUAUUAAAUAAAAUAUUUUUGAUAUUUUUUAAUGAUUUUUAAAUUAAAAAAAGUUUUUAAAUAUUUUUUAAUUUUUAAAAAUUAAUUAGACGCAGGCAUGGAAAUUCACAUCUAUGUGUCACAGGCCGUGGAUUAAAGCCUGUGACCAUUGCGCAUAGAACACCCCAUAGAAUUUUGGCUUUUUAUUUGGUCAAUCAUGUCCACCUAUGCUUUAUUUUACUAUUAUUGCUUUCUUUAAUGAUAGAUGAUUGAAUCGGUAGAAUUUUAUUAAUCCUCUAUGUAAUAACCAAAUUUUGCCCGGGCCCAAUGCCAAACAAAUAAAACCCAAACCAAAUAAAUAAAAUAAGAGUCCAAAUUACAGUCCAUUAGAGCUCAAUUCAGACCAGCCCACUAUUCAAUCAGACUGGCCCAACACCCAAAUAACCUAACAACCCUAGCCCAACAAAAUCAGAAAAAUGAACAGCAAAAAAACCUUAGGUGCGCCGCACCUAGGUCUUUUGGCCUAACCGCCGCUGUUCGCCUAUCACCAGCCUCCUCGCUGCCACCGCCGCAUGCGCACCAGGCCUCCUCCAUGUGUGUCUGACACCUGCAAAGAGAGUCACACGCAACAGUAGAAACAAAAACAAAAAACAAAUAGCAAAACGACAAAAAAAAUAAUGAUUAAGGAGUUCGUAAUCCGACUAUAAAAGCCCUAAUCUGUGACUUGUAAUUUUUUGACACACAUUAGAAAAUAAAAACCAAAAAAAAAAAACUUUAAGGUGAUACUCAUUUCAUUUUAUUUUUGUUUUAUUUUAUUUUAUCAUUUUUAUCUUUUUAUUUCGAAAUAACAUAAAUAAAAAGGGGAGGCUGGGUUGCCGUUGCCAGAGCAUAUUUUGUGCUAAAGGGGGUUGCGCAGGAGGAAAAGAGGAAACUUUUCAGUUUCCCGCCGCCGUGAUGGCCGAACCUCUGACUGGCGCUUGGAGAAAGAAGGGGAGAGUUUGAGAGAAUUUUAGGUUUUUUGUUUAAGAAAAGUGAAAAAUGAAGAAUUCUGAAAAAAUUAAUAUUUAUAGCACCUAGAAAUGGCGUCGUUUUGGCCAGUUUCAUUUGGCCCCAAAAUGACACCGUUUAAUGGCCUAUACCGGCACAGUGACCCGACCCGGGGAAGGAUCGGAGUGUUUUGUGCUAUUGGGUAAUUUUCGCAUUUGGUCCCUCUUAUUUUGUAGUGUUUUCAAAUUAGAUUUUAUUUAUUUUAAAUUUCAACAUACAUUUUUGUUUUUGUUUCACUUAGAUCCUGAACAAUGCGCAGCGUUUUGGGGGCGAGGAAAUAUUUCCAAUAUGGCCCCAUGUAAUCUGCAUAUUACACUUUAACCCCUCGUCUUGUUUAUAAUUCUAUUCUUUUCUUGUUAAUUUAGAUUCAAUUGCGAUUUAAUCUUUUGUUAAAACAUUUGUUUUCUUUAUUAAUUUAUUAACUAUUUUAUUAUUAUUUUAGUGGUAUAUUCGGUCAUAUUUUCAUUAUCUUAUUAUAUAUUAUCAUUUUGAGUUUUACUUAUAUUAUUAUUAUAAUUUUAUAAUGUGUUAUUUUAUUAACUCAAUAUAACAUAUAUAUAUAUGUAUUUUUUUGUGGUUUUAUUUUUAUAAUAUAUUUUUUUAAAUCCAUUUUUAUGCACUUUAUAUUUAAGUAUUUAUACAAUAAUAUUCUUAUAAUAUUUUUAUACAUGUACAAUUUAUAUAUAAUUAUUUCUUAUACGUGUAUAUAUACAUAAUAAAUCAUCGAUUACAUGUUAUUAUAUUAUUUCCACUUAUUUCAUAUAUAAUUUAUUUCUUUUAAAAUACUCUAUUAUAUACUUCAUUUAUUUCAACCUUUUAUGUGUAUCAUUAUAGAUAUACUAUUAUAUGAAGUUUUUCAAUCCCUAUGCAUUACUUAUUUAAAUUAAUAUAUGUAUAUUAUUUUAUGUAUUUAGAUUUAUUUUGUAUAUAAUAUCUACUUUUAAAUUUAUUUGGAUACUAUUAUUUUAAGUGGAAUUUAUUUUUAACUAUAUUUUUUUAUUUAUUUCAAUUUUUCAUAUAUGUAUAUAUUAUUUAUUUUAAAUUUAUUUUAAUCAUAAUUUCCCUUCUUUCAUAUUUCUUAAGUUUAAAAAAAAAAACUUGUACAAUUUCAUGUGCGUCAAUUUGUUUGGUGCUUUGAUUGUUUUUUAAUUCAUUAGCCUUUGAAUGUUAGCAUAAUACAUUAUGUGAGAUUAUUGCUCUUAUACGUAUUAUAUUGCUUAUUUUUAUUUACUAAUUAUUCGUAGAUCAUUAGAAUACAUUUUGGUUUACAAAUUAUCGCUUUGUAUUGUACAUUAAUAUUCAAUUGUUUUUUUAUUCGUUCGAAAGAUUACGUUUAAUAUCAUUUAAGUAUCAAAAUCGAUUUAUUCAAAAACUUUCAAGAUAACGUAAUAUUCUGUAUUUGGGAUAUUCGAGAGAAUUGAGCCUUAAUGUAUUGGGUUCCAAUUUUCCUCGUUGAAUCUAGAUAAUCGAGAAUAAUCUUCAAUCAAAAUACAUACAUAAAAAGCUCAUUAUCGGGAAUUCGAUACAUUGUGUCCUAACGCAUUGGAUACGACAUGUUGUUUUCUCGAGAUGAGGAUUUUUCUAAAAAAAAUAAUAAAGGCAAUAUUCCGUAUUUGGGAAAUUUGAGAGAUCGUGCCCUAACUUACUGGGUUUCGAUUUUUCUCCUUUAACCCAAAUAAUCAAAUAUCCUUCUCAAAAUGCAUAGGUUUUAAAAGUCAAAAGAUAAACUUAAUUUUGAAGAUUAAGAAUGUUGCGCCCUAACUCACUGGGUGUGACAUUUUAUCUCUUUGAAAUAAGAGUGUCUUAUCAUUUAAUUCAAUUUAUUCAAGGUUAAAAGGAUCGUAUUUUAAAACCUUUUCAAAAUUUCAACACUAAGACAUUAAGUAAUCAACUAGGUACCAAUUUUUGGGCGUUACGAGGGUGCUAAUCCUUCCUUGUACGUAACCGACUCCCGAACCUAUUUUUUUGAAUUUCGUGGACCAAAAUCAUUAUUUUAAUAAAAUCAAACCAUUUAUUAAAAACAACCACUUUUCGAGGUGACCCGAUCACACUUCAUCGAAAAAGAUCGGUGGCGACUCCCAUAUUCAUUUUCAUUUUCAAAAUCCAAAUUGACCCUGUUUUAUCAAAAAAUGGUGUCAACACUGCACAUGUUUUAUCUUGACAUAUGGAUCCUAAGCAUUCCUUGGAUUUUGCCCUCUUUGUUCAUUUAUUUUUUCUUGGAACCUUAUUACAUGUUGUACCAUUCCAGUUUUUUGGAGACAUUGAAGACGACUAACUGCUGAAUUCUUUCUUCUGCAGAGGAACCAAUGGCAAGAGACUCUAAAAAUCCUACUCUUUUUUAUACCUUCCUCACCUCUUUGUGACAUUAUAGCUGAAAAAUGAUGUAUGCUAAUACAUGAAAUGUUUCCUUUUGCCUUUCUUUUUGUAGUACUAAGACUACAAAUAGUGUCUGCAAAACUCUUUAGAGAAAAACAAAUGUCUGUAAAUCUCUUUUCCCGUAAUCUUAUCUUUUCCUCAUUGUAAUAGUUGGAAAACAGUUUUGUUGAAGACAAUGUCAACUACUGGGAUAAGUUAUUGUAAGCAUCUUUUCUUUAAGUGUUUCAUAUUAAAAACAAACACUGUUAUUGUUUAUUUUGUAGUCUAAAUUAUGAUAAUUUCUGCACAAAAUUCACAUAAAUGGUUACCGUCCCGAAGCGGAGCGAGGGUGAUGCUUACUAGUUAUUAAGAAAACAGGACCUUGUAGGGCUUAACUGUUGAAUCAAGAAAGAAAUUUCUUUUAAUGCUUUCAGUUUUUUUAAAGCUGAUUUUUUUUACAAAUUAAAGUUUGGAUUGUAUGUUAAUUGCUUGAGGGAAGGUCGGAUGCUUUAUUAUCCCUAUUUUUAUUUGUUAUAUAUUUUAGCCAUAAUGAUUUUUUUGGCCCUACAACUUUACCAAAAAAAUCAUAUUAGCUUUCAUUUAAUUUUCGUCUCUUUUAACCCUUUAACUUAUAUUUUUUUGUCAAAUCACCCCAAAAUGGAUCGAAAACUUAACAUUUGUGAACUUUGAUUAUGUGGCAUACACAUGAAUUGUCACAUGGAUGACAAGUCAACAUUUAGUUUUUUUUUUAAAAAAAAAAACUUAAAAAAUAUUAAAUAAAAUAUUUUUGAUAUUUUUUAAUGAUUUUUAAAUUAAAAAAAGUUUUUUAAUAUUUUUUAAUUUUUAAAAAUUAAUUAAAUGCAAACAUGGAAAUUCACAUCUAUGUGUCACAGGCCGCGGAUUAAAGCCCGUGACCAUUGUGCAUAGAACACCCCAUAGAGGUCAACUUAUUAAACAAGGUUCAUUUGACCCGCAUGAACUGGCCCGACCCAUGGAACCCGUGGAGAAGCCCAUCUACUUGAAGCCUUGGUGGUCUAGUGAAAUAUAGUUUAAUUUUUUUUAAACAUAGGGUAAGGGAAGAAGAAUGCCUUAAAAUUAAUUUUUGUUAGAAAACUAAUAAGAAUGAGUUUGUUGGUUUAGUGUUAAGGCCUUAUCCUAUCCAUAGAUCCCAAGUUUGAAUCCCUUGGUGAGCAUUCAACCAAAAUAUUUUUAUUUCCUUGUUUUUACCACACUAAAAGUGACAAAUUUUAAAAUAACCCAGCCCAAAAACUAUUUUUUUUUAAUUUUAGUCCUUAAUUUAAAAUUUUCCCAAACCUACAUAAAUUUUUAAAACCUAUUCCAAUUAGGAAAAAUAAGUAUUAUAAAUAGACAAUUUCAAAACAAACUCUAGAAUUUCAUCUAGCAAAUUUUCAAGAAAACAUCCAUAAACACUUUCUUUUCCAAAUCAAACUUUCAAGCUAAAGAAAUCAGAAUCUUCAAAAUCAUCCCUCAAGUAGAUCUUCAAUCUUUUCUCCAGCACUAAGGUUUCUAAGUAUUCAAAAUAGGUGUGGGAACUAAACCUAAAUCUUUGUGUAUAAUUGAAUCUAAUAGCAAGUAGAGAACCAGUAUAGGCUAACCCUAGGAGAAACCCCCUGUAUGUGCAAUCAUGUAGGUGUGAGCCUAUAGAUGCAAAACCCAUUGUACAUGAAAACCCCAUGCAUGCAAACCCUUACGUGAAACCCCCCUUUCAUGCGAACCCUGUAUGAAUACCAUGUGAACCCUAGAUUAUAGUUGCGAACCCUAGGUUGUUAUGUGGAUACCCAUACUGUGAACCCAAGUGCACAAACAUAUAGGAAUAUUCAUGCGAGCCCCCUUGCAUGCGAACCCUAGUUAGUGUACAUACGGGUCUCAUAUUUACAUGCAAACCACUACUAGUGCGAGUCAAUUAUAUGAUAUCACAUACGAACCCUACUAUUACAUGCAAACCUUUAUACAUGUUAUAUUCGAACCUUUUUUUGUUAAAACUGGUGAGACUUGUCUAGUAUUACAUACGACCUAAUUUGCGAACUCAUAUGUUAAAAGUAUGUGAACCUAUCUAUGUUUGUUAUGCGAGCUCACAUGUUAGCAGUAUGUGAACCUAUAUAUAUCAGUUAUGCAAACUCACAUGUUAGCAGUAUACGAACCAUAAGUCUGUUAUGCAAACUCACACGUUGGCAGUAUGCGAACCCUAUAUACACCUUUAUGCAAACUCACACAUUAACAGUAUGCGAACCCUAUAUACGCCUUUAUGCAAGCUCACACGUUAGCAGUAUGCGAACCCUAUAUACGCCUUCAUGCAAACUCAUAUGAUUUGCAGCAUGCGAUCUCUAUAUUUAUGCGAACCCUUGUAAUAAAAAAUAUGCGAACCUUAACUUGCGAACCCUUGGCAGGAACCCUGCACUCGCAAAGCCUUCUUCCGGACCUGUACAUAUGCUAGAUAACCAAGCCUAUUAGUUUACAUUAAAUCACUGUACAUAUGAGACUGUUUGUUUACUUGCACAAGUUAUAUGUGUAUUUACUAUUCGAUACAAGAGUACCUAUCGACCUUUUGAUGAGAAUUCAGAGAUUAACGAUGAUAAUUCCAACAAUCGGUGUAAGAACGAGUUAAAUCGAGAGUUGAUGUAAUUUAAGGUAAUAAAGUUAAUUUUUCAGUAAUAAAUGUAAAAUUGUUAUGGAAAGAAACGAUGGGUAAAAAAAAAAAUGAGAGUUUUAAAGAAAAGAGAGGAAAACUUCAAUUUAGGGUUGAAGAGGAACUAAAAAUCUACGUGAAAUUAGGAAAAAAUAUAAAAUACCUAGGAUUAAGAAAUUUGAGGGGGUUGAAUGGUAAAAUACCCUUUUUUCUUAAAAAUGAAAAAAAUGGAAAUGGGUAUUAAGUUUGGCACGACUUGAAACUUGGAAGCAAAGGAAAAAAUUACAAAGGCCUUACCAUUUGGGUUGCUACCCACAUUUGGCAUAUUUUUACACUAUUUAAAAUAUAUCCUAGCUUAGUUUUGAUCAUAGGUUGUUGAAAAAAAAAAACAAGGGGUAAGAGUGUGGCUUCAACCUUAAUUCUCUAGUUAGUAUACUAAGCUCUGAACCAUUAAAAUUAAGGCUCAUGUCUUAGUCAAUUAAUUCAUCUAACUCUAUAUAUUUUGAGGUAUUACAUCUUGAAUUAGAAAAACCCAUAAAAUGCAUGUAGACUUGUAUUGCUCGGUACUUGGUACUAUAUAUGUAGACUUGUAUGUUGAUUAAGCUAGCUUAAUUAAGACCAAUGUGUUAGACUUGUCUAUGCAUUGAACAAUCUAGAAGAAAAUGAAGAAAAAGACUCUGAAAAUACUUGAAAACAGAUAAAACUCAUAUGUCAUCGACUAGUUAAACUAUGAUCACCCAUAAUAGACCUUGUAUUUGACUUUUUGUUGAGGGAGAAGUUUCGUGAGUGUUGUUUGUCAGGGAGUCAGUGUUGCCCUAAACAACUAAAGGUAUUGUCCCCAUGUCGAGAUUUUACCCCCAGCCUCUGCAAAAUAAUCAUGAAGAAUACGUGCGAAGGAAUUCAAACACCAACCAAUGCAUGUGUAGCCUUUACCUUCCCACUAUCUUUGGGAACUCAUAAGGAUAAAAUCCCAACAAGAGAAUUGUAUCAGAGGGGUCUGUCAACACAAUGAAUGAAAUUUCAUACUUUUUUUUUAAUGAAAGUAAAUAUCAUAUUUAGUUAGAGAAAAGCAACGAAAAAUCUAACAAUAAAAUCCUUAGCAAAAGAUUAAAACACAAUUGUACCAUAAAUUAAAUAAGAAAUUAAAAAAAUUCAAAUCUAACAAAGACAGUAACUUGAUUCCUCAAAGCUACCACAAACAGUAAUUCAUAGGAAGGCCUGCUGCUCAUUUAUAACACAAACUUCAUGGUGACGGAUACCAACAUACUAGAUACUAUGAUUAAAAUGCUAGAAUAGAUUAAAAAUGUUGAAUUAAUGAUAAAAUUAAGAGUGAAUUAACACAAAGUACUCAUCCUCUCUUUUUAAUGAAUCAACAUCUGCAAUUUCUAUCACUCCUUUAGACAGUGAACUUUCCAUCCAAUGCCUUAUAGUCACUUCUUCAGCAAAAUAAUUAUCAGUUGGCUUUUUCUUUGUGAAAGUUUCUAUAAGGACAAUCCCAUAACUAUAGACAUCACAUUUUCUAGAAACAAUUCCUGCUGAUCCAAAUUCUGCAUUUCAAGCAUAAUUAGAGCAUCAUUAAUCCUUAAUUAUUUCUAAAAUGUUUAUUCAAAUAUACACAUGAAACAAAAAUAUAAAAUGAAAAUCAAGAAAAUAAUCAUAAAAAGAAUUCACCUGGUGCCAUAUACCCGAUAGUUGCAAGAGUCAUGGUUUGCUUCACUACAUCACCUUCUCCCAAAAGGUUGGAAAAGCCAAAAUCUCCCACAUGUGCAACCAUGUCUUUAUCUAGUAAAAUAUUGCUUGGUUUGAAGUCAGAAUGAAUCAUAGGUGUUGGAUGUCCGUUGUGGAGAUGUUCUAUAGCUGUCGCAACAUCUAUCAUUAUGUCAACCCUUUGUAUGAUAUCAAGGAAACAGUUUUUACAAUGUAGCCAUUUCUCAAGAUUUCCAUUUGACAUGUAAUCAAGCACCAAGGCUUUUUUAAAAAUAAAAUAAAAUAAACUUGGUAUCCAAAAUGUUUUUGUGUUGACAUGGCAUUUUUAAAAAUAAAAUAAACUAGGUAUCCGUGUAACAAAAAUAAAAUUGUAAUAUAUAGGCCUAAUUUUAGUAAAGAAUGUUAAUGAUGUUAAGAAUUCUUUAAAUUUCACAUAAUCAUUUUUAUUAGAAUAAAGUAUUUAGACUAACUAAUUAUAUUAUAAAAAUUAAGAUACCAAAUUAUGUCAAAAUUAAAGUUAUAGAUUAAAUCUCAAUUUUAACAUUCUUAUAAUUUAAAAAAGUAGAAGAUUGGAAUUAAAUAAAUUUAUAAUCCUUAAUUGUAAAUUUGAUAAUUCCUAUUAAUCUAAAUUAUUACAAUAAUGUGCUUACUAUGCUUGGUUUUACUCAAUGAGUGAUAUUAAAUUAAUUAAAAAAUUAGAUAAAAAUCAAAUAUCUUAUUUCUAAUAAUAAUAUUAUUACUCCCUCACAAAACUAUAUUUCACUUGAAAGAAAUUCUAUUCCCUUCAAAAAAAAAUUACCAUCUUAAAACACUUCCAUCUUUUAAAAAAUCUUAAUGCACACUUUAAUCCUUGAAUUAUAUCACUUUUUCAACUUUAGUCUUAAAUUUUUUUUAUUGAUUUUAGUCCCUAAUAUUAUUAAACGUUUCCAAUUUAGUUCAUUGGACAAUAAAAAUUGAUUGUCGUUGGGAUAUCCAACCAAUCAUACACUACCAAAUAUUGUACGAUGAUAUCAUUAUGACAUCAUCAACAAAAAAACCUUAAAAAUCUUUAAAAAUGAAAAAAAUUAUUAUAAUUAUUUAAAAAUAGAAAAAAAAUAAAAUUGUAAAAAUAAAAAAUCUAUGUAAAAUAUAAAAAUUUACAUAAAAUUUAAAAAUAUAUUAGAUAUUUUAAUAUCUUUAAAAUUUUAUAAAUCACAUUUACUAGAGUUUGAACCUAUGAUUAUUGUCAACAAUUGUUUUAUGACUCAAUUAAUCAUAAUUUAUAAUUGGUAGAUCUUUUUAUGUGAUAAACUUGGAUAAUUUUUUUUUCAAAUUAUUUAAAUAAUGAAAAGUAAUAUUAUUUCAAAUAAAUAAUAAAUUAUAUAAUAUUUAUAAUUAUUCCAAAUAUUUUUUUUUACUAUCUUAAGAUAAAUUAUUUGUCUCUAGACCAAUAUCUUAAGAACUAUUGUCGUGUGUUUAACUAUUCUAAAGAACUUUGGUAUAAAAUAGAAAAAGCAUGUGCACAAUGGUAAAUAGGGAGUCGAGUCAAAUAAACUUGUUGCCAGUAACGCUGGUAAAGUACUAAAAAUUGAUGUAUUUUAAAAUAUUAAAAUUUUGAUAUAAAAAUUUAUUCAAAUUUUUAUUAUAAUAAUUUUAAAUAAUUUUUUAUAAAAAUUGAUUGUAUUACAAUAUACAAUUUCAAUAUCAAAUUUUUAAUAUUUUAAAUGUGAUUAGCGAAUGUAUACUUUAUUUCAAGUUACAUAAUUUUUACCAGUAUUUUAAAUUUUUUAUUUUUUUACAAUCUUUUAUUAUUUCUAAUAUUUUUUAUAUUUUUUACAAUAUUUAAAAAUUUAUAAUAACUUUUAAUAAUUUUAUUGUUUUUAGAAAUUAAAAGAAUUAACAAUUUUUUAUUUUUUAAAAAAAUUAUAAAUUUAUAAUGUAGUUAAUUUUAUUUAAGUUUAUUUGAAUUUUAUGAUAUUUUUAAAAAAUAUUUUUUUAUUUUUGCAAUCGUGACAUCAGCAUAUGACACGUGGUAAUUUAUGAUCAGAUGAAUUUUUAGUUUUUUUUUUAACGUCCAAAGGAUUAAGCUGAGAACACCUGGUAACGUUAGGGACUACACUAAGAGCAUUUGAUAAUAUUAGGUACUAAAGUGGGCCAAAAAAACAUUAAGGACCAAAGCAAAAAAAAUGCUAUACUUGAACUUUCAAAAUUAUCUUUCAUUUAGUUAGGAUUAAUAUUUAAUGAUUUACUUAAAAAAUAGAAAUUUAAAAAUUUGUAGUAUUGAGGUUAAAAAAUGAGUAAGAGGUGGUGGAUGGUUCAUACAAUGGUGAGGCACAAAGAACCAUUUUAAAAUAAGAGAAGGGAGGGGUGCUUAUUCUUGAGGUUAAGAAUGAGUAUUUAUAGGUGAGGUUAAUCAUCCUUGAUCAUUAGACCUUGACAAGUGUUUGAUGCCAGUCUUAUCGUGGUUGGCCACUAAGGGAAUGAUGGACCUCUAGGUAGUGAUGGAAUUGACAUGAAUUAGAUGAGAUUAGGAUGACAAUUUGGAUUUUGAAUUCGGAUAAUAUUGGAAUUAAAAUUUUGAAAUUACUAUCUGUUGCAUAUUUGAAGUGAAUGCGGAAAGAUAUUUCAGAAUUAUAUUAGUCGAAUCUACUUUACUUAUUCGAAUAGAUGUAGAUUGGAAUUUAGAUAUCUGAAUCAACUAGUCACGAAAUGUGUAUAGUUUUGAUUAUAUAUAAAAAAAAUUUGGUGGAUUCAAUUUUGAAUUUUCGUGGAUUUGGAUAUCCAAAACAUGAUUGAAAUUUUUAAAAUUACUCCUUUUCUGUUGAUUCAGAUAUUUGACGAAUAAUAGUACUUAACUUAAGCCAAAUUUAGACAGUAAUACUCGGAUAAUUUGUAUAUAAUAAAUAAAUUUUGAUUUUCAAGCAAAUAUGCAUAUUCUAAUUCAAAAAAUGUAGUUACUAACCUAUUGCCAUUCCUAGGCAAGAGUACCCUACGUGUGAUCCAUGCACAGAAGGAUCCAACAUCUUUCACUGACGAGGUAGAUUAGAAGCGUCACGUACCAGGCAUAUAUGUAUCAAUGAGGUCUAUAGCUGGCAAAGUGUAGCCCACAACUGAAAUCAUAGUUGACGAGGUAGUAGUUGGGCGACAUGAUGGUGACAAAAGCCACUCUGGUAAAAUAUUAAUAGCAAUCACCCUCCAAUUAAUGAGAAGUUAUAAAAUGACCUAAUUAAAUGGUAGCAUAGUUUACCAUAAGUGUCAUAUGUGUUGUAAGGCAUGAGCUCAAACCCUACCAAACUCAAAUGAUCAAAUUUCCUUGGUAGGUGGUCAUACGUCACGUACCGUUUGUCCCAACAAGGCGCUCCCACUCUGUUGAACCUGUCACCUCUUUAGGUAGCUUUAGGCACUUGAGAUCUUUACAAAGUCGAGAGGUAAAAUUAUUGGAAAAAAAAAACUCGGUUUGAAAAUAGUUUUCUUACACAGUAGAAAAAUAAAAUUUUGAAAAUCGACCUGGUUUGUGAUAUUUAUAACAAAAAAACCUUAACUGAAUUCAUACAUGUGUUUUUGGAUAAGUGGAUCCUUGAUGUUUUCAGGCUUUCAACCAAAUGAUCUUUUGCACUAUUCUCGUACCACGAACUGCUUCGAGUGUGGCCUCGAACCAAUUGAAUCAAAACACAAAACUAGAAAAGGUUUUCCUUUUUGGGUGAAAACCAAAAUUCUCUCUUCUUUAAUAGAAAUCAGUAAAAUUAUUAUUAUGAAAAAUAUGUUUAUAAGUUGAGAAUAAAUUCUCUCUAUUUUUCGACAGAAUAAAAAUCUCUCAAAAGUUGUGUAAAUAGCUCUACUGGUGCCAUUUAUUUAUAGGAAGAGAAAGUAGAACCCUUGUAGAGUUGUAAAAGUUUAUAUCCACUAGAAAAAUAAUAUCCUAGCCUAUCUAGGAUAUAGGGAGCAACAACCGUAGUUAAUGAUACUAGGGUUUUGUCAUCCCACCUCUUUAUAUGAGGGGUUUUAGGCCUCUCUCACAUCAGAUCCAAGUACAAGUACUUCUUAAAUAUAAAUUUGAAUUUGAUAUAUUGAUUACAUAUGAAUUUAUAUAUUGUGAGUAAAAUUUUUAUUUGAUAUAUUAAUAAUGUAUAAAUUUAUAUAUUGUUAAUACAUCAUAUGUUUAAAAAAUCUAAUAAUUAUAUAUUAUUUUCAAUAAUUUUUAAAUUUAUUAAUUGAUUUAUUGGUAUAUUAAUAUUAUUUAUUAGUAAUAUGUAAAUUUAUACCCUGUCAAUUUAUGAAAUAACAUUUAGUGAGUGGAAUAUAUAUAAAAGAAGAUAUUCUAAAUCUUUCUAAAUUCUUCCUUAAAAUAGAAAAAGAAAUAAAUUGUUGAUAUAGAUAUGUUGAUAAGAUUUUCAUGUAGGGCUUUUCUGUAAUUCAUGAUUUUGUUACAUGCAUAAAUUGUAAUUGUGAUAUUUUAUAUUUUAUUUAUAUAAAUCAUGUUAAAUUUGAUUUAAAUUCCUUUUUUAAUUAUUUAUUCUUUUAAGAAAUUUCAAGUAUUCAAUAAAUAUUAAUGUAUACUUUUUCUUAAAUUGAUAUAAUAGUGAUAUCAGAUUAGUUUAAAAUUUUGCGUGUAUGACAAGUACAAUUAUAUCGAUAGAUUCAAUAGUCGGAUUAUUCAAAUAUUACUCCUACAAAUAUAUAUAUGAAGAAGUAUAAACUGCUUUAAUUUUACAUUGGUAUAAGUAGAUCUCUCUCUUACAUCUGUUGUAUAUAUGAAAUUUUGAUUUUGAUUCAAACGUACUCAUUUAAAGAAAUAAAUACAUCAAUUUAUUUUUAUAUUGAAUAAGUAUAAUUAUUUGGAUAUGCUAUAUAUAGAUGUAAAAUGAUGGUAUAUAAAUAACGAUGUUAGAUGUUUGUAAAAAUUGAAUCAAAUCAAUAUUUCAUGUAUAAAAUUGCACAAUGGACCAAAGUUCAUGUACAAUUUUGAUCUUUAUAUCUGAAAUUUAUUAAUGCAAAUUAUUUUCCAAAAGAUCACAUUGAGUAAGAUUAAUUUAAAUUUCAAUAUUUAAAUUUUUUCUCAUAUAGAAAUAUAAUUUUUUUAAAAGAAGUGUAUACUAAUUGUUGAAAGAUUUCCGACUCUUUUGGAAAGUCUUCGAAGUGGCAUAUUUUGAAGAUGGUGGACCCUCAACACGUCCAAUAUUAUCAUUGGUUAAGGUUUUUUUUGGAUCUAGUGUCCUAAGUGUAGUACUUUUCAUCAAUAUACAGUUGUAAAUUUUUUUAACAAAUUGGUUAAUAAAACAAAUUUAUUGAUUAUAUUAAUAUACUUUAUAUAAUUGUCCUAACAUAGUUUUUGCACGCAAAGCAAAAUGGAAGUAAAUGUUGCUCAUUGGUUGCCUAAAUAUUUAAUUAAUACUAAGCGGUAUUAUGUGUAUAAAAAGACAGCUUGUAUUAGUAGACAAACCUAAACAUGUCCUUAGCAUAAUUGGAAAUUAGUAAAUUGAUUGAAAGACUAAUAUGUCGUCUAUCAAGUGUAUUUGGGGAGAUGCCUUGUCUUGGGCAUCGAAGCAGAUGACUCCCAAAAGGUAGAGACAUAGAUGUGACUGACUGGACUGGUAGUAAAUUGGAUAGCACACAAACAGAAUAGAUCCUGAAUUCGUUUAUGGACUUAUUCACUUGUGAUGUCCAUAGUGUGGCAUACAUAAAUCUUGAAUGGAUAGCGGAGUACGUAUGUGUGACUUUUACACUUUGAUGUAAGUAAAAACAUAAGUUCAAUUAGAUAAGGAACCAGAAUCUGGUACAUUUGGUUUACGACUUCUAUAGUAUGUAGCAUCAUUCAUAAUAGUGAAAUUCAUAGCGCAAAACAUGGGUAAAUGAUAUCCUCUCAUUGACAUUACAUGGUUAAUGAAAAGUAAACGUGGCCACGGGUUGUCCGUCUUUGUGAUGGAAACUUGAUCACUAAUUGAUAAUGAUUGAUUUUUCACGAAAGAAGAUGUAAUGGCUACCAUGAGAUAAAAUAUGAUAUAUUGGGAGAACAAAUAUUAUCCCAAAGAGAUCAAGGAUAUCCUAUGAGGGUAACACACUAAUGACAAGGUUAUUGGACGAGCAUUAAGUAGUUGCUUUCGUAAUGGUAUGUCGUUGGGGAUAUUUCAUUCACGACACUAUAGUGGAAUGACUUCAUCACUAAAUGAUUUUAUAAUUAAUAGGUGAAAAAAAUAGAAUUUAAAUAUAAAUCAUUUGAGCCUCAACUUUAUAUGUCUACUCGGUCCCCCAACUGUUAGUUCAUUGAAACCAAAAAUUAAUUGCACGUUUGAAUGGAAAUCAGCGAAAUGGAUAGAAAAAGAGAAAUGAGAAACAUUCAGGAAUGAUUAUGGUUUCCUCUAAAAUGGAGAAAUGGAAUAAUUUGAAAAUGAAUGUAGGUUUCCAAAAACGGAAAUAGAAAUGAAAAUGGAAACUUGCAAUUUUAUAUAUGAUUACUUAAAAAAUGAUGGAAGAAUGAGUUUAUAUUUUUGGACUAUUUUGAAGCUCGAAAAUGAAAAUAAAUCAUUCAGUCAUAGUGAACAUAUUGAGUUGUGUCAUAUUAAACGAAUUUUCUUGAAAUUUUAUUGGAGGUAAAAUUGCCAAAAUUUUACUGGGUAAAAUUGUCGUGAGAAAAUAAUUUAAUAUGUAAAUAUUAAAAUUUAUUUUGGAAAUAGAAAAAUUGAAUCGGGUUGGACCAUAUUACAAAGUACUAGAUCAAAAAGGCCCAGAAAGUACUCGUACUUGGACCCGAUGUGAGAGAGGCCCAAAACCCCUCAUGUAAGGUGGGACGGCAAAAACCUAUUAACUAGGGUUGUCGACCCUUAUAUCUUAGAUAGGCUAGGAUAUUAUUUUUCUAGCGGAAAUAAACUUUUACAACUCUACAUGGGUUCUACUUUCUUCUCCUAUAAAUAGAUGGCACCAAUAGAGCUAUUUAUACAACUUUUGAGAGAUUAUUAUUCUACCGAAAAGUAGAGAGAAUUUAUUCUCAACUUAUAAACAUAUUUUUUAGAAUAACAAUUUUACCGAUUUCUAUUAAAGAAGAGAGAAUUUUCGUUUUCACCCUAAAAGGAAAACCUUUUCUAGUUUUGUGUUUUGAUUCAAUUGGUUUGAGCCCACACUCGAAGCAGUUCGUGGUACGAGAAUAGCGCAGAAGAUCGUUUGGUUGAAAGCCUAAAAACAUCAAGGAUUCACCCAUCUAAAAACACAUGUAUGAAUUCGGUUAAGUUUUUUUUGCUACAAAUAUCACAAACUGAGUUGAUUUUCAAAAUUUUAACUUUUGAUGUGCAAGAAAACCAUUUUCAAACUGAGUUUUUUUUUUCAACAGUUUUAUCUCUCAACUUUGUAAAGAGCUCAAGUGCCUAAAUCUACCUAAAGAGGUGAUAGGUUCAAUAGAGUAGGAGUGCCUUGUUGGGACAAACGGUACGUGAUGCAUGACCACCUACCAAGGAAAUUUGAGCAUUUGAGUUUGGCAGGGUUUGAGCUCAUGCCUUACAACAGAUAUGACACUUAUGGACAACUGCUACCAUUUAAUUAGGUCACUUUAUAAAUUCUCAUUAAUUGGAGGGCGAUUGCUAUUAAUAUUUUUCCAGAGUGGCUUUUGUCACCAUCACCUCGGCCAACUACAACCUCGUCAACUAUGACUUCAGUUGAGGGCUACACUUUGCCAGCUAUAGACCUCAUCAAUACAUAUAUGCCUAGUACACGAUACUUCUAAUAUACCUCGUUAGUGAAAGAUGUUGGAUCCUUCUAUGCAUGGAUCAUACGUAGGGUACUCUUGCUUAGGAAUGGCAAUAGGUUAGUAUCUACAUUUCUUGAAUUAUUAGAAUUUGGAUAUGCAUAUUUGCUUAAAAAUCAAAAUUUGCUUAUUAUGUAUAAAUCAUCUGAGUAUUACUAUCUAAAUUUGGCUUAAUUUAAGUACUAUUAUCUGUCAAAUAUCUGAAUUCGCAAAAAAAGAGCAAUUUUAAAAUUUUCAAUCAUUUUUUGGAUAUCCAAAUUCACGAAAAUUCAAAAUUGAAUCCACCAAAUUUUUUUAUAUAUAAUCAAAAAUAUACACAUUUCGUGACUAGUUGAUUUAGAUAUUGAAAUUCCAAUCUACAUCUGCUAUUCGAAUAAGUAAUGUUGUAACACCUUAAAUAAUUUAAGUUUGUUUUUGUGAAAUUUAACACAAAAUGUGUACUUGCUUCAGUGGUUAAGUGUUCUAGGUGUGUGUGUGAGGUAUUGGGUUCAAUUCCCACUUUUGGCAAAACUUUGUUAUUUUAUAUCCAAGCCUAACUCUUAUUGAGUAGGCUUAUGUUAAAUUGUUUGUUAAUCCAUAUCAGAAUAAGCUUGUUGGUUUGAGUGGUAAGGAGUUGGUGUGUAGGAGGUCCUGUUUUUGAAUCCCUACGUGAGCGUAGGUAUUAAUUUUUUCUCGGUUGUCUGAUAGAGUUUGAGUGGUCUUGAAAGUCUGAGGUUGUUAAGGCUGGGUGUUAGUCUGAAGUUAGGAUAUUGUGGGGGGGAUUUUUAUGUUGAUUAUUAUUAUUUUAUUUUAUUCCUUUUUCAAAUUUUCCUCUCUCUUUCCAAAAUUUCCCUUUAAUGUUAUUCUUCAAGUUUUUUUUAUUGUCUCUGAUAUUUUUCCCCCUUUUCAUUAAAUCUUUGUUUUGUUCUUCUUUUUUGAUUAUGUUCGUCAACCUAUCAUUCGAUCGUGCCAUUGGAGUUGUCGGGUUAUCUAAUCGGUUGGUAAGUAAAACUUUGCUUCCCUUUAACUUUUGAUUUGGGAUUAUAGUGAUUUCAAUAUGUAGCAAUUGAUUAGUGGAACUUCGUGUUUAGGAGAAGAUUAUGGAGCAAUGAAUUGCACUCCAACAGUUUAGUGUGCAUUGAAGUGGUUUGUCAUCGACGGUAAGUCAGUUUCGUGUUGUUUCUUGUUGUCAAAUUCAUUAAUCAAACUACUAAAUCAAUGUUGGGUACUUUAAUUUUAGGAUUUGGAAGGCUCGGGAGUAUUUUUGCAUUAAAAUCGUAAUAGGUGUGUCCCCAAAACAUAGAAAGUCAGGUUUCGAUAAAAGUCAAAAAUGCAUUUUGUCGAUGCGACAAGGGCAUGUGCCUGGUCAUGUGGCUAGUCGUGUGUGAGACACGGCCGUGUAUUUGACGAGGGUGUGGCUGUGCGCAAGCCACGGUCAUGUGGUAGUGUAAGUGUCGCUAUGUAGGCCAUACGGGCUAGGCCAGUCUAGGUUUGUGGGCCUACAUAGGCAUGCCACACGGACGUGUAGGCCCAUACGGCCAUGUAGGCCCACAAUUUUGAGAUUUUCCCUUAGGUCGCACGGUUCGUUUCGAACGAUUGUGGACCUACCAUAGGGUCAGUAAGGGCUAAUCAAACCCUAAAUUAUGUGAAAUGAUAUUUUGAUAGUUCGCCUUGUGUAGGAUGUCGAUAUGUACAUCUGUUUUAUUUACGUAUAUAUAUGCUAUCUGUAUAUGAGCAUGUUAUGCAUGAUAUUACUGUAUCUGUUAUUUCUGUAUUAUGUAUUUGUAAAUGGGGUGGGUUUUGUAUAUGUAGAGAAAGUGAUCUGUACGAUAACACUUCCAUUAUAUUUUGACAGUUGACUGCAUAUUAUUUGUAAUGUGUCGUAUUGACACUAUAUGGUGUGUAGGGAUGGGUGGGUGCUUUUAACCCUAUAUGGUAUGAUGGGAUAGUCGAAGAUGUUGUGUAGAGGAUGGGGGUAGGAUUCUGUAUAUCUGUACUACUUAUCUGAUUUUGUUAUCUGUAUCUGGAAUGGAUAUAAGUCCGGAUCUUGAUCUGACUGUAUAUAAGACUUCUAUUUGUAUUGCAUUUCUAUUUUUGUUAGGUUACACAAUAAGUUUACGAAACCUCACAUCUGUUUGUCUGUUCUGUUCAGGUCUAUAGACUUAGGCGGAUCAGUGUGACGGAGCCUCACAGUAACCACGAGAUUGUAAACUAUUUAAUAUUACGGUUUUUAUUUAAUUUAAGGAUUCUUUCUGGAAGUUUGUAAUAAUUGGACUUUCUAGAAUAUUUGACUUUUAUUUCAGUUUUGGAGGUGUUUUAACUUUUAUGGCCACGUUUGACCAAAUUCACGGUUUUACUAAAAUAAAGGAUUUUCUGAAUACACGAAUUAGAUUUCCAAGAUUCAAUGCUUUUUGAAAACUUCCGCUAUAGAUUAUGUUUUGGAAAAUGAAUGAAUUAAAUAACGCUUCUAGUAACAGAUAGUACACUUGGGGUGAUUUAUUGAACGACUAAACAAAGCUUUAUUAAAAGAUCACUAUUUUAAAAACCCUUCCAUGUAACACUCUUAGAUUAGGCCACAACGUCUAGGCCAGGAUUAGGGUGUUACAUUUAAUGGUAUCAGAGUUAGGUUACAAAACUCGAGCUGUGAAUUUUGGGUUUCAAAAUUAUGUUUUGAAAAAGAACAGGUUUUCAAAUAAUUUGGAUCAUUUUGAAUAAGUAUGUGGUACACUGAGUCUCCGGCAUUGAUCCUAUAAGUACUUUUGAACUUAGAUAAAACUUUCUGAAAACACUAUAGUUAGUACUUUCUGAAACUGUACUGAGUUAGUUAAAAAAUAAAAACUUUUGAAAUAUGUUCGAACUUCUGAUAAUUUGAGCAUGAAAUAUAUGUUAAUAAACAUUGGAGCUGAUGCAUAAAAUUUUAUAAUGUAGAUAAAUUUGAAAAUAUACGAUGAGCGCUUAUGGAACUUGCGGUCAUGGUAUUCGUGGGCUCAGUGGGAGCCGUAAGGGGCUGGAGCUGAGUCUUUUUCUCUGGGCAGUAUGCCAAACUUAGAUAUGAGUAAGCCACCAGUGUCACUUGCUACUGAGACAAGGUCUCAAAGCCACUUUGGUGGGGACGACGCACUAUCCCAAGCCAUGUUGAGGGUGUUGGAGAGGGUCAUUGGACCCCAUUCUGGAUCUGUGGGCCGUAGGACGGUAACUGAACGACUCUGGUCCAAUAGAGCUGAGUUGUUUAGGGGUGUCAUUGAAGUCGCCCCUAUUGUGGUCGAGUAUUGGUUGGAGGGCACAAAGAGGAUUAUGAACGACAUCGAUUGUACUCUUAAGUAGAAAUUUAAUGGUGCAGCCUCUCUACUUCGCGAUGAGGCAUAUCAGUGAUGGUUGUCGGUUGAGGAGGGUACUCAACGGGACUGUCUGAACUGGGAUUAUUUUAAGACUACCUUUCAGGGGAAGUAUGUGGGUGCAAGCUAUCUUGAUACUUGUAGGCGUGGGUUCAUGAAUCUCACGCAAGGUGAUAAAUCUGUGGCUAAGUAUGAGGCCGAGUUUCUAAGGUUAAGCCGCUACGCUUAAGGCAUGGUGGUGACUAAAUAUGAGAAAUUCAUCUAUUUUAAGGAUAGCUUGAGGUAUAAUCUGAGGGUAUUGAUUGCUCCACAGAGGGAAUGAGAGUUUGAGUUCUUGUGGAUAAGGUGAAGAUCGCCGAGGAGAUUAAGUGCGUGGAGCGCUAAAAUAGGGAUCGUGAGUGAGGCAAGAAUAAGAGGGAUUCAGAGCCCUCUAGUUCUGUUUAGAGGGCUAUUAGAGUAGGGGUUCCUAUUACUUCUAAUAGGAUUCAGCCACGUGAUGAUUGUGGUAGGCACCAUCCGGGUGAGUGUUAGAGGAGGUUGGGGGCUUGUUUGAGGUGUUGGUCUUUGGAGCACCACAUUAGAGAAUGUUCACUCCAUGCGGAUUAGAUGCAAGCUGUAGGAUCAAGUUUUAUACAACCUUAGAGGGCAGUUCAGCAGCCAUCUAAGGGUCGUGGUCCUACUAGGGGUGGUAAUGGUAUGGGUCGAGGACAUAGAAUAUCGGGAAAAGGUGUUAGUUAGAUUGAAUCCUAAAUUAGAGUUAAGUUUGGUUUGAAUCAAGCCUUAACUUUGACCAAAUCCAACUAAAAACACGUCUAACAAUUAUCUAGUAUUGUUUUUAUGAAUUGAAUUUUAACUUGUAAUUUUCAAUUUUAUUACAAAAUUUCUUUGCGGACGAUAAGAAAAUAACAUAUUUGUAACUUCUUCAACCCGGCGUAAAGGUUAAGUCUGAAUUUGGAUUACAUCAGCCAUAAAGAUGGCCUAGCAGGAUUAUCGGAGUUUUUAAAAACAAACAUCUUUAAAACGUUUGUUUAAUUUAUAGAAAAGCUUAUUUAAUUUCCAAAUUAUUUAUUACUUGAAAUCUUAAUUACACUUUAAAAGUAGGAAGUGGUAACUAUUUAUUUUUAAUAAAAUUCGGGGUUCAUGUAUAAUUGAUUAAUAACCGUAAUUCGAAAACAUUAAAACUUAAAUUAAAUGUCAUGCAAAACAAAACAAGCUUAAAUCUAAAUCUCAUGCCGCAGUUCAAAAUUAUUUAUUGUAGUCUUAGAAAAUAAAAACAAUCAUAUAAUGAACCUAAAUUUUUUAUUUUACUUUAAUAAUGUGUCAAGGUCUUACAGAUGUCACGCCUGCGUUCAAUCUUGGUGGGUUAUCUGUAAGGAUGAAAAUUUAAGGGGGAGUGAGCUAUGACGCUUAGUGUGAGUUCAUUCACAAUAAAUUCAAUGCAAACGGUUGGUAAGGCACAUUAAAUAACAUCGCAUAAAGUAAUCACAGUCAGAUAACAGUUUAGAAUGGCGAUUUUACAAUUUAACUACCAAUAUUAUCACAAUAUUCACAGCUGUAAUUUCAGAAUAUCAAAUUUCCACAUCAUUCACAAUACUAACAUAUAUAUAAAUAUAUCAUAAUAGAAUUCCAGAUUUGUAUGCACAUGAUUUAGAAGAUGCCAUACAAUUUUGGGUUUUAACAGAAUAAAUCCUACCCCACGUUACAUAUCAUAAUGGGAGUUCCCCUAAACUCCCUUCUCCAACACACUAGGUUGUGGAUAAACCACUACUCGUCCACAGAUAAUAACUAUCAUUUGGCUGUGGACACACAACAAAUCCCCACAGUUGGAUUCUAGCUUUGGCUGUGGGUUCACAGCCAAGAGUCCUGCAAAUGAAGCCUGUUUUUGCAUGUAGAUUAUACAACCUAUACCCGCAGUUGGAAUCUGUCUUUGGCUAUGGAUGCACUGUAACACCCCAAACCCGACCUGGACGUUAUGGCUCAAUCUUGACGUAAUGCCCCAAAAUUUCUAAUUUCGUUAUUGUGAAAAUAUGACACAAAAUAUUUGUCUGCUUUAGUGGUUAUGUGUUCUGGGAGUGUUUAGGAGGUCCCAAGUUCACGCCUUCACAUGGGAAAAUUUUGGUAUUUUGAAUGAAUUAGGUAUUACUCUUAUUCAGUAGGCUUUUAUUUGAUUGUUGGGUAAAUUAUAUUAGAAUGGGCUUGCUGGUCUAGUGGUUAAAUGGUUUAUUAUUAUGGUGGAGGUCUUGUGUUCAAGUCCCUAUGUAGGCAAGGGUAUUAUUAUUAUUAUUUGCUCAAAUUUCUGGAUAGAGUUGUGUAAUAGGGGGAUUCUGAGUAGUAGAUGUGUAGUGGGAAUUAGGGGAGAAGAUUAAGGAGUUUCAGGGGUUAUCGAGAUUUUAUUUUAUUUUUUCCCAUAACCGAAUUUUGACUUUCUUUUUCCAAAAAAAAUCUGCCAUCUAUUCUUCUCCCUCUCCUCUUGUUGAAAUUCUCUUAGUUUUUUCACCUUUCUCUUCUUUUUCUUCUUCUUGAUUUUUCCCUAAUCCAUUUAUUUUUCUUCAUUUUCGCACGCGGUUAGUUUUCGCUUAGUUUCGGUAAGUGUUUCUCUUCGUUUCUAUCAUGAAUCUCCUAGCGACUAAAGUGGUAACUUUUUUCUCUGUGAUUUGGGCGUAGGGGAAGGCUCGAACUGUUGAAUUCAGUAUUCUCGUCUUAACAAUAGUUAAAUGGAGGGUUAUUGUUGGUGGUAAGUUGGGUUUCUGUUCAUUCUUAGUUGUCAAUUUGCUUGUAAAUCUGUUAAAUUGAUGUUGAGUAUCUUGAUUAUAGGCUUUGGAGUGCUUGGGGACUGUUUUAGCAUCAAACAAAACCAGGUGUGUACCCGGGACGCAAAAAAAAGGGAUUCGAUCGAAAGCCGAAAUUGUUUGCUGUUUGGACAGUAGCAGUAGGCUAACUUUGAAAAAUCGCCAUAAAUUGUGGAAAUCGAAAUAGAGGAUGAAAAAAAUAUGAAAUUAAAUCUUAUUGAGUCUAGUUUCUCAUAGAAGAACGGUGUAAGUAAUGGAAUUUUAAAUCAUGAGAUAUAAUAAACUAUGUGAGACAAGGUCAGAAUAAAUUCGGGUUCCCUUGUUCUGACUUUGGAAAAUCAUCAAAAAUUGGAUAAAAAUAAUUAGGAAUUAAAAUUUACAUGUUUAAAUUAUUAAUUAGUCUUUUUUCAAUAGAAACAAAUGGGAACUUCAUCCAAAAUUUUUACUAAGAGAUAAUUAAUUUUUAGCAAUGAAGGGUCGAAGCUGUCAAACAGCAGAACAAGGGUAAGUUUGAAGAUUUUACCAUACUUAUUGGCUGAGCCAAAAAUUCUAAAAAUUUUAUGGUAGAAAGGUAUUUGAGUCUAUUUUCAAAUACAUCAAGUGAAUUUUAAUUAGGAAUUCUUUAGCUCAAGAUAUAAAUAAUUUAGUUACAGUGAGUCAAGUAGAAAGCUUUGAAGGAACACAUAAGUAAAUUGUGAUAACAUAUAUGAAUAUUUAGCUAGCACAGGUUACAUUGAAAAUGGAUCACGUAGCCAAGGCCAAUUUGGGCUGAGUGGGCCACAUGGGCAUGUGAGCCCAUUUUUCUAAAAAAUUCUGUAAGGUUGCACGGGUCGCCCAAGUCGACUAUGGACCUACUGUAGGGUCGGUAAGCUUUACUUAGACGCCUAUAUGUGUGAUCUAUCUGGCUGAUUUCUAUACCGAGCAUGACUUAUGAUAUUUGAAUGUAUGUACUUUUAAUUACAUAAUGGCAUGACAAAUUUUGUAUGUUGCAUUGCAUCGGAGUGGGUUGAUGAUAUUUGGAGGAAGUGUCUAAAAGGCUAUUAAGCCUGUUAUCUGGCAGCUCAGCUGCAACCUUCUGAUUAUGUGCGCAUUUCAGUACAACAUGGUGUGUAAGGAUGGGUGGGUUGAUCUAACCCCCACAUGGUGUGUAAGGUUGGACAAAGAUGUGCGUAGAGGCUGGUGGGUAGGAUUCUGAUUUACUGUAUCUACAUUAUGUAUCUGAUAUGGGCCAAGGCUCUAAUGUAUUUCUGAGACUGUAUCUAAACGGGCUAAGGCCCAAACUGAUUGUGUGAUGGGCCUAGGACCCAGACUGUAUCUAACUAAAUUCUGUUGAUUAUUUGUAUGCAUGAUUUCUAUGGGAAUUACACACUGAGUUUACGAAAACUCACCCUUUCUCUAUUUAAUCUGUACAGGUAAUCCCCAGACUUGAUGGGUCAGUGCAACAAAGGAUUCGACAGUGGCCACACGUAAAUUAUGGAUUGUUUUCCGUUAAUACCUAGAAUUUAUUAAUUAUUUGGGGUUUUUGAUGUAUCUUCUGGACUAUGGACUGGUUGGCUAACAUACCUUUUUGCAUUGCAUCAUGUGCACGACAUAUUCGAAUAUUAUUGGUUUAUGCUACGUAGUGUAUUUUGUUGUAUUGAAUGGUAUCAAAAUUAAUGAUUGUCACUCGAAUGAAUUAUGACCUAUGCUCAUACACUGUUUGACAUCAAUUUGAUAAUGGCUAUGUAACGAUAUGAAAUUCCUAUAAUGGUUCUAUUUUCUUCUGUUAAAGCUAAUUAGUUUUACUGUAUUUGAUAUUUAUGUUUGUUUCAAUAAUUGUUCGACUCAUGCUGAGCUUUUCAUAAGCGCACCCCUAAUAUGUUAAACUUUUCAGGUAAACCUCGAAAUUAAGACCAGACUUGGCAUUCGAAGAAUCACCUUAGACCUUGAAUUAUUUUUCUAAUAAGUAUUAAUCAAUCUCUAAUGGUUUUCGUUUGUAAUUUUUAAUUAUAUCUAGUCUGUGGCUUGAUAACUUUUCUUCUGGGAUUUUUGCAUGCAUGGAUUACUCAAGCAUAAUAACCGGAUAAUGCAUGAUAUUAGGCUUAAGUAAAAUUUGAUAUUGUUCCCUAGAUUCCGCUGCAUUGCAAAGGAUUUGUUUUUGAAAAACAAAUUGAUAAGGUAACUAAGUUUUCAAAAUGACUUGAAAAAUGGUUUUUCCCCUGCAUUAGUUUAACAUCGAAUUUUUUUUAAAGGAGAGCAACAAGUAAAUGAUUUUUCUAAAACAACACUAUCAACAAUAAAAUGAAUUCUAAGUAUACACAACCUAAUGAAUGAAUGCUUUUAAGCUAACUUAAAGUACAACUAUGGUUUUCUCUAAAAUGAGUUUAUUUAAAGUUUUCAUAAGUAAUGUAAGUUAGCUUAGCCAUUUCGGUGGCUAAUGUAGCCUUCUCAUUCUAGCCAUAACGUCUAGGCCAGGUUUGGGAGGUUACAGUAUUGAUAGGAACUGUGGUAUAAAUUUUAUUUUGGACAUUCUUAAAUUGUUAUUUGGACUAAACUUUAGAAACUAUGGAUUUUAUACUGAGCCUAAAUUUACGAAGUUCAUGCGUGGUUUUUACGAAAAUGAAACUCAUAUGAAAUUUCAAAACCGUGAUGUUUUUAUUAACGCUCCAAUUUGAAAUUGUACAAGAAAUGUCAAUUUGAAUUAUUUUUGAAUGUUUUUUAUGCCAAUUAAAUAUUGUUUCAAAACAUAGCUAAGUAUUAUUUAAUUUCGUAAAGAUGAAGCAAACUCCGAACAAUCUAAAACUUCAAGGACUAGUUUGCAAUUUUUGUUUUUCCUCAAUUGUCUCCGGUUUGAUUCAAUUCUUGAUCUAUACAAUUAUUCCAUUCAAUUCAUCAAUAUUAAACAUUUAUACAUUAUGUCAUGUCAUGAAUGAACCUAGAUAAAUUCAUUUUUUGAUACCCUUAAAGUUUUACAUUUAUUUCAAUUUAGUCUCUAAAAUCGAAAUAGUCAUAACUUUAAAUUCUGAACUUCGGUUUGAAAAUCGACCUCAAUUUCAUUAUAGACUCUCUACUAUCCAUUAUUAUCAAAAUUUCACAUCAAUUUCACAAUUUAUUUACUUUAGUUAUUAUGUAAAAAAUUAACAACCAAACAUCACAAUUUAGUCAUUUUUCAUAAUUUAAGCUUAAAAUCUAUCAAUUUAAUACCAAUUUCUUCAAGAAAUCAACCAUGAUAACUAUAAAAAAAAUUAACAGUUUUGCAAAUUGAUACAUAGGUCAUUUAAAUCAAACUUUCAUGACCUCAGAAACACAAAAAAAAAUUAUACGAAAAUGAUUUAGAAAUGCAUACCAAUUGAGGACCGAAAGCUUGAAGCUCAAAAUGGCUUUUUCCCUUGAGGUUUUAUGUUGAUUAAAUGAUGAAGAAGAAGAAAUAAAGAUGACAACUUGCACUAAGUCACCUUUAUAUACUUAGAUUAAAUCUUAAUUAAUCAAAUUUAAUUAAUUAAAUCUUAAUUAAUUAACCUUAAUCACAAUUAAAAAAAAUUAGUAGAUGUUAACAUCAUCCUACACUAUUUGAUAUAACCAAAUGAUCUAUUUACCAUUUUGAACCUUUAGCUAAUUAGAAAUCUAUAGCGAUAAGACUUUUAAAAUUUAGUUUCUGUAUCUUAAUUAUGCAAUUAAUAGACAAAGUUGAAGGUUUAAAAUUUAAUGUUCUAUUAUACCAACUCUGUAAAUAUUCAUAUUUAAUAUUUACAGACCCGAAUUACGAAAAUGAGAUUUUGAAAUUGUAUUUUCCAAUACCACUGAAAAUCGAACAAUUACGUAACCUAUUUGCACCAAAGGGCCAAACAUGGCAAAUACUUGACAUGUAUGUCUUAAUAUCCUCAUCUAUUCUCUUCAAUAUAAUAACAUCCAAUAAUUGUUUCAUCCACUGUAACUAUCACGAAGAUUAGAUUUACCAAUACAGCCUACAAUUUGCAGAAGCGCGACAUUUUCAUUCUAGAGAAAGGUAUAAUUGAAACAAAAUUGAAAUAAAGAUUUCAAUACAGAAUCAACAGACAUUCCAGCUAAUACUUAUCAAUUAUUUGCAGCUUCAUUGCUCCAACUAAGAUGGUUUUUAGUCGAAUAUGGUAAAUGAAAUCAAUGAACACCAGCUACUUGAUGAACGAGUGAAUCAAAGUCCUGAUAUGUGCCGGCUUAUUGGUGAAAAAAUACAUGGGUUAGUUUUGCAGCAAUUCAUGAUCUUACAUUUUAUAACCUUUGCUUACAAUUAUUCACUGACUAAUCAUUCAAUGAAUGUAGGCCUCAAAUUUAGCCACUAAACUUUAUUCUUUAUUUUUAGAUACAUAUUAUUUGAUCACUUCAUACAGCCUAUUACUCAUAAUAACUUCCAAUUUCCCUUCUUUAGGUUAGUUGCAAAUGUACAGCUUUUUCUAGAAGAAGAAAAUUGUCAAGAGCCACCUGUUCAAGAGAGGCGCAAACAGAAUGUAACAAUACCUGACCUACUUACGGUACAGCCAAGUAAUCAUGUGUUUCUAUGCUAGAACAUUAAAUCAAUGACUACAAAUUUCAUGUCAUGGUUGUGUAUCAUUUAUGCCACUGAUGCUGCUAUUUUCUAUUCUAAUGCAUAAUAGGGAUUUAGUGUUUUUACCGUUAAAAUUGUGUCCUUUAAUUUUGGCUCUUUUCAAUUGUUGAUCAUGUCCACCUAUGCUUUAUUUUACUACUAUUGCUUUCUUCAAUGAUAGAUGAUUGAAUCGGUAGAAUUUUAUUAAUCCUCUACAUGUUUUAGCUUGAUAUGUGGAUCCUAAGCAUUCCUUGGAUUGUGCCCUCUUUGUUCAUUUAUUUUUUUUCCUGGAACCUUAUUACAUGUUGUAACACUCCAGUUUUUUGGAGACAUUGAAGACGACUAACUGCUGAAUUCUUUCUUCUGCAGAGGAACCAAUGGCAAGAGACUCUAAAACUCCUACUCUUUUUUAUACCUUCCUCACCUCUUUGUGACAUUAUAGCUGAAAAAUGAUGUAUGCUAAUACAUGAAAUGUUUCCUCUUGCCUUUCUUUUUGUAGUACUAAAACUACAAAUAGUGUCUGUAAAUCUCUUUUCCCGUAAUCUUAUCUUUUCCUCAUUGUAAUAGUUGGAAAACAGCUUUGUUGAAGACAAUGUCAACUACUGGGAUAAGUUACAAACACUGUUAUUGUUUAUUUUGUAGUCUAAAUUAUGAUAAUUUCUGCACAAAAUUCACAUAAAUGGUUACCCUCCCGAAGCGGAGCGAGGGUGAUGCUUACUAGUUAUUAAGAAAACAGGACCUUGUAGGGCUUAACUGUUGAAUCAAGAAAGAAAUUUCUUUUAAUGCCUUAAAAAAAAGAAAUUUCUUUUAAUGCCUUCAAUUUUUUUUAAAGCUGAUUUUUUUUUUACAAAUUAAAGUUUUGAUUGUAUGUUAAUUGCUUGAGGGAAGGUCGGAUACUUUAUUAUCCCUAUUUUUAUUUGUUAUAUAUUUUAACCAUACUGAUUUUUUUGGCCCUACAAUUUUACCAAAAAAAUCAUAUUAGCUUUCAUUUAAUUUUCGUCUCUUUUAACCCUUUAACUUGUAUUUUUUUUGUCAAAUCACCCCAAAAUGGAUCGAAAACUUUAACAUUUGUGAACUUUGAUUAUGUGACAUACACAUGAAUUGUCACAUGGAUGACAAGUCAACAUUUCUUUAAAAAAAAACUUAAAAAAUAUUAAAUAAAAUAUUUUUGAUAUUUUUUAAUGAUUUUUAAAUUAAAAAAAGUUUUUAAAUAUAUUUUAAUUUUUAAAAAUUAAUAAAACGCAGACAUGGAAAUUCACAUCUAUGUGUCACAGACCGUGGAUUAAAGCCUGUGACCAUUGCGCAUAGAACACCCCAUAGAAUUUUGGCUUUUUAUUUGGUCAAUCAUGUCCACCUAUGCUUUAUUUUUACUAUUAUUGCUUUCUUUAAUGAUAGAUGAUUGAAUCGGUAGAAUUUUAUUAAUCCUCUAUGUAAUAACCAAAUUUUUCCCGGGCCCAAUGCCAAACAAAUAAAACCCAAACCAAAUAAAUAAAAUAAGAGUCCAAAUUACAGUCCAUCAGAGCUCAAUUCAGACCAGCCCACUAUUCAAUCAGACUGGCCCAACACCCAAAUAACCUAACAACCCUAGCCCAACAAAAUCAGAAAAAUGAACAGCAAAAAAACCCUAGGUGCGCCGCACCUAGGUCUUCUGGCCUAACCGCCGUUGUUCGCCUAUCACCAGCCUCCACGCUGCCACCGCCGCAUGCGCACCAGGCCUCCUCCAUGUGUGUCUGACACCUGCAAAGAGAGUCACACGCAACAGUAGAAACAAAAACAAAAAACAAAUAGCAAAACGACAAAAAAAAUAAUGAUUAAGGAGUUCGUAAUCCGACUAUAAAAGCCCUAAUCUGUGACUUGUAAUUUUUUGACACACAUUAGAAAAUAAAAACCAAAAAAAAAAACUUUAAGGUGAUACUCAUUUCAUUUUAUUUUUGUUUUAUUUUAUUUUAUCAUUUUUAUCUUUUUAUUUCGAAAUAACAUAAAUAAAAAGGGGAGGCUGGGUUGCCGUUGCCAGAGCAUAUUUUGUGCUAAAGGGGGUUGCGCCGGAGGAAAAGAGGAAACUUUUCAGUUUCCCGCCGCCGUGAUGGCCAAACCUCUGACUGGCGCUUGGAGAAAGAAGGGGAGAGUUUGAGAGAAUUUUAGGUUUUUUGUUUAAUAAAAGUGAAAAAUGAAGAAUUCUGAAAAAAUUAAUAUUUAUAGCACCUAGAAAUGGCGUCGUUUUGGCCAGUUUCAUUUGGCCCCAAAAUGACACCAUUUAAUGGCCUAUACCGGCACAGUGACCCAACCCGGGGAAGGAUCCGAGCGUUUUGUGCUAUUGGGUAAUUUUCACAUUUGGUCCCUCUUAUUUUGUAGUGUUUUCAAAUUAGAUUUUAUUUAUUUUAAAUUUCAACUUACAUUUUUGUUUUUGUUUCACUUAGAUCCUGAACAAUGCGCAGCGUUUUGGGGGCGAGGAAAUAUUUCCAAUAUGGCCCCAUGUAAUCUGCAUAUUACACUUUAACCCCUCGUCUUGUUUAUAAUUCUAUUCUUUUCUUGUUAAUUUAGAUUCAAUUGCGAUUUAAUCUUUUGUUAAAACAUUUGUUUUCUUUAUUAAUUUAUUAACUAUUUUAUUAUUAUUUUAGUGGUAUAUUCGGUCAUAUUUUCAUUAUCUUAUUAUAUAUUAUCAUUUUGAGUUUUACUUAUAUUAUUAUUAUAAUUUAUAAUGUGUUAUUUUAUUAACUCAAUAUAACAUAUAUAUAUAUGUAUUUUUUUGUGGUUUUAUUUUUAUAAUAUAUUUUUUAAAUCCAUUUUUAUGCACUUUAUAUUUAAGUAUUUAUACAAUAAUAUUCUUAUAAUAUUUUUAUACAUGUACAAUUUAUAUAUAAUUAUUUCUUAUACGUGUAUAUAUACAUAAUAAAUCAUCGAUUACAUGUUAUUAUAUUAUUUCCACUUAUUUCAUAUAUAAUUUAUUUCUUUUAAAAUACUCUAUUAUAUACUUCAUUUAUUUCAACCUUUUAUGUGUAUCAUUAUAGAUAUACUAUUAUAUGAAGUUUUUCAAUCCCUAUGCAUUACUUAUUUAAAUUAAUAUAUGUAUAUUAUUUUAUGUAUUUAGAUUUAUUUUGUAUAUAAUAUCUACUUUUAAAUUUAUUUGGAUACUAUUAUUUUAAGUGGAAUUUAUUUUUAUCUAUAUUUUUUUUAUUUAUUUCAAUUUUUCAUAUAUGUAUAUAUUAUUUAUUUUAAAUUUAUUUUAAUCAUAAUUUCCCUUCUUUCAUAUUUCUUAAGUUUAAAAAAAAACUUGUACAAUUUCAUUUGGUGCUUUGAUUGUUUUUUAAUUCAUUAGCCUUUGAAUGUUAGCAUAAUACAUUAUGUGAGAUUAUUGCUCUUAUACGUAUUAUAUUGCUUAUUUUUAUUUACUAAUUAUUCGUAGAUCAUUAGAAUACAUUUUGGUUUACAAAUUAUCGCUUUGUAUUGUACAUUAAUAUUCAAUUGUUUUUUUAUUCGUUCGAAAGAUUACGUUUAAUAUCAUUUAAGUAUCAAAAUCGAUUUAUUCAAAAACUUUCAAGAUAACGUAAUAUUCUGUAUUUGGGAUAUUCGAGAGAAUUGAGCCUUAAUGUAUUGGGUUCCAAUUUUCCUCGUUGAAUCUAGAUAAUCGAGAAUAAUCUUCAAUCAAAAUACAUACAUAAAAAGCUCAUUAUCGGGAAUUCGAUACAUUGUGUCCUAACGCAUUGGAUACGACAUGUUGUUUUCUCGAGAUGAGGAUUUUUCUAAAAAAAAUAAUAAAGGCAAUAUUCCGUAUUUGGGAAAUUUGAGAGAUCGUGCCCUAACUUACUGGGUUUCGAUUUUUCUCCUUUAACCCAAAUAAUCAAAUAUCCUUCUCAAAAUGCAUAGGUUUUAAAAGUCAAAAGAUAAACUUAAUUUUGAAGAUUAAGAAUGUUGCGCCCUAACUCACUGGGUGUGACAUUUUAUCUCUUUGAAAUAAGAGUGUCUUAUCAUUUAAUUCAAUUUAUUCAAGGUUAAAAGGAUCGUAUUUUAAAACCUUUUCAAAAUUUCAACACUAAGACAUUAAGUAAUCAACUAGGUACCAAUUUUUGGGCGUUACGAGGGUGCUAAUCCUUCCUUGUACGUAACCGACUCCCGAACCUAUUUUUUUGAAUUUCGUGGACCAAAAUCAUUAUUUUAAUAAAAUCAAACCAUUUAUUAAAAACAACCACUUUUCGAGGUGACCCGAUCACACUUCAUCGAAAAAGAUCGGUGGCGACUCCCAUAUUCAUUUUCAUUUUCAAAAUCCAAAUUGACCCUGUUUUAUCAAAAAAUGGUGUCAACACUGCACAUGUUUUAUCUUGACAUAUGGAUCCUAAGCAUUCCUUGGAUUUUGCCCUCUUUGUUCAUUUAUUUUUUCUUGGAACCUUAUUACAUGUUGUACCAUUCCAGUUUUUUGGAGACAUUGAAGACGACUAACUGCUGAAUUCUUUCUUCUGCAGAGGAACCAAUGGCAAGAGACUCUAAAAAUCCUACUCUUUUUUAUACCUUCCUCACCUCUUUGUGACAUUAUAGCUGAAAAAUGAUGUAUGCUAAUACAUGAAAUGUUUCCUUUUGCCUUUCUUUUUGUAGUACUAAGACUACAAAUAGUGUCUGCAAAACUCUUUAGAGAAAAACAAAUGUCUGUAAAUCUCUUUUCCCGUAAUCUUAUCUUUUCCUCAUUGUAAUAGUUGGAAAACAGUUUUGUUGAAGACAAUGUCAACUACUGGGAUAAGUUAUUGUAAGCAUCUUUUCUUUAAGUGUUUCAUAUUAAAAACAAACACUGUUAUUGUUUAUUUUGUAGUCUAAAUUAUGAUAAUUUCUGCACAAAAUUCACAUAAAUGGUUACCGUCCCGAAGCGGAGCGAGGGUGAUGCUUACUAGUUAUUAAGAAAACAGGACCUUGUAGGGCUUAACUGUUGAAUCAAGAAAGAAAUUUCUUUUAAUGCUUUCAGUUUUUUUAAAGCUGAUUUUUUUUACAAAUUAAAGUUUGGAUUGUAUGUUAAUUGCUUGAGGGAAGGUCGGAUGCUUUAUUAUCCCUAUUUUUAUUUGUUAUAUAUUUUAGCCAUAAUGAUUUUUUUGGCCCUACAACUUUACCAAAAAAAUCAUAUUAGCUUUCAUUUAAUUUUCGUCUCUUUUAACCCUUUAACUUAUAUUUUUUUGUCAAAUCACCCCAAAAUGGAUCGAAAACUUAACAUUUGUGAACUUUGAUUAUGUGGCAUACACAUGAAUUGUCACAUGGAUGACAAGUCAACAUUUAGUUUUUUUUUUAAAAAAAAAAACUUAAAAAAUAUUAAAUAAAAUAUUUUUGAUAUUUUUUAAUGAUUUUUAAAUUAAAAAAAGUUUUUUAAUAUUUUUUAAUUUUUAAAAAUUAAUUAAAUGCAAACAUGGAAAUUCACAUCUAUGUGUCACAGGCCGCGGAUUAAAGCCCGUGACCAUUGUGCAUAGAACACCCCAUAGAGGUCAACUUAUUAAACAAGGUUCAUUUGACCCGCAUGAACUGGCCCGACCCAUGGAACCCGUGGAGAAGCCCAUCUACUUGAAGCCUUGGUGGUCUAGUGAAAUAUAGUUUAAUUUUUUUUAAACAUAGGGUAAGGGAAGAAGAAUGCCUUAAAAUUAAUUUUUGUUAGAAAACUAAUAAGAAUGAGUUUGUUGGUUUAGUGUUAAGGCCUUAUCCUAUCCAUAGAUCCCAAGUUUGAAUCCCUUGGUGAGCAUUCAACCAAAAUAUUUUUAUUUCCUUGUUUUUACCACACCAAAAGUGACAAAUUUUAAAAUAACCCAGCCCAAAAACUAUUUUUUUUUAAUUUUAGUCCUUAAUUUAAAAUUUUCCCAAACCUACAUAAAUUUUUAAAACCUAUUCCAAUUAGGAAAAAUAAGUAUUAUAAAUAGACAAUUUCAAAACAAACUCUAGAAUUUCAUCUAGCAAAUUUUCAAGAAAAAAUCCAUAAACACUUUCUUUUCCAAAUCAAACUUUCAAGCUAAAGAAAUCAGAAUCUUCAAAAUCAUCCCUCAAGUAGAUCUUCAAUCUUUUCUCCAGCACUAAGGUUUCUAAGUAUUCAAAAUAGGUGUGGGAACAAAACCUAAAUCUUUGUGUAUAAUUGAAUCUAAUAGCAAGUAGAGAACCAGUAUAGGCUAACCCUAGGAGAAACCCCCUGUAUGUGCAAUCAUGUAGGUGUGAGCCUAUAGAUGCAAAACCCCUUGUACAUGAAAACCCCAUGCAUGCAAACCCUUACGUGAAACCCCCCUUUCAUGCGAACCCUGUAUGAAUACCAUGUGAACCCUAGAUUAUAGUUGCGAACCCUAGGUUGUUAUGUGGAUACCCAUACUGUGAACCCAAGUGCACAAACAUAUAGGAAUAUUCAUGCGAGCCCCCUUGCAUGCGAACCCUAGUUAGUGUACAUACGGGUCUCAUAUUUACAUGCAAACCACUACUAGUGCGAGUCAAUUAUAUGAUAUCACAUACGAACCCUACUAUUACAUGCAAACCUUUAUACAUGUUAUAUUCGAACCUUUUUUUGUUAAAACAGGUGAGACUUGUCUAGUAUUACAUACGACCUAAUUUGCGAACUCAUAUGUUAAAAGUAUGUGAACCUAUCUAUGUUUGUUAUGCGAGCUCACAUGUUAGCAGUAUGUGAACCUAUAUAUAUCAGUUAUGCAAACUCACAUGUUAGCAGUAUACGAACCAUAAGUCUGUUAUGCAAACUCACACAUUGGCAGUAUGCGAACCCUAUAUACACCUUUAUGCAAACUCACACAUUAACAGUAUGCGAACCCUAUAUACGCCUCUAUGCAAACUCACACGUUAGCAGUAUGCGAACCCUAUAUACGCCUUCAUGCAAACUCAUAUGAUUUGCAGCAUGCGAUCUCUAUAUUUAUGCGAACCCUUGUAAUAAAAAAUAUGCGAACCUUAACUUGCGAACCCUUGGCAGGAACCCUGCACUCGCAAAGCCUUCUUCCGGACCUGUACAUAUGCUAGAUAACCAAGCCUAUUAGUUUACAUUAAAUCACUGUACAUAUGAGACUGUUUGUUUACUUGCACAAGUUAUAUGUGUAUUUACUAUUCGAUACAAGAGUACCUAUCGACCUUUUGAUGAGAAUUCAGAGAUUAACGAUGAUAAUUCCAACAAUCAGUGUAAGAACGAGUUAAAUCGAGAGUUGAUGUAAUUUAAGGUAAUAAAGUUAAUUUUUCAGUAAUAAAUGUAAAAUUGUUAUGGAAAGAAACGAUGGGUAAAAAAAAAUGAGAGUUUUAAAUAAAAGAGAGGAAAACUUCAAUUUAGGGUUGAAGAGGAACUAAAAAUUUACGUGAAAUUAGGAAAAAAUAUAAAAUACCUAGGAUUAAGAAAUUUGAGGGGGUUGAAUGGUAAAAUACCCUUUUUUCUUAAAAAUGAAAAAAAAUGGAAAUGGGUAUUAAGUUUGGCACGACUUGAACCUUGGAAGCAAAGGAAAAAAUUACAAAGGCCUUACCAUUUGGGUUGCUACCCACAUUUGGCAUUUUUUUACACUAUUUAAAAUAUAUCCUAGCUUAGUUUUGAUCAUAGGUUGUUGAAAAAAAAAAAAAGGGGUAAGAGUGUGGCUUCAACCUUAAUUCUCUAGUUAGUAUACUAAGCUCUGAACCAUUAAGAUUAAGGCCCAUGUCUUAGUCAAUUAAUUCAUCUAACUCUAUAUAUUUUGAGGUGUUACAUCUUGAAUUAGAAAAACCCAUAAAAUGCAUGUAGACUUGUAUUGCUCGGUACUUGGUAGUAUAUAUGUAGACUUGUAUGUUGAUUAAGCUAGCUUAAUUAAGACCAAUGUGUUAGACUUGUCUAUGCAUUGAACAAUCUAGAAGAAAAUGAAGAAAAAGACUCUGAAAACACUUGAAAACAGAUAAAACUCAUAUGUCAUCGACUAGUUAAACUAUGAUCACCCAUAAUAGACCUUGUAUUUGACUUUUUGUUGAGGGAGAAGUUUCGUGAGUGUUGUUUGUCAGGGAGUCAGUGUUGCCCUAAACAACUAAAGGUAUUGUCCCCAUGUCGAGAUUUUACCCCCAGCCUCUGCAAAAUAAUCAUGAAGAAUACGUGCGAAGGAAUUCAAACACCAACCAAUGCAUGUGUAGCCUUUACCUUCCCACUAUCUUUGGGAACUCAUAAGGAUAAAAUCCCAACAAGAGAAUUGUAUCAGAGGGGUCUGUCAACACAAUGAAUGAAAUUUCAUACUUUUUUUUUAAUGAAAGUAAAUAUCAUAUUUAGUUAGAGAAAAGCAACGAAAAAUCUAACAAUAAAAUCCUUAGCAAAAGAUUAAAACACAAUUGUACCAUAAAUUAAAUAAGAAAUUAAAAAAAUUCAAAUCUAACAAAGACAGUAACUUGAUUCCUCAAAGCUACCACAAACAGUAAUUCAUAGGAAGGCCUGCUGCUCAUUUAUAACACAAACUUCAUGGUGACGGAUACCAACAUACCAUCAACUGAAGUCAUAGUUGACGAGGUUGUAGUUGGCCGAGGUGAUGGUGACAAAAGCCACUCUGGAAAAAUAUUAAUAGCAAUCGCCCUCCAAUUAAUGAGAAUUUAUAAAGUGACCUAAUUAAAUGGUAGCAGUUGUCCAUAAGUGUCAUAUCUGUUGUAAGGCAUGAGCUCAAACCCUACCAAACUCAAAUGAUCAAAUUUCCUUGGUAGGUGGUCAUACGUCACGUACCGUUUGUCCCAACAAGGCGCUCCCACUCUGUUGAACCUCUCAUCUCUUUAGGUAGCUUUAGGCACUUGAGAUCUUUACAAAGUCGAGAGGUAAAAUUAUUGGAAAAAAAAACUCGGUUUGAAAAUGGUUUUCUUGCACAGUAGAAAAAUAAAAUUUUGAAAAUUGACUUGGUUUGUGAUAUUUAUAACAAAAAAAAACCUUAACUGAAUUCAUACAUGUGUUUUUGGAUAAGUGGAUCCUUGAUGUUUUCAGGCUUUCAACCAAACGAUCUUUUGCACUAUUCUCGUACCACGAUCUGCUUCGAGUGUGGCCUCGAACCAAUUGAAUCAAAACACAAAACUAGAAAAGGUUUUCCUUUUUGGGUGAAAACCAAAAUUCUCUCUUCUUUAAUAGAAAUCGGUAAAAUUAUUAUUAUGAAAAAUAUGUUUAUAAGUUGAGAAUAAAUUCUCUCUAUUUUUCGACAGAAUAAAAAUCUCUGAAAAGUUGUGUAAAUAGCUCUACUGGUGCCAUUUAUUUAUAAGAAGAGAAAGUAGAACCCUUGUAGAGUUGUAAAAGUUUAUAUCCACUAGAAAAAUAAUAUCCUAGCCUAUCUAGGAUAUAGGGAGCAACAACCCUAGUUAAUGAUACUAGGGUUUUGUCGUCCCACCUCCUUAUAUGAGGGGUUUUAGGCCUCUCUCACAUCAGGUCCAAGUACAAGUAAUUCUUAAAUAUAAAUUUGAAUUUGAUAUAUUGAUUACAUAUGAAUUUAUAUAUUGUGAGUAAAAUUUUUAUUUGAUAUAUUAAUAAUGUAUAAAUUUAUAUAUUGUUAAUACAUCAUAUGUUUAAAAAAUCUAAUAAUUAUAUAUUAUUUUCAAUAAUUUUUAAAUUUAUUAAUUGAUUUAUUGGUAUAUUAAUAUUAUUUAUUAGUAAUAUGUAAAUUUAUACCCUGUCAAUUUAUGAAAUAACAUUUAGUGAGUGGAAUAUAUAUAAAAGAAGAUAUUCUAAAUCUUUCUAAGAUUUCUAAUUCUUCCUUAAAAUAGAAAAAGAAAUAAAUUGUUGAUAUAGAUAUGUUGAUAAGAUUUUCAUGUAGGGCUUUUCUGUAAUUCAUGAUUUUGUUACAUGCAUAAAUUGUAAUUGUGAUAUUUUAUAUUUUAUUUAUAUAAAUCAUGUUAAAUUUGAUUUAAAUUCCUUUUUUAAUUAUUUAUUCUUUUAAGAAAUUUCAAGUAUUCAAUAAAUAUUAAUGUAUACUUUUUCUUAAAUUGAUAUAAUAGUGAUAUCAGAUUAGUUUAAAAUUUUGCGUGUAUGACAAGUACAAUUAUAUCGAUAGAUUCAAUAGUCGGAUUAUUCAAAUAUUACUCCUACAAAUAUAUAUUUGAAGAAGUAUAAACUGCUUUAAUUUUACACUGGUAUAAGUAGAUCUCUCUCUUACAUCUGUUGUAUAUAUGAAAUUUUGAUUUUGAUUCAAACGUACUCAUUUAAAGAAAUAAAUAUAUCAAUUUAUUUUUAUAUUGAAUAAGUAUAAUUAUUUGGAUAUGCAAUAUAUAGAUGUAAAAUGAUGGUAUAUAAAUAACGAUGUUAGAUGUUUGUGAAAAUUGAAUCAAAUCAAUAUUUCAUGUAUAAAAUUGCACAAUGGACCAAAGUUCAUGUACAAUUUUGAUCUUUAUAUCUGAAAUUUAUUAAUGCAAAUUAUUUUCCAAAAGAUCACAUUGAGUAAGUUUAAUUUAAAUUUCAAUAUUUAAAUUUUUUUCUCAUAUAGAAAUAUAAUUUUUUUAAAAGAAGUGUAUACUAAUUGUUGAAAGAUUUUCGACUCUUUUGGAAAGUCUUCGAAGUGGCAUAUUUUGAAGAUGGUGGACCCUCAACACGUCCAAUAUUAUCAUUGGUUAAGGUUUUUGUUGGAUCUAGUGUCCUAAGUGUAGUACUUUUCAUCAAUAUACAGUUGUAAAUUUUUUUAACAAAUUGGUUAAUAAAACAAAUUUAUUGAUUAUAUUAAUAUACUUUAUAUAAUUGUCCUAACAUAGUUUUUGCACGCAAAGCAAAAUGGAAGCAAAUGUUGCUCAUUGGUUGCCUAAAUAUUUAAUUAAUACUAAGCGGUAUUAUGUGUAUAAAAAGACAGCUUGUAUUAGUAGACAAACCUAAACAUGUCCUUAGCAUAAUUGGAAAUUAGUAAAUUGAUUGAAAGACUAAUAUGUCGUCUAUCAAGUGUAUUUGGGGAAAUGCCUUGUCUUGGGCAUCGAAACGGAUGACUCCCAAAAGGUAGAGACAUAGAUGUGACUGACUGGACUGGUAGUAAAUUGGAUAGGACACAAACAGAAUAGAUCCUGAAUUCGUUUAUGGACUUAUUCACUUGUGAUGUCCAUAGUGUGGCAUACAUAAAUCUUGAAUGGAUAGCGGAGUACGUAUGUGUGACUUUUACACUUUGAUGUAAGUAAAAACAUAAGUUCAAUUAGAUAAGGAACCAGAAUCUGGUACAUUUGGUUUACGACUUCUAUAGUAUGUAGCAUCAUUUAUAAUAGUGAAAUUCAUAGCGCAAAAAAUGGGUAAAUGAUAUCCUCUCAUUGACAUUACAUGGUUAAUGAAAAGUAAACGUGGCCACGGGUUGUCCGUCUUUGUGAUGGAAACUUGAUCACUAAUUGAUAAUGAUUGAUUUUUCACGAAAGAAGAUGUAAUGGCUACCAUGAGAUAAAAUAUGAUCAUAUUAGGAGAACAAAUAUUAUCCCAAAGAGAUCAAGGAUAUCCUAUGAGGGUAACACACUAAUGACAAGGUUAUUGGACGAGCAUUAAGUAGUUGCUUUCGUAAUGGUAUGUCGUUAGGGAUAUUUCAUUCACGACACUAUAGUGGAAUGACUUCGUGACUAAAUGAUUUUAUAAUUAAUAGGUGAAAAAAUAGAAUUUAAUUAUAAAUCAUUUGAGCCUCAAGUUUAUAUGUCUACUCGGUCCCCCAACUGUUAGUUCAUUGAAACCAAAAAUUAAUUGCACGUUUGAAUGGAAAUCAGCGAAAUGGAUAGAAAAAGAGAAAUGAGAAACAUUCAGGAAUGAUUAUGGUUUCCUCUAAAAUGGAGAAAUGGAAUAAUUUGAAAAUGAAUGUAGGUUUCCAAAAAUGGAAAUAGAAAUGAAAAUGGAAACUUGCAAUUUUAUAUAUGAUUACUUAAAAAAUGAUGGAAGAAUGAGUUUAUAUUUUUGGACUAUUUUGAAGCUCGAAAAUGAAAAUAAAUCAUUCAGUCAUAGUGAACAUAUUGAGUUGUGUCAUAUUAAACGAAUUUUCUUGAAAUUUUAUUGGAGGUAAAAUUGCCAAAAUUUUACUGGGUAAAAUUGUCGUGAGAAAAUAAUUUAAUAUGUAAAUAUUAAAAUUUAUUUUGGAAAUAGAAAAAUUGAAUUGGGUUGGACCAUAUUACAAAGUACUAGAUCAAAAAGGCCCAGAAAGUACUCGUACUUGGACCCGAUGUGAGAGAGGCCCAAAACCCCUCAUAUAAGGUGGGACGGCAAAACCCUAUUAACUAGGGUUGUCGACCCUUAUAUCCUAGAUAGGCUAGGAUAUUAUUUUUCUAGCAGAAAUAAACUUUUACAACUGUACAUGGGUUCUACUUUCUUCUCCUAUAAAUAGAUGGCACCAAUAGAGCUAUUUGUACAACUUUUGAGAGAUUAUUAUUCUACCGAAAAGUAGAGAGAAUUUAUUCUCAACUUAUAAACAUAUUUUUUAGAAUAACAAUUUUACCGAUUUCUAUUAAAAAAGAGAGAAUUUUCGUUUUCACCCUAAAAGGAAAACCUUUUCUAGUUUUGUGUUUUGAUUCAAUUGGUUUGAGCCCACACUCGAAGCAGUUCGUGGUACGAGAAUAGCGCAGAAGAUCGUUUGGUUGAAAGCCUAAAAACAUCAAGGAUUCACCCAUCUAAAAACACAUGUAUGAAUUCGGUUAAGUUUUUUUUGCUACAAAUAUCACAAACCGAGUUGAUUUUCAAAAUUUUAACUUUUGAUGUGCAAGAAAACCAUUUCCAAACUGAGUUUUUUUUCAACAGUUUUAUCUCUCAACUUUGUAAAGAGCUCAAGUGCCUAAAGCUACCUAAAGAGGUGACAGGUUCAAUAGAGUAGGAGUGCCUUGUUGGGACAAACGGUACGUGAUGCAUGACCACCUACCAAGGAAAUUUGAGUAUUUGAGUUUGGCAGGGUUUGAGCUCAUGCCUUACAACAGAUAUGACACUUAUGGACAACUGCUACCAUUUAAUUAGGUCACUUUAUAAAUUCUCAUUAAUUGGAGGGCGAUUGCUAUUAAUAUUUUUCCAGAGUGGCUUUUGUCACCAUCACCUCGGCCAACUACAACCUCGUCAACUAUGACUUCAGUUGAUGGCUACACUUUGCCAGCUAUAGACCUCAUCAAUACAUAUAUGCCUAGUACAUGAUACUUCUAAUAUACCUCGUUAGUGAAAGAUGUUGGAUCCUUCUAUGCAUGGAUCACACGUAGGGUACUCUUGCUUAGGAAUGGCAAUAGGUUAGUAUCUACAUUUCUUGAAUUAUUAGAAUUUGGAUAUGCAUAUUUGCUUAAAAAUCAAAAUUUUUUUAUUAUCUAUAAAUCAUCUGAGUAUUACUAUCUAAAUUUGGCUUAAUUUAAGUACUAUUAUCUGUCAAAUAUCUGAAUCCACAAAAAAAGGGCAAUUUUAAAAUUUUCAAUCAUUUUUUGGAUAUCCAAAUUCACGAAAAUUCAAAAUUGAAUCCACCAAAUUUUUUUAUAUAUAAUCAAAACUAUACAUAUUUCGUGACUAGUUUAUUUAGAUAUUGAAAUUCCAAUCUACAUCUGCUAUUCGAAUAAGUAAUGUUGUAACACCUUAAAUAAUUUAAGUUUGUUUUUGUGAAAUUUAACACAAAAUGUGUACCUGCUUCAGUGGUUAAGUGUUCUAGGUGUGUGUGUGAGGUAUUGGGUUCAAUUCCCACUUUUGGCAAAACUUUGUUAUUUUAUAUCCAAGCCUAACUCUUAUUGAGUGGGCUUAUGUUAAUUGUUUGUUAAUCCAUAUCAGAAUAAGCUUGUUGGUUUGAGUGGUAAGGAGUUGGUGUGUAGGAGGUCUUGUUUUUGAAUCCCUACGUGAGUGUAGGUAUUAAUUUUUGCUCGGUUGUCUGAUAGAGUUUGAGUGGUCUUGAAAGUCUGAGGUUGUUAAGGUUGAGUGUUAGUCUGAAGUUAGGAUAUUGUGAGGGGAUUUUUAUGUUGAUUAUUAUUAUUUUAUUUUAUUCCUUUUUCAAAUUUUCCUCUCUCUUUCCAAAAUUUCCCUUUAAUGUUAUUCUUCAAGUUUUUUUUGUUGUCUCUGAUAUUUUUCCCCCUUUUCAUUAAAUCUUUAUUUUGUUCUUCUUUUUUGAUUAUGUUCGUCAACCUAUCAUUCGAUCGUGCCAUUGGAGUUGUCGGGUUAUCUAAUCGGUUGGUAAGUAAAACCUUGCUUCCCUUUAACUUUUGAUUUGGGAUUAUAGUGAUUUCAAUAUGUAGCAAUUGAUUAGUGGAACUUCGUGUUUAGGAGAAGAUUAUGGAGCAAUGAAUUGCACUCCAACAGUUUAGUGUGUAUUGAAGUGGUUUGUCAUCGACGGUAAGUCAGUUUCGUGUUGUUUCUUGUUGUCAAAUUCAUUAAUCAAACUACUAAAUCAAUGUUGGGUACUUUAAUUUUAGGAUUCGGAAGGCUCGGGAGUAUUUUUGCAUUAAAAUCGUAAUAGGUGUGUCCCCAAAACACAGAAAGUCAGGUUUCGAUAAAAGUCAAAAAUGCAUUUUGUCGAUGCGACAAGGGCAUGUGCCUGGUCGUGUGGCUAGUCCUGUGUGAGACACGGCCAUGUAUUUGACGAGGGUGUGGCUGUGCGCAAGCCACGGUCAUGUGGUAGUGUAAGUGUGGCUGUGUAGGCCAUACGGGCUAGGCCAGUCUAGGUUUGUGGGCCUACACAGGCAUGCCACACGGACGUGUAGGCCCAUACGGCCAUGUAGGCCCACAAUUUUGAGAUUUUCCCUUAGGUCGCACGGUUCGUUUCGAACGAUUGUGGACCUACCAUAGGGUCGGUAAGGGCUAAUCAAACCCUAAAUUAUGUGAAAUGAUAUUUUGAUCGUUCGCCUUGUGUAGGAUGUCAAUAUGUACAUCUGUUUUAUUUACGUAUAUAUAUGCUAUCUGUAUAUGAGCAUGUUAUGCAUGAUAUUACUGUAUCUGUUAUUUCUAUAUUAUGUAUCUGUAAUUGGGGUGGGUUUUGUAUAUGUAGAGAAAGUGAUCUGUACGAUAACACUUCCAUUAUAUUUUGACAGUUGACUGCAUAUUAUUUGUAAUGUGUCGCAUUGACACUAUAUGGUGUGUAGGGAUGGGUGGGUGCUUUUAACCCCAUAUGGUGUGAUGGGAUAGUCGAAGAUGUUGUGUAGAGGAUGGGGGUAGGAUUCUGUAUAUCUGUACUACUUAUCUGAUUUUGUUAUCUGUAUCUGGAAUGGAUAUAAGUCCGGAUCUUGAUCUGACUGUAUAUAAGACUUCUAUUUGUAUUGCAUGUCUAUUUUUGUUAGGUUACACAAUAAGUUUACGAAAACUCACAUCUGUUUGUCUGUUCUGUUUAGGUCUAUAGACUUAGGCGGAUCAGUGUGACGGAGCCUCACAGUAACCACGAGAUUGUAAACUAUUUAAGAUUACGGUUUUUAUUUAAUUUAAGGAUUCUUUCUGGAAGUUUGUAAUAAUUGGACUUUCUAGAAUAUUUGACUUUUAUUUCAGUUUUGGAGGUGUUUUAACUUUUAUGGCCACGUUUGACCAAAUUCACGGUUUUACUAAAAUAAAGGAUUUUCUGAAUACACGAAUUAAAUUUCCAAGAUUCAAUGCUUUUUGAAAACUUCCGCUGUAGAUUAUGUUUUGGAAAAUGAAUGAAUUAAAUAACGCUUCUAGUAACAGAUAGUACACUUGGGGUGAUUUAUCGAACGACUAAACAAAGCUUUAUUAAAAUAUCACUAUUUUAAAAACCCUUCCAUGUAACACUCUUAGAUUAGGCCACAACGUCUAGGCCAGGAUUAGGGUGUUACAUUUAAUGGUAUCAGAGUCAGGUUACAAAACUCGAGCUGUGAAUUUUGGGUUUCAAAAUUAUGUUUUGAAAAGAACAGGUUUUCAAAUAAUUUGGAUCAUUUUGAAUAAGUAUGUGGUACACUGAGUCUCCGGCGUUGAUCCUAUAAGUACUUUUGAACUUAGAUAAAACUUUCUGAAAACACUAUAGUUAGUACUUUCUGAAAUUGUACUGAGUUAGUUAAAAAAUAAAAACUUUUGAAAUAUGUUCGAACUUUUGAUAAUUUGAGCAUGAAAUAUAUGUUAAUAAACAUUGGAGCUGAUGCAUAAAAUUUUCUAAUGUAGAUAAAUUUGAAAAUAUACGAUGAGCGCUUGUGGAACUUGCGGUCAUGGUAUUCGUAGGCUCAGUGGGGGCCGUAAGGGGCUGGAGCUGAGUCUUUUUCUCUGGGCAGUAUGCCAAACUUAGAUAUGAGUAAGCCACCAGUGUCACUUGCUACUGAGACAAGGUCUCAAAGCCACUUGGCUGGGGACGACACACUAUCCCAAGCCAUGUUGAGGGUGUUGGAGAGGGUCACUGGACCCCAUUCUGGAUCUGUGGGCCGUAGGACGGUAACUGAACGACUCUGGUCCAAUAGAGCUGAGUUGUUUAGGGGUGUCAUUGAAGUCGCCCCUAUUGUGGUCGAGUAUUGCUUGGAGGGCACAAAGAGGAUUAUGAACGACAUCAAUUGUACUCCUAAGUAGAAAUUUAAUGGUGCAGCCUCUGUACUUCGCGAUGAGGCAUAUCAGUGGUGGUUGUCGGUUGAGGAGGGUACUCAACGGGACUGUCUGAACUGGGAUUAUUUUAAGACUACCUUUCAGGGGAAGUUUGUGGGCGCAAGCUAUGUUGAUACUUGUAGGCGUGGGUUCAUGAAUCUCACGCAAGGUGAUAAAUCUGUGGCUAAGUAUGAGGCCGAGUUUCUAAGGUUAAGCCGCUACGCUUGAGGCAUGGUGGUGACUAAAUAUGAGAAAUUCAUCUAUUUUAAGGAUAGCUUGAGGUAUAAUCUGAGGGUAUUGAUUGCUCCACAAAGGGAACGACAGUUCGCAGUUCUUGUGGAUAAGGUGAAGAUCGCCGAGGAGAUUAAGUGCGUGGAGCGCUAAAAUAGGGAUCGUGAGUGAGGCAAGAAUAAGAGGGAUUCAGAGCCCUCUAGUUCUGUUUAGAGGGCUAUUAGAGUAGGGGUUCCUAUUACUUCUAAUAGGAUUCAGCCACGUGAUGAUUGUGGUAGGCACCAUCCGGGUGAGUGUUAGAGGAGGUUAGGGGCUUGUUUGAGGUGUUGGUCUUUGGAGCACCACAUUAGAGAAUGUUCACUCCAUGCGGAUUAGAUGCAAGCUGUAGGAUCAAGUUUUAUACAACCUUAGAGGGCAGUUCAGCAGCCAUCUAAGGGUCGUGGUCCUACUAGGGGUGGUAAUGGUAUGGGUCGAGGACAUAGAAUAUCGGGAAAAGGUGUUAGUUAGAUUGAGGCAAGGCAGCCUGCACUGGUUUAUGCUACUCGAUGCCGAGAGGAUAGAGACGCUCCUGAUGUUAUCACAGGUACUUCUUUAUUUUUGGUGUUCCAUAUACUGCUCUGAUAGACAUAGGUUCUACUCAUUCCUAUGUAGGUAGUACUAUUUCUAAAAAUUUAGGGAUUUUUGGUGAGGGUACUUCUAGUGAAAUUAUUGUACUGAGUUCGUUGGGGCAGUCUGUUCAAGUAAGUAGGCUUUAUAGGAAUGUAACUUUGGAAGUACAAGGGAUUGUGUUUUCGGCAGAUCUGAUGGAGUUACUGUUUAGGGAGUUUGACUUAAUUUUGGAUAUAGAUUGGUUGGUUGAGCUUCGAGUUAGCUUGGAUUGCACGACUAAGAGGGUCAGUCUAAGGGCUGUGGAUGAAAGAGAGAUAGUAGUGAUCGGUGAGCAUCGAGAUUAUCUACUUAAUGUGAUCUCUGCUAUUGUGGCUGAAAAAUUGGUUCAGAAAGGGUGUGAGGCGUAUUUAGCUUACGUCAGUGUUCCAGUUUUUGGGGACUCUUCUGUCCGGGAUAUCAGAACAAUAAGGUAAUUUUUGGAUGUAUUUCUUGAGGAAUUAUCGGGUUUACCUCCGAAUUGAGAAGUUGAGUUCGAUAUUGAGCUUCUACCAGGUAUAGCUUCAGUGUCCAUCGCUCCCUAUCGAAUGGCAUCGAAGGAGCUUACAGAGCUUAAGGCUCAACUUCAAGAGCUUUUGCAUUGUGGUUUCAUCUAUCCUAGUGUGUCUCUAUGGGGGGCACCGAUUCUGUUUGUAAAGAAAAAGGAUGGUACCACAAGGAUGUGUAUUGACUACCUGCAGUUGAAUAAACUAACAGUAAAGAAUAAGUAUCCACUUUCGAGGAUUUAGGACUUGUUUGAUCAGUUCCGAGGGGCUGCAGUGUUUUCAAAAAUAGACCUUCGUUCUGGGUAUCAUCAGCUUAACAUUAGAUUUUCAAAUUUAAAAAUUAUUUUUUUUACAGCUGCAUAAUUAAUAAGAUAUCAAUUUUGAGUGCUGUAGAAGUGUUAUAACCUUCUCAACGCAUAACCAACUCUUGAAUUCACUUUUUUCUCUAAAAUUCUACAUAGAACACAAAUUUAUUUUUUAAAAGAAUUUUAAAUCUCACAAUUUUUUUAGGUGAUUCACCAAAGAAUAAAAAGAUAGGAGGUGAUUCCUCCUUUUUCAUAAAACCUUGUGCUUUUGCAAACACCAAAUUAUUGCUAAGCUUUACAUUAAUAGACAUGAUUUAUUUGUUCGUUAUUACUAUUUCUAUGAUUAUAAUACUAAACUUAUCGGACUACAAUCAUAACCAUGUUUAUUAUAAUUCAAUAAAAAGAAAUAAGUGUUGGGUGUAAUGGCAAGGUUCAUUACACUCUUAAUAAGAGAUCAGGGUUUUGGACAAAGGAAGAAUAUGAUUCGAAUUUUGGAGAUGCCAUUCUUAAAAUGAGCAACCACGAAGCCCGAUUAUGAACCAUAAAAUGAACAAGAAAAGUACAAAAAAUACGUCUAUUAUCAAAUUAGUAAUCCAUCCCAAGGCUUAAAUUAACAAAAUUCACCAUGCAACCGUGUAGACUAUUUUACGUAUAUACUAUAUUCAUUCUUCAUGCAAAAUGUUUAUUAUAUUUAAAAAUUAAAAUAUAUGGUUGAUUGAGUUUUAGUUGAGUUAAUAUUGAUAUUGUUGUUAGUGCAGAAGAAUGUGAGUUCAAUCAUGUUUAAACGCGUUUUUCUUUCAAUUUAGGAGUUGGAAAGGGUUCUCAAUAGUUAAAUUAUAUAAGUUUUUUUGUCUAUUUAAAAUUGAUUUAUAAACAAUAUAAAUAAAAAGAUUUAAAAUAUAUAUAUUCAUAUUGAUGGGCUUUUUCAUUAUUAGACUUUUUUCCUUACAGGUAAAAGUAUAUAUGGACAUGAUGAUGUAAAAUUAUGACCUGAAUAAUUUUAAACCUUUCAUCACUGCAAAAAUGAAAAUAAUAGAAAUGAAAGACUAGCCAUUGUAUGAAAUUUAUAAUUGAACUGCCAACAAAAUUGGGAGAAAUUUUUAAAUUUUAUGAAAUUUUAAAAUUAAACUAUCAAUAAUAGAAAAUUGCCUGAGUGACUUGGGAUUAGAGGUUGAACAUUUCUGGACCACAAUACAUUUAAGAUGGGUCUUUAAAGUUAUACUUUAGUUAUUGAGAACAUUUUCCACAAAUUGUCAUUAUUGUUUACUGCAGCAAAACAGGCUUUUAGCAUCGUUUUUUUAGGCCUAUAGCGGCGUUUUCACAAGAGUCGCAAAAAAUGCCACUAUAAAAAACGCUGUUAAAUUUUGCGGCGUUUUAGAACAUGACCUUUAGCGGCACUUUACCCACAAAUGCCACUGAAGAACAUGAUCUUUAGCGGCGCUUUCCCAUAAACACCACUAAAGAACUUGAUCUUUAGCGACACUUUUAUCACAAACGCCGCUAAAGAACAUGACCUUUAGCGGCGCUUUUAUCACAAACGCCGCUGAAGAGCAUGGCCUUUUGUGGUGCUUUUAUCACAAACGCCGUUAAAAGUACCAUUCUUUAGCGGCGUUUAUGAAAAAACACCACUAACUUUGGCAGAUUUGUAACAUCCAAUUUUCAUCCAUAUACAACCCUUCCUGUAGCAUGAAAUCCAACCAAAAACAACAAAUCUAAAUGAUACUUCAAAUUCUACAAAAGAUAUAUGAUAUAAAUUGAUAACUGAAGUAUAAUUCAAAAUAUUCUUACAAUAAUGUUAAAAGUUACAACGUUAAAAAUAUUCUUACGAUAAGAAAGCAAUGUCUAAGAUGGCGGAUUUUGCGACUGCUGAAACAUCUUCAUCAUAUUCUGAAGCUGUAGCUGGAGUGCGUAGUACUUUUUGACUGAAUAAACACAAAUCUAUUUUUCGACAGCUAUAUCAAAUUAGCUAUAAACCUUCAACAGGACCAGUACUUGCAAAAACCUCUUGGAGUAGUGGUUCAGCCCACCAACCUGCAGUUUCUCAAAAAUUAAAAUAAAAAAUUAAAAGUUAAAGAAAAAAUAGAAAAAAGAAGAGAUAAAUAAAACUAUAUAAGUAACUUUCUAAGUUGUUAAAAAGAUGCAAGAACAUGCAAGCAUCUAUCAGAUUCCAAAAACCAUUUAACUAGCAAUUAAAAGAGCCAUUAGCUUAGAAUUUUGCACAGAGGGUCAUAGCCACAUAUCCAAUCAGCAACUCAUGAAGGAAAGUGUCUCUAAUUCAUGCAGUUAUAAGCACAAAAGUGACUAGGGUAUGUGCUUAAGCAAGAAGGGGAAAUAAGAGACUCACAAUAUACAAAUAAAACAAAAUGGAAAAAAGGGGAAAAAGAAGUAAAAAAAACCUAGGCAAACACUCACACACUGCGGCAAGUACUUGGAUCAAAACCAUGAGGCAAAUUUCCACUUGGUAUUGGCUCUGUUUGUAGAAUAGAAAAGUGAAAAAUAAAAAAGAGGAGAAAAGAAGAAACGAUGUACAAAAAAUUCAAAUCCCACUCAACUCAAUUCUAAAGCCUCCAUAUCCAAGAAAAAGGAUGAGUUUUUGAAGAAAUCCAAUAGUCAACCUAAAUGAACAAACAAGAUGCUAACUACGACCAUGACAAAUGUAAGCAUCACUUCUCCUACUUUGGAAACACUUUCCACUUGAAAAGACAACAGACUUCCUUGCUUUUACUAUUAUCACAUUUUCCCCCUUCAUUUUUUUAGUGCCGACCAGAAAAAAAAUAUUUUAGCCUCAUCUAAAUAAGACAAAUUUCAGCAGAACAAUAGACAGUAGAUCAGACCCAAUUCAAGGGUAAUGUAGUCCAAAGUUCCUUGAACUCCCUCCUUCAAAGUGAAAAACAAAUCUAUAUCUUUCUGCAUGAUUCAAACAAAAAUGACUGUUGGACAUGUAACUCAGAAAGAAUGCAAAUACAUUGAAAGCACCACAGACUUUAUAAAUUAGCUUCAUGCUGCUAAAUUUCAACACUAUAAACCUAACAAAGCCCAGAAUGAAAUGCGGGAAUCAUGUCUUAAACUCUAAUACUCAAACAAGAGACAGAUAAAUUGCACGUUUUUUUAUAUAAUAUUUACAAACUAGAGAUAAAGAUAUAGAAAAAUAUAAACAUGGACAUGGACAAAAAGACUAAUUGACUGUGCAUGUGUGCCAAAGAGAUGGCAACUAAACAUUAUCCAAACACAAUCAUUUCUCAACAUUUGCAAAACAAAAUGAAGAUUAAGAUUAGCGGUAAACUAAAUAAAACCAAAGAAAUGAGAACCACAAGUAAAUGAGAAAGAAAACAAAAUAGAGAACCUAAUAGCUUUCCCAUUGAACUUCGUAUAAAAGAAAUAACAACAUUCGAACUUCAAGCAAAUAAAAAUGUAAAAUAUUUAGAAUCAAAACAAUCUUUUAUCAAAAUUCAAACCAAAAACAAUGAGCUUCACUCUAUACAAGAAGCAUGUUAACCUCAUAGGCUUUCUGAUUUCUGGAAACCAAAUCCAGAAACGUCUCCCACCAAAAAUCAAGAAAAUAAAUUUUGUUUUUAAAAAUUACAUUCAAAUCGUGAAAUAGGAGCAAGGUCCUUCGAAUUCAAGCAAAGUUGAUGGUAAAAGCUUAGCUUUCAAAGGUCAAACAUCACAGCAUUAAAUAUAAAACUAACCCAAUCUCCACCAAUUCAAAAACAAGAAACCAAACACGAACCAGAAGAUCCAAACACGAUUUCGAAAAAAAGAAAAAUAGAUAUUCCUGAAAACUGGAUCAAAAACUAGCAUAUACUUAAUAAAAAGAGAAAUUGACGGAAAAUCAUAGGAGAUCUGCAUGCAAAUAGAGGCACACUUUUGCUUGAUUAUUCGCUUAAAAAAGUAACAAUGGAAAAUAAGAUGCAAGUUCUAGGUAAAACCAUCAUGUCUUCUUACUCACCACAAACAAAGGCCCUCUAGGACCUUCAUGAAUUUUUGUCUCAUAAGUGCUUCUAUUGUGAGCCCGAACAGCUUGAUAGCCCACAAGAUAAGGAUAUCGAUCUUCAUCCUACAGAUUAACAAGGUUAAAUCCACUUAAAUGAAACACCAUUAGUCCAUAACAAUUUACUUCAAUUUUCUGCUGUUAGUUCAAAUAUGUAUUUUUUUUAAUUUGACAAAACUUGUUAGGAUCGAAUAUUCGGAAUUCCUAAAUUUCAAUUCAAAUUUACACCAUACUUGCAGAAAAAUAUACUACUAUUAGAGACACCGGCAAUCAACCAGAGUUCUUUAGUUUUCAAUCAAGUUAUUCGGCAGGAAUCUAUAUUGAUUACACAAAAAAAAAAUCAUACACCGUGAGAAUGUCGAGUAAAUUGCAAAUAGAAAAGCAAACGAACCCUAGAGGAGCUCCAAUACUUCUUCUCCCAAGGGCCUUUGUAUAGAGAUCCAAUGGAAAUGAUCUCUAGAUCGUCUAAUUUCGCUGUUUGUUCUGCUUCUUUAGUUUUUGCCAUUCAAAGAAAUGAGAAGAAAGCAAGAUUUCCAAACAACUAACAAUAAGCGAGUAGACAGAAUUUUCAAGAUAGAUGAAGAGAUGGCAUUUUAAAAUAGCGGGAACUAAAAUCUUGAAAUGCGUCAUUUCCCUCAAAAUUCUAAAUAAAAACUUUAUUUAAUUAGGAAAAAUGUGAAUCGAUUUUGGGAAAAAUAAGAGGAAAAAAAAAGAAGAUAUUUCAUUUGAAAUUUUGGGAUAAAAAAUAUAAUUACAAAACGACGCUGUUUUGCAAAAUAUAUAUUCGUGGCAUUUGGACCAAAAACGCUACUAUUGUUCAACUUUUUUGCGACGAUUGCAACAAAAACGCCGCUAUUGCUUACCUUUUGUGGCAUUUUUUUUAUAAACGCAGCUAACGCUCGACUUUUUUACAAUUUUUAUAUUGAAUUAUUGUAUCUUUCAUAUAAAUUUUAAAUAAAUAAUUUUUUAAAUUUUACGUAAUAUUUAAAAGAAUUAGAUAAAAUUAUAAUUUUUUAUUUUUUGUAUUUCAUUUUUAUUUUUGUAUUUCAUUUUUAUUUGUUAUAAUUUGGUCCUAUCCAAAAUAGAUAGUUACCUAUCCAUAUCAAUCUGUUACUUUUUUUAUUUAUUUAUCAAUGUUUUUUUAAAUCUAAUAUUUAAAUAUAUCAAAUGGUUUAGAUUAAAUAUUUUUAAAUAUAAAAGCAUUAAUUGAUUGUAUAAAAUUUCAUCAUUUAACAAAUCUCAAGUAAACCUUAAAUCCUAAACCAUUUAAUAUUUAUAAAGUUUAUCUAUUAUCUCUUAUAUAAUUUAAACUAUAAUCAUAAUUUUAAUAUAUUAAAAUUAAUAUUAUCUCUUUUACAAUUAUAUAAGAAAUGAUUUAAUAUAUAAAUUAAAAAACACUAAUUAAUCUAAACUCUAAACCCCUAUCCCCUAUCCCCUAAACCUUAAAUCAUAAAACAUAACCCUUAACCCUUAACCCUUAACCCUUAAUCCUUAAUCCUUAACCCCUAAACCUUAAACCCCAACCCUUAAACCAAAAAUCAUAAACCAUAAACCAUAAUCCCUAAACCCAUAAUCCAUAAACCUUAAAAUAGUAACUCCUAAGCCAUAAACCAUAAACCAUAACCCUAAACCCUAAACUAUAAUGAUAAUUAAUUCAAUAUUUUAAAAUUAAUACUAUCUCUUUUACAAUUAUAUAAGAAAUUAUUUAAUAUAUAAAUUAAAAAACAAUAAGUCAUGAACCCAAAAAACUUUAAAAUUAUUUUAAAUAAUAGUAUUUUAAUUUUUUUCAUUUUUAACAAAUAUUUUCUAUGUUUUUACUUCCAAAAAUUGUCUACAUGUCAUUAUUUUUUUUUGAAGAAUUUAAAUAUUCAAUUAAAAAUAAAUUUUAUUUUAAUUAUAUAAAUAAACCAGUUAAAUAAUAAAUAGACAAAUAAAAUAUUUUUUGCGGCAUUUUUGAUAAAGUGCCGCUAAAGCUCGAUCUAUAGCAGCGUUUUACAAAAAAGCGUCGCUAAUGCCACUAAAGCUCAUUACUGAAUUUUUUGCGGCAUUUUUCAAAAAGCGCUGCUAAUGCUCGACCUAUAGUGGCGUUUUUCAAGAAGCGCCGCUAAUGCCACUAAAGCUCAACAUAAAGGUACUUGAGUCUAGUUUCAAAGACAUCAAGCGGAUAUUAAUUCGGAAUUCUGUAGCUCAAGAUAUAAAUUUAUGUUAAUCUUGUUAUCUUUCUUAUUUUAGAAUUGAUUACAUGAAAGUUAAUUGCUAAUACUAUUAGUUAAUUAUUAGUUUUCUUCAAAUCAAAUUAAAACCCGAAAGGUCCCUCUUUUUUUAUAUUAGUUUUAGUUUUCCAUUAAAUUUGUUUCUUUGUAAUAAAAUUAAAUUAUAGAAAUAACAUUAAAAUUUUAAAUAAAAAUAGUUCACAAUAAUUUAUUAUUUAAAAAACUCCCUGAAAUUUAAAAUUAUUGUUAUAAGUAUACCAUUAAAUUAUACAGAAUUUAAUUUUUCUUUCAAAUACUACAGUUAAUAAGGAAAGAGAAUAUAGUUCAUAUCAAUAAAACUUUAAAAAAGAAAUAUUGUUUAAUUAGUUAAUUUAAAAAUCAAUAGCGUCUAAAAACGGUCAGAAUGAAAUAUUAGAUUUUGUAAGAUUUCAUUAUUCUAAAAAAUAAAAUAUGACCAUGCUUAAAAAUUUUAUUAAAAAAGUUUUAAAUUUUAUAUAAAAAUAAAAAAAUAGUACUAAAAAUUUUUAUAAGCAAAUUUAAAUAUUAAUUAGUAAAUUUUUUUUGUAAUAUUUAUAUGUAUUUUCAUUCUUAUAAAUACUAUUAAAACUUUUUAAAAAAAUUUGAAUGCUAUUUAAAAACAUUAUUAAAAAUAAAAUAUUAUAUGAAAGUUAAAAUGAUCUAAAAACAUAUUUUAAAAAUUUAAAUACUUUAUAAAAUAUUUAAAACUGUUUAAAAAUUUCUAAACCCUAAAAAAAUAAUAAAAUAUAAUUCUUUCUAAGAAAUCAACAAAAAUAUAUUUAUAAUUGAACUCUCAACAAAAUUGUGAGAAAUAUUUAAAUUUUAUGAAAUUUUAUACUUAAACUGUCAAUAAUAGAAAAUUGCCUGAGUGACAUGGGAUAAGAGGUUCAACAUUUCUGGAUCACAUUGCAUUUAAGGCGGGUCUUUAGGGUUAUACUUUAGUUUUUUAGAACAUUUUCCACAAUUUGCCAUCAUUACUUGUGAGUGAUUUGUGGGGUAAGAGGUUGAACACUUCUGGAUCACAUUGCAUUUAAGACUGGUAUCAUUCAUAAAUUAUAUAUCUACAACAAGAAUGGUAGCCUCUUAUAUUAUAUUCAUGUAUCUAUUUUGCAUCUUUCAUUAUAAUAUGAUUUAGUAAUUUUAAUAUUUUUAUAGAAUAAUAUGAUUUAAAUUUUUUUGUAUUUUUCGUAAAAAUUAUAAUAAACUUACAAAAUGAUUUAAUGAUAUUUAAUUAUUAACGGAAAAAUUAUAUCAUAUAUAUUCUGUAUAUAUUAAGAUUCUGAAUUAUUAAUUAUAUAUCUACAUAUUAUAAUAAAUUCAUCUUUCAAAAUUUUCCUAAACUAUAUUCACAAUAUUAUAAAUAUAUUAUAUCAAAAAUAUUCUUUCAAAUGUUUUUUAAUGUUUAAUAAUAAAUUAAUUUAUAAAAUAUUCUUUCAAUAAAUUAACGUGAUGAGAUCGUUAAUUAGGUGCUUGGAUUUGGUGAUGGGGACGAAGAGAAAAGGGAUGGAAGUGAAGACAAAUGUUGGGAAAUUGAAAGGGUUAGCGAGGGAGGCCAGCGUGAAAGGUGGUUCUACGGAUAUGAACCUUCAAGCUUUUGUGGAUGAUGUUACUAAAGGUUAUUGCAAGUAAAUUUAAAAAUGUUUUUUAAUUAUUUUUUGUUAAAAAAUAUUUUUUUUUCUAUGUGGCUUUCCACAUUAGCAUGCUACCAUGUGGUAACUUCUAGUGAUUUCCGUCUGUAAUAUUAGACAGGUUAACAGUUAAACCAUUCAACUGACAAAUUUCGUUAAAGGAAGAGGUCAAUUAAUUUUUUUUGGACUCAUUGAGUACUCAAUUGGUGCAUUUUUUUAUAAAGACUAAAUUAAUUUUUUUAAUUUGUUAUUGCUGAGGGCUACAGUAAUAAAAAGUUUUGAGGUAAAAUUGGAAUAACGUCCCAAAAAUCUAAUACUUAAUUUUUAAAAUUUUAUCAUUAAUAAAUAUUUGUCUUAGUGAUUAAGUAUUUGAGUCGUGUUUAUAAGAUAUUGUAUUCAAGUUCCUACGUGAAUGGAUUGUUAUUAUUAUUAUUUUUUAAUUUUUGAGUUUGAGUCCAUUUCGAACUCUGGAAAAAGGUGGUUACUUAUCUGAGAUGGGGUUAGUGCUUAGUAGAUUUGGAUUUGGUUUAUUUUAAAAUUUAUUAAUUAAUUUGUUAAAAAAUUAAAUUAGUUUUUUCCUAAUUUUUGGCUCACCGUUCUUUCUCUUGUUUUUCUUUAUGCUUUCUUUUUCUUUUCUUUUUCUGUUACCUUUCAAAUCACGUCGAUUUGUUCCUAUUUCGCUUUUGAGUUUUUCUUUUCUUUCCUUUACGCUCCUCUACGAUCGUGUCUUAAUUCCUUCAUUAUUUUCUCUUUGUUGGCGUUGCUCGUUCGUAAGUGGGUUAGUUUCCGUUUUGAUGUAUUUUUACGUGGUUAGUAAAAGAAAUGUGUUAAUUUUUGGAUUAUGGAGUUGAUCGUUUUUAAUCAAUUCUCCAGUAAGUUGACUCGUUCGCUGUUAUUAUGUCCUAGGGUAAAGGAUUAACUCUGAUUUGGGCCCGUGUGGUUGUGUAGAUUUUUCAUGUGAAUUCGUUUGGUAUUUUUAGGAUAAAUCAUUCUUUAAGUCGUAUUGCUACCAUCGCUAAUGUGAUGUUUUAAUUUAUGCAUUUAGGAUUUGAUAGUCUUAUGGGUGUUUUCGUAUAAAAAUCAAACCAAGUGUGUAACGAAAAACCCGACAACAACGAGCGACGAAAGUCAAAAAAUUGCACUGUCGACACCACACGGCCGUGUGUCGGGCCGUGUGACAAGCCGUGUUUCAGACCGUGUGCGACAUAUUGUUUGGGCUAGUUGAGCCGUGUGGAACACACAGGUGUGUGUGAGGAUGUGUGCCACGCCAUGUGAGCCACACGGGCUGGCCAUUUAGGCCGUUUGAGACCAAAAUACUAAAUUUUUCCCUAGGGUUAUACACAUCGUUAUGAUCGAUCGUAGGCCUUUCGUGGGGUCGAUAUAUAAUCAAAUAGACUGUAAAGUAUGAAAUCCGGUCAACUAAUAGUAUAAAUUCUGAUAUCUGUUCAUAUAUUUGAGAUGUUAUUUGUUCAAUAAACCUUGUAAUAGGCUAUGAGAAACUUGAGAAAUAUUAUGUAUGCUUUGUAUCUGUUAUGUCAUACAUGUAUAACUGUAUUAUGUCUGAUUUUGUUCUAUUCUUUUCUGUAUUUGCAUUUGGGGUGGGUUAUAUUAUGUGGAGGAAGUGUUUCUUUGAAUGGCGAUAAUUCGCCUAUUACACUGGCAGCUCAGCUACAAAUAUUCUGAAAAGUGUUAUAUCGACACUAAAUGGUGUGUAAGGUUGGAUGAGUGUUUCAUACCCCAUAUGGUGUGUUGAGCUGGUCGGAGAUAGUGUGUAGCAGAUGGGGGUAGGAAUAUAUGUUUGUAUCUGUACUGCUCUGAUAUGAAUAUGUUCUGCUAAAUCUAUCUGAUAUAAAUUAACUGUUUAAAGUUAUUUGUUAUACAUUGAGUUUUGUAAACUCACUUUCUGUUUGUUUGAUAUUUUUAGGUAACCCUCAGACUUUGGCAAAUUGGUGCGAAGGAGCUCGGUUAAAUUGAUUUAGUUUCAUCAUCUAUUAUAAUCAAAUUUUGUGUUAUUGUGUUUCAUUAUUUUUGAACUUUUGGGACUUUUUGGACUGUUUUGGUUUUUGAGAUUUUAUUUUCAAUUUUUGCAUGAUAUUAUUAAAAAUGUUUUAUCGGAAAUGUCUGUUUUCUUGAAAAACAACUGAUUUCAAAAAAAUAAACUUAGUUUUCCAAACAUAAUGAUUUGAGAAUUUCCGCUGCUAAGUAUUCAUUUUAGAAAAUGUAAGCAAACAUCGUUUUCAACUACAAAGUUAAGUUAGAUGUAUUUUCUCUUAAAUCGAGGUUUAAGUAAUAAAAGAUUAUGUCAUUUUUCCAAAUUUUACGAAAAAUUGGAUUUACAAUUGUUUUAUGUAACAUCUCUAGAUUUGGCCAUAACGUCUAAGUCGGAUUUCGGGCGUUACAUUUUGUGAUAUCAGAGUCAGGUUGCAAAACUCGGGCUGUGAAAUUUUCGGUUCAAAAUUUUGUGAAAACUAUUUUUCGAGUAAAGUUCAUUUCUGCAUUAAUUUGAAAAAUUAAUUAUAUGAAGUAUCGAGUCUCUAACGUUGAUCCUGUAAGUACUUUUGACUUAGAUAAACUUUAGUUUAGAAAACUCUGAAAUGAUUAGAACUAUACUUGGAUAGUUAGAGACUGAAACAUCUUUAUAAAUUCUUUUGAUAACUUUUUGAGAACAAAAUAUCUGCUAAUAAAUACUAAAAUUGAUACAUAAAAUUCGUAAUGUAAGUAAUAUAUACGAUGAGUACUUGUGGAACAUGUGGAUGCGUUACCCGUAGGCGUGGCGGGCGCCGAAGAGGGGCUCGAGCUGAGUCAUCCUCGAUGGGUACCUGAUAGGCUAUUGCUGGAGAGAGCAAUAGUCUUGAGAGAAGAAAUGUUGAAGAUCGAAGUCAAAAUCUGACCUAUAAAGCCUUUAAUUGCUUGAAUGAUAAGCAUUUCUAAACUAAAAAGAUUACCGAUUUUUUCAGGAAUUUGACCUGCAGACAUAGUUGAAACAUCAAGGUGUUAAAUUACCUAUUUUGUUAGUGUAAAUCAAAGAGGCGUUUUAUUUUUUUCGUUUUGAAAUAAUAUGGAUAUGUUAGAUUCUAAUCAUAUUUAAGUAUAUAUUAGUUCUUGAAAGAAAGAGUUCUUAUUUUUGGUAUUUAUAUUGCAAAUAUAUUUUUUUAAAUUUAAAAAAGGGGGGGGGCAAAUGUGUUUAAAACUAAAGACAUCAAGGAAAAGGCAUACCUUCUAGGUUAUUUAACCCCAAGUAUAAUUGUUUAAGUUGUGUCAAAUUCCCAAUGCUUUUUGGAAUGAUCCCACUAAAUUGAUUAAUAGACAAUUCCAAAAUUUGAAGGUUGCAGCAUUUGUCUAUACUUGAUGGAAUAGAACUUGAUAAUUCAUUUCUACUCAAGUAAAGCUCUUUAAGCUUGGGAAGAUGGACACACUAAAUUGAUUAAUAGACAACUCCAAAAUUUAAAAGAUAUUCUGGCUUCGCCCUUAAUAAAAUUUUUGGAAAAAGAUUAAAAAAAAGUUAUACGGUAAAUGAAAAAAAGAAGAAAAUAACUUGAUGUCCAAAAGCUACCAUAAACAGUAAUUCGUGGGAAGGCUUGUUGCUCAUUUUAUUGGUUUCCAUUUUGAUUUUGCAAAAGAAGUUUGAAUUUUGAAGAGAGCAUACUACGUGAGAGCAAAAGAAAAAAUAUAGUUUAUUAAUUUUUACGAAUACCGACAUAUUAUAUAUACGAUUAAAAUUCAGAAUAGAUUAAAAAUGUUCAAUUAAAGAUAAAAUUAAAUGUGAAUUAAUAACCACAAGUCUACUCAUUACUCAUUACUCACCGUCUCUGUUAAAAAUGUUGGAUGUUGUUCAGCAACCUUUGUUUGAUUUUCUUCAGCUCAACCACAACAUCUUUCAUAUCUUUUCUUUCUUCUGGUAACUCAGCUGAACAAUUCAAAGCCAACUCCAUGAUAGAUGAAAUGCAAUUUGCUUUAACAACAAAGUACUCAUCGUCUCUUCUUAGUAAAUCAACAUCUGCAAUUUCUAUCGCUCCUUUAGGCAAUGAACUUUCCAUCCAAUGCCUUAUAGUCUCUUCUUCAACAAAAACAUUAUCAGUUGGCUUUUUCUUUGUAAAAGUUUCUAUAAGGACGAUCCCAAAACUAUAGACGUCAGAUUUUAUAGAAACAAUUCCUGCCGAUCCAAAUUCUGCAUUUCAAGUAUAAUUAGAACAUCAUUCAUCCUCAAUUAUUUCUAAAAUGCUUAUUCAAAUAUAUAUCCUCAUACACAUGAAACAAAAAUAUAAAAUGCAAAUUAGGAAAAUAAUCAUACAAAAAUAAAAAUGAAUUCACCUGGUGCCAUAUACCCGAUAGUUGCAAGAGUCAUGGUUUGCUUCAUUACUUCACCUUCCCCCAACAAUUUGACAAGGCCAAAAUCUCCAACAUGUGCAACCAUGUCUUCAUCUAGUAAAAUAUUGCUUGGUUUUAUGUCACAAUGAAUUGUAGGUGUUGGAUGUCCAUUGUGGAGGUGUUCUAUAGCUACCGCAACAUCUAUCAUUAUGUCGACCCUUUGUAUGAUAUCAAGGAAACAAUUUUCAGAAUGUAACCAUUUCUCAAGGUUUCCAUUAGACAUGUAAUCAAGCACCAAGGCUUUGAAGCCAACACUUGAGCAGCAAGUAACGACCUUCACAAUAUUACGAUGAACUACAUUACGCAUAGCAUCACAUUCAAUGUCAAAACUCCUAAAUGCUCCCUCUGUUUGCAAAUUGAAAACUUUUAUUGCAACUUCCAUUCCAUCCGAAAGCCUCCCUUUAUAUACAUAUCCAAAACUCCCUGAACAAAGCAUAUUGCUUUCCUUAAAUCCAUUAGUUGCUCGUGAAAGUUCAGCAUGUGAAAUUCUUCUCGGUGUUUUCAAAGACAACAAAUCAUCUUUAAUUGGUAGAGUUGUACUCCUUCUUUGGCAUCUUCUAUACAUAAUAGUUAAGACUAUUAGUACUACGACAACACCAAUUGUUGGUAAACCAUACCUAAAAGCAUGCAAUAUAAUCAUUUGGGAGUUUUUGUGGAUGUCGUUUUUGCAAGGUGGAACUAGAAAUCUAUGUGGACCACAAAGUGCAUAAUUCUUCAUGAAUGAUGUGCUAGAAAAGUUUGAAAAACAUCCUUUGCUGGGAAUUUCCCCUUCAAGUCUAUUGAAAGACACAUUAAAAUACUUUAGAUAUAAAAGCUUUUCCAAAGAUUUGGGAAUGACUCCAGAGAGAUUGUUAUUGCAUAAAUCCAAGAAUUCCAAACUAAUCAACCCAUCAAAUGAUUCAGGGAUAUGACCAUGUAGUAUAUUAUUUGAUAAAUCUAAUGAAACCAAAGUUUGAAGACCCCCAAAUGUGGAUAAGAUAUCACCCGUGAGAAGAUUCCUAGAUAAAUUUAGUUUCAGUAGACUCCUCAAAUUUCCAACAUCAAUAGCGUGUGAAUUGUGAAGAUGGUUUGAUGAUAAAUCUAUUUCUAAGAUAUCUUUAAGAUUCCACAAAGUUGAGGGAAUUGCGGAACUCAAUUUGUUGGAAUCUAAGCAAAGAUAUCCCAAAGAAGUAAUAUUACCUAAACAAGAGGGUAUGGAUCCAUGCAGCUUAUUCAACCCUAAACACAAGUUGUAUAGUCUCUCCAAACCACAGAGGCUUUCUGAGAUGGGCCCUCCUAAUUUAUUAGAGGAAAGAUCUAGACCUUGGAGAUUUCGCAGUCCUCCUAUUGAUGUUGGAAUGAAUCCACUUAAUUUAUUAGAGCCAAGUUCUAAACCGAACAUAUUGGUUAAGUUACCUAUUUCCAUAGGAAUAAUGCCUUGAAGCUCACACUCUUCGGCAUAAAAGUAUUGAAGGGAUUUUGAAAGGUUCCCAAUAUAAGUAGGAAGAACGCCACUCAAUGGAUUUCCUGAAACUUCUAUGUCUUUCAAAUUCUUACAAUUCGUCAAAGAAGAAAGAAAGCUCCACUCAUGAUCAGUAGCAGAUCCUGUGAUCAAAUUAUUGUCAAAGAUUUUGAGCACUUCAAGGUGUUUUAAGCUGCAAAGCAUUCUAGGGAUUGGGCCAGAGAAUAAGUUUUGUGACAAUUCUAGUUCCUUAAGCAUGGAAGCAUUGGAGAUAGAGUUGGGAAUGUUUCCGCUAAGUUUAUUUCUCCACAAUAAAAGAAUCUCAAGCUUUGGAGCAUUGGUGAUGGGUGGUAAAUUACCUGUAAAAUAGCAUCUUUUAGUAUACAUAUUCAUUGAAUACCAAAUUUACAAAAUAUAUAAUACAUUAAAAUAAAAACUGUACAACUUUAAAUCAAUUAAGAAUAGAAUUUUGGCAUGGAAAAAUGUGAUGAAAUCACUUAGAAAGUUGAGACAUAAUAAGAAGUUUUAAGUAGUAAUUAUUCCUUGUGAUUUGUAUAGAAAAAACAUAUAAUACACUAACAAUUUUUUAAAAAUAAAAAUAAAAGUUUGGCAUGAGAAUGUGGCAUCUAAUCCAUCUUAAAAAUGAGUCUGACACUGAAUAAUAAUUAGUUAUGAUUUGGGAAAAAAAUGUUAAAGCCAUUGUUUUUAAUGUAAACUGGUAUGAUUUUUAUCUAUUGGGUAUAUUAUUUAUUUUUAUUAAAUUAUAGUGUAAAAUUUAAAGAUUAUUAUUUGCUCAAAAUUUUUGUAUUUUUCGUAUAUUUGAAAUUUAAUCUUUAUAUUUUUUAUUUUCUGUGAUUUAGUCUCUCUACUUUUUGAAUUGUAAAUUUUAGGUUUAUUUAUUAAUGCUGUUAAAAAGUUUUUGUGUUAGUAUGGCAUUUUGAAAAAUAAAAUAAACUUGAUAUCUAUGUUUUUAAUUAUUCCAAAUAUUGUUUUACUAUUUCAAGAUAAAUUAUUUGUGUCUAGACCAAUAUCUUAAGAACUAUUAUUGCAUGUUUAAUUAUUCUAAAGAAUUGUCGAUUGAGUCUUAGCUUGAUUGGCAUGUGCAUUGUUGCCAAUGUAGGAGAAUGUGGGUUCAAGUAUGCUGAAGUGUAUUAUCCUUCUAUUUAUGAAUCAAGGAGUUGGCAAAGUAUUAUAUUUUGAUAUAUUUUAGAAUAUUAAAAAAUUAUUAAAAUAUUUUUUUAUAAAAAUUGGUUGUACCACAAUAUACAUCAAAUUUUUAAUUUUUUUAAAAAUAUUAGCGAAUUUAUAUUUUAUUUCAAGUUACACAAUUUUUACUAGUUUUUAACUUUUUUUUAAAAAUUUUUAUCGUCUUUCAUAAUUUCUAAUAAAUUUUUAUAUAUUUUUGACAAUAUUUAACAAUUUCUAACAAUUUUUAAUAAUUUUAUUAUUAAUUACAAAUUUAAAAAUUAACACAUUUUUAUUUUUUAAAACAAUUUUAUAUUUAUAAUGUAGUUGUUUUUUUUAUAAUUUUAUUUGAAAAUUUAAAGCUUUUUUGGUUUUUUUAAGAUAAUGAUGCCAUCAUGAUGUCAUCAUAUGCCACAUGGCAAUUUAUGAUUAGUUGGAUAUCUCAAUCUAUUUUUUUAACGUCCAAUUGACUAAACCAAGAACACCUGAUAAUGUUAGAGACUACACUAGAAAUGCUUGAUAAUAUUAGGUACUAAAGUGGGCAAAAACUCAUUAAGGACCAAAGUAAAAAAAAAAAAAGAGCAAUAUGCUGUAGGGAAUAAAUGCAUGAAUUUUGAGAAACUUUUGAACUAAUAAUUACAUAGUAAUUAUUAGUGAAUUUGUUAUUUUAAAUAUUUUUAUUACUUUUAGGAUUUAUCAUAUGUAUGGAUAAGAAUUUUGGUUUUACUAAAAUAUUUGGUUAAAUAAAUUCAUAAAAAAAUUUAGCAUCCUUAUAAAUAACAAUUUUGAUUCUAUUAAAAAAAUCAUUUUAAAAAAUAUAUAAUAAAAAUUUAAAAUUUAUAUUGAAUUACUUUAUACGUAAAUUAUUAUUAGAAACGUUAUCAUACACAUAUGUAUAUGAGAACUACGUAUUUAGAACAUAAAUUUAUGUUUGAAAAUAACUUAUGAUAAAUAAUGAAAUGUAUAAUUUGAAACUAUUUAAUAAUAACACAUGGCAUAUCUACCAUAUUAAAAAUAAAAAUAGAUUAAAUUGUAAGUAAAACAUAAUUUAAACAUAUGGAUACAUCAAAUUAAGAAUACUAAAUGAAUACAGUUAUUUAUGAUGAUGUUGUUGUCAAUUCUUAAGUUGGUGUCGAGUUAAUUUGUGACAUCAUAAUUUUAAGUGAUAAAUUUAAAGUUUUAUGUAUUGAUGUGGAUUCAAAUAUCACCAUAACUUUUUUAAAAUAAAAAAUUAAAUUCAACACAAUAAAAUGAAACAAAUUCAACACAAUGUUUUUGGAGUUUGCAAAAAAUUAAAGUGAAAAACAUACCUUCUAAUUUGUUGUCAUAUAGAACUAUUUCUUCGAGCGUAGUUGAAUUAAAAAUACUUGAUGGAAUCUGGCCUGCACACAUAGUCGAAAAUUGAAGUGAAAAAUACACCUUCUAAACUGUUCAACUAAAAAUACUUUAAGCAUAUUUUUUUUUCCAUCAAAUUAACUAUUUUGCCUUGAAUGAAAUAAAAUGCUCUUACUUUUGUUAUCUAUUACAAAUCAAACUCUUUUGUGAAUAAAAUAUUACCAGAUAAUUCAUUCCAACCCAGGUUAAGCCCUUCAAGCUUGGGAAGUUGUUGACACAUAUCAUUAGGCAAACUACCUGAUAGGCUAUUGCUGGAGAGGUCAAUGGUCUUCAGAGAAGAAAUGUUGAAGAUCGAAGUUGGAAUUUGACCUGUAAGGCCUUUAGUUGCUUCAAUAUCAAGCAGUUCCAAACCAAGAAGAUUACCGAUUUCCUUAGGAAUUUGACCUGCAGACAUAGUUGAAAAAUCAAUGUUUUUUAGCAUAUAUUUUUCAUCAAAUUAACUAUUUUUCUUCGAAUGAAAUAAAAAGUUCUUCCUUUUGUUAUCUAUUACAAAUUAAACUCUUUCAUAAAAAAAUACUUUAAAUUCAAGAAAUUAAGGAAAUUGAUUACCUUUUAGAUUAUUAAACCCUAAAUAUAAUUCCUGGAGUCGUGUUAGAUUUCCAAUACUUCUUGGAAUGAUCCCCAUAAAUUGAUUACCGAACAAUGACAAAUUUUUAAGGUUGUUGCAUUUGCCCAUGCCAAAUGGAAUGUAACCAGAUAAUUCAUUCCAACUCACGAAAAGCCCUUCAAGCUUGGGAAGAUGUUGACACAUAUCAUUAGGCAAAGUACCUGAUAGGCUAUUGCUGGAGAGAUCAAUAAUCUUCAGAGAAGAAAUCUUGAAGAUGGAAGAUGGAACCUGACCAGAUAAUUGAUUGAAUCCUAAGUUCAAGAUCCCUAGAUUAGACAUGUUAACAAGUGUUUCAGGGAUUGUGCCUGUAAAGUUAUUAUUUUUCAUUUGCAGCCUUCGAACUCUCUGUAAAUUCCCAAGCCAUGAUGGAAUUUCCCGAUUAAGACGGUUGUAGCUUAAUUGAAGGAUCCUCAAACGAUGCAAUUGGCCCAAUUCUUUAGAGAGAUGGCCAUAGAAAUGGUUGCUACUCAAGUCGAGAGAGACUAGAAAUGAAAGAUUUCCAAGGUGUGGAGGGAUAAUACCCCUAAGAUUCAUGCUUGUAAGAUUCAAUGCUAUAACUCUUUUAUGGAGGAUGCCACAAGAAACACCAAUCCAAUUGCAAACAGAGGUUGAGGCUGUCCAAUUGUCUGCCAAGACAUUUUGAGGACCGGCAAUGCGAUCCUUAAACUCGAGAAGUGCAAACUGAUCAGAGUUGAGAUUCCUGGCUGUCAUAGCCAAGCGAAGUACGGAACAUGGUAUGAAUAAAGCUAAGAGAAGAUGAAAGCAAGUGUUGUAGUUCAUGAUUGCAAGACGGAAUAAGGCAAGAAAAAAGGAAAAAAAAAGUAGGAAAAGGGAAGUUAAGUUGAUAAAAUAGUUUGGAUGAUGAAGAAAAGCCCAGAGAGCAUGCUUUAAUAUGUUUCAACCCUCGCACACUUGAUAAACUUGAUAAAUUUAAGACUACCCUAAAAAUUAAAAAGGAAAACAAAGUUUUGAUGAGAUUUCAAAAAAAAUGUCAAGUAUUCUUCUUUUAAAAAUACGUACAAAGAAGCGAAUUUUCAAAAUUUCUCCUAAAUUUUCUUCAAAUUACUCCACAUAAUCCAUUAAAAAAACUUAAAAAAUAUAUUUUAUUAAUUACUAUAUAUUCUUUUGUUUUCAUAAUAAUAAAUUGUUUAAAAUAUGCUAUUAGUGGCCGUAAUUUAAAGUUUAAAAAAAAAUCCAAUCCUCCUUUUUUUUAAUUUAAAAAUUCUAAUCCAAUCAUUUUUAAUUCCAUUAAAAAGUUUUCAACUUAAUAGAUUUUUUAUUAUCAAUCUUAUGCAACAUUAUAUGAAGGCAGUCUACUCAGCAUAUAUCCAAGUUUACAGAUUUUAAUAGAAAAUACUUACAAUCCUAAUGGUAGGACUAAGUUUUUUAAACUAGAAAAGUAAAAAAAAAAAAAACUUAAUUUUUAACUUUUUUAAGUACAAGGAUUAAAUUUUAAAUGUUGUCAAAGUACAAGCACUAACAAAAUAUUUUGAUCUAAUAAAUGUAAAAAAGCAUUUUAAACAAAAGAAGGUUGAAAUAAUCUAUUUGUCCUUAUACUUUGAUAAAAUUUGAGAUACCAUAAAAUUUGUAUCUUUUUUCGAAUUAUUUAAUGACAUUUCAACAUUUUCAUUCAAAAAAAAAUAUCAUUUUGAAUUUGAUCUUUUUCAAGAUGAAAUAUUGAAAUGAUGUUAAAUUAUUAGAAAGAGAUACAAGUUUCAUGGUGUCCCAAAUUCAUUUAAUCUUAUCUCUCUAAGAAAGCUGAAUUAAGAUAUUAAUGACAUCAUUUGAAACAAAGUUUUAGGUCAAAUUAUUCAUCUAUUCCUUGUAAUUGUUCUUUAAGGUGAAUUUCAUUAUUAUUCUUUUAUUUUCUUUGGCUUAAAUACACAAUUACUCCUAAUUUUAUCACAUUCUCCUUAAUUGGUAUUUAUAGUUUAUAAAAUUUUAUAAAUAUAUUAUUUUUUAAGAAAUUAUAAGAAGAUUACAAAAAUUCCAAAAUAAUAUAAAAAAGCUAAGAAAAACCUAGAAAUUCAAAAAAAAAAAUCAUGUUUUUACAAAUUGGAAAAUACCUAAAUUUACUUUUCAGCCCGUCCGAUGCUAUGAAAGAAGAAGAAAGAGAGUCUUUGCUAACAUUUUUUUUUCUUCGUCAUCUCUAUGUUUCUUGGCAAAUACAAUGAAAGAAGAACAAAGAAAACUGUUGGCUAUUUAUUUCCCAAUAAUCCUGAAAUUACUUGCCAUAGGCGUAGAAUUUGCUAACCAAUUUUCAAGCAAUCUGACAUGAAUUCUUGUUAAGUAUGACUCCUAUUUUCAGUCAAAUUUGAGAAAUAAUCUUCUAGUUAAUUCUGUUUAUUUGUUUCAAUCAAACACUGAUUAGUUUAGAUUAUUUUAUUAUUAUUUGACAUAUGAAUUUAGCCUAUAAAUAGGUUAUUUUACAACCUUAGAAAAUACACCCAAUAGAGUUUAGAACUCAUAACAUAUUUAGAGAAUUUUGUGUUUACGUUUUGAGAGUUCUUUGUUUUCGGAUUUUCGGGGUUUAGUUUUUAUCUCCAUCUCUUGUAUUCUUUGUUCUUUUGCCAUUAUAAUAAAAUUAUCUUUACCCGUGGUUUUUUAUCCUUUUUGGAGGAGUUUUUUCACGUUAAAUUUGUGUGUUCAAUUUCUCAAUUUAUUCCGCUAUUUUGUUACUUGUUGCUUAAUCGGGUCGAUCCCUAACAAUUCUCAAUCACAAUUAAUUGAAUUCAAGAUAUAUUUGGAUGAGAACACAAAUAUUUCAAUUUUACCACAAUCCAAUGUUUGGGAUGAUUUGGGAUAAGAACUCCAACAUUUUAAGAUCACAUUUUCUUUUAUAAUUUCAGGCUUAUCAACUAUUUUGAAAACAACAAAACGUCUUACACCAAAAACUAAAAAAUUAAAACGUCGACAUUAAAUUUGUUGGUAUGCAAUCAAUUUUAAGAUGGGUCUUGGAGUUAUAUAUCACUUUAGCAUUGACUUACUUUUCUACUCUUAGUCUUCUCCAAUAAGUUAAAUAUUUCAAUUUUAACAGCACUGACAGGUCUUUGGGGUAGGGUCCAGCAAAACUCAAUAGAAACAGAUGAUAUAGGCAGAGUUGGCUCGGCCAAGUCGAGUCGACUUGUUCAAAUUAGUUAAAUUAGUAAAUUUUAGGGUGCAGUUAGAACUUUUUUUUUUUUUUUGAGAUGCUAAUAUUAAAAAAUUUUAGUUGCUAAAACAAAAAAUUUAUAUUUAAAAAGGAAUAAAUUAAAUUAUUAAGUUUUUCAAGUUUCCAUUUAAUCAAAGGUUAAAAGGACUAAAUUGAAGCUUUUUAUUUUAAAGAAAGGCUGAAUGACAAAUUGCCCAAAGCCCAUGCCCCUAGCUAUAUGCCCCUGGUAAAAUCAAUUUUAAAAUUAGUUAUAAUAGUUGAAGCGAAUUGAUUAUUGAGUAUUGAAAUACAUAGUUCAACAAAAUAAACAAACUGACAAAUUUUGACCAAAAAAAAAAAUCAAAGGUGAUAAUAAUUAAAUUAUAAAAUUUAAAUUGAGAAAAUAGGGGAUUGAAUUUAUAAUUUUUAAAGUAUAAAGAAUGAAUUUAUAACUAACAUCAUAUUUUAACCACAUAAUAAAAGUAGUUAUGGAGAGGAUCAUGUAAAAUAAUGACCUGAAUAAUUUUAAACGUCUCAUCCUUGCAAAAAUGAAAUAAUAGAAAAGAAAGAGUAAAGAGUAGCCAUUUUAUGAAAUCUAUAAUUCCAACUGUGAAUAAAAUAUAAAUUUUAUGAAUGUGGACAAGCCAUUUUAUUUAUAAUUUUCUGUGUUUUUCUGACUUUUUUUUAAGUCAUUUUCUUUGUUUCCUAACCAAAAAGUUUGCCCAUCACUUUCAAUAUAAAUUUAAAUCUAAAUUUUCUUUUUAAAAUAUAAGUUACUCGUCACAAUUCAUCUUUCGAAAACAAUUUGCCAUCACUUUAACAUACACUAACUUUUCUAUGAUUAGUCCUUGGUUUGCUUUGGGUGCAAUCUUCCAACUAGCCACAUCCUUGGUUUUACUUUCCAACAAUUAGUGUAUCACGGGUUUUGUUUUCUUUAAAAAAAUAUUUUUGUGGAUAUUAGGAGAUAAUGAAAAUUAUUUUACUAUUAAAUUUUAAUAAAACUGGAAAAUAAGUAAUGUCUUUUAAGUGAUCACAAUUAAACAUUAGAUUUUUAAUUUUAAAAUUUUAAAAUUUUUUGAUAAUUGCAUAAUUAAUAAGGUACCAAUUUUUUGAUAAUGCUAUAAUCUUCUCCACACAUAAUCGACUCUUGAGCAUGAUGGAUCUAGACCUUAUCCUGUAUUCUCGUACCACAAAUUGCUUCGAGUGUGGGUUCAAACAAUCACAAAUUAAACACAAAAUCAGAAAUGAUUUAUUACUUUCAAUAGCAAAGUAAUUCUCUCUCAAUAGAAACCAACAGAAUUGUAAUUCCGAAAAAUAAAAUUUAUUUUUUGAAAAUAUAUUCUCACUACUUCCUAGCAUAAUAACAAUAUUUAAAACUUAUGUCUUGUGUUAAUAGCUCUACCAGUACUAUCCAUUUAUAGAGAGAGACACAAGAAUCCUGGUUGAAUUAGUAAAACACGAGUAAUAUUUAUUUCAUAGAAAACAAUAUUCUACCCUAAGUAGAUCAAGUUUGGAUGACGCAUGGGUCGAAGUUCAAUCUAAGAGAAAAAAAUAAAGGAAUUUUCUUUGUAAAGAAAAUUUGAGAUUGUACUAUUUUCGAAGUUAUAAAUAAAAUUAUAAGCCAAACUUUCAAGUCAAUUUUUGACUCGAAUUUUGUACGUACAAAUUUCUAAUACACUUGGUGGGACAUUCUUUGACUUUUAUCUAUUCUCUCAGAAAGUUAAAAGUUAAAAGUUGCAUUAAACUCAAAGAAGAUAAUCAUUAGUAAACCAGCUCACAAGCCUGCUCAAGCUAAUCCUACAACUCGUUCCACUUCAUCAUCAAACACCAAUGUUCUUGCUUAUCCUUAUGGAAUUAAACAAAAGACAAAAGCUCUUUAAGAGUUAUUUGAACAGACAAAAGAUUCAGACGUGUUGAGAUGGAAAGUGACAAUGCAAUGUUGAUUGAAGCUAUUCGUAACCGGUUGGCUACAAUAAGUAGUGUUGCUGAAGUAAGACAGAUUCACGAUUGGUGUUCUAAAAAUUGGGAAGUCAAAUUUUGAUAUAUUUAGUAGAAUGCCAAAAAAGUUGUUGAUUGCAUAGCUAAGGCAGAUGGAGGAGUAAUUGAGCAGCUAGUUUUUUGGAAGAUCCUCCGCAUUUUGUGAGAUGUUGGCUUGAAGAAAAUAUUAGACAAUCGCUGGUGACUUAUGAUAAUUUUCAUUUGGACUGAUGCUCGCUUAGUUUUCUAAGGUUAUGUUCAACCAAAAAAAAAUAAUUUAAAUAUGUCUAUAUUAUCAUAGAGUUAGCAUUUAGUGUAUAAAAAAAUAGUGUAUAAAAUUUUUUCAAUUGCAGUUUAGUUCCACAAAUACUGACGAUGAACCUUAAAACGAAAAUGAAAAUUACAAAAAGAAAAACAAACCACAUCUAUUAUCAAACCAGCAAUCCGUGUCUAAACUUAAAUUAACAAAAUUCAUCAUGCAACUCGGUACACUAUUUUAUAAUAUAUAUAUUAGAUUUAUUCUUGAUGCACAUGUUUUAUUAUAGUUAAAAAUUAAAAUAUAUGAUUAACUGAGUUUUAGUUGAGUUAGUAUUGGUAUUAUAUCAGUGUAGAAAAAUGUGAGUUCAAUCGUACUUAAAUAUGUAUCCUCCAACUCAACAGUUGGGAAAAGGUUAUUGAUAAUUAAAUUACACCAAUUUUUACAAUAUCUAAAAAGCAUUCAUAAACAUAUUCAUAUUGAUGGGCUCUUUCAUUAUUAAACUUUUUUUCUCUCACAAGUAAAAGUACUUGUGGUGAGGAUCAUGUAAAAUAAUAAACUGAAUAAUUUUAAACGUCUCAUCAUUGCUAAAAUGAAAUAAUAGAAAAGAAGACAUUUUAUGAAAUUUACAAUUCCAACUGUGAAUAAAAUAUAAAUUUAUGAAUGUGAACAAGCCAUUUUAUUUAUAAUUUUCUGUGUUUUUCUUCUUUUUCUGACUUUUUUUUAGUCAUUUUCUUUGUUUCCUAACCACCAUGAAAUUACUUGUCACAAUUCAUCUUUUUAAAUGAGAAGCAUUUUCCACAAUUUGCCAUCACUUUAACAUACACUAACUUUUCUAUGAUUAGUCCUUGGUUUGCUUGUCACCAUGAAAUUACUUGUCACAAUUUUCCACAAUCUUCCAACUAGCCUCAUCCUUGGUUUUACUUUCCAACAAUUAUUGUAUCCUUCUCAUUACUUGUACUUACCCGACUGAUAAAAAAUUCACUGAUCAAAUUAGUUCAAAGUUUUUUUUUUUUUUCUAAAUCAUGUGAAUUCACGAGUUUUUUUUCUUUAAAAAAUAUUUUUGUGGAUAUUAGGAGAUACUGAAAAUUAUUUUACUAUGAAAUUUUAAUAAAACUGGACAAUAAGUGAUUUAUUUAAAGGGAUCACAAUUAAACAUUAGAUUUUUAAUUUUUUAAUUUUAAAACUUUUUGACAAUUGCGUAAUUAAUAAGGUACUAAUUUUGAGCGUUGUAGGAGUGCUAUAAACUUCACUACGCAUAAUCGACUCUUAAAUCCACCUUUUUCUCUAGAAUUAUAACAAAUUUACAAAAUGAUUUAAUGAUAUUUAAUUAUUGACCGGUAAAAAAAUUAUAUCAUAUAAAUUCCGAAUUAUUAAUUAUAUAUCUACAUAUUAUAACCAAUUCAUCUUUCAAAAUUAUUUCCUUAUAAUUAAAGCAAAAAUUAUAUUUAUAAAAUUCUAAAUAUAUUAUAAUUCUUGUAAAUAUAUAUAUUUAUAUAUAUAAGUUCAAAUUGUAAUAGAGUUAACAUUUAAUGUAUAAAAAAUGUCUUGAAAAUUAUUAUUUUUUUCAAUUCCAAAAGAACUAUUCCAUUUAUAGAACCAUAAAACUUUAAAAAUAUAAACUCUAUUAAAUAAAAAUAAUAAUAUAUUUAAACAAUAAAUAUUGACUUUAUUUUAAAUUGACAUUAUCUAAUUCUUUUUAAUAAAUAUAGCUAAGCUUUACAUUAAUAUACAUGAUUUAUUUGUUCGUGGUUGUUAUUAUUAUUAUUAUUAUUAUUAUUAUUAUUUCUAUGAUUUUUAUAUCAUACUUAUCGGACUACAAUCAUAACCAUGUCUAUUAUCAUUUGAUAAAAAAAAUUAAGUGUUGAGUAUAAUGACAAGGCACGUUACACUCUUAAGGGGAGAUCAAGGUUUGGACAAGGGAAGAAUAUCAUUUAAAUUUUGGAGACAACAUUCUUUAAAUGAGCAACCACAAACCCCGAUUAUGAACCAUAAAACGAGCAUGAAAAGUACCCAAAAAAACAAGUUUAUUAUCAAAAUAGUAAUCCAUCCAAGGAUUAAAUUAACAAAAUUCACCAUCCAACCGUGUAGACUAUUAUAUAUAUAUAUACCAUAUUUAUUCUUCAUGCAAAUGUUUAUUAUAUUUAAAAAUUAAAAUAUAUGAUUGAUUGAGUUUUAGUUGAGUUAAUAUUGAUAUUAUUGUCAGUGCAAAAGAAUAUGAGUUCAAUCAUGUUUAAAUACAUUUUAUACUCCAAUUUAGGAGUUGGAGAGGAUUCUCAGUAGUUAAAUUAUAUCAGUUUUUGUCUAUUUAAAAUUGAUUUAUAAAUAAUAUAAGUAGAAAAUUUUAUAAAAAUAUACAUACUCAUAUUGAUUGGCUUUUUCAUUAUUAGACAUUUUUCCCCAUAGGUAAAAGUAUUUAUCGAAUUCAAAUUUUGGGUUUUAAAUAAGGGUUUUCGGAUUUUUUUUUAACAUUUGUGAGAGUUUUUGCCAAAUUUUAUGUUUUCAAAAACGCAUAACUAAGUUGAUUUUUAAUUAGUUUUUCAAAUGAGUCAAUGUAAUUCCUUAAAAAUCUAGUGAUAGCGUCUAGCCUGGGUUUGGGGGUGUUACACUGACGUUACUAAAGUUAAUCUUAAUCUAUUUAGUCUAGAUCUGAACAUUAAUAUUCUCUUCCAAUAAAAAUAAAGAUCAUCAAAUUAUUACAAUUGUGAAGCCAGACAAUCAUAUUAAAUAAGCAUAAAACUUAAUAAAUAAUUAGCGAAGAUUGAAACAAUCAAAGAAAAAAUAAAUUAAUUAACUAAGAAAUAAGGAUCCAUUAUUGUUUCAAGAAAACAGAGUUUAGUUCAUAUUGAGUUGAGAAAACCAAAAAUUAGAUUCAAAACAAACUUGUGAUAAGGGGAACAAUGUCAACAGAUCAUAUUCAAGUUGUUCGACUCGAGAAAGCAAGAUUCGGAUUUGACCUGAAAAGAAGAAACCAAACAGAUUAGGAAAACAAGAAAAAAACAAAGAAAAAAAAAUAAAAUGAGAAAUUUAAGAAUAAAGAAUAAAUAUUAAAAAAUAAUAAAGAAAUAAAUAAAUUAUAGAAUAAAAAGUGGCAGAUGGAAUGAAUAAAUGAUGGAUAUGACAUAUAGAUGGAUAAGUGUCUGAUAACCCUUGAAAAAAAGUUAUAUUUUGUUAGGGAUCGACCCGAUUAAGCAACAAGUAACAAAAAAAGGGAAUAAAUUGAGAAAUUGAACACACAAAUUUAACGUGAAAAAAACCUUCCGAAGAGGAUAAAAAAACCACGGGAAAAGAUAAAUUUACUAUAAUGGCAAAAGAACGAAGAGUACAAAAGAUGGAGAUAAAACUAAACUCCAAAAACCCGAAAAUAAAGAACCCUCAAAACGUAAACACAAAAUUCUCUAAAUGUGUUAUGAGUUCUAAUCUCUAAUGUGUGUCAACUAAGGUUGUAAAAGAGCCUAUUUAUAGGCUAAAUUCAUAUGUCAAAUAAUAAUAAAAUAAUCUAAACUAAUCAGUGUUUGACUGAAAUAAAUAAACAAAGUUUAACUAAAAGAUUAUUUUUUAAAUUUGACUGAAAAUAGGAGUCAUACUUAACAAAUCUCCACCUUGACUCAUAUUUCUACAAUGCCAUCUUUGCCAAAGCCCGCUACGAGCCUAUCUUGAACUAUACAGGGAAUUAACUGAGUCGAAUCUGUGCUUAGAAACUGGAAGACUUCUAGCUUUCGACUUGUACACUGCCAAAUCAAAACUAACCCGAGUUUGAUUUUCACGAACACAGUGUCCUAACUUUUCAAAACCUGCAUCCAAAAGAGAACCUCUCUUCAAUGAAACGGUCAUACAUUUUUCCCUCCUAUGACCAAGUUGCCUCUGCUCCAAACGAGUUGACUUCGACUCUGUAACAGACGAGGGAUGUCCGAUUUCACCGGUCAUUGUAGAACCUUCCAGAAUAUAAAGACUGCCAUUUCUUUUACCUUUGAACAAAAUGAGAGCUCCACGAGAUACUUUAAUGCUGCUCGACUCGAUGUUGAUUCUGCAUCAUUUCAAGUCUAAAAUACUCAAGGAGAUGAGAUUCUUUCGUAAAUUAGGUACAUACCUGACAUCUGAGAGUGUCCUAAUCGUCCCAUCGUGUGUCCUAAUUUUAACAGUACCAACACCAAUUACCUUACUAGAUGAAUUGUUUCCCAUGCGCACAACUCCACCUUCAACCGAACUGUAUGUGGAGAACCAUUCUCUAUUGGGACACAUGUGGAAAGAACAUCCCAAAUCUAGGAUUCACUCGAACGUGAGCUUGGAGUUAUCACUCGUUGACACUAACAAGAAAUCAUCACCACUUUCAUCGAUCAAAUUAGCACUAGCUACAUCUUCCUCGUUACUCUCAGCAGCUCCUUUAUUUCGCAGUUUAUAACAAUUUGCUUUGACAUGACCUAACUUUUUACAAUAGUGACACCUUUUGUCUCGUUUCUUUGAUGCCAUCAAAAUGGAAGAUUGCCUAUCUGCCUUGCUAUCUAAAUGAAACUCAUUUUCGAGUUUGUCUCUACUCAACAAAUGACCCUUCACAUCUUCGAACGAGAGUUUGUCUCUGCCAUAGGGUCUCCUUGAAAGAUUUGUAUGAAGGGGGUAAAGAGCAUAAUAAUAGCAUAGCUUGAUCUUCAUCAUCAAUAUGAACCUCAAAGUUCUUUAAAUCAUUUAAAAGAAUAAUGAAUUGACUGAUGUGAUCUCUAAGAAGCUCACAUUCGUUCCUGCGAAACGUAAAUAGACGUUGUUUCAACAGUAAACGGUUAGCCAGAGACUUAGUCGCAUAAAGAGUUUCUAACCUUUUCCAUAAGGUGGAUGAGGUCUUCUCCAUCAAUACCUCCUGCAAUACCGUAUUCGCGAGGCACAACUGGAUUGCAGACAAGGCAUUUUCAUCAAGCUCUUCCCAUUCUGUUUUAUUUAGAUUCUCAGGCUUUUUUUGGUAACAACCUUUUUCAAACCGGAUUGAACUAGAAUUGCCAUCAUCCAAACUUGCCAUAGAUUGAAAUUGGUCUCACCAUCGAACUUCUCAAUUUCAAACCUUGUUGUUGCCAUAUCUGAAUGGGCUGAUUUAUGAAAAUUGAACUAGCUCUGAUACCACUUGUUAGGGAUCGACCCGAUUAAGCAACAAGUAACAAAAAAGGAAAUAAAUUGAGAAAUUGAACACACAAAUUUAACGUGAAAAAAACCCUCCGAAGAGGAUAAAAAAACCACAGGAAAAGAUAAAUUUACUAUAAUGGCAAAAGAACGAAGAGUACAAAAGAUGGAGAUAAAACUAAACUCCAAAAACCCGAAAAUAAAGAACCCUCAAAACGUAAACACAAAAUUCUCUAAAUGUGUUAUGAGUUCUAAUCUCUAAUGUGUGUCAACUAAGGUUGUAAAAGAGCCUAUUUAUAGGCUAAAUUCAUAUGUCAAAUAAUAAUAAAAUAAUCUAAACUAAUCAGUGUUUGACUGAAAUAAAUAAACAAAGUUUAACUAAAAGAUUAUUUUUUAAAUUUGACUGAAAAUAGGAGUCAUACUUAACAAAUCUCCACCUUGACUCAUAUUUCUACAAUGCCAUCUUUGCCAAAGCCCGCCACGAGCCUAUCUUGAACUAUGCAGGGAAUUAACUGAGUCGAAUCUGUGCUUAGAAACUGGAAGACUUCUAGCUUUCGACUUGUACAUUGCCAAAUCAAAACUAACCCGAGUCUGAUUUUCACGAACACAGUGUCCUAACUUUUCAAAUCCUACAUUGAAAAGAGAACCUCUCUUCAAUGAAACCGUCAUACAUUUUUCCCUCCUAUGACCAAGUUGCCUCUGCUCCAAACGAGUUGACUUCGACUCUGUAACAGACGAGGGAUGUCCGAUUUCACCGAUCAUUGUAGAACCUUCCAGAAUAUAAAGACUGCCAGUUCUUUUACCUUUGAACAAAACGAGAGCUCCACGAGAUACUUUAAUGCUGCUCGACUCGAUGUUGAUUCUGCAUCAUUUCAAGUCUAAAAUACUCAAGGAGAUGAGAUUCUUUCAUAAAUUAGGUACAUACCUGACAUCUGAGAGUGUCCUAAUCGUCCCAUCGUAUGUCCUAAUUUUAACAGUACCAACACCAAUUACCUUACUAGAUGAAUCAUUUCCCAUGCGCACAACUCCACCUUCAACCGAACUGUAUGUGGAGAACCAUUCUCUAUUGGGACACAUGUGGAAAGAACAUCCCAAAUCUAGGAUCCACUCGAACGUGAGCUUGGAGUUAUCACUCGUUGACACUAACAAGAAAUCAUCACCACUUUUAUCGAUCAAAUUAGCACUAGCUACAUCUUCCUCAUUACUCUCAGCAGCUCUUUUAUUUCGCAGUUUAUAACAAUCUGCUUUGACGUGACCUAACUUUUUACAAUAGUGACACAUCUCGUUUCUUUGAUGCCAUCAAAAUGGAAGAUUGCCUAUUUGCCUUACUAUUUAAAUGAAACUCAUUUUCGAGUUUGUCUCUACUCAACAAAUGACCCUUCACAUCUUCGAACGAGAGUUUGUCUCUGCCAUAAGGUCUCCUUAAAAGACUUGUAUGAAGGGGGUAAAGAGCAUAAUAAUAGCAUAGCUUGAUCUUCAUCAUCAAUAUGAACCUCAAAGUUCUUUAAAUCAUUUAAAAGAAUAAUGAAUUGACUGAUGUGAUCUCUAAGAAGCUCACCUUCGUUCCUGCGAAACGUAAAUAGACGUUGUUUCAACACUAAACGGUUAGCUAGAGACUUAGUCGCAUAAAGAGUUUCUAACCUUUUCCAUAAGGUGGAUGAGGUCUUCUCCAUCAAUACCUCCUGCAAUACCGUAUUCGCGAGGCACAACUGGAUUACAGAUAAGGCCUUUUCAUCAAGCUCUUCCCAUUCUGUUUUAUUUAGAUUCUCAGGCUUUUUUUGGUAACAACCUUUUUCAAACCGGAUUGAACUAGAAUUGCCAUCAUCCAAACUUGCCAUAGAUUGAAAUUGGUCUCACCAUCGAACUUCUCAAUUUCAAACCUUGUUGUUGCCAUAUCUAAAUGGGCUGAUUUAUGAAAAUUGAACUAGCUCUGAUACCACUUGUUAGGGAUCGACCCGAUUAAGCAACAAGUAACAAAAAAGUGAAAUAAUUUGAGAAAUUGAACACACAAAUUUAACGUGGAAAAACCCCUCCAAAGAGGAUAAAAAACCACGGGCAAAGAUAAGUUUACUAUAAUGGCAAAAGAACGAAGAGUACAAAAGAUGGAGAUAAAACUAAACUCGAAAAACCCAAAAACAAAGAACCCUCAAAACGUAAACACAAAUGGGUGUCAACUAAGGUUGUAAAAGAGCCUAUUUAUAGGCUAAAUUCAUAUGUCAAAUAAUAAUAAAAUAAUCUAAACUAAUCAGUGUUUGACUGAAAUAAAUAAACAGAGUUUAACUAAAAGAUUAUGUUUUAAAUUUGACUGAAAAUAGGAGUCAUACUUAACAUAUUUCAUGCCUUUAAACCUAACUAAUUGUUUGUACUUAAGUAUAUUUUUUUCUUUUUAAGACAUUGUAGCGAACAUUUUUAAUAUUGUAUUAGGACAUAGACUAUGUUGGAAUUAGGUGCUUUUAAUCUCUUGUGGUGGAGUUUUUGUGUGUUGGUAUGGCAGGAACAUGUUUUAAAACGAGGAAAUAAAUGAGUGAAGUUUUGUUAGGGAAAAAGUGCAAACAGUUUGCCAACACAGAUGUCGUGGCAAUGCCGGGAAGACCAAGUUCAUAUUUUUUGUGCAGCAAUCCCGGUUCAAACUCAAACUUGUAUGAGAUAAAUCCCCCUAAAAGAGGAGAAGAUAAUCACAUUGCUGUUAGCUGACCCUAGCCUAAUCUAUCUAUUAAAGCCAAUGAAAAGGAUCUCACAAAGGGUAGAAAAAAGUGAGAGAGAUCCUUAGGGAUGAAUAAGGGUUUGGCUGCGCAAAAGAACAGAAGUCGAAGGGAAUCAUUCUUAGCCAUCACAGAACGUUGUGCUGCCAAAGUGUGGACUAGGCAAGUGAAAGAUGUUUCCAAAAGUUCUUCUGUUAUUUCCAUUAGUGUUCCUUCCAAAGAUUGAAUUGAAGUAGUUGAACACAAUGUCGGAUAAUAUUUUGGUUUGAAAUUUUAUUUCCCAGCUUAUGAGCUAAAUCUCAUAAGGUUAGGAUUACUUUCGAUGAAACCUUAAAUUUUUUUAUAGAUGAAGUAUAUAUCUAAUUUACAUUAUUGUUUCAUUUGAUUGUUCUAAUUUCUUAAUUAAAAUGCAAAUGAUCUCUAGACAUAGAAGACUGUUCGCAUACUUAUAAAUUGAUUGUAAUUAUAAAAGGGUUGGAUUAAAAUUAAAUGAAAUGAGCAGGUAUUUGAUAGACACUUGUAGUCGACUCUAGACAUAGAGUCACGAUCAUACAGAAGAAGCCCAUGCAAGAUAUCGAAAAAGCCUUUAGACACCAGGCAAGGCAACUUGAGGUUUUUCUCUCACGAGAGGCAGACCAUUUUAGAACUCUUCUGUGUUGUAAAGUAGAUACAAUUUUGCCAAGACAAUAUUGACAAUGAGGGUUGAUUCUGGGUAAUCCCGACCUUCCAAAUCCACUUCGUAUAUCCUUUAAUCUUUUUCAUAAUAUCUUUGCCACAUAAUUAUUAGUUAUUUAUUUGUUCAUUUACAUAAUAUUCCCAUAGUAAUUCUCAUAAUUGCCAUUAUGUUUCUACUCUCGGUUGGCCAUAGCAUUACUAAUUAUUCAUUAAUUCCACAUAUUGAUUACAUCAUUAAUCUACUCAUUGUCAUUGCAUAUUUAUCAUUGACUUUGUCAUAGCAUUAAUUGCAUUUUAUUAUAAUAACUUGACCAAUUUUGUGCCUCAAUCCGAUUUUCGUGGGAACAAUACUCACUCAUCACUUUAUUACUUGAUUCAACGUGUAUACUUGCACAAAUCGCAUAUCAUUUCACAUGCGACAGUGUCCAAUUUAACCUUUUGAGAUAUAAACUCAAACAAACUCAAUUAAUGGCUUUAAUCAACCCACCAAGAAAUAAUAAUUGGCAAAUUGAAGGAUGAAGAAUGAAUUCCCAUGACUCCUUAAAGAAAAUUGAGAAGAAAACUGCUUCUAAAAAUUACAAGAAAUAAUCUUGCACAAAGAAACUUACCCUCAGAGUUGGAAAUUUUAGUAAUGAGCAAAAACAAUUGUGUCUCUAAUGAACAUGAAGGGGCCUUUACAUAGGAUAGAUAAGUACAUCCAAAUAAAAUUUUGAAGUAUAUUAAAACUUUAAUUAAUGUAAGAAAAAAAGUAAUUUUCAACUAAAAUAGUCAUAAUUUCUAUAAUAAUCCCGUCUAGAAAUUCUGCUCACAUAGCCAUCACUAAAAUAGUCAUAAAUUGAGCUCUUGAACUCGAAAUUGAAUGAAUAAAAGUGUGUUUGAAAGUUAAGUAAUAGAUCUUAGAACUCCAUCAAGACAUAUCAAUCAAAAAAUGUCUGGAUCCCAUCCAAAAAGUCAUUGCAAGUUAACUAAUUUUCCAAACUUGAAAAUUGACAGCUUCGGGGAAUGGAAUUUAAUAAAGUUCACCCCAUCUACUCAAGUAUAAACUUGCAGUGGUAAAAAGUAAAAAUAAAUAAUCUAUAGAGAAACUAGUUGAAGAAUUUAUGACAAUUUAUUUAGAUCUUUUUUUCUUCUAGCCUUUGCAAACUUGAAGUUUCCCUUGGUGUGAGAGAGUUGUUCCUUACCCUCUAAGUUAUUUUUUUUCUUUUCCUUUUUUUUUCUUUCUCUUCGAUCUUGUCACCUAAGGGUGUUCAAAUGAUUGAUUCAGUUAAUACCCGAACAAUGCUAUCAUUAACUGAAAUUUUGAAACCUUAAUCGUUAAUGAAACCAAUUUUUUGUUGAAACCUAUUAACCGGCCGGAUUGAUUUCGGUUAAUUCAGGCGGCUAGCCGGAAUUUAUACAUUAUUUUUUUCAAACAAUUUUAAAACAAAGAACAAUCCAUGACAACUUUUUCCUUGUUUUUUAUUCAAAAAUUAUUAAAAGAAUUUUAAAAAAUAACAUAAUAACAACACUAAAUUAAAAACAUAAUAGCAUUCAUUACAUUACAAAGCAUAAUUUCUUUUUUUUUUUACUUUUUGUUGACUUUUUAGUUUAAUUUUAGUUUUUUUUUUCAAAUAUUUUUAGUUUUCAUAUUUUUGUUAAGCUUAUUAUAAGAAAACUUAUAAAUCCAUUAGUUUUUAUAUAUUAGGUUUGUAUAAUGUAUUGGACCUAUCUCUAACAUAUUGGGCCUAUAAUAUAUUUUUAUUGAUUUCGGUUAAUCAAUUAAUUUGGUUAAUUAGUCGAUUUCAAACUAAACUAAUCGAUAAACAAAAUUUUCUAAAACAUUUAACCAACUCCCAACCAAAUUAGAUUCGUUGAUCGACUGCUUAAUCAAAUUAAUCAUAUGGUAGAAUGGCAUGUUUUUGGAAUGGCUAUUUGGCAUUAUUGGUAUAGGUUUAAGUUAUGAUCUAAAGAUGUUGAAUUGAAUUAAGUUUGAUAUGUAUACUAUGAUGUCUUCAUUGGCAUAUUGGUUAGAUAUUAAAGGAUGGUUGAUUUGGUAUGUUUUGAAAAUGGUUCUUGGUAUGUUUGAUCUAAGUUGAUUAAAUGAACUUGUAAUGUUGAAUGGUAUAAUAUUUGUUGUUACAUUAGUUAGUCUUAUAGGUUGAUGGAAUUGGUAUGUUUUAAAUGUGUUUAAAAUGUGUUUUGAUUAUUUAAAUGUUUGUGGAAAUGGUGUGUCUUGGUGUACAAGAUUUGAAAUUGAAAUGGCUUGAUUUAGAAAGCAACUUAUGCUGCACACCGCCUAGGACAUGGGUUGUCACAUGGCUGUGUGUCAUUAUUGUUUUAGGUACAGGUUUCACACAAUCUAAGACUUGGCUCACGACAUGGCUACGUAUCAUAAGUCAAUAUGUAACACGGUUUGGUACAUGGCCUGUAACACGACCGUGUGUCCAAACUUCAAAUGUUUACACGUCCUGGGCUAUGUCACACGACUUGGCCACAUGGCCGUGUGACCCUUGUUUUAAAGUUUUCUGAAAUUUUCUAUUUUAUUUCAAAUUGAUCCUAGAAUAUUCUCAAACUAUUUUUAGGGCCUCGUAGGUUCAAAUUAAGGCCCACAAAUGUAUGCUUGCUAUAAUUAAGUUGUGCUAAUUAAUGUUAUUAAUUAAAUGGCAUGAAUAUUUUAUUGUAAGUUAAAUUUUUUAAUUUGUCCUAUAAUGCUCCGUAACCCAAAUCAAGUGACGGAGAUAGGUUUGGGUGUUACAAUUUUGGACUGUAAAUUUGUUUUGAGGCUUUGUUCUUUGGUUCUUGCAAUGUUUGUUGGAUUUUAGUGUUUUAACAUUAAACUGCAAAAUUGUAUGAUUUAACAAACUAAAAAUUAGGUUUUCAAAAUUAAAACUCUAGAAAUUUUCAUUACAAAGAUUAAGUAAUCACUUAAGUGUUUUCCCAUAAAUAAUUAAAUGGUUUUUAACAAAUGUUUUCCUUAGUUUUGGGAAUGAUAUGCCAACAUUAGUACUUUUAAAACACAUGGUUUUAAAUAAGGGUUUUCAAACUUUGGUUUUUUAACAUUUGUGAGAGGUUUUUGCCAAAUUUUAUGUUUUCAGAAUGUGUAACUAAGUUGAUUUUAAUUAGUUUUUCAACGAGUUUAUGUAAUUCCUCAAAAAUCCAGUCAUAGCAUCUAGGCCGGGUUUGGGGUGUUACACUAACAUUACUAAAGUUAAUCUUAAUCUAUUUAGUCUAGAUCUAAACAUUAAUAUUCUCUUCAAAGAAAAUCAAGAUUAUCAAAUUAUUACAACUUGGUAGGCAGACAAUCUUAUUAAAUAUGCAUAAAAGUUAAUAAAUAGUUAGCGAAGAUUGAAACAAUCAAAGAAAAAAUAAAUUAAUUAACUAAGAAAUAGGAUCCAUUAUUGUUCCAAGAAAAUAGAGUUUAGUUCAUAUUGAUUGAGAAAAUCAAAAGGGAGAUUCAAAAAACACUUGUGAUAAGGGGAACAAUGUCAAUAGAUCAUAUUCAAGUUGUUCGACUCAAGAAAGAAAUAUUUGGAUCUAGCCUGAAAAGAAGAAACCAAACAGAUUUAGGAAAAAAAGAAAAAAAAGAAAAAAACUUAAAUAAUAAAUUUAAGAAUAAAUAAUAAAUAUUAAAAAUAAUAAAGAAAUAAAGAAAUUAUAGAAUAAAUAGUGGAAGAUGGAAUGAAUAAACGAUGGAUAUGACAUAUAGAUGGAUAAGUGUCUGAUAAUUCUUGAAAAGAGUUAUAUUUCAUGCCUUUAGACCUAACUAAUUGCUUGUACUUAAGUACAUUUUGUUGCAUUUUAAGAUAUUUUAGUUAGUAUUUGUAAUAUUGCAUUAGGAUUUAGAUUGUGUUGGAAUUAGGUGUUUUUAAUCACUUGUGGUGGAGUUUUUGGUGUGCUGGUAUGGCAGGAACAUUAUUUAGAACGAGGAAAUAAAUGAGUGAAGUUUUGCCAAUGCAAAAGUGCAGAUAGUUUGCCAGCACAGAUGCCGUGGAAAUGCCGAGAAGACCAAGUCAACAUUUUUUUGUGCAACAGUCCCAGUUCAAAUUCAAACUUGUACCAAAUAAAUCUCCCUAAAAGAGGAGAAGAUAAUCACAACUUGUUAGCCAACCCUAGCCUAAUCUAUCUAUAAAAGCCAAUGAAGGGGAUCUCACAAAUGGCAGAAAAAAGUGGGAGAGAUCCUUAGGUGUGAAUAAUGAUUCAGCUGUGCAAAGGAAAGGAAGUCAAAGGCAGUCCCUUUUAGCCAUCACAGGACGUUGUGCUGCCGAUGUGUGGACUAGGCAAGUGAAAGUUGUAUCCCAAAGUUCUUUCGUUAUUUCCAUUAGUGUUCCUUCAAAAUAUUGAAGUAGUUGAACACAACGUUGGAUAAUAUUUUGGUUUGGAAUUUUAUAUCCCAGCUCAUGAGCUAAAUCUCGUAGGGUUGAGAUUACUUUUGAAGAAACCUUAAACUGCUUUUAUGAAUGCAAAUGAUCUCUGGACAUAGAAGACUGUUCGUAUACUUAUAAACUGAUUCUAAUUCUAAAACGGUUGGAUUGGUUGGAUUAAAAUUAAAUGAAAUGAGCAAGCAUUCGAUAGACACUUGUAGUAGACUCUAGACAUAGAGUCACGCUCAUACAAAAGGAACCCAUGCAAGAUAUCUAAAAAGCCUUUAGACACAGGCAAGGUAACUUGAGGUGUUGCUCUCACGAGAGGCAGGCCAUUUUAGUACUCUUCUGUGCUUUAAAGUAGAUAUGAUUUUGCCAAGGCAUUAUUGAAAAUAAGGGUCGAUUUUGGGUAAUCUCGACCUUCCAAAUCCACAUCGUAUAUCUUUUAUUCUUUCCCAUAGUAUAUUUGCCACAUCAUUAUUAGUUAUUUAUUUGCUCAUUUACAUAAUAUUCCUAUAGUAAUUCUCAUAAUUGUCAUUACAUUUCUACUCUCGAUUUGGCACAACAUUACCAGUUAUUUAUUAAUUCCACGCAUUGCUUACAUCAUUACUCUACUAAUUACCACUGUAUAUUUACCAUUGACUUUCCCAUAGUAUUAAUCGUAUUUUAUUAUAAUAACUUGACCAAUUUUGUGCCUCAAUUCGAUCCUCAUGGAACGAUACUCACUCAUCACUUUAUUUGUAACAUCCCAAACUUGGAUUAGAAGUUAUGACUGAAUCCGGCGAUAUCACAUGGAAAGGGAUUUGAAGACAAGAUUGUCGAGUUUAAAAACCAUUAUAGAAAGUUAGCUUUUAUUUAAUUCGGGAAAAAAACUAGUUGAUUUUCUUUAAAACUUGUCUCUUAGCAGAAGCUUUUGUAACCAAUUAAUUUACGAAAAAUCGUUUCUAUUUACAAAAAACUUUAGUAGGAAAAACUAUGUUUUGUGGAGUUGCAGUUUUUAAAAGAAACCCAUAAAAAAAGUAUAAAGUCCCAAAUUUAAAACCAACCAGUCCAUAGUCUAGAAGAUACAUCAAAAACUCCAAANNNNNNNNNNNNNNNNNNNNNNNNNNNNNNNNNNNNNNNNNNNNNNNNNNNNNNNNNNNNNNNNNNNNNNNNNNNNNNNNNNNNNNNNNNNNNNNNNNNNNNNNNNNNNNNNNNNNNNNNNNNNNNNNNNNNNNNNNNNNNNNNNNNNNNNNNNNNNNNNNNNNNNNNNNNNNNNNNNNNNNNNNNNNNNNNNNNNNNNNNNNNNNNNNNNNNNNNNNNNNNNNNNNNNNNNNNNNNNNNNNNNNNNNNNNNNNNNNNNNNNNNNNNNNNNNNNNNNNNNNNNNNNNNNNNNNNNNNNNNNNNNNNNNNNNNNNNNNNNNNNNNNNNNNNNNNNNNNNNNNNNNNNNNNNNNNNNNNNNNNNNNNNNNNNNNNNNNNNNNNNNNNNNNNNNNNNNNNNNNNNNNNNNNNNNNNNNNNNNNNNNNNNNNNNNNNNNNNNNNNNNNNNNNNNNNNNNNNNNNNNNNNNNNNNNNNNNNNNNNNNNNNNNNNNNNNNNNNNNNAGUUCUACACUUACGCCCAUAUAAUGCUUCAUACGGUGCCAUUCGUAUACUUGACUGAUAGCUAUUGUUAUAAGCAAAUUCAACCAAUGGUAGAUAUUUCUCCCAACUGCCUUUCAAUUCUAAAAUACAACACCGGAGCAUAUCUUCAAGAAUUUGAAUCACUCUUUCCGAUUGCCCGUCAGUUUGCGGAUGAAACGCAGUACUGAAAUUCAAUUUUGUACCCAAGGCUUCCUGCAACUUUAUCCAAAACCUCGAAGUAAAUCUCAGAUCUCUAUCCGAUAUAAUAGAUUUAGGCACCCCAUGUAAUCUCACUAUUUCAGCAACAUAUAAUUCUGCCAACCUGUCAAGUGAGUAAUCAAUGCGUAUCGGAAUAAAAUGAGCCGACUUUGUCAAUCUAUCAACAAUUACCCAAAUAGCAUCUUUCUUCUUUGGAGUUAAAGGCAAUCCUGUCACAAAAUCCAUCGUAAUACUAUCCCACUUCCACUCUGGAAUCGUUAUCGGUUGAAGUAAACCCGAUGGUACUUGAUGCUCAGCCUUCACUUGUUGACAGAUUAAACACUUUGAUACAAAUUCCGAGAUAUCCUUUUUCAUGCCUGGCCACCAAUACAACUUCUUCAAAUCAUUAUACAUUUUCACACUACCCGGAUGAACUGACAAGUCACCACUAUGUGCCUCACAUAAAAUGGUCUGAAUUAACUCAUCAUUUCUUGGUACACAUACUCUAUCCCGGAACAUCAAGCAAUCAUCUGAACCAAUUUGAAAAUCUGAGUCAACACCUGCUUCACACUGAGCUCUCUUGGCUUGCAAUUUACUGUCAUUCUUUUGAGAUUCCCGAAUUUACUGAAGAAAUAAUGGUCUAGCUCUCAAUUCAACCAACAUUGAGCCAUCAUCAGAUAAAGUUAACAUCGUACCCAUAGCUCUCAAAGCAAAUAAAGAUUUUCUGCUCAAGGCAUCAGCAACCACAUUAGCUUUCCCGGGGUGAUAAUCAAUCACUAGCUCAUAGUCUUUGAUUAGCUCGAGCCAUCUUCGUUGCCGCAAAUUCAAAUCUUUUUGGCUCAUCAAAUACUUCAAACUCUUAUGAUCAGUGAAGAUUCGGCACUUUUCACCAUACAAAUAAUGACGCCAAAUUUUUAAAGCAAAAACAAUGGCAGCCAAUUCUAAAUCAUGCGUCGGAUAAUUCUUCUCAUGCGGUUUCAAUUGUCUCGAAGCAUAAGCUAUUACUUUGCCCUCUUGCAUUAACACACACCCAAGACCAUUCAACGAUGCAUCACUGUAAAUUACAAACUCCUUCCCGGACUCAGGUUGCACCAACACUGGCGCCUCAGUCAAUAAUGCCUUCAACUUUUCAAAACUCUGUUGACAUUUAUUGGUCCAUUCAAACUUGACAUUCUUCUGCAGUAACUUAGUCAUAGGAGAAGCAAUCAUCGAAAAUCCCUUGACAAAGCGUCUGUAAUACCCAGCUAAGCCCAGAAAGCUUCUAACUUCUGUCACAUUCUUUGGUGGCUCCCAAUCAACAAUUGCUGAAAUUUUGCUUGGAUCAACCCGAAUACCUUCACUUGAAACUAUAUGUCCCAAGAAUCCAACCUCACGAAGCCAAAACUCACUUUUGCUGAAUUUAGCAUACAAUUUCUUUUCUCUCAGAAUCUGCAACACAGUUCUUAAAUGUUCUGCAUGCUCAGAUUCAUCCCGAGAAUAGAUUAAAAUAUCAUCUAUGAACACCACCACGAACUUAUCCAAGUACGGCCGAAAAAUUUGGUUCAUCAAGUCCAUAAAAAUAGCUGGAGCAUUUGUUAACCCAAAAGGCAUUACCAGAAAUUCAUAGUGUCCAUACCUUGUUCUAAAGGCGGUUUUCGGCACAUCAGACUCUUUAACUCUUAACUGAUAGUAACCAGACCUCAAAUCAAUCUUAGAAAACACUGUUGCCCCUUUUAAUUGAUCAAAUAAAUCAUCAAUUCUCGGCAAAGGAUACUUGUUCUUUAUAGUCACCUUGUUGAGCUGACGAUAGUCAAUACAAAGUCUCAUAGAGCCGUCCUUUUUUUUCACAAAUAACACAGGAGCACCCCAAGGAGAAAAACUCGGUCUCACAAAUCCUUUAUCUGUCAACUCUUGUAACUGAGCUUUUAAUUCCUUCAACUCAGUCGGAGCCAUUUGAUACAGUGCAAUAGAAAUCGGUGCAGUACCAGGUAACAGAUCAAUAGAAAACUCAACUUCUCUAAUCGGAGGUAACCCAGGCAAUUCCUCUGGAAAUACAUCUGGAAAUUCACAAACUACCGGCACUGAUUCAAGCUUCGACCCAGUAAUAUCCGUGUUUAGCACAUAAGCAAGAUAAACUUCACAUCCCUUUCUCAAGUAUUUCUGAGCAGACAUGUGCGAAAUCACCAUAGGCAACUUAUUCGGCUCCUUUGUUUCAACCCGGAGAAUUUCACCGUUUUCACAAUUUAAUUCAAGAAUUUUCUGUCUACAAUUUCCCUUGGCAUCAUGCAAUAUCAACCAAUCCAUCCCCAAAAUAACAUCAAACUCAUCAAAUGGUAACAACAUCAAAUUAGCCGGGAAACAGUGGCCUUGAAUCAUCAGGGGACAAUUCUUGCAAACCUUAUCGACUAAGACAUAUUUGCCUAAAGGAUUUGAUACUUUAACUACAAAUUCAGUUUUUUCAACAGGCAAUUUCUUACUAGACACCAAAUUCAUGCAUAUAUAUGAAUGAGUAGAGCCGGGAUCAAUCAAAGCAAUAACAUCAAUAUCAUGAAGAGAAAAUGUACCAGUAAUCACAUCGGGAGAUGAGGCAUCCUCUCGAGCGCGUAUAGCAUAAGUCCUAGCAGGCGCUCUAGUUUCUGAUCCUCCAGCUGUAUCUUUUAUCACACUCUUACCACUGGCUUUGCUUCCCACAUUUCUCGGUGGUCUGCCUCUACUGACAACAUCACCCGAUCCAGCUCUUUGUAAUCUUUCUUCUUCUAUUCUCUCAGGGCAGUCUUUUACAUAAUGCUCUUGGGAACCACAUCUGAAACAAGCUCGUUUAAAUCCCCAACACUCACCAGUAUGUCGCCUGCCACACUGUUGACAUUCAGGUCUGGUGUUUCCUACAUUACCCACACUUGCCACUGAGGUAGCUCGAGUUGUAGUUCCGGAAUAUGACCUCCCUCGGUCUCUGCGUGAAUACCCAACUGAACCGGUUGGUCGUGGAUCCAUCCCUUUAAACUUCUUCGGGUGAGAUUGAAAUGUUCUGCCCAUUGACCUCUUCCUUACAUCUCGAGCUUCCAUCUCUGCCCUUCUCUUUUCUCUACUCAGCUCUUCAGCUUUGCAAGCACGAUCAACUAAUACCACAAAUUCUUUUAACUCUAAAAUUCCAACAUGUAAUCUGAUGUCUUCAUUUAGCCCCUCUUCAAAUCUUUUACACAUAAUAGCCUCCGUAGGCACACAUUCCUGGGCAUAUUUACUAAGCCGGACAAACUCCCGUUCAUAUUCUGCUACUGACAUUCGGCCCUGUUUCAAUCCGAGAAACUCUUUGCGCUUCUGAUCAAUAAACCGUUGGCUUACAUAUUUCUUUCUGAAUUCUUCCUGAAAGAAGUCCCAAGUAACUCUUUCUUUUGGAACCACCGUUAUUAAUGUUUUCCACCAACGGUAUGCCGAAUCCUUCAAUAAAGACACAGCACAUUUCAAACAUUCCUCAGGAGUACAAGAUAAUUCAUCAAAUACCUGGAUAGUAUUUUCAAGCCAAAACUCGGCUUUUUCCGGAUCAUCAUCAACAUUGGCCCUGAAAUCUUCAACCCCAUGCUUUCGAAUUCUAUCAACGGGUGGUUUACUUGAUCUCACCAAUUCAGCACUUCGUGGAGCUACGGGGACCGGCGGAGGAAUAGGAGGGGGUGGAGGAGGUGGAACAUUCGGAUUUACACGGACAUAUUCUGUAUACCAAUCACUCAUCAUUCGGAGGAAGGCUUCUCGAGCCUCAUCCUGUCCAUGUGUCUCAUGUCUACUCUCUUCAUGCGCGGUCCCUUGUGUGGGAACCGGCGUGUUACUUUCAACAUCAUCUGCCAUACUUCGAUUAGGAUCCAUUUACUAUAUAAAACAAAAUUUUAAAUUGUCAGAAAUCAUCACACUAUCACAAUAUAUUGAUGGCAUGUAUAGACUGACUUUCACACAUAUUUUAUUGGUCCGAGAACUGACUAAACCGUAGCUCUGAUACCACUAAAAUGUAACACCCCUUACUCGUAUUCCGGCUCGGAACAGAGUAUGAGGUAUUACUAAGUUUUUUAAAAAAAAUUUCGACAGCAUUUCUUCUUAAUUUUGCUUAAACCUCCUGCAAAUUUAAAUCACAAUCCAAUAUAUAUAUAUCAACCAAACUCAUUUAUAAUAAUACUCACAAUUUAACUAUUAAUGAACACCACAUUUUAAAUCAAACCAUAACAUAUAUUUACAUGAUGAUUCCAUAUUUCAUAGGUCGUCUAUACAUGCCAUAAUUUUCCGGAACGAUAGUAGCAAAAUACCCCAAGUGUGAAGGAUAGUGUGGAUGAUUGUCUGACUUCGUUCCAAAUUUCCGAGUUGUCGGAAGUCACUAUAAUCAAGGGAAAAAUAAAAUCGAGUAAGCAUAUAGCUUAGUAAGUAAACACAUGAUAAAUAAGUAAUUACUCACAUAACUACACCAAAAUAUAAACUUAUUCAUGAAUAACUUCAUUGUUUAGGCAAUUUCCAGCAAACUGUUUUUCUGCGUCAUAUUCGCUAAUUUAUUUUUAUCCGGAGCUACAGGGCUCCAAAUUGAGUUUCGUAAAUUUUCCCUGAAACUAGACUCAUAUACCAUUUCACCAUAAAAAUUUCAGAAUUUUUUACCCAGCCAAUUAGUACAUUUUAUUCAUUAAAACUUCCCCUGUUUCACUGCCCAACGGUUCUGACCCUUCCUCAAAAAAAUUCACUUAACUCUCUGUACAAAAUUUUAAAAAUGGUUUCGCUUGUUUCUAUUAAAAAUAGAGUCAAUAAGGAAUCCAGGAAUAUAAAUUUCACACCAUAAUUAUUUUUGUACAAUUUUUGGUGAUUUUCCAAAGUUAGAACAGGGGAUCCCGAAAUCAAUCCAGCCCUGUUUCAGUAAAAUUCAGAUAUCUCCAAAAAUACAACUCUUUUGCUUAUUCUAUUUAUUUCAUAUGAAAAUAGACACAUUCAGCUUCAAUUUCAUAUAUUAUUCAGCUUCCCAUUCAUUUUCCACCAUUUAUGGUGAUUUUUCAAAGUUACCCAUCUGCUGUUGUUCAACACAGUUUAUAACUAAAUCGUUCCUUUUUUCGUUUUUGAUAUUUUCUCCCAUCUCAUACAUGGAUCGAUUUAGUAUCCAACUCAAUAUUUGCCCCAUAAAAAUUUCCACCAUAUGGCAAUAUUCACCUUCCACACUUUUUCGUUGAGCACUCGGAAUGUUAACCGUUAUUGGUGGAUCUCGCACUUAGCACCACCACUUAAUCGGGGAAUCAGCACUUAGCAACCCCUUGGGGGAAUCAGCACAUAGCAACCCCCUUUUUAUUUCAGAGAUACGGUGGAUAUCGCACUUAGCACCACCAAUGAACCGGGGAAUCAGCACUUAGCAACCCCUCGGGGGAAUCAGCACAUAGCAACCCCCUUUCACAUUUCAAAGAUACGGUGGAUAUCGCACAUAGCACCACCAAUGAAUCGGGGAAUCAGCACACAGCAACCCCUUUAUGUACAACAUACUUCGGCUUAUUCCGAGUGUUCAACCCAUAAAUCAUAUAUUGCAACCCUUUACCACAUUUCCCGAUUUAACAACAUUUUUAGGAUAUGGCCAAACAUUUAUUUUAAUUCCAAAUAAAUCUCAACAUAUAUCAAUUAAUGUCAAAAUAAUACAUCAAGUCACGUGUUUACUUACCUCGGUGCAAAAUAUCGUAAUUUUGCACUUCACUUCACUCCACUAUCUUUUCUUUUCCUCGUUUGAGAUAAUCUUCACGUCUUUCUUGAUCUAUAAUAGCAAAUUUAACUCAUUUAAUGUUCACAUUCAUUAAAAUAAUCCACCACCCAACUUUUUGAAAAAUUACAAUUUUGCCCCCAAACUUUUGCAUAAUUACACUUUUGUCCCCAAGCUCGGAAAUUAAACUUCAUCACUUAUUCUUAGGUUUUAUGACAUGCUGAACAUUUUUCCCUUCUAUGGCAACAUCAAAUUCUCACUCUAACAUACACUUAUGAACAAUAAUUAUUUUUACCGAUUAUGCCUAUUUACCCGUUUUCGCUUAAAAUCGCUUAGCAAAAGUUGUUUAACAUAAUUUAUAGCUUCAUAUUCCACCAUAAAACAGAAAAAUAAACACAUUUCACCUAUGGGUAUUUUUCCAAAUAUGAGCCCUAACACGAAUUAUUGCUAGAAUAAGCUAAAUCGAGUUACGAGGAUUCCAAAAAUGCGAAGAACAUUAAAAACAGGGCUAGGAUGCACUUACUAUGAGCUUGAGAAAGCAAAGAAAACUUAGCUAUGGCUUCCUUCAAAUUUCGGCAGCAACUAAUGAGGAAGAUGAUGAUUUUUGUCAUCUUUUUCCCAUUUUAUUUUAUUUUAUUACCAAAUGACUAAUAUGCCCCAUUUAAAAAAAUCUAUUUCUCUCAUUUCUUAUGUCUAUUUUUGUCCAUCAACUAACUAAUGGUCUAAUUACCACAUAAAGACCUCUAAUUUAAAAUUUCAUAUCAAUUAGAUACUUCUACAUAUAGAACUCAACUUUUACACUAUUUACAAUUUAGUCCUUUUGACUAAAUUGAGUGCCCAAACGUCGAAAUUUUCGAACGAAAUUUUUACGAAAAUUUUCCGUGAAAUUGUAGACCAUAAAAAUAUAAUAAUAAUCAUAUUUUCCCUCGUCGGAUUUGUGGUCCCGAAACCACUAUUCCGACUAGGCCCAAAAUCGGCCUGUUACAUAUAGGCUAUUAAAAUGGUGAAAUUAUAUUUUUACAAUAGUAAAAAUUACAAUUUAAUUUCACCCCUAAAAGGAUUUUUUGGCUUCGACCCUAAUAAAAUCUUUGGCAAAAGAUUAAAAUAAAAUUAUACCGUGAAUGGAAAAAGAAACUAAGAAAAUCCAAUCUAACAAAGAAAAUAACUUUGUUUAGCAACCUUUGUUUGAUUAAAAAUGUUGAAUUAAAAAUUCCAGAAUAGAUUAAAAAUUAUACCGUGAAUGGCAAAAGAUUACAAUUUUUUUGGUAAUAUUUUAAAAUUCCAGAAUAGAUUAAAAAUGUUGAAUUAAAGAUAAAAUUAAUAACCACAAGUGUACUCAUUACUCACCAUCUCUGUUAAAAAUGAUCGAUGUUGUUUAGCAACCUUUGUUUGAUUUUCUUCAGCUCAACCACAACAUCUUUCAUAUCUUUUCUUUCUUCCGGUAACUCAGCUGAACAAUUCAAAGCCAACUCCAUGAUAGAUGAAAUACAAUUUGCUUUAACAACAAUGUACUCAUCCUCUCUUCUUAAUAAAUCAACAUCUGCAAUUUCUAUCGCUCCUUUCGGCAAUGAACUUUCCAUCCAAUGCCUUAUACUCUCUUCUUCAACAAAAACAUUACCAGUUGGCUUUUUCUUUGUGAAAGUUUCUAUAAGGACGAUCCCAUAACUAUAGACGUCAGAUUUUAUAGAAACGAUUCCUGCUGAUCCAAAUUCUGCAUUUCAAGUAUAAUUACAACAUCAUUCAUCCUCAAUUAUUUCUAAAAUGCUUAUUCAAAUAUAUAUUCACAUCCACAUGAAACAAAAAUAUAAAAUGCAAAUUAGGAAAAUAAUCAUACAAAAAUAAAAAAUAAUUCACCUGGUGCCAUAUACCCGAUAGUUGCAAGAGUCAUGGUUUGCUUCAUUACUUCACCUUCUCCCAACAAUUUGGCAACGCCAAAAUCUCCAACAUGUGCAACCAUGUCUUCAUCUAGUAAAAUAUUGCUUGGUUUUAUGUCACAAUGAAUAUAGGUGUUGGAUGUCCAUUGUGGAGGUGUUCUAUGCCUACCGCAACAUUUAUCAUUAUGUCGACCCUUUGUAUGAUAUCAAGGAAACAAUUUUCAGAAUGUAACCAUUUCUCAAGGUUUCCAUUAGACAUGUAAUCAAGCACCAAGGCUUUGAAGUCAAGACUUGAGCAGCAAGUAAUGACCUUCACAAUAUUACGAUGAACUAUAUUACGCAUAGCAUCACAUUCAAUGUCAAAACUCCUAAAUGCUCCCUCUGUUUGCAAAUUGAAAACUUUUAUUGCAACUUCCAUUCCAUCUGAAAGCCUCCCUUUAUAUACAUAUCCAAAACUCCCUGAACCAAGCAUAUUGCUUUCCUCAAAUCCAUUAGUUGCUCGUGAAAGUUCAGCAUGUGAAAUUCUUCUCGGUGUCUUCAAAGACAACAAAUCAUCUUUAAUUGGUAGAGCUGUACUCCUUCUUUGGCAUCUUCUAUACAUAAUAGUUAAGACUAUUAAUACUACGACAAUACCAAUUGUUGGUAAACCAUACCUAAAAGCAUGCAAUAUAAUCAUUUGGGAGUUUUUGUGGAUGUCGUUUUUACAAGGUGGGACUAGCAGUCUAGGUGGACCACAAAGUGCAUAAUUCUUUAUGAAUGAUGUGCUAGAAAAGUUUGAAAAACAUCCUUCGCUGGGAAUUUCCCCUUCAAGUCUAUUGAAAGACACAUUAAAAUACUUUAGAUAUAAAAGCUUCUCCAAAGAUUUGGGAAUGACUCCAGAGAGAUUGUUAUUGCAUAAAUCCAAGAAUUCCAAACUAAUCAACCCAUCAAAUGAUUCAGGGAUAUGACCAUGUAGUAUAUUAUUUGAUAAAUCUAAUGAAACCAAAGUUAUAAGACCCCCAAAUGUGGAUAAGAUAUCCCCCGUGAGAAGAUUCCUUGAUAAAUUUAGUUUCAGUAGACUCCUCAAAUUUCCGACAUCAAUAGCAUGUGAAUUGUGAAGAUGGUUUGAUGAUAAAUCUAUUUUUAAGAUAUCUUGAAGAUUCCACAAAGUUGAGGGUAUUGCGGAACUCAGUUUGUUGGAAUCUAAGUAAAGAUAUCCCAAAGAAGUAAUAUUACCCAAACAAGAGGGUAUGGAUCCAUGUAGCUUAUUCAACCCUAAAUACAUCUCGUAUAGUCUCUCCAAAUCACAAAAACUUUCUGAGAUGGGCCCUCCUAAUUUAUUAGAGGAAAGAUCUAGACCUUGGAGAUUUCGCAGUCCUCCUAUUGAUGCUGGAAUGAAUCCACUUAAUUUAUUAUGGCGAAGUUGUAAAAGCAAUAGGUUGGUUAAGUUACCUAUUUCCAUAGGAAUAAUGCCUUGAAGCUCACAAUUAGAGGCAUAAAAGUAUUGAAGGGUUUUUGAAAGGUUCCCGAUAUAAGUAGGAAGAACACCACUCAAUGGAUUUCCUGAAACAUCUAUUGUGCUCAAAUUCCUACAAUUCGUCAAAGAAGAAAGAAAGCUCCACUCAUGAUCGGUAGAAGAUCCUGUGAUCAAAUUAUUGUUUUUGAUUCGGAACCAUUCAAGGUGUCUUAAGUUGCCAAGCGUUUUAGGGAUUGGGCCAGAGAAUAAGUUAUGCGCCAAGUCUAGUUCCUUAAGCAUGGAAGCAUUGGAGAUAGAGUUGGGAAUGUUUCCGCUAAGUUUAUUUCUCCACAAUAAAAGAAUCUCAGGCUUUGGAGCAUUGGUGAUGGGUGGUAAAUUACCUGUAAAAUAUCAUCUUUUAGUAUACAUAUUCAUUGAAUACCAAAUUCACAAAAUAUAUUAUACAUUAAAAUAAAAACUGUAAAACUUUAAAUCAAUUAAGAAUAAAAUUUUGGCAUGGAAAAAUGUGAUGAAAUCAAUUACAAAGUUGAGACAUACUAAGAAGUUUCAAGUAGUAAUUAGUCUUGUGAUUUGUAUAGACAAAACAUAUAGAUUUGGGAAUGUGGCAUCUAAUCAAUCUUAAAAAUGAGACUGGCACUGAAUAAUAAUUAGUUAUGAUUUGGGAAACAAAAAGGUUAAAGCCAUUGUUUUUAAUGUAAACUGAUAUGAUUUUUAUUUAUUGGGUUAAUUAUUUAUUGUUAUUAAAUUAUAGUGUAAAAUUUAACGAUUAUUAUUUGCUCAAAAUUUCUGUAUUUUUCGUAUAUUUGAAAUUUAAUCUUUAUAUUUUUUAUUUUUUGUGAUUUAGUCUCUCUACUUUUUGAAUUGAAAAUUUUAGGUUCAUUUACUAACACUAUUAAAAAGUUUUUGUGUCUAGUAUGGCAUUUUGAAAAAUAAAAUAAACUUGAUAUCUAUGUUUUUAAUUAUUCCAAAUAUUGCUUUACUAUUUCAAGAUAAAUUAUUUGUGUCUAGACUAAUAUCUUAAGAACUAUUGUUGCAUGUUUAAUUAUCUAAAAAAUUAUCGAUUGAGUCUUAGCUUGAUUGGCAUGUGCGUUGUUGCCAAUGUAGGAGAAUGUGGGUUCAAGUAUGUUGAAGUGUAUUAUCUUCUUAUUUAUGAAUUAGGGAGUUGGUAAAGUACUAAAAUUUGAUAUAUUUUAAAAUAUUAAAAUUUAUUAAAAUAUUUUUUAUAAAAAAUGAUUCUACCACAAUAUACAAUUUUAAUAUCAAAUUUUUAAUUUUUUUUAAAAAUGUUAGCGAAUAUAUACUUUAUUUCAAGUUAUGCAAUUUUUACUAGUUUUUAACUUUUUUUCAAAUUUUUAUCGUCUUUUAUAAUUUCUAAUAAUUUUUUAUAAUUUUUUUACAAUAUUUAACAAUUUCUAAAUUUUUUUUAAUAAUUUUAUUAUGUAUUACAAAUUUAAAAAUUAACAAAUUUUUAUAUUUUUAAAAAAAUUAUAUAUUUAUAAUGUAUUUAUUUUUUAUAAUUUUAUUUGAAAUUUUAAAGAUUUUUUUGGUUUGUUUUCUAGAUGAUGAUGCCAUCAUGAUGCUAACAUAUUAUGAUUAGAUAUCUCAAUCUAUUCUUUUAACGCCCAGUGAAUGAAACCAAGAACACCUAAUGUUAAAGUGGGUAAAAACACAUUAAGGACCAAAGUUAAAAAAAGAAAAAGAAAAAGAGCAAUAUGCUGUAGGGAAUAAACUGUGCAUUAAGCCAUUAAAAAUAUAUGUAUAAUAUAUAUAAAUGCAUGGAUUUUGAGAAACUUUUGAACUGAUAAUUAUAUAGUCUUUGUUGUUUACUAUAUUAUUGAAUUUGUUAUUUUAAAUUAAUUUUAUUACUUUUAAGAUUUAUAUAAGAAUUUUGGUUUUACUAAAAUAUUUGCUUAAAUAAGUUCACUUCAUAAGAAAAUUUAGCAUCCUUAUAAAUAACAAUUUUGAUUCUAUUAAAAAACUUAUUUUAAAAAAUUAUAUAAUCAAAAUUUAAAAUUUAUAUUGAAUUACUUUAUACUUAAAUUAUUAUUAGAAACUUUAUCAUACACAUACGUGUAUGAGAACCACGUAUUUAGAACAUAAAUUUGUGUUUUAAAAUAACUUAUGAUAAAUAAUGAAAUGUAUAAUUUGAAACUAUUUAAUAAUAACACAUAGCAUAUCUACCAUAUUAAAAUAAAAAUAGAUUAAAUUGUAAGUAAAACAUAAUUUAAACAUAUGAACACAUCAAAUUAAGAAUACUAAAUGAAUAAAGUUAUUUAUAAUGAUAUUGUUGUCAAUUCCUAAAUUGGUGUCGAGUUAAUCUGUGACAUCAUAAAUUUAAGUGAUAAAUUUAAGGAUUUAUGUAUUGAUGUGGAUUCAAAUAUCACCAUAAGUUUUUUAAAAAUAAAAAACUAAAAUACCUUAAAAUACUAUAACUUAUAUUAAAUACGAAAGAGUAUUUUUGUAAUUUUCCUAACCGAGUUGGUGCCCGGUUGACUCAUGACACCAACUCAAUUAAAAGAUUUAAUAAUAAUAUAGAUAUUCACGUUAAAAAAACAAAAAAAAAGUACUUUAGUUCCAAAUAAUUAUAUAACAAGUAAAUUUAUAAUUGAUGAAUAAAUUUAUAGAUAAUAUAUUUAUAUGAUCUAAUAUAUUAUAUUAAUAUUAAUUAUAUAUCAUCUACAAUCUUUGAAGAUCAAUUUAUUAAGUAUCAAGAAAAGAAAAAAAUGAAAUUGAGUUAACACUAAAUCAAUUUUUAGAUUUUGUACAGAUGAUUUAAUGAUGAUAAAAAAAUUAUUAGCACUAUUUUUGAAUUAACAAAAAAUUAGUGAUAUAUUUUAAUUAUAUUUAUUAUUUAUUAUUUUUAAUAAUAUUUUUUAAAAUUAUAUGAAGUAAAAUUAUACUGUAUACUAAAUAUGGUACAUAUACUUUAAUUGUAACUUGAAAAUUUAUUAUAUAAAUUAAUAUAUUUUAAUUAUAUUCAACCAUUUGAAUAACAAAAUAAAAAAAAACUAAUUAGAAUAAUUUUUAGAAAAAAGAAAAAACAUUAUUUAAAGGCUAGUUAAAAAUCACGUGCAACAGGUGAUAUGAGAAUCUAUGUAUAUAAAUGUGUAUAUAUAUAUCGUUGUUUCAUUUUUUUUUUAAAUAAAUAUAUUUUCCACAUUGGUUUCUUUUCUUGUACAGACAAAGGAUUUCUAAUGAUUUUAAAAAAAAAAAUUUACUUAUAUAAAAUAGAUCAGUUUAUUCAGUAAAAUAAAUCAAUUCAUAUAAAUGUUAUUGUUUAUUAUCAGAUUGAAAUGAUAAAAGUAUAUGACAUAAAUAGAAGAAACAAAUUCAACACAAUGUUUUCCGAGUUUGGAAAAAAUUAAAGUGAAAAACAUACCUUCUAAUUUGUUGCCAUAUAGAGCUAUUACUUCGACCAUAGUUGAAUUAAAAAUACUUGAUGGAAUCUGACCUGCAAACAUAGUUGAAAAUUGAAGUAAAAAACAUACCUUCUAAACUCUUCAACUAAAAAUACUUUAAGCAUAUUUUUUUUCCCAUCAAAUUAACUAUUUUGCCUUGAAUGAAAUAAAAUGCUCUUACUUUUGUUAUCUAUUACAAAUCAAAUUCUUCUAUGAAAAAAUAUUUUAAAUUAAAGAAACAAAGAAAAUUCAAUAUCUUCUAAGUAAAGCACUUCAAGCUUGGGAAGAUCAUUAGGCAAACUACCUGAUAUGCCAGUGUUGGAGAGAUCAAUGAUCUUCAGAGAAGAAAUGUUGAAGAUCGAAGUUGGAAUCUGACCUGUGAGGCCUUUAAUUUCUUUAAUACUAAGCAGCUCCAAACCAAGAAGAUUACCGAUUUCCUCAGGAAUUUGACCUGCACACAUAUUUAGUCGAAAAAUCAAGAUGUCAAACUGCCUAUAUUGUUAGCAUAAGUCAAAGAGGUUUUCGUUUCUGCUCUACAGUAAUUUGGAGAUGUUAGAUUUAAUAUAUUUCAGCAUAUGUUUUUCAUCAAAUGAAAUAAAAAAGUUUUUCCUUUUGUUAUCUAUUAAAAAUCAAACUCUUUUAUAAAAAAAUACUUUAAAUUUAAGAAAUCAAGGAAAUUGAUUACCUUCUAGAUUAUUAAACCCCAAAUAUAAUUUCUGGAGUUGUGUUAGAUUUCCAAUACUUCUUGGAAUGAUCCCCAUAAAUUGAUUAUAGGACAACGACAAACUUUUAAGGUUGCUGCAUUUGCCCAUGCCAAAUGGAAUGUUACCAGAUAAUUCAUUCCAACUCAGGUAAAGCUCUUCAAGCUUGGGAAGAUGUUGACACAUAUCAUUAGGCAAACUACCUGAUAGGCUAUUGCUGGUGAGACUAAUAGAUUUCAAAGAAGAAAUCUUGAAGAUGGAAGAUGGAACCUGGCCAGAUAAUUGAUUCAAUUCCAAGUUCAAGAUCUCUAGGUUAGACAUGUUAACAAGUGUUUCAGGGAUUGUGCCUGUAAAGUUAUUAUUUUUCAUUUUCAGCGUUCGAACUCUCUGUAAGUUCCCAAGCCAUGAUGGAAUUUCUCCAUUAAGACGGUUGUAGCUUAAUCGAAGGAUCCUCAAACGAUGCAAUUGGCCCAAUUCUUUAGGGAGAUAGCCAUAGAAAUGGUUGCUACUCAAGUCGAGUGAGAGUAGAAGUGAAAGAUUUCCAAGGUGUGGAGGGAUAGUACCCCUAAGAUUCAUGCUUGUAAGAUUCAAAGCUAUAACUCUUUUAUGGAGGAUGCCACAAGUAACACCAAUCCAAUUGCAAACAGAGGUUGAGGCCGUCCAAUUGUUUGCCAAGACAUUUUGAGGACCGGCAAUGUGAUCCUUAAACUCGAGAAGUGCAAACUGAUCGGAGUUGAGAUUCUUGACUGUCAUAGCCAAGCAAAGUACGGAACAUGGUAUGAAUAAAGCUAAGAGAAGAUGAAAGCCAGCGUUGUAGUUCAUGAUUGCAAGACGGAAUAAGGCAAGAAAAUAAAAAAAAGUAGGAAAAGGGAAGUUGAGCUGAUAAAAUAGUUUGGAUGAUGAAGAAAAGCCCAGAGAGCAUGCUUUAAUAUGUUUCAACCCUCGUACACUUGAUAAACUUGAUAAAUUUAAGACUACCCUAAAAAUUAAAAAGGAAAGCAAAGUUUUGAAGAAAUUUCAAAAUAAAUGUCAAGUCUUCUUCUUUAGAAAAUACGUACAAAGAAUCGAAUUUUCAAAAUUUCUCCUAAAUUUUCUUCACGUUACUCCACAUAAUCCAUUAAAAAUACUUAAAAAUAUAUUUUAAUAAUUACUAUAUAUUCUUUUAUUUAAUAAAUUGUUUAAAAAUGCUAUUAGUCCCUGUAAUUUAAAAGUUAAAAAAAAAAUCCAAUCCUCCUAUUUUUCUAAUUUGAAAAUUCUAGUCCAAUAAUUCUUAAUUCCAUUAAAAAAUUUCAGCUUAAUAGGUUUUUUAUUAUCAAUCAUAUGCAACAGUAUAUGAAUGCAGUCUACUCAGCAUAUAUCCAAGUUUACAGAUUUUAAUAGAAAAUACUUACAAUCCUAAUGGUAGGACUAAGUUUUUUAAACUAGAAAAGUGAGAAGACUUAAUUUUUAACUUUUUAAGCACAAGGAUUAAAUUUUAAAUGUUGUCAAAGUACAAGCACUAACAAAAUAUUUUGAUCUAAUAAAUGUAAAAAACUUUUUAAACAAAAUAAGGUUGAAAUAAUCUAUUUGUCCUUGUACUUUGAUAAAAUUUGAGAUUUAGUCCUUAUAUUUAAAAACUUAAAAAUUAAGUCUUAUUGUUUUUAUUUAAAAAUCUUAGUCCUAUCCUUAAUUUUAUUUUAUCAAAAUUGGUCAACUUUACAUAUUAAUUAGGUUUCCCUUAUAUGUCGCGGUAUCAAUCAAAACUUAAUUAAUAUCCAUCAAUAUCCAUCAAUACGUCAUACAUAAAAAAAGCAAGCAUAAAAUACAGUUAAAAGUCCUCCUUUUAUUAUUAAAUGUUUUAUUUUAGUUAUUUUAAUCAAAUAUAUCCAAAUUACAAUAGAGUUAACAUUUAUUGUGUAAAAAAUAUUUUAAAUUUUUUUUUCAAUUUUAGUUUAAUUCUAGAAGAAAUAUUUCAUUUAUAAAAUCAUAAAACUUUAAAAAUAUUAACUCUGUUAAAUAAAAAUUAUUUUUUUAAAUAGUAAAUGUUAACUUUAUUAACACAAAUGGGCCUCAGUAAUUGACAAGCUCUUCCACAAACUGUGGAAGAUUUGGGGAUAAAAGCUUCAAUAAUUAUGGAGUUAUAGUGUAAAUUUGCCACUAUAUUAUAAGUGUAUUGAAAUUUAUCACUAUAUUUUAUUUGAUGUUUAUCAUUACACUUUGAAAAUAUAAGUAAAUUUACCAUUUAACUCAGAUUUACCUUUGCAAGUAAACUUAAAAUUUUAUUUAAUUUUGUCACUAAAUUUGAUUUGUUCAAUAUAGAUUUUGGUGACUUAAAACUCACUAAAUUUGAUUUUUUCAAUAUACAUUUUGGUGACUUAAAACAAAAUUAAUAAAUAAUUAUUCUUUUGGAUAUCUUUUUAAUGUUUAAUAAUAAGUUAAUUUAUAAAAUAUACUGUCAUUGGACACAAGCCUCUAAGGCGGUGAACCACUAAUCAAAUUAAUUUGGAGAUAUCUUUUUUUCUAAAUAAAGUGAAUUUACGAGUUUUGUUUUCUUUUAAAAACAUUUUUAAUAUUUUUGUGGAUAUCAAAAAAUUUUUCAAUAAGAAAUUUUAAUUCACUCGAAAAGUUAGUGUUUUAUUUCAAGGGGUCAUAAUUAAUCAUUAGAUUUCCCAAUUUUAAAUUUUAAAUUUUUCGACAAUUGCGUAAUUAAUAAGUACCAAUUUUGAGUGUUGUAGGGCUAGUACAAUCUUCCUUACACAUAACCGACUCUUAAACCUACUCUUUUCUCUAGAAUUCAAUGCAAACAUCGAAUUUAUCUUUUGAAAAGAAUUUUAAAAUAAUAUAAAAGGUGUUUUUUUAUGACUGAUCACACUUAACAAAAAUUUAAAAAUUAUUAAAAAAAUUUCAUUUUGAAAUUUAAAGUGAUCUAAAAACAUAUUUUUAAGUGCUUUGGACCAUCUGUUGCUGAUUUCCUUAUUAUAUUAAAUGUUUGCAAUCACUCCUAAUAUAUUGUGCUUGAGUUGUGACAGAGCAAAUCGCCAACGUGCCAUAUUGAUCUAUUGAUGCUGAAACUGAAGUUUUUGUUAUAUUGAUAGAGCUUGUCCUUCAACGCAUACAACGUGUUUGUUAUUUUUCUCCCUUCAAAUUGUAUGAUCUUAUUUAUUUAAUGAAUUAAUGAAUUUCCCUUUUAAAAAGAUAUAUUUUUAAAAUUAAAUACUUUAUAAAAUAUUUAAAACUACUUAAAAAAUUGUAAGCCUUAAAACAAUCAACAAAAUAUAUUUUUCUCUAAAAAAAUCAAUAAAAAUAUGUUUAAAAUUUUAUAUGAAAUUAAAUUUUUUUUAACAAUAAUAUAUUUUAAAAUUAUAGUAACGCUAUAAAAUAUAUAUAUACAUAUAUAUAUAUAUUUACUAAUUAUAUACACCUUUCCAUACAUCCUUUUUCUACAUAGAAUUUCAAAAGUAAAUGUGAAUUAAUGUAGGCGUAAGAAGACUUACAGGUAAGUCACCCAACGAAAGUGUCCUAAACCGACUUAUGGAAGAAUCAAACAAUAAUUUUGUAUCGUAUAAUAUAUUUAAUUACAUUUAUUAGUUUAUCAAUCAAAACUUAAGUAGAAUCCAUCAAUAUUUCACACAUCAAAACCCAAACAUAAAAUUCACUUUUAAAUUAUUCGGGGAAUAUUUGUAUUAUAGGAAAUGGAUUAAAUUAGACUUUUAUUAUUAAAUGUAUUAUCUUAAUCUUUGUAUUAGGUAUGAAUGAUAUCUCUUAGAUUGAAGCUAGAGCUAUUCUUGAAUGAUUGAAAUUAAGAUUAAGAUGUGUUGAGAUGGAAAGUGGCAACACAAUGCUGAUUGAUGCUAUUUGUAAUGGGUUGGCUACAAUAAGUAGUGCUGCUGAAGUAAGACAAAUUUAUGAUUGGUGUUCCAAAAUUUUGGGAAGUCAAAUUUUGACAUUUUCAGCGGAAUGCCAAUAAAGUUGUUGAUUGCAUAGCUAUGGCAGAUGGAGGCAUAAUUGAGCAGCUGGUUAUCUUGAAAGAUCCUCUGCAUUAUGUGAGAUACUAGCUUGAAGAAGAUAUUAGACGGUCACUGGUGACUGAUGAUAAUUUUCAUUUGGACUGAUGAGCGCUUAAUUUUCUAAGCUUAUGGUCAACCAAAAAAAAUAAAUAAAUGCGUCUAAAUUGUAAUAGAGUUAACAUUUAGUGUUUAAAAAAAUCUUAAAAUUUUUUUUUCAAUUGCAGUUCAAUUCCAAAAAUAUCGAUGAUGAACCCGAACAUAAAAAUUACCAAAAAAAAAAACACAUCUAUUAUCAAACCAACAAUCCAUGUCUAAACUUAAAUUAACAAAAUUCGCCACCCAACCCAAUACACUAUUUUAUAUAUAUAUUAGAUUUAUUCUAGAUGCGCAUGUUUUAUUAUAUUUAAAAAUUAAAAUAUAUGGUUGACUGAGUUUUAGCUGAGUUGAUAUUGGUAUUAUUGUUAGUGUAAGAAAAUUUGAGUUUAAUCGUGUUCAAAUGUGUUUUAUCCUCCAAUUUAAAGGUUAGGAAAAUAUUAUUGAUAAUUAAAUUAUACCAACUUGAUGAUAUUAAAAAAAGGAUGUAUAAAAAAUAUAAGGGAGAAAAAAAAAAGGAGAAACAUAUUCAUAUUGAUGGGCUCUUUCAAUAUUAGACUUUUUUUCUCUCACAAGUAAAAGUAGUUAUGGAGAGGAUCAUGUAAAAUAAUAGCCUGAAUAAUUUUAAACGUCUCAUCAUUGCAAAAAUGAAAUAGUAGAAAAGAAAGAGUAGACAUUCUAUGAAAUUUAUAAUUCCAACCGUGAAUAAAAUAUAAAUUUUAUGAAUGUGGACAAGCAAUUUUAUUUAACUUUUUUUAAAGUCAUUUUGUUUGUUUCCUAAUCACCAUGAAAUUACUUGUCACAAUUCAUCUUUUUAAAUGAGAAACAUUUUCCACAAUUUGCCAUCACUUUAACAUACACUAACUUUUCUAUGAUUAGUCCUUUGUUUGCUUUGGGUGCAAUCUUCCAACUAGCCUCAUCCUUGGUUUUACUUUCCAACAUUUAGUGUAUUACGAGUUUUGUUUUCUUUAAAAAAUAUUUUUGUGGAUAUUAGGAGAUAAUGAAAUUAUUUUACUAUGAAAUUUUAAUAAAACUGGAAAAUAAGUCAUUUAUUUUAAGAGAUCACAAUUAAACAUUAGAUUUCCAAUUUUUUAAUUUUAAUUUUUUUUGACAAUUGCAUAAUAUUUUGAGCGUUGUAGGAAUGCCAUAACCUUCCCUACGCAUAAUCGACUCUUAAGUAUGAUGGAUCCUAGACCUUCUCCUCUAUUCUUGUACCACAAAUUGCUUCGAGUGUGGGUUCGGAAAAUCACAAAUUAAGCACAAAACCAAAAAUGAUUUUGUAACACCCCAAACCCAGCCUAGUCAUUAUGGAUUAAUGUAGACCUGAGAAGACUUAAUUACAUUUAUUAGUUUAUCAAUCAAAACUUAAUUAGAAUCCAUCAAUAUUUCACACAUAAAAAACCCAAACAUAAAAUUCACUUUUAAAUUAUUUGAAGAUAUAUUUGUAUUAUAGGAAAUGGAUUAAAUUAGUCUUUUUAUUAGUAAAUGUAUUAUUUUAAUCUUUUUAUUAGGUAUGAAUGAUAUCUCCUAGAUUGAAGGCAGAGCUAUUCUUAAAAGACUAAAGUUAGGAUUCAGAUGUGUUGAGAUGGAAAGUGACAACGCAAUGUUGAUUGAAACUAUUUGUAACGGGUUGACUACAAUAAGUAGUGCUACCGAAGUAAGACAGAUUCACGAUUGGUGUUCCAAAAAUUGGAAAGUCAAAUUUCGACAUAUUCAGCGGAAUGCCAAUAAAGUUGUUGAUUGCAUAGCUAAGGCAAAUGGAGGCAUAAUUGAGCAGCUGGUUAUCUUGGAAGAUCCUCCGCAUUAUGUGAGAUGCUAGCUUGAAGAAGAUAUUAGACAGUCACUGGUGGCUGAUGAUAAUUUUCAUUUGGACUGAUGAGCGCUUAAUUUUUUAAGCUUAUAUUCAACAAAAAAAAAAUUAAAUACGUCUCAAUUGUAAUAGAGUUAACAUUUAGUGUUUAAAAAAUAUCUUAAAAAUUAUUUUUUCCAAUUGCAAUUCAAUUCCACAAAUAUCAACGAUGAACCUGGACAUAAAAAUUACAAAAAAAAAAAAACACAUCUAUUAUCAAACCAGCAAUCCAUGUCUAAACUUAAAUUAACAAAAUUUGCCACGCAACCCGAUACACUAUUUUAUAUAUAUACUAGAUUUAUUCUAGAUGCACAUGUUUUAUUAUAUUUAAAAAUUAAAAUAUAUGGUUGACUAAGUUUUAGUUGAGUUAGUAUUGGUAUUAUUGUCAGUGUAGGAAAAUGUGAGUCUAAUUGUGCUCAAAUUUGUUUUAUACUCCAAUUCAAGGGUUAGGAAAAGGUUAUUGAUAAUUAAAUUAUACCAACUUUUAUGAUAUUAAAAAAAGGAUUUAUAAAUAAUAUAAGGAAAAGAAAAAAAGAGAGAAACAUAUUCAUAUUGAUGGGCUCUUUCAAUAUUAGACUUUUUUUCUAUCACAAGUAAAAAUAUCAAAGGUGAUAAUAAUUAAAUUAUAAAAUUUAAAUUGAGAAAAUAGGGGAUUGAAUUUAUAACUUUUAAAGUAUAAAGAAUGAAUUUAUAACUAACAACAUAUUUUAACCACACAAUAAAAGUAGUUAUGGAGAGGAUCAUGUAAAAUAAUGACCUGAAUAAUUUUAAACGUCUCAUCCUUGCAAAAAUGAAAUAAUAGAAAAGAAAUAAGUGUUGGGUGUAGUGGCAAUGUACAUUAUACUUCUAAGGGGAGAUCAGGGUUUUAUACAAGGGAAGAAUUUUAAACCUGCUUUUUUCUCUAGAACUCAACGCAAACCUCAAAUUUAUCUUUUUAUAAGAAUUUUAAUAUAUCUAUAUAAAAGGUGAUUUUUUUGCCGAUCACACUUAACAAAAUUUUAAAUUUUUUUUUUUGAAAUUUAAAGUGAUCUAAAAACAUAUUUUUAAGUGCUUUAGACCAUCCUGUGUUGAUUUCUUUAGUAAUUUGAUUUGUUCAAUAUAGAUUUUGGUGACUUAACACAAAAUUAAUAAAAAAUAUUUUUUCAGAUAUCUUUUUAAUGUUUAAUAAUAAGUUAAUUUAUAAAAUAUACUUUCAUAGGACACAGGCCUCCAAGGCGGUGAACCACUAAUGAAAUUAAUUUUGAGAUACUUAAAUUUGUUUUCAUCAAUUAAGAAAUUUGAAAAAUUGUUGAGACCUCAUGAUUAUCUUUUAUAAUUUCAGGCUUAUCACCAAAAAACUAAAAAACAAAAUCGUCGACAUUAAAUUUGUUGGCAUGCAAUCAAUUUUAAGAUGGUUUUUGGAGUUAUAUAUCACUUUAGCAUGGACUUACUUUUCUACAGUUAGUCUUCUCCAACAAGUUAAAUAUUUCAAUUUUAACAACAUUGACAGGUCUUUGGGGUAGGGUCGAGCAAAACUCAAUAGAAAUAGAUGAUAUAGAUUGAGUUAGCUCGGCCAAGUCGAGUCGACUUGUUCAAAUUAGUUAAAUUAGUAAAUUUUAGGGUGCAGUUAGAAUUUUUUUUUGUUUUGAGAUGCUAAGAUUAAAAAAUUUCAGUUGCUAAAACAAAAAAAUUGUAUUUAAAAAAAGGCAUAAAGAAAGGCUGAAUGACAAAUUGCCCAAAGCCCAUGCCCCUAGCUAUACGCCCCUGGUAAAAUCAAUUUUAAAAUUAGUUAUAAUAGUUGAAGCGAUUGAUUAUUGAGGAAUGAAAUACAUAGUUCAACAAAAUAAAUAAGUUGACAAAUUUUGACAAAAAAAAUCAAAAAUAAAAUAAUAGAAAAGAAAGAGUAGCCAUUUUAUGAAUUUAUAAUUCCAACCGUGAAUAAAAUAUAAAUUUUAUGAAUGUGGACAAGCCAUUUUAUUUAUAAUUUUCUGUGUUUUUCUUCUUUUCCUGACUUUUUUUUAAAGUCAUUUUCUUUGUUUCCUAAUCACCAUGAAAUUACUUGUCACAAUUCAUCUUUUUAAAUGAGAAACAUUUUCCACAAUUUGCCAUCACUUUAACAUACACUAACUUUUCUAUGAUUAGUCCUUGGUUUGCUUUGGGUGGAAUCUUCCAACAAUUAGUGUAUCACGAGUUUCGUUUUCUUUAAAAAAUAUUUUUGUGGAUAUUAGGAGAUAAUGAAAAUUAUUUUACUAUGAAAUUUUAAUAAAACUUUAAAAUAAGUAAUUUAUUUUAAGAGAUCACAAUUAAACAUUAGAUUUCCAAUUUUUUAAUUUUACAAUUUUUUGACAAUUACAUAAUUAAUAAGGUACCAAUGUUGAGCGUUGUAGGAAUGCUAUAACCUUCCCUAAACAUAAUCGACUCUUGAGCAUGAUGGAUCCUAGACCUUCUCCUCUAUUCUCGUACCACAAAUUGCUUUGAGUGUGGGUACGAACAAUCACAAAUUAAACACAAAACCAGAAAUGAUUUAUUACUUUUAAUAGCAAAGUAAUUCUCUCUCAAUAGAAACCAAUAGAAUUGUAAUUCCCAUAAAAUAAAAUUUAUUUUCUGAAAUAUAUUCUCACUACUUUCUAGCAGAGUAACAAUAUUUAAAACUUAUGUCUUGUGUUAAUAGCUUUACUAGCACUAUCUAUUUAUAGGGAGAGAGAUGAGAGUCCUGGUUGAAUUAGUAAAACACGAAUAAUAUUUAUUUCAUAGAAGACAAUUUCAUAGAAAACUUAUGUCUUGUGUUAAUAAUGUUGAAUUUGUAUGUACAAGUUUCUAAUACACUUGUUGGGACAUUCUUUGACUUUUAUCUAUUCUCUCAAAAAGUUAAAGUUCAAAGUUGCAUUAAACUCAAAUAAGAUAACCAUUAGCAAACCAGCUCACAAGCCUGCUCAAGCUAAUCCUACAAGUCAUUCCACUUCAUCAUCAAGCACCAAUGUUCUUGCUUAUCCUUAUGGAAUUAAACAAAAGAAAAAAGCUCUUUAAGAGUUAUUUCAAUAGACUUCUUUAAUGGUAAAUGACAAUCCACUCUAUUGAUGCUUCUUCGCCCAACUCAUGAUUUAAAAGAAGUUUAUACUCAUGGAUCAAGUGUAGCUCACCAGUUAUCAUUAAGGAGAAAAAAGAGUCAAUCAAGUGAAAAUUAUAUUCCAACAUCCCCCCUGAACCAAAUUUUAGAGUGAUGAAUGUCAUGACAACUGACACUACAUUCUUAGAAGAAUAAGUAGAUCUCUAGCAAAAACGAUGGAGAGUCUUACUACAAGCAUAAAAGGAAUGGAUGAUCAAAUUGAACAUCUUAGAGGAAGUAACCAAACCUUUUCCUACGAAACUCAACAUCCUCUUCACAAAGUUGUUGGAAUCAAAAUUGUUGAAGGACUUUAAAGUGUUUCUUUAGAUCAAGUUAAGGAGCUCAUUAAAGAAACCAUUAAAGAUCAAGUCAAAAGUGUUGCUCUACCUUCAUAUACAUACUUGAAGCCAUACAUUUGAAGGGCUUAUCAUUUGAAUAUGCCUGAACAUUAUCCACCUCCAAAAUUGCAAUAGUUUGAUGGUAAAGGAAAUCUAUGUAAACAUGUCGCUCACUUCGUGGAAACUUGUGAUUGCGUCGAUGUAACACCCCACUCGCGACCUAAUCGCUGGAUUCGAGAAGAGAGAUACCGAAAUCAUGUUGGAAAAAUCUAGUUUGAAAAUGGUUUUAUUUAUAGAGGAAAAUAAAAAUUUUGAAAACUGACUCGGUUUGUGAUAUUUAUGGCAAUAAAUGUUAAACUGAAAUCAUAAAUGUGCUUUUGAAUAAGCAAAUCCUUGAUGUUUUCUAGCUUUAAACCAAAUUAUCUUCUUCACUAUUCUCAUACCACAAAAUGCUUUGAAGUGUGGACUUGAACCAAUUGAAUCAAAACACAAAACUUGAAAAAGCUUUUUAUUCUUUUCGGGGUGAAACCUAAAAUUUUCUCUUAUUUAAUAGAAACCAGUAGAAAUGUUUAUUUUGGAAAAAUAUAUUUAAUAGUUAAGAAUAAAUUCUCCUUAUUUUUCAAUAGAGUAACAAUCUCUCAAAGUUGUAUAUAAAUCCCUACUGAUGCCAGAUAUUUUUAAGAAGAGAAGAUAGAACCCUUGUGGAAUUGUAGAAGCUUAUUUCAACUAGAAAAAUAACUUCCUACUUAGAGUAGGAGCAGGUUGGAUGGCAUCCCCUGUCGCCCCUUCGUUUUCCAUGAAGGGAUUUUGGAUCUCUCUCACAUUAGAUCCAACUAUGAGUGCUUUUCGAGCAUUUAGACUCAGUACUUUGUAAUUUGACCCAACUCAAUUCUAUUUUUUUAUUUCCCAAAAUAAACUUCAAUAUUUUAUAUUAAAUAAUUUUCUCAUCCAAAUUUUACCCUCAAUAGAAUUUUUGAGAAAAUAUAUUUAAUAUUUCACAAUUCAACUUGUUCAUUAUGAUCGAAUGAUUUAUUUUCAUUUUCUAGAUUUUAUAUAGCUGAAAAACAUAAACUCAUUCUCCUGAUCAUUUUUAAGUAUAUUCAUCUACAUUUGAAAAUGAAUCAUUUCUCAUUUUCGUUUCCAAAUGAUUUCAUUUCUCCAUUUCGAAGAAAUGUAUAAUCAUUCCUGAAUGUUUGUCAUUUCUUUAUUUCUAUUCAUUUCGAUUCAAACAUGCAAUUCAUUUAUGGUUUCAACGAGCUAGUGAAGGGACUAAUUGGACAUAUACAAUUAGGGCUCAAAUGAUUUAUAUUUGAAGUUUCAACUUUUCAUCUAUUAAUUAUAAACUCAUUUAGUCAUGAAGUCAUUCCACUAUAGUAUCAUGGCUGAGCUUGUGGUUCCCCAAACUUGGACGAGACAGUCUGACCCAAAAUUUGAAACUUACAUUAGCCACCAAAAUGAUUCUCUGUUAAAAUACUACAAAACAGACCAACCAACCAUGCAGGCCACACAUUUUCAACAUAAAUCAUAAUACAAUUAAUCCUAAUUGCAUGCCUUUCUAAACAUACCAUAAAAAAUGAAGAAAAAAAAUUCAUAUUUAGGUCACCUGUGAACCCACCCACUUAGAAACCUAGUAGCACGCAUCAACUUGGCGAGCACCAGCUGAAGACCUCCUCGCGACCCCCAGCUCAUUGCUAGCCCUACGAACCACUAGUUUGCUACUACCCUGUGAUCCCUAAAUAUUGGCAAACCUAGACACACAACUCCCCUUUUAUUUUAAUAGACUACUCAAGUCGUUGGCUCACUUGCGAACUCCUCUAUUUAGUGAACCUACCUAAUAAGGCAAACUCACUAUCCUGACGUACGCAUUAACUAUGGAGAACCUUCUAUUGCUUGGCGUACUCCCUCCUAAUGGCAAACACUAGGUUAUAUAGGGCUAGUCUAUACUAGCGGACUCCCUAUACUUUGGCGAACACUCUAUUAGGGAACUUAUGGUUUUUGGUGAACACACUUUUGUUUGGCGAAACCUACCUUUGGUGAACUCACCCCUAUUGUUGAACACUGUGUUAUGGUAAGGUCCUAUUCCCUUAUGACCCCUGUCUCACACUAUGCUAGGUUGGCUCGUAAGUAUUCUUUCAAUGCGUUAUUACUUCUAUAACAUGCAUUCUAUGUUAUCACUUUAUCUCAACCAAAAAAUUGGUUCAAGGGCGUACCUCAAAAUUCGGCGAACUCCUUGUUUUACAUAAGUAUGUUAGUUCAUCAAUUUACCUAGCAAAAUCAUGUAUUAUAAUCCAAACAAUCAAGCAUUCAAUCAAGCACUUAUAAAGUCUAAAAAUCCAAAAUUUAAAUAGUUCGUAAUAUCUGUUUACAACUUGUCAAAGUUUAUUUAAAAAUUCUAGGUCUACAUCUGAUUCCUUAGGAUAGUCCCACAUUGCCUUCAACUAUAGGGUUUGUAAAAACAAAUCACGUACUCGAAUGGAUUUGCCUUAUGUUGCAUCACUAGAUUGCCAUGCUUCACAACUAGUCACGUGAACUACUUAUCUGCAAGAUAUAUGCAAGGAGUGUGAGCUUAUUGAAGCUCAGAGAAUGCUUAAGCACACAACACAUAAAACACAUCAGUCAUGCUAAAAUUUAGACAUGUUGUAACAAUUCACAUAAAAUAUAAUAAUCAUGCUCGUCAUAGUAAAAUAAUGGCAAUUUGUGAAUAUGAAACAUAAUCAUAUUAUAUAUGCAUUGGAUAAGUAGAUCUUUAGAAUACUCCAAAUGACAUAGAGAGUCAUGCGCUAUCUUUGAUAAGUGUAGUAUGAAUGCUCACACUCUCCAAACACUCCAUACUAUCCUCAAAAUUGGAGCUAAGCUCGACAUUCCCUUAUCUCUCCAAUGCUAUCUUCAGGCCAUAAUGCCCCAUCAUAUAGUAAAAAUGGUGAGUACUCACAAUCCUAUGACAUGCCAAUGAUAUCUAACGGUUUCAAGUGUUCACAAUGCCAACAUAUGAUUUUUAUUUCAUUCACUUUACACAAUUUAAAAGGCCCACAAUAUAGUAGAUCUCACAUAUAAUAGUUCUUAAUAACACAACUCACAUUUUUGUAGGGCUCGCAUGAUACAUAAGUUCGUAAUAACAUAGAUUCGCAUAACACUUAUGGCUCACAUAUAUUUAGGGCUCGAAUGCAACAUUUGGGUUUCCAUAUAUUUAAACUAGCAUAAUACAGGGGCUCGCGUAACAUGUUUUGGCUUGCAUGUAAUAUAGGGCUUGAUCACAUAUAUAGGUUUGCAUGAUCUUAGGGUUCGCAUCACAUAUAUAAGUACGCAUGAUACAUGGGUUCACUCAACAUGUAUAUAUAAACUUGCACAUCAAAGUAUAGGCUCGCAUGCAUUAAGGUAAUAGAUUUUGCAAACAAUUUAGAGCUAGCACACAUCUUAGGCUUGCAUACAUACAUGUUAGCAAGGUCUGCAGGUCACAAAUCGGGGCUCGAAUAACUAUAGAGGCUUGCAUAGAAAUAUAACAGUGUUCGCAUAUCAUUUUAAUCAGCUUCACACAUUAAAUCAGAUAGUUUGUAUGCCUUACUUGGCUUUCAUUAGCAUGCGAACUCUUGUUUUUGACGUAGUGUGUAAGGACACUCACUAGUUGUUUGUUGAUACUGUCAAACCUAUACCACAUUUUGCUUGACUUUUUCCUUGCUUGUAGAUGCACCUUUAUAUUGAGAGGCUUUGCAUAAAACAAGAAAAUAUACAGAUUGCUACUUUCACAAACAUAUUAACCUUCUUAACUAACAUAGCAGCUCACCACUUCUAAAUUUACCGAACUCACCUCAUGUGACCUUAAACUUUUAGUUACUUUAUUUUAGUUCAAUUAAAUCCCCAAUUAUUACUUCCUAAUCUCAUAAGUAAGGUUUAAUUAUAGAUCUAGGCCAUUAAUUUUAGUCAAUUCUUAAAAUCAACAUUUUUCAAAAAAUCAUGCUCAUUUUCUAUCUCAAGAAGAAAAAUCACUUGAUUCAUGCAAUUCCUUUAAGGAUUUGUUAAAUCAAGUUUAUAAACCUCUUAAUUAUGCCAAAAUGAGUUAAAAAUUAUUUUAAAAUCAUGACUUAGCUCACUAUUAUGAGAUUCACCAUUUUUUUAUAUAAACCAAGCUUUAAAGCCAUAGAUCCAAUGAUUUCUCUUGAAACUUCAGGUGCAGUGCACUAACUAUGAAUAAUGUGGACUGAAUAUGUUUUUGGUACUCCAUGGAACUCCUCCUUCAACCACAAAAUCCCAACCCAAUUUAUAUGCAAUAUGUCACACAAUCUCAUACAUAAUCCUAUCUUAAUACUUUUCACAUUCAUUUGACAUGCUCAGCAUGUCCUCAAUAAUCACAUACUUUCAUACUUUUAGAAAAUGGAAACAGUGUUCCAAAGUUUCAAUUACCAUUGUGUUGGUAUCAAUCAAUAUCAUUCAAUUACACAUACUUUAUAGAUUUCCAUUGUGUUUAAAUAGCACCCUUUUCAAUACACAAUAUAAAAAAUAUCUCAUGCAUUUAAUCAUACAUAAGCUUUAUAUCUCAACACAUUAUAUCAUUCAGUCAAACAUUCUCAUAUCUUAUAAUUCAAAUAUGCAAUUACAAACUCAAUCAAACAUUCAUACUAUCAAACUAGCAAUUUUGCCAACAUGUUAAUCUUUUAAGGCUCAAAACAUAAUUGGUUCAGCCACUCACAAAAUCAAUAAUUUGGCUAUUAAGCCAAUCCAAUCAACAAGCUAAUUUAUCACAUAUAACAUGAUAUUUAACAUUUUCAAAAAAAAUUAUAAGUUUAGGACCCACGCAUUAUUUUUUGCUUCCUCGCAACAUACUAGCGAAUCUUCCAAUCUUCCUUAAUAAUUCCUUAAACGAACCUAAACCAAAAUGAAGCAUAAAUUCAAUCAAUUUACCAUUAAGCCAACCCCCAAACACCCACUUGUGAGUUCAAACUGAUCAUUGAAAUUAAAACUACUUUAUGAAUCCAAACUAGUUAGAUUCCUUAAACUGUAUCGAUGCAAAUCGUACGUACAAUCGUUCUUCACCUUUAUGGAUGAUUGGGGGUGUUUGGGUCAGCACCUAAUUCAAUAAUAUACUGGAAAAUCAGUAGUUAAUCAAUGAUUAACUUUCUUUAUUUAACCAAUUCAUAACCUUUACCCAACAACUAUGCCAAAAUAACAAACUAGUUUACAAUUAAUCGUACUUAUACUUCUCAAAUUAUAAGAUUCGAAUGGCUAAUUGAUCAAGAAUGUCUUUUGUAACAUCCCAAAAAUUAGGUUAGAAGAAAUGAGAUUUUGAAACCAAGAGUGGUCAUCCCUCGAUUAUGAGUUUAUAUCUUGGAAAAUUUGACAAGUAAAUUGAUCUGGCUUAAUGGUUAAUUGCUAUGGUUAUAUGUGUUAGGUUCUGGGUUCAAAUCUUGUUUUUGGAAAAUUUGUUACUUUUCUUAAACCCUUACCUUGAAUGUUUGGCUUUUAAGUUAAAUUUAGUCAAUUGAGGUCAAGAAUGAGCCUGUUGGUUUAAUGGUUAAGUUUCUGCAUAAUCCUUGGUCUUGUGUUCGAAUCUCAGCGAAAGCAACAGGGAAUGUUUUGUUUUUGAAUUUUUUAUAAGGUAGUUAGUUUCGAUUGGUUAUUUAAAGCCUUCUAGAAACCUCCGUUGCUUUUACUUUUAUUUUGUUCUUUCUUUUUCUACAAUGUUUUCUAUCAUUUUGUUUUCGAUCUUCAGUUUCCUCAUUUUGGUUUUUUAUUUUCAAGCAACCUUCUUUUUGUUAUGUUACGUUACACUAAUUGUGUAUAAGGUUUAACUUCUCCUUCUAGUUAAUUUGCUGGUUGGUAAGUUCAAUUUAAAGUUUUGGUGUCGAAAGUUCUUUAACAUAACUUCAAUUUUGGAAUGUUAGUUUCUAGUGGUUUGACUGCGAAUUAAUCGUUUGUUAGGGAAUUGCUUGUCGUUUAGGGACCUGAAUUUAUCCUUGUUACUCCUACAUCGAGUUCGUAUCAAGUGGGUAUCAAAAAUAUCUUCUUCUUCAAAUUUUAGUCGUCGAAGAAUAGGACUAUCAAUGCCACAUGGUCAUGCGCAAACUAUCUAGGUACAAUCUGUAUUCUAUUAAGUUUGUUGGUAUGCCUCUGCAUUACUCUAUUGAUAAAGAAUAUGUGACAUUUGAUUAUGUUAGAUUGGUUGUUACUGAUUCUAAUUUAUAACCCUCUGUUUUACUUUAUAGAUGUGGAAUACACAAUAUCUGAAAAUGUUAGACUAAUUGUUACUGAUUCUGAUUUAUUGUCGUGCAUGUGACUUCAUGGCAAAUAUGAUAUGAUCUGUUGAGGUUUGAUAGGUCUAUUUUCCAAAACAUGGACUCUCAUGUCUCCUAAUUCUGUUAUUGAAAGAUAUCAUAACUUACAUGCUCAUCACUCUGAUUCUGCAUAUGUAUGUCAUGACACGUUGCAUGGGAUUUGGGUUGAUGUGAAAGGUAAAAGUUACUGGCAGUUAAUGAUCCGCAUUAUCUGAGGUUUAUCCUCAAUUCUGUUUCGGCAGCUUAGUUGUACUAUAUUAACUUGACCACAUGUAACCGAUAUGGCAGUCUUAACUACAAAAUUCUAGUGGCACCAUCCACAGUUAUCUGUUGGUGUGAUUUGGCUAGACGAGUUCUGAGGGAACUCUAUUUUGGAUUGUAGUGGAGUUUUGGUAGGAUGUUUUCUGAUAAUUCUGCAUUCUGAUCUAUUUGAGAAAUACAACAUCUUCAUAACACAUUUUCUACUUUGCUCUAUUCUGUUCUAUUCUGUUCUGCUCUCUUCGGUUCUAUUCUAUUUGAUUUGUUAUGUUCUGCUUCAUUCUGUUGUGCUUGGUUCUAUUGUACUAUCGUUAUGGAAAUUUUCAUGAUAUUCUCGAUCUAUUCCAUACUAGCUAUAAAACUAUUAUUAAGUUCUUUGAGUUACUUUGAUUUAUAUAAUAAAAUCUAUUUAUUUGUAUCUAAGUUUGGUUAUACGCGACGCUUGGUAGUUCUCCCUUUGUCUUAUCUUAAUCUAUUUAGGUGGAUGUUUUACAUUGAUAUAACUAUGAUUUGAUCUUUUAGGUUGUAAUUUGUUUUUGGACUUGCAUUGCUUUUCUUUUGAUAAUCUCAUCAAUAUUUGUCAUUUUCUUACACAAAAAUAAAAAAACCACCUAAGUCGACUAAAAUGAAUUUCUGGUUUUCAAUGUUAAAAUUUUGAAAAGAAAUUAGUUUUCUACAUGUUGGUGUAGCUCGUCCAAAUUUGACUUAAACUUCUAGGUUGGGUUUGGGGUGUUGUAUCUUUCCAUAAUUAACAUGUGAUUAAUCUUUUAUUAGGAGGAUUCAAGAACUCAACUUAAUGAUGGAAAAAUAUAGGUAAGAACCAAGAAACAAAACAACCCCCUUUCUUGCACACAGGCGUACGCACCACCACCCAUGGUGGCCAAAAUUGGGGAAGAAUUUUAAAAUGGUUUGAAAUCUCAUUAAAAUCUAGAAAAAUACAAUUGAAUUCAUUUAAAAUCCCCCAAAUUCCAGAUCUAAAAAUUUUUCUUUUUAAUUGACAAAAUUAAUUAAGAAUUUGAAGAGAAAAGAGAUCUUCCCAAGCUAGUUAAAAGAAACGACAAUGACACUUUCUUGGCAAUGUUCAAGAUUGAUCUUGGGUUCAAGAUUUUAGAAUUGGGGAUGAUUUAGAUGAGAAAAAAUGGUAGGAAUAGAGUAAAGGAGAUGGUGUACAAUCUUGAUGCAAAAAGAAGAAGAAAGAGUUGGUAAAUGGGAGGUGUAGGCGACGACAACAAUAGGAGAAAGAAAGAAAAUUAAAGAGAAAAGUGGAGAGGAAGAUGGUGAACGGAUAGAGUAGGGAAAAUUUGAAUUAAAGGCUGAAAAAUACAAUAAAAAUUUCUAUUUAUACUUAGGGUUCAAGGGUAUGGAUCGCACAUACAUUUAAAAAAAUAAAGGAUUUUACGAAAUUUAAAAUUUCGUAAAGGAAAGGAUUCGAAAUUGGGACCUCAUUUAAUUUUCAUGUGUUCUCAUAUUUCUUUUAACCAUUAUGAUAUUUUCUCAUUCUUAAAAUCAUUUUACAAGAUUUAGUUUAAAAAUAAGGCAUGCCACAUUCUAGGGUUUAAGGCAAAAUUAGCAAAAUAAUAAAAAUAGUGAGAGAGAAGGGAUUUGAACUUGGGUUUCAUGGAAUGUUUGACUAACACUUAUCCAACAAACCAACACCUUAUUGAUUUCCUAAAAAUGCAUAGAUAAUCUCAAAAAUUAAGGCAUGACCACUCUUUCUCGAUUCACAAACCCGAUUAUGCUAAACCCUAAUUUUUGGAAUGUUACAAGGUAAGUUUGUAGUGUAACAAUAUAUAUGUGUGUGUUUUAGGGAUACGAUUGGCAUGCCAAUAGGGUUAGUAUGCAUGCUUGUACUGGAUCACACUUUGGUUCUUCUCUUUACACUUUGGUGCCUCUCUUUGCACUUCAGUGCCACUGUAUUUGCACUACAGUGCCUCUAUUAGCAUUUCGAUGUUUGGGGGAAACCCAAGUAUCGAAGUCAUUUUGCUGUAGUUCAACAUGCUGUGAAAUUUUAUGUUUAAAUGUUAAAUUACUCUUGAAUUUGAUUUAUAUACAAUGAUAUAUUUGUGUAUCUAUGUACAUAAGCAUUGAUUGCUUUGGUUUGAGCCAUUGUUUAUAUUGAAUCAUAUGAGAUGAAUGUUUUGAUUACUAUAGUUUGAGAAUAAAUAUUAAUUCCUUGGUGUAAUUAUAUGAUUCAUAUGUCUUUAAACAUGUUAUCUAAUUAUGUUUAUGGUGUGUUUAGAGAAUUAAAUUAUUAUAUGAGUAUUUUCCAGGUAUUCAAUGUUGUUUCAUUUGGUUUAAUGGGUAAAUAAAGCUUUAAAGGGUAUGUGAUUACACGAAAUGCACUACGAUAUUUGAGCAAUGAUAUGGAUCAUGAUGAAAUGUUUAAUUGAAAAGGAAAUAUGGUUUAGUAUAUAUAUAUGAGUGGUGAAUUAUGAAAGUGAAAUAUAGAUAUGUUAUAUACCAUGUUUUAUUCAAAUUAUAUAUGAUAUGUUACACCAACUAACCUUGUGAGGUGGUGGGUAUAGGAAAGGAAAGUUGGCUUAAAACAUAAUGAAAUUAUGCCUGCCUUUUUAACAUAAAAUAUUCAGUAAAUUAAGUUUCCUUUAUAUGAACUUACUCAACAUUAGUUGCUUGCAUAGUUAUUUUUCUUUAUUUUAUAGUUCAUCAGAAGCUCGACCGGUUGGAAUCAUGUCAAAGCACGAUCACACUAUCCAUUCAACAUUUUGAUAGCUUUUUUUAUUUUGGUAAAUGGUUAUAAAUGACAUGUAAUAGGGUUUAAAUGUCAUUCUAGUGAUUUGACUUGUUUUGAGUUGUGUCAAACUUCUUGUGAUUGAUGUUGUUAGUUGUUGGCAUGUAAAUAAUGGUGUAAAUAUGUGACAGCCCAAAAUUGACCCUAGUCGGGAAGUGGUUUCGGGACCGCUAAACCGAGUCACCGAAAGGUUUGAAUGUGAUGUUUAUUAUCUAGAAUAUGUAAUAAUGAAUGUGUGAAAAUUUCAAGCUUCGAUUUAGUCGAUUGCAUGCGAGUUUAGUCAAUAGGACUUAUAUGAGAAAAACUUUAAAAUGUGAUAGGUCAAUGCAUGAGGACCUAUUAGUGCAUGUGGAAGAAAAAGGGGACUUGCAUGUCAAAUUCCCCCUCCCUAAUAUGUAGUGGCCGGCCAUGCUAUGGGUGGAAACAUGUCACCAACAUGUUGUGUUAGUGAUGUAUGGUAAGGAAAAUAAAAUAUUAAGCAUGAUAAUUAAAAUAAAUUAAAGAAAGGAAUUAAACAAUGAAAAGGAAGGGUGAUGAAAAAAAUGGUCUCAUCCAUACCCCCCCCCCUUGUUGCCGUGAGUUGAGGAAAGAAAACAAAAAAAAAUGUGUGUUCAUUCUUGAACACCUUUGGCCGAAUAGAGGAAAGAAAGGAAGGGGAAGAGCUUGAGAAAAUCGGCUAUGGUGGUUUGCUAGACUAAGGUAUGUUUGAUGUUGUUCUUGAGAUGCAUGCAUGUUUUAGUAGUUGACUUGAGUUCUAAAAACCCAUGGUUCAAUUUUGUGGAUUGAUGAAGAUUUUGUGUUUUGCCAUUGAUGAGUGCUUGAGCUUUUUGAUAGUUGUUGAUGAAAAGUGAAAGAUAUGUUAAAGAUUAAUAUGUUUUGUGUUGAAGUUUUUGGUGAUUUUGAGUAGUUAGGGCUAUAUUACAAAAACAAAUUUUUGAAGGACUCAAAGGUGAAAUAAAUGAGAUGUAUGGACUUAUAUGGGCACUAGGAAGAUUCGGCCCUUAAGGAGUGUGACCAAACUUUGUGUAUUUUGUGUUUUGUGGAAUAAAGACUAAAUUGUGAAAGUGCGAAAUAUUAGGGGUAAAAAUGUAAUUUACCCAUUUAUGCGUUAUUAGACUAAAUUGAAUGAAAAUAUGUUAAAUUAAGGCUUGGCAAGCUAGCUAUUAAGGUGAAAUGCUAAUGUUAGUAUUUGAUUCGGUAAUAAUCUGUUUGGGGACAGCAGCAGUAAGGUGAUUUUGGAAAAUCGCCAUAAUUUGUAGGAGUUGAAUUAGAAGCUGAGUGAAUUAUGCCAUUAAAGCUUGAAGAGUCUAUUUUCUUACAAAAGAAACUAUGAAAACAAAAGAGUUACCGAUCUUGAGAUAUUUGAAGUAUUGUGGGGCUGAGUCAAAAUGACUACUAGAUUCCCUGUUCUGUUUUUAGAAAAUCAUUAUAAAUUGUACAAAAAUUAUUAUAAGAUAAAAUUUAUAUGCUUAGACUCCUUAAUGAGUCUAGUUUCAAAUGAGAUCAAAUACAACACAUUUUGAAUUCUGUAAAAUGAGAAAUUUGAUUCGUAGUGAAGAGUGGUCAGAAUAGUCAAACAGUGAAACAGGGGAAACUUUAAGAAAAAUCUGGUAUUGAUUGGCCAAGCCAAAAAUUCUGAAAAUUUUAUGGAUGGAAGAUAUAUGAGUCUAUAUUCAGGGAAAAUUAACAGCUAGUGAUUUGGAGUUUUGUAGCUCCAGUUAUAAACAAUUUAGCGACUACUGCUCAGGAAAACAGCUCGUAGUGAAUAUGUGAUUUUGUUGUAAACAUUAAUGAAAAUUUGCCAAUGAGUUAUUUAUUGACUAUUACAAAGCUUACUAUAAUCUAUGUGUGUGAAAGUCAAAUCAAUAUAUAUAUUAUUCUGAAAGUAAUACUUGAAUAGUCGAUUAAUGACUAUUUUAAGUUAUUGAUUUGGCUCAAGGAGUUAAAGGAGGUGAAUCGAGCAAAGGCAAAGAAAAGGUUAUCGAGUAGCCGAGUUGGAACCGUCUUACCCAACACGAGGUAAGUCAUUAAGCAUGUAGUUGGUAUUAUUUCAAUGGUCAUAAUGUUUAUGUAUUGAUGCUGAAUGGAAUGAAUAAAUAUACAUAUAUAUAUAUAUAUGUGCAUGUACGUAUGUGAUGAUGAGAUUGUUGAAUGAAAGAAAAGAGGUAAGAUGUACUGAGUUGUUGAUCUCGGCACUAAACGUGCGGGAUAACCAUUUAUGACCAUGAGAUUGGCGCUAAGUGCGCGGGAUUAAAUUGUACAGCACUAAGUGUGCGAUUUGACUAUGUUGCACUAAGUGUGCGAAAUGAAUAUGAUGCACUAAGUGUGCGAAUUGACCAUGCGGCACUAAGUGUGCGAGUUUGACUAUGUAGCACUAAGUGUGCGAUUUGAUUAUGUAGCACUAAGUGUGCGAGUUGAUUAUAUAGCACUGAGUGUGCGGACUCGAUAUACAUUCGUGAAUCAUUAUGGACACUAUGUGUGCGACACUAUUGAGUCGAUCGCGGACAGCGGAUCGGGUAAGUGUCUUGAGUACAUGGCUAAUAGGUGCUAUGCUUAUACUUGGUGUUGAGCUCGGUAAGUUUGAACCUAUGUGACAAAUAUACUUGAAGUCACGUACAUAAAAUUUAUCGUAGGAUUGGUGAAAGGCCGUUUAGUCGUUUGAUUGUAACGAAAAUAAAUUGAUUUAUGAAAAUGCUUCAAUGUCCUAUUGAUGAGUAUAUGGAAUGUGAAUGCAUGAAUUGAUAUGAAAUUGAAUUGAUAGGUUGGAGGAACUAUGGUAUGGUUCGGAAUGGAUGGAGUAAUUAGCCUCGUUCCAUUUUGUUUUCUCUUGUGAUAAUGUUAUUGAUGGAUGGUAGUGCAUAGCUUAUGACUUACUGAGUUAUAAACUCACUCGGUGUUUCCUUGUCACCCAUUAUAGGUUGCUUGGACUCAUCUAUUUUUUUGCGUGGUCGGGCCGUCAUCGAAGUCAUCACACCGGAUAGCAAGUUUUGGUACUUUCUUCUUAGUUGGCUUAGAAGAACAUUUUGGCAUGUAUAAGCUAUUACGUUGUGUUUGAACUUUGGCAUGUAAACUUUAAGCCAUGUGAAAAUGGCACGAAUGUUCGAUUGAGUUGGAUCAAGGGUAGGCAUGAAAUGGACCUAGUUACUUUCGUAACAGAUGCUGGCAGCAGCAGUGUCAUGAGAUUGAAAAAUCAUUAAAAAUAGUAGGAGUGGAAUUAAUUGAUGAAUAAAUUAUGUAAUCGAAGCUCGAUGAGUCUGUUUUCAUGAGGAAGUAACGAAAAGAUCAUAUGGGCAGUAUAUUAAGAGAUAAUCAGAUUUUUGUGGGACAGGGCCAGAACGGUUUCUGGAUUCCCUUCUCCGACUUUGGAAAUUCAUUACAAAUUAACCAGAGAUAAUUAGGGGUCGUACCAUAUAUGUACAGAUUCCUCUCUGAGUCUAGUUUUCAUAGAAAUAAACGGCAUCAGUAUUGGAGCCCCGUGCAGGGAGAUAUCCAAGUCGGAAUGGGAAAAGGUCAGUGUAGUCGACCCCUGCAACUGGGGAGACUUUGACUAAUAAACUGUACUAAUUGGCCCGACCAAAAAUUCUAGAAAAAAAUACAUAGAUGGGCACAUGAGUCUAGUUUCUGGGAAAAAUUACGAAACUGAUUUUCGAGUUAGGAAACUCAAGAUAUGAUUUUUAAAACGACUAGUACACGGAUUGGGCAGUGUCUGGAAAAUAAAUUUUGUAAGGGGUUAAAGCCAGUUAACACCUCGUGUUCGACUCCGGUGUCGGUUUCGGGUUCGGGGUGUUACAAAAUAUGUGUGGUUGGACCCUUAUGCAUGCUUUAUUGAUUAAAGAUAUCAUAUGGUAAAAUGGCAUGUUUUUGGAAUGGUUAUUUGGCAUGAUUAAAAUAGGUUUAAGUUUUGAUCUUGAGACGUUGAAUUGAAUUAAGUUUAAGAUGUAUAUUGUGAUACCUUCAUUGGCAUAUUUGUUAGAUAUUAAAGGAUGGUUGAUUUGGUAUGUUUUUGAAAUGGUUGUUGGUAUGUUUGAUCUAAGUUGAUUAAAUGAACUUGUAAUGUUCAACGGUAUAAUACUUGUUGGUACAUUAGUUAGUCUUAUAGGUUGAUGGAAUUGGUAUGUUUUAAAUGUGUUUAAAAUAUGUUUUGGUUAUUUCAAUGUUUGUGGAAAUGGUGUGUCUUGGUGUACAAGAUUUGUAAUUGAAAUGGCUCUAUUUAGAAGCAACUUCUGCUGCACACUACCUGGGACACGAGUUGUCACAUGGUUGUGCAUCAUUAAUGUUUUAGGUGCAGGUUUCACACAAUCUAAGACUCGGCUCACGACACGGUCUGGGCUAUGUCACACAGCUUGGCCGCAUGGCCAUGUGACCCUUGUUUUCAAGUUUUCAAAAUUUUCUAUUUUAUUUCAAAUUGAUCAUAGAAUAUUCUCAAACUAUUUUUAAGGCCCCGUAGGUUCGGAUUAUGGCCCGUAAGUGUAUGUUUGCUAUAAUUAAGUUGUGUUAUUGAAUGUUAUUAAUUAAAUCACAUGAAUAUUUUAUUGUAAGUUAAAUGUUUUAAUUUGUACCAUAAUGCUUUGUAACCCUAAUCUGGCGAUGAAGACUAGUUUGGGGUGUUAUAAUUUUGGACUGUAAAUUUGUUUUGGGGGCUUUGUUCUUUGGUUAUUGCGAUGUUGGUUAGAUUUUGGUGUUUUAACAUUAAACUGCAAAAUUGUAUGAUUUAACAAACUAAAAAUUAGUUUUUCAAAAUUAAAACUCUUGAAAUUUCAGUUGCAAAGAUUAAGUAAUCACUUCAGUGUUUUUCCAUAAAUAAUUAAAUUUUUUUUAACAAAUGUUUUCCUUAGUUUGGGAAAUGAUUUGCCAACAUAUGUACUUUUAAAACACAUGAUUUCAAAUUCAAAUUCUCAAUUUUAAAUAAGGGUUUUCAAACUUUAGUUUUUUUUAACAGUUGUGAGAGGUUUUUGCCAAAUUUUAUGUUUUCAGAACAUAUUAGUAAGUUGAUUUUUAAUUUGUUUUUUAAACGAGUCGAUGUAAUUCCUCAAAAAUCCAUUCAUAGCGUCUUAGUCUAGAUCUAAACAUUAAUAUUCUCUUCCAAGAAAAAUCAAGAUUAUCAAAUUGUUACAACUUGGUAGGUAGACAAUCAUAUUAAAUAAGCAUAAAACUUAAUAAAUAAUUAGCGAAGAUUGAAACAAUCAAAGAAAAAAUAAAUUAAUUAACUAAGAAAUAGGAUCCAUUAUUGUUUCAAGAAAACAGAGUUUAGUUCAUAUUGAGUUGAGAAAUCCAAAAGGGAGAUUCAAAACAAACUUGUGAAAAGGGGAACAAUGUCAAUAGAUCGUAUUCAAGUUGUUCAACUCGAGAAGGAAAGAUUCAGAUCUAACCUAAAAAGAAGAAACCAAACAGAUUUAGAAAAACAAGAAAAACAAAGAAAAUAACUAAAAUGAGAAAUUUAAGAGUAAUUAAUAAAUAUUAAAACUAAUAAAGAAAUAAAGAAAUUAUAGAAUAAAUAGUGGAAGAUGGAAUGAAUAAACGAUGGAUAUGACAUAUAGAUGGAUAAGUGUCUGAUAAUUCUUGAAAAGAGUUAUUUUUCAUGCCUUUAGACCUAACUUGUAAUGCCCCAAAAAUCCCUUAUAUAUUUAUUUUCGUAAGUUUGUAACAGAAAUAUCUGUUAGCUUUAGUGGUUAUAUGCUUUGGGAGUGUUUAGGAGGUCCCAAGUUGAAACCUUAGCUUGGGCAAUUUUUUUUUGUUUUAAAUGAAUAAAACUCUAUCUUUGAUUAGUAGGCUUAUAAAUAGAUGUUGGUAAAAAAUGUCAGAAUGGUUUUACUGGUUUAGUGGUUAAGUGGGGUGUAAAUAUGCAGGAGCUCUUAUGUUCGAAUCUUUGUGCGAUCAAGAGCAUUUAUUUUAUUACUUGUGUCGUGUAGGUAUUUUGGUCCAGCCAAAAUACUGAAGAGGUUGACUAAGGGUUGGUUUCGGUUGUUGAGAGGUUUAUGGUGGGUUAGUAGAGAGGAUUUUAAGGAGAAAUUUUAGAGAUAUGAAGAGAGAGUUAGUGCCGAAUUGAAUUUCUUUUGCUUUCUCAAAUUUCAGCUGGGGUUUGAUUUUUCUUUUCAAUUUGUUUCUAUUGACUGUUUUCCAUUCUAGAGGGUCAAAUAUUGCUGAGGGUUCCUACUAGUUUCUUUUUUUUCUUUUUCUCUCUUCUCUCUUUCGACUUUGUUCUUCCCAACUGCAAAAGUGCUCUUCCCUAAACUGUUACUACCGUCUACUUUCUCUUUUCCUCCCUUGCUUUUUUUAUUGUCGAAUUUUGGGUUCUUUAUGCAUUUAAUUCUAAUGUCAAUUUAUCACUUCUCUACCAAAAGAUUAUUAUUUUCUCUCAUUGAUUUUCGUUUGGUUCAUCCUUGCUACCAGAAGUGUGGUUGCCCUUCUUUCUUGGUUUCGUUUGUCAUCAUCUGCUACAUGUUCUUUAACACUCUUUUGGUAAGUGUUCGUUUCUUCACCGCUCAGUUACUUGAAGUUAGUUUUUAAAUGGUUGUGUAUUGUUUUGAAUAAGAAUCUGAUAAAUCGUGUGUUCCAACCCUAUUUAGAUCAGUUCAUGGUGGUGUUUAUUGAUGAUAUACUGGUGUAUUCGAGAACUAAGGAUGAGCACGAUGAACACCUCAGAGUGGUUCUACAGAUUCUACGAGAAAAAGAACUGUACGCCAAGUUUAGUAAAUGUGAGUUCUAGUUAAGUGAAGUAACGUUUCUGGGACAUGUGGUUUCUACUGAGGGGAUUAGAGUUGAUCAUCGAAAGAUUGAGGCUGUCUUGGAUUGGAAGCAGCCUAAGACUGUAUAUGAGAUCUACAGUUUUCUCAGAUUGGCAGGGUAUCGACAAUUUGUGUAAAGGGUUUUCUCUAAUUGCCGUACCCUUGACUAAGCUGCUACGUAAAGGCUUACCGUUUAACUGGACUGAUUCAUAAUAAGAGAGCUUUGAGAAGCUCAAGACUGUACUGACUGAGGCCCCUGUUCUAAUAUAGCCAGAGUCUGGAAAAGAGUUUACUAUUUACACUGAUGCAUCACAUGUCUGUUUAGGAUGUGUGUUGAUGUAAGAAGGUAAGGUGGUAGUGUACACGUCUCAUCAGCUUAAGAAUCAUGAGGUGAAUUAUCUUACGCAUGACUUGGAGUUGAAGUGAUUGAGUAUAAUAACAUUUAACAUAUUAGAGCCAAUUGGUUGUCCAUAAACAUAAAAAGGUGACCUUAAUGAGAUACGCCAUAGACUCAAAAGUGUAUCAUUUACACUGAUCACAAGAGCCUCAACUACCUCCUCACUCAUAAGGAGCUGAAUCUUAGGCAACAUAGAUGGAUUGAGAUGCUUAAGGACUACGACUGUACUAUUGAAUACCACCCUGGUGAGGCUAAUGUGGUGGCUGACGCACUAAGCCGUAAAACUAUGACUGAACUGAGGGUGAUGUUUUCUCGCCUUAUUUUAUUUGAUAAUGGUAGUCUGUUGGCCAAACUUCAGGUUAAACCGAUUUGGAUAGAGUAGAUUAAGUGUAUACAAGUAGAGAAUGAGUUGUUGGGUCUUCGUUUUUGACAGGUUGAGAGUGGGAAUACCAAGGAUUUUAGACUGAAUAGUGAAGGGGUGCUCUAUAUCUGUGGGAGAAUCUAUGUAAAGACCUUCGUGAGUUAUACUAGUGGCCAGGUCUUAAAUGAGAAUUUACUAAAUUUUUGGCUAAGUGUCUGACAUGCUAGCAGGUUAAGGCUGAACAGCAGUUACCUUCGGGAUUGUUGCAGCCAGUCAAGAUUUCAGUUUGGAAGUGGGAGCAUGUAACUAUGGAUUUCAUUAGUGGGUUACCCCUCACACCCACUAAAAAGGAUUCGAUGUAGGUCAUCGUGGAUUGAUUGACCAAAUCCGCCCACUUCAUACCAAUUUGUACUGAUUACUCUCUGUAGAAGCUGGCUAAAUUGUAUGUGUCUGAAAUAGUGAGAUUACAUGGGGUACCGAUUUUAAUAAUAUCUUAUAGGGAUCCUCAUUUCACAUCUCGGUUCUGGAAGAAGCUAUAUGAAGCUUUGGGUACAAGAUUGGAGUUUAGUACUGCGUUUUAUCCUCAGACUGACGGUCAGUCAGAGAGGGUGAUUCAGAUACUAGAGGAUAUGUUGAGAAGUUGUGUGAUUGACUUUCGAGGUAGUUAGGAGGAUUACUUACCGCUAGUAGAAUUUGCAUAUAACAACAACUAUCAGUCUAGCAUUCAAAUGACACCCUAUGAGGCAUUAUAUGGUCGUAGGUGUCGCACACCUUCAUGUUAGACUGAGUUAGGCGAGCAGCGUAUUUUGGGGCCUGAACCAGUUUCUGAUACAGAGGAUAAAGUUAGACUAAUUCAGGACCAACUGAAAGCGAUAUCUAAUAGGCAUAAGUCCUACACCGAUCUAAAGAGUCGAGGGAUUGAGUAUUCUGUGGGGGACUUCAUUUUUCUCAAGGUCUCACCAUGGAAGAAGGUAUUAAGGUUUGGUCGUAAGGGCAAGUUGAGCCCUAGUUUAUUGGGCCCUAUCGCAUACUAAAACGUGUGAGAUGAGUUGCCUACCAGUUGGAGUUACCUCUAGAGUUAGAUCGGAUUUAUGACGUGUUCCAUGUCUCUAUGUUGAGGUUACCGCUCUAAUCCUACGCAUAUUAUUCCUAUUAAGGAAAUCAAGGUUAGGCUAGAUCUAACCUUUGAGGAGGAGUCAAUUCAGAUAUUGGAGUGAGAUAUAAAGGUUCUAAGAAGAAAAUUCAUCCCACUAGUUAAGGUUAUUUGGCGUAACCAUAGCACUGAGGAGGCCAUAUGGGAGUCUAAGGAUGUAAUGCUUUAGCAGUAUCCUCACCUAUUCUGAUCAGGUAAAUUUUCAAGGCCAAAAUUUUCUUUUAGGGGGUAGAGUUGUAGCGCCCCAAAAAUCCCUUAUAUAUUUAUUUUCGUAUUUUUUAUACAAAUAUCUGUCAGCUUUAGAGGCUAUGUGCUCUGGUAGUGUUUGGGAGGUCCCAAGUUCAAGCCUUAGCUUGGGCAAUUUUUUAGUUUUAAAUGAAUAAAAUCAUAUCUUUGAUCAAUAGGCUUAUAAAUAGAUGUUGGUAAAAUAUGUCAGAAUGGGCAUGCUGGUCUAGUGGUUAAGUGGGGUGCAAAUAUGCUGCAGGUCUUGUGCUUGAAUCUCUAUGUAUAGAGCAUGUUGUUAAACUGUACUACAUGCAUAUAUGAUACCAUGAUAUGACAUGACAUGAUUGUGUGGUGCAUGGCAUGGGGAUAGGUUAUUAUUGAUCGAAGGAAGUGUACUGGAAGGCUUUGAGCCUAACUUACUGGCAGCUCAGCUGCAUAUUACUGUAUAGUGUCGCCAUUGGUACUACUUAGAGUGUAGGGAUGGGUGGGUUGAUUAUAUCCCCACAUGAAGUGUAGGGUUGGUCGGAGUUGGUGUGUAGAGGUUGGCUAGGUAGGACUUGUAUACUGCAUAAUCUGUUAAUGUACUGAUUGCUAAUAUUGUAAUGGGCCAAGGCCCAAAUGCAUGAUUACUUUUGUACUAAGAUGGGCUAAAGCCCAAACCAAUACUGUCACUGAUACUGGAAAGGGCUUAGGCCGGACUGAGUUUAUUCUGUUUUCUGUCUGAUUAUUUUGUGUACUGUCUAUUUGUUUGCACUAGGAAUAUCACACUGAGUUUUGAAAACUCACCCUUUCUGUUAAUCUGUGUAGGUAAUCCCCAGUCGUAGGUAGAUCGGUGUGGCGGAGGAUUCAGCGGUGGCCACACGACUCCUUUUUAUUGUUUCGUAUCUAAUGAUAUUUAUUUUUAAGUCUUUAUUUGGGGUUUUUAUCUGUAAUAAUUGCUGCUAUGGAUUUUUUAUUUAAAUUUGGAUUUAACACUACUUCAUGUUUACAUCUGCUAGAGGUAGAUAUAGCACGGAUUUUUGAAAAGAAAUGCAUGUGUUUUAGCAAAAUACCCCAAUGUCACAAACUGUUUUAAAAAGCUUCCGCAACGUAUAAUGAUUUGCAAACUAACAAUUGAAUAAAAAUCACUAUUUUGGGAUUAACAAAAGAUAACGACGACCUCUAAUCGAAAAAUGUUUUAAGCAAAGUUACCAUUUUUCAACAUGAGCUUCGGUUUUGAAAAAUACCACCAUGUGACAUCGCCAAAUUCGCCCGUAACAUCCAGGCUGGGUUUGGGGUGUUAGAUAACUAAUUGCUUGAACUUAAGUACAUUUUGUUGCAUUUUAAGACAUUUUAGUUAGCAUUUCUAAUAUUGCAUUAGGACUUAGAUUGUGUUGGACUUAUGUGUUUUUAAUAUGGUGGAGUUUUUUUGUGUGUUGGUAUGGCAAGAACAUAUUUUAGAACGAGGAAAUAAAUGAGUGAAGUUUUGUCAGGGAAAAAGUGCAGACAGUUUGCCAGCACGGAUGCCGUGACAAUGCCAGGAAGACCAAGUAAACAUUUUUUUGCGCAACAGUCUCAAUUGAAAUUAAAACUUGUACCAGAUAAAUCUUCAAAAAAGAGGAGAAGAUAAUCACAAGUUGUUACUUGACACUAGCCUAAUCUACCUAUAAAAGCCAAUAAAGGGGAUCUCACAAAUGGCAGAAAAAAGUGGGAGGGAUCCUUAGGUGUGAAUAAGGUUUUAGUUGCGCAAAGGAAAGGAAGUCGAAGGCAGUGCUUUUUAGCCAUCACAGGAUGUUGUGCUACCGAAGUGUAAACUAGGCAAGUGAAAGUUGUUUCCCAAAGUUCUUUCGUUAUUUCCAUCAGCGUUCCUUCAAAAUAUUGAAGUAGUUGAACACAAUGUCAGAUAAUAUUUUGCUUUUGAAUUUUAUUUCUCAGCCCAUGAGCUAAAUCUCGUAGGGUUGGGAUUACUUUUGAUGAAACCUUAAACUAUUUUUAUGGAUGCAGUAUAUAUCUAAUUUACUUUACUGUUUCAUUUGAUUGUUCUUAUUUCUUAAUUAAAAUGCAAAUGAUUUCUAAACAUAGAAGACUGUUCGCAUACUUAUAAACUCAUUCUAAUUCUGAAAGGGUUGGAUUGGUUGGAUUAAAAUUAAAUGAAAUGAGCAAGUAUUCGAUGGACACUUGUAGUAGACUCUAUACAUAGAGUGACGAUCAUACAGAAGGAACCCAUGCAAGGUAUCUAAAAAGUCUUUAGACAUAGGCAAGGUAACUUGAUGUUUUCCUCUCAUGAGAGGAGAGCCAUUUUAGUACUCUUCUGUGCUUUAUAGUAGAUACGAUUUUCCCAAGGCAUUAUUGACAAUAAGGGUCAAUAUUCGGUAAUCCUGACCUUCGAAAUCCACAUCGUAUAUCCUUUAUUCUUUUCCACAUCAUUAUUAGUUAUUUAUUUGUUCAUUUACAUAAUAUUCCCAUAGUAAUUCUCAUCAUUGUCAUUACAUUUCUACUCUUGGUUUGACACAACAUUACCACUUAUUUAUUAAUUCUAUGUAUUGCUUACAUCAUUACUCUACUAAUUGCCACUGUAUAUUCAUCAUUGACUCUCCCAUAGCAUUAAUCGUAUUUUAUUAUAAUAAUUUGACCAAUUGUGUGCCUCAAUCCGAUCUUUAUGGGAACGAUACACACUCAUCACUUUAUUACGUGAUUCAACUGUAUACUUGCACAAAUCGCAUAUCAUUUCACACACGAUAGUGUUCAAUUGAACCCUUUGAGAUAUAAACCUAGACAAACUCAAUUAAUGGCUUUAAUUAACCCACCAAGAAAUAAUGAUUGGCAAAUUGAACGAUGAAGAAUGAAUUCCCAUGACUCCUUAAAAAAUUGAGAAGAAAAAUACUUCUAAAAAUCACAAGAAACAAAUCUUGGACAAAGAAACUAACUUUCAGAGUUGGAAAUUUUAGUAAUAAACAAAAACAAUUGCAUCUCUAAUGAACAUGAAGGGCCUUUACAUAGGCUAGAUAAGUACAUCCAGAUAAAAUAUUCAAGUAUCUUGAAACUUUAAUUAAUAUAAGUAAUAAGUAAUUUUAAACUAAAAUAGUCAUAAUUUUCGUCAUAAUCCCGUCCAAAAAUUCUGCUCACAUAAUCAUCAUUAAAAUAGUCAUAAUUUAAGCUCUUGAACUCAAAAUUGAGUGAAUAAAAGUGUGUUUCGAAGUUAAGUGCUAGAUCUUAGAACUUUAUGAAGACAUAUCAAUCGAAAAUUGUCCGGAUCCCAUCCAAAGAGUCACAGCAAGUUAACUAAUUUUUCAAACUUGAAAAUUGGCAACUUCGGGGAAUGGAAUUUAAUACAGUUCACCCCAUCUAUUCAUGUAUCAACUCGCAUUGGUAAAAAGUAAAAAGAAAUAAUCUAUAGAGAAAAUAGUUGAAGAAUUUAUGAAAAUUUAUUCAAAUCUCUUUUUUUUCUAGUCUUUGCAAGCUUGAAUUUUCCCUUGGUGUGUGAGAGUUGUUCCUUACCCUCUAAGUGAUUUUUUUUCUUUUUCUUUCUCUUCGAUCUCGUCACCUAAGGGUGUUCAAACAAUUGAUUCAGUUAGUACCCGUGCAAAACUAUCAUUAACUGAAAUUUUGAAACCCUUAAUCAUUAAUCAAACCAUUUUCUUUUUUGAAACCUACUAACCAGCUUGAUUGAUUUGGGUUAAUUUGAGUGGUUAACCAAAAUUUAAACAUUGUUUGUUUUUGUUCAAACAAUUUUAAAACAAAGAACAAUCCAUGACAAUUUUUCCUUGUUUUUUAUUCAAAAAAAUUAAAAGAAUUAAAAAAAUAACAUAAUAACAACACUAAAUUAAAAACAUAAUAGCAUUCAUUACAUUACAAAGCAUAUAUAUAUAUUUACUUUUUCUUGACUUUUUAGUUUAAUUUUCGUUUUAUUUUCCUAAUAUUUUUAGUUUUCAUAUUUUUGUUAAGCUUAUUAUAAGAACACUUAUAAAUCCAUUAGUUCUUAUAUAUUGGGUUUGUAUAAUGUAUUCGACCUAUCUCUAAUAUAUUGGGCCUAUAAUAUAUUUUUAUUGAUUUCGGUUAAUCAAUUCAUUCGAUUAAUUAGUCGAUUUCAAACUAAAAUAAUUGGUAAACAAAAUCUUCAAAAACCUUUAACCAACUCCAACCAAAUUAGAUUCAUUGAUCAACUUCUUAAUCAAAUUAAUUAGGUUUGAUAAAUUAAUUCGUUAAAACUGAAAAAUGCACACCCCUAUCAUCACCGUUGUUUUUAGGGAUUUUAAUCAUGUUGCUCCACCUGAUGCAGAAGUUGAGGUGGAAUGAACUACUUGCUACCAAAAUUUUUGAAUUAUAGAGCAUGCUCUACCGCAGUGAAUCAAAUUCGGUGGAGUGGAAGACUUUUCUUUACUACUUUAUGCUCUAUGCUCCAAGUCUUCUAUUCUUCUUCUGAGACCUAAAAUGGGAAAAAAAAAGAAGAAACAAGUCUAAACUAACUUUGAAAAUUAGAAAUUCUCAACAAAAUUGAAAUAAAAUAUAAUUAAUCCAUAAAAACUAUAAAAAAUACAAUAAAAACGAACCUAAAUACUAAAAUUACCUCCUAAAAAGCUAUGGAAACUAUACUAAAAUAAUUCUAAAUAUGAUAGUUAUCAAAAAUGACAUGAGGAAGCCAAUCGAGUAGAUGCUUUCAACUAUUGCAAAUACCAUUAGUCGAUUAGCCAUCAUCUUGAGAACAUCAUAGAGUUGAAAGAAAAAAUCAUACAACUCCAUAAAGAAGAAAAAAUCAUUUUUGAAAAAGAAUUGGCAUUAUCAAACUUGACAUCAAUGCUUUGGUUUCUCAAUACAAUAUUAUGGACAAAUUCAUCAAAUUUGGCUCUUUCAAUCCUAUUACACUAGCUCUAAGUAGAAGUAAGAUGGUGAGUUUCGAAGGGAUUGAGGGCAAUCAUCUAUUUUUGGAAUAUCAGAAUGGUCAUGAUUGGACUCUAGCCACAUGUCAAAGAAGCCAAUGAAAAGCAUCUCUCCUAGGUAUAAGCUUAUAUUAUCACAUUGCUCCUAAGCAUGAGCAUAAAUCGUUCAUCCAGAAUGAUGAUGAUCCUAAGCAUAAGCUUAAACUAUUCAUCUAAUGCUCCUAAGAUGGAGCUUAAUCUAUUCAACCUAAACGAUCAUGCUUUAAGCACAAUCUUAAACUAUUCACAAAAAAUAAAUGAUGAUCCAAUGAAGCAUGAGCUUAAACUAUUCAUACAAAAUAAGCGAUGACCUUCUAAGCAUGAAUUUAAAUUGUUCAUACAUAAUAAAUGAUGAUAUUACUAAGAACAAGCUUAAACUGUAGUCUAAAAAAUAUUGAACUAUAUUAUAACUUGAUCUUUUAAAAAUGAAGGUACGUAGAUAGCUUGGUUUCAUUGCCAAGUUCAGUCUAAUUAAAUAUGUUUAUGGUGUGUUUAGAGAAUUAAAUGAUUAUAUGAUUAUUUUCCAGGUAUUCGAGGUUGUUUCAUUUGGUUUAAUGGGUAAAUAAAGCUUUAAGGGGUAUGUGAUUACAUGAAAUGAACUAUCAUAUUUGAGUAAUGAUAUGGAUGAUGAUGAAAUGUUUAAUUGAAAAGGAAAUAUGGUUUAGUAUAUAUGUAUGAGUGGUGAAUUAUGAAAGUGAAAUGUAGAUAUGUUUUAUACCAUGUUUUGAUUCGAAUUAUAUAUGAUAUUUAAACCAACUAACCUUGUGAGGUGGUGUGUAUAGGAAAGGAAAGUUGGCUUAAAACAUAAUGAAAUUAUGCUUGGUUUUUUAACUUAAAAUAUUCAAUAAGUUAAGUUUCCUUUAUAUGAACUUACUAAACAUUAGUUGCUUACAUAGUUAUUUUUCUUUAUUUUGUAGUUCAUCAGAAGCUCGACCGAUUGGAAUCAUGUUAGAGCAUGAUCACACUAUCCAUUCAACAUUUUAAUAGUUCUUCGUUAUUUUGGUAAAUAGUUGUAAAUGACAUGUAAUGGGGUUUAACGGUCAUUCCAGUAAUUUGACUUGUUUUGAGUUGUGUCAAGCUUAUUGUGAUUAAUGUUGUUAGUUGCUGGCAUGUAAAUAAUGGUGUAAAUAUGUGUGAUCGGACCCUUAUGCAUGCUUUAUUGAUUAAAGAUAUCAUAUGUUAAAAUGGCAUGUUUUUGGAAUGGUUAUUUGGCAUGAUUGGUAUUUAUGAUCUUGAGAUGUUGAAUUGAAUUAAGUUUGAUAUGUAUAUUGUGAUACCUUCAUUGACAUAUUGGUUAGAUAUUAAAGGAUGGUUGAUUUGGUAUGUUUUUGAAAUGGUUGUUGGUAUGUUUUCUCUAAGUUAAUUAAAUGAAUUUGUAAUGUUGAAUGGUAUAAUAUUUGUUGGUACAUUAGUUAGUCUUAUAGGUUGAUGGAAUUGGUAUGUUUUAAAUGUGUUUUGGUUAUUUCAAUGUUUGUGGAAAUGGUGUGUCUUGGUGUACAAGAUUUGAAAUUGAAACGGCUUGAUUUAGAAGCAACUUAUGCUACACACCGCCUGGGACAUGGAUUGUCACAUGGCUGUGUCAUUAUUAUUUUAGGUAUAGGUUUCACACAAUCUAAGACUCAGCUCACGACACAGCUGUGUAUCACAAGUCAGUAUGUAACACGGUUUUGUACAUGGCCUGCGACACGAUCGUGUGUCCAGACUUCGAAUGUCCACAUGGUCUAGGCUAUGUCACAUGGCUUGGCCACAUGGCCGUGUGACUUUUGUUUUCAAGUUUUCCAAAAUUUUCUAUUUUAUUUCAAAUUGAUCCUAGAAUAUUCUCAAACUAUUUUUAAGGCCCCGUAGGUUCGGAUUAAGGCCCGUAAGUGUAUGUUUGCUAUAAUUAAGUUGUGUUAUUGAAUGUUAUUAAUUCAAACACAUGAAUACUUUGUUGUAAGUUAAAUGUUUUAAUUUGUACUAUAAUGCUUCGUAACCCUAAUCUGGCGAUGGAAACAAGUUUGGCGUGUUACAAUUUUGUAUUGUAAAUUUGUUUUGGGGCUUUGUUCUUUGGUUCUUGUGAUGUUGGUUGGAUUUUGGUGUUUUAACAUUAAACUGCAAAAUUGUAGGAUUUAACAAACUAAAAUUAGGUUUUCAAAAUUAAAACUCUGGAAAUUUUUGUUGCAAAGUUUAAGUAAUCACUUAAGUGUUUUUCUAUAGAUAAUUAAAUGGUUUUUAACAAAUGUUUUCCUUACUUUUGGAAAUGAUCUGCCAACAUUAGUACUUCUAAAACACAUGAUUUCAAAUUCAAAUUCUCAGUUUUAAAUAAGGGUUUUCACACUUCGAUUUUUUUUAAACAUUUUUGAGAGGUUUUUGCCAAAUUUUAUGUUUUCAGAACGUGUAACCAAGUUGAUUUUUAAUUAGUUUUUCAAAGUAGUCGAUGUAAUUCCUCAAAAAUCCAGUCAUAGCGUCUAGGCCGGGUUUGGGAUAUUAUACUGACGUUACUAAAGUUAAUCUUCAUCUAUUUAGUCUUGAUCUAAACAUUAAUAUUCUCUUCAAAAAAAAUCAAGAUUAUCAAAUUGUUAAAACUUGGUAGGCAGACAAUCAUAUUAAAUAAGCAUAAAACUUAAUAAAUAAUUACCGAAGAUUGAAAUAAUCAAAGAAAAAAUAAAUUAAUUAACUAAGAAAUAGGAUCCAUUAUUGUUUCAAGAAAAUAGAGUUUAGUUCACAUUGAGUUGAGAAAACCAAAAGGGAGAUUCAAAACAAACUUGUGAUAAGGGGAAUAAUGUCAAUAGAUCAUAUUCAAGUUGUUCGGCUUGAGAAAGAAAGAUUCAGAUCUAACUUGAAAACAAGAAACCAAAAAGAUUUAGAAAAACAAGAAAAAACAAAGAAAAUAACUAAAAUGAUAAAUUUAAGAAUAAAUAAUCAAUAUUAAAAAUAAUAAAGAAAUAAAGAAAUUAUAGAAUAAAUAGUGGAAGAUGGAAUGAAUAAACGAUGGAUAUGACAUAUAGAUGGAUAAGUGUCUUAUAAUUCAUGAAAAGAGUUAUAUUUCAUGCCUUUAGACCUAACUAAUUGUUUGUACUUAAGUACAUUUUGUUGCAUUUUAAGACAUUUUAGUUAGCAUUUCUAAUAUUGCAUUAGGACUUAGAUUGUGUUGGAAUUAUGUGUUUUUAAUAUGGUGGAGUUCUUUUGUGUGUUGGUAUGGCAAGAACAUAUUUUAGAACGAGGAAAUAAAUGAGUGAAGUUUUUUCAAGGAAAAAGUGCAGACAGUUUGCCAGAACAGAUGCCGUGACAAUGCCAGGAAGACAAAGUUAACAUUUCUUUGCGCAACAGUCUCAGUUGAAAUUAAAACUUGUACCAGAUAAAUCUCCCUAAAAGAGGAGAAGAUAAUCACAAGUUGUUACUUGACACUAGCCUAAUCUAUCUAUAAAAGCCAAUAAAGGGGAUCUCGCAAAUGGCAGAAAAAAAUGGGAGGGAUCCUUAGGUGUGAAUAAGGUUUUAGCUGCGCAAAGGAAAGGAAGUCGAAGGAAGUGCUUUUUAGCCAUCACAGGAUGUUGUGCUACCGAAGUGUGGACUAGGCAAGUGAAAGUUGUUUCCCAAAGUUCUUUCGUUAUUUCCAUCAGCGUUCCUUCAAAAUAUUGAAGUAGUUGAACACAAUGUCGGAUAAUAUUUUGCUUUUGAAUUUUAUUUCUCAGCCCAUGAGCUAAAUCUCGUAGGGUUGGGAUUACUUUUGAUGAAACCUUAAACUAUUUUUGUGGAUGCAGUAUAUAUCUAAUUUACUUUACUGUUUCAUUUGGUUGUUCUUAUUUCUUAAUUAAAAUGCAAAUGAUUUCUAAACAUAGAAGACUGUUCGCAUACUUAUAAACUCAUUCUAAUUCUGAAAGGGUUGGAUUGGUUGGAUUAAAAUUAAAUGAAAUGAGCAAGUAUUCGAUGGACACUUGUAGUAGACUCUAUACAUAGAGUGACGAUCAUACAGAAGGAACCCAUGCAAGGUAUCUAAAAAGUCUUUAGACACAGGCAAGGUAACUUGAUGUUUUGCUCUCACGAGAGUCAGGCCAUUUUAGUACUCUUUUGUGCUUUAAAGUAGAUACGAUUUUGCCAAGGCAUUAUUGACAGUAAGGGUCGAUUUUGGGUAAUCAACUUUCCAAAUCCACAUCGUAUAUCCUUUAUACCUUACCAUAGUAUAUUUGCCACAUCAUUAUUAGUUAUUUAUUUGUUCAUUUACAUAAUAUUCCCAUAGUAAUUCUCAUAAUUAUCAUUAGAUUUCUACUCUCAGUUUGCCACAACAUUACCAAUUAUUUAUUACCUCCACGUAUUGCUUACACCAUUACUCUACUAAUUUCAACUAUAUAUUUAUCAUUGAGUUUGCCAUGGCAUUAAUCGUAUUUUAUUAUAAUAACUUGACCAAUUGUGUGCCUCAAUCUGAUCCCCAUGGGAACGAUACUCACUCAUCACUUUAUUACGUGAUUCAACUGUAUACUUGCACAAAUCGCAUAUCAUUUCACACACGACAGUGUUCAAUUGAAACCUUUAAGAUAUAAACUCGGACAAACUCAAUUAAUGGCUUUAAUCAACCCACCAAGAAAUAAUGAUUGGCAAAUUGAACGAUGAAGAAUGAAUUCCCAUGACUCCUUAAAAAAUUGAGAAGAAAAAUACUUCUAAAAAUCACAAGAAACAAAUCUUGCACAAAGAAACUAACUUUUAGAGUUGGAAAUUUUAGUAAUAAACAAAAACAAUUGCAUCUCUAAUGAACAUGAAGGGCCUUUACAUAGGCUAGAUAAGUACAUCCAGAUAAAAUAUUCAAGUAUCAAGUACAUCCAGAUAAAAUAUUCAAGUAUCUUGAAACUUUAAUUAGUAUAAGUAAGAAGUAAUUUUAAACUAAAAUAGUUAUAAUUUCCGUCAUAAUCCCAUCCAAAAAUUCUGCUCACAUAAUCAUCAUUAAAAUAGUCAUAAUUUGAGCUCUUGAACUCAAAAUUGAGUGAAUAAAAGUGUGUUUCGAAGUUAAGUGCUAGAUCUUAGAACUUUAUGAAGACAUAUCAAUCGAAAAAUGUCUGGAUCCCAUCCAAAAAGUCACCACAAGUUAACUAAUUUUUCAAACUUGAAAAUUGGCAGCUUUGGUGAAUGGAAUUUAAUAAAGUUCACCCCAUCUAUUCAUGUAUCAACUCGCAUUGGUAAAAAGUAAAAAGAAAUAAUCUAUAGAGAAAAUAGUUGAAGAAUUUAUGAAAAUUUAUUCAAAUCUCUUUUUUUUCUAGUCUUUGCAAGCUUGAAGUUUCCCUUGGUGUGUGAGAGUUGUUCCUUACCCUCUAAGUGAUUUUUUUUCUUCUUCUUUCUCUUCGAUCUCGUCACCUAAGGGUGUUCAAACAAUUGAUUCAGUUAAUACCCGUACAAAACUAUCAUUAACUGAAAUUUUGAAACCCUUAAUCAUUAAUCAAACCAAUUUUUUUGAAACCUACUAACUAGCUUCAUUGUUUUCGGUUAAUUUGAGCGGUUAACCAAAAUUUACACAUUGUUUGUUUUUUUUCAAACAAUUUUAAAACAAAGAACAAUCCACGACAAUUUUUCCUUGUUUUUUAUUCAAAAAAAUUAAAAGAAUUAAAAAAAACAUAAUAACAACACUAAAUUAAAAACAUAAUAGCAUUCAUUAUAUAUAUAUUUACUUUUUCUUGACUUUUUAGUUUAAUUUUAGUUUUUUUUUUCCAAAUAUUUUUAGUUUUCAUAUUUUUGUUAAGCUUAUUAUAAGAAAACUUAUAAAUCCAUUAGUUUUUAUAUAUUGGGUUUGUAUAAUGCAUUGGACCUAUCUCACAUAGUCAUCAUUAAAAUAGUCAUAAUUUGAUCUCUUGAACUCAAAAUCGAGUGAAUAAAAGUGAGUUUCUAAGUUAAGUGAUAGAUCUUAGAACUCUAUGAAGACAUAUCAAUUGAAAAAUGUCUGAACUCCAUCCAAAAAUUCACGCAAGUUAACUAAUUUUUCAAACUUGAAAAUUGGUAGCUUCGGUGAAUGGAAUUUAGUAAAGUUCACCCCAUAUAUUGAUGUAUCAACUUUCAUUGUAAAAAGUAAAAAGAAAUAAUCUAUAGUGGUUAGUGUUUUAAUGGGGGUUUUGUGUUUACUCUCGGUUAGGGGAAGGGCAAGAAGAGUUGGUACUCCUGCAGCAAUUUGAGCGUUAAGGGUGUCUGUUCGUCGGCGGUAAGGUUUCAAAUUCUUUGUUGGUUAUUGUAAGGCUCCGUUUGUGGAAUGGUUUUGGAUUGAGUUUCGUAAGUGUACUGAAUUUGGGCUUCUGGAUGCUAUUUCUUAGGUUCGAUGGUCUCGGGGGUGCUUGUGCAUCAAAACGAUAUCAGGUGUGUACCCGAAAUGCAGAAAAUCGAGCUUCGAUGAAAUCUAAAACACCUUACUAUCGACACCACAAGGGCAUGUGCCUGGCCGUGUGGUUGGCUGUGUGUAGGACACGGUCAUGUGUUUGACGAGGGUAGGGUCGUGAGGAAGACAUGGCCGUGUGACGAUGUGGGCCCGCAGGCUAGGCCAAGUUAGGCUUGUGGGUUUUGGGCCACAUGUGCAUGUGGGUUUUGGGCCAAGCCAUGUGAACCACAUGGACAGGGCUAAUCUGGGUGUGUUGACCACAUGGGCAUGUGGGCCCGAAAUUCUAAAAUUUUUCGUAGGGUCUCACAGGUCAUUUUGGUCGACUUUGUGCCUACCGUAGGGUCAGUAAGGGCUAACCAAACCCUAAAACUAUGUGAUCUGUUAGUUUGAUAUUUGUUCUAAAUAUGAUACUACUAUGCAUGUCUGAUUAGUCUGGUGUAUAUAUAUAUAUCUGAUAUAUAUGUAUGAGCAUGUGAGCAUGAUAACUCUGAUUAUAUAUAUCUGAUUGAGGUGGGAUUUCUAUAUGUGGAGGAAGUGUUCUAUAUGGCGGUCAUCGCCUAUGUUCUGGCAGCUUGGCUAUACAUUAUCUGACAUGUAUCGUAAUGGCACGAUAUGGUGUGUAGGGAUUGGUGGGUGUUUUUAACCCCACAUGAUGUGAUGGGAUGGUCAGAGUUGGUUUGUAGAGGAUGGAGUUAGGAUUCUGUAUUUCUAAUAUGCAUAUAUGUUCUAUUAUUUGAAUCUAUAAAGGACUUAGGUCUGAAUCUGAAUCUGAAAUUGUAUCUGAUCGUGUAUGAGUUUAUUGCACGUAUUGCAUGUAUUUUUCUGUUGGGUUACACACUGAGUUUACGAAAACUCACAUUUGUUUGUCGGUUUUGUUUAGGUAAUCCACAGACUUAGACGGGUCAGUGUUACGGAGGCUCAGUGGUGACCACUUGAUUGAGAACUAUUUUACUUAGUAAAUUAUGUUUUAUUUAUAAUUUCGAUUUCAUUUGAGAGUUUGUAAUUUUUGGGACUCUCCGGACUGCUGGUUUUUAUUUUGGUUUUGGAUGCGAUUUUAGACUCUUUUGUUGCGAUGCAUAAUGGAAAACACGGUUUUAUGAAAACAAAGGUUAUUCUGAAAAUACGAACUGGAUUUCUAAAAUAUAACGGUUCAAAAACUUCUGCUAAAAAUCAUGUUUUGGUAAAUAAAUGAAUUAAGUAACACUUUCAAAAAUGGUUAUAAAGAAAUAUGAACUAUGAAUCUUUAAUGAUUUGACAAAAAGACCUUAUUUUCAAAACCAUACAUUGUGACCACUCCAGAUUCAGCUAUAACGUCUAGACCGAUUUGGGGUGUUACAGUAAGGAUGAAAAUUUAAGGGGGAGUGAGCUAUGGCGCUUAGUAUGAGUUCAUUCACAAUAAAUUCAAUGCAAACGGUUGGUAGGACACAUUAAAUAAUAUCACAUAAAAUAAUCACAGUCAGAUAAUAGUUUAGAAUGUCGGUUUUACAAUUUAACCACCAAUAUUAUCACAGUAUUCACAGUUGUAAUUUCAGAAUAUCAAAUUUUCACACCAUUCACAAUAUUUAGAUAUAUAUAAAUAUAUCAUAACAGAAUUCCAGAUUUGUAUGCACAUGAUUUAGAAGAUGCCAUACAAUUUCGGGUUUUAACAGAAUAAAUCCUACCCCACGUUACAUACCAUAAUGGGAGUUCCCCUAAACUCCCUUCUCCAACACACUGGGUACCACUACUGGUUUACAAAUAAUAACUAUCAUUUGGCUGUGGACACACAGCAAUCCCCCACAAUUGGAUUCUAGAUUUGGUUGUGGGUUCACAGCAAAAAAAUCUACAAAUGAAGCAUGCUUUUGCCUGUAGAUUAUACAACAUAUACCCAUAGUUGGAAUCUGCCUUCGGCUGUGGACACACUGUAACACCUCAAACCUGACCUGGACGUUAUGGCCGAAUCUUGAGGAAUUACUUUAACUCGCUAGAAAACCCAAGAGUUUACUUUGAAAUCAUGUGGUUAAACUAGUGUUCACUUUGAUAAAUCGUUUUCCAGUUUUAGGGAAAAUUAUUAUUAAAACUACUACUUUAUUACAAUAAAAAAUUAAAGUGAUUGUAUCAUUUUGUAACGGAAUCUACUGAGCUAUAAGGUUUUGAAAAUCGUGGUUUAAUUUGCAACAAAUCAUUUUGCAAAUAGAAAUUUAAUACUACUUAAUUUGGAAAAGCAUGCUAAAACGAAAGCAAAGUCCAAACUAAUUUACGAUUUAAAUUCUUAAAAGUCCAAAUUAAACAUAAAGUCAAUUUAAACCAGUUUAUCGAAAGUGUAACACCCCAAACCCGGCCUAGACAUUAUGGCCAAAUCUGGAUGUGUUACAAAAAAAAAGUUUAUAAAACGACUUCCUUGUUAUUGGCAAAUCAUCGCAACCAUUAUUACAUAGUAUGUCUGAUUUGUUUGGAGAACUUUUUGAUAUACUUAUUUGAUUUAAGAUCGUUGCUUGCUUAUGCCUUUCUAUUAAACCGAAUGUUUUGCAGUGGAGUUUCUUUAAAAUGUCAUAUUUUGGCAAAUCAAAUUGUUUCUUGAAAAUCGUUAUUUCAGAAAAGUUGUCAUUUUCAGGAAAACUAUUUUAUCGGUUGUUACGCUUAGAAAACCAAAAUAAAAUCCAAAACCAAAAAUAGUCCCAAAAAGUCCAAAGAGUCCCGAAAUUACAAAACUCUCAAAACCAGAAAAGUUUGAACUAAUUUUAAAAGAAUGAAAAUUUAUAGAAAUAUGGUCAACAUUGAGCUUCCGUCACACCGACCCACAUAAAUGUAAGGGUUACUUGAACAGAACAAACAAAUAGAGAGUGAGUUUUGAAACUCAGUGCGUAACGCGAAUAUAAACAAAAAUUUAGAAUCAAUCUAAUGCAUAACAGAUACAAAUGUAAACCUUUUAUAGAAUAAGAAUUAUACAGAUACAAAUGUGCAAAAUCCUACCCUCGUCCUCUACACACCAAUUCUGACCAGCCCAUCACACCACGUGGGGUAUAAAACACCCACCUAGCCAUACACACGGUAUAGUGUUUAUACGACACUUUUCAGAAUAAUCGCAGUAGAGUUGCCAGUAUAUAGGUGAGAUAUUUCCUCACACAGAACACUUCCUCCUCAUAAUACAAAUCCCGCUCCAUAGCCAGAUACAGACAGAAUAUUAGGUAAAACAAAUUAACAGAUACCAGAGUUAACAUAUCAUGCAUGAGCGUAUAACAAAUAUUACACAUGCUUGUACAUAACAGAACAAACCAUACAUACCGUAUUCCAUAAUACUCAUAUAAAUGUUAUUUUUUAAAUUGUAACAAAUAUUAUUAUUAAGAUGUUUUUCUUUUUAUAUUUUUAUAAAAAUAUAUUAAAAAACAAUUAGAAUAAUUUUAAGAGAAAAAACACUCAUAAAUAGUAGAAUUUAAUCUAAAAAUAUCAAAGUUUUAAAGCCUCAACUUUAACAUUUCAACCAAAAUUCCAUUAGUAUAUAAAUAUUUCAUAAAUAUAGAUUUUAUAUAAAAAAUUUAUGUUAACUUUUUUUUAACCCGCAUCACAAGUAUACCAUAUUUAGAGAUAUUCAUAGCUAGGCAGCCCACUUUGGGUCAAGCUUGAGCUUAGGUUUUAUCUCAAGUUGGCCCAAUUUAACCUAUUUUACUAUUUAAAAAUAUAAAUAUAUGUUAUAUUGAUAUUUAUAUAUUUCUAUAAUUAAAUUUUAAAUAAAUUUAUUGUUAACUUCUAAACAUAAAACAAAGAGAACUUUCACCCAAGUUAUAAGUUUGUGGUUAGACAGCCGACUUUCGGGGCAGGAUUCAGCUUACGUUUUUAAUCUUGGGAUUUAACAAUAAUAAAAAAUUUAAAAAUAAUAUUCUAUUAAUAUUUAUAAAUUUUAUAAAUUUAAAUUUAAUUAUAUUUUUUAAACAGUAAAAUGAACCAUUUAUAUGGGCUAAUUAGAGUUAAGUUUGGUUUGAAUCAAGGCUUAACUUUGACCAAAUCCAACUAAAAACACCUCUAACAAUUAUCUAGUAUUGUUUUUAUGAAUUGAAUUUUAACUUCUAAUUUUCAAUUUUAUUACAAAAUUUCUUUGCGGACGAUAAGAAAAUAACAUAUUUGUAACUUCUUCACUCCGACGUAAAGGUUAAGUCUGAAUUUGGAUUACAUCGGCCAUAAAUAUGGCCUAGCAGGAUUAUCGGAGUUUUUAAAAAUAGACAUCUUUAAAACGUUUGUUUAAUUUAUAAAAAAGCUUAUUUAAUUUCCAAAUUAUUUAUUACUUGAAAUCUUAAUUACAUUUUAAAAGCAGGAAGUGGUAACUAUUUAUUUUUAAUAAAAAUCGGGGUUCAUGUAUAAUUCAUUAAUAACCGUAAUUCGAAAACAUUAAAACUUAAAUUAAAUGUCAUGCAAAACAAAACAAACUUAAAUCUAAAUCUCAUGCCACAGUGCAAAACAAUUUAUUGUAGUCUUAGAAAAUAAAAAAAAAUCAUAUAAUGAACCUAAAAUAAUUUUUUUUACUUUAAUAAUGUGUCAAGACCUUACAAAUGUCACGCCCACGUUCAAUCCUGGUGGGUUAUCUAUAAGGAUGAAAAUUUAAGGGGGGUGAGCUUUGACGCUUAGUGUGAGUUCAUUCACAAUAAAUUCAAUGCAAACGGUUGGUAAGACACAUUAAAUAAUAUUGCAUAAAAUAAUCACAGUCACAUAACAGUUCAGAAUGUCGAUAUUACAGUUUAACUACCAAUAUUAUCACAAUAUUCAUAGUUGUAAUUUCAGAAUAUCAAAUUUCCACAUCAUUCACAAUAUUAACAUAUAUAUAAAUAUAUCAUAAUAGAAUUCUAGAUUUGUAUGCACAUGAUUUAGAAGAUGCCAUACAAUUUUGGGUUUUAACAGAAUAAACCCUACCCCACGUUACAUAUCAUAAUGGGAGUUCGCCUAAAAUCCCUUCUCCAACACACUAGGUUGUGGAUAAACCAAUACUCAUCCGCAGAUAAUAACUAUCAUUUGGCUGUGGACACACAGCAAAUCCCCACAGUUGGAUUCUAGGUUUGGCUAUGGGUUCACAGCAAAAAGUCCUGCAAAUGAAGCCUAUUUUUGCAUGUAGAUUAUACAACCUAUACCUGCAGUUGGAAUCUGCCUUUGGCUAUGGAUGCACUAUAACGCCCCAAACCUGACCUGGACGUUAUGGCUGAAUCUUGAUGUAACGCCCUAAAAUUUCUAAUUCUAUUAUUGUAAAAAUAUGACACAAAAUAUUUGUCUGCUUUAGUGGUUAUGUGUUCUGGGAGUGUUUGGGAGGUCCCAAGUUCACGUCUUUGCUUGGGCAAAUUUUGGUAUUUUGAAUGAAUUAGGCUUUACUCUUGUUCAGUAGGAUUUUAUUUGAUUGUUGGGAAAAUUAUAUCAGAAUGGGCUUGCUGGUCUAGUGGUUAAAUUGUGUGUUAUUAUGGUGAAGGUCUUGUGUUCAAAUCCUUAUGUAGGCAAAGGUAUUAUUAUUAUUAUUUUUGCUCAGAUUUCGGGAUAUAGUUGUGUAAUAGGGGGAUUCUGAGUAGUGGAUGUGUAGUGGGAAUUAGGGGAGAAGAUUAAGGGGUUUCGGGAUUUUAUUUUAUUUUUUCCCAGAACGGAAUUUUGACUCUCUUUUCCAAAAAAAUUCUGUCGUCUAUUCUUCUCCCUCUCCUCUUGUCGAUAUUCUCUAAGUUUUUUCAUCUUUCUCUUCUUUUUCUUCUUCUUGAUUUUUCCCUAAUCCAUUUAUUUUUCCUUCAUUUUCGCACGCGAUUAGUGCUCGCUUAGUUUCGGUAAGCGUUUCUCUUUGUUUUUAUCAUGAAUCUCCUAGGGACUAAAGUGGUAAUUUUUUUCUCUGCGAUUUGGGCAUAAGGGAAGGCUCGGACUGGUGAAUUCAGUAUUCUCAUCUUAUCAAUAGUUAAAUGGGGGGUUAUCGUUGGUGGUAUGUUGGGUUUCUGUUCGUUCUUGGUUGUCAAUUCGCUUGUAAAUCCAUUAAAUUGAUGUUUAGUAUCUUGAUUAUAGGCUUUGGAGUGCUUGGGGACUGUUUUAGCAUCAAACAAAACCAGGUGUGUACCCGAAACGCAAAAAAAAAGGGAUUCGGUGAAAAGUUAAAAUUGCUUGCUAUUUGGACAGCAGCAGUAGACUAAUUUUGAAAAAUCACCAUAAAUUGUGGAAAUCGAAUUAGAGGAUGAAAAAAAUAUGAAAUUAAAUCUUAUUGAGUCUAGUUUCUCAUAGAAGAAACGGUGUAAGUAAUGGAAUUGUAAAUCGUGAGAUAUAAUAAACUUUGUGAGACAAGGUUAGAAUAAAUUCGGGUUCCCCUGUUCUGAUUUUGGAAAAUCAUCAAAAAUUGGAGAAAAGUAAUUAGGAAUUAAAAUUUACAUGUUUAAAUUAUUAAUGAGUCUUUUUUUUCAAUAGAAACAAAUGGGAACUUCAUCCAAAUUUUGUACUAAAAGAUAAUUAAUUUUUAGCAAAGAAGGGUCAAAGCUGUCAGACAGCAGAACAAGGGUAAGUUUGAAGAUUUUACUGUACUUAUUAGCUGAACCAAAAAUUCUAAAAAUUUUAUGGUAGAAAGGUAUUUGAGUCUAUUUUUAAAGACAUCAAGCGAAUUUUAAUUAGAAAUUCUGUAGCACAAGAUAUAAAUAAUUUAGUAACAGUGACUCAAGUAGAAAGCUUUGAAGGAACACAUAAGUAAAUUGUGAUAACAUAUAUGAAUAUUUAGCUAACACAGGUUACACUGAAAAUGGAUCACGUGGCCAAGGCCAAUUUGGGCCGAGUGGGCCACGUGGGCGUGUGAGCCCAUUUUUUUGAAAAAUUCUGUAAGGUUGCACGGGUCACCCAAGUCGACUAUGGACCUACUGUAGGGUCAGUAACCUUUACUUAGACGCCUAUAUGUGUGAUCUGUCUAGCUGAUUUCUAUAACGAGCAUGACUUAUAAUAUCUAAAUGUAUGUACUAUUAAUUGCAUAAUGGCAUGGCAUAUUUUGUAUGUUGCAUUGCAUCGGGGUGGGUUGAUGAUAUUUGGAGGAAGUGUCUAAAGGGAUAUUAAGCCAGUUAUCUGGCAGCUCAGCUGCAACCUUCUGAUUAUGUGUCGAUUUCAGUAUAGCAUGGUGUGUAAGGAUGGGUGGGUUAAUUUAAUCCCUACAUGGUGUGUAGGGUUGGACGGAGAUGGUGUAUAGAGGCUGGUGGGUAGGAUUCUAAUUUACUAUAUCUACAUUCUGAAUCUGAUAUGGGCCAAGGCCCUAAUGUAUUUCUGAGACUGUAUCUGAACGGGCUAAGGCCCAAACUGAUUGUGUGAUGGGCCUAGGACGCAGACUGUAUCUAACUGAAUUCUGUUGAUUAUUUGUAUGCAUGUUUUCUAUGGGGAUUACACACUGAGUUUGAGAAAACUCACCCUUUCUCUGUUUAAUCUAUACAGGUAAUCCCCAAACUUGAUGGGUAGGUGCAGCGGAGGAUUCGACGGUGGCCACACGUAAAUUUCAGACUGUUUUCUGUUAAUGCCUAGAAUUUAUUAAUUAUUUGGGGUUUUUGAUGUAUCUUCUGGACUAUGGACUAGUAGGCUUUAAAUUUUAGACUUUAUACUAUUUUUUAUGUUUUUUUUAAAACUGCAACUCCACAAAACACGGUUUUUUUCUAAAAAAUAAGGAUUUUCGUAAAUAGAAAUGAUUUUCCCUAAAUUAAUUGGUUACAAAAGUUUUCUCUAAGAGACAAGUUUUAAAGCAAAUCAACUAGUUUUUUUUCAUAAUUAAAUAAAAGUUAACUUACUAUAACGAUUUUUCUUAAACUCGACAAUCUUGUCUUCAAAUCCCUUUUCAUGUGACAUCACCAGAUUCGGCCAUAACGUCUAGGCCGGGUUUGGGGUGUUACACCUGAUGAGUUACUUUAAAUCGCUUGAAAACCUAGAAAUUUACUUUGAAAUCAUAUGGUUAAACUAGUGUUCACUUUGAUAAAUCGUGAAAGUAUGUGAUUAUUGAGGACAUGCUGAGCAUGUCAAAUGAAUGUGAAAAGUAUUGUGAUAUGACUAUGUAUGAGAUUGUGUAACAUAUUGCAUAUGCAUUGGGUUGGGAUUUUUUGGUUGACGGAGUAGUUCUGUGGAGUACCGUCGGCAUAUUAAGCCCGCAUUAUUCGUAGUUAGUGCACUGCACCUGGAGUACUGAGGGGAUUGGUAAUUUUAUCGCAUAUUAUAUGUUAUUGGUGAUUGUAUAGCACUAUUUGAUAUCCGACAGAUUUUUUGCAUUAUUGAUUAUUCGGUGGUUUUACCACAUUGAGCUAUGCUCAGAAUGUUUUAGAGUUUGGUAGACGGGUUCUAGGGAACACGUGGUGUGUAGCGGAUGGUAUGGGUAGGAACCUUUUUGCAUUGCAUCAUGUGCACGACAUAUUCGAAUGUUAUUGGUUUAUGCUACGUAUUGUAUUUUUUUGUAUUGAAUGGUAUCAAAAUUAAUGAUUGUCACUCGAAUGAAUUAUGAACUAUGCUCAUACACUGUUUGACAUCAAUUUAAUAAUGGCUAUGUAACGAUAUGAAAUUCCUAUAAUGGUUUUAUUUUCUUCUAUUAAAGCUAAUAUGUUUCACUGUAUUUGAUAUUUAUGUUUGUUUAAAUAAUUGUUCGACUCACACUGAGCUUUUCAUAAGCUCACCCCUAAUAGUGUUAAACUUUUCACGUAAACCUCGAAAUUAAGACCAGACUUGGCAUUCGAAGAAUCACCUUGGACCUUGAAUUAUUUUUCUAAUAAGUAUUAAUCAAUCUCUAAUGGUUUUGGUUUGUAAUUUUUAAUUAUAUCUAGUCUGUGGCUUGAUAACUUUUCUUUUGGGAUUUUUGCAUGCAUGGAUUACUCAAGCAUAAUAACCGGAUAAUGCAUGAUAUCAGGCUUAAGUAAAAUUUGAUAUUGUUCCCUAGAUUCUGCUACAUUGCAAAGGAUUUGUUUUUGAAAAACAAAUUGAUAAGGUAACUAAGUUUUUAAAAUGACUUGAAAAAUGGUUUUUCCCCUAGAUUAGUUUAACAUCAAAUUUUUUUUAAAGGAGAGCAACAAGCAAAUGGUUUUUCUAAAACAACACUAUCAACAAUAAAAUGAAUUCUAAGUAUACACAACCUAAUGAAUGAAUGCUUUUAAGCUAACUUAAAGUACAAUUAUGGUUUUCUCUAAAAUGAGUUUAUUUAAGGUUUUCAUAAGUAAUGUAAGUUAGCUUAGCCAUUUCGGUGGCUAAUGUAGCCUUCUCAUUCUAGCCAUAACGUCUAGGCCAGGUUUGGGAGGUUACAGUAUUGAUAGGAACUGUGGUAUAAAUUUUAUUUUGGACAUUCUUAAAGUGUUAUUUGGACUAAACUUUAGAAACUAUGGAUUUUAUACUGAGCCUAAAUUUACGAAGUUCAUGCGUGGUUUUUACGAAAAUGAAACUAAUAUGAAUUUUUAAAACCAUGAUUUUUUUUAAAGCUCCAAUUUGAAAUUGUACAAGAAAUGUCAAUUUGAAUUAUUUUUGAAUGUUUUUUUAUGCCAAUAAAAUAUUGUUUCAAAACAUAGCUAAGUAUUAUUUAAUUUCGUAAAGACGAAGCAAACUCCAAACAAUCUAAAACUUUAAGGACUAGUUUGUAAUUUUUGUUUUUCCUCAAUUGUCUCUGGUUUGAUUCAAUUCUUGAUCUAUACAAUUAUUCCAUUCAAUUCAUCAAUAUUAAACAUUUAUACAUUAUGUCAUGUCAUGAAUGAACCUAGAUAAAUUCAUUUUUUGAUACCCUUAAAGUUUUACAUUUAUUUCAAUUUAGUCUCUAAAAUCGAAAUAGUCAUAACUUUAAAUUCUGAACUUCAGUUUGAAAAUCGACCUCAAUUUCAUUUUAGACUGUCUGUUAAAAAUUAGUGCAUCUUACUGGAUUUUUUAAUUUACUUGUUUUCUUUAUCAAAUAAGUUGGUUCCUAUUAUAUAGGGAUAUGAUCAGAUUAUGUUUUGUUAGUUGAGGUUUUAGUGGGCUAUUAGUUGCAGGUUUUUUAACUUUAACGUUACAUGUAGUUAAGCUAUUUAUAUGUCAUUUUAUCUAAUGUAAUUUUGUGUGUUUUUUUUAGUAAUCAAAAACGUUCUUUAAUACUUUAAGCUUUUCUUGUUAUUAUUUCUUUCAUUACCUCGGUCAUUCUUUUUUGUUUUAUGGUGUCAGUGCCAGGUUAUUCAUUGGUUAAUUGUGUGAAAGGGUGUUUUGCUAGUUGCUGCAAUGGAGGUUUCAAAUGGAGGAAAUAAUCAGAUUGGUAUGGAGAAGCUUGUAGGCACUAACUACAAGUAUUGGAGGAUGUGUAUGGAGGCAUUUCUUCAAGGCUAGGACUUGUGGGGAUUGGUUGUUGACCUGAUGCAACAAUCCCUCCCAAUAUUCUCGAGAAUGCCAAGUCACGAAGGAGGUGGAAGGUCAAAUGCGGUAAAGCUUCAUUGAUCAUGUUCAUGAUGUUAACUCUCCAAAAGAAGUUUGGGAAACGCUUGAAAGGUUGUUUACCAAGAAGAAUACUGCAAGGUUGCAAUUGUUGGAGAACGAAUUGGCCGGGUUAAAACAAUGAGGUAUGUCAGUUUUAGAAUAUUUUUUACGAGUUAAAAAUAUUUGUGCUGAAAUUUCAGAGAUAGAUACGGAUGAGAAAGUUAGUGAAGCUCGUUUGCGUCGUUAUCUUAUCCGCAGUUUGAAGAAGGAGUAUGGGCCUUUUGUCACUUCUAUUCAAGGGUGGUCGACACAGCCUUCGGUGGAGGAGUUAGAGAAUUUUCUCUCUAAUUAAGAAGCUUUGGCAAAGAAGAUGGUGAAAAGUUUCGAAUCUGAUGCCAGUCUCUUCUCAAAAGGGAAGCCAAACAAGAAGAAUGAGUCUGGAAAUAAAGGCAGAUCUGAAGACUCUAGUUCGAAAAAAGAUGGCAACUCACAAAGCAAAAAGUCUUUCAAAUGCUUCAGAUGCAGAAAGACUGGACAUAUCAAGAGAAAUUGCCGUGUGUAGAUUUCCAAGGCCAAUAUCGUGUCCACGGAAGAAACCGAUGAUCGACUCAAAUGGGAGCAUUGCUUUACUGUUGAAGCUAUUGAACAAAAGUCAUCAAAAGCUUUUGUCAAUUAUGCUGAUAACAAGAAGGAGGAGUGGAUCAUUGAUUCUGGUUGUUCUCACCAUGUAACCGGAAAUGAUACUUUGUUCUUAGAGAUGCAUGAACACCAUGGAGAUCGAGUUAUUGUGACUGCAGAUAACUCCACUCAUCCGGUAGCAAAAGAGGGCAUUGUGGUGAUCGAUGUUGUCGACGAUACGAGAACCGAAAGUGUCAAAUUGACUGAUGUGUAUCAUGUUCUAGAUGAAGCUUAUGUGAAGAAAACAAGCCAAACCGAUAACGCUGCUAUUUGGCAUGCUCGAUUGGGUCAUGUGGGGUACCAAAUGCUGCAACAAAUUUAUUCGAAAAGGUUGUUAGAUGGGAUGCCGAUCUUGAAGAGUGUACGUGAAGAUGUGAUUUGUCAAAGCUGUCAAUAUGGUAAAUCUCAUCGUCUUCCUUUCAAAAGCUCAUCAAAUCGGAGAUCUUCUUUGCUCGAAUUGGUUCAUACAGACUUGACGGGACCAACGAGAACACUGAGUUGUAGCAGCCACUGUUAUGUUAUGGUUUUGGUGGAUGAUUACUCAAGGUUCUCUUGGGUGAAAUUUUUGAAAGAGAAGAGUGAAGCAUUAUCCAAGUUUGUGGAGUUCAAAGCUGCUGUUAAAAAAGAGUUUGGAAAGAAGAUUAAGUGUCUUCGAAGUGACAAUGGCGGAGAAUACAUGUCCAAUAAUUUUUUUCAGUAUUGUGUUGACAACGGCAUCUGUCGUCAAAUGACUUGUCCAGAUACUCCAUAGCAGAACAGAGUUGCAGAAAGAAAGCUUGGUUAUCUUGCUUCGAUUUGCCUUUCAUGGCUGCAUGACAAGAAUCUUCCUCGAGAGCUUUGGGCGGAAGCUGUUCUUUGUGCAUGUCAUGUGACAAAUAGGCUGCCUCCUUGGCCAGGUACACAGAAAUCUCCUUUUGAGAUUUUAUAUGGUGAAAAGCCAAAUGUGAAUUAUUUUCGAGUCUUCGAUUCUAUUUGUUAUGUACAUGUUCCGAAAUCGAAAAGAACUAAACUUGAUCCGAAAGCAAAAAAGUGUGUAUUUGUUGGCUAUGAUUCUUAUAGGAAGGGAUGGAGGUGUAUGGAUCCGGAUACAAAGAAGUUUACUACUUCGAGAGAUGUCGUGUUCGAUGAAGUAUCAUCUUUCUACUCCACUCAAAGAUUUGCUGCAGAAAAUAUUAUUCUUGAAGAUGAUGAUGAAAACUUGGAUGAGCUAUUUCCAAGAGUUAAUUUGCAACCAUUCAUUGAUGAUGAGUUGGAAAAUGAAUCUCCAACACCAACUCCAAGUCAAAAUGUUCAAUGACAUGAAGGUGGUUAGCAACAGAGUGAGGAGGUCUACUAGAGAAACGAGACAACCUGAGUAUCUCAGAGACUAUGAGGUGCAGCUUAAUCAUUGUAGUAUCACUUCUUGUUUCUUUGUUUGAGCGUUUGAUGAAGAACCAGUAAGUUAUGAGAAGCCAAAAGCCAUUCAAAAUGGGAGGCAGCCAUGAAAGAAGAAAUUGAAGCUUUAGACAAAAAUGAGACGUGGGAGUUGGUUCUUAAACCAGAAAAUUGUAAGCCGAUCACUUGUAAAUGGGUUUUUUGCGUGAAGAAAAAAUUAGAUGGCACCAUUGAUAGAUUUAAAGCUCGUCUGGUGGCUCGUGGUUUUUCUCAAAAUUAUGGAUUGGACUACGAGGAGACGUUUAGCCUAGUAGCAAAGAUGGUGACGGUGAGAUCGAUUAUUUUGCUUGCUGCGUUUAAAGGUUGGAGACUAUGGCAACUUGAUGUAAAGAAUGCUUUCUUUACGGAGAUUUAGAUCGUGAAGUAUUUAUGGAGCAACCUAUUGGCUUUGUCUCUAAGGAAUUUCAAAAUCGUGUUUGCCGUUUGAAGAAAGCGUUAUAUGGCCUUAAGCAAGCGCCACGAGCAUGGUAUGGUAAAGCUGCUCAAUAUCUCAUUUUUUGUGGCUUUAGAGUUUCUGAAUCAGAUUCUAGUUUAUUUAUAAAAUUGGAAUCAGGUGCACAUCUCUUGGUAUUAUUAUAUGUUGAUGAUAUGAUAAUAACUGGAGAUAAUGAAUCAGAAAUUUGUAAUUUGAGGAAUGACUUGUCUGUUCGUCUUGAGAUGAAAAUUUUGGGGGAGAUUGGAUGUUUUCUUGGUCUAGAAGUGGAAAAAUCAGAUCAAAGUUGUUAUAGCCCGAUUUUGGGUCUAGUCAGAACAGUGGUUUUGGGACCACAAAUUCAACAAAAAGAAAAUGGGUAAAAAAUAUUAUUAAUUUAGUAAGUAUAAGUUAAAUGUGAAGUUAGGAAAAUUUUUUAAAUACUGAAUAGUGCACUAGAAAUAAAUAUUAAAAUAAUUAGAAUCGAAAUGAGGUAUCAAGACCUCGGGGAUUUUAAACCGAGCCAUAAAUAUUUUUAUAAAUAUUUAUGGAGUGUUAAAAAGUUAGUAUUAAAGUUUCGUUAGGAAAUUUUAAAGUUCCGAUAAUUAAUUGAACAAAAAGGACUAAAUUGUAACAAAUGCAAAAUUUUGGGAAAUGAUUAAGUAGCUUAAAUGAUAAAAGGAAGAGGGCUUAAAAGGCAAAUAGACCCAAGGUUUAUUUGGGCUGGACGGCAAAGGCAUGAAAUCAGCAAGAAAGUAAGGAGAAUUAAGGGCAAAAUUGGAAUAUUGCAAAAUUUGCUUAAUAAAGUUAGGACCCAAGUGGAAUUAUCUAGAUUUCUCUUCAUUUUUCUGAAUUCUCAUCAGCAAAAACACCAUGGAAGGGCUUCUUCAAGCUGGUUCUUCAUAUUUUUACUACAAGUAAGUUCAAUUCUUGACUAUUUCUUGAAAUUUUUGUAUUUUUAUGACUUUUACAAUUAGGCUCACUUGUUAAAUUCAUUAGUUUUUGAUUUUAUGAAAGAAGUUGAAAGUUGAUAUGAAUAUGUGCUGGAAUUAUAUGAUGAUUUAGCAUGGAAUUAGAGCUUUAAAUUGUUCAUAUGCUGAUUUUAUUGAAAGAAUUGAAUAGAAAGUGAAUGUUUGGGACCUAAUAGUAAAAGAGUUUGAAGAUAGAAUUAUAUGUGGAAAUUCUGAAUUUCAAUAGUUGUGUAACAACUUAUAAUGUCUAGGUAAAGUAUUAAUUCAGAAAAUUGGAUUAAUUGAGGGGUUAAUUGAGAAAGGACCGAAUUGUAUAAACUGUAAAAUUUGGGGCAAAAUGGAAAUCAACAUUUUGCACUAAAGCAGUUUUGGACAGCAGCAGUAGUGUAACUUUGAAAAAUCACAAAAAAUUGUAGAGAUUGAAUUAGAGGAUGAAUAAAAUAUGAAAUUAAAUCUUAUUGAGUCUAGUUUCUUAUAAAAGAAACGGUGUGAGCAAUGAAAUUGUAAAUCAUGAGAUAUAAUAGAUUUUGUGAGACAAGGUCAGAAUGAAUUCGGGUUCCCCUGUUCUGACUUUGGAAAAUCAUUAAAAAUUUUACAAAAAUUAUUAUGAGUUAUAAUUUAUAUGGUUAGAAUCCUUAAUGAGUCUAUUUUUAUAAGAAACAAACAAAAACAGCAUCCGAAUUCUGUACAAUGAGAUAAUUAAUUUUUAGUGAAGAGUGGUCGGAACUGUCAGACAGCAAAACAGGGAAAAAUUUAAAGAAUAAACUGUACUAUUUGGCUAAACAAAAAAUUCUGAAAAUUUUAUGGAAAUAAUAUAUGUGAGUCUAGUUCCAGGUAAAAUUAACGGAUCUUAAUUUGGAGCUUUUUAGCUCCGGAUAAAAAUAAUUUAGUGACUCUAACUCAGACAGACAGCCUAAAUUUUUCAUACAAGAAAAUAGUGAAAGUAUGAAUAAUGUUGUUUAAAUGUGUUAUACACAUUAAGGAUGAGGAAUGGAGAGGAGGUGGAGGAAAAUUGGGAAAUAUAUGAAUGGUUUAUCAUGUUGUUAGUUCCAAAAAGAGUUAUGUUUCAAUACACUAGCUUGCAACUAUGGUUGAAUGAUAUGUUUAUAUCUUGUGUGAUGUGCAUAGGAAACAAGUGUGGAAAGAUAAUGAAAUAGUAAGUUCAUAUGGCUGAAAUUUAAUGGUUAAAUGUUAAUUCCAUGAAUUAUAUGAUGUAUGAUGAGAUAUUUUUAUUGUUGAAAUAAGAAUAAAAUAAAAGUGCGAAAGCUGAAUAAAUGAUCAAAUUGAGCGGAACGCCGGAUUUGAGUACUUCUGAUCAAGUGACAAAGUGAUAAGUGAUAGCUUUAGCUACACUUAUUUGAUCAAGAACAAGUGAUAAGCGGUGACAAAGUGAUAAGUGGUAGCAUUAGCUACACUUAUCUGAUCAAGUGAGAAAGUGAUAAGUGGUAGCAUUAGCUACACUUAUCUAAUCAAGUGAGAAAGUGAUAAGUGGUAGCCUUAGCUACACUUAUCUGAUCAAGUGACAAAGUGAUAAGUGGUAGCCUAGCUACACUUAUCUGAUCAGGGACAGGUGAUAAGUGAUCAUACGUAAGACCAUAGUUAUACUAUGGCAAAGUGAAAGUGAAGUACUCAAUUUUCCGUGACCGUUCCCUAAUUUGAUUAAGGAUGGUAAGUGACAAAUGAGCCCAAAAGAAUUAAAGUAAAUGGAUAAGUGGUAGUAUAUUUAUAUCAGGACGAUGUUGUUAUUCAAGCUAAAGUGAUAUUUUCAUUGCAAAAUUGAGAAUUUCAUAAAUGUGUUAUUGAAUGGUAUAAUCAAUAAACAUUGAGUUAAAUGGUAAAUACGUAAUAGUGUUGAACUUGAUGUCAUUGAAUUGUAUGUGAAUUAAAUGGAAAUUGCUAGUGAUAUGAUGUAAAUUGUGAGCAUGAGAAAUUGCGACUUGAAUGAAAUGGAAAUGAAGCAUUGAAUUGCAUGAGUAUGUAUCGGGUCUCAUAGGCCCUAAUUAUUAUGAUUAUAAUAUUUCGAGGAUAUAUUGUGAAAAGUUAUAGAAGCAUGUUAAUUAUUUUGAAAGUUUAAAUUUAUAUGAAAUUUUAUAACUCGGUUAAAUAUGCUUACAAGUGCAUAUGUUUUGGUGAUACCUCGUACCCUAUUUCGGCGUUGGAUACGGGUAAGGGGUGUUACAAGGUUACUUUGUUUCUCAAAAAGGCUAUGCAAGGAAUCUCUUGGAGCUUUUCGGUAUGGGGGAGUCGAAAGAAAAAGCUACUCCGAUGGAGCCGAAUUUGAAGUUGAAGAAAGAUGAUGGGAGGCCGUUGGAAGAUGCAAGGAAGUUUCGACAACUUGUUGGAAGCUUAAUCUAUUUGACCAUUACAAGGCCUGAAAUUUCAUACUCUGUUAGUGUUGUUUCUCAAUUUAUGCAAAAUCCAACAAUUAUUCAUAUGGAUGGAGCAAAGAGGAUUUUGCGUUAUGUUAAAGGAACUAUUGGUUAUGGUCUUCUAUACAAGAGAUGUGAUAGCUUUAUGUUGAGUGGAUUUACUGAUGCUGAUUGGGCUGGAGAUACAAACGAUCGUCACUCGACUUCGGGAUAUUGUUUCAGUAUCAAUUCAGCAAUGGUUUCUUGGUGUAGCAAAAAGCAAGGUGUUGUUGCUUUGUUGAGUAUCGAAGCCGAGUAUCUGGCAGCAACUAUGGCUGCACAAGAGUGCAUUUGGUUGAAGAGGUUGAUUGGAGACAUAUGCAAAGUUAAUUAUGCUGUAAAAAUCAAGUGUGAUAAUGAAAGUGCUAUUAAGCUUGCAUCGAACCCGGUUUUUCAUGCUCGAACGAAGCACAUCGAGGUUCGACAUCAUUUUGUUCGAGGAAAGGUUCUAAGUGAAGAGAUUGAGCUUGUAAACAUUCGCACCAACGAUCAAGUGGCUGAUAUUUUCACUAAGGCUUUGGUGAAGCCUAAGUUUCAUCAAUUUAGAGAUGCUCUUGGAGUUCUUGAUCGUAAGCAUGCACUAAGGGGGAGUGUUAAAAAUUAGUGCAUCUUACUAGAUUUUUUAAUUUACUUGUUUUCUUUAUCAAAUAAGUUGGUUCCUAUUUUAUAGGGAUAUGAUCAGAUUAUGUUUUGUUAGUUGAGAUUUUAGUGGGCUAUUAGUUGCAGGUUUUUUAGCUUUAACGUUACAUGUAGUUAAGCUAUUUAUAUGUCAUUUUAUCUAAUGUAAUUCUGUGUGUUUUUUUUUUAGUAAUCAAAAACAUUCUUCAAUACUUUGAGCUUUUCUUGUUAUUAUUUCUUUCAUUACCUCGGUCAUUCUUUUUUGUUUUACUCUCUACUAUCCAUUAUUAUCAAAAUUUCACAUCAAUUUCACAAUUUAUUUACUUUAGUUAUUAUGUACAAAAUUAACAACCAAACAUCACAAUUUAGUCAUUUUUCAUAAUUUAAGCUUAAAAUCUAUAAAUUUAACACCAAUUUCUUCAAGAAAUCAACCAUGAAAUCUAUAAAAAAAAUUUAACAGUUUUGCAAAUUGAUACAUAGGUUAUUUAAAUCAAACUCUCAUGACCUCAGAAACACAAAAAAAAUUAUACGAAAAUGAUUUAGAAAUGCAUACCAAUUGAGGACCGAAAGCUUGAAGCUCAAAAAUGGCUUUUCCCCUUGAGGUUUUAUGUUGAUUAGAUGAAGAAGAAGAAGAAAUAAAGAUGACAACUUGCACUAAGUCACCUUUAUAUACUUAGAUUAAAUCUUAAUUAAUCAAAUUUAAUUAAUUAAAUCUUAAUUAAUUAACCUUAAUCACAAUUAAUAAAAAUUGGUGGAUGUUAACAUCAUCCUACACUAUUUGAUAUAACCAAAUGAUCUAUUUACCAUUUUGAACCUUUAGCUAAUUAGAAAUCUAUAGCGAUAAGACUUUCAAAAUUUAGUCUCUGUAUCUUAAUUAAGCAAUUAAUAGACAAAGUUGAAGGUUUAAAUUUUAAUGUUCUAUUAUACCAACUCUGUAAAUAUUCAUAUUUAAUAUUUACAGACCUGAAUUACGAAAAUGAGAUUUUGAAAUUGUAUUUUCCAGUACCACUGAAAAUCGGACAAUUACGUAACCUAUUUGCACCAAUGGGCCAAACAUGGCAAAUACUUGACAUGUAUGUCUUAAUAUCCUCAUCUAUUCUCUUCAAUAUAAUAACAUCCAAUAAUUGUUCCAUCCACUGUAACUAUCACGAAGAUUAGAUUGACCAAUACAGCCUACAAUUUGAAGAAGCGCGAUAUUUUCAUUCUAGAGAAAGAUAUAAUUGAAACAAAAUUGAAAUAAAGAUUUCAAUACAGAAUCAACAGACAUUCCAGCUAAUACUUAUCAAUUAUUUGCAGCUUUAUUGCUCCAACUAAGAUGGUUUUUAGUCGAAUAUGGUAAAUGAAAUCAAUGAACACCAGCUACUUGAUGAACGAGUGAAUCAAAGUCCUGAUAUGUGCCGGCUUAUUGGUGAAAAAAUACAUGGGCUAGUUUUGCAGCAAUUCAUGAUCUUACAUUUUAUAACCUUUGCUUACAAUUAUUCACUGACUAAUCAUUCAAUGAAUGUAGGCCUCAAAUUUAGCCACUAAACUUUAUUCUUUAUUUUUAGAUACAUAUUAUUUGAUCACUUCAUACAGCCUAUUACUCAUAAUAACUUCCAAUUUCCCUUCUUUAGGUUAGUUGCAAAUGUACAGCUUUUUCUAGAAGAAGAAAAUUGUCAAGAGCCACCUGUUCAAGAGAGGCGCAAACAAAAUGUAAAAAUACCUGACCUACUUACGGUACAGCCAAGUAAUCAUGUCUUUCUAUGCUAGAUCAUUAAAUCAAUGACUACAAAUUUCAUGCCAUGGUCGUGUAUCAUUUAUGCCAUUGAUGCUGCUAUUUUCUAUUCUAAUGCAUAAUAGGGAUUUAGUGUUUUUACCGUUAAAAUUGUGUCCUUUAAUUUUGGCUCUUUUCAGUUGUUGAUCAUGUCCACCUAUGCUUUAUUUUACUACUAUUGCUUUCUGUAAUGAUAGAUGAUUGAAUCGGUAGAAUUUUAUUAAUCCUCAACAUGUUUUAUCUUGACAUAUGGAUCCUAAGCAUUCCUUGGAUUGUGCCCUUUUUGUUCAUUUAUUUUUUCUUGGAACCUUAUUACAUGUUGUACCACUCCAGCUUUUUGGAGACAAUGAAGACGACUAACUGCUGAAUUCUUUCUUCUGCAGAGGAACCAAUGGCACGAGACUCAAAAAAUCCUACUCUUUUUUAUACCUUCCUCACCUCUUUGUGACAUUAUAGCUGAAAAAUGAUGUAUGCUAAUACAUGAAAUGUUUCCUCUUGCCUUUCUUUUUGUAGUACUAAAACUACAAAUAGUGUUUGCAAAACUCUUUAGAGAAAAACAAAUGUCUGUAAAUCUCUUUACCCGUAAUCUUAUCUUUUCCUCAUUGUAAUAGUUGGAAAACUUUUUAUUUGAAAACGAUGUCAACUACUGGGAUAAGUUAUUGUAAGCAUCUUAAGUGUUUCAUAUUAAAAACAAACACUGUUAUUGUUUAUUUUGUAGUCUAAAUUAUGAUAAUUUCUGCACAAAAUUCACAUAAAUGGUUACCCUCCCGAAGCAGAGCGAGGGUGAUGCAUACUAGUUAUUAAGAAAACAGGACCUUGUAGGGCUUAACUGUUGAAUCAAGAAAGAAAUUUCUUUUAAUGCCUUCAAUUGUAACAUCCCGAUUUUGGGCCUAGUCGAAACAAUGGUUUCGGGACCACAAAUCCGAUGAGGAAAAUUUUAUUUUUACUAUAUUAUUAUGGCCUAUAAUUUCACGGAAAGAUUUCUUGAAAAUUUCGUUCAAAAAUUUUGACGUUAGGGCACUCAAUUUAGCCAAAAGGACUAAAUUGUAAAAAGUGCAAAAGUUGAGUUUUAUUGGUUAAAGGUACUUAAUUGCUAUGGAAUUAUAACUUAGGGGUCCUUAUAUGGUAAUUAGACCAUUAGUUAGUGAUGGACAAAAAUGAACAUAAGUGAAAUAGGAUUUUUUUUAUGUAAGGGUAUUUUAGUCAUUUAGUAAAUAAAUAGAAUUAAAAGGGAAAAAUAUGUAAAAAAAAUUGUGUUCAUCAUCUUUGCUAGGUGCCAAAAUUUGAAGGAAGCCAUAGCUAGGGUUUCUUCACUUUCUCAAGCUCAUAAUCGAGAAGAACGAAAUUUGGAGGUAGAUCGGGGAAAGAAAAAAAUUGAGGACUAAAGUGUUAGAUUUGAUCACAUUUUUGUACCGAGGUAAGUUUACAGUAAAUAAAUGCAAUAUUUCAAUAAUUAUUAUUAAUGCUGUAUUUUUUAGCAAUUAUGUAUUUAUUUCAUGAAUAUAUUUAAUGUUGACUCAAGUAUGAGAUGACAGAGAAUUAGUGACACAAGCCUCAUUGAAACACUAGGAAUGUAUUGGAUACAAAUGCCAUGACAUUUGGGUAAAGAGGUCCCAUGUAAGACCAUGUCUGGGACAUGGCAUUGGCACCGAGAUGAGAGGUCCCCCGUAAGACCAUGUCUGGGACAUGGCAUGGGCACCGAUAUGAGAACUCCCAUGUAAGACCAUAUUUGGGAUAUGGCAUUGGCAGUACAGGAAACAUCCCAUGUGAGACCAUGUCUGGGACAUGGCAUGGGCACCGAUAUGAGAACUCCCAUGUAAGACCAUAUCUAGGAUAUGGCAUUGGCAGUAUGGGAAACAUCCCAUGUGAGACCAUGUCUGGGACAUGGCUUUGGCAUGUUAUUAUCAGAUAUGAGACCCAAGUAUCCUUAUUAUUCCAAUGUGACUCAACGGGCUAGAAAACAGAUUAUGUUCUACGAAAGUUCAAGUAAAAGUAUAAUUAGCAACUUCAGGUGAGUUAUAAGAGUUAAGAACAUAUUAUGUUAUUAGUGAGAACCAAUAUUUUAGCAAGAGAAGAGUAAGUUGUAAUCUUAAGCUAUCUAAGUAGAUAAGUAAGUAAACAAGUAAAUGAGAGUCAGUAAAGAGAAAACUUAAGAACAUGAUACUUGUAUAUCAUUAUUUAUGUUAAAUGAUGUCAUUUAUUUAUUUGUAAACUUACUAAGCUUUAUGCUUACUUCUUUUAUUUCUUUUUCUUUCAUAUAGUAUUAUCAAGCAUAGUCGGGAUCUUGAAGACGUCGGAGAGUGUUCACACUAUCAACCACCACAACUCGGUAUUUUAAGACGAUAAAUAUUUUGGGCUAUGGCAUGUAUAGGGACUUGGUCAUUUCAAUUGUAUAUUCUUAAAAUAUGACCAAAAGAUGAUAUGUAAAUGCUUGAUGAUGAAUAGUUAUUAAAAUGGCUAAGUAUGAAGGUGUUUGUGGUUAUAAAUGUCUAGGUUAUAAAUUAUGCAUAGAAAUCAUGAAAGAGUAAAAAUUUGUAGUGAAUCAGUUUUGAGACAGCAGUAGUGACGUGAAUUUGAAAAAUCACCAAGGAUAGUAGAAAAUGAAUUAGAGAGUGGAUGAGAUAUAGAAUUAAAUCUUAUUGAGUCUAUUUUUAUAGAAAAAUAACAGUGUAGACAAAGAAAUGAUAUAUUCCGAGAUAUUUGCAUUUUAGUUAGACAAGGUCAAAGUUGUUUUCGGAAUCCCCUGUUCUGAAUUUGGAAAAUCAUUAAAAAUUGUAAAAAAAUAUUUAUGAGUUUUAAUUUAUAUGUAGAGAUUCCUUAUUGAGUCUAUUUUCUUUAGAAAGAAUUUAGAACACUAUAUGAAGUAUGUACAAUGAGAUAAUUUAAUUUUAGUGACAAGAGGUUAGGACAGUUGAUUAGUGAAACAGGGGAGACUUUAACUAAUAAACUGUACUAAUUGGCUAAACCAAAAAUUCUGAAAAGUUUACAGUAAAAAUUUAUAUGAGUCUAGUUUCAGGGAAAAUUUAUGGAUCUCAAUUUCAAGUUUCAUAGCUCGAGUUAUAAUUAAUUUAGUAACUAUUGUGCAAGUGAAUAGACUUACUAUGAACAGUGAAUUAACUUUUAAAACUAAAUUUUUAUGCCCCGAACUUUUAAGUUAGUCAAGUAACGCCUCAUGCUCGACUCCGGAAAUGGACUCGGUUAAGGGGUGUUACAUCAAUUUUUUUUAAAGCUGAUUUUUUUUUUUACGAAUUAAAGUUUUGAUUGUAUGUUAAUUGCUUGAGGGAAGGUCGGAUACUUUAUUAUCCCUAUUUUUAUUUGUUAUAUAUUUUAGCCAUAAUGAUUUUUUUGGCUCUACAACUUUACCAAAAAAAUCAUAUUAUCUUUCAUUUAAUUUUCAUCUCUUUUAACCCUUUAACUUGUAUUUUUUUAUCAAAUCACCCCAAAAUGGAUCGAAAACUUAACAUUUGUAAACUUUGAUGAUGUGGCAUACACAUUAAUUGUCACAUGGAUGACAAGUCAACAUUUUUUAAAAAAAACUUAAAAAUAUUAAAGAAAAUAUUUUUGAUAUUUUUAAUGAUUUUUUUAAUUAAAAAAGUUUUUAUAUAUUUUUAAUUUUUAAAAAUUAAUUAAACACAAACAUAGAAAUUCGCAUCUAUGUGUCACAGGCCACAAAUUAAAGCCUGCGACCAUUUCGCAUAGAACACCCCAUAGAGGUCAAUUUAUUAAACGUGGUUCAUUUGACCCGCAUGAACUGGCUCGAAUCGUGGAACCCGUAGAGAAACCCAUCUACUUUAAGCCUUGGUGGUCUAGUGAAAUACUCCAAUAAAACUAGAGUUACUAGGGUAAAUAAUGUAAAUCUUAAAUGGAUAAGAUUGUAUAGAGUUUAAAUUCCUUAUAACUCUCAAUUGUAGAUAAGCGGUAACAUUAAUCAUCGAUGUAACUCAAUCUGUAUCGUUGCUUCUAGGAAGCUCAACUAUAACUAGAGGUCUCCCUCUUCAUUUGUAAUCAUUCCAUUCAUAGUUGUGAAUAUAUUUGAGAGCAUUUACUCAAACACCUUGUGUGCAUUGCUUUUCUUUGGCUAUUCUGCUCUUUCGAGCUUCUGUCUUUGAGUGUCACAUCCCAAAAUUGGGCCUAGAAGAAAUAGGGGGAAAAUUGAGUUUUAAUUUUUUUUUAACAUAGGGUAAGGGAAGUAGAAUGCCUUAAAAUUAAUUUUUUGCUAUAAAUCUAAUAAGAAUGAGUUUGUUGGUUUAGUGCUAAGGUCAUAGCCUACCUAUAGGUUCCAAGUUUGAACCCCUUGGUGAGCAUUCAACCAAAAUAUUUUUAUUUUCUUGUUUUUACCGCACCAAAAGUGACGAAUUUUAAAAUAACCCAGCCCAAAAACUAUAUUUUUUUAAAAUUUAGUCCUUAAUUUAAAAUUUUUCCCAAACCUACAUAAAUUUUUAAAACCUAUUCCAAUUAGGAAAGAUAAGUAUUAUAAAUAAACAAUUUCAAAACAAACCCUAGAAUUUCAUCUAGCAAUUUUUCGAGAAAACAUCCAUAAACACUUUAUUUUCCAAAUCAAACUUUCAAGCGAAAGGAAUCGAAAUCUUCAAAAUCAUCCCUCAAGUAGAUCUUCAAUCUCUUCUCCAACACUAAGGUUUUAAGUCUUCAAAAUAGGUGUGGGAACUAAACCUAAAUCUUUGUGUAUAAUUGAAUCUAAUAGCAUGUAGAGAACCAGUAUUGGCGAACCCUAGGAAAACCCCCCUGUAUGUGCGAUCAUGUAGGUGCGAGCCUGUAGAUGCGAAACCCCUUACACAUGAAAACCCCAUGCAUGCGAACCCUUACGUGAAACCCCCCCUUUCAUGCGAACCCUGUAUGAAUACCAUGCAAACCCUAGGUUGUUAUGUGGAUACUCAUACUGUGAACACAUGUGCACAAACAUAUAGGAAUAUUCAUGUGAACCCUACUAUUAGAUGCGAACCCCCUUAUACGUGAAAACCCCCUUGCAUGCGAACCCUAGUUAGUAUACAUACGAGUCUCAUAUUUACAUGCGAACCACUACUAGUGCGAGUCAAUUAUAUGAUACCACAUGCGAACCCUACUAUUACAUGCAAACCUUUAUACAUGUUAUAUUCUAACUUUUUUUGUUAAAAUAGGUGAGACUUGUCUAGUAUUACAGACGACCCUACAUAUACCUAAUUUGCGAACUCAUAUGUUAAAAGUAUGCAAAACUAUCUAUGUUUGUUAUGUGAACUCACAUGUUAGCAGUAUGUGAACCUAUAUAUAUCAGUUAUGCCAACUCACAUGUUAGCAGUAUAUGAACCCAUAUGUCUGUUAUGCAAACUCACACGUUGGCAAUAUGUGAACCCUAUAUACACCUUUAUGCAAACUCACACAUUAACAGUAUGCGAACCCUAUAUACGCCUUUGUUGAUGUUAGUUCCCAUGCAUCUUGUGGUGCAGCAAUCGUGGCCAUGCAGGUCACAUGGAGAAAAGAAGCAGCACAUGAAGGCAGUAACUGGAGCUUGUGGAUGCUGUCCAAAUUCAACUUAUUUUGUUGGUUUGAUUUUAUAGUUUGUAACUUAGUUCUUUUGGAACUUUCUUGGUAAAACUUUCGAUGUAUUUUUUAUGUUGAUUGACUGAAAAUUCAGCAAAGCAACUUAUGCAAGCUAGUUUAGCAAUUUUCAAUGUAUUAAGUGGUGUUAGGUAAGUGUUUAGGUAGUAUUUUGACUUGUAAGCUUAACUCAUGUUUGAUAUAUGUAAUGGCAACUUGCCAAUGCCUUGUUAAUGAAAAAAUUCAGCUUGUUUUCAAUUUCUGUUCUUAAAAACAAAAAGGUUUCUACUUUGUUUCUUCUCCAAGUCACGAGGCUUGCUGACAAAGCAAAGCUAAAUCAGCUUGCUCACUGCCUUUGACUCCAACAGCCUUUAUACAAACUCACACGUUAGCAGUAUGCGAUCCUUAUAUACGCCUUCAUGCAAACUCAUACGAUUAGCAGCAUGUGAUCCCUAUAUUUAUGCGAACCCUUCUAAUAACAAAUAUGCGAACCUUAACUUGCGAACCCUAGGCAGGAACCCUACACUCGCAAAGCCUUCUUCUGAACCUGUACAUAUGCUAGAUAACCAAGCCUAUUAGUUUACGUUAAAUCACUGUACAUAUGAGAUUGUUUGUUUACUUGCACAAAUUAUAUGUGUAUUUACUAUUCGAUACAAGAGUACCUAUCGACCUUUUGAUGAGAAUUCAGAGAUUAAUGAUGAUAAUUCCAACAAUCGGUGGAAGAACAAGUUAAAUCGAGAAUUGGUGUAAUUUAAGGUAAUAAAGAUUAAAUUUUCAGUAAUAAAUAUAAAAUUGUUAUGGAAAGAAAUGAUGGGUAAAAAAAUGAGAGUUUUAAACAGAAGAGAGGAAAACUUCAAUUUAGGGUUGAAGAGGAACUAAAAAUCCAUGUGAAAUUAGGAAAAAAAUAUUAAAUACCUAGGAUUAAAAAAUUUGAGGGGGCUGAAUGGUAAAAUACCCUUUUUGCUUAAAAAUGAAAAGAAAUGGAAAUGGGGAUUGAGUUUGGCAUGACUUGAACCUUGGAAGCAAAGGAAAAAAUUGCAAAGGCCAUACCAUUUGGGUUGCUACCUACAUUUGGCAUAUUUUUACACUAUUUAAUAUAUAUCCUAGCUUAGUUUUGAUCAUAGGUUGUUGAAAAAAAAACAAGGGGUAAGAGUGUGGCUUCAACCUUAGUUCUCUAGUUAGUAUACUAAGCUCUUAACCAUUAAGAUUAAGGCUCAUCUCUUAGUCAAUUAAUUCAUCUAACUCUAUAUAUUUUGGUGUGUUACAUCUUGAAUUAAAAAAACCCAUAAAAUGCAUGUAGACUUGUAUUGCUUGGUACUUGGUAGUAUAUAUGUAGACUUGUAUGUUGAUUAAGCCACCUUAAUUAAGACCAAUGUGUUAGACUUGUCUAUGCAUUGAACAAUUUAGAAGAAAAUGAAGAAAAAGACUCUAAAAGCACUUGAAAACAGAUAAAACUCAUAUGUCAUUGACUAGUUAAAUGUGGUCACCCAUAAUAGACCCUGUAUUUGACUUUUUGUUGAGGGAGAUUGACUCCUUUGGGAGAAGUCUCCUGAGUGUUGUUUGUCAAGCAGUCAGGGUUGUCCUAAACAACUAAAGGUAUUGUCCCCAUGUCGAGAUUUUAUCCCUAGCCUCUGCAAAAUAAUCAUGGAGAAUAUGUGCGAGAGAAUUCAAACACCAACCAAUGCAUGUGUAGCCUUUACCUUGCCACCAUCUUUGGGAACCCAUAAGGAUAAAAUCCCAACGAGAGAAUAGUAUCAUCUAUUGAGGGGUCUGUCAACCCAAUAAAUGAAAUUUAAAUGCAUACUUUUUUUUUAAUGAAAGUAAAUAUCAUAUUUAAUUAGAGAAAAGCAAUGAAAAAUCCAACAAUAAAAUCCUUAGCAAAAGAUUAAAACACAAUUGUACCAUAAAUUAAAUAAGAAACUAAAAAAAUUCAAAUCUAACGAAGACAAUAACUUGAUUCCUCAAAGCCACCAUAAACAGUAAUUCAUACGAAGGCCUGUUGCUCAUUUUAUAGGUUUCCAUUUUGAUUUUGCAAAAGAAGUUUGAAUUCCGAAGCGAGCCUAGUACAUGAGAGAAAAUUGUCGAAACCGUCUUUUUGAAAACAAAAAUUUAGUUGUCGACUUUAAAAAUAAAACUGGAGUCGCCACCGAUCCUUUAUUAGGGUGUGAUCGGCUCACCUUAAAAAUUAUUUUGGUCUACGAGCUUUAAGAAAACGAGUCCGGGAGUAAGUUACGCAUGAGGAAGGGUUAGCACCCUCGUAACGCCCAAAAUCGGUACCAAAUCGAUUAUUUAAUGUCUUAGUGUCGUGGACUAAAAAGAAGUUAAAAAAACCAAAUGAUGAAAUCAGAAAAGGAUAAUCAAUUGUUCAAGACAUGUAAAGAAAUCGAGUCCCAAUACGUUAGGGUACAAUUUCUCAAAAUUCCCGAACUUUGAAUAUCGCUUUUAUUUUAUGCGAAAACAUUCAUUGUGAGAAAGUAACAUGCCACACCCAAUACGUUAGGACACGACAAGUUAAGUUCCAAAAAAUGAUUUUUAUACUCAUGCAUUUUGAAUAAAAAAUAUUCUCGAUUAUUUAAAAUUAACAAAGAAAAUCGGAACCCAAUACGUUAGGGCUCAAUUUUCUCAGAAUUCCAAAUACCGAAUUGUGCCUUUUAUUCGAAAAUUCUUAUUUCGAGAAGUCAAAAUAUCAUGACCAGUAAGUUAGGACUUGACAUUUUUUGAUUCCCGAGAACAAGCUUCUAUUUGAAAUUUGCAUGAAUUUAUUUCAAAAUAAAUACCUGGUUUUCUAAAUUCACCAAGAAAUAAUCGCAAUCCAGUAAGUUAGGAUACUGUUUUUCUCGAGAAUCAUGAAUGCCAAAUAUUUUGGAAUUUUAUAAAAUAUGAUGAUUUUAAUGCUUUGACAGAACCAAAAUAUAUUUUCUUUAAAAAGUGUAGAAAAAUACUAAUGUAUCACAUAAAAUCAAUAUUUUAAUUUUAAAUUAUAUGCAUAUAUGUAUUUUCAAAAUAUAAGUAUGAUACAUAAAUAAAUUUUGAAAAUAUAAGUAUGAUACAUAAAUAAAUUUUGAAAACAUGUAUAUGCACAUAUUAAAACAAGUAUAUAUAAGUAUACACAUAUAAAAUAAAAUAAUGAAUGAGAUAUGUAUAUCAAAAUAAAAAUUAUCAAAAUUUCUACAAAAAAAAAUCAUGUAUGUAUAUACGUAAUGAAAAUUGUAAAAAUAAAAAUAAAAAAUAUGCAGAUGUGUAUAUAUUUACAAAAAAAAAUUUAAGUAUACAUGCUUUAGUAAAACAGAAAUAAUAAUAGUAUAUGAAGAAAUUAGGAAAAUGUGUAUAUAGAUGUACAUAUAUAAAAAAAAUGCAAAAAUAUAUUUACAAUAAUUUUGAAGGGCGUACGUGUAUAUCAAUAUCUAUUUAUGCAUAUAUAUUAUAAAAUAUGAAAGAAUAUAUAACUAUAAUAGAAAUAUAAAUGUAUAUACGUAUAUAUGUAUAUAAAAGCUAAAAAAGAAAUAAUAACAAUAUAUAUAUAUAUAAAUAUGUAUAUGUAUUAGAGAAAUAUUUAAUAUAUAUAUCUAUUAGCAUACAUAUGCGUAUGUAUGUAAGUAUAAUUAUAAUACUAUAUAAUAUAAUAAUAAUAAUAAUAGUAAUAAUAAUAAUAAUAAUAAUAACAAAAACUACAAAAAAAACCUUAAAAAGCACCAUUAAGGAUUAAACUGAGAGCUAAACGAAGUUAAAAGGCCAAAUUUAAAAAUAGAAAACACCAGGAAGGACAAAGUGAUACGCGCGCCAUGAGAGGAGGACUUAAAAAACAAUUUUCCCAAGUCGCUGAAGCACUGUGCAGUGACAUGGAUUAAAUCGUCACGCGAGCAAAAUAUUUGGGCCGAAUUUAAAAAGGAAAAAAAACUUGAUUGAAACACGUAGCAAAAGGGGAAGGGCUAAAAUAUAUAACAAAAAAACACAAAAAGUCAAUCUGGUAAAUCGAUGUUGGGUACUCUAAUUUUAGGAUUCAGAAGGCUUAAGAGUGUUUUCGCAUCAAAAUCGUACUAGGUGUGUCCCCAAAACACAAAAAGUCAGGUUUCGAUAAAAGCCGAAAAUGCAUCCAGUCGAUGCCACACGGACGUGUGCCUGGUCGUGUGGCUAGCCGUGUGUGAGACACGACCUUGUGGUGGUGUGAGUGUAGCGGUAUGGGCCACACGGGCUAGGCCAGUCUGGGCAUAUAGGCCCACAAUUUUAAAAUUUUCCUUAAGGCCACAUGGUUCGUUUCGAAUGAUUGUGGACCUACCAUAGGGUCGGUAAUGGCUAAUCAAACACUAAAUUAUGUGAUAUGAUAUUUUGAUAGUCUGCAUUGUGUAGGAUAUCGAUAUGUACAUCUGUUCUAUUUAAGUAUAUAUAUGCUAUCUGUAUAUGAGCAUGUUAUGCAUAAUAUUACUGUAUCUAUUAUUUCUAUAUUCUGUAUCUGUGAUUGUGGUGGGUUUUGUAUAUGUAGAGGAAGUGAUCUGUAUGGUGACACUUCCCUUAUAUUCUGGCAGUUGAUUGUAUAUUAUCUGUAAUGUGUUGUAUUGACACUAUAUGGUGUGUAGGGAUGGGUAGGUGUUUUAAACCUCAUAUGGUGUGAUGGGAUGGCCGAAGAUGUUGUGUAGAGGAUGGGGGUAAGAUUCUACAUAUCUGUACUACUUAUCUCAUUCUGUUAUCUAGAUUUGGAAUGGAUAUAAGUCCGAAUCUGGAUCUGACUGUAUAUAAGACUUCUGUUUGUAUUGCAUGUCUAUUUUUGUUGGGUUACACACUGAGUUUAUGAAAGCUCACAUAUGUUUGUCUGUUCUAUUCAGGUCUAUAGACUUAGGCGAAUCAGUGUGACGGAGCCUCACAGUGACCACGAGAUCGUAAACUGUUUAAGAUUAUGGUUUUUAUUUAAUUUAAGGAUUAUUUCUAGAAGUUUGUAAUAAUUGGACUUUCUAGACUAUUUGACUUUUAUUUCAAUUUUGGAGGCAUUUUAACUUUUAUGGCCACGUUUGACCAAAAUCACGGUUUUACUAAAAUAAAGGAUUUUCUAAAUACAUGAAUUAGAUUUCCAAGAUUCAAUGCUUUUUGAAAACUUCGACCUUAGAUUAUGUAUUGGAAAAUUAAUUAAUUAAAUAACGCUUCUAGUAACAAAUAGUACACUUGGGGUAUUUAUCAAAUGACUAAAUAAAGCUUUAUCAAAAUAUCACUGUUUUCAAAACCAUUCCAUGUAACACUCUUGGAUUCAGCCACAAUGUCUAGGCCGAGAUUAGGGUGUUACAUUUAAUGCUAUCAGAGCCAGGUUGCAAAACUCAAGCUAUGAAUUUUGGGUUUCAAAAAUUAUAUUUUGAAAAAGAACAGGUUUUCAAAUAAUUUGGAUCAUUCUGAGUAAGUAUGUGGUACACUGAGUCUAUGGUAUUGAUCCUGUAAGUACUUUUGAAAUUAGAUAGAACUUUCUGAAAACAUUGUAGUUAGUACUUUCUAAAACUAUACUGAAUUAGUUAAAAAUAGAAACCUCUGAAAUAUGUUCAAACUUCUGCUAAUUUGAGCAUAAAAUAUCUGUUAAUAAAGAUUGGAACUGAUGCAUAAAAUUUUGUAAUGUAGAUAAAUUUGAAAAUAUACGAUGAGCAAUUGUGGAACUCACGGUCAUGGUAUUCGUGGGCGCGUAGGGUCGUAGGGGGCUGGAGCUGAGUCUUUUUCUCUGGGCAGUAUGCCAAACUUAGAUAUGAGUGAGACACCGGUUUCACCUGCCAUUGAGACAAGGUCUCAAAGUCGCUUGGCUAGGGACGACGCACUGUCUCAAGCCAUGUUGAGGGUUUUGGAGAGGGUCACUAGACCUCAUUCUGGAUCUGUGGGUCGAUAACUGAACGACUCCGAUCCAAUAGAGCUGAGCUGUUUAGGUGUGUCAUUGGAGUCACCCCUACUGUGGCCGAGUAUUGGUUGGAGGCCACUGAGAGGAUUAUGAACGACAUUGACUGUACUCCUAAGUAGAAACUUAAGGGUGCAGUCACUUUACUUUGUGAUGAGGCAUAUCAAUGGUGGUUGUCGAUUGAGGAGGGUACUCAACGGGACUGUCUGAACUGGGAUUAUUUUAAGACUACCUUCUAGGGGAAGUAUGUGGGUGCGAGCUAUGUUGAUGCUUGUAGGCGUGAGUUCAUGAAUCUCACGUAAUGUGAUAAAUCUGUGGCUGAGUACGAGGUUGAGUUUCUGAGGUUGAGCCGCUACGCUUGAGGCAUAGUGGCGACUGAAUAUGAGAAAUGCAUAUGUUUUAAGGAUGGCUUGAGGUAUAAUCUGAGGGUAUUGAUUGCUCCACAGAGGGAGCGAGAGUUUUCAGUUCUUGUGGAUAUGGUGAAGAUCGCCAAGGAGAUUAAAUGCAUAGAGCGCUAAAAUAGGGAUCAUGAGUGAGGCAAGAAUAAGAGGGAUUCAGAGCCCUCUAGUUCUGUUUAGAGGCCUAAGAAACAGGUCAGACCUGAUUGGCUUGUUAGAGUAGGGGUUCCUAUUGCUUCUACUAGGAUUUAGCCAUGUGGUGAUUGUUUUAGGCGCCAUUCAGGUGAGUGUUGGAGGAGGUUAGAGGCUUGCCUGAGGUGUUGGUAUUUGGAGCACCACAUUAGAGAAUGUCCACUCCAUACGGAUUAGAUGCAAGCUUCAGGACUGAGUUUUAUAUAACCUCAGAGGGCAGUUCAACAGCCACCUAGGGGCCGUGGUCCGACUAGGGGUGGUAAUGGUAUGGGCCGAGGACAAAGAGCACUGGGAAAAGGUGUUAGUCAAACUGAGGCAAGGCAGCCUGCACUGGUUUAUGUUGCUUGAUGCCAAGAGGAUAGAGACGCUCUUGAUGUGAUCACAGGUACGUUCUUUAUUUUUGGUGUUCCAUAUACUACUCUGAUAGACAUAGGUUCUACUCAUUCCUAUGUAGGUAGUACUAUUUCCAAAAAUUUAUUGAUUUCUGGUGAGGGUACUUCUAGUGAAAUUAUUGUACUGAGUCCGUUGGGGCAGUCUGUUCGAGUAAGUAGACUUUAUAGGAAUGUACAUUUGGAAGUACAAGGGAUUGUGUUUUUGGCAGAUCUGGUAAGGGUAGUUCUAGUGAAAUUAUUAUACUGAGUCCUUUGGGGCAUUCUGUUCGAGUAAGUAGACUUUAUAGGAAUGUACCUUUGGAAGUACAAGGGAUUGUGUUUUCAGCGUUUUAUUCACAUAAAAGCAGCAAAAUUUAGCGGCGUUGUCUACAGCGGCAUUUUUUACGGUGCUUGUGAAAGCGCCGCUAUAGGCCUAAAAACACCGCUAAAAGCUUGUUUUGCUGCAGUGAAUUAAUAUUAUUAUAAGUGUAUUUUCACCUUUUCAUACUUUUAUAUAAUCUUUAAGUAAAACGAUUGAAAAUUAUUAUUUGAGAAUCAAACACAAGAGUAACAAUAUUCAUAUAGAAAACGCUUACCACUCCACUAAUAAUCAUUUGUUGAUGUAUUUUUGGUAAAAAGACCCCUCCAAUCCCUCUUAAUUUCACAAUUGCUCAAAUUAGUCCCUCUCAUAAAAAUUGGAGCAAUUUAAUCCCUAUCAAUUUUGAAAGUGAGUAACUAAGGACAAUUAAUUAUGGUGUUAAAUUCUUCCAUCAAUUGUACAUAAUUUUGAUUGGUAUAAGAAUAAAUUUAGCCUUCAAUGUUUAUAUAUUUUGUCAUUUUGGCCAUAAUUUAAAAAAAAUUCAAGAAAUUGAACCUCAACAUUUACAUAUUUACACAAACGUUGCGGGAAAAUUUUGUUAAAUUAAGACCAAAUUGCAAGUGUAAGUUUUGAGGGCUAAAUUUAUUAUUAUACCAACCAAAAUCAUGUACAUUUUAUGGGAAAUUAACAUCCUAAUUAAUUAUUCUUAGUUACUCACUUUCAAAAUUAAUAGGGACUAAAUUACUCUGAUUUUUUUAGGGUGACCAAUUUCCUCAAUUUGGAAUUUGAGAGAGACUAUUGAGAUCUUUUACAUAUUUUUUUAUAAAUAUAUAUAUUUAAUAUAAAAUAUAUUUGUUCACACACAUCGUGAGUAUGAUAAAAUAUUUUUAUUGUUAAUUAGUUGGUGUCAAAAAUUAACUCGACGCCAACUCAAUAUUAAUGAUAACAAUAUGAUAAAUAAUUGAUUUAUUUAAUAUUCUUAAUUUAACAUAUUGAUAUAAAUUUUAAGACAUGCUUGUCUUGAAGAAUUGUGAUUAUACUUUUCGAGUAUUGACUCAGUUUUCCACAAUUGUGGGUCUCUAUUUAAGACAAACAAUUUCAACAUUUCUUCAUAUUGUUUAAUCCAAAUGCAUUAAGGAUUUUCUUAUAUCAUUGUUUCAAAAAUGAUAAAAAAAAACAACGUCGACAUUGAAUUUGCUGUUUCACAUUCAAUUUUUGGAGAAGUAGAAUCUUCUAACUUAUUUUCCAUCAACUUCACUUCAAUUUUCAAUCACAAUCAAUUGCAUUCAAGAGCACCACAUAUUUUUUGGAUGAAACAAACCUAUCAAUUUUAAGAUAAACGGGUCUUUAGGGUUAUUAAUUGAGGGCCUUUUCCACAAUUGUCAUCGUUAAGCAUUUUUCAAUCUUGUCUACUGUGAAUAUCGUUUUUAAGCAUUUUUCAUUGAAAUAACGAUUAAUAGACAAAUAAUAUUCAAGUAAAACAAUUUUUGUAUAUUGGUUUGAAAGGUUUUCUAAAUAGUACAAGGACCUGAAACAGAACCACUGGACAAAGCUAACCAAAUCUAAGAGUUGGAAAUAUUUGGGAAUGAAUAGUUUAAAUUGUGAUUAUUUCUUCGGGUUCCUGUCAAAGAUAUCAGCUGAGCAAGAAGGCAGGGUAAUGUGCCAAUGAUAGAACCUUGAUGAACAACGAGCAAAUGUCAACCUAAGCAUUAAAAGGGGAUCAUUCUCAAAAAAUGACAUUCUACAUGUAACGCCCCAAAAUUUUAAUUUUGGGUAUUGUGAAUGUAUGACACAAAUAUCUGUCUGCUUUAGUGGUUAUGUGUUUUGGGUGUGUUUGGGAGGUCUCAAGUUCAAGUCAAUACUUGGGCAAAUUUUGGUAAUUUUAUGAAUAAGCCCUAUCUCUGGUUAUAGGCUUUUAAGUAAAAGUUGGCAAAUAAUUAAUAGAAUGGGUCUGUUGGUCUAGUGGUUAAGUGGAGUGUUGGUGUGAAGAAGGUCAUGGGUUCAAAUCUUUGGGACGGCAAGGUAAGUCGUUUUACUCUCCAUCUUUCUGACGUUUUCUCUCCCCCAUGUCUGCCGAAUUUUUUUUCUUUCUUCUUUACUUGUUACUCGGUUAUCUUUUCUUUUCUUUCCUCUACUACUGUCGAAAUUCCCUUGUUUCCCCUAAACCAUUCUUUCCUCUUGAUUUCGUAGCUUUAAGCAGCACUUGUUCAAAUUUAGUAAGUUGUUGGGUAUCAUUUUAAGAUAUUAUUUUGUAUUCAAUAGUCUAAUUUUGGGGUGUUGACAGUAGCAUUUCACGAGGAUUAAGGCUCUCCUCGUGAUUUUUGCAACGUACCGAUUUUAAGUUUUGCGGUAAGUGUUCAUCAUUUUAUGGGUAAGUAUUUUGGUUUCGGGAUUUUAAUUACUCACAAGGUAAGACUGAUUAUGGUGUUAUUUGCUCAAUUAUACGCUUAGGAGUGCUCGGGGACUAUUUUAGCAUCAAACAAAACCAAGUGUGCACCCGAAUCGCAAAAAUAAGGGAUUCGGCGAAAAGCCGAAAUUGCUUGCUGUUUGGACAGCAGCAGUAGGCUAACUUUGAAAAAUCAGCAUAAAUUGUGGAAAUCGAAUUAGAGGAUGAAAAAAAUAUGAGAUUAAAGCUUAUUGAGCCUAGUUUCUCAUAGAAGAAACGGUGUAAGUAAUGAAAUUGUAAAUCGUGAGUUAUAAUAGACUUAGUGAGACAAGGUCAGAAUGAAUUUGGGUUCCCCUGUUUUGACUUUGGAAAAUUAUCAAAAAUUGGAGAAAAAUAAUUAGGGGUUAAAUUUUACAUGCUUAAACUAUUAAUGAGUCUAUUUUCAAUAGAAACAAAUGAAAAUGUCAUCCAAAUUUUGUACUAAGAGAUAACUCAUUUUUAGCAAAGAAGAGUCAAAGUUGUCAGACAACAGAAAAGGGAUAAGUUUAAAUAUUUUACUGUACUUAUUAGCUGAACCAAAAAUUUUGGAAAUUUAUGGUAGAAAGUUAAUUGAGUCUAGUUUCAAAGACAUCAAACGGAUCUUAAUUCGGAAUUCUGUAGCUCAAGAUAUAAAUUUAUGUUUAUCUUAUUAUCUUUCUUAUUUUAGAAUUGAUUACAUGAAAGUUAAUUGCUAAUAUUAUUAGUUAAUUAUUAGUUUUCUUCAAAUCAAAUUAAACCCCGAAAGGUAUCUCUUUUUUUAUAUUAGUUUUAGUUAUCCAUUAAAUUUGUUUCUUUGUAGUAAAAUUAAAUUAUAGAAAUAACAUUAAAAUUUUAAAUAAAAAUAAUUCACAAUAAUUUAUUAUUUAAAAAACGCCCUGAAAUUUAAAAUUAUUGCUAUAAAUAUAUCAUUAAAUUAUACAGAAUUUAAUUUUUCUUUCAAAUACUAAAGUUAAUAAGGAAAGAGAAUAUAGUACAUAUCAAUAAAACUAUUAAAAAAGAAAUAUUGUUUAAAAUCAAUAGCGUCUAAAAAUUGUCAGAAUGAAAUAUUUGAUUUUAUAAGAUUUCAUUACUCUAAAAAAAUAAAAUAUGACAAUGCUUAAAAAUUUUAUUAAAAAAAGUUUUAAAUUUUAUAUAAAAUUUUAAAAAAUAAAAAAUAGUACUAAAAAUUUUUAUAAGCAAAUUUAAAUAUUAAUUAGUAAAUUUUUUUGUAAUAUUUAUAUGUAUUUUCAUUUUUAUAAAUACUAUUAAAACUUUUUAAAAAAAAAUUGAAUGCUAUUUAAAAACAUUAUUAAAAAAUAAAAUAUUAUAUGAAAGUUAAAAUGACCUAAAAACAUAUUUUAAAAAUUUAAAUACUUUAUACAAUAUUUAAAACUGCUUAAAAUUUCUAAACCCUAAAAAAUAAAUAAAAUAUAAUUUUUUUCUAAGAAAUCAAUAAAAAUAUAUUUAUAAUUGAACUGUCAACAAAAUUGUGGGAAAUAUUUAAAUUUUAUGAAAUUUUAAACUUAAACUGUCAAUAAUAGAAAAUUGCCUGAGUGACUUGGGAUAAGAGGUUCAACAUUUCUGGAUCGCAUUGCAUUUAAGGCGGGUCUUUAGGGUUAUGCUUUAGUUUUUUAGAACAUUUUCCACAAUUUGCCAUCAUUACUUGUGAGUGAUUUGUGGGGUAAGAGGUUGAACACUUCUGGAUCACAUUGCAUUUAAGACUGGUAUCAUUCAUAAAUUAUAUAUCUACAACAAGAAUGGUAGCCUCUUAUAUUAUAUUCAUGUAUCUAUUUUGCAUCUUUCAUUAUAAUAUGAUUUAGUAAUUUUAAUAUUUUUAUAGAAUAAUAUGCUUUAAUUUUUUUUGUAUCAUUCAUAAAAAUUAUAAUAAACUUACAAAAUGAUUUAAUGAUAUUUAAUUAUUAACGGAAAAAAUUUAUAUCAUAUAUAUUCUGUAUAUAUUAAGAUUUUGAAUGAUUAAUUAUAUAUCUACAUAUUAUAAUAAAUUCAUCUUUCAAAAUUUUCCUAAACUAUAUUCAUAAUAUUAUAAAUAUAUUAUAUCAUAAAUAUUCUUUCAAAUGUUUUUUAAUGUUUAAUAAUAAGUUAAUUUAUAAAAUAUUCUUUCAAUAAAUUAACGUGAUGAGAUCGUUAGGUGCUUGGAUUUGGUGACGGGGACGAGGAGAAAAGGGAUGGAAGUGAAGAGAAAUGUUGGGAAAUUGAAAGGGUUAGCAAGGGAGGCCUCCGUGAAAGGUGGUUCUAUAGAUGUGAACCUUCAAGCUUUUGUGGAUGAUGUUGCUCAAGGUUGUUGCAAGUAAAUUUAAAAAUAUUUUUUUAAUUAUUUUUUGUUAAAAAAUAUUUUUUUCUAUGUAGCAUGCCACAUUAGCAUACUACCAUGUGGUAACUUCUAGUGAUUUUCGUAUGUAACAUUAGACAAAUUAAUCGUUAAAUCGUUCAACUGACAGAUUUCGUUAAAGGAAGAGGUCAAUUGAUUUUUUUGGAAUCAUUGAGUACUCAAUUGGUGCACUAUUUUCAUAAAGACUAAAUUAAUUUUUUUAAUUUGUUAUCGCUGAGGGCUACAGUAAUAAAAAAUUUUGAGGUAAAAUUAGAAUAACGUCCCAAAAAUCUUAUAUUUAAUUUGUAAAAUUUUACCAUUAAUAAGUAUUUGUUUUAGUGGUUAAGUAUUUGAGUCGUGUUUAUAAUAUCUUGGAUUCAAGUCCCUACGUGAAUGGAUUGUUUUUUUUGUUUUUAAUUUUUGCAUGGGUCGGGUAGGUGGUUGAGUUUGAGUCCAUUUCGAACUUUGGAAAAAGGUGGUUAGUUAUCUGAGAUGGGUUAGUGUUAGUAGAUUUGGAUUUGGUUUAUUUUAAAAUUUAUUAAUUAAUUUGUUAAAAAAUUAAAUUAGUUUUUUCCUAAUUUUUGGCUCACCAUUCUUUCUCUUGUUCUUCUUUAUUCUUUCUUUUUCUGCUACCUUUCAAAUCACGUCGAUUUGUUCCUAUUUUGCUUUUGAGUUUUUCUUUUCUUUCCUUUACGCUCCUCUACGAUCGUGUCUUAAUUCCUUCAUUAUUUUCUCGUUGUUGGCGUUGCUCGUUCGAGAGUGGGUUAGUUUCCGUUUUGAUGUGUUUUUACGAGGUUAGUAAAAGAAAUGCGUUAAUUUUUGGAUUAUGGAGUUGAUCGUUUUUAAUCAAUUCUCCAGUAAGUUGACUCCUUUGCUGUUGUUAUGUGCUAGGUUAAGAGAUUAAUUCUGAUUUGGGCCUGCGUGGUUGUGUAGAUUUUCCAUGUGAAUUCGUUUGGUAUUUUUAGGAUAAAUCAUUCUUUAAGUCGUAUUGCUACCAUCGCUAAUGUGAUGUUUUAAUUUAUGCAUUUAGGAUUUGGUAGUUUUAUGGGUGUUUUCGUAUAAAAAUCAAACCAAGUGUGUAACGAAAAACCCGACAACAACGAGCGACGAAAGUCAAAAAAUUGCACUGUCGACACCACACGGCCGUGUGUCGGGCCGUGUGACAAGCCGUGUUUCAGACCGUGUGCGACACACUGUUUGGGCUAGUUAAGCCGUGUGGAACACACAGGUGUGUGUGAGGACGUGUGCCACGCCAUGUGAGCCACACGGGCUGGCCAUUUAGGCCGUUUGAGACCAAAAUACUAAGGGCACGUUUGGUUUGCUGUAUUGGAUUAGAGGUGUAUUGGAUUAGAGGUGUAAUGGAAUAGAUGUGUAAUAGCAAAUCAACUGUUUGGUUGAAUGUAAUGGAAUAGAGGCGUAAUAGUAAAACUGUGUUUGGUUGAAUGUAAUAGAGGUGUAAUAGCAUAAUGGAGAAAACUAAAAUGACCAGAAUACCCUUAGCAUAAAUUUGUUUUGGUAAAUGAUUAUUGUUAUUGUUAUUUAAAUUUUAAUAAGAUUAUUUAUUAUCAAAAAUAAAUAAUUUAAUCAUAUUUAAACAUAAUUAUUAUUUAAUAUAUUUUAAUUAAAAUAUAUAAUUUAAUAAAAUUCUUAAUAAUUAGCAGAAAUUUGUUUUGGUAAAUUAUUUUAUUUAAAUUUUAAUAAGAUUAUUAAUAUCAAUAAUAAAUAAUUUACUCAUAUUUAAACAUAAUUAUUAUUAAAUAUAUUUUAAUUAAAAUAUAUAAUUUAAUAAAAUUCUUAAUAAUUAAUAUUCUUAUAUGAAUUUACUCAAAUCAUAAUAUAUGAUACUGUAAAAUAUAAAUUAAAAUAAUAAUUAUUAAAUAUAUUUUAAUUAAAAUAUAUAAUUUAAUAAAAUUCUAAUAAUCAAUAUUCUUAUAUGAAUUUACUAAAAUCAUAAUAUAUGAUACUAUAAAAUAUAAUUUGAAAUAAUUAAUAUUAAAUAUAUUUUUAUUAAAAUAUAUGAUUUAAUAAAAUUUAAAAUAAUUAUCUAGAUUCAAAUUUAAGAAUUAUUUACAUGAACAAAAAUAUAAUAUUUGUUUCUAAGUUAAUUAUUUUAAUAAAAUAAUUAAAUAUUUAUAUAACGGUGUUCUCAUCUUUUGGUAUUUUUAUAUGCAAUUUUAAAGAUUGAAUCCAAACUUAAAAGAAUAUUUAUUUGUAAGCAUUUCACCGGUUUACUUCAACUCAAUUAUUGAUUAAUUUUUAAUAAACAUAAAUUCAAUCACUAAUUCUCUUGGCUCCUCUGUUUCAAUAUAUGAAACAUGACUCAAUCACUAAUCCUCAUAACUCAAAGGUGAGCCAGAUGGUCCAUCAGGGGGUGCAGAAGCAGCAUGAGUCAAAGCAACUAUGGCAUUUUUCCAGAAAGAGGAGCCAAGAGAAUUAGUGAUUGAUCUUAACAAUGGCAGAUCAUUAAGAUCCCGGGUCUGGCUGUCCAACCGAUCAACAUAGACUACAACAUCGGGGGGACACUUCUUUAUGUAUUGCUUUAUAGAAGCUAGGACUUUGUGAUUGGCACCUUGCUCCAUGGCAGAAGAUUUCAAACCUGGGGUAUCAAUGAUUCUCAGUUUAACACCAUCUACCAUUCCAGUAAUCUCUUUCACUACUGUAGUGGCAGGUUCAAAUGCAUGAAUUGAGGUCUUUGACUCACCAAAGAUUGAAUUUAUUGUGGCACUCUUGCCCACCCCAAUCUUCCCAAGCACAAGCAUGUUUAUGGAGAAGCUUAAAUCAUCUUUACCCUCUGUUUCAAGUUCCAAAGCUUUCCUCUUCGCAGAAUCAACACUAAACAGUUCACUGGUUUGUCUCCUUGCAACAUGUGCCAGUCUAUAAAGAACCUGUGCUGCUAAAGAAUCUUCAGUAGAAAGUCCGAGCCUUUGAAGAAUCCUCAAAAAUUUGACUCUUAUAAGCUGUAACUUUUCCAAUUUUAUUUUAUCUUCUUCUGUCAAGUUGUUGUCAGAAUCUCCCCUACUUGUUACAGCAGGACUAAAUAUGUUAGGCCUGUUUGAUCGAGGUGCGGAUGUUGCAUUUUGCAGUGAGGAUCCUAAGCCUGCAGGACGUUCAACAGUGAAAAGCCUAGAUCCAUCUUGAGAGGUUAUAGUAAUGUUGCCGCCAUCAGAGCCAGCACCAGUUGCUGCUUUCAAGAGGGCUGCCAAAGCAGCAGAAUCAAAUAACUCCUUCCCCUCUCCUUCUUCAUCCGUAUCCCCUUCUUCAUCUGAAUCAACAGCAUUUGUCUGUAUAUGAUUAUGAGAAGUAUCAGCACCCGAGUGAGAACCAAUGGCAGAUCCUCGUUCUAGCUCCUCCAAGAAUUGCUUAGCAGCUUCAGCAUUCUUAAAGAACAUACUUUCAGCCUCUCCAUCAGUCUCUGAGCCUUCAUUCUAAUGCUGCUUCUCUUCCAUUUCACCUUCAAAACUAACUUUUCCAGCCACUGUAGUUUGCUCUACUGACUCAGGCCAAUGAGAUUCUUCUCCUGGCAGGGUUACUGACCUUUUGCUUUGAGAAUCACUAUCUAAAUUCUCUGUUUCAUGAGCUGCCAUUAUUUCUGUAGGUUGAGCAGAACUAUCCUUUGCCUGAAUUCCAUCUCCACCCCCUCCAUCUACUUUCUCAGCAAAUGCUUGUUCCAAAAUAUCUAUGAUCUCCUCAUCUUUGAGAUCAUUUAGCUCAGUCCCAGAAUUGUCUUUACCAAGCAUAACCCCACUGGCAAUAUCAGCUUUAUUCUCAGCAUCAACAGCCAACUCGUCUCCGCCGGAAAACUUCGAACCAUCAGCAUGAUUCAAGCCGUUAUCCAAGCUCGCAUUAUCGUCAACUGGAACCACCUCUGUCUCCUUCAUCACCAAUGUCUCAAUGCCUAAAGCAGCUCCAGUCAAAGGUUUCGCAUCGACAGCCAACUCCUCUUCGCCAGAAAAUUUCGAACCAUCGACUUCAACUACCUGAUGAUCUACUGUUUCUACAAUCAUAGGAUUGAAACCCUUAGCUCCACCAUCUAACACCAAAUUAUUCUCAAAAAUCCCAAUUCUACCUUCCUCUCCACUUUCCAUUGAUAAAACAGAUUGGUCGACUUCUCCAAUGGAACCCAUUUCCACCUUAUCGUCCUUUUCACCAUUACCAACACUAUCAACAUCAACCUUCCCCAUCGAACCCUCACCUCUAUAUUCCUCUAAACCAUUAUCGCCAUCCCCAAACGAGUCCUCAUUCAAAAUCACAUUCGAACCAUCAGAACCAACAAAAGGGGCAUCACUAACAUCCCUCACGGUCGGAAUUACUUCAUCAGGGUCAGCCAUAAAUGGCCUCUCGGGUACUGUUUCAAACUUCCCCUCACCAUUCUCGUUACUAUCAUUAGUUUUACCAUUCCCAUUAUCUUCCAAAGUACGUUCACUUACUGAACUAGUUACAAACUCAGAAUCAUCAUUCGAAGUUAAAGAAGAAGAAGAGGAAGAAGAACCUGGAGAGGUAGAGAGCGACUGAGAAGUGAUUUCCGGGGCAGAAAGCAAGGCGUCCAUGGUUGAAAGAGAGGAAAGGGAGAUAGAGAGAAUUGGGUUUUAGGAUAUGGAAUGAAUUUUGAGUGGCACACAGAGGGAGCAAAUCGGCAGAAAGGGUAAAACAGGGAGGGGAAACCGAAGGGGCAACUAAUCUGCAGAAAAGAGGGGGAUUAGAAAUCGGUGGUUUUCACCGAUUAGGAAGGUAAAGGAUUACACCCGUAUUAGAAAUACAUCAAACCAAACGAUGGAAUACAGUCGCAUUAGGUGGGGCCCACCGAUUAGGGGUGUAUUGGCUAUGCCAAUACACCCAACCAAACAUGGUGUAAAUUUUUCCCUAGGGUUAUACACAUCGUUAUGAUCGAUCGUAGGCCUUUCGUGGGGUCGAUAUAUAAUCAAAUAGACUGUAAAGUAUGAAAUCCGGUCAACUAAUAGUAUAAAUUCUGAUAUCUGUUCAUAUAUUUGAGAUGUUAUUUGUUCAAUAAACCUUGUAAUAGGCUAUGAGAAACUUGAGAAAUAUUAUGUAUGCUUUGUAUCUGUUAUGUCAUACAUGUAUAAUGUAUUAUGUCUGAUUUUGUUCUAUUCUUUUCUGUAUUUGCAUCUGGGGUGGGUUAUAUUAUGUGGAGGAAGCGUUUCUUUGAAUGGCGAUAAUUCGCCUAUUACACUGGCAGCUCAGCUACAAAUAUUCUGAAAAGUGUCAUAUCAACACUAAGUGGUGUGCAGGGCUGGAUGAGUGUUUCAUACCCCAUAUAGUGUGUUGGAAAGGUCGGAGAUAGUGUUAGCGGAUGGGGGUAGGAAUAUAUGUCUGUAUCUGUACUGCUCUAAUAUGAAUAUGUUCUGCUAAAUCUAUCUUAUACAAAAUAAAUAUUUAAAGUUAUUCGUUAUACAUUGAGUUUUGUAAACUCACUUUCUAUUUGUUUGAUAAUUUUAGGUAUUCCUCAGACUUUGGCAAAUCGGUGUGAAAGAACUUGGUUAAAUUGAUUUAGUUUCAUUAUCUAUUAUAAUUAAAUUUUGGGUUAUUGUGUUUCAUUAUUUUUGGACUGUUGGGAAUUUUUGGAUUGUUUUGGUUUUUGAGAUUUUAUUUUCAAUUUUUGCAUGAUACUAUUAAAAAUGUUUUAUUGGAAAUGUUUGUUUUCCUGCAAAACAACUAAUUUCAGACAAAUAAACUUAGUUUUCCAAACAUAAUGAUAUGAGAAUUUUCGCUUUUAAGUAUUCAUUUUAGAAAAUGUAAGCAAACAUCGUUUCAACUAUAAAGUUAAGUUAGAUGUAUUUUUCUCUUAAAUCGAGGUUUAAGUAAUAAAAGUUUACGACAUUUUUCCAAAUUUUACAAAAAAUUGGAUUUACAAUUGUUUUAUGUAACAUCUCCAGAUUUGGUCAUAACAUCUAGUCGGAUUUCGGGUGUUACAUUUAGUGAUAUCAGGUCAGGUUGCAAAACUCAGGCUGUGAACUUUUUGGUUCAAAAUUUUGUGAAAACUAUUUUUCGAGUAAAGUUUGUCGAAACCACUUUUUCGAAACAAAAAAUAGCGUCGACUUAAAAAAUGAAAAUUGGAGUCGCCACCAGUCUUUUUUAUUUAGGUGUGAUCGGAUCACCUCCUAAUUUAAUCAUUUAAAUAAAAGUUAAAAUUUACUAAAACGAUUAAUGGGUUUAAAAAACCUUUUUCUUUACAAACAUUAACAAUAAUAAACGAACAUCGAAGAAAUAGAAAAGAAAAAAGAAAUCGAAAAGAAAAAAAAUUAGAUUUCAAAUCACCUCUCAAAAAUUUAAUUGCUUUCUGAUUUCUUUGGUAUCUUUUUUUACUGAUUUCUUAUUGUUCGCGUAAAAAACUUACAAAGGUCUUUUCUUCCGUUUUAUAGGCAAAAUAUGAAAUAAAUAAAAAAAUACAAUAUAUGUUUUUUCUGUGUUGCUUUUCGUCCUAUUUGUAGGUACGAAGACCAGCUAGCGCUGUACAGAGGCGGUGCAGCACGUGCUUGGCUGAGGUGACUAGAGGCGUGCGGUGGCUGGGUCUGCUGUGUAGUUUAGGGUUUCUGUUGAUUUUUGGUUAUUGGGCUGGGGUUUAAUUUGGGCUUGGGAUUGUGUUUGAUUUUUAAUCUGUAAAUGGACUUUUUAAUAUUGGACUUUUAUUUUUUAUUUGGAUUAUUAUUAUUUUUUGUGUAUGCGGGUCCGGGCUCUACAAAGUUCAUUUCUGGAUUAAUCUGAAAAUUAAUUAUGUGAAGUACCGAGUCUCUGACGUUGAUCCUGUAAGUACUUCUGACUUAGAAAAAUUUUAGUUUAGAAAACUCUAAAAUGAUUAGAACUGUAGUUGGAUAGUUAGAGACAGAAACAUUUCUAUAAAUUCUUUUGAUAACUUUUUGAGUAUAAAAUAUCUACUAAUAAAUACUAAAAUUGAUACAUAAAAUUCAUAAUAUAGGUAAUAUAUACGAUGAGUACUCGUGGAACACAUGGACGUGGUAACCGUAGGCGUGGCAGGCGCCGAAGAGGGGCUCGAGCUGAGUCAUCCUCGAUAGGUACCUGAUAGGCUAUCGCUGGAGAGAGCAAUAGUCUUGAGAGAAGAAAUUUGAAGAUCGAAGUCGGAAUCUGACCUUUAAGGCCUUUAAUUGCUUGAAUAAUAAGCAUUUCCAAACUAAAAGGAUUACAAUUUCUUCAAGAAUUUGACCUGCAGACAUAGUUGAAACAUGAAGGUGUUAAAUUACCUAUUUUGUUAGUGUAAAUCAAAGAGGCUUUUUAUUUUUAUUUUUCGUUGUGAAAUAAUAUGGAUAUGUUAGAUUCUAAUCAUAUUUAAGUAUAUAUUAGUUCUUGAAGAGUUCUUAUUUUUGGUAUUUAUAUUGCAAAUAAUUUUUUUAAAUUAAGAAAAAAGGGGGGAGGGGCAAAUGUGUUUAAACUAAAGACAUCAAGGAGAGUUGUGUCAAAUUCCCAAUGCUUUUUGGAAUGAUCCCACUAAAUUGAUUAACAGACAAUUCCAAAAUUUGAAAAUUGCAGCAUUUGUCUAUACUUGAUGGAAUAGAACUUGAUAAUUCAUUUCUACUGAUCAAGUAAAGCUCUUUAAGCUUGGGAAGAUGGACACACAAAUCAUCAGGCAAGCCACCAGAAAGACUAUUAUCACGUAAAUGAAUCCUUUUCAAAGAAGAAAUGUUAAACAUGGUGCAACCUGGCCAGGUAAUUGAUAAAAUUUUGAUUUAAUCCCUUAAAAAAUAUAAAAAUAUAGACUAUUAAAAUGGUAAAAUUACAUUUUUACUAUUGUAAAAAUUACAAUUUAAUUUCACUCCUAAAAAGAUUUUCUGGCUUCGACCCUAAUAAAUUCUUUGGCAAAAGAUUAAAAUAAAAUUAUACCGUAAAUGAAAAAAGGAAACUAUAAGAAAAUCCAAUCUAACAAAGAAAAUAACUUGAUGUCCAAAAGCUACCAUAAACCGUAAUUCAUGGGAAGGCUUGUUGCUCAUUUUAUUGGUUUCCAUUUUGAUUUUGCAAAAGAAGCUUGAAUUUUGAAGAGAGCCUACUACGUGAGAGCAAAAGAAAAAAAAAUUGUUUAUUAAUUUUUAGGAAUACCGAAAUAUUAUAUAUAUGAUUAAAAAUGUUGAAUUAAAGAUAAAAUUAAGUGUGAAUUAAUAACCACAAGUGUACUUAUUACUCACCAUCUCUGUUAAAAAUGUUGGAUGUUGUUUAGCAACCUUUGUUUGAUUUUCUUCAGCUCAACCACAACAUCUUUCAUAUCUUUUCUUUCUUCUGGCAACUCAGCUGAACAAUUCAAAGCCAACUCCAUGAUAGAUGUAAUACAAUUUGCUUUAACGACAAUGUACUCAUCCUCUCUUCUUAAUAAAUCAACAUCUGCAAUUUCUAUCGCUCCUUUAGGCAAUGAACUUUCCAUCCAAUGCCUUAUACUCUCUUCUUCAACAAAAACAUUAUCAGUAGGCUUUUUCUUCGUGAAAGUUUCUAUAAGGACGACCCCAUAACUAUAGACGUCAGAUUUUAUAGAAACAAUUCCUGCUGAUCCAAAUUCUGCAUUCAAGUAUAAUUAGAACGUCAUUCAUCCUCAAUUAUUUCUAAAAUGCUUAUUCAAAUAUAUAUUCACAUCCACAUGAAACAAAAAUAUAAAAUGCAUAUUAGGAAAAUAAUCAUACAAAAAUAAAAAAGAAUUCACCUGGUGCCAUAUACCCGAUAGUUGCAAGAGUCAUGGUUUGCUUCAUUACUUCACCUUCCCCCAACAAUUUGGCAACGCCAAAAUCUCCAACAUGUGCAACCAUGUCUUCAUCUAGUAAAAUAUUGCUUGGUUUUAUGUCACAGUGAAUUAUAGGUGUUGGAUGUCCAUUGUGGAGGUGUUCUAUAGCUACCGCAACAUCUAUCAUUAUAUCGACCCUUUGUAUGAUAUCAAGGAAACAAUUUUCAGAAUGUAACCAUUUCUCAAGGUUUCCAUUAGACAUGUAAUCAAGCACCAAGGCUUUGAAGUCAACACUUGAGCAGCAAGUAAUGACCUUCACAAUAUUACGAUGAACUAUAUUACGCAUAGCAUCACAUUCAAUGUCAAAACUCCUAAAUGCUCCCUCUGUUUGCAAAUUGAAAACUUUUAUUGCAACUUCCAUUCCAUCUGAAAGCCUCCCUUUAUAUACAUAUCCAAAACUCCCUGAACCAAGCAUAUUGCUUUCCUCAAAUCCAUUAGUUGCUCGUGAAAGUUCAGCAUGUGAAAUUCUUCUCGGUGUCUUCAAAGACAACAAAUCAUCUUUAACUGGUAGAGUUGUACUCCUUUGGCAUCUUCUAUACAUAAUAGUUAAGACUAUUAGUACUAGGACAAUACCAAUUGUUGGUAAACCAUACCUAAAAGCAUGCAAUAUAAUCAUUUGGGAGUUUUUGUGGAUGUCAUUUUUGCAAGGUGGGACUAGCAAUCUAGGUGGACCACAAAGUGCACAAUUCUUCAUGAAUGAUGUGCUAGAAAAGUUUGAAAAACAUCCUUUGCUGGGAAUUUCCCCUUCAAGUCUAUUGAAAGACACAUUAAAAUACUUUAGAUAUAAAAGUUGUUCCAAAGAUUUGGGAAUGACUCCAGAGAAAUUGUUAUUGCAUAAAUCCAAGAAUUCCAAACUAAUCAACCCAUCAAAUGAUUCAGGGAUACGACCAUGUAGUAUAUUAUUUGAUAAAUCUAAUGAAACCAAAGUUUGAAGACCCCCAAAUGUGGAUAAGAUAUCGCCCAUGAGAAGAUUCCUUGAUAAAUUUAGUCUCAGUAGACUCCUAAAAUUUCCAACAUCAAUAGCAUGUGAAUUGUGAAGACGGUUUGAUGAUAAAUCUAUUUCUAAGAUAUCUUUAAGACUCCACAAAGUUGAGGGUAUUGUAGAACUCAAUUUGUUGGAAUCUAACCAAAGAUAUCUCAAAGCAGAAAUAUUACCUAAACAAGAGGGUAUGGAUCCAUGCAGCUUAUUCAACCCUAAAUGCAUCUCGUAUAGUCUCUCCAAACCACAGAGGCUUUCUGGGAUAGGCCCUCCUAAUUUAUUAGAGGAAAGAUCUAGACCUUGCAGAUUCCGCAGUCCUCCUAUUGAUGCUGGAAUGAAUCCACUUAAUUUAUUAUGGCCAAGUUCUAAAACCAAUAAGUUGGUUAAGUUACCUAUUUCCAUAGGAAUAAUGCCUUGAAGCUCACAAUUAUAGGCAAGAAAGAAUUGAAGGGAUUUUGAAAGGUUCCCGAUAUAAGUAGGAAGAACACCACUCAAUGGAUUUCCCGAAACUCCUAUGGCUUUCAAAUUCCUACAAUUCGUCAAAGAAGAAAGAAAGCUCCACUCAUGAUCAGUAGCAGAUCCUGUGAUCAAAUUAUUGUCAAAGAUUUUGAGCACUUCAAGGUGUUUUAAGCUGCCUAGCGUUUUAGGGAUUGGGCCAGAGAAUAAGUUAUGUGACAAGGAUAGAAUCUUUAGCAUGGAAGCAUUGGAGAUAGAGUUGGGAAUGUUUCCGCUAAGUUUAUUUCCCCACAAUAAAAGAAUCUCAAGCUUUGGAGCAUUGGUGAUGGGUGGUAAAUUACCUGUAAAAUAGCAUCUUUUAGUAUACAUAUUCACAAAAUAUAUAAUACAUUAAAAUAAAAACUGUAAAACUUUAAAUCAAUUAAGAAUAAAAUUUUGGCAUGGAAAAAUGUGAUGAAAUCAAUUAGAAAGUUGAGACAUAAUAAGAAGUUUUGAGUACUAAUUAGUCUUUGUGAUUUGUAUAGACAAAACAUAUAAUACACUAAUAAUUUUUUAAAAUAUUGUAAAACUUGAAAUAAAAUAAAAAUAAAAGUUUGGCAUGAGAAUGUGGCAUCUAAUCAAUCUUAAAAAUGAGACUCACACUGAAUAAUAAUUAGUUAUGAUUUGGGAAACAAAAAUGUUAAAGCCAUUGUUUUUAAUGUAAACUGGUAUGAUUCUUAUCUAUUGGGUUAAUUAUUUAUUUUUAUUAAAUUAUAGUGUAAAAUUUAAAUAUUAUUAUUUGCUCAAAAUUUUUGUAUUUUUCGUAUAUUUGAAAUUCAAUCUUUAUAUUUUUUAUUUUCUGUGAUUUAGUCUCUCUACUUUUUUUAUUAAAAAUUUUAGGUUCAUUUAUUAACACUGUUAAAAAGUUUUUGUAUUAGUAUGACAUUUUGAAAAAUAAAAUAAACUUGAUAUCUAUGUUUUUAAUUAUUCCAAAUAUUGUUUUACUAUUUCAAGAUAAAUUAUUUGUGUCUAGACCAAUAUCUUAAGAACUAUUGUUGCAUGUUUAAUUAUUCUAAAAAAUUAUUGAUUGAGUCUUAGCUUGAUUGGCAUGUGCAUUGUUGCCAAUAUAAGAGAAUGUGGGAUCAAAUAUGCUGAAGUUCAUUAUCCUCCUGUUAUGAAUUGGGGAGUUGGUAAAGUAUUAAAUUUUGAUAUAUUUUAAAAUAUUAAAAAUUUAUUAAAAUAUUUUUUAUAAAAAUCGGUUGUACCACAAUAUACAAUUUUAAUAUCAAAUUUUUAAUAUUUUUAAAAUAUUAGCGAAUAUAUACUUUAUUUCAAGUUACACAAUUUUUACUAGUUUUUAACUUUUUUUAAAAUUUUUAUCGUCUUUUAUAAUUUCUAAUAAUUUUUUACAAUAUUUAACAAUUUCUAACCAUUUUUAAUAAUUUUAUUACUUAUUAAAAAUUAACAAAUUAACUAUUUUUUAUUUUUUUAAAACAAUUAUAUAUUUAUAAUGUAGUUAUUUUUUUAUAAUUUUAUUUGAAAUUUUAAAGUUUUUUUGGUUUGUUUUCUAGAUGAUGAUGCCAUCAUGAUGUCAUCAUAUGCCACAUGGCAAUUUAUGAUUAGUUGAAUAUCUCAAUUUAUUUUUUUAAUGUCCAAUGGACUAAACCAAGAACACUUGAUUAUGUUAGAGACUACACUAGGAAUGUUUGAUAACAUUAGGUACUAAAGUAGGAAAAAAAAAAAAAGGAGCAAUACGAUGUAGGGAGUAAACUGUGCAUUAAGCCAUUAAAAAUAUAUCUAUAAUAUAUAUAAAUGCAUGGAUUUUGAGAAACUUUUGAAAUGAUAAUUAUAUAGUCUUUGUUUUUUUACUAUAUUAUUGAAUUUGUUAUUUUAAAUAUUUUUUUAUUACUUUUAAGAUUUAUCAUAUGUAUGGAUAAGAAUUUUGGUUUUACUAAAAUAUUUGGUUAAAUAAAUUCACUUCAUAAGAAGAUUUAGCAUCCUUGUAAAUAACAAUUUUGAUUCUAUUAAAAAAUUAUUUUAAAAUAUAUAUAAUAAAAUUUUAAAAUUUAUAUUGAAUUACUUUAUACUUAAAUUAUUAUUAGAAACUUUAUCAUACACAUACGUGUAUGAGAACUAUGUAUUUAGAACAUAAAUUUGUGUUUUAAAAUAACUUAUGAUAAAUAAUGAAAUGUAUAAUUUGAAACUAUUUAAUAAAAACACAUGGCUUAUCUACAAUAUUAAAAUAAAAAUAGCUUAAAUUGUAAGCAAAACAUAAUUUAAACAUAUGAAUACAUUAAAUUAAGAAUACUAAAUGAAUACAGUUAUUUAUGAUGGUGUUGUCUUCAAUUCCUAAGUUGGUGUCAAGUUAAUUUGUGACAUCAUAAAUUUAAGGUUUUAUGUAUUGAUGUGGAUUCAAAUAUCACCAUUUUUUUUAAAAUAAAAUUUAAAAUAAAUACAUUUUCCACAUUGGUUUCUUUUCUUCUACAGACAAAGGAUUUCUAAUGAUUUUUUUUUUAAAAAAAAUUACUUAUAUAAAAUAGAUUAGUUUAUGCAAUAAAAAUAAUUUCUUUUUUAAAGUUUAAUAGAAAUUAAAAAACAAAAAAAAAAUCAAUUCAUAUAAAGCUUAUUGUUUAUUAUCAGAUUAAAAUGAUAAAAGUAUACGAUAAACCCAUACUUGACGGAAUGUUACCAGAUAAUUCAUUUUUAUUCUAGUAAAGCCCUUCAAGCUUGAGAAUAUGUUGACACAUAUCAUUAGGCAAACUACCUGAUAGGUUAUUGUUGGAGAGAUCAAUGGCCUUCAGAGAAGAAAUGUUGAAGAUCGAAGUUGGAAUCUGACCUGUAAGGCCUUUAAUUUCUCUAAUAUUAAGCAGUUCCAAACCAAGAAGAUUACCGAUUUCCUCAGGAAUUUGAUCUGCACACAUAGUCGAAAAAUCAAGAUGUGAAACUACCUAUUUUGUUAGCAUAAGUCAAAGAGGUUUUCUUUUCUGUUCUACAUAAUUUGCAGAUGUUAGAUUUUAAUAUUUUUAAGCAUAUUUGUUUUCAUCAAAUUAACUAUUUUGAACUAUUUUGCCUUGAAUGAAAUAAAAUGCUCAUAUUUUUGUUAUCUAUUACUAAUCAAACUCUUUUAUAAAAAAAAAUACUUUAAACUAAAGAAACCAAGAAAAUUCAAUACCUUCUAAGUUAUUCAACUCCAAAUAUAAUUCUUUGAGUCGUGUCAGAUUUCCAAUACUUCUUGGAAUGAUCCCCCUCAAUUUAUUAUCGGAAAAUGCCAAUAUUUUAAGGUUGCUGCAUUUGCCCAUACUUGAUGGAAUGUUACCAGAUAAUUCAUUUUUAUUCAAGUAAAGCCCUUCAAGCUUGGGAAGAUGUUGACACAUAUCAUUAGGCAAACUACCUGAUAGGCUAUUGCUGGAGAGAGCAAUAGUCUUGAGAGAAUAAAUGUUGAAGAUCGAAGUUGGAAUUUGACCUGUAAAGCCUUUAAUUGCUUGAAUACUAAGCAUUUCCAAAUUAAAAAGAUUACCGAUUUCUUCAGGAAUUUGACCUGCUGACAUAGUCGAAACAUCAAGGUGUUAAAUUACCUAUUUUGUUAGUGUAAAUCAAAGAGGAUUUUUAUUUUUCUCGUUAUGAAAUAAUAUGGAUAUGUUAGAUUCUAAUCAUAUUUAAGUAUAUAUUAGUUCUUGAAAGAAAGAGUUCUUAGUAUUUAUAUUGCAAAUAUUUUUUUUAAAAUUUAAAAAAAGGGGGGGGGGCAAAUGUGUUUAAACUAAAGAGAUCAAGGAAAAGGCAUACCAUCUAGGUUAUUUAACCCCAAGUAUACUUGUUUAAGUUGUGUCAAAUUCCCAAUGCUUUUUGGAAUGAUCCCACUAAAUUGAUUAAUAGACAAUUCCAAAAUUUGAAGGUUGCAGCAUUUGUCUAUACUUGAUGGAAUAGAACUUGAUAAUUCAUUUCUACUCAAGUAAAGCUCUUUAAGCUUGGGAAGAUGGACACACAGAUCAUCGGGUAAGCCACCAGAAAGACUAUUAUCACGAAAAUGAAUCCUUUUCAAAGAAGAAAUGUUAAAGAUGGAAGAUGGAACCAGGCCAGAUAAUUGAUUGAAUCCCAAGUUCAAGAUCUCUAGAUUGGAUAAGUUGACAAGUGUUUGAGGGAUUGUGCCUGUGAAGUUAUUAUUUCUCAUUUCCAACCUUUGAACUCUGUGCAAGUUCCCAAGCCAUGAUGGAAUUUCCCCAUUAAGACGGUUGUAGCUUAAUCGAAUGAUCCUCAAACGAUGCAAUUGGCCCAAUUCUUUAGGCAGAUGGCCAUAGAAAUUGUUGUUGCUCAGGUCGAGAGAAAAUAGAAAUGAAAGAUUUCCAAGGUGUGGAGGGAUAGUACCCCUAAGAUUCAUGUUUGUAAGAUUCAAAGCUACAACUCUUUCAUGGAUGAUGUCACAAGAAACACCAGCCCACUUACAAACAGAGGUAGAGUUCGUCCAAUUGUUUGCCAACACAUUUUGAGGAUCGACAAUGCGAUCUUUAAACUCAAAGAGUGCAAACUGAUAGGAGUUGAGAUUCCGGACUGUCAUAGCCAAGGAAACAAUGGAACAUUGUAUGAAUAAAAGUGAAAGAAGAUGAAAGCAAGUGUUGUAGUUCAUGAUGGCAAGACGAAAUAAGCCAGGAAAAGGGAAGUUGAAUUGAUGAAGAAAUACCCAGCCAACAUGCUUAAAUAGGCUUCAACCCUUGCACACUUCUCAUACAUAAAGUUCACUGCCAUUACAACAAGAAAACUCGUAUCUCCAUUCAUACCUAUCCAUACUUUAUUUGACUAACUUUUCCCUAACAGGUGUUCAGUAAGGAGACAAAUCACUUUGGAGCUAUUCACCGACUUCUCCAACCUUGGUUUCAAACUCCUAGCCCAUCAAUUCACUUUAAUUGAAACGAUAUACACGAGUCUUUCGGCUUAUAUUUUUAACUUACUACUUCUCUUUUUAAUUUAUUUUUUGUUACUUCUCAUAAUAUUUUUUGAGAAAUCCAAUAUUCCAGUCUGAAAUUUCUUCAUUGCCACGUCUAUCUCCUCGGUAAGUUCGUGGCUAGGCGGCCCACUUUGGGGGCAGGAUUGUAAUUUUAGUUCUAUCCGACUCAUUUUACUAUUUAGAAAUAUAAAAGUAAUAUUAUAUUAAUUUUUAUAUUUUUAUAAAUUUAAAUUUAAAUUUAAUUUUUAAACAAUAAAACGAGUCAUUUUUAUUUGCCUAGGCUAAAUUGAAUCAGGAGUGAAAAAUUUUUUAAUCAUAAUUUACUAUUAUUUUAAUUAAUUAAAUUUUAAUUUACUAUAACUAGUAGUUGCAAAAAAAAUGACAUUCCUUUAGAAAAAUGAGAACUUAUGAAGCAUUCAAUAAGAGUUGUUGGAAUACAUGGUAACGAAACCAUAAUUCGAUAUAAAACUAUAUAAAUAAUGUAAGAUUUGUGAUACCUAAAUUGUUAUGUUUUCUAUAAAUAUAUGGAGAUUUUUUAUUAGGAAAUAAUUUUAUAUAUCAACAUUUGUUAUUUUCUUUUGAUAGAAAUUUAAUUAUGUUAUCUGUAGAAAAAAAUAUUUAUAGAAAUAUCAUUAGUAGAAAAUCAUAAAUUUGUGUGUGGCAAAAAAUUUUCACCACCAAGAAAGGGACAAAUUAAACAACUUGAAAGUCAUUGGUUGUUUAAAAUAUUAGAUAAUAAUUUUAGUGAAGAAUCAUUAAAAUUAUGACAAAAUAACCCUAGAUAUUGUAGUAUUAAAUUAGAAAAUCUCAAUAAUAUUAUUAGAGUAAAACCUAUGAUGUAUCUAAACAAGAUAUAGAAGAAUUUGAUAUACAAAUUAAGGGUAGAAAUCAUACGGAAAUAAUAAAAAACAAGAAAAAGCUAGUAUGGUCAUUAAUUAUAAAAGAUUAAAUCAAAAUAUUAUUUUUUGUAGUUACUUGAAUUAAUCAGGAUAAACAAAAAAAAAUAUUUUAGUAAAUUUGACUGUAAAUCAGGAUUCUAGUAAAUCAUGCUAACAGAAAAAUCUAAACCUUUAACAGCUUUUAGUGCACCCAAUGGACAUUAUUAAUGGAAAGUGAUGUCAUUUGAAUUAUGCGAUGCACCACAAAUCUUCCAAAGACAAAUGGAUUUUAUAUUUAAUAAAUAUAAAAAAUUAUGGGUAGUUUAUAUAGAUGAUAUUUUGAUAUUUUCAGAUACACUAGAAUUACAUAAGAAAUAUUUAAAUAUUAUUUCUUAAGAAUUCAUAAAAUAUAGAAUCAUAUUAAACCCUAAAAGUAUGGAGUUAGAAAAAAGAGAGGGAAUUUUUAUAAUAGUGGAAAUAAAAAAUUGUCCUCAAAAGAUUGAAGAAAAAAAGAAGUUACAACAAUUUGUAAUAUAUUCCUCCCAAAUUUUCAGUUGCAAAUUUAUUACAGAAUUUCUUUGCCGACAAUAAGAAAAGAGCAUAUUCACAUUUUCGUCGCAAUUUCAACUAACAACCAAUCUGUUUCCCACUUUCCUUUUUCGGCCAAUUUCAAACGUAACUGUUUUUCGAAUUUUCCUCUUUAUUUCAUUAAUAAAAUGAUCAAUCUAUUUGUUUUUUAAAUAUAUAAUUUUAUUAAUAUUUUUUAAUUAUAAUAUAAGAGUUGUUGUUUAUUUAUAGUUUUAUUACAUUAUUUAAUCUCUUUUUUAUAUCAAGUUUUUAAAAUUAUAAUAUAAGAUUUAUUUUAUCAAAUUGUGGCUUAUCAAAUGUUCAUCUAUUUUAAUAAUAACUUGAGUUCGAAUCAUUAUCAUACCAGAAAGAGUUCCCUUUAUUCUUUAUCGUAAAUUUUAUAAGAAAUUAUAUUUUAUUAUAAUACUAUAUGUGUUAGAAUAAUAUUUUAUUGUGGAUGCCCAUAAUUCUCAAAGUUGUAACCUUGAAUGUAGUAACCUCAAUGAAAUUAUGAGGCUUUUAUAUUGUAAUCAAGCCUCUAUCUAUUCUUUGUAUUCUUUGUAGAAAAUAUGAAGUUGAUUUUACUUUAUUAAAAAAUUUAAAAUAAAUUAUCUUGUUUUUUUUUAAAUGAGUUAACCAAAUUAGCAUAUUUAUUUUGAUCUAAAAUUAUCCAAAAUAAUAUAAAAUAUUAUAUUAAUAAAAUUAAAACUAUGAAAUAAUUUUUUUUAAAGAUUAUUAUUUACUUUUAUCAAACAAUACAAUUAUAUUCAGUACUUAUAUUUACUAGUUUACCAAACAGUUUUCCAAUAUGAAUUCAACACUUAUCAAAUUCAGUAUUAAAAAUUCAGUGCUUAAUUUUUUAGCACUUAACUUUUCAAUUCAUCAAGCACGUCUAAUUCAAUUUAUACAAUUCCCUAUUUGUAUCUCUAUGAAUUUAUAAAAUCCUUCUCGCAUUUAGUUGUUGGGAUCUUUAUAUGAAGAUAGAUGCUUUUAUUUUUUAUUGGUUCAUUUUUAAUUGUAUUGAUUUAUUUAAUUUUAAUUUUGAUUAAUAUAUAUGAUUAUUGUGGAAUGGGAGUAAAAGUAUUUACUUCUCAUAAACUUUGAAAUAUUCACCCUGUCUACAUAUUAAUUAUUGUAAAAUUUGAAUUGAAAUUAUGCCAUAAAAGGUGGAGGUUAGAAAACCUCUUAUUGAGACCUUAUAAUAUUUUGUAAUUUUUUGUGUUAUGGUAUAUAAAAAAAUAUCUAACCAUAGUGAUUGAUUAGUAAUAUAAAUUUGUUAUUUGUUAUGUUUAAUAUAUAUUUUAUUUAUACUUAUUCAUUUUAUUUUUAUAUGAGUAAAUGAAGUGUUUGAAGAUUCGAAAUUUUUAUCAUCCAUGUUGAAAAUAAGUGCAAAAGUGUAUAUUAUUUAAAAUAAAUUACGCAUUCAUUAAUGUUAUGUGAUAAAAUCAUUACAUUUUCUGAAGAACUAAUAUUGCAUCAAACUGUAAAAAGCUCUUGAAGAGCUAAUAUUUAUCUCCCUGUGAUGCAAAAUCUUGUAAAACAUGAUAUUAUUUUUCAAAUCAAGAAGAUUUAUGUUGAAGGAAAUAUUUAUGUGUUUUACAUUAAAACCAUGGAUAGAAAUGACAUGAGACACUCAUGUAUUUGCAUUAUAAAUAUUCCUUGAAGGAAUACACUUCACUUGUAUGAUUGACAUAUGAGAUAAUAGCAAGAAGUUUAUAGUGUUGGUAUGGCCGGCUAGACCAUCUCAAGUCAAUAAUGAUGCAAAAUAAUUUGAAGAGAAUUUAUAUGAUUUUAUUGAAGAAUGAGAAGUUAUUUUCAUUUUGAUAAUUGUCAUCAACAAUAGUUCUUUGGAAAAAAAAAUAUUGAACUAACAUCAACUAAAGUUAGAGGUUGGUUCAUGGUUGCAUUUUUUGAUGAUAUCCAAAUAAUAUAUGAGCUCAUGUAUCACAUGUAUGCAACCCAAAGUUUACAGUAUUAUUUCUUGAAAUAAUUUGAUUCUACACAAUCUCUAUAGCAUGCAAUUUGUGCUAACAACACUGGUGCAUUAUAUCCUAAGCUUGAUUUUCGUAGUUUUAGCUGAGAUAAUAUUAAGUUGUCUAUGCCUAUAUAUAUUAUACUUAAUGGUUAGCAAAAUUAUGCCUCCAUUUAAUUGCUUAACCAUUAAUAUAAGAAUAGCUUUAAAAUAAGCAUGUAAUUUUAUUUGCAUCGAGCCAACAUGUAAGAAAUAUUUGUCCCAUGAGAAUUAGCUUUUAUUUAUAAGCCAAUAGGUUUCAUUUAUGACUAUUUGGAUGUAAAAUAUCUAUUUUAUAUUCCACCAUAAUGCACUAAGAUGGACCAUCAAGUAUGAAGUUGAGAAAAAUUAGAAUUUUUAUUUGAUGGUAAAAGUUGAAAAGAGAUAUAUAUUUAUAAUUUUGAAAAAAAUAGUCAUGUUGCAAAUUUUCUCAGUAUUAGAGGGAGACAAGUUGGACAAAUACGUAUAAUUAUGUCAUCACUUUUUGUGAUCCCUCACUAAUCUUAUGUGCACAAAGUUUGAAGGAAAAAAAUAAUUUGCUAGACAUGUUUAGUGAUGACAUUUAGAGAUUGUAUAUAUUGGAUGAUACAUAUACCAGCUAAAAUGUUCCAAAUAAUUAUGCGUCCUAGAAGGACAAAGUGAUAAAAAUAAUUUUUGGGCACGCUAGAAGGAUGAAAAACUAGUUGGUUCUAUAAAUAAAAAAAUUCUUGACAGAAAAGAGUAAGAAAUGAAUAUGGCCACACGUUAAAGGAGACGAGUACUCAUGAAGAGACCCAAGGUAUAACUUUUAAUAAAACCCCAAAAGAGGUUCAAUACAUGAAAUUAUGAAUAUAAUAAGUGUAAUAACCAAAUUUUUCCCGGGCCCAAUGCCAAACAAAUAAAACCCAAACCAAAUAAAUAAAAUAAGAGUCCAAAUUAUAGUCCGUUAGGGCCCAAUUCAGACCAGCCCACUAUUCAAUCAGACCAGCCGAACAACAAAAAAAAACCUAGUAGCCCACAGCCCAACUAAGCCUAAAAAAUUUUCAGCAAAAGAAAAAACCCUAGCUGCCAUGCUAGCCGCUGCUCCUGCCCUAGCCUCUGCCCACUAUCGUACGCCACCUCUGCCAUCACCAUUAGCCUCUGACACCUGCAAAACAGCAAACAACAUGCAACAACAGAGAAGAAGACGACAAGCAAAAAACAAAUCACUAAAGGACAAAAAUAAUGAUAACAAAUAGCCUUAGUUUGGCUAUAAAAGCAAAAAAAAUGAAAACUUUGUACUUCUUUGGCAAGAUUAAUACAAAAAAGAAAAGAUUUGAACUUUUUAGGGUGAUAUUUCAUUUUUUUUUACGCUUUAGAUCUAUUUUUUUAUUUCAUCUUCAUCUACGAAAAUAAUAGAAAAAAGACUUUGAUUUCAAGGUGAUAUUUUGUUGUUUUUUUAGAUCUAGUGUUUUUUUAUUUAUUUUUAUCUACAAAAAUAAAAAAAGGAAAAGAGAAACGUACCUAAUUCACCCCGUGGCUCCGUCGACGGAAGUCCCAUCGCCAUCGUCGGAAUCGGGCUUAAAAGGGGAAGGUUUUUAUUUUUCUUUACUUUUUUUUGGAUUUUUCGUCUCAAGAAAUGGACUAAGGGAGGGGAAAUGGCCAAAAUGGUCUUUUUCCGAUGAACUCUGGCAACCACAUGUGGCAGUUAACAGUGCCGGUGCUCGGUGGCUGCGGUGGAGCCAUGGUGGUGUCCCAUGGCCGGAUCUAGAGAGGAAGCCUUUAAGAGGGAGAGAGUUUCUAACAUUUUUUUUAUUUUCUAAGGCAGAAAUGAAUUUUUGAAAAAAAAAAGUUGGGUUUUAUAAGUGCGUGAAAUGGCGCCAUUUUGCGCAAGUGCACAUCGACGUCGAAACGACAUCGUUUACCCCUUUACCCGCUUGCCCGAGUCUGGCUCGAUGAAGGUCCGCAUAUUUUCAUGCCUGAUGGGUUAUUUCCCUGCCCGAUCCUUCCGAUUUUGGGCUUCUUCUCAAUCUGGUCCUGAUCCUACUUUUUCCCGCCUUUUAAAUUGUACCAUUUAAUUUCAUUUCAUUUUCAACUCGGUCCCUCGGCUGACCAAAGGAAAUGAUGCGCAUAAAGUUAAGGGAUAUUUUCCCUUUCAAUCCCCAAUAUUUUUAGAGCGAUGCAUUUUAAUCCCUAACCUUUCAUUCCAAUCUUUUACACAUAUUAUUUCAUUUUAUUCGUUUAUUUAUUGACUUAUCAUUUUUACCCUCUUUUUAUACUUAAAAAUAUAUAUUAUUUACACUAUUACUUGCAUUUUUUUACUAUUAAAUUAUUAUUUUUAAUGUAUUAUAUUCCCAUUAUUUUACCAUUUUAUUUAUUUUGAUACUUUCAUGUCACAUUUAUUUAUUUUAAUAUUGCCAUUAUUUAUUUUAUUUUAUUCUUAUGUUUUUUAGUAUUUUAUUAUUUCUUUUAUUGUUCACGGUUUUUUUUUCAUGUUAUACAUUUUUAUCUUUCUAAUCAUGCAUUUUUCCUUUUUUUAUUUUGUUUUAGGUUACGUUAUUUAUUAUUAUUAUUAUGAUAAUAUUAUUAUAAUUAUAUUACCAUUAUUAUAGAAUUCCUUUAUUUGUAUAUUCCAUUAUAACUAUUAUUAUUAUUAGUAGUCUUUAACUCACUUCUAUUUUUAUUAUUAUUUUUUAGAAUAGUAGUCAACAUGCUUAUCCUUAUUGUUAUUUGGUGUUGUUCUUAUGAUUUUAUCAUCAUUAUUGUUGUAUUUCAUUUUUUGUUCACUCUUUAAAUAUUUUGUUCAUAUAGUUAUUUUACACUAUUGCAAUAUUGUUGCAUUACGCAUUAUGUUUCUUAUAUAAUAAUUAUUUCGCUUUCACGCGAUGUUCGAAUCAAUUAAACAUGAAUCUUCUCAAUUAUUACAUUAAUUGUUACUUAAGUUCAAAAAGAAAAUUUUCAAAAUAAGGCAAUAUUUUGCGUUUUGGAAAUUCGAGAAAUCAUACCCUAACUUACGAGGUUUCGAUUUUCUCGUUAAACUUAAAUAGCAAAAUAUUCUUUUAAAUUUCAAAAUGCAUGCAAUUUCAAUAAAAAUCAAAGGCAAGCUUAUUCUCUAAGGUUCCAAAUAUCGCGUCCUAACUUACGGGAUGUGACAUUUCGUUACCUCGAGACGAGUAGGUCUUCAACUCUCUUUUCGAUUUAUUCGAGCGUUUUUAAUAACAUUAAUAAAAAGGGAUCGUAUUUUAAAUUUCUAUUCAAGUUUUCAACCUUGGACAUUAAGACAUUACUUAAUCAACUAGGUACCACCUUUGGGUGUAUUGAGGGUGUGUUUUCUAGAUUUUGUAGACCAAAUAUUAUCGUUUUUAGUAAAUUUAAAUUUUUAUUAAAAUGAUUAAAUUACAAGUGUUGACACCAUUUUUUUGAUGAAAAACGGGGUCGACUUGGGUUUUAAAAAAAAUGAAAAACGGGAGUCGCCACCAAUCCUUUUUGAUAAGGUGUGAUUGGGUCACCUUGAAAAAUGGUUGUUUUUAAUAAAUGAUUUGAUUUUAUUAAAACAACGGUUUUGGUCCAUGAAAUUUAGAAAACGGGUUCGGGAGUCGAUUACGUACGAGGAAGGAUUAGCACCCUCGUAACGCCCAAAAAUUGGUACCUAGUUGGUUAGCUAAUGUCUUGAUGUCGAAAAUUGAGAACUUGGAAAAAAUUAAAAAUACGAUCCUUGUAUUAAAAUGAAAAUUUUAGGAAAAGGGGGGCAUACUUCACGCUAAUCGAGAAAGAGAAUCAUAUCCAGUAAGUUAGGACACAAUGUCUCGAAUUCCCGAUACGCGAAUGAAUGCCAAAAUUUUACUUAUUUAAAAGACAUUUUAGCCGUCUCGAAUUUAAAAAUGAAAUCACGACCAGUAAGUUAGGACGUGAUUUUUUAAAACUUGAGUUUGAAAAGAUUCGUGCAUCUAGAUUUAUCGUGAAAAUCAAUACCCAGUAAGUUAGGGUACGAUUUUCUUGAAUUUAAACACGAAAUGCCAUUUUUUAAAACAAAUUUUGUUAUAUCGAGUGAAAUAAAAACACAAAGUCGUAGUAAAAAAAUGUGUAAGCAAAUUACAUUGUUAUGCAUGGCAAAAUCAUAAUGAAUACAAAAGUAUAAAAAUGAUACGAGCAAUAACAACAAUAUAAAAUAAAUAAAAGUCAAACCUACAAUAAUAUUAAAUAACAAUGUAUAUAAACAAAUAAAAUUAAAACAUUCAUUCAAAAUAAUAAUGAAAAUGAAAUAAAUAAAUAGUAAAUACAAAAUAAAACAAUAGUAAUGAAUAAAAAUAAUAUAAUAUAUAUAUGUAUGUUAGAAUUAUAAAGUAUAAAAAUAUACGUAUGUGUAUAUAAGAAUAUGUAAGCAUGUAUAUACAUAGAUUAUAAAAUAUAGAUAUUUAUAUAAAAAUGAGUAUUUGUAUUAAAUAAGUUGAAAAAAAAUAUAUAUAUACCUACAUAUAUAUAAAAAAUUAUAUAAUAAUAACAAUAUAAUAAAACACAUAUAUCUAAAAUUUACAUAAGUAAAUAUAAAUAAAAACAUACUAAUAACAAUAAUAUUAAUAGUAAAAUGAUAAUACAUAAAAAUGAUGAAGAAAAUAAUAAAAAUGCUUAAAAGGGGACUAAAUCGAAGUAAGAACCAAAAAAAAGGGGCAAAAUCGAAAUAAAGACAAGAGGGACUAAAUUGUAACGCGCGCUGAAAGAGGGGGACCAACAGGGUAACUAAACCAAAGCCUCAAAACGCUGCUCUGUAAAGGACUGAAAUGAGACAAAAAUAAAAUUUUGUGGCCAAAUUGCAAAUAUGCGAAAAACUUCCAUGAAAUCGCUACAAAAUCAAAGGGACUAAUUGCGCAAAUAGACCCUUAAACAAAAACGCGCGGAUCCUUGGGUGCGGGUCGGGUCGACGUGCGGAUCCCCUCACCAAAACGGCGUCGUUUUGUGUUUAAUAUAAAUAUAAAAAAAGGGCUAAAAAAACAGUUUCAUCAUUUUUGUUGAAAAACUGAGAGAAACCUCUCUCUUUUUUCCCUUUCUCAGGCUCAGAUUCCGGAGAUGGCCCGGCCUAGGCUUCUGGCGAAUCUCCGCCGUAGAGCCACCGUGUGUGGCGGCCGGAGGUCCAAAAUCGGACCUUUUCGGUCCCUUUUUGAAACUAAGAAUCCCUAGGGUACGGAUCUGGGACCAAACCCCCGAAAAAAAGAAUCGGAGACCUAAAGAACGAGGGGAAACCGCUCGUCUUCUCUCCUCCGGCGCGGCGCAGGUAAGGUUUCUUUUUCCUUUAUUUAUAUUACGUAAAAAACAUACAAAAAGAAAAAAAAGAAAAUAGAGUUUAAAAAAAAUCUAAAACAGAAAUGAGAGAAAAUCACCUCUCAAGUUUUCUUGUUUUUUAUUUCUUUUUGCUAAUAUCUGUUUCUUCUUUUUACAAAAGUUGAUGGAAGAAGAAAAAAUUACAUUUUGUUGGCUUUUUAUAGCCGACUUCUACUACUGCCUGUGUUAUUUGCUCUCUGUUUCUUUGUUUUGUUUCUUCUUUGCAGGUGACGGUGCAAGUGGUGGUGGUGACGUGACCGUGGCAGUGGCGGUGUGAUGUUGGCGGCGGCGGCAGGCCAAAGGUCAAUAGGUGUGGAGCCUAGGGUUUUAGUUUUUGAAACCCUAGGCAGAUUUUUUUAGGGGAAUUGGGCCUUAGCUAUUGGGUCGUUCGGGUUUGGGCGUUGGGUUAGGCUAGUUGGGCUUUGAGGUUGGGUUGUUUUGUAAUGUGCUUUGGUGUUUGGGUUGGUAGGUGGUGGGUAAGGUUUAUUGUUUUGGGUUCUUGGGCCUGGUUCUGUUUGGUUAGGGUAAUGGGCCAUUUGGGUCUGGGCAUAAAAUUGGGCUAUACAACAAGGUGACCCGAUUACACCUCAUCAAAAAGGAUUGGUGGCGACUCCCAUUUUCAUUUUCAUUUCUUUUUAAAUCAAAGUCAACCCGUUUUUAAAAAAAUGGUUUCGACAAUAAGAUAUAUUGAUUAGUUAUGUCAUAACUAAAGAUGAUGGAGUUGACAAAAGGAAAUUGUAGUUAACAACGAAUAAUCUACGUAGAACAUUUCAAUAUUAUGGAAAAAUGAGUAUUUACCAACCUUCUUUUAGUCAAAUUAUGCAAGCCUAAAAUUUUUAGCUUAAUUUGAGUUUGUUGACUAUGUCUAAUUCAAGUUUUAUUAUUAAGGACUAAAUUGUAACUUAAAAAAAUUAGAAUACCAAUUUAAAGAGACAAAAAUUCAAAACCCCAAAACCCACAUGGGCAUGUGGGUAAGUGACACAGGCGUGUGGAGACUGGAGCUAUCACACACGGGCGAGUGGGACAGAAAAAUAUGAAAUAAAUUAAUCCACUUAAAUUUCAAACAACCAUGCUAUACUACCAAACCAAAUAAUGCUAGAAGCUUUGAAUAGGGGUGAAUCGAAAAAAAAAUAAAAGAAUUAGAAUUAAAUUAUAAAAUUUUCAGAAGUUAUCAUGUAUUAAUUUAUUAUUUUUUAAAGGGUCUUAAUAGAAUUUUUUUUCCAUUUUGGUUUGGCCAAUACCCCUGUCUACCUCUUUCAAUUUGCUUCAACCCUAAACCUAAUAUUCGAUUUGUUGUGGAAGUUUGACGCAUAAAAAUUUCUUUUUUAGAGGUUUAAAUUAUAAAUUUUUGAAAGUUUAAAAUAAAUUUUCAUUUUUAUUAACAAAAUAUAAAAGAAAAAAAACAUGUGUAGACAAACCAAGAAACCUUUGGGAUCAUACGGGUGAUUUUGAUGAUGUUAAUGGUUAUUUUGAUGGAGAGGGUGAAAAAGAAACAAAUGAUUCAUAUAUAUAAUAUAAUUAUGAAAUUCAAGCCAUAUAUUGUAUGUUUCAUCCAUAAAAAUUUCAUGGGAGGUCCGAAGGUAAUUAAAUGACUUGUAGGCUUGCUGAAUUUCUUUGAAAGGCCCAAUGGCAAUUUAACAUUCACAAAAUAAUCUCUAAAUACUGUAAAGACAAAAUCAAAUCCACAGCAGCAUUAGAGUUGAUUAAGCUAAGCAUUGGCAAAUAUUACUUUGAUUUUGCAUGCAAUAUUAGCAAAACCCCCUCUUACAUUAGAUAAACAACAUACUCCAUGAAACAUUGAUAGCCCAAAUACAAAUUUCAUCGACAAAAAAGUCUCUUUGUUUUGUAGAACAUGAUAGUAAAAAUGUGGAGUUUCGUUCUUCUUAUUGGCCUCCUUUAGUUUUCCUUGAUCAACAACCACUAGCCAAAAACACAAUUAGAUUAGAUUAUGAAUGAUACUGACAUUAUUAAAUAUAAAACACUCUAAAUAACUCUAAAUAAAUGGAAAGCAGCAAAUUACCUGACGAGGCAAGCUAGCUCAAUUAAGACCAUUGUGUUAUACUUGUCUCUGAAUUGAAAAAUUUAGAAGGAAAUAAAGAGAAAGACUUAGAAAAUAUUUGAAAACAGAUAAAACUUAUAUGUCAUUUAAAAUAAAAAUUUUGUAUUUAAGCCGUUUAAAAUUUUUAAGAUUUUUGAAAUUUUAAAAUGAUAAAGGUAAAAUUGUACUUUGGCACACCAAAAAUGAUAAAACUUUGAUUUAAUCCUUUAGAAAUUAUAAAAAUAUAGGCUAUUAAAAUGGUGAAAUUACCUUUUUACUAUAGUAAAAAUUACAAUUUAAUUUCACUUUAAGAUUUUCUGACUUCGCCCCUAAUAAAAUCUUUGGCAAAAGAUUAAAAUAAAAUUAUACCGUAAAUGGAAAAAGAAACAAAGAAAAUCCAAUCUAACAAAGAAAAUAACUUAUGUCCAAAAGCUACCAUAAACCGUAAUUCAUGGGAAGAGAGCAAAAGUAAAAACAAAUAGUUUAUAUGAUUAAAAUUCCAGAAUAGGUUAAAAAUGUUGAAUUAAAGAUAAAAUUAAGCGUGAAUUAAUAACCACAAGUGUACUCUUUACUCACCAUCUCUGUUAAAAAUGUUGGAUGUUGUUUAGCAACCUUUGUUUGAUUUUCUUCAGCUCAACCACAACAUCUUUCAUUUCUUUUCUUUCUUCUGGUAACUCAGCUGAACAAUUCAAAGCCAACUCCAUGAUAGAUGAAAUACAAUUUGCUUUAACAACAAAGUACUCAUCCUCUCUUCUUAGUAAAUCAACAUCUGCAAUUUCUAUCGCUCCUUUAGGCAAUGAACUUUCCAUCCAAUGCCUUAUAGUCUCUUCUUCAACAAAAACAUUAUCAGUUGGCUUUCUCUUUGUGAAAGUUUCUAUAAGGACGAUCCCAUAACUAUAAACGUCAGAUUUUAUAGAAACAAGUCCUGCAGAUCCAAAUUCUGCAUUUCAAGUAUAAUUAGAACAUCAUCAGUCCUCAAUUAUUUGAUAAAUCUAUGUAUAUCCACAUACACGAGAAACAAAAAUAUAAAACGCAAAUUAGGAAAAUAAUCGUACAAAGAUAAAAAAAGAAUUCACCUGGUGCCAUAUACCCGAUUGUUGCAAGAGUCAUGGUUUGCUUCAUUACUUCACCUUCUCCCAACAAUUUGGCAACGCCAAAAUCUCCAACAUGUGCAACCAUGUCUUCAUCUAGUAAAAUAUUGCUUGGUUUUAUGUCACAAUGAAUUAUAGGGGUUGGAUGUCCAUUGUGGAGGUGUUCUAUAGCCACCGCAACAUCUAUCAUUAUGUCGACCCUUUGUAUGAUAUCAAGGAAACAAUUUUUAGAAUGUAACCAUUUCUCAAGGUUUCCAUUAGACAUGUAAUCAAGCACCAAGGCUUUGAAGUCAACACUUGAGCAGCAAGUAAUGACCUUCACAAUAUUACGAUGAACUAUAUGAAGCAUAGCAUCACAUUCAAUGUCAAAACUCCUAAAUGCUCCCUCUGUUUGCAAAUUGAAAACUUUUAUUGCAACUUCCAUUCCAUCUGAAAGCCUCCCUUUAUAUACAUAUCCAAAACUCCCUGAACCAAGCAUAUUGCUUUCCUCAAGUCCAUUAGUUGCUCGUGAAAGUUCAGCAUGUGAAAUUCUUCUCGGUGUCUUCAAAGACAACAAAUCAUCUUUAAUUGGUAGAGCUGUACUCCUUCUUUGGCAUCUUCUAUACAUAAUAGUUAAGACUAUUAGUACUACGACAAUACCAAUUGUUGGUAAACCAUACCUAAAAGCAUGCAAUAUAAUCGUUUGGGAGUUUUUGUGGAUGUCGUUUUUACAAGGUGGGACUAGCAAUCUAGGUGGACCACAAAGUGCAUAAUUCUUCAUGAAUGAUGUGCUAGAAAAGUUUGAAAAACAUCCUUCGCUGGGAAUUUCCCCUUCAAGUCUAUUGAAAGACACAUUAAAAUACUUUAGAUAUAAAAGCUUUUCCAAAGAUUUGGGAAUGACUCCAGAGAGAUUGUUAUUGCAUAAAUCCAAGAAUUCCAAACUAAUCAACCCAUCAAAUGAUUCAGGGAUAUGACCAUGUAGUAUAUUAUUUGAUAAAUCUAAUGAAACCAAAGUUAUAAGACCCCCAAAUGUGGAUAAGAUAUCGCCCGUGAGAAGAUUCCUUGAUAAAUUUAGUUUCAGUAGACUCCUCAAAUUUCCAACAUCAAUAGCAUGUGAAUUGUGAAGAUGGUUUGAUGAUAAGUCUAUUUCUAAGAUAUCUUUAAGAUUCCACAAAGUUGAGGGUAUUGUAGAACUCAAUUUGUUGGAAUCUAAGUAAAGAUAUCCCAAAGAAGUAAUAUUACCCAAACAAGAGGGUAUGGAUCCAUGCAGCUUAUUCAACCCUAAAUACAUCUUGUAUAGUCUCUCCAAAUCACAAAGGCUUUAUGAGAUGGGCCCUCCUAAUUUAUUAGAGGAAAGAUAUAGACCUUGGAGAUUUCUCAUUCCUCCUAUUGAUGCUGGAAUCAAUCCACUUAAUUUAUUAUAGUCAAGUUGUAAAAGCAAUAGGUUGGUUAAGUUACCUAUUUCCAUAGGAAUAAUGCCUUGAAGCUCACACUCAUCGGCAUAAAAGUAUUGAAGGGAUUUUGAAAGGUUCCCAAUAUAAGUAGGAAGAACGCCACUCAAUGGAUUUCCUGAAACACCUAUUUUUCUCAAAUUCCUACAAUUCGUCAAAGAAGAAAGAAAGCUCCACUCAUGAUCAGUAGCAGAUCCUGUGAUCAAAUUAUUGUCAAAGAUUUUGAGCACUUCAAGGUGUUUUAAGCUGCCAAGCAUUUUAGGGAUUGGGCCAGAGAAUAAGUUUCGUGACAACUCUAGUUUCUUAAGCAUGGAAGCAUUGGAGAUAGAGUUGGGAAUGUUUCCGCUAAGUUUAUUUCUCCACAAUAAAAGAAUCUCAAGCUUUGGAGCAUUGGUGAUUGGUGGUAAAUCACCUGUGAAAUAGCAUCUUUUAGUAUACACAUUCAUUGAAUACCAAAUUCACAAAAUAUAUAAUACAUUAAAAUAAAAACUGUAAAACUUUAAAUCAAUUAAGAAUAAAAUUUUGGCAUGGAAAAAUGUGAUGAAAUCAAUUAGAAAGUUGAGACAUAAUAAGAAGUUUUGAGUAGUAAUUACUCAUGAUUUCUAUAGACAAAACAUAUAAUACACUGAUAAUUUUUUAAAAAAUAUUGUAAAACCUGAAAUAAAAUAAAAAAUAAAAGUUUGGCAUGAGAAUGUGGCAUCUAAUCAUUCUUAAAAAUAAGACUAACAUUGAAUAAUAAUUAGUUAUGAUUUGAGAAACAAAAAUGUUAAAGAUGUAAACUGGUAUGAUUUUUAUCUAUUGGGUUAAUUAUUUAUUUUUAUUAAAUUAUAUAUAGUGUAAAAUUUAAAGAUUAUUAUUUGCUCAAAAUUUUUGUAUUUUUCGUAUAUUUGAAAUUUAAUCUUUAUAUUUUUUAUUUUCUGUGAUUUAGUCUCUCUACUUUUUGAAUUGAAAAUUUUAAGUUUAUUUAUUAACACUGUUAAAAAGUUUUUGUGUUAGUAUGGCAUUUUGAAAAAUAAAAUAAAAUUGAUAUCUAUGUUUUUAAUUAUUCCAAAUAUUGUUUUACUAUUUCAAGAUAAACUUUUUGUGUCUAUACCAAUAUCUUAAGAACUAUUGUUGCAUGUUUAAUUAUUCUAAAGAUUUGUUGAUUGAGUCUUGGUUGAAGUGCAUUAUUCUCCUAUUUAUGAAUUGGGGAGUUGAUAAAGUACUUUAUUUUAAUAUAUUUUAAAAUAUUAAAAAUUUAUUAAAAUAUUUUUUAUAAAACUUGAUUGUACCACAAUAUACAAUUUUAAUAUCAAAUUUUUAAUUGUUUUUUAAAAAUAUUAGCGAAUAUAUACUUUAUUUCAAGUUACACAAUUUUUACUAGCUUUUAACUUUUUUUAAAAUUUUUAUCGUCUUUUAUAAUUUCUAAUAAUUUUUUAUAAUUUUUUACAAUAUUUACAAUUUCUAACAAUUUUUAAUAAUUUUAUUAUUUAUUUCAAAUUUAAAAAUUAACAAAUUUUUAUUUUUUUAAAACAAUUAUAUAUUUAUAAUGUAGUUAUUUUUUUAUAAUUUUUUUUUGAAAUUUAAAGAUUUUUUUGGUUUUUUUUUUCUAGAUGAUGAUGCCAUCAUGAUGCCAUCAUAUGCCACAUGCCUUCUAAUUUGUUGUCAUAUAGACAUAUUUCUUCGAGCGUAGUUGAAUUAAAAAUACUUGAUGGAAUCUGACCUGCACACAUAGUCGAAAAUUGAAGUGAAAAGCAUACCUUCUAAGCUGUUAAACUAAAAAUACUUUAAGCAUAUUUUAUUUUCCAUCAAAUUAACUAUUUUGCCUUGAAUGAAAUAAAAUGUUCUUAUUUUUGUUAUCUAUUACAAAUCAAACUCUUUUAUGAAAAAACUAUUUUAAAUUAAAGAAACAAAGAAAAUUCAAUAUCUUCUAAGUUAUUCCACUCCAAAUAUAAUCUUCAGUGAAGAAAUCUUGAAGAUGGAAGAUGGAACCUUACCAGAUAAUUGAUUGAAUCCCAAGCUCAAGGACUCUAGAUUAGACAUGUUAACAAGUGUUUCAGGGAUUGUGCCUAUAAAGUUAUUAUUUUUCAUUUUCAGCCUUCGAACUCCCUGUAAGUUCCCAAGCCAUGAUGGAAUUUCCCCAUUAAGACUGUUGUAUUUUAAUCGAAGGAUCCUCAAACGAUGCAAUUGGCCCAAUUCUUUAGGGAGAUGGCCAUAGAAAUGGUUUCUACUCAAGUCGAGAGAGAGUAGAAAUGAAAGAUUUCCAAGGUGUGGAGGGAUACUACCCCUAAGAUUCAUGCUUUUAAGUUUCAAAGCUAUAACUCUUUUAUGGAGGAUGCCACAAGAAACACCAAUCCAAUUGCAAACAGAGGUUGAGGCCGUCCAAUUGUUUGCCAAGACAUUUUGAGGACCGGCAAUGCGAUCCUUAAACUCGAGAAGUGCAAACUGAUCGGAGUUGAGAUUCCUGACUGUCAUACCCCAGCAAAGUCCGGAACAUGGUACGAAUAAAGCUAAAAGAAGAUGAAAGCAAGUGUUGUAGUUCAUGAUAGCAAGACGGAAUAAGCCAAGAAAAUAAAAAAAAGUAGGACAAGGGAAGUUGAGUUGAUAAAAUAGUUUGGAUGAUGAAGAAAAGCCCAGAGAGCAUGCUUUAAUAUGUUUUGAAGAAAUUUCAAAAUAAAUUUCAAAAUAAAUUUCAAAAUAAAAAUUUAAAAAGGAAAGCAAAGUUUUGAAGAAAUUUCAAAAUAAAUUUCAAGUCUUCUUCUUUAAAAAAUACGUACAAAGAGCGAAUUUUCAAAAUUUCUCCUAAAUUUUCUUCACAUUACUCCACAUAAUCCAUUAAAAAAACUUAAAAAAUAUAUUUUAUUAAUUACUAUACAUUCUUUUACUUUCAGAAUAAUAAAUUGUUUAAAAUUUGCUAUUAGUCCCUGUAAUUUAAAAGUUAAAAAAAAAAUUCAAUCCUCCUACUUUUCUAAUUUAAAAAUUCUAGUUCAAUCAAUUUUAAUUUUAAAAUCUUUGUAUAAAAGGUGUUUUUUUUUUGUGACCGAUCACACUUAACCAAUAUUUAAAAAUUAUUAAAAAAUAUUUUUUUUUGAAAUUUAAAGUGAUCUAAAAACAUAUUUUUAAGUACUUUGGACAGUCUAUUGUUGAUUUCCUUAUUAUAUUAAGUGUUUGCAAUCACUCCUAAUAUAUUGUGCUUGAGUUGUGACAAAGUCGAUCAUCAAAUUGCCAUAAUGAUCUAUUGAUGCUGAAAUUAAAGUUUUUGUUAUAUUGAUAGAGCUUGUCCUUCAACGCGUACAACGUGUUUGUUAUUUUUCUCCCUUCAAAUUGUAUGAUCUUAUUCAUUAAAUGAAUUAAUGAAUUUCCCUUUUAAAAAGAUAUAUUUUUAAAAAUUAAAUACUUUAUAAAAUAUUUAAAAAUUUGUAAGCCUUAAAACAAUCAACAAAAUAUUUUUGAAAUUUUAUAAAUAUAUUUUAAAAUUAUAGUAACGCUACAAAAUAUAUAUAUUUACUAAUUAUAUGCACCUUUUUUAUUUUUUUUCCUAACAUAUCAUUAUUUUCAACACUAUCGUAAUCCUGUUUUGAUAAUUCCCUUUCCAUACAUCCUUUUUCUACAUAGAAUUUCAAAAGAAAAUGUGAAUUAAUGUAAACGUGAGAAGACUUAAUUACAUUUAUUAGUUUAUCAAUCAAAACUUAAUUAGAAUCCAUCAAUAUUUCACACAUCAAAAACCCAAACAUAAAAUUCACUUUUAAAUUAUUUGAAGAUACAUUUGUAUUAUAGGAAAUGGAUUAAAUUAGUCUUUUAUUAUUAAAUGUAUUAUUUUAAUCUUUGUAUUAGGUAUGAAUUGUAUCUCCUAGAUUGAAGCCAAAGCUAUUCUUGAAAGACUGAAAUUAAGAUUCAGAUGUGUUGAGAUGGAAAGUGGCAACACAAUGUUGAUUGAAACUAUUUAUAACGGGUUGGCUACAAUAAGUAGUGCUGCCGAAGUAAGACAGAUUCACGAUUGGUGUUCCAAAAAUUGGGAAGUCAAAUUUCGACAUAUUCAACGAAAUGCCAAUAAAGUUGUUGAUUGCAUAGCUAAGGCAAAUGGAGGCGUAAUUGAGCAGCUGGUUAUCUUGGAAGAUCCUCUGCAUUAUGUGAGAUGCUAGCUUGAAGAAGAUAUUAGACAGUCACUAGUGACUGAUGAUAAUUUUCAUUUGGACUGAUGAGCGCUUAAUUUUCUAAGCUUAUGUUCAACAAAAAAAAAUUUAAAUACGUCUAAAUUGUAAUAGAGUUAACAUUUAGUGUUUAAAAAAUAUCUUAAAAAUUAUUUUUUUCCAAUUGCAGUUCAAUUCCACAAAUAUCGACGAUGAACCCGGACAUAAAAAUUACAGAAAAAAAAACACAUCUAUUAUCAAACCAGCAAUCCAUGUCUAAACUUAAAUUAACAAAAUUUGCCACACAACGCCCGGUACACUAUUAUAUAUCUAUACUAGAUUUAUUCUAGAUGCACAUGUUUUAUUAUAUUUAAAAAUUAAAAUGUAUGGUUGACUAAGUUUUAGUUGAGUUAGUAUUGAUAUUAUUGUCAGUGUAGGAAAAUGUGAGUUUAAUCACGCUCAAAUGUGUUUUAUCCUCCAAUUCAAGGGUUAGGAAAAGGUUAUUGAUAAUUAAAUUAUACCAACUUUUAUAAUAUUAAAAAAAAGGAUUUAUAAAUAAUAUAAGGAAAAGAAAAAAAGAGAAACAUAUUCAUAUUGAUGGGCUCUUUCAAUAUUAGACUUUUUUUUCUAUCACAAGUAAAAAUAUCAAAGGUGAUAAUAAUUAAAUUAUAAAAUUUAAAUUGAGAAAAUAGGGGAUAAAAUUUAUAAGUUUUAAAGUAUAAAGAAUGAAUUUAUAACUAACAACAUAUUUUAACCACAUAAUAAAAGUAGUUAUGGAGAGGAUCAUAUAAAAUGCAAAAAUGAAAUAAUAGAAAAGAAAUAAGUGUUGGGUAUAGUGGCAAUGUAUAUUAUACUUCUAAGGGGAGAUCAAGAUUUUAGACAAGGGAAGAAUUUUAAACCUGCUUUUUUCUCUAGAACUCAACGCAAACCUCAAAUUUAUCUUUUUAAAAGAAUUUAAAAAUAUCUAUAUAAAAGGUGAUUUUUUACCGAUCACACUUAACAAAAUUAAAAAAAAAUUGAAAUUUAAAGUGAUCUAAAAACAUAUUUUAAAGUGCUUUUGACCAUCUUGUGCUGAUUUCUUUAGUAAUUUGAUUUGUUCAAUAUAGAUUUUGGUGACUUAAAACAAAAUUAAUAAAAAAAUAUUUUAUCAGAUAUCUUUUUAAUGUUUAAUAAUAAGUUAAUUUAUAAAAUAUACUUUCAUUGGACACAGGGCCUCCAAGGCGGUGAACCACUAAUCAAAUUAAUUUUGAGAUACUUAAAUUUGUUUUCAUCAAUUAAGAAAUUAAAAAAAUUUGUUGAGACCUCAUGAUUAUGUUUUAUAAUUUCAGGCUUAUCAACUAUUUUGAAAAACAACAAAACGUCUUACACCAAAAACUAAAAAAAUAAAAACGUCGACAUUAAAUUUGUUGCCAUGCAAUCAAUUUUAAGAUGGUUUUUGGAGUUAUAUAUCACCUUAGCAUUGACUUACUUUUCUACACUUAGUCUUCUCCAACAAGUUAAAUAUUUCAAUUUUAACAACAUUGACAGGUCUUUGGGGUAGGGUCGAGCAAAACUCAAUAUAGGCUGAGUUGGCUCGGCCAAGUCGAGUCGACUUGUUCAAAUUAUUUAAAUUCGUAAUUUUUAAGGUGCAGUUAGAAUUUUUUGUUUUGAGAUGCUAAGAUUAAAAUAUUUCAGUUGCUAAAACAAAAUAUUUGUAUUUAAAAAGGCAUAAAUUAAAUAAUUAAGUUUUUCGAGUUUCCAUUUAAUCAAAGGUUAAAAGGACUAAAUUGAAGCUUUUUAUUUUUAAGAAAGGCUGAAUGACAAAUUGCCCAAAGCCAUGCCCCUAGCUAUACAACUAACUUCUCUAUGAUUAGUCCUUCGUUUGCUUUGGGUGAAAUCUUCCAACUAGCCUCAUCCUUGGUUUUACUUUCCAACAAUUAGUGUAUCACGAGUUUUGUUUUCUUUAAAAAAUAUUUGUGGAUAUUAGGAGAUAAUGAAAAUUAUUUUACUAUGAAAUUUUAAUAAAACUGGAAAAUAAGUAAUUUAUUUUAAGAGGUCGCAAUUAAACGUUAGAUUUCCAAUUUUUAAAUUUUAAUUUUUUUUUGACAAUUGCAUAAUAUUUUGAGUGUUGUAGGAAUGCCAUAAUAUAACCUUCCCUAAACAUAAUCGACUCUUGAGCAUGAUGGAUCCUAGAACUUCUCCUCUAUUCUCGUACCGCAAAUUGCUUCAAGUGUGGGUUCGAACAAUCACAAAUUAAACACAAAACCAGAAAUGAUUUAUUACUUUCAAUAGCAAGGUAAUUCUCUCUCAAUAGAAACCAAUAGAAGUGUAAUUCUUAGAAAAUAAAAUUUAUUUUUUGAAAAUAUAUUCUCACUACUUUCUAGCAGAAUAACAAUAUGUGAAACUUAUGUCUUGUGUUAAUAGCUCUACCAGUACUCUCUAUUUAUAGGGAGAGAUACGAGAAUCCUGGUUGAAUUAGUAAAACACGAAUAAUAUUUAUUUCAUAGAAAACAAUAUUCCACCCUAAGUAGAUCAAGUUUGUAUGACGCAUGGAUCAAAGCUCAAUCUAGGAGGAAAAAAAUAAAGGAAUUUUCUUUGUAAAGAAAAUUUGAGAUUGUACUAUUUUCAAAGUUAUAAAUAAAAUUAUACGCCAAAUUUUUAAGUCAAUUUCAACUCCAAUUUUGUAUGCACAAAUUUCUAGUACACUUGGUGGGACAUUCUUUGACUUUUAUCUAUUCUCUCAAAAAGUUAAAGUUCAAAGUUACAUUAAACUCAAAGAAGAUAAUCAUUAGUAAACCACCUCACAAGCCUGCUCAAACUAAUCCUACAACUCAUUCCACUUCAUCAUCAAACACCAAUGUUCUUGCUUAUCCUUAUGGAAUUAAACAGUCUCAUUUUCUGCAUUUUGGGUACACACCUGGUUUUAUUUGAUGCUAAAACAGUCCCCGAGCACUCCAAAGCCUAUAAUUGAACAAAUAAUACUAAUUUAAUCUUACAUAACAUGAUCCCAAAUUGAACUUGUAUCGAGGUUUUAACCCAUAAGUGACUAAACCUUACCUUCAACCGAGUGAACAGUAAUUCCCACACAAACUAAGACUCCGAUUGAAGAUUACGAGCCAUUGAAUCCUCCCCUAAUUGGCAUAAACAAAACACUUCAAAAGAAAGUCAACAAAUGGAGACAAAUCACUUAUCUAAAACUUACCGAACGAUCACAGACAAACGUGAAGCGACACGAGGCAGAGUGGGAAAAGAAAAAUCAAGAGGAUGAAGGGUGAAAGAGAGCAGAAAUUCGGUAGCAAUGAAGAGAAAAACGGCAAGAAAGUGGAGGGAUUUUGGGGAAAGUAAAAAAAAAGAUGAAUAGAAUAUUUGAUAACUACCCCAAUCCCUUAUUUCUCUCUAUCAAACUCCCCACUAAAUCCACUACUCAAAUUUUUAGUCCAUCUCAAACUCUCCUGGACGCACGAGCAAAAAAUAAUGCCCAUGCCAAAAUUUAAACAAAAGACCUCCUUCACACCAACACUCCACUUAUCCACCAGACCAAUAGGCUCAUUCUUUUAAUUAUUUUCCAACUUUUACUUAAAAGCCUACUGACCAAAGAUAGGGCUUAUUCAUAAAAAUACCAAAUUUUGCCCAAGACCUGGCUUGAACUUGGGACCUCCCAAACACACCCAGAACACAUAACCACUAAAGCAGACAUAAAUUUUGUGUCACACAUUCACAAUACCCAAAAUUAAAAUUUUAGGGCGUUACAAAAACACAUUAAAUAAUAUCGCAUAAAAUAAUCACAGUUAGAUAACAGUUCAGAAUGUCGAUUUUACAAUUUAACCACCAAUAGUAUCACAGUAUUCACAGUUGUAAUUUCAGAAUAUCAAAUUUCCACAUGAUUCACAAUAUUCACACAUAUAUAAAUAUAUCAUAAUAGAAUUCCAGAUUUGUAUGCACAUGAUUUAGAAGAUGCCAUACAAUUUUGGUUUUUAACAGAAUAAAUCCUACCCCACGUUACAUACCAUAAUGGGAGUUCCCCUAAACUCCCUUCUCCAACACACUAGGUUAUGGAUAAACCACUAUUGGUUCACAAAUAAUAACUGUCAUUUGGCUGUGGACACACAGCAAGUCCCCACAAUUGGAUUCUAGAUUUGGUUGUGGAUUCACAGCAAAAAAAUCCUACAAAUGAAGCCUGCUUUUGCCUGUAGAUUAUACAACAUAUACCCGCAGUUGGAAUCUGUCUUUGGCUGUGGAUGCAGUGUAACACCGCAAACUCGACCUGGACAUUAUGGCUGAAUCUUGAUGAUUUACUUUAACUCGCUAGAAAACCCACGAAUUUACUUUAAAAUCAUGUGGUUAAACUAGUGUUCACUUUGAUAAAUUGUUUUCCAGUUUUAGAGAAAUUUCUUGUUAAAACUGUUACUUUAUUACAAUAAAACAUUAAAGUAAUUGUAUCAUUUUGUAGUGGAAUCUACUAAGCUAUAAGGUUUUGAAAAUCGUGAUUUAGUUUGCAACAAAUCAUUUUGCAAAUAGAAAUUUAAUACUACUUAAUUUGGAAAAUCACGCUAAAACGAAAGCAAAGUCCAAAAUAAUUUACGGUUUGAAAUUCUAAAAAGCCCAAAUUAGACAUAAAGUCUAUUUAAACCAAUUUAUUGAAAGUGUAACACCCUAAACCCGGCCUAUAUGUUAUGGCCAAAUCUAGAUGUGUUACGAAAAAAAGUUUAUAAAAUGACUUCCUUGUUAUUGGCAAACCAUCGUAACCAUUAUUACUUAGUAUAUCUGAUUUGUUUGGAAAACUUAUUGAUAUACUUAUUUGAUUUAAAAUCGUUGCUCGCUUAUGCCUUUUUAUUAAACCAAAUAUUUUGCAGCGGAGUUUCUUUACAACAUCAUAUUUUGGAAAAUCAAAUUGUUUCUUGAAAAUCGUUAUUUUAGAAAAGUUUUCAUUUUCAGAAAAAUUAUUUUAUCAGUUGUUAUGCUGAGAAAACAAAAUAAAAUCCAAAACCAAAAAUAAUCGCAAAAAGUCUAGAGAGUCCCAAAAUGACAAUACUCUUAAAACUAGACAAGCUUAAACUAAUUUUAAAAGAAUGAAAUUUUACAGAAAUGUGGACACCACUGAGCUUCCGUCGCACCGACCCACCUAAAUCUGAGGGUUACUUGAACAGAACAAACAAACAGAGAGUGAGUUUUGAAACUUAGUGUCUAACGCAUAUAUAAACAAAAAUUCAGAAUCAAUCUCAUGCAGAACAGAUACAAGUGUAAACCUUUUAUAAAAUUAGAAUUGUACAGAUACAAAUAUGCAACAUCCUACCCUCAUCCUCUACACACCAACUCCGACCAUCCUAUCACACCACGUGGGGUAUAAAAUACCCAUCCAGCCCUACACACCGUAUAGUGUUUAUAUGACACUUUUUGGAAUAAUCGCAGCAGAGUUGCCAGUAUAUAUGCGAGAUAUCACCUCACAUAGAACACUUCCUCCUCAUAAUACAAAUCCCGCCUCAUAGCUAGAUACAGACAAAAUAUGAUGUAAAAUAAAUUAACAGAUACUAGAGUUAACAUAUCACGCGUGAGCGUAUAAUAGAUAUUACACAUGCUUAUGCAUAACAAAAUAGAUCAUACAUAUUGUAUUCCAUAAUACUCAUAUAAAUGUUAUUUACGUCAAUCUCAAUCUAACAGAGUAGCAGAUUUCAUGCUUUAACGCUUAUACCACACAUAUAGACCCUAUAGAAGGCCCACAGUCGAUCGAGACAACAUGUAUGUCGCUAGGGAAAAAAUUUGUAAUUUGGGCCCAUAUACAUGUAUGAGCCCACACACCCAAAAUGGCCUUGCCCAUGUGGCUCACCAACCUAGCACUCAGCCCAUACGGUCCAAAAUGGCCUAGGUCGUGUGUCACACACAGCCGCAUGUUGCACACAGCCUACCACAUAGCCAGUCACAAAACUGUUUGGAGUUGAAAAGCCCAAUUUUUGGCUUUCGUCAAUCAUCAUUUUCUUACGUUUUCAUUACACACCUGGUUUGAUUCUGACGCAAAAGCAACCCUAUGUCCACCGAAACCUAAAAAUAGCAUUCCAACGCCCAAUUUCAGUGAACAUUUACAAAACUCAAACAAAAACUAUCCAAAAACAUAGCCUCACAAUAGCAUCCAACGCACUCGCACACUUAUCGUCAACAAAUAGGAAACACCCAACACUCAAUUCGUUGGCGGAGCACCAAUUAUGAUAAUGCAAAAAUUUUAUGGAUUCUCAACACUAUCGAUCCGAAUGUAAGAUUGAUGCUUUCCAAUUAUGAUAAUGCGAAAAUUUUGUGGGAUGGUUUACAUGAAUUUUUUUUGUUGUCAACGAUCAACGUAUUCAAUAAUUAAAAUAAAAUAUUAGUCGUUUUUAGAAAACCAAGACUAUGAGUGUUGUAGUUUAUUUCAGUAAAUUAAAGGUUUUGUGGGAUGAACUAGAUAAUCAUGAACCAUUGAUUUGUUGCAAGUGUGGACAAUGUUUAUGUAACUUAGGGAAGGCGCAUGAACAAUGUCGUGAGCAUGAUUGACUUCAUCAAUUACUUCUUGCUCUCUAUUGUAAUUGUUAUGCUCAAACUAGGUUUACACUGUUUUACCAAGAUCCUUUGCCUUCCUUAAAUCAGGCAUUCCAACAAAUUACUUAGGAGGAACAUGUACGUGGAAUUACACUGAUUAAGGAAGAGAAGUCUGAUAUUUUAGGCUUUGCUAUGCGUACAGAGGGUCAUAACAAAGGCCGAGCUAAUUGUAUUGAUAAGUCAACCUUGUUGUGCACUCAUUGCCAUCGCAAAAGGCAUGAGAUGGCUACCCAUUUUGAAUUACAUAGCCACUUGGAUUGGCGGCUUAAGAAGUAUGGGAAGCCAGAGAAGAAAAGUGAUGAUCGUGGUGGUAAGACAAGUGCCACAUCUUCCACGUAAGUGUUUUAUUUCAAAGGAUCACAAUUAAACAUUAGAUUUCUCAUUUUUAAUUUUUUUAUUUUUUUAACAGCUACGUAAUUAACGAGUACCAAUUUUGGGUGUUGUAGGGGUUCUAUAACUUUCCCUAUAUGUAAUCGACUCUUGCACCCACUUUUUUUUCUCUAGAAUUCAAUGCAAACCUUAGAUUUAUCUUUUUAAAAGAAUUUUAAAAUCUCUUUAUAAAAGACGAUUUUUUUAGGUGACCAAUCACACUUAAGAAAAACAAAUCGGUGGCAACUCCUUUCUAAUAAAUGUAAAAAACUUUUUAAACAAAAUAAGGUUGAAAUAAUCUAGUUGUCGUUAUACUUUGAUAAAAUUUUAGAUUUAGUCCUUAUACUUAAAAGGUUAAAAAUUAAGUCUUGUUUUUAUUUAAAAAUCUUAGUCCUAUCGUUAAUAUUGUUUUUUUUUGUCAAAAUUUGUCAAGUUGACAUAUUAAUUAGGUUUCUCUUAUAUAUCGUGGUAUAUGACUAACACAAAAUAAACAAGUUGACAAAAUCUACAAAAAAUAUCAAAGAUGAUAAUAGUUUAAUUAAAAUUUUUAAAUUAAAAAAGUAAGGGAUUAAAUUUAUAACUUUUAAAGUACAAUGAAUGAAAUUAUUGAAAUACAAGAACUAACAACAUAUUUUAAAAUAUUACUAGUAAAUUAUAUAUCUACAACAAGAAUUGUAACCUCUUAUAUUAUAUUCUUGUAUCUAUUUUUGCAUCUUUCAUUAUAAUAUGAUUUAUUAAUUUUAAUAUUUUUAUAGAAUAAUAUGCUUUAAAUAGUUUUUUGUAUAAUUUAUAAAAAUUAUAAUAAACUUACAAAAUAAUUUAAUGAUAUUUAAUUAUUAACCAAAAAAAAUGAUAUCAUAUAUAUUAUGUAUAUAUUAAGAUUCCGAAUCAUUAAUUAUAUAUCUACGCAUUAUAAUAAAUUCAUCUUUCAAAAUUUUCCUUAUAAUUAAAGCAUAAAUUAUAUUUAUAAUAUUAUAAAUAUAUUUUAUCAUAAAUAUUCUUUCAAAUAUUUUUUAAUGUUUAAUAAUAAGUUAAUUUAUAAAAUAUUUUUUCAAUAAAUUAAUGUGAUGAGAUCGUUAGGUGCUUGGAUUUGGUGAAGGGGGAUGAAGAGAAAAGGGAUGGAAGUGAAUAAAAAUGUUGAGAAAUCGAAAGGGUUAGCGAGGGAAGCCGCCAUGAAAGGUGGUUCAAUGGAUAUGAACCAUCAAGCUUUUGUGGAUGAUGUUACUCAAGGUUGUUGCAAGUAAAUUAAAAAAUAUUUUUUUAAAUUAUUUUUUUGUUAAAAAACAUUUUUUAUUUUUUAUGUGGCAUGCCACAUUAUCAUAGUAUCAUGUGACAACUUCUGGUGAUUUCUGUCUGUAACAUUAGUCAAAUCAACAGUUAAAUCGUUCAACUCACAGUUUUUGUUAAAUGAAGAGGUCAAUUGGUUUUUUUGGAAUCAUUGAGUACUCAAUUGGUGCACUUUUAUCAUAAAGGCUAAAUUAAUUUUUUUAAUUUGUUAUUGUUGAGGGCUAUAACAAUAAAAAAAUUAAUGUAAAAUGAAAAAAAUGUUAGAGCUAAAUUUGUCAUUAUAACUAAAAUGUAAAACCAAAAUUUUUUGAAAAAUGAAAAAAAUGGAAAAUCACAAAUUCUAUCACUUAUGUUUGCUUAAAAUUAUAGUUUUGGUCACCAAUCUUUUGAAGUAAAUAUAUGGUCACCAAUAACUCACCUUAAAGUUAUACCCCUACGCAAGAAAGGAUUAAAUGACAUUGGAAUACCAUAAAACUUGUAUCUUUUUUUAUUCAUCUAAUACCAUUUUAACAUUUUCAUUUUAAAAAAUUGACAUAUCAUUUUGAAUUUGAUCUUUUUCAUGGUAUCUCAAAUUCAUUUAAUCUUUCCCUCUCUAAAAAAGCUAAUGUAACACAUUAAUGACAUCAUUUCAAACAAAGUUUUAGGUCAAAUUAUUCAUCUAGUCCUUGUAAUUGUUUUUAUAGGUGAAUUUCAUUAUUAUUCUUUUAUUUUCUUAGGCUUAAAUACACAUUUACCCCUAAUUUUAUCCCAUUCUCCUUAAUUGGUAUUUAUGGUUUAGAAAAUUUUAUAAAUAUAUUAUUUUUUAAGAAAUUAUAAGAAGAUUACAAAAAUUCCAAAAUAAUAUAAAAAAGCCAAGGAAAACCUAGAAAUUCAAAAAAAAAAAAAAAACGUCGACAUUGAAUUUGCUGUUUCACAUUCAAUUUUUGGAGAAGUAGAAUUUUCUAACUUAUUUUCCAUCAACUUGACUUCAAUUUUCAAUCACAAUCAAUUGCAUUCAAGAGCACCACAUCUGUUUGGAUGAAACAAACCUCUCAAUUUUAAGAUAAACGGGUCUUUAGGGUUAUAAAUUGAGGGCCUUUUCCACAAUUGCGGGUGAUUCGUUGAUAAUAACCUCAACAUUUCUGUAUCACAUUUCAAUUUUUAAUUUUUAGAGAGAUGAUUGGGUUACAAGACUGGUUUGAAGUGAAGAUAUUUCAAAAGAAGAUCGAAUACUCUACCAAUAGUCAUAAUUUAAAAUUCAGGUUAUGUUUCAUUUCAGCUAAGUUAAAUGUUAAGAUUGAGGUUAAACCUUUUAGAGGUUGCUCACAAAAGGAUCAAACCUUUAUAAAAUUGCCUAAAUGAAGGUUAAACCUUUUAAAAUAGACAAAUAAGGGCCUAACCUUUUAAAAGGUGUUCAAAUAAGGGUUUCUCAAACGUUGUAUAUCAGGUUAUGUGUUUUACUCUAAACACAUCGACAUUUACCUAUUUUUUCUAUAAAUUUGGUUGAAGUGCAUGAAAAAUCCUUAUUUGAGCACUUUUGUAAAGGUUAAUCUCUUAUUUGACCAUUUUGAAAGGUUUGAUCCUUAUAUAAGUAACCUCUAAAAGAUUGAGCACUAAUUUGACAAGUUUGAGAAAUAUCUAAAUUUGUUUUCAUGAAUCAAGAAAUUAAAAAAGAAAUGUUGAGAAAUAUUUUAGAGAUUCUUAGCUUUGACAAGUUCCCUCCACCAUCUCCCUGCCUCCAGUCCCACCUCUUCUCUUAUGCUCCUUCCAGCUUCUUGCCUUUUGUGUGUUGAAAAUUCAAAGGAACAAAAUAUCAACCUACAUCAUAAGGCACGAUCGCCAGAACUUUACUUUCUAGCCUGUCGAUCCGAUCCAAUCCAAUGAAAGAAGAACAAGGAGUCUUAAGAUCUGUCAACUUUAUUUCAUUUUCAUUUUCUUUGUCAUUUUCUAUGUUUCAUGUCGAAUACAAUGAAAGAAGAACAUAGAAAAAUGUGGCCUAUUUAUUUCCCAAUCAUCAUGAAAUUACUUGCCAUUGACUUAGAAUUUUCUCACCAAUUUUCAAGCAAUCUGACAUGAUUUCUCAAUCACAAUUAAUUGAAUUCAAGAUCUUUUUAGAUGACACAAACAUUUCAAUUUUAACACAAACCAAUAUUUCGGUUAUACUUCAGUGCUUGACAAGCACUUUCACAUUUGUGGGAUAAGAACUCUUAACAUUUUAGGAUCACAUUUAAUUCAAUUGCAUUUAAGACCUCAUGGUUUUAUUCUAUAAUUUCAGUCUUAUCAGCCUUUUCGGAAACAAUAAAACGUCGACAUUAAAUUUGUUGUUGAUGCAUUCAAUUUUUUGAGGGGUCUUUGGAGUUAUAUGUGACUUUAGCAUUGACUGACUUUUUUAUAAUUUAUCUUUUAUAAUAAGGUAAAUAUAUUAAUUUUAAUAACAUCGACAUGUUUUUUAGUAGGGUCGAGCAAAACCCAAUUAAAAUCGAUGAUAUUGGCUUAGUUGACUCGGUCAAGUCCAUUAGAUUGAUAAAAUCAUUUUUAAAAUCAGUUAUAAUGGAUAAAGGUAAUUAAUUAUCGAGUAAUGAAAUACAUAAUCAAAUCAAUUGAUUUUGUUAGAAACUAAAAGAAAAAGGGCUAAGCUGAAAAUUGAUUGCCCUUUAUUAAAAUUAACGAAUCUGUCUUUUACGUAUUAGAUAAUAUGAACAUCGCAUAUAUAAUAAGAAAAAUUACGUAUGAUUAUUUAUUAUCAUAAAAGGUUAGUUUAAAUUUAAAGUAAUCUAAUAUGUUUAUUGAACUUCAACUAUUAAAUAAAGUAUAAGCUAAAUAAGUAUAAAUAUUCUAGAAACCAUUUCUAACUGAUGAUAGGCUAAUUCGAUUAAUUUAUAAAAACUAGAUAGUAGGGUUAUAGUCCUCAAACUACACCUAAUUUAAUAACAUUUAUAUUUUUUUUAGCCUUAAACAUUUAUAGUUUUUGUUAAUUUGGUCCUUACUCUUUAAAAUUACAUAAAAAUUGCAAAAAAAUUAAAAAUUAAUUUUUAUCAUGAUUUUAAUAACAUUUAUAUUUUUUUUGUGGUUUGGUAACUUAUCAACUUGACUCUUACUUGUAACCAACUUUUCUAACCUUUUUCGUACCCUUAACCUAAGUCCCGUUACAAUUUCUAAAGACCUCUUGAUUGGUGUAUCAUCUCGAUUUGUUUUUAUAGUGGUGGAGAUUUGUUUUUUGUAGUGGCAUGAUUGCCAGAACUUUACUUUCUAUCCUGUCGAUCCGAUCCAAUGAAAGAAUAACAAAGAGUCUUAAGAUCUGUCAACUUUAUUUCAUUUUCAUUUUCUUUGUCAUUUUCUAUGUUUCUUGUCACAUACAAUGAAAGAAGAACAUAGAAAAAUGUUGCCUAUUUAUUUCCCAAUCAUCAUUCUAACAGGCCGAAUUAGCCCAGGCCCAAACAUUAAUAAAAUGUCCAGAUUACAAAAUAACCAACCAAAAAUUAAAAGCCCAAAAUAAUAAAAUAAAACCCAUUACAUUAACCCAAAACUCCAGCCCAAUUACAUUGAAGCCCAAAAAAAUAGUUUUUAGAAACCCCUAGGGUUUCUGGAACAAUCCGCGCCGCUCCUCCAUCCGCUUCUCCACGCACGCUGCACCUUUCCACGUGCGCCUCCAGCUGGCAGUGUACCUCCAAUGCAACAAACAAAGCAACAAGCAGCAAAAGAAAUGGAAAAACAACAAAAAAAAAAAGAAAGGAGCAACAAUGUAUAACAGAUUGAUAACAAAUAAUAGAAAAAAUAGCAGUAAAUAGGAAAAAAAAUUAAAAAAUAAUGAGGGUAAUUUCAUUUUUUUCUCUGUUUUGGCUAUAAAGAGAGCCGGUCAAAAUCUCUAAAGGGGGAUUUAGAAAUCAAUCAGAAAACAAGUAUUUUGUACCAACAAUUAGAGAAAAAAAAUACAAAAAUAGGGAUUGAAGGUUUUUUUUUCUUUCGUUUCGAUUUAUUUUAAAAUAGCAUAGAAAAUAAAAAGAAGGCUUACCUUGCGACGCCUUCAGAUCCUCUCGAAAAGGGGCUAAAAGGCCCUAUGUGGCACAGAUUUGACCACUGUUCACGGUGGAACCGCAGCGGAGGCGCAGAGGAUUGGCAUCAAUUUAGGCAGGGUUUGAAACCCUAGCAGAGAAAAAAUUAGGGUUGAUAGAUUUUUUUUAAAAAAAUGGCAAAAUGUUGUUUUAAAAAAUUUUGUUUUAAAAAAAAUUGUUGCUUUUAUAAAGGGUGUAAAACGGCGUCGUUUAGGGCAUGUUUCGAUGGCCCCAAAACGGCGCCUUAUAAGGCAACCCCCGACGACCCGACCUGCUCCAUGGGGGAUCCGCGUGGUUUUUGUUAAAUGGGUUAUGUCUAACCCUGGCCCUUCUACUUUUUAUACUUGUUUUAAUUUGAUCCUCUUUUUAUUUAUUUUUAUUUCUUUAAAUUAAGCCUGAUAAUUUUUUUCCAUUACAUUUUAAUCCUUAAUGAAACGGCGCGUUUUAGAGGAGAAGGGAAAAUUACCCUUCUAGUCCCUUCUUGUUAUUCGAGUGUUCAGAAGGGUCCUUUUUUGUUUAUUUUUUAUUUGCCCCAAAAUUUUGUUUUAAAGCUUAAUUUAGUCCUAUUUUGUUAUUUUAGCUAUUUUAUUAUUAGAUUAAUUAAUUUAAUAUUAUUAUUACUGCUAUUAUUUUACCCCUAUUAUUUAUAUAUUUAUUAUUAUAACUAUAUCAUUAAAUCAAUUAGUUUUUACAUUAUUAUUUCCAUUCUGUUUUUUAUUUACUUACUUAAAUACUUUAAAUGCAUUUAUUUUAUUUCUUAUUUUUUUAUGAAAUUUCAAAACUUUAGACUAUUUUUUUGUUACUAUAACCCUAAUUUCAUUCAUUUUAUAAUAGUUUUUUUUUAAAAUAUUUCUUAGAUUAAUUCCCUCGAUGUUAUUUUGUAUAUUUAUUUAUCUUUUUAAAUUUUCGAUAUUGUCUUAUUGUAUUAUUGUUGUUACUAUCAUUAUUCAUUAUUAUUGUUGAUUUUAUUCUUCUUUGAUUAAUGUUUAUGUUAGAGUAAUAGGUGUUAUGUGAUCAUUGUUAUUAUAUGUUAUAAUUUGUUGACACUCGUAUUGUAGUCAUUCGUCAGCUUAAUAUUUUGAGUAACAUUUUAAAUAUUACAUUAAUUUUGACCCAAAUGCAUAAUUUUUUAAUAAGUAAUAUUUCGUAUUGUGGAAUUUGAGAGAUCAUUCCCUAACUUACGGGGUCUCGAUUUUUUUGAUAAAUCUGAAUAUAAGAACUAUUUUAAAAAAAUACGUUUUAAAAUUAUCUCGGGAAUUUAAAAAGAAGCGUGUUCUAACUUACGGAAUAUGAUCUUUUUUUAAAAAUCGAGAUAAUCAAAUAUCUUUCAAAUAAAUAAACUUUUCGUGUUUAUUCUCGUUUUAGGAUUUAAGAUAUUGUGUCCUAACUCACGGGACACAAUUCUUUUUCUCGAUUAACGUGAAAUACGCCCUUUUUAAUUUUAUCUUUUUAAGUGAUUUUAACAAAAGGAUUGUAUUUUAAAUCUCUUCAAAAUUUUCAAUUUUUCGACAUUGAGACAUUAACUAAUCAAUUAGGUACCAAUUUUGGGCGUUACAAGGGUGUUAACCCUUCCUUGUACAUAACCGACUCCCGAACCUAUUUUUCUGAAUAUUAUAGGCCAAAAUUGUUUUAAUAAAUUAAACCCUUAAGAGGUGACUCGAUCACAGCUCAUAAAAAUUAUCGGUGGCGACCCUUGUUUUAAAAAAGGUGGUUUCAACAGCUUGGCGACUCCGCUGGGGACAAAAAUAAGAGUCAAGCCGCGAGUUGAUUAUUUCUUAUCUUUUUGUCAGAAAUUGUGAAUUCGAUUUAAAUUUAUGAUCUUUUCAUUGCAUUUUAUGGUCUGCAUCAUUUUUAUAUGCUUGCUUUACUACUUCGAGUCUUUUAAUCUUCGCAUAUUGUAUUGCAUAACCGUUCGGUUAUACCCUUUUAAGCGGGAGUGAGAAAUUAUUCUUUCGUGAGGUUUUCACCUUCGUAUAGGAUAGUGGAUUACUUUCAGGAUACAUCCAUACCUAUGUCUUCGUGAGAUUCUCAUCUCCGUAUAGUCAUAGGGAAAUGUAUUCCCCUGAACUGAACUCAGUCCGUAUGAGCCUAUAAUGGGUGAGGAUUGAGGAAUCUGCUGGUUCAGGUACCCUUUCUUUAGAACUAAACCGCAUGUAGUGAGCCCUAAGAGCAUACCCUAGGUAGAACCACUCCAAACCCCUAGUGGUCACCCAAAUAGGUGCUCUAUUUAUUUUUGCUUGCUUGUUUUUGCCUUGUACUAACCUAUUUGUUAUGGUUAUGAGUGCAUUGCAUUUUUAUCAUAAAAAAGAUGUGUUGAUUCACGUUCAGUUGCUAAAUAGAGAGCUUGUCAUGGAAAACGAAUUUCUUGAUAAAGUGGAAGACAAUGCGGUUGUCCGGAUAUGGUCCAAGAAAAUGUGAAGAAAGAAGGGUGAUAGUCUAAUGGAGGACUACACGACCUUGCUUUGUUGCCUGAUGAUUCAAGUUGACAAAGAUUAUUCGAGAGUCUUCAAUGUCCCGACCUUUUUAAAGAAGCUAACGAGCGUCACGAGGAUGAGCGAGUAAUGAGUUGCGGCCCGGAUCAAGCAAAAAAAAGAUAGAGGAGACACCCUUUUUGAAGAGUUCACGAGAUUUAUCUUAACAUCUAGACGAAGAAAAAGAUCAAUCUCUUUGCCUAGAGUAUGAGGGCAAAGCCGUAUAUAUCCGCUUUAUGUAAAUAAAUUUGUUUUCUAGUAAAGUUUUUCUAAUAGGAUUGAAUCAGAAUCAACGUCUCUUUUUGCAUUCAUUCCAUUCAUCUGCAUUGCAUUUCAUUGCAUCUAGAAUUUCACAAAAGGACCCUAAUUAAUCGAAAUUGUUAUAGCUACCUUGAAAAACUAACGAAAAUUUACCAAUUAAAUAUUCCUAUGGUACCCAUUGCAAAACUAAAGUAAUGGAUCAAAUAUUAGAAAGAUUAGAACAAAUGCUGAAGGAUAAACAUAACUGCUUUGGCUUAGGGUACAAGCCAGAUACAAGACAAAGAAGAAAUAGGAAAGGAGAACACGUUUGAGCGGGGAUGAGGUCAAAUGGGAGGGAUUAUUCAUCCCAGGCGAAGAAUGCCAAGAGAAGAAAAUAUUGAAAACAUGUUGGGAAACGUUCACAUCAAUGCCAUAUACGAAGAAGCAAUUGAAGGAGUGACCUUGUUAGAUAUCCGCCCUUAUGAACCUAAGAGUGUGCUAAACAAUUGGACUGCAGAAGAAAUUCUUGUAGUGUUUAGAGCUUACUCAUAGUAAUGUUCAGAACACACUUGUUGCUUUUAGCCUAGAAGUGAUAAGAAUCCCUCUGUGAAAUAGGCUCAUGUAUAAACAUCAUUAUUUUAAUGAAGUACAUCUUUGCAUUCAUUUUGAGCAAAUAUUCUUUUAUUCUUUUCAUACGAGUAAUUAUUUUGGAUUCUUUAAUUCUUUUGGGAUUUUCUUCCAAAAUCAUUCUUUUAUUACAUCCAUAAUCAUACUGUACAAAUAAUGUAAUAGCCUGAAUUUUCAGUGGUGUCGGAAUGGUGAUUCAAGAUCACUAAGUCUGACAAAUGAGUAGAAAAUAUUAUUAAUUUAGUAAGAAUAAGUAAAUGUGAAGUUAGGAAAAUUUUUGAAAUAGUGAAUAGUGUACUAGGAAUAAAUAUUAAAAUAAUUAAAAUAAAAAAUGAGGUAUCGAGACCUCGAAGAUUUUAAACCAAGCCAUAAGUACUUUUAGAAGUAUUUUUAGAGUGUCAUUGAGUUGGUAUUAAAGUUUCGUUAGAAAAUUUUAACGCUCGGAUAGUUAAUUAACCAAAAAGGACUAAAUUGAAAAUAGUGUAAAAUUUGUUAAAUUGUGAUUAAAUAGCUUAAGUGAUUAAAAAGGAGGGAUUUAAAAGGCAAUUAGGCCCAAAUUAUAUGGGCUGGACGGUUGGGUAAGAAAAAUCAGCAGAAUGUAAGGAGAAACAGGGGCAAAAUUGGAAACUUAACAAAUUAAACAUAUAAAACAAAGACAAAAGUGAAAAAUCUAGAGAUCUGCUCACAAUUUAUCAGCAAAAAUGCCAUAGGAGGUCUGAAAGAAGCUGGUUUUUCAUAUAUUUGAAUCAUGUAAGUUUAAUUCUUGAUUAUUUCUUCUAAUUUUUGUGAUUUUGAUACUUUUACAAUUAGGUCCAACUAAUUAUUUCAUUAGUUUUUGAUUUCAUGGCUGAUUUUGAAAGUUACCAUUGAUGAGUGUUGGAUUUUUAUGAUGAAUAAACAUGGAAUUAAAGCUUUAAUUUUGUUAUAUGAUGAUUUUAUUAAGUAAUUUUGAUAGAAAUUGAUUUUUGGGACCUAAUUGUGAAAAAGUUUGGAAUUAGGGUUUGGUGUUGCGGUUUUGAAUAUGAAAGUCUAUGUAGUAGUCUAAAAUAGUUGGAAAAGGUGUUAAUUGAGAAAAAUUAGAUCAAUUGAGGGGUUAAUUGAGUAGGACCAAAUUGUAAAAACUGUAAAGUUUGAGGUAAAAGUGUAAUUUCGAAAAUUUAAGGGCAUAAAUUGUGAAGUGAAUUAGAAUAGAAUUAUAUGCUGAUGAAUGAAUAAAUUUGUAUUUUAGAUCGAGAACCCGAAGCAAGCCGAGGAAAAGAAAAAGUAGUUGAUUAGUCCCUGAACUUUUACAAAUUCUGCAAAUCGACCCAGGUAAGUUCAUAUGGCUGAAAUUUAAUGAUUAAAUGUUAAUUUCAUGAAUUAUGUAAUGUAUGAUGAAAUGUAUUUAGUGUUGAAAUGAGAGUAAAAUAAAAAUGCGAAAAUCGAAUAAAUGAUCAAAUUAAGCGGAACGCCGGAUUUGAGUACUUCUGAUCAAGAGACAAAGUGAUAAGUGGUAGCUUUAGCUACACUUAUCUGAUCAAGUGAAAAAGUGAUAAGUGCUACACUUAUCUGAUCAAGAGACAAAGUGAUAAGUGGUAGCUUUAGCUCACUUAUCUGAUCAAGUGAAAAAGUGAUAAGUGCUAUACUUAUCUGAUCAAGUGACAAAGUGAUAAGUGGUAGCUUAGCUACACUUAUCUGAUCAGGGCCAAAUGAUAAGUGAUCAUACGUAAGACCAUAGUUAUACUAUGGCCAAGUGAAAGUGAAGUACUCAAUUUUCCGUAACCGUUCCUUAAUUUUGAUCAAGGAUGGUAAGUGACAAAUAGGCCCAAAGAAAUUAUGGUAAAAGAAUAAGUAGUAGUGAGUUUAUACCAAGGAACUCUCCAAAGAUUGUGGUUGACAAGUAAACUUAGUAAUGGUGUAUAUUGUAUAAGUGUACAAAUGUUUGGUAAGAUUUAUGUUUGUGCCUAUGAACUUACUAAGCUUUUCUAUAAGCUUACAUGUGUGUGUUUAUUGUUUUUCUAGAUUAACGUAUUUAUACAUUCGGAGGAUCGGAUCUACUUCGAGAAUCACACUAUCCAGAUAUACUCCGGUAGAUUUUGUUAAACAACUUUUUGGAUUUAUAUGGCAUGUACAUAGAAUUGAAGUAAAAAGUAAUAGAAUGAAUGACUGAGUAUGCAAAGUAAAUUUGAAUGUGAUGGUUGUGUUAGAUAUUGAAAAAUACAUGUUUUUAGUUUGAAAUGGUUGAUUGGCUGAACUUCGUUAGUAUUCAAGUGAAGUAGUUGAAAUACUGGAAUUGGUUGUGAUUUGAAAUUUGCAGGGAAGGUUAGAUAAAUAUAAAGGGGUUAUAUUGAUUUUUUUUAAAAAUUUCAAUGGAAUAAUUUUUGGACAGCAGCAUUGAUGUAACUUUUAAAAAUCACCAAAAAUAGUGGAAAUAGAAUUAGAAGUUGAAUGAGAUAUGAAAUUAAAUCUGAAUGAGUCUAAUUUCACAUGAAAGAAGUAGAAUAAGAAAAAGAGUUAUAUAUUUUUAGAUAUUUGAAUUUUAGUGAAACAGGGCAAGAAUGUUUUUGAAGUCCCCUGUUCUGACUUUAGAAAUUUAGUAAAAAUUGUACAAAAGGAAUUAUGAAUUAUAAUUUAUAUGUUUAAAUUCCGUAAUGAGUAUAUUUUAAGUAGAAAUAAUUGGAACCACCAUAUGAAGUCUUUGCAAUGAGAUAAUUGAAUUUUAGCGACAAGAGGUCAGGAUAGUCAAUUAGUGAAAUAGGGGAGACUUCAACUAAUAAACUGUAUUAAUUUGCUAAACCAAAAAUUCUGAAAAAUUUAUGGUGAAUAUACAUAUGAGUCUAGUUUGAGGGAAAAUUUACGGAUCUAAAUUUUUAGUUUCGUAUCUUGAGUUAUAAUUAUUUUAGUGACUACUGCGCAUGUGGACAGCUUUGUUGUGAAUGGUGAAAUUAAUUUUUAAAGUAAAUUUUUAUGCCCCGAACUUUUAAGUUCAGUCAAGUAACGCCUUAUGCUCGACUCCGGCAACCGUCUUGGGUAAGGGGUGUUAUAAAUAAUUAUUCUUAAAUUCAUACAUUCUUUGUAUAUUAUUUUGUACCUACAAUAGGUCCCUAGAUAUUAACAACAUGAGUGACGUUGCUACAGACUCAGAAUUUCCUUUUAAACAAGACAUGUGUUUAGAGGGAUCCCAUGGCUUUGAAGAUGACGUAGACUGUGGCUUAUCUCUGAAUUUGUUAAGGAUGGUAAAACAAGAGGAGAAGCAAAUCCUACCUCACAAGGAAUCAAUGGAAAUUGUGAGCUCAGAAGGGGGAAAAGAGGUGAAGAUUGAGACUAACAUUGCCACAAAGACAAAGCAUGACCUCGUUGAGUUACUCCAAGAAUUUAAAGAUGUCUUCGCAUGGUCAUACCAGGAUACUCCCGGGUUAAGUACUGGCAUUGUAGUACACUACCUUCUUAUAAAAGAAGAUUGCAAGCCAGUUUAGCAGAAACUCUGAAGGAUGAUGCCUGAUAUUGUGCUAAAAAUAAAAGAAGAAGUUAAAAAGCAAUUUGAUGUUGGGUUCUUACAAGUGGUUAAAUAUUCAGAAUGAGUAGCCAACAUCGUCUCAGUCUCUAAAAAAGAUGGGAAAGUACGAAUGUGCAUAGAUUACAGAGACAUGAACAAGGCCAGCCAAAAAGAAAAUUUCCCAUUGCCUCACAUUGACACUUUGGUGGAUAAUACAGUAGGCUACUCACUGUUUUCCUUCAUGGACGACUUCUCUGGAUACAACCAGAUAAAGAUGCAUCCCAAAAACAUGGGAAAGACUACAUUCGUGACCCUAUGGGGAAUGUUUUGCUAUAAAAUGAUGUCAUUCGGAUUAAAGAAUGUGGGAGCGACGUAUCAAAGGGAAUGGUAACCUUGUUUCAUGACAUGAUGUACAAGGAAAUCGAGGUUUAUGUUGGCGAUAUGAUUGCAAAAUCCAGAACAGAAGAGGAACAUGUGUAGGCCCUAAGAAAAUUAUUCUUAAGACUGAGAAAGUUCCAGCUCAAGCUUUCCAACGAAAUGCACAUUCAGAGCUAGGUUAGGAAAGCUGUUAGGCUUCACAGUUAGUGAAAAAGGAAUCGAGAUCAACCCAGAUAAAGUCAAGGCGAUACGAGAUUUACCUCUACCAUGCACUCAGAAGGAAGCUCGAGGUUUCCUAGGAAGACUGAAUUACAUUGCUCGAUACAUUUCACAACUAACCGAAAAAUGUGACACCAUAUUAAAAUAAAAAUAGAUUAAAUUGUAAGUAAAACAUAAUUUAAACAUAUGAAUACAUCAAAUUAAUAAUACUAAAUGAAUACAGUUAUUUAUGAUGAUGUUGUUGCCAAUUCCUAAUUUGGUGUCUAGUUAAUUUGUGACAUCAUAAAUUUAAGUGAUAAAUUUAAGGUUUUAUGUAUUGAUGUGGAUUCAAAUAUCACCAUAAUUUUUGUAAAUAAAAAACUAAUAAGAUAACUUAUAUUAAGUACGAAAGGGUAUUUUUAUAAUUUCUCUAAUCGAGUUGGUGCCCGGUUGACUCAUGACACUAACUCAAUCAGAAGCUUUAAUAAUAAUAUAGAUAUUCAUGUUAAAAAAACAAAAAAAAAGUACUUUAGUUCCAAAUAAUUAUAUAACAAGUAAAUUUAUAAUUGAUGAAUAAAUUUAUAAAUAAUAUAUUUAUAUGAUCUAAUAUAUUAUAUUUAUAUUAAUUAUAUAUCAUCUACAAACUUUGAAGAUCAAUUUAUUAAGUAAAAAUGAAAUUGUUAACACUAAAUCAAUUUUUAGAUUUUGUAUAGAUGAUUUAGUGAUGAUAAAAACAUUAUUAACACUAUUUUUUAAUUAACAAAAAAUUAGUGAUAUAUUUAAAUUAUAUUUAUCAUUUAUUAUUUUUAAUAAUAUUUUUUAAUUAUAUGAAGUAAAAUUAUAUUGUAUACUAAAUAUGGUACAUAUACUCUAAUUAUAACUUGAAAUUUUAUUAUAUAAAUUAAUAUAAAUUUGAAUAACAAAAUAAAAAAAAACUAAUUAGAAUAAUUUUAAAAAACAUUAUUUAAAAGUAGUUAAAAAUCACGUGCAACAGGUGAGAUCAAUGGUCUUUAGAGAAGAAAUGUUGAAGAUCAAAGUUGGAAUCUGGCCUAUAAGGCCUUUAAUUGCUUUAAUAUUAAGCAGUUCCAAACCAAGAAGAUUACCGAUUUCCUCAGGAAUUUGACCUGCACACAUGGUCGAAAAAUCAAUGUGUCAAACUACCUAUUUUGUUAGCAUAAGUCAAAGAGGUUUUCUUUUCUAUUCUACAUAAUUUGCAGAUGUUAGAUUUUAAUAUUUUUAAGCAUAUUUGUUUUCAUCAAAUUAACUAUUUUGAACUAUUUUGCCUUGAAUGAAAUAAAAUGCUCUUACUUUUGUUAUCUAUUACUAAUCAAACUCUUUUAUAAAAAAAAUACUUUAAACUAAAGAAACCAAGAAAAUUCAAUACCUUCUAGGUUAUUCAACCCCAAAUAUAAUUCUUUGAGUCGUGUCGGAUUUCCAAUACUUCUUGGAAUGAUCCCCAUCAAUUGAUUAUAGGAAAAUGACAAAAUUUUAAGGUUGUUGCAUUUGCUUAUACUUGACGGAAUGUUACCAUAUAAUUCAUUCCGACUCAAGUAAAGCCCUUCAAGCUUGGAAAGAUGUGACACAUAUCAUUAGGCAAGCUACCUGAUAGGCUAUUGUUGGAGAGAUCAAUGGCCUUCAGAGAAGAAAUGUUGAAGAUCGAAGUUGGAAUCUGACCUGUAAGGCCUUUAAUUGCUUUAAUAUUAAGCAGUUCCAAACCAAGAAGAUUACCGAUUUCCUCAAGAAUUUGACCUGCACACAUGGUCGAAAAAUCAAUGUGUCAAACUACCUAUUUUGUUAGCAUAAGUCAAAGAGGUUUUCUUUUCUGUUCUAUAGUAAUUUGGUGAUGUUAGAUUUUAAUAUAAUUCAGCACAUGUUUUUCAUCAAAUGAAAUAAAAAGUUUUUCCUUUUGUUAUCUAUUACAAAUCAAGCUCUUUUAUUAAAAAAAUACUUUAAAUUCAAGAAAUCAAGGAAAUUAAUUACCUUCUAAAUUAUUAAACCCCAAAUAUAAUUCCUGGAGUCGUGUUAGAUUUCCAAUACUUCUUGGAAUGAUCCCCAUAAAUUGAUUAUGGGGCAACAACAAAUUUUUAAGGAUGUUUCAUUUGCCUAUGCUUGACGGAAUGUUACCAGAUAACUCAUUGCUAUGCAAGUGAAGCCCUUCAAGCUCGGGAAGAUGUUGACACAUAUCAUUAGGCAAACUACCUAAUAGGCUAUUCCUGGAGAGAGCAAUAGUCUUGAGAGAAAAAUGUUGAAGAUCGAAGUCGGAAUCUGAUCUGUAAGGCCUUUAAUUGCUUGAAUAUUAAGCAUUUCCAAACUAAAAAGAUUACCGAUUUCUUCAGGAAUUUGACCUGCAGACAUAGUCGAAACAUCAAGGUGUUAAAUUUCCUAUUUUGUUAGUGUAAAUCAAAGAGGCUUUUUAUUUUUUUUCGUUAUGAAAUAAUAUGGAUAUGUUCGAUUCUAAUCAUAUUUAAGUAUAUAUUAGUUCUUGAAAGAAUGAGUUCUUAUUUUUGGUAUUUAUAUUGCAAAUAUAUAUUUUUUUAAAUUUAAAAGAAGGGAGGGGGCAAAUGUGUUUAAACUAAAGACAUCAAGGAAAAGGCAUACCAAGUAUAAUUGUUUAAGUUGUGUCAAAUUCCCAAUGCUUUUUGGAAUGAUCCCACUAAAUUGAUUAAUAGACAAUUCCAAAAUUUGAAGGUUGCAGCAUUUGUCUAUACUUGAUGGAAUAGAACUUGAUAAUUCAUUUCUACUCAAGUAAAGCUCUUUCAGCUUGGGAAGAUGGACACACAAAUCAUCGGGCAAGCCACCAGAAAGACUAUUAUCACAAAAAUGAAUCCUUUUCAAAGAAGAAAUGUUAAAGAUGGAAGAUGGAACCUGGCCAGAUAAUUGAUUGAAUCCCAAGUUCAAGAUCUCUAGAUUGGACAAGUUGACAAGUGUUUGAGGGAUCGUGCCUGUGAAGUUAUUAUUUCUCAUUUCCAACCUUUGAACUCUGUGCAAGUUCCCAAGCCAUGGUGGAAUUUCCCCAUUAAGACGGUUGUAGCUUAAUCGAAUGAUCCUCAAACGAUGCAAUUGGCCUAAUUCUUUAGCCAGAUGGCCGUAGAAAUUGUUGUUGCUCAAGUCGAUAGAAAAUAGAAAUGAAAGAUUUCCAAGGUGUGGAGGGAUAGUACCCCUAAGAUUCAUGUUUGUAAGAUUAAUCAAAGCUACAACUCUUUCAUGGAUGAUGCCACAAGAAACACCAACCCACUUACAGACAGAGGUAGAGUUCGUCCAAUUGUUUGCCAACACAUUUUGAGGAUCGACAAUGCGAUCUUUAAACUCAAAGAGUGCAAACUGAUCGGAGUUGAGAUUCCGGACUGUCAUAGCCAAGGAAACAAUAGAACAUUGUAUGAAUAAAAGUGAAAGAAGAUGAAAGCAAGUGUUGUAGUUCAUGAUGGCAAGACGAAAUAAGCCAGGAAAAGGGAAGUUGAAUUGAUGAAGAAAUAGCCAGCCAACAUGCUUAAAUAGGCUUCAACCCUUGCACACUUCUCAUACAUAAAGUUCGCUGCCAUUACAACAAGAAAACUCAUAUCUCCAUUCGUACCUAUCCAUACUUUAUUUGACUAACUUUUCCCUAACAAGUGUUCAGUAAGGAGAUAAAUCAGUUUGGAGCUAUUCACCGGCUUCUCCAAUCUUGGUUUCAAACUCCUAACCCAUCAAUUCACUUUAAUUGAAACGAUAUACACGAGUCUUUCGGCUUAUAUUUUUAAUUUAAUUUUUGUUACUUUUCAUAAUAUUUUUUGAGAAAUCCAAAUAUUCCAGUCUGAAAUUUCUUCAUUGCCACGUCUAUCUCCUGGGUAAGUCCGUGGUUAGGCAGCCCACUUUGGGAGCAGGAUUGUAAUUGUAAUUCUAUCCGACUCAUUUUACUAUUUAGAAAUAUAAAAGUAAUAUUAUAUUAUUUUUUAUAUUUUUAUAAAUUUAAUUUUAAUUAUAAUUUUUAAACAAUAAAACGAGUCAUUUGUAUUUGCCUAGUCUAAAUUGAAUCAGGAGUCAAAAAAAUUUUAAUCAUAAUUUACUAUUAUUUUAAUUAAUUAAAAUUUAACCUACUACAACUAGUAGUUGCAGAAAAAAUGUCAUUCCUUUAGAAAAACGAAAAUCCUUUAGAAAAAUGAGAACUUAUGAAGCAUUCAAUAAGAGUCAUUGGAAUAAAUGGUAACGAAAUCAUAAUUCAAUAUAAAGCUAAAAAAUGUACCAAUCUAUAUAAAUAAUGUAAGAUUUGUGAUACCUAAAUUAUUAUAUUUUCCAUAAAUAUAUGAAGAUAUUUUAUUAGGAAAUAAUUUUAUAUAUAAAAUUUUUUAUUUUCUUUUGAUAGAAAUUUAAUUAUGUUAUCUGUAGAAAAAAAUAUUUAUAGAAAUAUUAUUAGUAGAAAAUCAUAAAUUUGUGUGUGGCAAAAAAAAUUCACCACCAAGAAAGGGGCAAAUUAAACAACUUGAAACAAGUCAUUGGUUGUUUAAAAUAUUAGAUAAUAAUUUCAGUGAAGAAUCAUUAAAAUUAUGACAAAAUAACCCUAGAUAUUGUAGUAUUAAAUUGGAAAAUCUCAAUAAUAUUAUUAGAGUAAAACCUAUGAUCUAUCUAAACAAGAUAUAGAAGAUUUUGAUAUACAAAUUAAGGUUAGAAAUCAUGCGGAAAUAAAAAAGAAAAAAAAGCUAGUAUGGUCAUUAAUUAUAAAAGAUUAAAUCAAAAUAUUAUUUUUUUAUAGUUACUUGAAUUAAUCAGGCUAAACAAACAAAAUAUUUUAGUAAAUUUGACUGCAAAUCAGGAUUCUAGCAAAUCAUGAUAACAGAAAAGUCCAAACCUUUAACGGCUUUUAGUGCACCCAAUGGACAUUACCAAUGGAAAGUGAUGUCAUUUCAAUUAUGUGAUGCACCACAAAUCUUCCAAAGACGAAUGGAUUUUAUAUUUAAUAAAUAUAAAAAAAUUCUAUGUAGUCUACAUAGAUGAUAUUUUUUAUAUUUUUAGAUACACUAGAAUUACAUAAGAAACAUUUAAAUAUUAUUUCUUAAGAAUUCAUAAAAUAUAGAAUCAUAUUAAACCCUAAAAAUAUAGAGUUAGAAAAAAGAGAGAGAAUUUUUAUAAUAGUGGAAAUAAAAAAUUGUCCUCAAAAGAUUGAAGAAAAAAAGAACUUCCAACAAUUUCUAAUAUAUUCCUCCCAAAUUUUCAGUUUCAAUUUUAUUACAGAAUUUCUUUGCCGACAAUAAGAAAUUAAGAGCGCUCUUUAAGUUGAAUAUAGUCCGUCAGAUAUGGCUAUCUAUAACAUGGAACCUUUGGUUUUCAAGCUGAAUAGGAGAAUUGAUUCACUUGAUAAGUAUGAAAAAUUGAAACUGCUAAAUUUAAGUGCACUAACUCUGGAUAUCAUCAUUAUUUUUCUGUACAUUAAAGUACCUGUUUGAUAUGCGAUUUCUGCCUCAAACUAUCAACAUCUUUAACAUCCUUUUGCUAUAGUUAGCAUGGGUACUUCCUUUUAGAUUAACAGUUAGGUUUGAACUGUGAAUUAGAUUUCUGUGGCUGCUGGGAUUGAAGAAGUUAGUAUGCGAAUGACAUUGGACAAAUUUGGCAAAGUCUUCUCCAUCAGUGAAGAAAACCCCUUGGCGUAUGAAAAAUGUUCACCAUCUUAGACAUUUGUUUUCUUAUUGUAAGAAUAUUUUUAACAUUGUAACUUUUAACAUUAUUGUAAGAAUAUUUUGAAUUAUACUUCAGUUAUCAAUUUAUAUCAUAUAUCUUUUGUUGAAUUUGAAGUAUAAUUUAUAUUUGCUGUUUUUGGUUAGAUUUCAUGCUAUAGGAAGGGUUGUAUAUGGAUAGAAAUUGAAUGUUACAAAUCUGCCAAAGUUAGUGGCGUUUUUUCAUAAGAGCUGCUAAAGAAUGCUAUUUUUGGCGGUGUUUGUAAUAAAAGAGCCGCUAAAGGUCAUGUUCUUUAGCGAUGUUUGUGGGUAAAGCGCCGCUAAAGAUCAUGUUCUGUAGCGGUGUUUGUGGAUAAAGCGCCGCUAAAGAACAUGACCUUUAGCAGCGUAUUUUCACAUAAACGCCGCAAAAUUUAGCGGCUUUGUCUAUAGCGACUUUUUUUGCAGCGCUUUAAGUUUUAGCGGCGCUUUUAGGCCUAAAAAAGGGCCGCUAAAAGCCUGUUUUGCUGUAGUGAGCAUAUUUACAUUUUCGUCCCAAUUUCAACUAACACCCCAUCUAUUUCCCACUUCCCUUUUUCGGGCAAUUUCAACUAACACCUUCAUAUCAAACAUAACUAUUUUUCAAUUUUUCUUCUUUAUUUCAUUAAUAAAAUUAUCAAUCUAUUUGUUUUUAAAUAUAUAAUUUCAUUAAUAUUUUUUAAAUUAUAAUAUAAGAGUUGUUGUUUAUUUAUAGUUUUAUUACAUUAUUUACUCUCUCUUUUCUAUCAAGUUUUUUAAAUUAUAAUAUAAGAUUUAUUUUAUCAAUUUGUGGCUUAUCCAGUAUUCAUCUAUUUUAAUAAUAACUUGAGUUCCAGUCAUUAUCAUACCAGAAAGAGUUCCAUUUAUUCUUUAUCGUAAAUUUUAUAAAAAAAUAUACAUUUUAUUAUAAUACUAUAUGUGUUACGAAUAAUAUUUUAUUGUGGAUGCCCAUAAUUUUCAAAGUUGUAACCUCUAAUGUAGUAACCUUAAUGAAAUUAUGAGGCUUUUAUAUUGUAAUCAAGCCUCUAUUUAUUCUUUGUAACUUAAACAGAAGCAUAUUUUCUAUUAUAUUGAUAUUUUUUAUAGAUAUAUAUAUAUAUAUAAGGAAUCAAAUAAAAAGUUAUUUACCUUUCUAUUAUAUUGAUAUUUUCUAUUUGAUUUGUUCUUUUCUUUCACUAUUCCAUAAUAUAUUAUCAGUACGAUUUUAACCAAGAGUAACAUGUUAUUAGAUUGUGUCAAAAUUUUGUUGAGAAUCAUUAGAUUGUUUCCUUUUUCUUCUAUUUAGCCCCAAAUUGCACCCCUACACAAAAUUCAACAAAAACAUGGAAAAAUUAGUGGUGCACUCUCAUAAAUUAACCAAUUUAAUUACAUAAAAUAUGUAACUUUAGCAUUUUAUCAAUCAUGUUCUUUAGCGGCAUUUGUGGGUAAAGCGCCGCUAAAGGUCAUAUUCUUUAGCAGCGUUUGUGAUAAAAGUGCCACUAAAUAUCAUGUUCUUUAGCGGCGUUUGUGGAUAAAGCGCCGCUAAAGAACAUGACGUUUAGCAGCAUUUUUUUACAUAAACGUUGUAAAAUUUAGCGGCGUUGUCUAUAGCGACGUUUUUUGCGGUGCUUUCAAAUAGUUUUAGCGGCGCUUGUAGGCCUAAAAAAAUGCCGCUAAAAGUCUGUUUUGCUGUAUGAGCAUAUUUACAUUUUCGUCCCAAUUUCAACUAACACCCCAUCUAUUUCCCACUUCCCUUUUUCGGCCAAUUUCAACUAACACCUUCAUUUCAAACGUAAUUGUUUUUCGAUUUUUCCUCUUUAUUUCAUUAAUAAAAUUAUCAAUCUAUUUGUAUUUUAAAUAUAUAAUUUUAUUAAUAUUUUUUAAUUAUAAUAUAAGAGUUUUUGUUUAUUUAUAGUUUUAUUAUAUUAUUUACUCUCUUUUUUCUAUCAAGCUUUUUAAAUUAUAAUAUAAGAUUUAUUUUAUCAAAUGGUGGCUUAUCGAGUAUUCAUCUAUUUUAAUAAUAACUUGAGUUCCAAUCAUUAUCAUACCAGAAAGAGUUCCAUUUAUUCUUUAUCGUAAAUUUUAUAAAAAAAUAUAUAUUUUAUUAUAAUACUAUAUGUGUUAGGAAUAAUAUUUUAUUGUGGAUGCCCAUAAUUUUCAAAGUUGUAACCUCUAAUGUAGUAACCUCAAUGAAAUUAUGAGGCUUUUAUAUUGUAAUCAAGCCUCUAUUUAUUCUUUGUAACUUAAACAGAAGCAUAUUUUCUAUUAUAUUGAUAUUUUUUUAUAGAGAUAUAUACAUAAGGAAUCAAAUAAAAAGUUAUUUACCUUUCUAUUAUAUUGAUAUUUUCUAUUUGAUUUGUUCUUUUCUUUCACUAUUCCAUAAUAUAUUAUCAGUACGAUUUUAAUCAAGAGUAACAUUUUAUUAGAUUGUGUCAAAAUUUUGUUGGACUUCAAGUAUUGGAAUUUAAUUGUUUAAGUUAAGAAUCAUUAGAAUCAAUGGCUAUUUGAGAUAUGCUUGAGGAUGAUCUCAUUCUCUUCAUCACAAAGGUGGAGGUUAGAAAAUCUUUAUGUUUAAACAUUUAUAGCUUUAAAGUUAUUUUAACCUCUUAUUGUGACCUUAUAAUAUUUUGUAAUUUUUUGUAUUAUGGUAUAUAAAAAAAAUCUAACCAUAGUGAUUGAUUAGUAAUAUGAAUUUGUUAUUUGUUAUGUUUAAUAUAUAUUUUAUUUAUACUUAUUCAUUUUAUUUUUAUAUGAGUAAAUGAAGUGUUUGAAGAUUCGAAAUUUUUAUCAUCCAAGUUGAAAAUAAGUGCAAAAGUGUACAUUAUUUAAAAUAAAUUACGCAUUCAUUAAUGUUAUAUGAUAAAAUCAUUACAUGUUCUAAAGAACUAAUAUUGCAUCAAACUGUAAAAAGCUCUUGAAGAGUUAAUAUUUUACCUCCUUGUGAUACAAAAUCAUAUACAAUAUGAUAUUAUUUUUCAAAUCGAGUAGAUAUAUGUUGAGGGAAAUCUUUAUGUGGUUUACAUUAAAACCAUGGAUAGAAAUGACAUGAGAUACUCGUGUAUUUUUAUUAUAAAUAUUCCUUGAAGGAAGACACUUCACUUGUAUGAUUGACAUAUGAGAUAGUGGCAAGAAGUUCAUAGUGUUGGUAUGGUCGUCUAGAUCAUCUCAAAUCAAUAAUGAUGCAAAAUAAUUUGAAGAGAAUUUAUAUGAUUUUAUUGAAGAAUGAGAAGAUAUUUUCAUUUUGAUAAUUGUCAUCAAUACUAGUUCUUUGGAAAAAAAAUAUUGAACUAACAUAAAGUUAGAGGUUGGUUGCAUUUUUUGAUGAUAUCCAAAUAAUAUAUGAGCUCAUGUAUCACAUGUAUGCAACCCAAAGUUUACAGUAUUAUUUCUUGAAAUAAUUUGAUUCUACACAAUCUCUAUAGUAUGCAAUUUGUGCUAACAACGUUGGUGCAUUAUAUCCUAAGCUUGAUUUUCGUAGUUUUAGCUGAGAUAAUAUUAAGUUGUCUAUGCCUAUAUAUGUUAUACUUAAUGGUUAGCAAAAUUGUGCCUCCAUUUAAUUGCUUAACCAUUAAUAUAAGAAUAACUUUAAAAUAAGCAUGUAAUUUUAUUUGCAUAGAGUCAACAUGUAAGAAACAUUUGCCCCAUGAGAAUUGGCUUUCAUUUAUAAGCCAAUAGGUUUCAUAUGACUAUUUGGAUGUAAAAUAUCUAUUUUAUAUUCCACCAUAAUGCACUAAGAUGGUCCAUCAAGUAUGAAGUUGAGAAAAUUUAGAAUUUUUAUUUGAUGGUAAAAGUUGAAAAGAGAUAUAUACUUAUAAUUUUGAAAAAAAUAGUCAUGUUGCAAAUUUUUCUCAAUAUUAGGGGGAGACAAGUUGGACAAAUAAGGAUAAUUAUGUCAUCACUUUUUGUGAUCCCUCACUAAUAUUAUGUGCACAAAGUUUGAAGGAAAAAAGUAUUUGCUAGACAUGUUUAGUGAUGACACUUAGAGAUUGUAUAUACUAGAUGAUACAUAUACCAGCUAAAAUGUUCCAAAUAAUUAUGAGUCCUAGAAGGACAUAGUGAUAAAAAUAAUUUUUGGGCACGCUAGAAGGAUAAAAAACUAGUUCAUUCUAUAAAUCAAAAAAUUCUUGAAAGAAAAGAGUAAGAAAUGAAGCUGGCCACACAUUAAAGGAAACGAGUACUCAUGAAGAGACCUAAGGCAUAACUUUUAAUAAAACCCCAAAAGAGGUUCAAUACAUGGAAUUAUGAAUAUAAUAAGAUAUCUCGAUUAGUUAUAUCAUAACUAAAGAUGAUGGGGUUGAUAAAAGGAAAUUGUUGUUAACAACGAUAAUCUAAGUAGAACAUUUCAAUAUUAUGGUAAAAUGAGUAUUUUGAAUGAAAAUAUACUUGAAAGUAUUUAGAUGGGAACAACUCAUCAAAAUAAAUAGACGUUUCUAUUAUAACUUAUGAAAUGUGUCUCGGACAUGAAGUCCAAACAUUCGACAGGUGUAAAGCCAAGUGGAGUAUAUGUUAGCAUAAUAGUGAAAAAAUACAAAUCAUAAUAUAUAAAAUUGACUUGUAAGACAAACUUUCCCAAGACACUUGAUUUUGAUUAUGAAAAAUGAUUAAUUUGUGAUCUUAUCAAUUGAACAUACUUUGUAUAAUCAACAAAUUAUUAAUUAACCUCAUUUAACCAAUUUCCUUCAACACAUUUCAAAUCAAAUUAAUGUGUUGAGCACGCCCUUAACCCUUUUUCUUGAUUCAUUGCAUAGUCUAUUUCCAAGUACCAUAAUCAUCAACAUUUCAAUAUAUAAAGUCAUAACAUAAUGAAUCAUAGUUAGAAUUUUUUUUACCCUAUUAACCAAGUAUGGAACAAAAAUAAAAACCUAAUUUGUCAAGCUCAUUCAAUCAGCUUAUAUAUUAUAAGAAGAGCCUAAGUAUAAAUCCUAUACAUGAUUUCAAAUUCAACUAUUUAUAUUUGAGAUUCAAUUUAAAAUUCAUACUGAAAUUAUCAAAUUAACUCGUAAGCUACUCACGCUAAACAUUAAGGUACUCGAAUUCAAGUGGCUAGAUAUCAUAAACACUUUUAGCUUGUAAAACUAUUUCUAAGGGUCAGCCCAGAAUCAUGGUUGAACCCAAAAUCUGGUAACAAAAAUUUAAUUGAGCCAUCAGCCUAAAACAAAUAAGGCUUAAAAGGUUGGCACCCGAACAAUCAAAGAUAAACACCACCAUAUGCCACUCCCUGAAUCCGAUACAUACAAUAACACCCUUCACCACUUUUAUUCUUCUCCUUUUUUUUAACCUCAAUUUGGAUGGUCGCAUUUCUCUUUUUAGUGCUUUAUAGGGUUUGGGCUUUCAGAAUCCUCAGAGAUGCAAUUCAUGGAUCCCUCUAAGAAAUGCAAGCUUGAUGAAAAUGGUAUUAUUUCAACGGCAUCAGAACCUGACCCAAUCACCAAACUAACCCCACAAGAUGGCCGCAAGCUAAUCGAGCAAUUUAUCGUCGAUCAACUCCUUGACGUCCUCCAAGAUGCUGUUUGUUGUCACCUUGAUGUUCUUUCCGCCGUACACUCUAUUGCCGAUCAAGAUCCAUCUCAAAGGAAGCUUUUCAUCCGUGGUUGGGUUGGGAUACUACAACCCAACCCAACCCACAUUAGCAUACUACCAUGCGGUAACUUCUAGUGAUUUCUGUCUGUAACAUUAGACAGGUUAACAGUUAAAUCGUUCAACUGAAAGAUUUCUUUGAAGGAAGAGGUCAAUUGAUUUUUUUUGGAAUCAUUGUGUACUCAGUUGCAUUUAAGACGGGUAUCAUUCAUAAAGUAUAUAUCUACAUCAAGAAUGGUAGCCUCUUAUAUUAUAUUCAUGUAUUUAUUUUGCAUCUUUAAUUAUAAUAGGAUUUUUUUUGUUUAUUUAUAGUUUUAAUUAUAAUAUUUUUUAAAUAUGCCAAAGUAAAUUAUGUACCAAUUUUAAACUUCUCCUAGGUAAUUUAACGUAAGGGCAUUUAUGUUAUUUUACCACUUAUGAUAAAACUAACCUAAUUUUAGAUCUAAGUGUUUACCAACCUUCUUUUAGUCAAAUUAUGCAAGCCUAAAAUUUUUAGCUUAAUUUGAGUUUGUUUACUAUGUCUAAUUCAAGUUUUAUUAUUAAGAACUAAAUUGUAACUUAAACAAAUUAGAAUACCAAUUUAAAGAGACAAAAAUUCAAAGCCCCAAAACCCACACGGGCAUGUGGGUAAGUGACACAGGCGUGUGGAAACUGGAGCUAUCACACACGGGUGAGUGGGACUGAAAAAUAUGAAAUAAAUUAAUCCAUUUAAAUUUCCAACAACCAUGCUAUACUACCAAACCAAAUAAUGUUAGAAGCUUUGAAUAGGGGCGAAUCUUAAAAAAAAAUAGAAGAAUUAGAAUUAAAUUAUAAAAUUUUGAGAAGUUGUCAUGUAUUAAUUUAUUAUUUUUUAAAGGGUCUUAAUAGAUUUUUUUUCCCCAUUUUGGUUUGGCCAAUACCCCUGUCUGCCUCUUUCAAUUUGCUUCAACCCUUAGCCCAAUAUUCGAUUUGUUGUGGAAGUUUGACGCAUAAAAAUUCCUUUUUUAGAGGUUUAAAUUAUAAAUUUUUAUUAACAAAAUAUAAAAGAAAAAAACAUGUGUAGACAAGCCAAGAAACCUUUGGGAUCAUACAGGUGAUUUUGAGAUGUUCAUGGUUAUUUUGGUGGAGAGGGUAAAAAAGAAACAAAUGAUUCAUUAUAUAUGAUAUAAUUAUGAAAUUCAAGCCAUAUAUUGUAUGUUUCAUCCAUACAAAUUUCUUGUAGCAUUAAAUGACUCGUAGGCUUGCUGAAUUUCUUUGAAAGGCCCAAAGGCAAUUUAACAUUCACAAAAUAAUCUCUAAAUAGUGUAAAGACAAAUCAAAUCCACAGUAGCAUUAGAGUUGAUUAAGCUAAGCAUUGGCAAAUAUUACUUUGAUUUUGCAUGCAAUAUUGGCAAAACCCCCUCUUACAUUAGAAAAACAACAUAAUCCAUGAAACAUUGAUAGCCCAAUACAAAUUUCAUCGAGAAAAAAGUCUCUUUGUUUUGUAGAACAUGAUAGUAAAGAUGUGGAGUUUCGUUCUUCUUAUUGGCCUCCUUUAGUUUUCCUUGAUCAACAACCACUAGCCAAAAACACAAUUAGAUUAGAUUAUGAAUGAUACUUUCAACUAUGACAAUAUUAAAUACAAACCACUCUAAAUAACUCUAAAUAAAUGGAAAGCAGCAAAUUACCAGACGAGGCAAGCUAGCUCAAUUAAGACCAUUGUGUUAUACUUGUCUCUGAAUUGAAAAAUUUAGAAGGAAAUAAAGAGAAAGACUUAGAAAAUACUUGAAAACAGAAAAAAAAAUUAUGUCAUUUAAAAUAAAAAAUUUCUAUUCAAGCCAUUUAAAAUUUGUAAGAUUUUUAAAAUUUUAAAAUGAUAAAGGUAAAAUUGUACUUUGGCACCCCAAAAAUGAUAAAACUUUGAUUUAAUUAUUUAAAAAUUAUAAAAAUAUAGGCUAUUAAAAUGGUGAAAUUAUAUUUUUACUAUAGUAAAAAUUACAAUUUAAUUUCACCCCUAAAAGGAUUUUCUGGCUUCGCACCUAAUAAAAUCUUUGGCAAAAGACUAAAAUAAAAUUAUACCAUGAAUGGAAAAAGAAACUAAUAAAAUCCAAUCUAACAAAGAAAAUAACUUGAUGUCCAAAAGCUACCAUAAACCGUAAUUCAUGGGAAGGCUUGUUGCUUAUUUUAUUGGUUUCCAUUUUGAAAGAAGUUUGAAUUUUGAAGAGAGCCUACUACGUGAAAGCAAAAGAAAAAAAAAUAGUUUAUAUGAUUAAAAUUCCAGAAUAGAUUAAAAAUGUUGAAUUAAAGAUAAAAUUAAGUGUGAAUUAAUAACCACAAGUGUACUCUUUACUCACCAUCUCUGUUAAAAAUGUUGGAUGUUGUUUAGCAACCUUUGUUUGAUUUUCUUCAGCUCAACCACAACAUCUUUCAUAUCUUUUCUUUCUUCUGGUAACUCAGCUGAACAAUUCAAAGCCAACUCCAUGAUAGAUGAAAUACAAUUUGCUUUAACAACAAUGUACUCAUCCUCUCUUCUUAAUAAAUCAACAUCUGCAAUUUCUAUCGCUCCUUUAGGCAAUGAUCUUUCCAUCCAAUGCCUUAUACUCUCUUCUUCAACAAAAACCUUAUCAGUUGGCUUUUUCUUUGUGAAAGUUUCUAUAAGGACGAUCCCAUAACUAUAGACGUCAGAUUUUAUAGAAACAAUUCCUGCUGAUCCAAAUUCUGCAUUUCAAGUAUAAUUAGAACAUCAUUCAUCCUCAAUUAUUUCUAAAACGCUUAUUCAAAUAUCUAUCCACAUACACGUGAAACAAAAAUAUAAAAUACAAAUUAGGAAAAUAAUCAUACAAAAAUAAAAAAAAGAAUUCACCUGGUGCCAUAUACCCAAUAGUUGCAAGAGUCAUGGUUUGCUUCAUUACUUCACCUUCUCCCAACAAUUUGGCAACGCCAAAAUCUCCAACAUGUGCAACCAUGUCUUCAUCUAGUAAAAUAUUGCUUGGUUUUAUGUCACAAUGAAUUAUAGGUGUUGGAUGUCCAUUGUGGAGGUGUUCUAUAGCUACCGCAACAUCUAUCAUUAUGUCGACCCUUUGUAUGAUACCAAGGAAACAAUUUUCAGAAUGUAACCAUUUCUCAAGGUUUCCAUUAGACAUGUAAUCAAGCACCAAGGCUUUGAAGUCAACACUUGAGCAGUAAGUAAUGACCUUCACAAUAUUACGAUGAACUAUAUUAAGCAUAGCAUCACAUUCAAUGUCAAAACUCCUAAAUGCUCCCUCUGUUUGCAAAUUGAAAACUUUUAUUGCAACUUCCAUUCCAUCUGAAAGCCUCCCUUUAUAUACAUAUCCAAAACUCCCUGAACCAAGCGUAUUGCUUUCCUCAAAUCCAUUAGUUGCUCGUGAAAGUUCAGCAUGUGAAAUUCUUCUCAGUGUCUUCAAAGACAACAAAUCAUCUUUAACUGGUAGAGCUGUACUCCUUUGGCAUCUUCUAUACAUAAUAGUUAAGACUAUUAGUACUAGGACAAUACCAAUUGUUGGUAAACCAUACCUAAAAGCAUGCAAUAUAAUCAUUUGGGAGUUUUUGUGGAUGUCAUUUUUGCAAGGUGGGACUAGCAAUCUAGGUGGACCACAAAGUGCACAAUUAUUCAUGAAUGAUGUGCUAGAAAAGUUUGAAAAACAUCCUUUGCUGGGAAUUUCCCCUUCAAGUCUAUUGAAAGACACAUUAAAAUACUUUAGAUAUAAAAGCUUUUCCAAAGAUUUGGGAAUGACUCCAGAGAGAUUGUUAUUGCAUAAAUCCAAGAAUUCCAAACUAAUCAACCCUUCAAAUGAUUCAGGGAUAUGACCAUAUAGUAUGUUAUUUGAUAAAUCUAAUGAAACCAAAGUUAUAAGACCCCCAAAUGUGGAUAAGAUAUCGCUCGUGAGAAGAUUCCUUGAUAAAUUUAGUCUCAGUAGACUCCUAAAAUUUCCAACAUCAAUAGCAUGUGAAUUGUGAAGACGGUUUGAUGAUAAAUCUAUUUCUAAGAUAUCUUUAAGACUCCACAAAGUUGAGGGUAUUGUAGAACUCAAUUUGUUGGAACCUAACCAAAGAUAUCUCAAAGCAGAAAUAUUACCUAAACAAGAGGGUAUGGAUCCAUGCAGCUUAUUCAACCCUAAAUACAUCUCGUAUAGUCUCUCCAAACCACAAAGGCUUUCUGGGAUAGGCCCUCCUAAUUUAUUAGAGGAAAGACCUAGAAUUUGGAGAUUUCUCAUUCCUCCUAUUGAUGCUGGAAUCAAUCCACUUAAUUUAUUAUACCCAAGAUCUAAAAGCAAUAGGUUGGUUAAGUUACCUAUUUCCAUAGGAAUAAUGCCUUGAAGCUCACACUCUGUGGCAUGAAAGUAUUGAAGGGAUUUUGAAAGGUUCCCGAAAUAAGUAGGAAGAACGCCACUCAAUGGAUUUCCUGAAACAUCUAUUAUGCUCAAAUUCCUACAAUUCGUCAAAGAAGAAAGAAAGCUCCACUCAUGAUCAGUAGCAGAUCCUGUGAUCAAAUUAUUGUCAUAGAUUUGGAGCCAUACAAGUUGUCUUAAGCUGCCAAGCGUUUUAGGGAUUGGGCCAGAGAAUGAGUUAUCUCCCAAGUCUAGUUCCUUAAGCAUGGAAGCAUUGGAGAUAGAGUUGGGAAUGUUUCCGCUAAGUUUAUUUCCCCACAGUAAAAGAAUCUGAAGCUUUGGAGCAUUGGUAAUGGGUGGUAAAUUACCUGUAAAAUAGCAUCUUUUAGAAAACAUUCACAAAAUAUAUAAUACAUUAAAAUAAAAACUUUAAAUCAAUUAAGAAUAAAAUUUUGGCAUGGAAAAAUGUGAUGAAAUCAAUUAGAAAGUUGAGACAUAAUAAGAAGUUUUGAGUAGUAAUUAGUCCUUGUGAUUUGUAUAGACAAAACAUAUAAUACACUGAUAAUUUUUUUAAAAUAUUGUAAAACCUGAAAUAAAAUAAAAAAUAAAAGUUUGGCACGAGAAUGUGGCAUCUAAUCAUUCUUAAAAAUAAGACUAACAUUAAAUAAUAAUUAGUUAUGAUUUGAGAAACAAAAAUGUUAAAGAUGUAAACUGGUAUGAUUUUUAUCUAUUGGGUUAAUUAUUUAUUUUUAUUAAAUUAUAUAUAGUGUAAAAUUUAAAGAUUAUUAUUUGCUCAAAAUUUUUGUAUUUUAGGAUUUUAGGAUCGCAUUUAAUUCAAUUGUAUUUAAGACCUCAUGAAUUUAUUCUAUAAUUUGAGUCUUUUCAACCUUUUGGGAAAUAAUAAAACAUCGACAUUAAACUUGUUGUUGAUGCAUUCAAUUUGAUUUUUUGAGGGGUCAUUGGAGUUAUAUGUGAAUUUAGCAUUGAUUGACUUUUUUAGAAUUAAUCUUUUAUACCAAUUUAAUAACAUCGACAUGUUUUUGGGUAGGGUCGAGCAAAACCCAAUUAAAACCGAUGAAAUUGGUUUAGUUAACUCGGUCAAGUCCAUUAGAUGGAUAAAAUCAAUUUUAAAAUCAGUUAUUAUGGAUUAAGGUAAUUAAUUAUCGAGUAAUGAAAUACAUAAUCAAAUCAAUUGAUUUUGUUAGAAACUAAAAGAAAGUGGGAUAAGCUGAAAACUGAUUGCCCUUUUUUAGAAUUAAGGAAUCAGCCUUUUACAUGUUAGAUAAUAUGAACACCCCAUAUAUAAUAAGAAAAAUUAUGUACGAUUAUUUAUUAUCAUAAAUGGUUAGUUUAAAUUUAAAGUAAUCUAAUAUGUGUGUUGAACUUCAACUAUUACAUAAAGUAUAAGCUAAAUAUGUAUAAAUAUUCUAGAAACCAUUUCUAACUGAUGAUAGGCUAAUUUGAAAUUAAGAUUAAUAUAUAAAAACUAGAUAGUAGGGUUAUAGUCCUCAAACUACACCUAAUUUAAUAAAAUCUAUAGUUUUUAUAGCCUUAAACAUUUAUAGAUUUUGUUAAUUUGGUCCUUACUCUUUAAAAUUACAUAAAAAUUGCAAAAAUAUUUUAGAAAUACAAUUUUUUCGUAUUUUUAAUAACAUUUAUAGUUUUUUUUUUGGUUUGGUAACUUAUCAACUCGACUCUUAAUUGUAACCAACUUUUCUGAUUUUUUCGUACCCUUAACCUAAGUCCCGUUACAACUUUCUAAAGACCUCUUGAUUGGUGUAUCAUCUCGAUUUGUUCUUAUAGUGGUGGGGAUUUGGUUUUCAAGCAAGCCUAUGCUAAUCACAUUUUUCGUUCAACUAUUGAGCACACAGUACUUGAACCUUAAACACUUUGAGUGCUUUGAGUGAAUCUUAGUUAGGGUAUUGAUUAUUGUUGAGUUUGAAUUUUAGGUAAUUAUUGAGAUGGAGGAGAUGCCUAUUUUUUUGUGCUUUACAAAUUUCUGCUUAGAUUGCUUUUAUUCUUUAGUUUCAUGCUAGUUUCAAUUUCCAGUGCAUGAUUAUCUAUAGAUUAUUCAUAAGGCAUUGUCGGUGAAAACAAUAAAUUGAGGGAGAUUAACUUGAAAUAAAUUGAGGGAUAUUAACUUGAAUAAAGGUUGAGAAUUUUGCUUAAGGACAAACAAAUGCUUAAGUGUGGGGAUAUUUGAUAAGUGCUAAAAUUGAUAUGUUUUAACAUCAUUCUUAAUGUGUUUUUGGUUGAUUAUUCGAUGUUAAUGAUGCUCCUAAUCCUUACAAUUCGUGUUUUUAUGCUUAAUAGAACAUUUGGGAGGAAAAUGAGCUAAAAAUGAACGAAAACCUGAAAAUGGGGGCAAACUAUAGGACAUGGGCUGACCUAUUCCUCAUGACCGUAUGACUCACACGAUCAUGUGGUAGGUUGUGUCGAUUUCGUAGAUUUGCACUCUGAACUGUAAAAAAAGAAAAUUUUAGAUUUUUUGAGCAUUUUAAUACGUAUAUAUGAAAAAAAUAAGAAGAUAGGAGAGAACCUUCCUAGAAUAUUUAAGAAAACAACUCCAAAGACACUAUUGAAGUCGACUCUGAAGCAAAUUUUCCUCAAGAUUGAAGAUUCCCAGUUGGUUUCUUAAGAGAUUAUCAUGAGUUUCUUUAUUUCUUCUGGUUAUACUGCCCUUUGGAUGUUUUUAUUUUUAAGCAUGAACUAAUUUUCUAAAUACCGAAUUAGAGAGAUGAACCCUAUGAUAGAUUGUGACACCCCAAACCCAACCGGAUAGACCCGCCCGAAUUCAAAGCAUUUCAUUAGCCACCUAAGUGACUCUCCAGCUAACGACCACCCAAGACACACCUCGACCUUAUAACACCUCAAUCUUAUCUAAUUACUAGUUAUUUAUUAAUGUAGAAGUAAAUUAAUAUGAGCCAAUUUUAAACUUUUUCUAGGUAAUUUAACCUAAAGGCAAUUUUGUCAUUUUACCACCUAAUGUAAAACUAACCCGAUUUUAGAUCUAAGUGUUUACUAACCUUCUUUUAGUCAAAUUAUACAAGCCUAAAAUUUUCAGCUUAAUUUGAGUCCGUUUACUAUGUCUAAUUCAAGUUUUAUUAAUAAGGACUCAAUUGUAACUUAAACAAAUUAAAAUACCAAUUUAAAGAGACAAAAAUUCAAAACUCCAAAACCCACACGGGCAUGUGGGUAAGUGACAAGGGCUUGUGGGAUUGAAAAAUAUGAAAUAAAUUAAUCCACUCAAUUUUCCAACAACCAUGCUAUACUACCAAACCAAAAAAACACUUGAAGUUUUGAAUAGGGGCGAAUCUAAAAAAAAUUAGAAGAAUUAGAAUUAAAUUAUAAAAUUUUGAGAAGUUAAAAUAUAAUUUUAUCAUGUAUUAAUUUAUUGUUUUUUAAAGGGUCCUAAUAUAAUUUUUUUCCCAUUUUGGUUGGGCCAAUACCCCUGCCUGCCUCUUUAAAUUUGCUCCAACACUAAACCCAAUAUUCGAUUUGGAUUAACAACAACAUAUAGGUUAGUAUUUGUGGGAGUUUGACGAAUAAAAAUUCCUUUUUUAGAUGUUUAAAUUAUAAAUUUUUGAAAGAUUAAAAUAAAUUUGUAUUUUUUUAUUAACAAAAUAUAAAAGAAAAAAAAAUAUGUUUAGACAAGCCAAGAGAACUUUGGGAUCAUACAGGUGAUUUUGAGAUGUUAAUGGUUAUUUUGGUGGACAGCGUAAAAAAGAAACAAAUGAUUCAUUAUAUAUAAUAUAAUUAUGAAUUUCAAGCCAUAUAUUGUAUGUUUCAUCCAUAAAAAUUUCAUGGGAGGUCCAAAGGUAAUUAAAUGACUUGUAGGCUUGCUGAAUUUCUUUGAAAGGCCCAAAGGCAAUUUAACAUUCACAAAAUAAUCUCUAAAUACUGUAAAGACAAAUCAAAUCCACAGUAGCAUUAGAGUUGAUUAAGCUAAGCAUUGGCAAAUAUUACUUUGAUUUUGCAUGCAAAAUUGGCAAAACCCCCUCUUACAUUAGAAAAACAACAUAAUCCAUGAAACAUUGAUGGCUCAAUACAAAUUUCAUCGAGAAAAAAGUCUCUUUGUUUUGGAGAACAUGAUAGUAAAGAUGUGGAGUUUCGUUCUUCUAAUUGGCCUCCUUUAGUUUUCCUUGAUCAACAACAAUUAGCCAAAAACACAGUUAGAUUAGAUUAUGAAUGAUACUUUCAACUAUGACAAUAUUAAAUACAAAACACUCUAAAUAAAUGGAAAGUAGCAAAUUAAGACCAUUGUGUUAUACUUGUCUCUGAAUUGAAAGAUUUAGAAGAAAAUAAAGAGAAAGAGUUAGAAAAUACUUGAAAACAGAUAAAACUUAUAUGUCAUUUAAAAUAAAAAAAAUUUCUAUUUAAGCCAUUUAAAAUUUUUAAGAUUUUUUAAAUUUUAAAAUGAUAAAGGUAAAACUAUAUUUUGGUACCCAAAAAUGAUAAAACUUUGAUUUAAUUCUUUAGAAAUUAUAAAAAUAUAGGCUAUUAAAAUGGUGAAAUUAUAUUUUUACUAUAUUAAAAAUUACAAUUUAAUUUCACUUGCUAAAAGGAUUUACUGGCUUCGCCCCUAAUAAAAUCUUUGGCAAAAGAUUAAAAUAAAAUUAUACCGUGAAUGGAAAAAGAAACUUAAGAAAACCCAAUCUCACAAAGAAAAUAACUUGUCCAAAAGCUACCAUAAACCGUAAUUCAUGCGAAGGCUUGUUGCUCAUUUUAUUGGUUUCCAUUUUGAUUUUGCAAAAGAAGUUUGAAUUUUGAAGAGAGCAAAAGAAAAAAAUAGUUUAUUAAUUUUUUACGAAUACCGACAUAUUAUAUACAUGAUUAAAAUUCCAGAAUAGAUUAAAAAUGUUGAAUUAAAGAUAAAAUUAAGUAUGAAUUAAGAACCACAAGUGUACUCAUUACUCACCAUCUCUGUUAAAAAUGUUGUUUAGCAACCUGUGUUUGAUUUUCUUCAGCUCAACCACAACAUCUUUCAUAUCUUUUCUUUCUUCUGGUAACUCAGCUGAACAAUUCAAAGCCAAUUCCAUGAUAGAUGAAAUACAAUUUGCUUUAACAACAAUGUACUCAUCCUCUCUUCUUAGUAAAUCAACAUCUGCAAUUUCUAUUGCUCCUUUAGGCAAUGAACUUUCCAUCCAAUGCCUUACAGUCUCUUCUUCAACAAAAACAUUAUCAGUUGGCUUUUUCUUUGUGAAAGUUUCUAUAAGGACGAUCCCAUAACUAUAGACGUCAGAUUUUAUAGAAACAAUUCCUGCUGAUCCAAAUUCUGCAUUUCAAGUAUCAUUAGAACAUCAUUCACCCUCAAUUAUUUCUAAAAUGCUUAUUCAAAUAUAUAUCCGCAUACACAAGAAACAAAAAUAUAAAAUGCAAAUUAGGAAAAUAAUCGUACAAAAACAAAAAAGAAUUCACCUGGUGCCAUAUACCCGAUAGUUGCAAGAGUCAUGGUUUGCUUCAUUACUUCACCUUCUCCCAACAAUUUGGCAACGCCAAAAUCUCCAACAUGUGCAACCAUGUCUUCAUCUAGUAAAAUAUUGCUUGGUUUUAUGUCACAAUGAAUUAUAGGUGUUGGAUGUCCAUUGUGGAGGUGUUCUAUAGCUACCGCAACAUCUAUCAUUAUGUCGACCCUUUGUAUGAUAUCAAGGAAACAAUUUUCAGAAUGUAACCAUUUCUCAAGGUUUCCAUUAGACAUGUAAUCAAGCACCAAGGCUUUGAAGUCAACACUUGAGCAGCAAGUAAUGACCUUCACAAUAUUACGAUGAACUAUAUUAAGCAUAACAUCACAUUCAAUGUCAAAACUCCUAAAUGCUCCCUCUGUUUGCAAAUUGAAAACUUUUAUUGCAACUUCCAUUCCAUCUGAAAGCCUCCCUUUAUAUACAUAUCCAAAACUCCCUGAACCAAGCAUAUUGCUUUCCUCAAAUCCAUUAGUUGCUCGUGAAAGUUCAGCAUGUGAAAUUCUUCUCGGUGUCUUCAAAGACAACAAAUCAUCUUUAACUGGUAGAGCUGUACUCCUUUGGCAUCUUCUAUACAUAAUAGUUAAGACUAUUAGUACUAGGACAAUACCAAUUGUUGGUAAACCAUACCUAAAAGCAUGUAAUAUAAUCAUUUGGGAGUUUUUGUGGAUGUCAUUUUUGCAAGGUGGGACUAGCAAUCUAGGUGGACCACAAAAUGCACAAUUAUUCAUGAAUGAUGUGCUAGAAAAGUUUGAAAAACAUCUUUUGCUGGGAAUUUCCCCUUCAAGUCUAUUGAAAGACACAUUAAAAUACUUUAGAUAUAAAAGCUUUUCCAAAGAUUUGGGAAUGACUCCAGAGAGAUUGUUAUUGCAUAAAUCCAAGAAUUCCAAACUAAUCAACCCAUCAAAUGAUUCAGGGAUAUGACCAUGUAGUAUAUUAUUUGAUAAAUCUAAUGAAACCAAAGUUUGAAGACCCCCAAAUGUGGAUAAGAUAUCGCCCAUGAGAAGAUUCCUUGAUAAAUUUAGUCUCAGUAGACUCCUAAAGUUUCCAACAUCAAUAGCAUGUGAAUUGUGAAGAUGGUUUGAUGAUAAAUCUAUUUCUAAGAUAUCUUUAAGAUUCCACAAAGUUGAGGGUAUUGUAGAACUCAAUUUGUUGGAAUCUAACCAAAGAUAUCUCAAAGCAGAAAUAUUACCCAAACAAGAGGGUAUGGGUCCAUGCAGCUUAUUCAACCCUAAAUACAUCUUGUAUAGUCUCUCCAAACCACAGAGGCUUUCUGGGAUAGGCCCUUCUAAUUUAUUAGAGGAAAGAUCUAGACCUUGCAGAUUCCGCAGUCCUCCUAUUGAUGCUGGAAUGAAUCCACUUAAUUUAUUAUGGUCAAGUUCUAAAACCAAUAAGUUGGUUAAGUUACCUAUUUCCAUAGGAAUAAUGCCUUGAAGCUCACAAUUAUAGGCAUGAAAGGAUUGAAGGGAUUUUGAAAGGUUCCCAAUAUAAGUAGGAAGAACGCCACUCAAUGGAUUUCCUGAAACACCUAUUUUUCUCAAAUUCCUACAAUUCGUCAAAGAAGAAAGAAAGCUCCACUCAUGAUCAGUAGCAGAUCCUGUGAUCAAAUUAUUGUC
rnacentral:lncRNA from 1 species